rnacentral:lncRNA from 1 species
UAAGGAUCAUUCAUGUGUGCUGAUGAUAAUGAACUCAAAUUUGUUGAGACUUCAUCUGUUGCUUUUUUUCGCACGACUGUUGCACCGGACUAUUCAUUAACUUCUCAAGUCCUUUGUGGUUGUGUGUAUUGCUUAGUGGAUGGUUACAUCAACGGUAUAUACUUCUCUACCCCCUUCCAUUUAGUAGAUAUUGUAAAACCAAGGACAACCUCCUGAGGCUUAGGAGAAGCUAUAUAUAACUCUUUUCAACAUCUGUUAUUAGUUGGAAUUAAGUUCGGCUCAUGUGUUGGAUCACCAUUAUUCACUGCCUUCUUUGGAGAUUGAUUUUUCAGGCCAAAAUACAUUCAGUCCCUUGCCUGUAUGUAUAAACAAAAUACACUCAAUUCCUUUAUAAAAUCUUACCAUACAUCUACAAUAUACUAUUUUUUCUUUGCUAUAAGGAUGGAAUUUUAAAUGUUUGGUGAAAAACUGAUAUGUGAAGGUAAUUAGCAUUAUAAAGUCCUGAAAAUCAACUCCAACCACAAGAAGGUGGAAAGAGUAUUACUUUGUUGAAGCAUCCAAUAAAAAGAAAGCCGACUAAAGUUUUGAUAUGUAUGUUAAAAUAAAUUAGUUUGACGAGGCAGAAAAUUCAUGUUAAAGUAUUCACUAAGAUAUGAACUAUGCCUUACCCUUGAAUUAACCAUAACCAGCACAAAGCUAUCAGUUAGAGGAAAUUGAAAUCUUCAGCAGCAAACUUCAUUCCUAAUAUUGCUUAACAACGUCGCCAAUUCUGGCUAUUGGUGUUUCCCCUGAUCGAACAUGAAAUUCCGACUCUUUCAUAAAUAUAUUAUACAUGAAAGGGCUAUUUCAUAAAUGAAGGACCAUCACCUGCAUAUUUUCAUGGAUACAUGUAUUUAAAUUGAAAUCAAGUAAUAUAUGUUAAAAUUAAUACUAUAGGAAUGAAGAUCUAUACCAUAUCAAUACCAGCAUCAAUGGAAGUGGAAACGCGAUAACGAUAAUCUGACGUAUAAGGUUGACAAUUUUAAUCGAUUUUGUCUCAGACAAAAGACAAAAUCACAAGGUUCACAUAAAUCAAGUCUCUUAAAAAAUGUCUUCGUUCCAAUAAAUAAAUUUUGGGUAACCACGAAUAUUCAAAAACUUAAGUGAAGUGAGGUGUCAAAUACCUUAUGGCAGGGAUCUCAAUUCCUCACAUUCAAGAAUAUCCAUAGUUCGAAGCGAAAUAAGUGUCACCUGUUCAGUUUCAUAGGAGAUGCUCUCUGUAAGUGAUAUGACUAAUGCUAAUAUACUAAAAUAUAAAGAGUUAAAAGAUAAAAAAUUCACUUUGUUAUCAAAUUAAACGGUUGAUUUCUCAUUCAUAUCAUCCAAAAUCAUCACCUCUUAUAGUUUCUGUGGUUUAGCUGAAGCAUCCUCUUGCUUUCAGGAAAAACAGUGGACACAACACAACUUGAUCAAUAACAUUGUUCGACACAAACAUGGCUGCGAUUUAGCAGCAUUCCACAACAUAUCUGACACAAACAUAAUGAAAUAACAUGAGUGACUCGACUAGAAUCAUGAAAUAGCUAAAUACACACCUUCCUAAUGAAGAGCUGUAUACACACCUGGCUAAUAGCUUGAACCAAGAAUUUUGAUUUGUUGCAUUAACAAGCUCAGCGUCAAUUCUAAAGAUAUGGCCCAAUUCUCACAAUAAUUUUACUCGUAGACAUAUUCCAUACAAAAACAGAGAAAGCAAGUGAUUCCUGCAUAUAGAAAUUUAAAUUAGAAAGUAAUUUGGGGAUAAGAAGAUGCAGGGAAGAGAUAAAACUAGCAUACAUCUUCUUCCAGAUAAUUGUCUUGAGAAAUGCUUAGAAAUCAAAUAUGCAUGAAUCAACAGAGUUUAGUGCAUGCAUCAACAGCCAUCAAUAUUCUUUAAAAAUUAGCAAAUAACAUACCAAGACAAUUUUAGUACUAUGAAAUUCUGAACAAAAUUCUGACUCAAAGCCAUAGAAAGAUAAAUUCUCAACUAAAUUUGUCCUAAAGGAUCACCUAAAAUCUGUACCAACAAAUUAUACUUAUUAUGUAUGCAGGUCCACUCGUCAUGAACUAAGUUUGUAAUUAAAAAGUGUGGCUAGCAAUCAUUGAUGUAGUUAACGUAUUACAAAUAUUGCGUCAUCAAUGCUCUAAUCACAGUGCCGUAAAAAUAAAUCAAAAUGUUCAAAGAAUUAUAAAAGGGACAUAUACCUCUGGAAAACAUUGAAAAUCUCCUGUCAGGGAGAGAACUCUAUCAGGAACCAUUGCUGCUAUUUUACAAGCUAUCAUAGAUCAUGUUUCAAUAGGCAAACAAUAUUAAAAAUAAACUCAACCUAAUCAAAUCUUAGGAAAAACCAUCUGAAUUUUAACUAAAUCAAAACUCAAUAACACAAAAUAAUAACCGGUUGAGCGCCCAAAAACACGAGCCUUUUUCCAACCUAAAUGACCCAACAAAGUAAUUGUAUCUUUUGCCAUGAUCUUUGUAAAUUAUUCAAAUUAAUGUAGCACCAACACUUCAUAUUGAUGACAUGUCUGAUGUUUAGAUACUGAUAUAACACCAAACCAUAUAAUUUACAUUCAAAAACUUUCAUUUCUUCAAAAUAUUAUCAAACAAUAUAUCAUUCAAAUAAACAAUCUAAAGCAAAUAAAUACAAAAGACCAAUAAAAACCUUGAUGAUCAGACUUUCUAUUGUGUACAGAGCUCCGACCCACGCCCCAAUGAUCAAAAGCGAAAACCUCUACCACCACCGGACUCAUUGUCACAUCCUCCACUCCGAACGAUGUCAUCUUCAUCAUUAGGAACCUAUUAAUCCAUUUAUUUGUCGACCCCACCCUUGUGUGUCAAAGGAAAUCCUAACCAUUCAAUUCAAUCUCCACAAAAUCAGCAAAAUUUAAAAAAAUUUCAAAAAAUAAAAGUAAAAUUGAAUAAAAAUAAAGUGAAUUGAGGCAGAUAAGGGGAAAUAGAGAUCUUACCAGUUAAGUGAAUUGAAUUUUGCGAUGGUGAUCGAGGCCAGAUAAGGGUAAACAACAUACGAGUAAUCAGACUUGCUAAUCCCAUGGAAAAUCAUGAAUAUCUCUUUUUGGAAUAUGAGCUAUCUUAGGUAGAAUAUCUUUCAUGUACUCUGGAUCUCUUCCUGCAGAAUGGGUUCCAAAGAUGUCGACAAUGAGAAUAAAAAUAAAGAUUUUUGAGCAGUUGAAAUCCAAACAUAAGAAGGGGAAAUUGAGAUCCUACCAGUAAAAUUGAUUUUUGCGAUGGUUAAUGAGGCAGAUAAGGGUAAACGUCUCUGCUUCUUAAAACUGUAUUUUUGGAAUAUGAGAUAUCUUGUCCCAAUCCUCCCCUGUUCGCUUCUUGCAUCGUUCCUUUAAUGUUCGGCAACCAAUGAUAGUCAGAAGCUCAAGAGAAGUGAGGUGUCGAAUACCCUCCGGCAAACAUCGCAAUCCUUCACAGCUAUAAAUAUGUAGAGUUCGAAGGGAUUGAAGACCUUCCCAAUUUUGCUCUGGUAAGGACUCCAACUCAUUACAAUAACAGAUACACAGAAGCGUCAAAGCUGGGUUAAAGGUUUCAUUUGGUAACUCCUUCAGUUUUGGGAAAUUAUAUAUUCUCAGAGAUUGAAGAGAAGUAAGGUUUUUGAACAUCCCCUCUGGGAAGGAUGUUAUUCCUUCACCCCCAUUUACGAAAAGCUGAGUAAGACCACGGAAGGUAGAGAUUGACCUCAGUAACUCAUUGUUACAUUCCGAUACAGUGAGGGAUUUAAGAGAUGGAAGACAUGGCAGUCCAAGUUUACGGCAUUCAGAGAUAUCCAACUUAGAAAGACAAGGAAACAUCUCCCCUCUUUCCACUUUCAAUAAACCCUCUAUGUUUGGUAACUGAUAUAAUACGAGUUCCUCCAGAGAUGGGAAAACCCUCACCUCCAUACCAUCCUCAGAUUCAUCAUCAUCCAAGUAUUUCAGAUUAUCCAUAUAAGAUAAUUCCAGGUUUUUUAAAGAUGGUAGUAUACCAAGUAACUGAAGCCGCACAACUUUCUUACAACGCUUAAGUUUAAGAGAAACUAAAUUACUAAGAAUAAUUAUCCAACUUGGCAAGGAUAAUCCCUCAUAGAAACUUAUUUUCAAGCAGUUGAGAUUUGAGUGAGGUUGAAGAACUUCAAGUACUUGCUCAACACUAACAACAGGGUUCUUUGGAAUUCCUUGUUUGUCUUUCCAUGACAAGUAUAAUUCAUGAAGGUCUUUUUUACCCAUCAAAUUAGCCGCUUCAGCUUCAAAUAACCUGCCAACAUUGUUUAAUCCUUGGAUAUGCAGUUUUCCACCGAGGUUUAGAUCACGUAACUCUGUCAAGCUAUUCCCUUUCUCUAAACUAACAAUGUACACACUUAAUGUUCUUAGACAAGUUAAUUUUCCAAUGUUAGGAAACAUGAGAGACAAAGACCGACAUACUUCAAUGACUAUAUGUCUAAGAUUUUGUAAGCAAGCCAAGCGUUUUGGGAGACAACUCAGUUUACGACAGUCUUUUAUUUUCAAGAUUUCCAGUUUUUGUAAGUUGUAAAUUGAGUCAGGCAACUUUUUUAUAUCAAGAGAACGAAGUUCCAAAUACCUUAAAUGAAUUAAACUACCUAGUAAUGGCUCUCGGAUAAAGGUUAUGCAUAAAACCCGAAGAGAAAGGUUUGUUGGGAAGUAAUCAUGUUUUUCUUUUGAAAAAGUACUACAAAACUCAAACCAUGUUCGCAAGGAUUCAACUAUUUUGAAAGCAUCCUUGUCGAAGGAUAACGAGUCUUUAUUGUCAAAACUAAUGUGGUGUGUGCUUUUUGACAAACUAGUCAAGUUUGCAUUCUCCAAAUACAUACAUUCUUGCCCCAUUACUGAUUGAGCAAGAUCAUGGACAAGGUCAUGCAUCUUGAAUGAAAUGUCGCCAGAAAAUUCAUCCAUUUUUCUAUCUUGAAAGAAUGAUUUUUGGUACAAUUCAUCCCACACCAUGAUGCCAACAUCUUCAACCUCCGUAGUACCCCUAGAUGAAAUCAAUCCAUUAGCCAUCCAAAGCCAAAUCAAUUCUUCCUUUAGGAUUUCUGCAUCUUUGGGAAAUAUAGCACAAAAAGAGAAACAUUGUUUUAGGGCUGCCGGUAAAUAAAAGUAACUCAACCUCAAAGCAGGCAAAAUGGAAUUUUCAUCUGAUAAAUCCCAAAGUUCACUGUCUUUAAUUUUAAGCCAUUCCUUUUCAUCUUUCCUUGAGUUCAUUAAACUUCCCAAUGAUUUUGCUGCAAGAGGCAAUCCAUUGCAUUUCUUUACUAUCUCCUUUCCUAUUGCCACGAGAUCAGCACGCUCUUCUUUGUGAUGUCCAAAUGCAUAUUGUUCGAACAACAACCAACAUUCACUAUCAGAGAGAGAAGACAAACGAUGAUGAGUUUGGUAUGUUCCUGUGAUCGUUGCAACAACUUCAUCACGGGUGGACACUAAAAUGGAACUACCUUUGGAUCCACAAGACAACACAGGUUUCAAUUUGUUCCAUUUCUCUCGUGUUAACCCUGAUUCCAAUUGUUGAUUUUGAUUCCACACAUCAUCCAAAACCAGCAAAUAUCUUUUCCCUUGCAACAAUCCUUGCACCUCUCUUUCCAUUACAGCAUAAUCAAAGUCAGGACACUUCUGUAAUGUGAUAGAUUCUAUAAUAGAACACAAAAUCCUCUUUACCGAGAAAGUCUCAGAAACACAAACCCAAAUUUUUUUUUCAAAAUUGCCACUCACCCUAACAUCAUUGUAGACCAAUUGAACAAGAGUUGUUUUUCCAACACCACCUAAACCAACUAUGGGAUAGACGGAAAGGAAGUCAGAGUCCCUUGCUUGGGUGAGAAGAAACUCAACAAUCUUUUCUUUAUCAACUUCUCGUCCAAACACUUUUGGUUCAGCAAUAAUGGAGCCGGUUUGGCGCCCUUCAGCUACUUGAUCUGGGAUUUCCCUAAGAGUGCCACCCAUCUGUAGAGAAAACUUGUUCUUACUUUCAGCAAUAUCAUCUAACCUCCUUGUAAUCUCUUUGAACCUGUUACCAAUCUCAUGGCGAAACAUGAUGUUCUUUGGUUUGAAAGAGGUAAAUCCUCUCAGUCGACAAGACUUGAUCGAGUACUCAUCAAGGAUAUCAUCGAGCACAUAAACACCAUCUUUGAGGUCUUGUAACCAUAGCUUAAUAGAGAGUUCUUUGAAUUGUUUCUUCUCAGCAUCUUCAAGAACAGCCUUGAUGUGAACUAAGUUGUUUGAUAGCUUUUGAACCUUUGACUUAAUUCCAGAAAUGGUUGAAAAUUCAUUUUGAAGGAGAGCCGUCAAAUUUUCAAACACAACUCCAAGCAAAGCGUCGGCCAUUUUUUUGUGAAAACAAAUUAAAGAGUUGAAAGUGAAAUGAUAAGAUGAUGAGAAAUUUGUUUAGAAAGAGUGAGUACUGAACCAAGCUGGAGACCUUUGAGAAUAAAUGCAAUGGUAGUAGGAACUCAGCAAGUAGGUGUUCAAUAAUUGUGGCCGACAGAACUAUUAUCGUGGUCCAUUAUUAUUGAUCCACUUUAACCUUUAAAACGUGGCCGACAGAAUAAUUAUCUUUGGAGUAAUUAGUUCUGGUGUGUGUCAUUUACUGAUAUUUGUUUUAUGCAUCCACUUUAAUUCAAUGUAUUGAGAACAUCUUGAACAAAUCUUAUCUAUUAUACCAAUGUAUGGACCACUAAAAUUAUUUAUAUUAUAUAAACACAAAUUUAAGUUGCUCUACUGUAAUAAACAUUUAAAGAAGUUGAAACGGCGGAGUUCGACUAAAAAUUAGCGUGAAUCUUAAAUCAUUACGUAUUUAACAACUACUAUAAAUUAUGAAGAAAAAAAUUCGUACAUUACAAUUGUUAAUUGAAAGAAUUUUCAGUUGACAUGACAAUAUACGGGAGAUUUGAAACCCACCUAAAUUCGAAAGUCUAUAAGUCUUCGCUAACAUGCCAAGUAUAAGCAUCACAAAACUCACGUAUGUCACUUUUGAAACCGCGGAAAACUAUAAUCGUUAAAAGAUAGAUCUAUGAUUAUUUAAAUUUUCAAGUUUGCCACUCCACCACUUUACGAAAAUUUGAAUCAACUAAAACUAAAAACCGACACAAAGUUGUAUAAAAUAUCAUAAAAUAGACCUAUAAUCGUCAAUUUUUUUUUCGAAUGGGCCGCCCCAUCCCAUGAAGGGCUCCGCCACCGGAAAGAACACCAUUCUUGUGUAAAAAAUAAUAGAAAUAAAUUUAUAAUAGUAACCGUACUUGUGUUUUUGACAACUGUUUUUUUUUUCUAAACAAAAAUCCUUUUCUUUUAAAAAUAAAAACUUUUACAUCAUUAUAAAAAGUGAUAAAUUGUUAUUUCCCAACUAUAUCUUAUUUCUGCAUGCCAGUUUAUUGUUAUGAGAUUUUUUUUUAAAAGACUUUAUUGUUAUGAGAUUACUUUGUGCAGAUUAGCCACUGCAAAGUGUCGUUCGAAGAUACAAUUAAUAGAGUCGGCGGUUGUUGUUAUUAGUCAAUUAUUUGAAUAUAAUUUUUAUAUCUUCUAAAUAAAAAUGAGAAUAACUAAUAUAUAUAAUCGAGUCAGUUCAUGAAUUAAACGAGUCGAAUUAUAUAAAUUUAUGUUCAACUCAUAUAAUUAACGAAUAUAAUUUUCAGCUAAGUUCGACUCAUUUAAAAAUUCAAUGUUUUGAACUCAGACUGUGAAUCUUCAACGUUGUAAAAUGAAAACUAAACGAUUACUAAUUACUCUUAGGGUAAGAAUAAUAGAAGAUAACUAGCAAAGUUAAAAAAAUGUUUAGGUUGUUAUUUGUGUCCUACUAGAGUACUAGUAUUUCUUGAACUCUAGAAAUUAACUAAAUUUUCAAUUGUAUGAAUACUAUAUUUUGUUUUAUACAUGAGUUAAUUAGCUGACUACCUCAUUUAUUUCUUUUCAAAUUUAUUUUCUUUGUUUGAAGUUUUAAUAGUUUGUUGUUCUCUACGAAAGCAAAAACUAUUUUUUAUUUUAUUUUUUAUUCUUGAAUUGUAAUGUCAUGUUGUGUAUUUCAACUUCAAAAUAAGUUGAUUUUGCAUGGUUGAGCUGAUUUGGUAUUCUCUCAUUGCCUUAGUCCGAUCUUUUAAUUUACCACACAAACAUUGUUUAUCCUCUAAAUUACCACACCCUUCCCAUACAAUAUUGAGAGGUAGUCAUAAUCACUCCUCUCACAUAUAAAUUGGUCAAUCGUUGGAAGGCGGUUGAAAAGAAGACGUCACAUAAAAAGAUUGACUUACAGAAAAACAUCUUUAUGUCAAAGUACACGGUUCUCAUCUGCAAUGAUAUUUUGAUUGGCUAAUUGUUGAAGGAAAUUAUAAACACUACUAAUAAUGUAAUUAUUUGAAGAAUGUAAAUUCCACCGCCACCUGUUAUUAACAUCAUCCUACGGGAACAGUAAGUUGUCGCUGAAUUGAAGCACUAAGUAGAAGAAAUAGCACUGCCUCUUCUCUGCUAACAUUCAUAUCAACAACAUGAGAUGGUGUGGUAACUGGUAAAGGAGCCAUGAAAAAUCAAUCGGAUCCUUGAAAAUGAACAAAGGAGAGGCACGUUGAAAAACGAAACAAGAGGAAUGUAAUAUAGAAACAUACAAAGCUUCCCUAAGAACACGUUUCAAUUCAUUAUUAGAUAUAUGAAUAAUUUUUAAAAGAAAUUUUAGUUUACAUUCAAUACCAAAUUAUUUUUAAAUCAAUAUGAAUUAUAUAAUUGGUUUGAAUGAUAAUGUAUAAUAAAUCAUGCAAUUACAAAAUUAAAUACACAUUCACAUUUUUUUUAAUGAUUUUAUCAACAACAUGAAUUGAUCCUACCAUACAUUUUACUUGUGUAUAAAUAGUGGCGGAGUCAGAAAGAAAAUCUCGUAUGGGUUAAAAAAAUUAUAUUGUAAUACAUAAUAAGCACAAAAUUGAUCAUUAAAAAAUUAAAUUACACAUGUUAAAAAUUUAAAAUAAUUCUCAAUGUGAUUCGAAUGAUUUAGAUUCAUCAAUAAUAGAUUAAAAUAAAAUGGGUUCUUAAACUGAAAUUGAAACCAAAUGGCUAGCUGCAAAGCAUAAGGCAAGAUUAGUGGCUAAAGGCUUUAUGCAAAAAGCUGAAAUUUAUUACUUUGAAGUAUAUGCAUUUAUAGCAAGACUUGAGACAAUCAGGUUGAUAGUUGUUAUUGCAUGUGAAAGGAACUGGCCACUGUACCACUUAGAUGUGAAGUCAUCAUUUCUAAAUGGUCCACUAUAAAUAUAUAUAUGAAGUUGUGUAUGUCACAAAACCUGCAGGGUUCAAAUUCAAAGAAAAUGAAGAUAUGAUAUUCAGAUUACAUAAGGCUCUAUAUGGUUUGAAGCAAUCUCUAAGAGCAUGGAAUAAGAGGAUUGUCAACUUUCUAGUGCAGCAAGAAUUUGUCAAAUGCAAAGCUGAAUAUAAUGUCUAUGUAAAAAAUAGCAAAGAUAGUAAUCUGGUGCAUAUUUGCUUAUAUGUUGAUGAUUUAAUAGUAACUGAUAGCAAUUUGGCUGAGAUAGAAGCCUUUAAAGGUCAUAUGAUGAAAAAGUUUAAUAUGACUGAUCUAGGAAAGUUAACAUACUUCCUUGGUAUGGAAUUCACUAAAACUUCUGAAGGUCUAGUUAAGCAUCAGAAGAAGUAUGCUUCUGAUAUUCUCAAGAGGUUCAACAUGUUGAACUGCAAUCCUGCAUCUACACUGUUCAAACAAAUUGUAGGAUCCUACAUUGCUCAUUGUUCAAACUAGUAAAGAAUGAUGACGAGGAGUUGGUUGAUUCUACAUUUUUCUAACAAAUUGUAGGAUCCUUGAGAUGUAAGUGCAAUAACUAGCCAACUAUAGCUUAUGUUGUUGGUAUAAUCAGCAGGUUCAUGAGUGAACCUAGAAGCUCUCAUCUACUUGUAGCUGAAAGAGUGAUAAGAUAUGAUGACAAUCAUUCAUUCGUUAUUUUUAGAGUCUUUUUAUGAUAUUUUUGAAUUCACAAGCAAGAUUAAGCAACAAGAAAAAACUGAAAAAGCUUAAAAAAGGCAUCGUGUCACGAUUACUAAAAAAACGUGACACGAUUUGGAGCUUUCAAGAAAUAUGCAUUCGGCAUUGGUGAAAACGUGUCACGAUGGCAAAAACGUGACACGGUUAUGGAAACCCUAAUUUGGGUGGUUUGUUACACAAGGAAGAAACGUGUCACGAUUUACAUAAAUUGUGCCACGAUUUUAGGAGCAGUUCUUGCCUAUUUAAGCUUGAGACAAUUCUGAAAACAAGGGUUACGAAUUGGAGAGAGCAAAGUGCGAUUUUGAGACCUAAAGACGGCUAGGAGGGCGAUUUCUUCAACCUUCUAUCAGUUCAUGUAAGUUUUGAUUCCAUUAAUGAUUAUGCUAUUUGUAAACUCGAUUAUGAGUAGCUAAAUCUCUUAGAGAUUAGGUCUGAAAUGAUUCUUUGUAACCCUAAUUGAACCAUGUUGCUGUGAAACUCUAUUUAUUGUGAAUGACAAUCUAGUUUUUAUUCAAUUCAAUUAUUCUUAAUGCUUUUUAUAUCUUGAUCAAAUAUAAACAUGAUUUAAUGAGAAUGAAUGACUACUGACCAUAGCUUUCUACUUAGACCUAAAUGAAUUGUUCUAACAAACAUGGUUAGUCUAGGAGUGGAUAAUCGUUUGUUAGAGAUAUUAGGUUAACGUUCUUAAACCUUCAAAGAUUAUUAGACCACCUAAGGAAUUAAGGGAUUGAUUAGCACUAUUUUGUUAACUAUCGCGGAACUAGAAAAUCAUUCAUAAGAAUAGGUGCAGUAUACCAAUUAGGGGAACAUAGAUGAUUCGAAAGACCUGAUCUCAUCUCUUUUCAUAUUUUCUAACCAAAUCUAUAUUUUCAAGCCGAAUCUUUAUUUUAUGUUAUUUAAUUUUAUGCAAUCAAAUCAAAUCUACAAACAAAAUAAUUUAUACAUCCUAAAUAUUUACUUUAUUGCUAAAUUGAGAUUAACACAGUCCUCGUGGAUACGAACCUAUUUUAUUACUUCGAUGCAUUUUUAGUACAUUUGCUAAAAGUUUAUCAAGAUACAUUAAGGGAACCAUAGACUAUGGUGUAAUUUUUCCUAAAUGUAUCAGCGAAGCUAACAUGGAGUUAAUUGCCUACUCAGAUGCAGAUUGGUGUGGAGAUAUGCAAGAUAGGAAAAGCACUUCAUGCUACUUGUUCAAAUUUCUGAAUGCUCCUAUAUCAUGGUGUACAAAAAAGCAACUUGUAUUAGUACUUUCAACUUGUGAAUCUGAGUACAUUGUAGGGUGUUUAGCAGCAUGUCAAGCAGUAUGGCUAGAUUAUGUGUUAAAGGAACUGAAUAUUGAAAUCUGCAAGCCUAUUGCAUUGUUUGUAGACAAUCAAUCUGCCAUAAACUUAGCCAAAAAUCAUGUGUUGCAUGGAAGAAGCAAGCAUAUUGAAGCAAAGUUUCAUUUUCUCAGAGAACAAGUGAACAAAGAGGCUCUCAAGCUCAUAUAUUGCUCAACUAAACUGCAGCUUGCUAAUCGGUUUACAAAGGAUGUGAAGAUUCAAAGAUUUAACGAGCUAAGAGGCUUGAUUGGAAUGAUGAAGUGCGAAAACUUGAAUUAAAGGAGGAUGUUAUAGUUUUAAUUCAAGUUAGAUGGGUUUAACUCAAGUUUAGUUGCGAUUAAAUAAUGGUUAGAAAGUAUGUUACAAGUUUCUUGAAAGACUUAGCUAGUAGUUAGCAAGUUAUGUAAAUAAGCACUAUAUAAGCAUGUUGUAAAUAGAUUUUCACAACUUAAUGAGAAUAUAGUUUUACAACAAUCAAUUACGCUUCUUCUUUCUCUUAAUUCUCUCUAUUUCUUAAUCCUAAUUUUCAUGAAAAUUCUUGCUUGAUACGAACACAUUGAUUUAUACUAUUAAUUUGAAGGUGUGUGUUGUGUUGUGUAUUAUUCAUUUCCUUGACUCCAUAUCCAAUGGAGACUCAAAUGUUGGCUAUUAAAAUAUAUAAACAACAAGCAAUAUCCAUUAGCUUAUUUUAUACGAACAUCAUUAUUAAACCUACUAUACUUGGCAUUUUUACUAGCAAUAAACUUGUUGAACACAACAUUGUUCUUGAAACUAUUUAUGCUUAGCAUAAUCCAAACGAUAACUUGGUAUUGCGUGCAAAUGCUGAGCUCUUGGUAUAGUGAGUCCAAAUUUCUCCUCCAUAUUCAAAUUGAAUGGACUAAUAUUAUGUGAAAGUUCCCAAUUAAAGCAAUGCACAAAUUGAGCUAUAACCAACUUAACAGUAGUUAAACCCAAUUGAAUUCCAGGGCAACGUCUACGACCAUAAUCAAAUGGUAAACUUUCAAACUCUUGUCUUUGAUAAUUCAUUUUCUUUUCAAUAAAUCUCUUUGGAUAAAAUUCUUCAGCAUUUUCUGACCAAACAUUAGGAUCUCUCCCUAUUGCCCAUGCAUUUACCAUAAUUCUCGUCUUUUCCUUUAUAAAAUAAUCAUCAAUUGUUAUGUUCUCUCUACAUUUAGGAGGGACUAGUAAGGGUGCAACAGGAUACAGUCUUAAGGUUUCAUCAACCACCAUAUCUAAGUAAUUCAACUUCUUCAAAUCCUUCUCUUCAACCAUUCUUUUAUUUCCUACUUCAUUUUGUAUCUCAUCUUGAAGAAUUUUCAUCACUCUUGGAUGCCUUAAAAGUGCAGAUAAAGCCCAUUAAAAUCGAGGUAGCAGAUGUAUCAAUUGCUGCCACUAUCAUGUCGAGCAAAAUAGCUUUGAUGUUAGAUCGAUCAAUUACGAGAUUUUGUUCACCCUCGACAUCAAUGGUUUGAUGCAUAAUUGAAAGAAGUAUGUCUACGAAAUCUUUAUGAUGAGUUUUGUUUACAUUAGCAGCUUGUAAUCACCUCUAGCACCUCAUCAAUUUCUUUACUGAGUUUCUGGCAAGAUCGUGUUAAUCCCUAACAAAGAGUUAAACUUAAAAUAUCAAUUAUUACAUCAAUAUUCUCAGUGUACUUAACAGAACCAUUAGAGCAUAUAUUUUUUUUAAGAGGAUUGUGUUCUCCAAUUUUCUUCUUGAUGACUGGGUCUGGAACCCACAACCCUAUAGGUGUAGGUAAAACAUCUUAUCAACUAAACUGCACUUCUAAAUCGAUAACAAUAUAUUUAAGGGAAUGUAAAAUAUUUAAAAAUUAAUCACCACCAAAACAAAAUUACAUCACCGAAAAAUUAUCAAAAAUUAAAUAAAUUUAUCGCGACCUUAAUAUUUUUCAGUUGUAUAAAAAAAGAGGUCUGAUUUUUUUUUUUCCUCAAAGUUUCUCCUACAUUUAGCACCUCAAAUAUUAAGAUAUCAAAUUUAGCCCGGAAUUUCACACAAUCAUCACUAGGAAUUUGAGGUAUUAAUUAUAACUAAAAUUGUCAGAAUACCUAACUACAAUUGCAGGGUAGUUGAGUUUAAAAAUUAGGUAACCCUUUUAUUUAUUGAACUAGAGGAAAAAACACUAAAGGACUUUCGUGCAAUUACAUAUUGAGUGACCAAAAUUAUACAAUCACGAUAUUUAUUUAAGAGGCUUAAAGUUAAACUUAACUCAAUAAUUAAUGUUUUAUUUCUUAUACAUAGUACUGAAGGUGAGAAAAACACAAGAAGGGGGGGUUGAAUUGUGUUUUCUUUUUCUCUCUUAAAAAAUCUUCUUCUGAUAAACCUUCAGAAGCAGUUUGUGAGUGCUUCUGAUGAAAUGAUCAGAAUUAGAUAUGCAGCGGAAAAGAACAGAGCAGAGAAAAGAAAGACAAAGACACAAGCAGUUAUCCUGGUUCCUUCCACAACACGGAAGUAGUCCAGUCCCCCUUGCACUUCCAAGGAGAUUUCACUAUAAUCACAAAGAUUACAAAUGCUCAAUACUUUCUAAGUAUGAGACUUCACAAAAAAUGCUCACGCACACACGCAAGAGUCUUCCAAUGCUCAAGCACUAAGCAAGAGACUUCUAAUGCUCAAGCACGCAGGCAAGAGACUUCUGAUCAAACAAAAAUACAGAGAAUUGAGUUUGACUUGAACACUUGAUAUACAAUCAGUGGUGUUCUCAAUACAAUACAAUAAAGACUCUAGACUUUGAAUUUCUUAAGAUGUAUCAAAUCAGUGCAGAAAUUCAGUGUGCUUUGUAGAAUCAAUUUGACAGAGUUUUGGCGCUUUUUAACUUGUAUAUCUCUCUAUCUUCAAUCUUCAAGUCUUCACUCCUUUAUAUAGAGGCGUGAAAGAGACGUUGAGAUAAUCAGCACGUCUAAAGAGUCGUUUGAAAUCCUUUGAUCAUCCACCAGUAAUCCUAUGCCUGAUUUGGGUGUAGUCCUUUGAAGAAUUAGCUUCAAAUUCAUUCCCAUCUUGAAGGCACAAAUUCUGCAGGCAUAGCUGUUGUUUUGUCUUGUAGCGUGGACAAAAACAGAGUAGUGGAGGUAGUGGUUGUACACUUGUACUUUGUCAACUCUGUCAACGAAGGACAAAUGCUCAGUGCUAUCCAUAUGACCGUUGAUACCUCCCUUUCAAUUCUUCGUUCUUCUUAGAUAAGACUGAAUUGAGAACCAGCUACUUUGGAUCUUCAGUUUGAUUAAUGGAUCAAAUGUAGCUUCUGGUGAAGAUAUCGCUUCUGAUGAAAACCUUGCUUCUGAUGACCUUCUGCUUCUGAUGAGCUUCUGCUUCUGAUGACGUCAUCACUUCAGAAGCACUUCAGCUUCAGGAGCACUCUAGCUUCAGACACAGUUUUCUUCAGAUGCUUAGAAUUUCUUUUGCUUUUCAUUGUUCUUCUAAGACCUAUUGAAAUUACUUGACUAGCCUUUGGUCCUGUACACUUGAACAAUAAUUAGUAAUAACCAAUUGACAAUUUUUAAUACCUUGUUAUCAUCAAAACUCAUUAAGGUUCAUUGUGAAACACAUUUUGUUCCAACAAGUACUGCCACCCUCUCAAAUUGUAAGUUGUUUUAGAAGAAAUUGUUCUAAAUUAUUAGUUAUUUUACAAUAAUAUUAAUAUUAUUAUUUUCUAUACUAAUAAUAAUAAAAGGUAAUUUUAUAAAAUAAUUAAUAAUUUUGUUUUCUCAUAAAAAAUCAAUUAUACCUUUUAAAUGUCGCAAAAUCCAUUUUUUCUUGUAGUGUUUAAUUUGUGUAAGUCAUCAUAACGAGUUAUAAUUUGACAAACAUACCUGAAAGGUCAAAAAAUCUUUAGCCAAGGAACAUAAUCAGCCAGAUUAAAAGCUCCAAUCAAAACCAAUUCUUGUUGAACCAAAUUUUUCAAGUCAAAUUGCUCAUACUUACUCCGUCCAAACAUCAACUUAUACACAAUAUCUUCUAUUAGAUUCUCUACUACCUCACUAACAUUCACAACCUCACCAACCAAAGCAGCUUUCUUCAAAGUGUUAACCAAAAUACUCAACUCCUCUUUUCUAAUAGGACCAGACAUCUCAACUUUUGAAGCACUAAGAAGUUUCAAAGUGCAAAAUUUCCUCACACUACGCCAAUAAGGACCAUAGUCAGAAAAAACUAUCCCUUUGGAACCAUAUAACAUGAGCUCAGAUCCUUGACUCUUUGGUCGGCUUGCAAAAACGAUGUCAUGGGUUUUGAGAAAUGAUUCUGCAGCUUUUGAAGAUGAAAUGAUAAUAGUUGGAACUUGACCAAGUUGUAAGGACAUGAUUGGACCAUAUUUUUUGGAGAGUGAUUGAAGUGUUCUAUGUGGAAGUUUGCCUAAUAUGUGAAGAUUUCCAAUUAUUGGUAGUGAUGGUGGACCUGGUGGUUUUUUAUGGUUUAGGGUUUUUUGUUUUGGAUGUAAGUAGAGUUUGAAUAGAAAGUACAUGAAAGUGAAGAGAAGAAAAGCAAACAUUGUUGUUGUUAGUGCAAAAGACAUGUCUACAAUGAAUGGUUUGGUUUGGCUGAAGUACGUAACAAGGUUGAAGACUAUACAACUACAAGUUGAUCUCUUAUUAUCUUGAAGCCGGUGGUGUACGUGUUUGGUUUGUAUAUCUAGUGAGAUAUUUCCCCUUAAAAAUGUAUUGAGAUAUUUAUGGCGGCCAUACUAUAUACUCUAUAAGGAAAAAAGGAAAGUUCCUUUCGAAAAGACAAAAAAAGGAAAGCGCUAAAAACAUUUAUUAGUCAACCUACUCCCGCAAUUAUAAAUGAGCAUUGCUAUUUAUCUAAAGAGUUUUUAUCUAGAAUUUAACAAGAAAAGGUCUCAACCAAUUAAAUUUAUUAUUUGUUGGAAAUCAUGGAAGGUAGUGGUGUGUAAUUGAGGAAAGGAGUUAGCAAAUACAUUGUCUUAAAAUUUUCUUCAUAAAUUUUGUCACUCUAUCUAUCAUUUCCCAUUAUAAAUGAUGAUUAAUUUUGUUUACUUUACAUAUGUUAAUGCACAAUUUCUACUCACUCUCAUAAGGUUGAACCAUUCUUCUCCCACGGUCAGUGAUUCUCAAAUCUCAAUGGGUAUCCAUUAUUCUUACCAUGUCAUUUUACAUCUUCCUCUAAAUCGAUAACUACAAACCUCCACCUUGCAUAUUGAUGACGGAACAUCAUGUGUUAUUUUGGCUAUGUUUUAAGUACUUUUCUUUGGAUUUGAAGACAAAUAAGAUGAGAAUUAGAGGAGUUGUCAAUGGUUUGAGGAACAGGUGUUUUGAGUGCUUUGUAGUGGGAAAUCAUAUUAAUCGACAAAUCAAGACAUCACAUGAAGGAUCAAAGAUAUGAAGAUUGAAGAUUAAUGGUUCUUAAAAGGUUUUUAAAGACAAUACAAAGUGAAGAAAUUUCAUUUCAAGUUCGUAUGCGUUUCCAAACGGAAGAACGAUAAAAAAAAAAAAAAAAAGGGAUGAAAACGCAAGAUUUCACACACAGGGACUGUCUCAUGUGCCACUAUCGCAUGAGGCAGUGUUACCACUGCCCCAGGCGCCUCAUGCACACGACUGUGGGCAUAAAUUGCCUGCAACUUGUUUUUCAAGCUAAAACGGUGGUAAAAGCUCAGUUUUCUUCUCUUAAACCUUAAGUAAUCAUUUAAUAUAAAUAGAGACCCUUGUACACAUUAUUUUUCAUUCAUAAAGCUAGCAGUUCAAGGGGUAAAGCAUCAGAGUUUCAAGGCAGGAUUCCAACCUCAUCUUGACUCUCUCUAGGGUAUAUUUUUCUAUUGUUUUGUUAUGAUGUUUGUUUCUAUUAUUUUUCAUUCAUAGUCACUUUCUACUGAGAUCAAUUUAAUCAUUGAGAUUAAAAGUACAAUCAACUUUCGAUCUUAGUAGUUGUAAGAACAACAUUAAUCAUCUUUAGGAAGAAGGAUUAUAAUACACAUACAUGAUUUAUACAAAAAUAUAGAGUAGGAAUAAGUAUAUUUCAGAUUGCUUUUAAUAUUUGUAAUUAUAAGUGAUUAUGAAUUUGAUCUCAGUAUUCUGCAGACUUUUGUAAUCGGGUCUUUUUUAUCAGCUGUAGUGAGAUAUGAUAUAUCUUUGAAUGAUGCCCCUUAUAUAGAAAAUGUGGGACCUAUCUUGUCAUGGUGAGCAUGUAACAAAGUAUGCUUCUUCCAAAAGUUAUUGUUGUGAUUUAGUUUUGAAUUUCAUCUUUUGAAGAUCAAUCUCAUAUUCUAACACACUUUUGAAGUUGUUUCCCUUCAUCAUUCUUUUGGUGUUUUUUAAAUUUCUUAAUUUGAAGUUUGAUCUUUAGAACUUCAAUAUGAUGUGUUGUUGAACUGCAUUGCUUAUAUAUUUGAUAUGCAUUUUAAAGUACAAUCUAAUCUUCAUUCUGAUCUAAUUUUGAUUCUGGAUUUUGAAGAAUUUUGAUCAUUCUUGAUGUGACAUAAGUGAAGUUGCUUAUAGUGUUAGAUUUGUGUUUUGAUGAUGUUUAUUAGCUAGAUUCAUUUGAUGAUGUUUAAAUAAGUUUUAGUUAUAAAGCAUAGAACAUGUUAAAGCACCCAACAAUCCUUGUCUCAUUGUGUCAUAUGUGUUUUGUAUAUCAAAUGUGUCUUUGUGUGUGAAAACCUUCAUUUUUGAGUGGCAAAAACUUUUUUCCAGGUCCUUGAUUCGAUUCAAAAUAUUUUGAAUCGAAUCAAUCAUUAUCUAUGCCACUGUUUCUUGUUAGUCAUGUAAGUUUGAUUCGAUUCAUGAUUCUUUGAAUCAUAUCAUUGACUUUCUCUUGUCUUGUGUUUUGGCUUAUUGAAUCAUAUUAUAGUUCUUUGAUUCGUAUCAACCUUCAUCAGAGUUUUUCUGAUUCAAUUCACAUAAUGCUUGAUUCAACCUUUAUAGCUACUUAUAUGUCCAUUUACACAUAUCUGAAUCGAAUCACACAUUACCUUAUUCGAACCAUUACGUUGUUUUUGCCUAAAAUAUUGCAUUUACCACACAUACCACUCCCAAAUUAUUAAAUCAAUUGCAACUAUCAUUCUUGAGUCUUCAAAUCUCUCUCUCUCUCUCUCUCUCUCUCUCUCUCCACUUGUUCUUCAUAUUAAACACUUUUUCUAAGAAUCUUUGUGGUUUUUGAGUCAUAGAUUGCUAGAGUUCUAUUGGGAUUGUAGAUUGGUUUCUUUCAAGGAAAUUGAUUGGAAAUCAAGGGUCCAAAGGAAAAAGAGUGAUUUCUUUCCACCUCCAAGGGAAUUGGGGGUUCUUUAUAAUCUUCUCAAGUUCAAAUGGAUCCAAGCUUCAGACAUAGCAAAGAAGAGUUCGAGGUGAAAAACUUCAAGGAUUGCAUGGGAGUUUGAGUUUCGGAGACUUGAAGAAUCACCAAUUUGAAGAGUUACUUGAAGAUUGGGGGGUUGUCGUUGCUUAGGAUUAAAGAUUAGGGUUAUCGAGGGAAUUCUUUGUAAUCAUAACAAUUGUAAUCAAAUUUCAACAAUAAUGCAUGUCCUUGAUAGAGACAUAUUCUAUCGAGAACCCUAAUCUUUAAUCCCUUUCCUCUUUCCUCUUUGAUUAUGGUGUUAUUCUCUUCCCUUUCCUAUUUGAUUUUGCUUUAUUAUUUGUAAAUGAAUUUUAAUGUUUGUAGCUAUUUUAUUUGAUUGUGAUUAAUUUUCAUACUUAACCCAAUCUUAAUUCAAGAUUCUUUUCAAAUUCAAUUUUAUCAAAAUUAAACUUCUAUUAAGUUUCGAAUCAUUAAUUCAUAUAUUUUGUGUUCCUUAGUGUUAGUUUGGUUUAUUGCAUUUAGGUUUGGUUUAUGAAUUGUGUUAUUGAUGAUUGAUAUUUGAUGUGCUUAUUAAUAUUCAACAUUUGAACCUCUCAAUUCAAUAUUGAAUCUUAGUGUUUUAUUCAUUGUCUUAAUUUUUGUUAUCGUCGUUAUUGUGCGCGAAUCCGAAAAUUCAUACGUUUUCUAAUCACGCUUUCGCUAAACUCUUCUGAAAUUUGAAAAAUACUAUUCAUCCCCCCAAUUUGACUUUAAAUCUGAAGUUUUUUCGACAUGCUUCUAAUCUCAAUCUGAAGUACUUUUGAUCAAUCUAGAGUUCUUCUUAAUACAUUGUAAUAUUUAGAUUCAUGUUUCUUGAAUAAAUUUUGAUUUCCCACUUGUAAUAUCAUGUUAUAAAGAACAAUCAAAGAAACUUCUUAGAAAGCAAAACACAUCAAAAUUAUAAUUGAUCUGUGUUCUCAUAUGUUUGUUAUCAUUAAAACAUGUUCUAAAAAUGGAUUUUGUUAUUUUCCUCAACAAUCUUCCACUUUUUGAUUAUGACAAGCUUCUUGAAUUAAGGAUCAUAUUUUUUAGAUUCUGAUGUUUAAUCAAUGCAUUGAUAUGAGAUAAAUGACCUUUAAACUUAUUCCAUAAUCAUAAUUGAGAAUUUUAAUAAACAAAAACUCCCCCUCAUGAUUAGAAAUAAAAUUAUGCAAUAAUUAAAAUUGAACCAUAAUUGUACUUUAUUAUUUAUAGUCCAAAUAUUACAAAAUAGCAUUCAUGAUGCAGAUACAUGGUUAAAAAAAUAGUUGAUCUUAACAACGAUGAUAGCAAACAUCAUUUUUUACUAGCCAAAAUAAGAUCAUAAUAGGACUAUAAUGCCAAGUUUUUUUUCAUUCAUAACCAAAAAAUUGAUCCUUUUCUUCUCCCUCUUUUUUCAUUAGCAAAAGGGUACAUACAAGUAGCAAGCCACUACUUGGUAAGGGAGGAAUCAUUUGAAUAUAGAGCUUGACUAGAAGUAGAACAAUUGAUGUUGUAGAGUAGCAUUGGGAGUAAUUCAGUUGAAACCAAAGCUUUCCACCCAAAGUCUUUUUUGAGAACUCUCAACAAAAUUUGUUAAAUCAUUUCCUUCCAAACAAGAAGCUUUUUAAUGUCCAUUCUUGUCUUUCUUGAAUUGUCUUAUAAGAGGUUGCAUCAUCUUUUUCUUUUGAACCCCCUUGCUCAUUGAUGACAAUAUCAACCGAGUCAAGUUGUUGAGGAAACAUUGGUAGACCACAAUUACUAGGCUUUGGAGGGUUUGGUUUUUGGUGGUGAUGGCUUUGUUGGUUCAUUCAAAUCAUUUGUGUCCAAAUGCUUUGAUGGUUGCAUCAAACAUUGGUAACUUAGGUAUUGUACCGACUCUUGAUCGGAUUCUAGAUGAUCUCUUUAAGGAAGUAUAACUUGAUUGUUUUGAAGCUUUGGCUAUUUAGUUCUUGGUUAUAUGGGAGCGGAAGCUUUAGUUGAUGGUGGUUCAUGGCCAAUCAUUAGAAUGAAUCUGAGAUGGUGAUGGUUGAGGUUGAGAGCCAGACUAAGUUUUAGUGCAUAAAAUUGACUUUCUCCACUAGUUCUCUUUAUUUCAAAUUCAUCCUCAACAUAAUCGGCAUCACAAUAUUCUACAAGAUCAAAAGAACAACCCUUGAUAUACCAAAGACCAAGAUCAGUAGUAUCUACCAAAUAUAUGAAAAUCCUUAUACAACAAUAUGUAGAUAUUAUUUGGACAAGAUUAAAAUCUAGCACAUAACCUUACUACAAAGACUAUAUAUGGUCUACUUGCAAUGAUUCAAUCAUACCUCAAAAUUCAUUUUUUGAAACAGAUUUUUCAUUCACAUCUUUGUCUAAACUAGAUGAUGGGUGCAUAGGAGUCAUGAUCUCAACUUCAUUCAUUUUGAACUUCUUAAAAAUAUCUUUGACAUAUUUUUCUUAACAGAUGAAAAUACCAUUAAAAUGUUGUUUGAUUUGCAAGCUAAGAAAAACAUGAGUUGUUCCAUCAUGUUCAUCUCAAAUUCACUUUGUAUAAGGUUAAAAAAUUCCUUACACAUGUUUACAUUAAUUAAACCAAAAAUGAUAUCUUCAAUAUAAACUUGUACCAUCAACAUAUCAGAUUGAUUGAUUUUUUUUUUCUUUUUUCUUUUAAAAAGAGUGGUAUCAAUAUUUCUUCUUGCAAAACACUUUUCUUUAAGAAAAAGGUCCCAAUCUCUCCAACCAAACUCUUGGAACUUGUUUAUGACUAUGUAGAGAUUUUGUAAGUUUAAAAACAUGAUUUGAUUUUUCUUUGUUGAUGAACAUUGACUUCUUCAUUCAUAAAACCAUUUAGAAAGUCACUUUUAACAUCCAUUUUGCACUUAUGAGUUGUAAAUGUAAGUAAGAUUAUGAUAGAUAUAAACCUUAUUAUUGGUGCAAAAGUCUCAUCAUAACCAAUACUCCCUUCGUCUCAAAUUGUAUGACGUUUUGGGUAUUUCACACAUUAAGAAAUGUAAUUAAUAUUCUGUGGAAAAGAGAUAUUAUGAGUUGUUUUACAAAAUUAUCUUGAUAAAUAAUAUGAGAAAAAUAAAUGAAAGAAUUGAAAGAAGAGAGAGUAAUAAAUAGUUAGGGUUAUAAUAGGAAAAACAACAUUAAUAUUGUAUUAGUAUUAUAAAGCAACAUAUAAUUUGAGACAACUUUUCUCCUAAAACGACAUACAAUUUUAGAACAAGCUUGUUUCUGAAUACUCUAUUCCAAUAAUUUUUUUGACUGUGAGACUUAAAGACAAGAUUCCAAACUUUAUUUUUUUUCAAAUUCUUCAUGGUUUAAAGAAUUUUUGGGAUUGUUUUCUACUCAUAUUUCUUACAUGCUCUUAACCUUAUUGGUAAUACCGAUAUUUAUUUUCGUUGUUAUGCAGUUGAGAUCCUAUCAAUCCGAGAUGUUUUAAAGCUUGAUUGGACCUUGCAAUUAAUUCACAGUUCACACCUCAAGCGAAGAUAAUCAAGAUGUUGAUCUUAUAAUGACGAUAAGUUCUACCUUUGACAUGAACCUCCUCCUGAUCUCCCUUCCAUUGGAAUAGUUUAAUUAAGAAAGUGUAGAUUUUCUUGGUUUUCUUUGUUUUUUUCUUCCAUCUUUGUACCCAAAAAAUAUCUAACUUCCAAAGGAAACGUGAAUCAAUGUAUGGCUAAAGUCACACAUUAAAAAAAAUAUAUAUAUAAAUAAAAUAUAAUAUGUUAAAAAUAAGAGCAAUAAGUCAACUCUUACAAUGUGUUUCUUGUUUGAGUCCUGCAAUGUUAUUUACUGCUUUUGAUGUGAUUAAUUAUUGAGAAUGACUGAGUUUUAUCCAAAUAAUUUUAUAGAUGUGCUGAAGCGGCGUUACACCAUCAAUAAAAUCAUUUGAAUAAAACAUUUUUAUGAUUUAUAAGCUUUUAAAGUUGAUUUUGCUCUUGCCGGUAGCAACUUCAAGUGUUGAACAUGUUUUUUCAACAUUGAAAAUUGUUGUGAAGAGUAAUUAUGUAACAAAAUAGGUGAUCAAUGUAACUUAUAUAGAAAGAAUUGUUCUUUUAGCAAUUAACUUAUAUAGAAAACAAUUUUCAUUGUAAUAAUGUUUUUUUUUAGGGAAUGUAUUAUAUCAAAUAAUAUUAUUUCCUAUUUUAAACAUUUUAAUUUCACAUAUAUCAAAUGCUCCCUUAAAACUGAUGUAGCUUUUUUUUUUUUUUAAGGAGAAGAAAACGUGAUGUUAUUCGAUUAUUUUGUUAUAUUCUGGACUCUUUAAUUUAUAUUUUUUUCGUCUCAAUCAUUUAUGAUUGUUAGCCCCAAAGGGUUGUUGGGUCAGCGCACUAUAUGGUCAUCAUAGCUGGAUCAUACCUUUAUUAAAGUUAUUUAUUGAAAAAAGAUAUUUUGUUUUUUAAUCUAAUAGCGAAAUGAUAAUAGUUAAUUCAAUUUUGCACAUAAAUAAAGUAUUUUUUUGAAAGAAGCACAUAAAUAAAGGUUGUUUUUUUUAGGAAACAUAAAUAAAGGUUGUACGGUUUAAAUUCUUGUCACAGUCUAACAAUUUUGAUCUUUUUAUAAGUUCAACGAUUUAUAGACACUGACGAGAGCUUUAUUAAAGUUAAAAUAAAGUGAGUUGCGAUAUAUUGUCAUAUUUAUCAACAACCCUGAUUAAAUGUAAUUAAUCACUUAUUUGAAUUAUAUUAACCAUCAAUUUUAUUGUCAAAAUAACAGAAAUGGUGUCACAAGAGAGUAGAAACAAAAACGAGUAGACCACAUGACAAAUAAGUUUCACAAAACUCUGUCAUAUACAUUACUCUUUGAUCAAUACACAAUGACAAUACAGACAAAAUAUAUGUAAAUUUUGAAUUGUGUAAUAUUUAAUUAGCAAUAUGUAUAUGUACAACAUGGUUGUGGAGAGCCAGAUAGGAGCAAAUAUUUUCAUAUUUUAUAUGUUGCUGUCCUUUUUAAAUUAAUAAAAUCCUCGUUAAGAUGUCAUGUGUGAUUUGUUGAGUUAACAAAAAGCAAUAGAAACUUUAUGGUAUACACUAUACUCAAAUUGCUAUGUUUCGUACCAACUUUAUAAUUAGUACUAAUACAGUUAUGAAUAAAGAAAUGGACUAAACAACAAAGACUUUGAGUUAAAGACAGAGGGACAAGGUAGAGAGAGAUUGAGACAGAAGGUGGAGAUUUGUUCAUACUAUGAUUCUCUCUUUAUCAAAAUUUCACAUGGCAAAAUCCUAGAUCAUGAAAAUGUGUUCUGUGCUGUAAUUCAUUACUUUUCAUUCAUAUUCCAGUCUCUUCACCUCCUUCUCCACGUUUCUAUAAUAAUUAUUCAUCAAUGAGUGUAUACAUAAAUACACUUUAUCUUACUAUCUAUGAAUGAUUCAUUCAAUGAGCAUUAUUAUUUUUACUAUAUAGUUGAUCAUAGAAGAAGGGUCAUUCACAUUAUUUGAUUUGAUUAGUACUUAAUUAUAUGGGAAGUUAUAGAGUCUGCGUGUGUUUCCGGCGGAGGUUUAAGUCCGGGGAGGCAGUGGCGCCUCAGGAAGUCAGGGAGAUCUUCAACAAGUAUGCUGAAGGUGGGGCCCACAUGACUCCGGAACAGCUCCGGAGGUUUCUUGUGGAGGUUCAAGGUGAGGUUGAUGAUGAGAAGGAUGGACUUGAUACACAGAAGGUGGUGGAGGAAGUGUUGCAGAAGCGGCAUCAUAUUACGAAGUUUGCAAGACAUAAUCUCACGCUUGAAGAUUUUCAUCAUUAUCUAUUCUCUACUGAAUUCAACCCUCCUAUUAGAUCUAAGGUAAUGCAUUUGACUUGUUUUUGUCAUGUUGUUUUGAUUCAACGGUUUGACUUUUGGUCAAACAUCAUAUGUUUAUGUUCUGUUUCAAUUUGUUGGAUUAAUUGGAUCUAGUUAAGGUGGAUUUUAGAGGAAAUAAGUGUCUCAUAUUUGGCAUUUUUUAAUGUUAGUUUCAUGUUCUUCCUUGAUUGUGAUAAUUUGAACUUGCUAGUAGUAGUGAUGUUAAUUGUAAACCUCUUCUCUGAUUCAGGUUCAUCAGGAUAUGACAGCUCCAUUGUCGCAUUAUUUUAUAUAUACUGGCCAUAACUCUUAUCUCACUGGAAAUCAACUCAGCAGUGAUUGUAGUGAUAUCCCCAUUAUAAAGGCAUUGCAUAGAGGUGUGAGAGUGGUUGAGCUUGAUAUUUGGCCUAAUUCCACCAAAGAUGAUGUUCUUGUGCUACAUGGAAGGUAAUUAUAUUUUUCGUGGAUAAUGUUUGCACUGACACUUCUAAUUGAAGGAGUGUCCCGGUGUCCGACAUGUGUCAUGUCCGACACUAACACCACACCGAUACUUGUGAUUACAUUGAAUUAUGUCAUUUUCUCAAAAUUUUAUCAGUGUCGACAUUUCCGUGUCAUUGUCGUGUCUGGUGUCUGGUGUCCGUGUUAGUGUCCGUGCUUCAUCCUGAUCAACACAGCAAAAAAUGGUUUAAUUUCUAUUUCCCUUUUCAAUGCAGCUAUAUGAGCAUAAAAAAUCACUACUUAUUUGGAAUGUGUAUAGUGUUGUCUCCCUUUUAAUAAACUCUUAGUUUAUGAUUUUGAGAGUGGAAGUAUAAGUAACUGAUAGAACAAAAAUUUCAUAUUCUGCAAAUCUAUAUAAGCUUGAUGAAUGAGCUAUCAGAGUGUAAAUCACAAGAAUUUAUAUCUAUGCACCAAAAGGAUCUCUUCUGCUAAGGACUGUUCAUGAUUCGGUUCAUGAAGGAAGACUGAACCGGAAUGAACCUUUACAACAGUUUAGUAAAACUGAACUGAACCAUCAAUGAUAUAAAUCAGUUUGUUAAACCGAACUGUUUCUUUGUGAACCUUGCACCUUUUCGAACUGGACAAGCUAAAGGCACACACCGUGCGCAUUAACUGAUUUUGGAAUUUUAACAAGAACCAAAAACCGAACUAUUAAACCAAACUGCACCGCACCGAGAAAACUGAAUUUUGAUCGACAGUUCAUGAAUUGAACUGAACUGAGUAAUAAAAACACCAGUUCAGUUCUUGAACUGUCCGUCAUAAUUUGCUUCUUUUCAGUUCGGAUCGGUUUAACGGUUUAGUUUUUUGUUUUUUUUAACAGUCCUAUUGUGCUGGUAAUCUUUUUCUUUGACUUAUAAUUUUUUGCUGGUAGUUCAUGCUAAAUACCUAACUUUUGCAUAUAUUCUACUUGUGUUGACCUGUGAAUGUAGGACAUUGACCACACCUGUUGAUUUGAUCAAAUGUUUGAAAUCCAUUAAGGAACACGCGUUCUCGGCAUCUCCGUACCCAGUUGUAAUAACUCUGGAAGAUCAUCUUACCUCAGACCUUCAAGCAAAAGCUGCUCAGGUAAUUUCUUAUAGGUUUAACCAUGCUUUCAAUUUCUGUAAUUAUCUCGAAUUUUAUUUUAAGUUUCUGUAUCCUCUUUGAGGACUAAAGGCAUGCAGUUUUAUAACUUGUAGAGACAUAAAAGUGGAUACAGCGACUAAAAAUAAAAAGUGUAAAUUUUAUAGGGGACUAAAAACAUGUUUAAUUGUUUGUUAUAUCUGAAAGGAGUAAAUCACUCGGGUUCACAAUUUUUUUGGAAUUAAUCAUCAUUCUCUUUCGACGUUAUUAGAUGAUUACUCAAACAUUUGGAGAUAUGCUGUUCUGUCCAAAUGAUGAAAAUUUAAACAAUAUUCCAUCACCUGAAGAAUUGAAGUAUAGGAUCAUGAUAUCAACAAAACCUCCAAAAGAGUACUUAAAUUCCAAAAGUGUUAGGGAGAAUUCUGAACAAUUGCUGAAAUCAAAAUCAAAGGAUUCUGAUGAAGACGAAUGGGGAAAGGAAGUCACUGAUGUUGUACAUGCACAAAAUGAAGACGACAAGGUGAGAUAAACUAAGAAUUUCACUUUAUAGAAGCCUCUAUUUUCACAAGAUAAUGACAUAUUCGUUUAUGCUGUUUUUGUAUAAGUUAUAAACUGUUCUCGUAAGCUAUCCUGAACAUGCUAUAAGAUGUUUCCAAAAUCUCUUUCAAACAGUCUUACAAAGAGUUCAUGUUAGCAGAUAAGUUCAAAUAAGCCAAUUCUAACAGUCUUGUUUUUUUCUUUCUAUUUUCUUACAGGGUGACUGUGACUCACAUCAACAGAAUGAUGAUGAUGAUGAAUCAAAUGAUGAUGAAUAUGAAACAAAUCACGAGAGUGAGUAUAAGCGUCUAAUCGCUAUUCAUGCUGGAAAACCUAAGGGUAGUUUGAAGGAAGCCUUAAAAGUUGAAGAAGAUAAAGUGAGACGCCUUAGCUUAAGUGAACAAGCUCUUGAGAAGGCUGCUGAGUCGCUCGGAACUGAUCUUAUUAGGUAGCAUCUGAUUUCAUAUCAAAUAUCAUUUAUACGAUUAUUAAUUACCACUAGUGACCAUUUUACAGUUGUUAUCGAGAGAAUUUAAAUUAAGUGUACCUUGAGGUUACAAAGUCAUCAGCGUUAUAAUAGAUCAUGUAGCUUACCACUAAGCUGAUUAUAACUAAUUUCCUAGCUUAAGUUUACAAGUGAUUUACUACUCUUCCACUUUUCCUUAAACUCUUCUACAUUCUAAUUCUAAUUGUAAUGCUUUCUAUUUUGUAUGAUAGGUUCACCCAGAAAAACUUUUUGAGGAUAUAUCCGAAGGGUACACGUGUCACCUCGUCGAACUACAAGCCACUGAUUGGCUGGAUGCAUGGUGCUCAAAUGGUUGCAUUCAAUAUGCAAGGAUAUGGCAGAAAUCUUUGGUUGAUGCAUGGAAUGUUUAGAUCCAAUGGGGAAUGUGGUUAUGUGAAAAAACCAGACUUUCUAAUGAAUGUAGGUCCAAAUAAUGAGGUAUUCAAUCCUAAAGAUAAGUUGGAAGUGAAGAAGACGCUUAAGGUGAGGACUGAGGAUAUUAUCAAAAUGAAAAAGUUAGCAAAAUGAACAUUUUUCUUGCACUGUGUUUAAUUUAUUCUCACUGGAUAGGUUAAAAUAUAUGUGGGAGAUGGAUGGAGUAUGGAUUUCAAACAAACUCACUUUGACUCAUAUUCUCCACCAGAUUUUUAUGCCAGGGUAAGUUUUUUCUAUUUAUUUAUAAUUAUGCUUUGAUUUACAAUAUAACUGCUUAAUUCUUUAUGCACUAAUAGUACUUAUGUAAUCUUUAAUCUUUCACCACUUGAAGCUUAAAUAACUUUAAGGAUAUUAUUUCUCUUUAAUGAAAGUUGUGAGAAUUAAUACUAUGAUUCUUUCUAGAGUACAUUUGUUAAGGUCUAUUUACAAGUUAUUUGGUCUUGUCUAAUGACAUACAUACUUGUGUAAAGUGAGGUUAUCAAAUUGAGUUUAAAUCAUGAACCAGAAAACCUAUACAUAGGGAUUCAUUUGAAAGAAUCAGGGCUCAUCACUGUGAGUCGGGAUUCAUCAUAACGAAUCGGGAUUUAAAAUGAGAUUCAUAUCAAAAUUAGAUACAUACCAGAGACUCAUAUGAAUUGAGUUAAGUUUUGUAUCAAAUUGAGAUAUGACUUGCAUGUAUCAUAAGAUACUAAUAACCAUUUUUGCAAGAGCGUGCGCAUAAGCUGUUUACAGCACAUAUGAUAAUCUUGAAGGAUAACUUACAUGAAACGACUCACAAUUUAUAUGAAAACAGUUUAACCACGUUCUUUCGACGAUUACAGAAAUAGCUUAUUCAUAAGUGUUUAUAUCAUAUAUGAUAAUCACUUAUUCAAUAUGCGUUUAAUUAAGUCGUUUACCAAAACAAACCAUCGGUACUUCUUGCAUGAGCUUACAUGUGAAUUUGUGAGGCAGGUUGGCAUAGCUGGAGUGCCGGCUGAUGUAACAAUGAAGAAAACAAAGACAAUAGAGGAUAACUGGAUACCUACUUGGGAAGAAGAAUUCACCUUCCCUUUAACUGUGCCUGAACUUGCUUUGCUUAGAGUGGAAGUACAUGAAUAUGACAUGUCUGAGACAGAUGAUUUUGCUGGCCAAACUUGUUUACCAAUCACUGAACUAAAACAAGGGAUCCGCGCCGUUCCACUUUACGAUCGAAAAGGAGAGAAAUACAACUCAGUUAGGCUUCUUAUGAAAUUUGAUUUUAUUUAAGCUGUUCUUCUCUACUUGGGAGUAUAUUUAUUUUAUAUUAUGAUGAAGAAUGUUGAAACUUGUUUUCCAUGUCACACUUGAUUCAUGUGGAUUUGGCCUAACCAUGUAAGUAAAUAAUAUUAAAAAUUAAAAAUAGUAAUAGGAUUUUAUGUUGCAACUCAUGCUUCAUUAUGGCAGCGUUUACCUCUAUUGAAGUUUGAGUGGUUUUGGAGUUAUAAUUCUCUUUUGUUUUCUGCAUUGUAAAGCUAUAAUUCUGUUAUGUUACCAACUUAUUAGCAACAAAAUAACCCGCUCAUUUGAUCCUUGUAUAUGUAUUCCUCUGAUAGACCAAAAUGAAUAAGUUAAAUUAAGUAAACAUAAAAUUCUUAAUGAAUGAACAAUGGUACUCAAAUCAUAAAAGAAAGACCAUAAAAGAGAGCAAUGAUACUCAAAUCAUUAUAAAAAAAAAUACCAUAAAAGAGAGCGCAGGAUUGUUGCAAACUUGCUAUAAUCCUGUUCAAUAAAAUUAAUUUUAUUAUAUUUUGAUUGUUCUAACAUUUGAAUGUCUACAUAUAUAAUCACACACGUUUUUUUUCUUCCUGUGUAACCACUAAAUUUAUGGAUAUUGGGACUAAGGCUAUGUUUGGAUUGAUGGAGAGUGGUGGAAUGGGAUGGAAUAGAGUCAGAUUCCAUUGUUUGGUUUUGCAAAAUUGUAAUGGAAUGGAAUGGAAUGUGAUGGAACUCAUUCCAUCCAAUACCACUCAUUCAUCCAAUUUUCCAUUCCUCCCAAAUUGGGGUGUAUCCAAUGGAAUGGAACACAUUAAUAACUCAAUUACAUUUUUAUCCCUACUAUUUCUAUUUCAUUAGCCACUCCUCAUUCCAUGUUUCUUUUUUCCAUUGAUUGUUUCUUGUUUAUAAAUCUCUUUCUUCUUCAUUCAUAUUAAAGUGUCACGAAAAUUGACUAUAGUAGUUACAAAUGGAAAAACACAUAGGUUUCUUAUUUAUAAACCUCUUUGAGAUCGAUUUUGAAUUAUAUCUAAAAACUAUUGAUAUUGAAUUAUAUAUAAAAAUACGAUGAAUAGUAAUUUGCAACUAAUGUAACCUACAUAGGCUAGAAAAUAGAUGAAUUUUAACGUGUAACCUAUAUUAUUAUUGUUUUAUUUAACCUGACAAAUGGAAAUACUGUAGUUGCAAAUUAUGCCAGAACCGAAAUUUAAAAAUGUUUUGUUCAUAUCUUAAUUUGUGGUUAUACUUGUGUUUAUUCCUUUACUUGUUUAUUUUGUGCUAUUUAUGAAUAAUGUCAAAAUAACUACGUAUUGAUUGAAUUGAGUUGAGAAUUCAACAUAGUGAUGUUUUUAAGUAAAGGGUAAAAAUGAAAUAAAAAAGUUAUAAAUCAUUCCGUUCCAUUCACUUUCCAAACAAUGGAGUGGAAAAUUAGUUCAAUUCCGUAGUAAAAUAUCCAAACAAUAGGAUGGAACCUUUGUUCCGCUCCGUUCCACUCCGCUCCAUUCCGUUCCGCUCCGUUAGUUUCAUGUUAUCCAAACAGAGCCUAAAGAAAGCAAGGUAGAGAGAUGGAAGAGAAAUGAUAGGGUCACACCUACUAACACACUCUUUUAAAGUUUUAACACACCCAACAAGAAUUAGUCAUGUGUCCCACUUUUUUAAUUCAAUUAACUUGAAAUCUGUUCAACCAGUUUUUAAACAUUUGUUUUUUAUUUUUUUAAUAUUUUAGUACAACAGUUGGAGAGAGAAAGAGAAGAAAAAAACGAAGAGAGAGAAGAGUGUUGAAAAAUAAUCUGGGUCUUCAAUUUCGAUCUUCAAGCUUGAAAGCUUAAGAACCUAAAAUUUAAAGAGUCACACGUGUCUCUCUCUUGUUCCAGUUUCCCCAGCUAUGUCACCUUUCUCUCUUCUAUCUUAAAUGGUUUUGUUCAUCGUCCAUCCACUACGAGCGUCAUCAUUUACCUGGCGUUUUGAUUAUGUGAUUUGGAGAAAAUUCAUGCAAGUAAUUUUUAACUAAUGGAGUAAAAUAUGUCAUCCCUGGAUAAGUACUUAUAAAAAACCAUUAAAAUAACGAAAGCAAUGGAUCUCUUGUAACUCCAUUUUACUCUUUUAAAAGUGUCACAUAUGCAUAAUGCUUGUAUAUAGUUAACCCAAUUUUAGUUUAUAUAGAGAGAUAGAUAGAUAAAUAUAGAAGAUAGGUAGAUAGAUAUUGAUAGAUUCACAUAGUCAUAUGCACUAUAAAUCUAUAUAAUAUUUUAACUAAUAAAUGAUAAUAUAUACUCCCUCCGUUCUAAUUUAUAAGCAAAAAAACAUUAAUUCACACUUAUUAAGAAAACUAACAUUUAGUAAUUUGAGGUAUAAUUUUUUCGUGUUCUCCUUGAAAUAAGUUUCAUGGAAAGAAGUAAAAAUAAUUCUCAUUGGCUAAAAAUUAUGGAGAAAAUAAAAAGGAGAAUAAAUUGAAUGCAAUUUGUAUUUAAUUUUACAUUGGAAAAGAUGAUUUGUUUGAAAAAACAUAAUAAUGACAUAAAAGUUGGUCUUUUUUACUUAUAUUUUGAGACAAAGAAUACGAGAUUUUUUUGCUUAUAUUUUAAGACGGAGGGAGUAUGUUUUUAGAUAAAUGUUAGUGUUUAGUAUAUUGUUGGAGGGGAAGGGGUAAUAUUAUCAGCAGGGAUCAAAUCUUAACCUCUUCUUAAUCUCCAAUUUUCCAACCCUUUGACCACACAAUCAAUGAUUAAUGCAAAACAAUUAGUUGUUGGUUAACGCAUAAACAUAUAUUGCAUUAACCAAAGGAAGAAAUUUUUUAAAGUAGGAGAAUGGUAUUGGUUUAUAUUGUAAAUUUUUUAAAAAUAUAUAUAUUUAUAAUAAUUAAUAUGUUUUUUAUUUACUUUUUCAACAAAAUAAUGAUAGUAGCACUUUUUUAUACAUAUUUUAGAGAAAAUCUAUUUUUUUUCUCUCAUAUUUUAUCAUGUGUUUUUCAAUAUCUUGAUUAAGACGUAACACUUUCAAAGGUAGAAGAUCAACCAUUAGUGUUAAAAUGAGAGUAUAAGUUGAAAAUGGCAAGGAAGUAGAUACCCUCAUUUAUAUAUUAUUGGAAUUAGAAUAAGAACCAUUAGAGAAAAGGAGAAAAAGAAUGGACAACAAAAGCUAUGAGAAUGUCUUUACCUAUUCAUUUUGUUCUCCUGCUAUUAAUACAAUUUUUUUUUUGAAACAAAAAUGAAUGUGGCUUUCCCUAAAAAAAAAUCAGCUUGAGCUUAUUUUUUAAAGAAUAAUUAAAAAACUCAAGCUUAUUUAAAACAUUUGUUGAUAAAGUUUAUUUUUUGGUAAAAUAAUUCAUAAUUUCCUUUAAAAAGAUAGGUAUUCUUUGACCAAAAAAAAAAAAUAGGUAUCCUCUAGUGUGAAGAGAGUUAUUUUAAGGGAUAGACAAAACCCAACUCUUAAAUUUUCCUCAAAACUUUCUUACUUUUUGAACAUGAGAAAUCAUGGUUUUGCUUCCUAACAUUAACAAAUUUAAUUACAAUAUAUUUUCUACAAAGAAGAAAUAAACAUGCAGGUGGUAAAAAAAAAGUAUAGAAAAUGUUCCACUUAUCUUGUUGACAUUGCCGCAUAACUUGAAUCUCCAAUUUAUGACCUGAGAUAAAGAUUUUGUAAUUGUAAAAAAAGUGUGAAACUUUCUUAGUCCUUGAAGUGCCACAUCAUCAUAAUUCUAGCUUAAUAUAGUUCCAUAUUUUGUCUACAAAGAUGUUAAUCUAGAGAUGCCACAUCAUCAAGUUUGCUUUUUAUAUAGAAGAUAUAGAUAGAUAGUUAUCCGUAGUAGUUUUAUGAAGUUAUUAGUAGUUAUAAAAAGAUAGUUACAUAUUGGUGUGUUAUAUUAAGAUAGUUACUUAUCUCUUGUGAGGAAAACCUUGAUGAGGCUGACUACAUUUUUCCUUCAGAAUCUCACGUCGCAGCUUUAAGGUUUGCGACGCGAGACGAUUCUUUGCAUUUUUUCUCUUGCCUUUUAUGUUUUUCGGAUAUUUUCUUGUCCUUGCAUUUCAUGACUUUUUAUUAUGAAUUCUCACAUUCACAACACUGUAUCACAAAAGAACUGACUCGAUCACUCAAAAAACAUAAUUUAAAAUUUGGAUGAGGUUAAGAAAUUGAUGUCAGCAUGCGAAGUGAGCUUUUGUUGGAACUGUUUUUAACUGCUUAGCUAUGUUUUUUUGUUACAAUGACACAACGCAAUCAUUGCAUAUAUAGCUUUAUGAUGCAUUAAAACAAUAAAGUUACAAAUGCAUCUUAUAUUCUUUUGCAGCCUGAUAAUAUUUACUAAUCAGUUUUGUAAGGUUGACUUAGAUUCGAUCUAAAUUAUACUUAUGUGUGUGGAUCAAUUUGGUUUAAGUUUUUUCACAACUAAUUGUAAAAAACUAAAAGUUGAAUCCGUCUUGCAAUAAUAAUGAGUAUUCUAAUUAAUAGUUUCAAGUAGGCUUAAAUAUGUAUUUCACUAGAUCGUCCAUCCGUGCUGCCGCACGGGUCAUAUACAUUGUAAGUAUUGUAGACAAAAACAAAAUUUUAUAAUACAGUCCCAACUUAUAAUUUUAAAUACAACUAUAGAAGGAAAUUGUAUAAUUGAUUCAAAAUAUUUUUAGUGACAUUGAGCAGCAAUCUAUAAUUUAAUAAAAGAAGAGGUUUUGCCAAAAGCACUGCACACAUCUCUUUUUCUCGUGAGUCAAUUACAUUGAAAAUUCAUAUAUUAUAUAUCACUAACAAAGAUACAAAAAUUAUGUUGAAAGGAAUUUGUAUAAUUCAUUCAAAAUAUGUUUAGUUAACUUUAAUAUAUAAGAAGAUGUAUCGAGAAGUUGAGAAGGGGGAAAAUUCAAUAAGGUUAAACAAAGGAAUUUAGAAUCAGGGUUAAAAUAGUAAAUUUAUACAAUAAGUUUAAGUUAAAAUUAGGGCUAAAAUAUGCUUCUGUGUUAGCCUUAAUAUAUAAGAAGAUAGAAGAAAAUUGUAUAAUUGAUUCAAAAUAUUUUUAGUGACAUUGAACAGCAAUCUAUAAUUUAAUAACAGAAAAGAAUUUGCCAAAAGCACUGCACACAUCUCUUUUUCUCGUGAGUCAAUUACAUUGAAAAUUCAUAUAUUAUAUAUCACUAACAAAGAUACAAAAAUUAUGUUGAAAGAAAUUUGUAUAAUUGAUUCAAAAUAUGUUUAGUUAACUUUAAUAUAUAAGAAGAUCUAUCGAGAAAUUGAGAAGGGGGAAAAUUCAAUAAGGUUAAACAAAGGAAUUUAGCAUCAUGGUUAAAAUAGUAAAUUUAUGCAAUAGGUUUAGGUUAAAAUUAGGGCUAAAAUAUGCUUAUGUGUUAACUUUAAUAUAUAAGAAGAUGUAUCGAGAAAUUGAGAAGGAGGAAAAUUCAAUAAGGUUAAACAAAGGAAUUUAGCAUCAGGGUUAAAAUAGUAAAUUUAUGCAAUAGGUUUAGGUUAAAAUUAGGGCUAAAAUAUGCUUCUGUGUUAACUUUAAUAUAUAACAAGAUGUAUCGAGAAAUUGAGAAGGAGGAAAAUUCAAUAAGGUUAAACAAAGGAAUUUAGCAUCAGGGUUAAAAUAGUAAAUUUAUGCAAUAGGUUUAGGUUAAAAUUAGGGCUAAAAUAUGCUUCUGUGUUAACUUUAAUAUAUAAGAAGAUAGUAAAUUUAUGCAAUAGGUUUAGGUUAAAAUUAGGGCUAAAAUAUGCUUCUGUGUUAACUUUAAUAUAUAAGAAGAUGUAUCGAGAAAUUGAGAAGGAGGAAAAUUCAAUAAGGUUAAACAAAGGAAUUUAGCAUCAAGGUUAAAAUAGUAAAUUUAUGCAAUAGGUUUAGGUUAAAAUUAGGGCUAAAAUAUGCUUCUGUGUUAACUUUAACUAGACCAUUGACCCGUGCUAACGCACGUGUCAUUUAAAAAAUUAAUACUCAUAGAAAAAAUAAGACACUGUAGGUCGCUUGAAUGUAAAAAUUGUCGUGAAUCAAAGCAAAAUGUCAAUUACCAUAGACUUUGUUAUUGUUCCAUAAUUCUAGUACGUAGUACCUGUUACUUUAACAUAACAUAUAAUUUUAAAAGGGAAACUGAAGUUCGUUGACAUGCAAAUAGUUUCAAUAAGUAAGAAAAUGAAUAGUACACAAAAAAGUCCUACACAUUACGGAAAACUUCUCUGUAGACCACACUUGAUGCAACAUCGGUAUCAUCACCGUCGUCAUCAUUAAUCAAUAUCUUUAAACCACCCCUCAAAGUAACCCGCGAUAUUGCGACGUACAACUGUCCAUGUGAAAAAUAACAAAGAUGAAUCCAAAACGACAUCUAAAAAUUUCAAUAAAGAGAUAGCUACCUCAGUUGACUCAGUCAUGCUUUCAAUUGUCAUUCGGUUAGUGUUGAGCAAGUCAUCUGAUAAAGACGCGGGGCUGUUCGUUGAAAUUUGGCUGACACUUCGGGUGAACUAUAUUGAUGCAUUUUUCAUUCUAAUAAAAGGGCACCAAUGUUAAUAGAAGAGUGGUGAGACCUCCAGACAACUUAAUUACAACCAAAAAAACUUGCCUUUAUUCUAAAGCAUAUAAAAAUGUAAAUGGUUACCAUGUCAUGUACGCAGCGACAUCAGGCAAAUCGCCAUUAAGUAUCAGCUUAGUCCCAUUAAAGGCAUUAGCAACUCCCAUAGCACCUAAUUUUUUUAAAAAUCAACAGCAAGUGAACAUAAUUUCACAUUUCAUUGUUGAUAUCAGCAGAAAGCACAAACUUAAAACACGACAUACCUAACUACAUGUGUGUCUUGCAAAACUGCAAUAUUAAUACAGUAGGUGUGUCGUUAUCAUGGUUGCCAAAAAAGGUCACAAUUUUGUCAACAUGUUCACCCCAAAGAGAGCAAUGCAAGCGGUUGUUUCUGUAAUAAAAUAUUACCAAAAUAUCAAUUCAGGAACAUAAGGUAUAUUAAAAUUAUAUUACAACCAGGUACAAAGAAAGAGACAAAUCUUACUCAAGAUCUUCUAAAGUGAGAUCAGUAACCCUACUUUUCCUUCCGUCCUUUUCAGUUUCCCUUACAUCACCUCUUUCAAUUACAUGACCAAUAACAUCUGAAAUUACGUAUACAAAAGCAAAAACAAAUGUAUGAAAUUCCUAAACGAAUGCUUAUAGGUAGAAAUAAUGUACAACACACAUUCAGAAUUGAAGUCUUACCCGUAGAUACUUCCUCGACAGUUGAAGAGAGAAUUUCAUUGAAUGGCUUGAACUAAAAAACGUUCAUAGGGAUAGCAGGCGAGUGUACUUUGGUAAAAGUUGAAUUGUGCAUCAUACUAAGCUUAUGUUUGUGUGAAGUUACCUUAUAAGGACUUUCAUUAAAACCUACAAUUGCAUUUUCAAGCUGAAAUGUACCCCCUUCUUGAACCAUGGACCUGAACUUUGCCACCAAAUCUUUUCUACCUGUGGCGUGAAUACGUCCACCCUAUUGACGACAACAACAACAUUAAACAGCUGGUUAAAUUAGAUAACUAAAAAACAACAAUGACAUUAGUUUAAUUUUAAAGCUAAGAGUGCAAACAUGUAGAAACCUUUUCAUCAACCAAAUGUGAGCAACUCGCACACACAUCUUGAGAUUCUUUCUUCCUCCAGAAACAGCUGAGAUUGGAGUGUAUUUGGAAGACAUCAUUAGCUUGUUUUUUCCUUUCCAAGAAAGAGGAUGCUUAUUUAGAUUGAGAUGGUUUGGCUAAUAUGUUAUGAUAUAUUUAUAGGAAAAAGGUGGAAUACGUGUGAGUAGGAUAUGUCGGUUGAGCAAUAAAGAGUAUUAGUUAUCAGGAUAAGCACAAAAUAGUGGAACAAAAUUAGGAAAUGGCCAACAUUUUAGGAUAAAGAUUAAUAUGAAUAAAAUGAAAUUAAUAUUGUUGAUGGGGCACUUUAUUUUACUUAAGAAUUGACAUUUUUUUGUACUUAAGAAUUACCAUAGUUGAUUCGCCAAAACAUAUUUUAGAGAUGUGGAUGAAAUGUGUAGUAGUUACUUGAAUGAGAGGAAUUAGGAUUUUUAGUUUGUUUCCACCCAAAACAUAUUUUAGAGAUGUGGAUGAAAUCCCCUACUUAUUUGAAUGAGAGAAAUAAGGAUUUUAGUUUGUUUCCACCAAAAAGUUACUUUAGAGAUGUGGAUGAAAUCUCUUAGUUACUUGAAUGAGAAGAAUUAGGAUUUUUAGUUUGUUUCCACCGAAAACAUAUUUUAGAGAUGUGGAUGAAAUCCCCUACUUAUUUGAAUGAGAGAAAUUAGGAUUUUAGUUUGUUUCCACCAAAAAGUUAGAUUAAAGAUGUGGAUGAAAUCUCUUAGUUACUUGAAUGAGAGAAAUAAGGAUUAGGAUUUAAGUUUGUUUCCACCCAAAACAUAUUUUAGAGAUGUGGAUGAAAUCUUUAGUAGUUACUUGAAUAAGAGGAAUUAUGAUUUUUAGUUUGUUUCCACCCAAAACAUAUUUUAGAGAUGUGGAUGAAAUCUUUAGUAGUUACUUGAAUGAGAGGAAUUAUGAUUUUUAAUUUGUUUCCACCCAAAACAUAUUUUAAAGAUGUGGAUAAAAUCCCCUGAUUAUUUGAAUGAGAGAAAUAAGGAUUUUAGUUUGUUUCCACCAAAAACUUAGUUAAGAGAUGUGAAUGAAAUCUCUUAGUUACUUGAAUGAGAGAAAUAAGGAUUAGGAUUUAAGUUUGUUUCCACCCAAAACAUAUUUUAGAGAUGUGGAUGAAAUCUUUAGUAGUUACUUGAAUGAGAGGAAUUAGGAAUUUUAGUUUGUUUCCACCCAAAACAUAUUUUAGAGAUGUGGAUGAAAUCUUUAGUAGUUACUUGAAUGAGAGGAAUUAUGAUUUUUAGUUUGUUUCCACCCAAAACAUAUUUUAAAGAUGUGGAUGAAAUCUCCUGAUUAUUUAAAUGAGAGAAAUAAGGAUUUUAGUUUGUUUCCACCAAAAACUUAGUUAAGAGAUGUGAAUGAAAUCUCUUAGUUACUUGAAUGAGAGAAAUUAGGAUUAGGAUUUUAGUUUGUUUCCACCAAAAACAUAUUUUAGAGAUUAGGAUUAGUAAUUGUUAGUAAUAAUGUUAAGAGGAGACGUUACACCGCUAUGCUACUAAAUUGAUUCUAGUAAUUGUUACUAAUAAUGUUACUAAAAUGCUUCAGUAACACAGUCAUGCUACUAAAUUGAUUCAGCAACACAAAAACAAACACAAAUAUAUAAAUAAAAAAGCAAAGCAAGCAAGGCUAAAUUAUUUAUGAAAUUCAAGGGACAUUUGCUAAAUUCAAAGACAAAAAAAAUAGAUGCUUCCAAAACUCUAAGAAACUAAAACUUAAAAUUCAAAUUGGAAAGGUCUUGCACAAUUUAUCUAAACAUGGACUAAUUGUAAAUAACAUCAAGGUAGAUGGUAUCAUGUGACCCAACCAUCGGAGCACCCCCUCUGAUCUUCACACCGUCACCCACAAAAACCAAGGUCAGGCACCAAGAUCGAUUCCGUAAAAGUCACGAAUUGCUUUCCAUCCCUUUGUGAGAAAAAAUGCUUCGUUUACUCUAUCGACCAAUAAUUCAAACUUGUUGGACUUAGGAUCAAUCAAUAUUGCAUAGCGCCCAAUUUGAUCUCCGAAAUCACCGCCAAACAUGUUUGGCAAGCAUACUGCACCCUAAAAAAAUAACAAACAAAAACAUCACAAACGUUGAUAAAAUAGAAUGCAAAUAAUUGAGAAUAGGUAUAUUUCGCAAAAAACACAUACAGCAUCAAUGUCAUAUUCAACGAUAUAUGAUAUGUAUUUCAGUCUGAGCUUGUUGAUUGCUUUGUCAAGAUCGGAAAAAGGGUUUUUCACCAACGGACCUACAAAAGAUUGAAAGGGAUUGAAAGAAUUAUUUAUACUUUAAAACAGUGAGGAAUAAGAGCAAAAAUCUAUAUAUUUAGUUUAAACCAGAGUGGAAUGAAGAUAUGGUUACCAGUGAGGCAGUGGUAUGACAGUAAAGUCUGAAUGUUUCUGGAAGCCAUGUUGAAAAGAGAUUUCGGUUUAGGAGAAAAGAUAAAAAUAUAUUGGUGAGGGUUUGGAGGAGAGAAAUAUAUGGUUUUAAAGAGAGAUUUCGGUUUAGGAGAAAGGAUUAAAAUAUAUUGGUUAGGGUUUGGAGGAGGGGAAUUAGGAAAUAUGAUUUAGGAGGAGUGAAGUUAGAAGGUUAGGGUUUGGAGGAGGAGAAUUAGGAAAUAUGGUUAGGUUUUAAAGGAGGGAAAAAUUGCUAAAAUAAUAGGGUUAAAAUAUUAGGUUAAAAUUAGGGCAACCAAGCUUUGUUUAGGAAUAAGAAGAUAUAUAACAAGAUGUAUCGAGAAAUUGAGAAGGAGGAAAAUUUAAUAAGGUUAAACAAAGGAAUUUAGCAUCAGGGUUAAAAUAGUAAAUUUAUGCAAUAGGUUUAGGUUAAAAUUAGGGCUAAAAUAUGCUUCUGUGUUAACUUUAAUAUAUAAGAAGAUAGGUUUAGGUUAAAAUUAGGGCUAAAAUAUGCUUCUGUGUUAACUUUAUUAUAUAAGAAGAUGUAUCGAGAAAUUGAGAAAGGGAAAAAUUCAAUAAGGUUAAACAAAGGAAUUUAGCAUCAGGGUUAAAAUAGUAAAUUUAUGCAAUAGGUUUAGGUUAAAAUUAGGGCUAAAAUAUGCUUCUGUGUUAACUUUAAUAUAUAAGAAGAUGUAUCGAGAAAUUGAGAAGAAGGAAAAUUCAAUAAGGUUAAACAAAGGAAUUUAGCAUCAGGGUUAAAAUAGUAAAUUUAUGCAAUAGGUUUAGGUUAAAAUUAGGGCUAAAAUCUGCUUCUGUGUUAACUUUAAUAUAUAAGAAGAUAGUAAAUUUAUGCAAUAGGUUUAAGUUAAAAUUAGGGCUAAAAUAUGCUUCUGUGUUAACUUUAAUAUAUAAGAAGAUGUUUCGAGAAAUUGAGAAGAAGGAAAAUUCAAUAAGGUUAAACAAAGGAAUUUAGCAUCAGGGUUAAAAUAGUAAAUUUAUGCUAUAGGUUUAGGUUAAAAUUAGGGCUAAAAUAUGCUUCUGUGUUAACUUUAAUAUAUAAGAAGACGUAUCGAGAAAUUGAGAAGGAGGAAAAUUCAAUAAGGUUAAACCAAGGAAUUUAGCAUUAGGGUUAAAAUAGUAAAUUUAUGCAAUAGGUUUAGGUUAAAAUUAGGGCUAAAAUAUGCUUCUGUGUUAACUUUAAUAUAUAAGAAGAUAGUAAAUUUAUGCAAUAGGUUUAGGUUAAAAUUAGGGCUAAAAUAUGCUUCUGUGUUAACUUUAAUAUAUAAGAAGAUGUAUCGAGAAAUUGAGAAGGAGGAAAAUUCAAUAAGGUUAAACAAAUGAAUUUAGCAUCAGGGUUAAAAUAGUAAAUUUAUGCAAAAGGUUUAGGUUAAAAUUAGGGUUAAAAUAUGCUUCUGUGUUAACUUUAAUAUAUAACAAGAUGUAUCGAGAAAUUGAGAAGGAGGAAAAUUCAAUAAGGUUAAACAAAGGAAUUUAGCAUCAGGGUUAAAAUAGUAAAUUUAUGCAAUAGGUUUAGGUUAAAAUUAGGGCUAAAAUAUGCUUUUGUGUUAACUUUAAUAUAUAUAAGAAGACGUAUCGAGAAAUUGAGAAGGAGGAAAAUUCAAUAAGGUUAAACCAAGGAAUUUAGCAUCAGGGUUAAAAUAGUAAAUUUAUGCAAUAGGUUUAGGUUUAAAUUAGGGCUAAAAUAUGCUUCUGUGUUAACUUUAAUAUAUAAGAAGAUAGUAAAUUUAUGCAAUAGGUUUAGGUUAAAAUUAGGGCUAAAAUAUGCUUCUGUGUUAACUUUAAUAUAUAAGAAGAUGUAUUGAGAAAUUGAGAAGGAGGAAAAUUCAAUAAGGUUAAACAAAGGAAUUUAGCAUCAGGGUUAAAAUAGUAAAUUUAUGCAAUAUGUUUAGGUUAAAAUUAGGGCUAAAAUAUGCUUCUGUGUUAACUUUAAUAUAUAAGAAGAUGUAUCGAGAAAUUGAGAAGGGGGAAAAUUCAAUAAGGUUAAACAAAGGAAUUUAGCAUCAGGGUUAAAAUAGUAAAUUUAUGCAAUAGGUUUAGGUUAAAAUUAGGGCUAAAAUAUGCUUCUGUGUUAACUUUAACUAGAUCGUCCACCCGUGCUGCCGCACGGAUCAUAUACAUUGUAAGUAUUGUAGACAAAAGCAAAAUUUUAUAAUACAGUCCCAACUUAUAAUUUUAAUGUCAUAAUUUGAAAUACAACUAUAGAAGGAAAUUGUAUAAUUGAUUCAAAAUAUUUUUAGUGACAUUGAGCAGCAAUCUAUAAUUUAAUAACAUAAGAGAUUUUGCCAAAAACACUGCACACAUCUCUUUUUCUCGUGAGUCAAUUACAUUGAAAAUUCAUAUAUUAUAUAUCACUAACAAAGAUAAAAAAAUUAUGUUGAAAGCAAUUUGUAUAAUUGAUUCAAAAUAUGUUUAGUUAACUUUAAUAUAUAAGAAGAUGUAUCGAGAAAUUGAGAAGGGGAAAAAUUCAAUAAGGUUAAACAAAGGAAUUUAGAAUGAGGAAGAACCUCCUUCAAUUGGUGUUCGUGUGUUGCUGGGAAUUGCAGUUGAAUCUGCAAGGAAACUAAGAGGGAAAAGGAAGAAGAUGAAGCCAGGGGUAUUUUGGUCUUUUCGCAAGUUACAUCAACUAAUCGGUGAUGUGGCACUGAUUAACUAGGUUGAGGGACCAAUUUUUAAGUGAUUAAUUUUUAGGAGGGUAAAUUGCCAGAAUUAAUGGAUACAGGGACCAUUUUUUAAAUGACCCCUAAUUACAGGGAUGAAAUACGUAUUUAAGCCGUUUCAAGUACAGAGUAAGUUGAAAUAUUUAAUCUCUGCAAGGAGUAUUUCACAUCACUUUUUAUCCUUUCCACUAAAUAUGAAUGCUUCUUUUCCACUUAACUUUACCAGCACAUCACAUUGAAUAUUCCUUACUUUAAGUAGAUAAUUAUAUGAUUCUACUUUCAUCUAAUUCUAAGGGACAAAUUAAAGUCUUUUGAUAUAUAUGACUUGAAAUCAGUUACCAGAGUUAUUCCUCAUUGAACUGUAACAUCAAAAAGAGUACCAACACACAAACUCAAGCAAUCUCUUUCUUCUUUACAUAGAUAAUAUAGUUAACAAAAACAAAUUACUUUCAGCUUUUUAUUCACCUUCCUUAGAAACAUGGUUAUAGUAUAAAUUCUCGCUUUAGUUAGAAGCUAUCGGGAAAAACACAAGUUUCAUAUUGAAGAGCGAUAAAGUCUAAAAUAGUUUAUAAAGAGUGACACUACUCAUCUAACAAGGCGAUUUUAUAAGGAUGAGUUAGACAUAAUAUAAAAAUCGAAUAUUGAUAUCAGAGUUUAUCCAUUCGGUUCAUCCACCAAAAUAUGAACUCACUAAUCCAAUAGUGUUUGUUUUGUAACACAAUAUAAAACCAAUAUAAAGUGCUUGUUUUCGUGAAGGAGUCUGUUUUAGGUGGUGACGUGUAUUUUGGUGGGUGUUGUCAUCAUGGAUGUUUUUUAGGGUGUUUAUUUUCGGGUGUUCCGCCUAUAUACGGCGUCUUUAGUUUGUAUUCUUUAAUUUACCGGUCUUUGUUCGUCUUAAGCAGAAAUCUAGUUGUUUAAAAAAAAUUGCUGCGAAAAAAUAUAUAUAUAUAAAGAACAUAAUACAAGCCACUCCUGAUAAUCUUAAAACACAACAAUUUUUAUUCUCUCCAAGUGCUGUCUCCCCCUCAAGAGACAUCAUUAAUCAAACACAAAACAAUGGCGACAAAAUUUGGUUUUAGUAAAACCUCUAGGAACAAAUCGAUUAAACAACACUUCAAAGUUUGUUUUUGUUUCAACAGAAUGUUUAAGCUCAAGGUGGCUGAACCACCAGAAGAAAUCAACAAUAUUUUUUAUAGGUAUGCACAAAAUGGUACCAUGACCAUGGAUGAAUUGUACUACUUUUUAGUUCAUUUUCAAGGAGAAAAGGGUGGUGAUGCUACCCAAAAACAUGCUCAAGAUGUUUUCCAUAGUUUAAGACAUCUCAAUAUAUUUCAAAGGAGAGGUCUUCAUUUUGAUGCCUUCUUUCGUUAUCUUUUUGGUGACCUAAAUGGCCCCAUAGGUGAUCAGGUAAAUUUUCUUCCAGUUUAUCCUUAUUAUCUAUGAAGCACGGACACCGGACACUGACACGACGAAACCGUUAAUAAUUUGAGAAAAUCACAUAAUUCAAUGUAAUUAUAGAUGUCGGUAUCGAGUCAGUGUCGGACACGACACGUGUCAGACACCAGGACACACCUAAUCCGAGGAAUGUCCGUGCUUCAUAGUUUAUUAUCAUUUUUUUUAUAUCAUUUUGUAUUUAUGUUAGUUCAACUGCUAACUUUAUCAAAUACUACAAAUUUAAUCGGCUAGUUUAUCUACUAUAUUUUUUUUUUUUGAGAGGAGUUUAUCUACUAUAAUUAACAUGACAGUUAUAAAUUCAUCCGUUAUCAACUAGCGUUUAUCAAAAAUAUACAUGACUUUUUACCAAAAAGAGCCAAAAACAUGCAUAUAUCUUUUGGUUCCACUAAAUCCUUAACAAUUACAAUUAUAUAUUUGAAUUUUUAAAUAAAUUGUCUGUUUUUUAUUUCAGGUGCAUCAAGAUAUGAAUGCUCCAUUGGCUCAUUAUUUUUUGUACACAGGGCACAACUCCUACUUAACUGGAAAUCAAUUGAGUAGUGAAAGCAGUACUGCACCAAUAAUAAAAGCUUUGAAAAAAGGAGUUAGAGUAAUUGAGUUGGAUUUGUGGCCAAAUUCUAGAGAAGAUGAUGUGGAAGUUCGUCAUGGAGGGUAUAAGUUUAGUUUUCAACUACGAAGCACGAACACUCCUUGGAUAAGGCGUGUCCCCGUGUCAGACACGUGUCGUAUCCGACACCGACACAUAUAAUUACACAGAAUUAUGCGAUUGUUUAAAAAAUUUAGUUGUGUCGGCGUGUCUAUGUCGUGUCCGGUAUCCAUGUCCAUACUUCAUAGGUUUUCAAUAGCAUAUUAGUUUAAGUUCAAUAUUAUAGCACAUUGUUGAUUUCUUGUGCAUUCCAACUUUCAGCUUUAUAUAUAACUUAAACUAAUUGACUUAUUUUUGAGCUGUAGGACUCUGACUUCUUCGGUGAAACUUAGAGAUUGUUUGAAUGCCAUUAGGGACAAUGCAUUUGAUGCAUCAAAGUAUCCAGUUAUAAUAACUUUUGAAGACCAUAUAACUCCACCUCUUCAACGCAAAGUCGCCAAAGUUUGUAAAUUUUUUGCAUUAUUUAUGCCACUAUAUAUCAUAUAGUCUUAAAUUAAAGUAACAAUUUAAUAUUUAUAAUGCAGAUGGUGGAUGAUAUAUUUAGAGGUAUGUUGUUUCGUCCAAACUAUGCACAUCAAAUGAAGAAAUUCCCUUCACCAGAAGCGUUGAAGGGGAAAAUUCUGAUUUCGACGAAACCACCGGAGUCUCUUGAAAGUCAAAGCCAAAAGGUACAAGAAGAAGAAGUUGAUGAGUUGCUUGAGGACAAAGAUGAUGGAUCUAGAGUCAAUGAAGAGGUGAAAAUUUGAAUUCAUUUAGCUUAUGAACCUGUUCGCUACGAACUAUGAAAAAAAUUGAUAUUCAAUAAUUUAGAGAUUCAUUUUAAGAGAGUUUGAAGCAGUUUUUCGAUUUCUUUUGAGAUUCUCAUUUGUAUUUUUUUAAGAUAUGUAAUAAACAAAUGAAAAUUUCUAUUUUUUUUCUAAAUAGCUUAAUAAGCAUUUUUUGCAAUUAAUUAGGAUGAGUUGGAUGAUGAGAAUGAGGAGGAUGAGUCUCUUGGAUAUAGGAAUUUGAUUUCUAUUCAUGCUGGGAAACCAAAAGGUAAUGUGGAACACUGGUUGACGGAACAUGAUCAAGUUAGGCGUCUUAGCUUGAGUGAGCAAGUUCUUGAAGAUAUCGUCAAAACUCAAGGAUCUGAAAUUGUCAGGUGAUUUUAAAUGUAUUUUUGGUUGAUCGUAUUGUUGAACCUCAAUAAUUUUAAUUUAGUUAAUCGACUCGUAAGAGUGUGAAACUCUCUCAACACCUAUAUUUUUUCAUUCACAAAACUCUAACACAAAAUACCAAUUAAGUUCAUAUGCUCUAUUUUUUUACCCUAUUGUUAAUUGUUACAACAAUGAAUAUUAUUCCAUUCUAUGCUUUAGAUUCACCCAAAGGAAUUUGCUUAGAAUAUAUCCAAAGGGUUCACGUGUAACUUCCUCCAAUUAUGAUCCUAUGAAUGGAUGGAUGCAUGGAGCUCAAAUGGUAGCAUUUAAUAUGCAGGUUAGACUUCACUUUCCAUUUAUUUGACAAUUGAGAGAAGAGAAGGGAAAAAUAUGAAUUGACUCUUAAAAAGCACUAUGCUACUCUUAUAAAUAUAUUUCAUUUUGUCUCUUAAUAACUUUCAGAAGUGUCAACUUAUAAUUAAAUAUAAGAAGCUAAUUAGGAUAAAACUAAAUAAUAACGGGGAAUUAGUCACUUUAGUCCCUAAGUGAGAAAAGAGUAGUCACUUUAAUCCCUAAAUGCAGAGAAAUUGCAAAACAAUCCUUGAAUGUAGACUUUAUUCAAUUUCAGGGACUAAAGUGACAAACAGAGUCUACAUUCAGGGACUAUAUUGACUAAUGGAGUCUGCAUUCAGGGACUAAAGUGAUUAACAGAGUCUGCAUUCAUGGACUAUUUUGCAAUUUAUCUACAUUCAGGACCUAAAAUUACAACUUAUUUUCUAUUCAAGGACUAAAAUGACUAAUCUUCCAAAUAAUAACAUAAAACUAUGAAUGUAACAUGGUCAAAAACAACAUCAAAGCAUCCUAUUAUAACAACUUGCAUCCUAAGAAAAGUAUUUUUUUUUAAAACUCCUAAGAAAAGUAUUUUCAUAAUAACAUAUGGCGGAAUUUCACACUCAUGCAUCCUUCAUUUUAUACAAUUGUUGGUAUGUUAUGCAAUUUGGUGUCUGCUUUCCAUUAUUUAUUUAUAAAUUUGGGAAUAGAAAUCAAAAAAGUUUGAGGAUUUUUUUUCGAAUCAUGUUAACUAGGGUCACUAAGACACUACUUAACAUUUUCCUUUUCUUAUUUAUUUAUUGGGAAUAUUAAUUAUUAACUUUGUUUUACUUAAAGGGACAUGGGCAUUAUCUUCAAUAUAUGGAAGGAAUGUUCAAAGCCAAUGGUGGAUGUGGGUAUGUUAAGAAACCUGAUAUCUUAUUGAACAAUAAUAAGAUGUAUGAUCCUAGAGUAUACCGACCAAAGAAAACUCUUCAGGUAAAGGGAAUGUAGAUACUUAUAAUUCAUAUUUGGAAUUGAUACUACAAAAUUUAUCUUCUAAUAUAUAAAAAAUAAAAAACAGGUUCACGUAUACAUGGGUGAAGGUUGGCAAUCUGAAUUCGGCCAAACACACUUCGAUUUUUAUUCUCCACCUGAUUUUCGUGUACAGGUAAUUAUACUGUGAUUGAAAUGACUUAAGGACUUGUUUAAAUUGACUUAUUUAAGACCAUCUAUAACUUAGGUAUUUGUGAAACUAAUACCGUACAGUUGAAUUUGUGAAAACAUCUUAUGACAUGUUUAAAACAUGUUUUCAGCUUACUUUCGCAAUCUCUUUAUGACAUAUUUAAAGCAUUUGUUAGUAUUUCACAUUCUUAUAAUAGAUGUAAUGUAACAGUAGUCCUAUGUGUUUCCGUUAAAAAUAGUAUUAUGAAUCAAUCUGCUAUAUUUUCAUGUCAACUAAUUUUAGGAUCAUUGUGCUAAAAUAUGCACAAAAAAUUAAUUGUGAAGUCAGUAUGAACAAACCCCACAAACAUGAAAAUUGUAAGAGAAAUGUUAUUAACAAUUUUGUUGUCCAAAACCGUAUUUACUUACAUCGUAAAUACAAUUUUGUUUUUUUAUUAGUUUUCUAUCUUUCUCUAAAUCAAAUCAACAGCUAUAAAUAAUACAUUUUGAGAUGAUGUUAAAUAGUUGUCAAUUUUUAGAUGCUCAAAUAAAAUUCCUCAAAUAUAACGUGUCAAUAUUGUGCAGGUUGGUAUCCAUGGUGUUCCAGUUGAUACAGACACCAAAGUAACCAGGACCAAGGAAGAUGAGUGGGUCCCAGUUUGGAAUGAGGAGUUAAACUUUCCAUUAACUUAUCCAGAAUUGGCACUAUUACACAUUAAAGUUAUUGAACGUGACUUUUCUGGACAACAUGAUUUUGCUGGACAAACAUGUUUACCUGUAUCAGAGUUAAGAGAAGGAAUUCGUUGUGUUCGUUUGUGUAACCGCAAAGGUGAACCUUAUAAGCAUGUUAGGCUUUUAAUCCAAUUUCGAUUUUCUAAUCACUAGUAGUGAAUUUGUUUGUGUUUGUAUUAUGAAAGAUAUAAACACAUGUAAAUAUAAAUAAUUAGUACAAUUACGAAGAUAUGGUAUGUUCGGUUCGUUCCUACGCAAGAAUUUCUCGUGUAUUAGUACGGAAUAUAUCAAAGAUAUCCUCCACAUAUAGAAGUCACUAAAGAAUGAUUUCUCAUCCCUCUUCAUUAUGUAAACAAAAUUGGCAUACAUGCUUCUCAAAAAAUCGGUUUUCGAACAAAACUCACUAAACCAACGAUACCAGUACUUUGAAAUUUGUUUCAACUCAUACAAAUAUUUCUUCAAAAGACCCACCGUAGAUUUAUCCUCUACAAAACCUUUUGGUUGCUCUAUGUAAAUUGUCUCUUCAAGGUCUCCAUGUAAGAAAACCGUUUACGUAUCCAUUUGUUCCAACUCAAAAUUGUAGAUUAAUAAUUGCCGUAAGUACCCGUAUGAAACAAUGAUUUACGACAUAUAAGAGAAUCUCUUUGGAGUCAAUCCCCUCAACUUGAGUAAACCAUUUGUCACAAGCCUUAAUUGGUUCUUCGAUCGUUGAAUCACCUUUAUUCUUUAAACAAUGAGUUUGAACUUUUCUUUCAUGAAUCUUAGCAAGUCUUUUUUUUUUAUAUCAUAUCCAUUUUUUUUAAAUAGAUCAAAUAUAUCCCCGGAUCCUUUAAAUUUCAUGUUUGUUUCAGACAGAUCCUUUAAGUUUCUAAAAUUUCAGGCCUUUUAAAUACAAAUGUUAGUAUUUUCUCGAUUAGUAGGAUUCAAAUCUUUGAACCUUUAAUUAACUUUUUAUCCAACCUCUUAAUUUCUUAGCUCAACCAAAUUACACAUCCCCGGUAAUAUCCAUGUUUUUUUAGUAUCACGUCUUAUAUUAUUAUUAUUAAGAGUAAUGAUAUUUGAACAACUAUUUUAAAAUAAUUUUUGGGACAAUCUUGUUGUUCUUUUUUCAAUGGUCAAAAACAAAAGAGAAAGAAAAAGUAAGAGAGAGAAUAAAAAUAUAAUGUGAAUAUGAGAGAGAAAAUUGUACAAAAAUUAUACAAAAAUGAUUGUACAAAUAUCAUUUCUAUUAUUAAAGUUGACUGAAAUGGCUUUUUAGUGAACAAAUAAUAGCAAAAGACAAAAGGGUGAGUUUCGGGUAAAAAGGUCCUUGUAGACUCAAAAGCGAGAAAGUGAUAUCUUUUAACUUAUUUUGAUUAAGUGGGCACGGCAUAGGUCUGUUUAAGCUCAGCCACCGAGACAGAAAGACAAGACAAGCACUAACAAAUAUUUGAUCAAAGAAAAUCAAUGUAAAUUACUUUUCAUUUUUAGGAUACAGUUUAUGUUUGACUUGGAUCCAUUAACCUUGAAGAUCAAUUCUAUCAUCUCCACUAACAUGGAUCAAUCAACUAAAAUCAAUGUAUUUAAUUUGAUAAUAAAGAUUGAAUAUAUUAAGUUUUUUUCUCUCUCUUUAUUUACAAAAUAUACGGUUCACACUAAUGAAGAUAUUAUCAUAUCUCUUAUAAAAAUUACUUAAAUUUGAGCAAAACUAUUUAAAUAUAGUAUUUUCUUCUACUUUUAAAGAAAAUAUGUAAAUCUCCGUGAUCUUAAUUCAAUUGUUAGAAAUAUUACAUUUUAAAUGCAUGGUUUAUAUAUGAACCUUGGAUUUCCCACUUGUUCACCUUAUAAAAUAGAGAAUCUAACUACUUGACUACUUACCAAAAAUAAAUAAAUAAAUAAAAUACCAAAAACCUCGUGUUUUUUUUAAGGAAAAACUCUCCUAUUUUUGGUGAAUACAUAUACUCUCAUUUAUUUGUAAAAGUGUAACAUUAAUUAUUAUUAUUGUUGACAAGAAAUAAGCUUCAUUCAUUGAAAUACUAAAAUAGUAACAAUACAAUCAAAAGGAUCAUACGUUGGGACAUUUCUCAUCCAUAUAUUAGGAAUUAUUAAGAUAGUUAGAUAGAUGCUAAGGGUACAUUAUAAACUUUCAAAAGGCAUUAAUGCAAUAGCAAAACAAACUUCAAAUCUUAACAACCAAGCUAAAUUCUUACUCCUAUGACCAUAAGUCAAUAAUAAAUCGAGAUUCACGUAAUCCAACUUCAGAAAAAGAUAUUUGCAGGUGUUUGCACAAAUCGAUUAUUUGUGAUCUUUUAUAUGACCAAUUCUACCACAUAUUGACAAUACAUUUGUGUAAUUGAAAGGACCUUGAAUUUAGUGAUAGACGUUAUAAACCCCCUACUCGAAAUAGAGUACCUUUGAAGCGAGUCAUUCUCAAGCAUUUUAGCAAACAUAUAAGGUGCAAACUUGAAGCAAAUUAAGCAGAACAAUGAAAUAAAUAAGGGUAUUGUUAACAAGUGCCCUCGGGGCACUCUUUAAGCAUCCCAAAUUUAGUAACUAUUUUUUUAAAAAGUCAACAAUUACAAUUUCCAAUGCAUUCAAUACACAACUUUUCAUUAAAAACUUACCACUUAAAGUGUUUAAAGAGUGCUCCGGGGGCACUAGUUAACAUUUCCCAACAAAUAAAACAACCACAAAGACUUUGAAUCUCAAACCCAGUGAAGAUAAUAGAGUAGACCAUGGUGGCUUUCAAGGGGACCGUUUAUACGACUUUUUCACUUGAGAUAAUAGCCAUAACAGCUAGAUACAAAGGACGUGGUGGACGAUCCGUCGUAGGAACGCUUGAAUGAGGCGUGUAGGAAUUGAUCUCAUCGUCAUAGCACAACGAGGGAAAGCACAAAAAGAUAGUCAGAACAUAUUUCACGAGAAAGCGAACGAUGGUAUAAAUGGAUGGGUUGCGAGUGAAGGCGAUUAAAGCCAGAUAUUUACUUUUUAUCUUUUUUAAUCUCUUAACUCAACUAAAUGAGUUACUCAUGCCUAAAAUUUAUGGGUUGUAAUUCAUAUUCAUAAUAUGAGUAAUGCAAAGGGGAAUAGGAUAAAAAGUUAUGUAAAACCUUUAUAUAAGAAAAAAAAUUAGAGUGCAGAGACAUCAUCGUUCCAAGGUAAACUUGUCACCCAUACUUCAUUAUCACACUCAAGAAUGAUGCACAAUAUAUUCUACAAAAUAUACCUGCAAAAGGAUGUACAUAAAAGCUAUGUGUAGUAGUCACAAAGGUACUAAAGAAAGGCAAUGGAAUAGGAAACAUAACAGGGAACUCACUUAUUUCCCUUCCACAUUGAAAGAAUCUAUACCCACCAUCUGUUUGAUUAUGAAUAGCCAAAGUUAAUGGUCCCACACCACUCAAACUAAUCUAUCCCACCAUAAUAUCAACCCCAGAAAUAAAACACACACAAACAAAUACAAUACAAAUGUCAAAAAACACAUCAUAAUCUAAUCUGCCACAUCACCACCAUCAUCAUAAAAAAGAAGAAAAAAUGCAUCCAAAACCAAAUUGGAUUUCCAACUGUCACUAACUACUCAUCCUCACCAACUAGUAGAACAUCUCUAAAACAUCUGAUCUCAAUCAAACAAUCGAUAAAAUAAGUUAACUUUAACUUUUAUUCAAAUUAAAAUUAUCAAAUUUAAAAUUUAAAUUGUCCGAUCUCAAUCAAACUAUCACCGAUCAUCUGACUAAAUAAAUGCGUACAGUCAAUGACAAAGAGAGGAUCACCACUAAGACCAACCAAAAAUAGAGUCACUCUUGGGAGUCUUUUCUCCCUCUUCUCCUCUUGUUGUCAUAACCUGAUAAAUAAUCACUCCAAUUAUAUUUCCACACUAUGAACAAGUAAAGUAAAACCCAAACUAAAUAAACCCUCAUACUAAUUUAUUUCUUCAAUCAUCAUCAUCAUCUCUUCACUAAAAUCCAAACCCCAAAACCUGGUACCUUACAUACACAUAUACAUAUAUCAAUAUUCAAUUCAAUACUAUAGUAUAGUAUGAUAUGUCAUAAUAAAAUAUAAUAUUACUAUUAUUGCUAUUGUGUUAUUUUAUUUUUUAUAUAUGGUUGCCGGCGAUGCCGACGCCGGUAAGCUCCGCUCGUCAAUUCCUAACCGACGAAGCGGCGCGUGCCCUCGACGACGCAGUAGCCGUCGCACGCCGUCGCAGCCAUGCACAAACAACCUCCCUUCACACCAUCUCCGCCUUACUCUCCCUCCCAUCUUCAUCCCUCCGCGACGCCAUCUGCCGAGCUCGAACCGCCGUUAGAUUCCCGUCAUUCUCGCACCGUCUUCACCUCCGAGCACUUGAGCUCUCCGUCGGCGUAUCCCUCGACCGCCUCCCGUCGUCAAAACCAUCUCCGGUAGAAGAGCCGCCGGUUUCGAAUUCUCUCAUGGCGGCGAUCAAAAGGUCUCAGGCGAAUCAACGCCGGUCGCCGGAGAGUUUUCAUUUCUACAACCAUAACGGAACGACGCCGUCUUUGUUGAAAGUUGAACUGAAACACUUCGUUCUAUCCAUUCUUGAUGAUCCUAUAGUGAACCGUGUUUUCUCUGAAGCUGGUUUUCGUAGUUGUGAUGUUAAACUUGCUUUACUUCAACCACCGGUUCAAUCAUCAUCCCGGUUUUUAUCCUCUCCGCCGGUUUUUCUUUGUAAUCUUGAACCGGGUCGAACCGGGUUAACUCCUUUUCCUUUAGGGGUUGAUGAGAAUUCAAGAAGAAUAGCUGAGGUUAUAGCAAUGAAAGGUAAAAAGAUGAAUCCUUUGUUGAUGGGUGUUUAUGCAAAAGAUGCUUUUAGAAAUUUUGUUGAGUUGUUACAAAAGGGUUUAGGUGGUGGUUUGUUUCCACCUGGGAUGUCUGGUUUGAGUGUUGUGUGUGUUGAAAAGGAGAUUGUCGAGUUUGUUAAGGAUGGUGGGAGUGAGGAGAAGAUGGGUUUGAGGUUUAAGGAAGUGGGGUGUGAGGUGGAGAAAUGUUUGGGUGCUGGUGUUGUUGUUGGGUUUGGAGAGAUUGAGGUUUUGGUUGGGGAUGAUGUGGAUGGUGGAUGUAUUAAGUUUGUUGUGUCGGAGUUGGGGAGAUUGUUGGAGGUUUAUGGUGAGAAGGUUUGGUUGAUGGGUGUGGCUGAAACGUCGGAGGCUUAUUCGAAGUUUUUGAGGUUGUUUCCGGGUGUGGAGAAGGAUUGGGAUUUGCAUUUGGUUACUGUGACAUCUGCUACUCCUUCAAUGGAAGGACUCUACUCUAAAUCCAGGUUAGUUCUAUCUAUGAAGCACAGGCGCGGACCUGUCCGGACACCAGACACAACACUUGACACGUAGAUACUGAUAAUAAUUUAAAAAGUUGAAAGUGAUUAAAUGUAAUCACAUGUGACCAUGUACACAUGUUAGACACCAGCCACAUUGAAUUGAAGAGUAUAGAUGUCUAUUGGUUGUGGUUUGUACUUGUCAUGAUUUUGGUUGAAGUGUACACAUAGGUACUAUGCAGGCCUCUUAUAGGUUCAUAUACGCACACAUAUAUCAAUAUACAUUUAUGAAAACAUAUCAGAAUCAUCAUGUAUUUAAGGCAAUGCAUAUUUAGAAUGGUAAGUGAGAUCAUAGAAAAAUUAAUGAAUAUGAUUGUGACUUGGUUGUGUUUGUUAAUUUGUGCCAAAGGUUAUGGGUUUUUGCUAUUUUUGGUUACUCUCUUCUGACUUCUGUCUUCCUUAUUAAUCUUUCCCUCUUGCUUUUUUGGAAGGGUUGUUUGGUAGAAGUGGAAUUUUUAUGAACAAGUUAUUAUACUUUAAUCUCCCUUACUCAAUUCAAACCUCUAUUAUGUUUUUACUUUUUUCUUUUUUCAAUAGUAAAAUGAAAGUUAGUCCUUGUAAUUUAAGGUACUACUUGUUGGCAUUGUCAAAGUUGUGAUUUUAAGCAUGGAUUGCUAGAAAGUUUUCUUUUUUCAAACUCUUAUUGUGAGCCCAAAAAAUUCAUUAGUCUGUUGUUAUAUACAUACAUAUUGGCUACGAUAUACUUGAUUUUCGUAUACGGUGCUUUUAAGUUACAGGUCUCUCUUACUGUGUGCACUUUAGCUUCUGACUAUUGUACCGAUUGUAUCUCACAGUUCCAUGCUCAUGAUAAACUUACAGUUUGAUGGGGUCCUUUGUUCCAUUUGGUGGAUUCUUUUCUACACCUCCUGAAAGCAAAAGUCCCAUUAGCUCUGCAAAUGCAUCAUUUACUCGCUGUGACAAAUGCAAUGAAAAGUAUGAACAAGAAGUUGCUGAUGCUUUUAAGGUAGAUCCUGCUACUCUGGCAUCAAAUUACACAACAAGCUUGCCUUGGUUUAAAAAGGUUGUUGAUGUGGAUACACAUGGAGGACUUGAUGUGGCAAAGGUUUGUUAUGAUCGCCAAAUCUUAGAUAUUCUUGUCUUGUGCAUACUUGGCAUUCACAUGCAUACACAUAAUGUGUGCAACAUGGUGGGGGCAAUUAUUGUACUAAUCUACUUAAAUAAUUUAAGGGUAUAAAUAAUGCUAGAUUUCCUAUACUGGUUAAAGUAAUUUGGCUGCCCUAAAGUGAGAAGUCACUUUAGAGUGUGAAGUAAGUAAUUAUAUUUAUAGGCAUUUAUUUGGAAAUCAAUGGUUGAGUUUGUGAUCAUAUGCAUGCAAGUGUUUGACAAACUAUGAAGUUUAUAUGCCAAUUAUUGAUUUUAGAAUCAAUAGCUAGCUUAUUUAACCCUCCUAAGUGACUCAUUCACUUUAAAGAAGCCAAAUAAGGUAACAAAAACCUUUCCAAUCAAUAAAAAAGAUGGAAAUUUGAUGAUUCGUUUGUAAAAACCAAAUAAAAGAAUAAUGUUUCUCUUUUAUUUUCUCCCUGUGAAUAUUCUUUUGCUGAGCCUAUGGGCUUACGAUGAUCAAAUUUAGAUUUAUAUCAAACAUGUUAUAUCAAAUAAUGGGCAUGGAUAUCUAUUCAACAUCCACUAGUAUAGUGACCUAUAUUUUUUUUGAAGAAGCUAAAUUAGCCCACCUAAAUUAGCACCGGGGGAAUCGAACCUGAGACCUCAAGGAGGAGCACACUCCCAGGUCACAAGCCAAUACCACCAAGCCAACCCAAGUGGGUUUAUAGUGACCUAUAUUAGUUUUGGUUAUACCAUAUAAAUCUGCAGUUGCUGAAAUGACUUUUUUGCUAUCAGUAUUGGGACACAAGAAAAUCAUAUAUUUUCUUUAUAACUCUUAAAACAUCUGCAAGUUAUUCUAGAAUGUUAACCUAUAAAAUGAUUUGGAGUUCUAUUUUUCUCACGAAGAACCGUAAGAUUUUGUUUCUUGAGUUUAUAACUCUUAACAUCUGCAGGUAAAUGAAGAAAAUACAAGCUUGAAUGAUAAGAUAUUGGGAUUUCAAAAGAAAUGGAAUGAUAUUUGUCAACGUCUUCAUCAAGCAAGGUCUCAUGUCCCAUCACUUGAAGUUUUACGGUUUGGUUCAGGUUUUAACGAAGGCAGCAGUAAAGAUUCAUCACUUAAUGAACUCCAACGUUCUAGUCCAUUUUCCUACAUGCCUAAAGAGUUGCAUGGUACUUUUCCAUCAAAACAUUUAUCACCCACUCCAGUACAUACUGGUAGAGUUAGUGUCAAUGUUGGAACUGAUCGUGUGCCGAAAGUUACAGAGACUCAACAAAAUGACAUGACGACUCCUUGGCUCGCCCCUUCACGUAUGGCCAAUAUGAGUGUACUGGAAAACAAAUCAUCUUCAUCCCUUAUUCCUGUGACCACAGAUUUAGGAUUGGGAACGUUAUAUACAUCAACACCAAUUGCUCACAAGCCAGAUACUUCAGAAUUUCAAGAUAAAAUAAAGCAUUUUGAGCACUUUCCAGAGUCUACUUCAGCUGAUUCUGUUGCUGUCAAUGGAAAUACAUCACAUAAGAUUGCUAGAUCCUCCUUCCCGGCUUCAAACAUGGCAACAAAAUUUGAUUCAGUAGAUUUCAAGUCUCUUAAUAAACUUCUCUUUGAAAAGGUUGGCUGGCAGAAUCAGGCGAUAUGUGAUAUCAACCGAACUCUGUCCCUUCAUAAAUCCGGUGAAGGGAAGAGCAGAGACUUGCAUGGUAGAGCAGACAUAUGGUUUGCUUUCCUAGGACCAGAUAGAAUUGGAAAAAAGAAAAUUGCUUCGGCACUUGCAGAGACUAUAUUUGGAAAUACAGAAAGCAUCAUCUCUUUGGAUCUCGGCUUCCAAGACGGGCUUUACCCACCGAACUCGAUUUUCGAAUGCCAAAAGUCAUUAUGUUAUGACUUGUUUAUAAGGAAAACAGUUGUGGAUUAUAUUGCUGGGGAGUUGAGUAAAAAUCCUCAUUCCGUUGUCUUUCUAGAAAAUGUAGAUAAAGCUGAUUUUCUGGUGCAGAGUAGUUUGUUGCAGGCAAUAAGAAGAGGUAAAUUUCCAGACUCGCGUGGAAGGGAAAUAAGCAUCAACAAUGCAAUCUUUCUUUUAUCCUCGACUGUCUGUAAAGGCAACGGCUCUUCUGCUUUGGUGGAAGGCAACUUAUUUUCUGAAGAAACAAUACUUGAAGCCAAAAGAUGUCAAAUGCAAUUACUACUCGGAGAUACAUCUGAGGAUGCCAAAAGAAGCUUUAGUACAAAUGUCAAGAUUGUGCGGAGGAAAGGGUUUUCCAAACCAUCAUUUAUGAAUAAAAGAAAACGAGCUGAUACUAGUGACUUCAAAGAGGGAGCAGCAAGCAAGAUGCAAAAACAGGUUUGCGAGACAUCGAUGUCCUGUCUGGAUUUAAAUAUGCCUCUAGACGAGGGUGAAGAAGGUAUGGACGAGGACAACAAUGACCAUGAACGCGAUUUUGUAGUGGAAAACUCAGAUUCCUGGUUUAGUGAUUUCUGCGAUAAAAUGGACGAAAAAGUGGUUUUCAAGCCAUUCGAUUUUGAUGCACUUGCUGAACAAUUACUAAAAAGCAUUAGCAUACAAUUUGAAAAGGCAUUUGGUUCAGAGUUUCAGUUGGAAGUCAAUUAUGAGGUAAUGGCACAGAUACUUGCCGCUGCUUGGUUAGCAGACAAGAAAGAUGCAGUGGAUAAUUGGGUUGAAAGUGUACUUGGCAAAGGCUUCUUUGAAGCUCAGCAGAAAUACCACCCUGUAACUAAAUAUGUUGUGAAACUAGUUAACUGUGAAUCUAUUUUUGUCGAAGAACCUGAUCUUGGAGUAUGCCUUCCUGCUAGCAUUAACUUGAAGUAAAUUUUGGCUUACUAUUUAGUAUUAUUGUAAUUACUUGUAAAAUGUAGCUUUUAGAUAUAACAUAUGGUAGUUGGUAGCAUUGUUCAGCUUAUUAAUCUCACAUUUUUUGUUGUGCUGAUCAUCGUGUUGUAAGUUUUAUGAUGAUAAAAGAAUGUGUAGUUUUCUCUGGUAUAAUACCUAGUUAACAUGUAUUUUCUCUGUAUAUUUCUUUAUACGUUAUUGUGCUCUAAUAUAUUUGUUUGCAGAGGUUUGCUAUUUGAACACGAUUUUUGGACAAAACACAAAUAAAAAAUACUUAAACACACACAUAGAUAAGAAAAAUUAAAAGAUAAAAGUGAGAAAUGAUGUGACUAAUCUAUUUCUUUUUCAAUUUGUGUGUUCAAAUAUUUUUUAUUUGAAGUUGUGACUAAAUAAGAUUUGUUCACCUAGCAAACACAAAAAGGGAAUUGUACGUUCUAGUUGUGCGUUCUGUUAUCGAGGUGGGUGAAAAUGUUAAUAAAAAAUUAAAAAAGAUAUAGAAACCGUUUUGUUAUACGGUGUGGUUGUUGUGAUUUGUGUUCACAAAUAAUUCCCGUAGUUUGAAAUUGUUAUACAUUAUUGUACCUAAAAAAAUAUCUACUUAUUCCGAUGGUUGAUAUUUGUUCUGGUUACAAUUUUUUUUUAGGUUUAAUUGUUCUUUUGUCCCUUAAUUAUUUAAUUGGUAUCGCUUUGGUCCCUUAAAAAAAAAAAGAUUGUUUGAGUACUUUAAGUUUUUUUUUAGUCUCGUUUUGGUCCCUUCUGUUAGGUUUCCGUUUGGGUUUUAAAAAAAAGUUAACUCCUGGACACGUGUCACCUUGUCAUUGGCUCUGAGUUUUUUUUUUUACAAAAAAAAAAUUAAUUAUUUUUUUUAAAAUAUAUAUAUUUUUUUAAAAAAAAUCCCAAAGCCAAUGACAACGUGACACGUGUCCCAGGGUUAACACGUGUCACCUUGUCAUUGGUUCUGGGAAUUUUUUACAAAAAAAUAUAUAUAUAUAUAUAUAUUAAAAAAAAUUAAUUUUAAAAAAAAUAUAUAUAUAUAUAUAUAUUUUUGUAAAAAAAAAAAAAAAAAAAAACCUCAGAGCCAAUGACAAGGUGACAUGUGUCCACACUUAACGUUUUUUUUAUUAAAACUAACGGAAACCUAACAGAAGGGAUCAAAACGAGACUAAAAAUAAACUUAAAGAACUCAAACAAUCUUUUUUUUAGUUAAGGGACCAAAGCGAUACCAAUUAAAUACUUAAGGGACUAAAAGAGCAAUUAAGCCUUCUUUUUAUAUUGAUAUAAAGGGGAUGUGCUUAGAGUAGUAGCCGUCCAAAUGUCGAAAUGAAGUAAAUCAUCCUCACGACUAGAUACAUAAGGGUUGUUGGCGAUGGGAUAAAUACUUUUUUGGACGGAUCCUUGGGUGGGUCGUAGCCCUAUGUGUGACAGAUACAAACAUUUAUAUGAUUUAUUAGAAAAUUAAUUGACGGAGAAGGUUGUUCGCGCGAGAAAAAGAGAUGGAAGGGGCAUGCUGUGCUUUGCUUCAAAAUAUUGUUUUCCAGGUUGGCAUGGUGGAUAGAUAGGAAAUGACAUUUAGAGCCUACCAAUAGUUAUACAAUUAGCGGCAUUAUCAAUUGUUAACGAAUGUGGAACCGACUGCUCAUUUAGCUAUUAUUAUUUGGCAUAAAGUAGUUCUCUUCUUUUUUUUGGCAGUUUCUCUGCAAUCAGAUUUCAAUUAAGGAUAGCUUAAUCUGGAGAGGCAUCCUUCAACAUGAUUCUUAGUAUUGUGUGAGUGGUUGGGGUUUAGAUGGAAUGUUGAACAUCUUUUUUGGAGGUUUAAUUACUUCUAGAGUAUUUGGUCUCUUCUUCGACAUUGGAUUGACAUUUGCUCGUUUGAUCCGCUUCGAUUAUCAAACCACUUUCUUCAAUUAGGUCAUACAUACGGAUCUUCUAAAUCACUUCAAACUUUUUUUUUCUUUGGUUAAUUUGAUUCUCGUGCGUUUGGAUGAAUUGAAAAGAAAUGAAUAAUAGAAUUUUUUUUCAUAAUGAGGAAGAAUCGUUACAACAAUUGUUGGACAAAAUUAAACCCCUCUCUUUUUGGUGGUCGAAAGCAAAAAAAAACACUACAUUUGUUUUUGAUAAUUAUAAUUGGUGGCUUAAUCCUUUACUUUGCUUGAUUUUGACGCGUAACUUUUCUUUUUUAGCUAUGUUUUAUCUAUUUUGACAGUGUAACUGAUUAUUAAAUUAUGUGUUCGGUUCUGAAACUUUUUAUGUUGGGUAGAAUGAUUUGUUCGUAGUAAUAUAUUCAAUUUUGCUUGUUCAAAAAGAAAAGAUCUAUUUAUUAAUAUAAACAAUACUCAUACGUGAUAUAUAAUAACAAAAGAUAUAUUUUUGGAAAGGUAUAGAGCUCUUACUUUAGCAACCUUUCUUCGAGUCCGCUAUGCUCUAGAGGUUAUCUUUAGUCAAUAAAAAAAUCUUUUUUCAAUUUUUUUUUGAAUAAUUAAUGUAUUUAAAUGAGAUAAUAAAUUAUUCAUUUGUUUAUAAAAAUGACCGAAUAUAAGUUAAGAAGCACCCCUAAAAAAAUAAAAAGAAGUGCUUUGAACUGAUUCAUAGGAGGCCAUCAAAUAGAAAUUUGUGAUAACUUUAGAAACGACAAACAACAAGAGUAUGGGGGAAGCUCACAUAUGAGCCAAAAAACUUAUCAACGUCAAAGAUCUUAAAGAAAACACCAAUGUCCCUCUCAUCACUCGAUAACUUCAAGAAUACUUGUCGGACUUUUCUUAAAUAAUUACUACUAAAAUAUAAGCAAAAUUCAUUUUUUAAAUAUAUUUAUUUAAUAAUGUAUAUGGUUCAUAAUAUGAACCACAUACAUCAUUAAAUAAAUGAAAAUUAUCUUUCAUUGAAUUCUUCCAUCGACAUAUUAACAUAUUUCCUCCAUUUUUAAUUAUAGAUAUUUUAAGAAAACAACUUAUUUUGAUUAAACUCUUUUAUUUAUCUGUUAAUUUCAAAUUUUAAGUUUAAUUAAGGUCUCUCUUAAAAAUAAAAAUUCAGUUCUUUUUUAUUGAUAUAUUUUUUAAAUUAUCCUCGAAUUCAUCAAUUAUUUUAUAUUUACCUUGACGAAAAUAGAGUUAACUCACUAUUAAAAAGUGAAGAUAUAUUUAAAUUUAAAUCUCAAUCAGAAUUAUUUUUGAAGUUUUCUGUUUUGAAAGAUUUUUUUGUUAAGUUGUAUACUAUAUAUUUUCUAUACCAAUGUAUAAAAUACCUCUUUUUUUUAUAAAAAAAAAAUACCGUAUAGUUUUUUAUGAUAUAAAAAAUUGUAUAAAUAAUAAUUUUUUGUCAAAAUGACAAACACCACUAAAACUCUUACUAGAAAAAGAAGAAAACACCAAUAAUACUCACACACGCAAUUUCAUAAUCUCUGAUUCAAACACGAAUAAAAAUGUUCAAGUUAAUAAUAUCAGAAUAAACAACCGAAAUAAGUAUACAACUGUAUCUGUAAAAAAAUACUCCAUCUAUCACAAUGAGUGGUGAAAAAUAUUAUCGAAAAAUGAGUGACCCUUUUGAUUUUUAAAGACAAUAUUAAUUAUGUAUUUUUCAAUUUAAAUACUUACACCAAUACAUGAUAAACGAUAGACAUGACAAUAGGGCGGGGUGGGAACGGGUUUUACAUUCCCCGUUCCCAUAUCCGAUUCUCAUAUACUUACCUGUUAUCUUACCUAUAUCCAAUAGGGAUGAAAAAUUGAACCCCAUCCUCGUCUCCGAUGGGUUCGGGUACAUCCCCAUCUCUGCAUUUAAUUAUUUUUUAAUAAAAAAUCGAAGUUUUUUUGUAACCUUAGAGAAAUGUUGUAAUGCAUUAUCCAACAAUAUGCUCACUUUAACAUUUGUUAGACUGAUCGAUUUAGUUGCUCCUUUAAAUAUAAAUGGUGGUUUUUAUAACACGGCAAUUAUCAAACAAAAUAACAUAGCAUAUCAACAUAAAAUAAUUUUAUGCAUUCGGGACGGGUUUGAAUAUGGGUUCGGGAUGGGUACCAAUAUACCCGUUGUUGAAACAAAAUGUGUUUAGCAAUAAUAAUCCUUAAGAGUUUUGAUGAUAACAAAGUAUUAAAAAUUGUCAAUUGGAUAUGCUAGUAUUUGUUCAAGUGUCAAUUGGAUAAGCAAAAAUUUGACAUCUUAAAAUGGUAUUGGAAGAACAAAUAAAGAGCAAAUACAUCAACAAAAAGGGAAGCUUAAAGCGUCUGAAGAAAACUGCUCCUGAAGUUUGAAGUGCUCCUGAAGUGAUGACGUCAUUAGAAGCAAGUUCAUCAGAAGCUGUGAAUCACCAGAAGCUGCAGUUCAUCAGGAGAUGCAACUUAAAGCUUCAAAAGUUGUUUCAAGUAUAACAACGACUAUUUUGAAAGGAUUGAAGGGCAUUUGAUGCUUAUUCUUCAAAGAGCGUUGACAUAGUACGUUUGUACGAAAUGUACAACCACUAUCUCCACUACUCUGUUUUUGUCUCUGCUACAAGACAAGAAAAACAGCUCUGCCUGCAACAAUGUUCCUUCACAUUGGGAACACAUUUGAAAUUGAUCCUUCAUAGGACAAUAACCAUAUCAGGCAAAUGAUCAUUAGUGAUUUAUCAAAAGCUUCAAACGACUCUAUUUUAAAUGUGCUGGCAAUUCAACGUCUCUUUACACCGCUAUAUAAAGGAGUGAAGACUUAGAGUUUCACAAGAACAAUACGAAGCAUUAGCUAAGCCAAAACUCUGUUGAAAUUGUUCUACACUUCAAAGUUCACUUAGAAUUUCUCAUCAAAGCUCAUAUCUUAGAAAUUCUAGAGUCUUUAGAGUCUGUAUCUGAUUUGUAUUGUGAAUACCACUGAUUGUAUAUCAAGUGUUCAACUUCAAACAAUUUUCUUUGUAAUUCUGUUUGAAUUAAGAAGUCUCUUGCAGUUGUGCUUGAGCAAUAGAAGUCUCUUGAUUGUGUUCAGGAGCAUAGGAAGUCUCUUGCAGUUGUGCUUGAGCAUUUGAAGUCUCUUACUAAGUUUAGUAGUGAGCAUUUGUAAUCAGAUAUUACAUAGUGAACUCUCCUUGGAAAUGCAAGGGGGACAAGACUGACUUCCGGUUUGUGGAAGGAACCUGUAUAAAUUGCUUGUGUCUUUCUUCCCUCUCUCUCUCUCUCUCUCUCUCUCUCUCUCUCUCUCUCUCUCUCUCUCUGUUUUUAUCCGCUGCAAUUAGUUCUAAACAUCUCUUCAGAAGCAGAACUCUAUCUGCUUCUGAUCUGUAUUUUCAGUUAGGAGAAAAAGAAGAAAAAGCCAACAGAAUUUAACCCCCCCUUCUUGUGUUUUUCUCACCUUCACCCGUUAACCGUCCCAUACUCGUGUUUUGAAAUCGGGGAAGUCCAAACCCAGAAUUGCCUAAUAAACGAUAAUUUAAUAAAAAAGAAAGAGAAAUGCAAACUUGUGCCCUUAAGGCACAAGUUAAAAGCUAAAUAUAAAAUUAUUUUUUUAGAAAAUUGUGUAUUCAACACUACAAAAGUUUAAACAUUUAUAAUUUAAAUAUAAAAUUUAUUGCUUAUUUCUUUUUAUAGCUCCUUAACUUGUGCCCCAAGGGUACAAGUUAGCAUGAUCCAAAAAGAAAUGAUAACAAAUACUAUCUCCGUCCUUAAAUAUAAAUAUAAUACGAUUUUGGAAUUUUUUUUGUCUCUUUUUAUAAGACUCCUUUGAUAUUUGUAAGUACAUUAAUUAAUUCUUUACCAACAAACCUCUAUUUAUUUUAUAUAUCUUUUUCUUCGAUCAACAUUAAAUACUAUGUUGAAAACAUACACUAAUCCUAUCUUUUAAAAUAUAAAAUUGUAAAACAAUAGCAAUUACAAAUAAAUUUAUUAACACUUUCAAUUUUCUUAAUUCCUGUUAUUUUUCUUAUAUAUUCCUAUAAGAAAGAGAUAGUAUCCUUAUACAUUGUUUAAAGAGAUAAAAGAAGUAACUUUUGUAUAAAAAUUUGUGUAUUUAUCUAUACAAAUGAUUAAUUGAAUUGGUUAUUGUGAGAUGGCGGAGGUAAAUGAUUUAUGGAGUUAGGACAUAUACCAUAAAGUUGGAGAACUAACCGCUCACUUGAUCAGUGUGCGGAGGCAAACAAAUGAGGUAAACAUAUUAAUUAGCUAAGACGACCAUAUUAUCAGCUAAUUUUUAGUUAUUGAUUAGCAUAUCAGAUUAUAUUAAACACAUACUAAUGAAAUGCUAUAAAUUUAUUCCUCUAAAAAAAACAACAGUUCACUUGAUCAGGAUGACAGUCCAAUAAAAGAGGUUCUGAUAGGGGUAGAGUACAACUGUGAGCUUGUGAUAAAUGACAAAAGGUGACGGGUAGCAUUUGGGUGAUAUAGAGUUGGGUGACAUUGGUGAUAUUGACCAAUCACAAUGUCACAAUGUUUAUGAAAAAGAGAGAAACACAAGCAUUGUGGCAUUAUGAUUGACCAAUAUCACCAAUGUCAUCCAACUCUAUGUCAUCCAAAUAUUUUCCUGUGACACCACAGAAACUUCUCCAAAACAUGAAAUCCAAAACGUGAAAGACGUGAGUUUCCCGGAAUAUCAAUGUUGGAUCGCUUUUCCUAGAUUACGAUUGACACGUGUGUAUCCACUAUUCGGAGAGCCUUUAGAUAUUGUGCGCAGCCCCGGGCCCACAUGCCUUUGUUUUCCACUACUUUUUUUCUAUCUCAUUUCCAUAUGUUUUCGUCAUUCCAUCUCAUUUUAAUAAUCGUUUUAAAGUUACAUCUGUCUUAAAAAUAUUAAUAAAAUUGAUUUUAAUUGUAAAAUUAGUAUGAUUUACUAAAAUGUUUGUAUUAAUUAUAGUUAAUGGAGUAAAAUUCAAUAAAUAAAUGUAUACUAAUGAAAAUAAAAAUAAAUGUUGCAUGAAUAUUCUAAAGUUACAAUUAUUUUAAGAUAUAAAAACUUUUUAAAGUGACAAUUAAAAUGAGAUAGAGGGAGUAUUGGGGUAAUAGUCUUUUUGUCCUUGAAUAUGUAAUGGGUAGCUAGUGUCACAAUAGUUCUUCAAUGUAUCAAAAUUUUAAAACAGUCUCUGAUUGUGCACUUCGUUCCUCAAUAUAUCACAAUAAAUACUUAUUUAUUGUCAUUUAAGUCUUUACAUAAAAAGAGUUAUCGUAAGUAUUGAGAUGUUAUUUUAGUGUCAGUGACUAAUUUGACUAACAAAGAACACAAUCAAAGACUAUUUUAAAAUUGCAAUGCAUUAAGGGAUUAUUGUGACUACUACUUACACAUUCAGAUAUCAAAAUAACUAUUACAUCGAGAAAUAUUUGCAUGCUGCAUGUCACAUGACUUACAUAAUAGACACACAUCAAUGUACAAUUUAAAUAUUUAAUAUUUUUUUGUUAUUUAUUAGAAAAAAUUAUAUAAAUUUGAUAUAUAUUUUUAAAAAAAAAAAGUCAAAUUAGCUCAUUGAAAUUAGAAUCAAAGGGAAUCGAACCUCAUGCAUUGAUAAGAGUACAUUUCAAGGUUCUAAGUCAAAACCAUCAAGCCAAUCCAAAAUGAGUUAAUAUUUAGAAAAUAUUUAUCGAGACAAAUUCAACAAUAUCUUAUAUGCUACCAUUUAUUUUUAUAUACUAUGUUUUUUUUUUAGAAAAUAUGGUUAAAGUAUUAGAUAUUAAUAUUACACAUUAUUAAUAAGGUCAUUGAGUUUCAUCAUCUUUGCUAUAUAGUUUUUUUUUUUGACGGUCCCUAUUUGUCUUGUGCCUGAACUUGAUCAUUAAUAAAUUUUACAGUUAAAAAUAUAUAUUUUAUAUGAUGUGGAGGGAAUAGUAAACAUCAUCUAAAACUUAAUAUUACAAAAUUUUGGAUUUAAAUCCGAUUUGACAUUGUCAAUUGUGCCAGGUCUUACAAAUUUGGUUGUUCAUUCUUGUUUUUUGGUUUUAUUUAUCUACUAAUAUUACAUCAAUUUUAAGAUUUAGUUAAAAACAAAAAUUUGUUAGACUUUAUUAUUCUCAUGUUUCACUUUCACAAGUUUCUGUCACGUAUAAAGAAACAUCCAACCGGGAAGUUAUAAACUUCAUACAAAAGAAGUACUACUAUAAUAUUUUAUUUUGAAAGAAGGACUACUAUAAUAUAUACAGCUCUAUUUGAAUUAGAAAAUGUUACUUAGGCCGAAAAAAUUCGCACAAAAUCUUCACGAUAGAUAUGAAUAAUGAAUAGCUAUUUAGCGGACAUUUUUGGUAUUUACUAGUGUGGAAAAAUGGGUCGUGCCUGAUUGGUCCGUUUAAUCCGACAUUUUAAAUGAAGGAUUUGAACUCGAUUAUUUAAGUUGAUCUACUCUAUUUCAUUUUUGUCGAAUUAAAAACGGGGCGGCCAAAACGGCCCGUGCCAUCCCCACUUUGCGAUCCUAGUAAUUACUUUUUCUCAUGUUUUAUGCUAGAUAGAAGAUACAACACUCUUGCUAAAAAAAAAUCCAACUCUCAUAAAUAAUUCAUGAUAAUAAUAUUCGUUGUGUCCCCGUGAGCAUAGCUCAGUUGACAAGGACAUGCAUUAUUAUACGUUGAGGUUGGGGUUCGAAUUUCGGACACCUCACUUAUUCACUUUAAAAAUGGUAAAUUCUAGCCACUUGAUAAAAAAAAAUAAAAAAUAUUCGCCGUAAAUUGCUUAUCUCUAAUCUCUUAUCUUUAUUCUUUACCUUAUCAAAUUAUGCCAAAAUUGACUUAGCUUUUGGAGUACCAUUUGCAUAAAUCUCAUCCUGUUUCAAUUGAGCCCCUUAUAGUAAACAGUGUGCUUAAUAUCUAGAUUAGUUGGUUCCUUCUAAAAGAAAAUCUAGAUUAGUUGGUCUUUGGUCCGUUACCAAGUUUAAUAAAGAAACGAAAGUUAAAUAAAAAAUUUAUCUUAAUUCUUUUUAAAAAAAGUUGUUUUAACUUUUACCUGUAUGACUUUUACCUUUGAUUCCAAAAUUUGUUUGUAUUAAUAGAUUAUUAUUAAUUAAAUAUUCCAAGUGGUAUAUGUGCGCCCAUAAAGAUUAUCAAAGUUUCUUUUAAAAAUUUGACUGUUUUUUUUAUUUUUUUGAAAGAAUUUUUUUGACUGUUAUAAAGCUAUAUAUACAGAAGUUUCUGUUUAAUAUAAGGAAUUAAUUGAUAUAAAAAUAUUUUCAACAAAAUGACAUUUUGACUUCUGAAAUAAAAAAAUACUAUUAUUUUUUCCAAUGACUUUCUCUUUGUUGAACAAUGACGUAUUAUAUUAUUCUUUAAUAGAAAAAAAAUGGACUUGGUAAAUUUUAUAUUUGUAUAUGGAAAAAAUUGAAUAAAUGGAAUUGGUAAGAGGAGAAAGUGGUGUCUAGUGAGUUCCACUUUUUUGACCAAAACCAAAAUGUAUUAGAAAAGUCUUCCACUCUUUCUAUUAACCUUUGCAACUUUCAUUUCUUCAUCACAAAAGCAACCAAAAAACCAGUCUUAGUUUCUUUGCUUCGUGUCUUGUCUCUUUGUUUUUUAAGGUACGCUUCUUUUCUUAUAUUUCUUGCAUGUUGUUUGUUUUCACUUCAUAAUGACGAGUUUAAAAUGGUUCCACUUCCUUUAUUAGUCUCUUUGAAUAUGUAAUAUGAUGUUUUUGGUUUGAUAGUUAAUUGAUGAAAGAAAAAACAUUGACCAUGUUAAUAAUUUUUAUUUUUAUUUUUCGUUUUGUUUUACCAUGGAAACAACAUAGGACAGGUUGUUUUCUGUUUUCUGUUUAGAUUUUGUUUGUAACGAUUUCUUGUUUCAUAUCUUACCUGUAUUCAUGAAAAUAUUUAUAAUGAUUGGUGUAUAACUAUAAAUGACAGAAAUUUUUGUUCAUCAAAAAAUAAAUAACUGAAAGAAUUAACAUUUUUCAAUUAAAGCAUAUGAUUGUUGUAAAUUUCAGGCUGUUCAUGAUUAUGUAAGUUUAAAGGUUUUUUGUUUUGCCAACAAUUACAUGCAUAGACAAAAUGGGAAAAUUUAGCCCUUUAAGUUGAUUUUAUCUGUUUUAACUUUGUUAUGUUAAACUGAGUUUUGUGGUUUAAAUUUGGAAAAAAAAUCAUGGUUGGUUCAUCAGCAUCUUCUUGAAUCUUUUUCUCUUGUGUGGUUUUUUCAGAAAUCUUCAUGUGCGGUGAUUCUAAGAAAAAAACUUGUCAAAAGGAUUUGAUUAUGGGUUGUGAGUUUGUGAAUGGGAAUAAAGAAGGGCAGUAUCAUGAGGUUUCUUAUUUGCUUGAAUUUUCAGCUGCAGAUGAUGUGAUUGGUUUCAAAAAUGCGAUUGAAAACGAGGGUUGUGAUGUUGAUGGGGUUGGUUUGUGGUAUGGAAGGAACGUUGGUUCAAACAAAUUUGGUUAUGAAGAGAGGACACCUCUCAUGGUUGCUGCUAUGUAUGGAAGUUUGGAUGUAUCGGCUUAUAUUCUUGGAACAGGUCGGGUUGAUGUUAAUCGGUCUAGUGGAUCCGAUGGUGCUACUGCUCUUCAUUGUGCGGUUGUUGGGGGUUCUGCUGCUUCCCCCAAGAUUAUCAAGAUUUUGCUUGAUGCAUCGGCGGAUGCUAGUGCUGUUGAUGCCAACGGUAGCCGACCCGUUGAUUUGAUUGUUUCUCUGGCCAAUUCUAUCUUCAAUCAAAGGAAGAGGAUGCUACAAGCUCUUUUGGAGGGGACAGGCGGUGCUGAUCAGACACAUCUUUUGUUUCCAGAGACAAUUGAUGACAUUGACGAAUAUCAAAGGCAAGAUGUAAACACACCUCGUGUUUCAAAAGAUUAUGCUGUUGAUGUCUCUCUUCCAGACAUUAAGAAUGGGAUAUAUAGUACCGAUGAGUUUAGGAUGUAUACAUUCAAAGUGAAGCCUUGUUCAAGGGCUUAUUCUCAUGAUUGGACCGAGUGUCCUUUUGUUCAUCCAGGGGAAAAUGCAAGGCGACGCGAUCCAAGGAAAUAUCAUUAUAGCUGCGUCCCUUGUCCUGAGUUUCGGAAAGGAUCUUGCAGUAAAGGAGAUUCUUGUGACUAUGCACACGGUAUUUUUGAGUGCUGGCUUCAUCCUGCGCAGUAUAAGACACGGCUUUGCAAGGAUGAGAGUUUGUGCAUGAGAAGAGUUUGCUUCUUUGCUCACAAGGUCGAGGAGCUUCGCCCCUUGUAUGCUUCUACCGGUUCUGCUAUUCCAUCUCCUAGGUCAUAUUACAGUACUGCUUCUACAUUAGAGAUGGGUUCAAUUAGCCCAAUGUCACUUGGUUCUCCAUCUGUUUUGAUACCACCCUCCUCAACGCCGCCUUUGACUUCAUCUGGAGCGUCGUCUCCCGUUGCUGCUACAGCCAUGUGGCAGACACCGUCUAAUGUUUCGAUCCCUACCCUUCAGCUUCCCAAAAGCAGGUUGAAGACUGGAAUGACCGCUAGAGAUAUUAAUUCAGAUAUUGCAAUGCUUAGGGUUGAAACUCAGCGGCGAAAGCAGCAACUACUGAUGGAUGAGAUGUCCGGUCUUUCCUCUCCUUCCAACUGGAAUCAUUCCAUGCCUAACAGUCCAUCUUUUCCGGUUUCUUCGACCAACCAUACCACCGGGGAACUAAAUAGGUUUUCGGGGGUGAAUCCUACAAACCUUGAAGACUUUUUCGGGUCUCUUGAUCCGUCAAUGUUGCAUAAAUUCCACGGAAUUUCACUUGAUUCUGCAGGAUCUCAGUUACAAUCUCCGACUGGAAUCCAAAUGCGUCCGAAUAUGAACCAGCAUCUGCAACAAAACUAUUCUUCAGGCCAUUCCACUUCCAGUGUGAUUGGAUCUCCGACUUAUAGGUUUCAGCCAUCCGGGGAGUUAUCCGCAUCGGCUUUGAAUGCAAGAGCUGCUGCAUUUUCAAAGCGGAGCCAGAGCUUUAUCGAGCGCGGUGUCACAAACCGUCAUUCUGAGCUUCAUUCUCCUGCUAAGCCUUAUGCUUUUUCUAACUGGGGCUCACCCGAUGGAAAUUUAGAUUGGACUUCACACGGAGAAGAACUGAAUAAGCUGAGGAAAUCAUCUUCAUUUGCAUUUCGAACCACCAGUACUCCUUUAACUCCAGCUGCAGCUAGGGCACAGGAAAAUGACUAUGAACCAGAUGUGUCUUGGGUUAAUACACUUGUAAAGGAUGCUACGCCGCAAGAAUCUCAUCAGUUUAGUGUUGAAGAUCAGAAAAGGAAACUGCAGCGCCAUCUUAACAAUGGAACAGAUUCGAUUCCGGCUUGGUUGGAGCAAUUGUACAUGGAUCAGGAGCAAAUAGUGCAGUGAAUGCAAUUUUAGAAGUUACUCACAAUGUUUUGCUCCUUUUUCGCAACUCUCUCAACUCGGCUCUUAAUUCAUUUUAUGAUUUUUUUGAAUCUUAUAGAAUUUGUUUAGAUGACAAUUUGUAAAACUGAUGGAAAAAAUAGUCCCCAAAAGCUAUAGAAUAUACUAUAGAAGUUGGGUAGGAUGCAAAUUUACUGCUCAAGGAACUACAUAUUACCAGAGUAAUUGAUCACAAUUUUUUCUGAUAUUUUGUCAUAUAGUCUAUUGAGUUGUGAGUUUUAACUUUCCAUUGACAAAUUUACAAAGAUGUAGUGAGAUUAAUGAUCAAUAUGAUGAGGCUAAAGAGGUAACAAUUUUCAGAAUGUCAAUUCUCAAUUUACAUAUCACACAAUUUAAUUUAUUUUUUGUCUUAACCAUUUGAUAUAUAAAGAAAAGAAAUCUUAAUAAUCUGGAGUUUGAUUGUGAGAAAAGAUUCUAAUAAUCUGGAGUUUGAUCGAGAGAAGUCUGAUUAAAAAUUGUUUUAGUUGGAUUUAAACUCGAAUACUCUCAAUUGAUUCGAUUUUCAUUGAAGUUUAUUAAGCACACAUCUUAAUUGGUUUUUUCUAAAUGUUUUGAAGUGCUAAACAAGUUAUGAAGUCAACUUUGGCGUGUUUGAUUUUUCCUAUUUACCAUUCACAGUGAUGUUUAAGUGGGUCCAGUCUAGUUGCAACUUAGGUGAGCUAUUGAGGGUCUACUUAAAUAUUGCUGUACUAUUUGUGACACUUGUAGCAGCCAAAUUAGACUGAUUUUUGUUGGAUUCUACUAUGUUUAGAUUUGUAUUGACAAACUAGCUUUAAAGUUAUUAUUUUUUCUCAGAGAUUUUAUUUAAGAUUCUAAAAUUUAAAAUAGUUCAACGUGUUUUUAGAGGUUUUAUGCGAUGUUUUUAGAGAUUUUUAUAGAAUGUUUAUGUCAUUUAAAUUCUAUAAUCCAAACUAUAUAGGACUCGCGAUAAAUUUAUAAGAUUGAAAAAGAAGCAAUCCUAACUUGAACGUGAUUUUAUUGAGUUACAUGAGAUAUACACAUGCAAGGCACUAUAAAUGUGUGACAUGUAGUAUAACUUUCUAAUAUUCCUAAACAUGUAAAAUGUUACUUUUUUUUUUGAAAGAAUGUAAAAUGUUACUAUUGGUUAAUGUUUUGUUGAAGCAUAUAAACAAAUAAAAUCCUUUAAAAUUUGUUUAAAAAUAGACUAAUUUUGUAGACAGCAAAGAUUUUAUUUGCAUUUCUUACUCUUUUUAUUCUUGAGCUUUGUAGAAUCAGCAUAGUUUCAUUUUCUGUUAGUAUAUUAUCUUGUAUUUUUUAAAGUUUACAUUCAUUUGAGCACUAAGAAAAAGCUUUUUACAAAGUUUUUGUCGUAUUCUAAUUGGCUUUUAUCGCACUUUGGCUUUUUUCAUCAACCUUUUUCUUGGGAUGACAUAAUGAAACUUAUAGUUCAGGUCUCUUGACAUAAUUUUGGUCCACACGUUAAUAUUUGUUUAAUAUUUAGGAGCACUAAAAAGUUACAAGUCAAGUAAGUUACGCUUCUUCUAAAACUCUCAUGUUUGAUUUUUAUUUAAAAGUAACCAAAUAUUUCUACCAUUUAAGCCAAUAUCCAUGGCUUUGGCUGAUUCACUAGAAUAAAUUUGAGUAGCCUGAUAUGUUUACUUGAUUUUAAUGUUCUCCACCUUUGAAGUUUUUCCCCCUCAAUACGUUUAACAAUCUAAACUUUGUUUGGAUUUGGAUUAUGUCAUUACUUGCGAUUUUUUGUCAAAUGUAGCUUCAGUUUUUUCCACACAAGGGGCCCCUUGUGCAGAAAAUUAGAGGUAGCUUCAAUAUUUUACUAGUGGAUACAACAUUUGUCCCUCUGUAUGGAAAAAAAAAAAAUACCAUCUCCACUAUACAUGAAGUUGUCUACUUGUGAUGUGUGAAAUGCAUUGUAUAUUUAGAUGAACUUUGUAUAUUUGGUUCGUCUUGGAUCGGUUCGGUUAAUUAGUUGGUUUGAAAAUACAAUUAAAAAAAAAAUCAUAUUCUUUUAAGUUUGUAUUUCCUAUAUACAACUCACCCAAAUAUUUCAUGGAACUUUGUAUUUCAUUUUUUGUUUUUCAUUAUCUUUGAUUUUCAAACAACUUUAAAUUCAUGAAACACAACUUCAUCAAAAUCAAAUUUUUCAAUCCUCCAUAAUAAUUCAUACACAAAUUUAUUUAUAAUCAUUCAUGAAUCAAACACAAAUUCCAAAAGACAUCCAGAAAUUAAAAUAUACUCAAAACAAUACUCCAUGCAAACUAAAAUUUAAACAUCCUAAAAUUAAGUUUCUCGUCAAAUUUUUAAAAAAAGUCCACACUAAAAUUUCAAUUUCAAUUCACAUUCACAAUCCUAACUUUACUUAAGUGUGUGUAUGAGGUGUAAGGGAAAUGAUAUUAGUAAAUUGAGAGGGCGCGGUAAGAAUCGAUUCGGUUCAUUAGUUCUUUGGGUUUCAAAAUCAAAAUCCAAGAACUGAACCAUACUAAAAUAAUUUAGGUUGAUUUAGUUUAAUUUUAAACAGAACCAAACAAGGUCGAAUAUUUUUUUUGUUUGAUUCGGUUUGGAGUUUCGAUUUCGUUGAUUUGGUCUAAACCAUUUACAUCCCUAACUUUUAUUAGUACUUUGUUAUACAAAAAAUAAUGUUACGUAACAUUAUUAUUUUAAGAUCCAGAGCUAGUAACAACCUGUUGUCGUUUAGGACAAACUCCCAAGAAAAGUAAAAUGGAAAUUAUAUUUAGGGUUAAUAGUGUUUUUUACCCCUGUAAUAUAUGUUAUUUUUGGUUUUCGCCCCUAUAAAAUUUUCGGUUUGAUUUGCACCCUUGUAAAAAUUUUAUUUUCCGGAAAACACUCCUAAUAGGCCAUUUUCAGAAUUUUUUUUCCAAGAAAUUUUGGUUUUUGAAUGGCUUAUUAAGGAUGUUUUCCGAAAAAUAAAAAUUUUACGAGGGUGCAAAUCAAACCGAAAAUUUUAUAGGGACGAAAACCGAAAAUUACAUAUAUUACAGGGUGAAAAAAACUAUUAACCCUUAUAUUUAUAAUGAGAAAAUGAAUUACAUCAAAAGAUAGGAGGGGGUACAUUUGAUAAGGCUUACUAUAAGCCAUUGAUUUGGUUAUAGAUCAAUUAAUUUCACGAGUUCCUCGAGCAGAAUCAGUUCGGAACAAAUUAUUUGAUCUAUAACCAAAUAAAUGGCUUAUAGAAUAGUCCAUAAUUCAUAAUUAGAACCUAAGGAUCUUCUGAAAGCCAAAAUUUGCAUUUACCGUUAUAUUCGAAGCACGAUUCAUCAACACUAGAAUUGGUGAAAGAAUAUGGAAUUUAUUAACCAUAAAUCUGCGAAAACAUGAUAAGUUUUGAAGUCUAAAACAAUAAGCCGCAGCGCUGCAAUAGUCGCUGCAACAGACAUGAUGCCAUAGAACCAAAUGUUGAUCAAAUGCCAAAGCUUUCGAAUGGAUGUUAGUUUGUUCUUAUUCGAAGUCGUGUUAGCACGUCUAACCAAAACUCGAAAUGACAAGUUCUUAAAAGCCAGAGCAUUCCCUUUGAUCCCAUGUUUGGUAUCAAACUACUCAUACAUUGAACAAAUUCAAGUUAUCAAGUAUUUCGCGUCAAAUGUAGUAUUUUCGCCUCUUUCACGGUUUUGAAGUGAAACUAUCUACUGCUUGUCAGCUGAAACAAUUGGAGGUUUCUCAAAAUAUCAGAAGAAGACUAAAAUCACAAAAGAGUGGCAUUAUAUUCCAUGGUAAGCAGAUAAAAUGAAAGAAGAUGUUCAGAAUAGAGAUAGAAGGAAUGAUGAUGAAACUCAGAACACAAUUGCAAGAUCUGGACAACAAUUUCAGAUGUACCGACCGGGGAAACCAGAAACAUGUACAUUAUUCUCUUCACACAAAAGUACAUUAAUCAAAUGAGUGUCAAUGAAAGCUAUGACAAUAUAUGCAAGGCGUAAGACCGUCGAAAAUCCUAGCCAAAUUCCAAGAAACGAAAGAUGAGGAAUACAAAUGGUAAACAUUGCACACACAAGUCCAGCUAUAGAAAUAAAACGUGGAAGCUUCAUUUGAUCAUCAUCCCUAAAUAGAACAUAAAUAGCCUGCACAACAAGGAUAUUUACAAAAUCUUCCCCAAAAAUAUGUUACACUCAAUUUGAUUUCAUACAAAAUCUUCAUCUUACAUGAAAGAUAUAAUAUUACAUAAAAAACCGUCUAGAAGUCCUAGCUCAACUUGUAAAUGCCGAAAUUGCAAGGCCGGACAUCGUGACCCGGGUUCGCAUAGAUUGAGAUAGUUUGGGAUGGAUUGAUAUAUUUUGAGAUAGUUUGGCAUAGUUUGAGAUAGUUUAAGAUAGUUUGAAAUGGUUUGUAAAUUUUGGUCUUUAUAAAUAUAUAAACUUUUUAUUUUAGUUCCUCUAAAAUUUUCCUUUAACUUAUAGUUUGUAUAAAAUUUUCAAUUUUUACAUUUGGUCUCUAUUUUUAAUUAAUUUUUGUAUUUUUUUAUGAAAUUGAAUAUAAACGUAUAGAAUAUUGUAAAAGUCACUCCAAAAAAAAUCAUAAUUUUUUAUUAAAACAUAAAUUAAAUAUGAAUCUUUUACCAUAAAAAAUAUAAAAAUUCAUAUUUAAUACAUGUUUUGGUAAAAAAAAUCUAAUUUUUUUUUUGGAGAGAUCUUUAUAAUUUUAUAAAUUUUUCUGCAAAUUUUUAUUCAAAAAUAUAAAUUCUACAUAUGAGCUUACUUUAAAGAAGGGAUCAAAAUGAAGAUGAAAUUUUUUUGGAGGACUAAAAGUUGAAGAAAUUUUUUAAAGGUACUAAAGCGAAAAAAUUAACAUAUUUAUAGGGACUAAAAACAUAAUUAACCUUAUUUUAAUUGAGAAAUAUAAAAAAAUAUUUUUAACUGCCUUUCUUUAAUUGUGUCCCAUAGUUUGACUUGGUUUUAUAAGACAUGUUUUUUCUAGAUUACCCUCUCUUAUUUAGAGGGUAUUUUACGCUCUCAUGAUAUCAACCAAUCAAAAUGUAAUAUACAUUGGCAACAUUAAAUGUCAUAAAUGACUCAAUUUUUUUCUAAAAAAGAAUCAAUUAUAAUCAUAAGGUAACUUUUAAUUUUUUAUUUAAUUAUAGACAUGAUUACAUUAGAGAUCAUUUAUCUUAUUUAUUUGUUACACUUGGGUCCUUUAUCUUUAUUUUUUUUCACUUAGGUCAUUUAUCUCUUAUAAAAGCACAUAUACAUCAUUUUUCUCAUUUUUUUAAUUAUAAAAAAUACAUAAUUUUAUUUUUUAAAAUAUCUUUUUAUUAAAAAUAAAACAAAUCCAGAAAUAUGAUGAAGAUGUUCAUCAUCUUCAUCUUCUUCCUUUGAAUCUUCAUCAUCUUCGUUGAAUCAAAAGAAUUUCUACACAAAUAUAUCUCCAAAUAUCAUGAAUUAAUGUUAUAUUCACCUCAAAUUUUCUUUUAAACACAAAAAUCAAACCCCUAUAGAGAAAGAGAUUUAGUUUUAUCACAACAAAAAAAAAUAGUUAUAUAAAUUGUCAAAGCUGUAUAUUACUAUUUUUAUUAUUUUCUAACUCAAUAUUCAAGUCCGACAUAAAAAUAACCUCAAAAUUGAUAGCAACUUUGCAUAUCAAUUUUGUUGUUUCCAGAACAAUCUUAACUUUCGUAAAGCCUAACCCUUCCGUCAGUGACUAAGCCUCCAGCAUCCGCCUUGCAACAUUUGUGAAAUUAAGAUUUUGAUUUUUGUGUUUAAAAUAAAAUUUGAGGUGAAUAUAAUAUUUCGAGAUAUAUUUAAAAAAAAUUUUUUUUGGGAAAAUUACACUUUUAGUCCUUUAACUUAAUUUCAGGUAACAAUUUGGUCUUUUAUCUUUUUUUAUUUUAAUUUGAUCCUUUUUGUCCAUUUUCAUAUACAUUUUCAAGCUUCGAAUCUAAUAUUUUAUGCAAACAUAGACAAGGAUCAUAGAUUUGAAGACUCAAGGACCAUAAGAAAAUAAAAUCAUGAAUUUUAAGCUUAAAAAUUCAUAUGAAAAUAGACAAAAAUGACCAAAUUGAAAUGAAAAAAAACGAUAAAGGACCAAACUGUUACCCGAAAUUAAGUUAAGGGACUAAAAGUGUAAUUUUGCCAAUUUUUUAUUUAUUUAAAGAAGAUGAUUAAGAUUCAAAGGAAGAAGUGAAGAUGAUGAACAUCUUUAUCAUAUUUUUGGAUUAUUUUUUUUCAGUUUUAAUAAAAUAUAUUUCUAAAAAUAAAAUUAUGUAUUUUUUAAUUAAAAAAAUGUGUAAAAAGAUGUAUAUGUGCUUUUAAGAGAGAUAAAUGACCUAAACGGGAAAAAAUAAAGAUAUAUGACCAAAGUGUUACAAAUAAAUAAGAUAAAGGACCCAUAAUAUAAUAUUGUCUUAAUUAUAUUUAGUGUUCAAUCUUAAUUAAUUUACACUACAGGACUGGCUUAGAACAAUUAAAAUUUCACAUCAAAUUUCUUUCAUCUGAAUGUCCUUAAAUUUAUCAGUUAUAUUCAUAAAAUUUAUUCAUCCCAUUUUGAUUGUUCAAUUUUGUCGUUCCCAACUGCCGCAUUUUUCAAUUUUCGUGAGAAUCGUCAUGAUUUCAAAUAUCGUGAGAAUUGCCUUUACUUCCAGUACAACGUCAAGUAUGAUGACUUGAUUUUUCUUUUUGAUUUGAUUUUUCUUGGUUGUGAGGUAGUUAAUUAUAACAAUUGAGUAAAUCAUCCGUUGUACUUUGAGGGCUGCUAGCAGGUGUUGCCGCUGUGAUGCUGUGGGAGUUUGCUAGCAUUUUUAUGGUUGCUGCUGAAAUGGUUAUGUGAUGAGAUUUUUGUUCUUUUAUUUGGAUUUAAAAGCUUUUGCUGAUAGUGAGACAGGUCUAUGCGUGUUAACAUAUUUUAUUAGGUUGACUGCUUAAAUAAAAUAAAAAAGUCACGAUACCUGACGCAGUUCUAGAAACAACGACAAUUCUCACGAUAAUUGGAAAUUGCGGCAAUUUGGAACGACAAAAUUGAACAAUUAAAAUGUGAAGAAGAAUGAAAAAGAAACAAAAAUUGAUCAAUAUGGAAGAAUAAAGAAGAAGAAAUUUGAAAGAAUGAGAUGUUUUUGUUCUCACGUUCGGGGUUCUGGAAUGGAAGAAAUUUUAUGAAUAUAAAUGAUGAAUUUAAGGACAUCCAGAUGAAAGAAAUUUGAUGUAAAAUUUUAUUUGUUAUAAGUUUUAUAGUGUAAAUUAAUUAAGAUUGAACACCUUAAUAUAAAAAAAAAAUUAAUAAAAAUUAAAAGUAUUAAAAGUUACCUUUUGAUUAAGAUUAACUCGCCUUCAAAAAUAAAAUAAUUAAGACUAACUCAUUUAUUUUUAGAAAGAAUCUACUCAUUUUUUUUUUAAUUCCAAUCUUUUGAUAUUUCUUGAAUGUUGCUAUUAUUAAGGAUUCAUUAUUGCUUGACUCAACAAUAACGUGACACGAGAAGUUUAGGGACAACAAUAGAUACAAACGAUGUUUUUUCAAUUAGAGAGAAGAACAUAAGAAAAGAAGAUAUUAAAAGGAGAAGAACAGAAGAAACAUAGCAUUAGAGAGAAGAGAAAUAAAGUAGAACUCAUCGAUGGUGUUGAUGGAUGCAAUUGGUGAUGUUGGUGUUGAGAUUGAGGCGACGGUGGUAAUGAUUCGAAGAGGGAAUAAUUAUCAAUCGGUGGUGACGAGAAACCCUAUUUUUUAGGUUAGAAGAGGCAAUAUGUUUUUGAUUUUAUUUUAGGGAAGCAAUAUGUUUUUUAUAGUGUUGUCGGUCUUUAUGUAUUUUUAUUUCUUAUUCUUUUAUUACUUUUUUUAAAAUGGAAAUAUGUAAGACAGAAAUCACAUAUUAAAAAAAAGGGAAAAUCAUGCAUACGUAUCGCGAUAAAGUAUCGGUUUAUUCAGCCAUAUUGAAGUAUAAGUUAGCCGUAUCCGACACGUAUUGUUUUUUUUAUUUUGCAAAAAAAAUAAAUAUUAAUGGCCCGAUACUUCUCUAAUACAUAUGUCUGAACGUAUCGAGAUGUAUCAAUGUCGGAUACGCGUCGGACACAAUUCUUCACUAUUUUAAGAGUAUCGAGGCUUCACAAAUCUAUGUUUGAAAUGAGGAUUUUAGUGAUUAAUAUUGUUGUUGGGCAUCAUACUCUUGGUUUUACAAAUACUCUCUUGUGAUUUGGUAACUAUAAUUUGAGGCGUACAUAAUUUUGUAACAUUUUGUUGUUUUUGAUUUUUGAAGAAACAUUUUGUUGUUUAUGAUAUUUUGAUGCAGAGAUGCAUGAUUUUGAUGAAUGAAAAUGAGCUUCAACAGAAUUCAGUUUCGUCCUUUAACUUCUUAUGCUCAAUUCAUUUCAGUCCCUUAUUUUAAAAUUAAAAAGUCAAUUUGGUCCCUUACUUUGUGUCAAAAGUUAUAUUUUUUUGGUCCCUUACAUUUUCUAUAAAGUAAAAUUUGGUCCCCAAUCCGAAAUAGAUGAUUAUGACAGUAUAACUGGAUCAAAACUAACUCAAACCAUAACAUAAUAUAACCUGGUCAAAAUAGUAUAUCAUUAAUAAUAGGUUAAAAAGUGAUUCACAACGAAGACAUAAUAAAAUUCAAAAUAUAUAUCUUAUAAGUCCUAACUCAAUCCAUAAAAAUAUUGAAACUGUUAAGCCGUACAUUAUAACCGGAGUUCGAACCCGGAGUUUAUGAUAACUUUGCCAUCCCUUCCAUCUCUAUAUAGAACAUUGAUAAUGUAACCAAAAAAUAUAGAACAUGACCCUUGUUCUAAAUUCCUUUUUUUCUAUGGCCUUCCCAGCAUCUUCUUAAUGGGAGGUUGCUGCAGAUCUGUAUAUUGUGUCCGCACCCACAAAUUUGAGCCAUUACAUGGACACACUGAAGGUAGGUAAACUGCUUCAUAACAUGCCUUCUUGUAGCAUGCCGGUAUCAAAAGACUUAACCAAAUUAUUGAGUUACAAUAAUCGUGUAUAUAAGUUUGUGGUUAGUGUGGUUCUGCCAAUGGGUGUUUAAUUUUAUAAAAGUCAUAUAUCCAUGUAAGUAUAAGAAAAGUGAUUAUUUAUAGGGAUAACAUAUUAAGAGAGUGUGUAAUUACAUUUAGUCAAAAUCAAUAAAUGUUCCACAAUAUUUGAUAUUCAAUUAAUCCAAAAUUUAGCAAAAAUGUGACUAUGAAAAUUCAUAAGGAAAUACUCCCUCCGGUCCUUAUUAUAAGAAAAAAUUAACUUUUUAGAUACAAUGAAUCAAAAAAGUUAAUUGUUUCUUAUAAUAAGGACCGGAGGGAGUAAGAAACUCAAGAAUCUCCAAAUUAGAUUAACAUAUAUCAAUAAACGUUUCUAUGAAUGUUGGAUUCACCACAAUGAAACGUUUCCUAAGGUUAGAUAAGCUUCAACGCUCAACAAACAUUAACAGAGUAUUUACAAAUCACACAUCAAAGAGGUUCUCAUGUUGGUGACGGAUGAUUUUGCUAUGUGAAUCAACUUCUUAUCAACUGAAUCAAUCUUAUUGAAAUUAACUUAUGGUUUUAGAUAGAUUAAUAUUGCAGAUAACAAUGAUUUUAUUUGCAUUUACAGUUUUAAACGUGUUUGUUUUCUUAUCUUCUUUAUAUUCUUGGUCAUGAUCUUGUAGUCAGAAUAUAAGUAUAGUUUAUCCUUAAAAUAAAGUAUAGUUUAAUUUCCUGUUAGCAUUAUCUUGUAUUUUUUCAAAGUUUACAUUCAUUUAAGCACAAAGAAAAAGCUUUUUAUAAAGCUUUUGUCGUAUUCUAAUUGGCUUUUAUCGCACUUGGCUCUCAUAAACCCUCAAUGAGUUUAACAAUCAAAAACUUUGGAUUUGGAUUCUGUCAUUUUGCUAUUGUUUUUCUCCAAUGUAUUAUGUAGCUUGAGUUUUUUCCACAUAAGGUACCUCUUGAAAUUGAAGUUGUCUUAUGUGAAAUUCAUUGUGUAUUAAGAUGAACUUUGUUAUUUCAGCGUAGUGUCGAUACUUUCAACCAUCUUUAUAUUUUUUAGUGUACUAGUAUUUUCACCCAUGCAUUGCACGGGCGAAAAAGGAUUUAUUGUGACCGAACGUACAACCAAAAUAAAAACAUAUAAUGCAUUUCUUAGACAAAUCAAAUGUUCUUGUCAUCACAAAAAUUUGUCUUAUUGUAAUAAGCAAAUGUUGAUUCUCAAUACAUAAUGUAUAAAUGAGUAAAAAUAUAUCCAAUAUAUUGAAUACAAAUGUUAAAAUCAACAUAAUUUUAUACUAAUAUUAUAUUUAUCGGAAAUGUGUUAUCAUUUGUUAUUUGACAGGUUGAAUUCAAUUCUUAAAUAUUCGACAAAUAACUAUUUGGCAAGUUGAAUUCAAUUCUUAGAUAUUUGGUAAAUAUUGUGCUUGAGGUUAUCCUUCGUGUUUUUUGAAAGAUAAAUUAAGAAGCCAUCUUAUUGCAAUAAAUAUAAUAUUUAGACUUUUUUUUACAAUAAAAAAAACUUCACUUAAUAAAAACAAAACACUAAAAGAAAUAUAUCAAAAAAUAAAAUCUUACACAAUUAAAAUUUGGACUUGGUAAAAAGUCAUUGUCGAUAAUAGCUUCAACAUCUACUUCACAAAUAAGUAAGUAUUUGUUAUGCUUCACACAAAUCAUAAAUCCUUUGUAUCAUACUUUUAGUUACUAUAACUUUUAAGAAAUUUAAUAGGAUCGGUAUAUGAUUUACAAAUUUGAUAAAGAAUUAGAUACACAAUAGGCACAGUAAACCAAAUUGGGUAUAAAAAAGACUAAACCUUGAGCAAAUAAUAAUGUUUAAAGUCUUCUAUUAGUACUUUGUUAUACAAAAAUUAAUGUAUAAGCAACAUUAUUAGUACUUUGUAAUAAAGAUUGCUAAAAUUAAAAAAACAAUGAAAGGAAGAAUUAAAAUAUUUUAUUCUUUACUAAUUUACUUAGCUUGUUUUACAUUCUAAAUGUGCAAUACUCUCAUGAGAUUACAAACAAAAACUAACAAAUUGAUCUAUAACUUCAUCUAAUAAUUCAUCUAAAAUCUCUAACUCAAAAUCAGCACUUAUAUUUUCUAAAUCAUUUUGUUUCCUCUUGACUUCAUGCAAUUCACUUACCAAUUCAUCAUCAACUAGCUUGCAAAUUUUAAUCCAAAUAUCUACACAUUCAUUGUUAUGCCUCUCUUUUUUCCUUGAUCCUUCAUUCAAAUUGUUCUCAAUUUCCUUAACUUUACUCUCUUCUUCAUUCAUAAAGUUACUAUCAGAAUGUAGAAUAAAUAGCUGGUCAUUUUCAAGUACUGGUGACAAUUUUCUUCUCCAACUCAUAUCAACAUCACAAAGAUCUUCCUCUGCAACAUGUUUAUAUAUGUAAUUAGUUAGCAAAUUUAAAACAUGUAAAAAGGAAAAAAAAAAUUAAGCUACACUAUGUAUGUAAAUUCUAAGGAUAAUUGUGUGUAUGAUUUUGUUUGCAUUCAAAUUAAAAUGAGACAAACUAUUAGGUCAUGUUUGGAUAAAAAGUUUAAUUAAACAACUUAUAUCAUUAUCACUUAUCGUAUAAGCACUUAUGUAUUAAACUAUUUCCAAAAAAAAGAUAAAAUCAAUUUAUAUUAUUUUCAUUCAAGGUAUAAGACAUUUUCAUAAGUUAUCCUCUAUGAAGCACAUAUACGGACACGGACACGACACAGAUACCGACACGCCGACACAACUAAUAAUUUGAAAAAAAUCACAUAACUCAUUGUAAUUACAAGUGUCGGUGUCAUGUCCUGGUGUCGGACAUCAGGACACGAUAUGUGCUUCAUAGGUUAUCCUUAAAAGCUUCUAGAAAUAAUCUAAAACCAACUUAUUAUGAGCAUGUCAAUAGCUCUUUACUUGUCUCUAAACUCAAAUAAACAUAACCAAACAUGCAUUAAAAGUUAAGCUAAGAUGAAGAAACAAACCUGUUCCUGAAACAUCAUGCUCAAAAUCAAAGACAGAAACAGGACUAUAAUCUUCUGAACUACAUUCACUUUCAACCUUCUCUUCAACACAACAUGUUUUUCCUUUCUUUCUCUUCUUCACUUUCUCACCAUUUCCAACUGCCUUAAACAAACUCUUCUCAAAAUGAAAUUCACCAUCAUCAUUCACCUUUUCUCUCUUGUUUCUCUUCACUUCACCUCUCACUUCUCUUUUCUUCUCUUUUCUUCUUCCUUUGGACUUGAAUUUUCUAUUCUCACCUCCACUUUCAAAGCUAAACACCAAAAAGUUCUCAUUUUCAAGCAAAUGAAAAGCUUGUGGCACAUAGUUCAAUGACUUGCAAUGUGUAGGUGAACUUGGUUUUGAUUCAGAAACUUUAUCUUCUUCCAUUGAAUCAAUCCCAUUAACCUUGCAACUACACCAGAAGAAGAAGAAGAAGAAAUUAUAGUUCUUGUAGUAGUAGGAGUGUUAGUCUUAAAUUUUUGAACUUUUUCACUUACAAUGAACUUUGAAUGAAACUCUCUAAUCCUAUGAAAAAUGGUUGUGAAACACCCUGCAGCAACAGUUUUUGAGCUGCAAAAUGUUGAGUCAAAGCUAAAGUUUGAUGAAGAUGAUGGUGAUGAUGAUGAUGAAUAAGAUAAUGUUAAGAGCUUCAUGUUUAUAUGAUUUAGAAGAAGAAAAAAAAAGAAACCAAAAUGGUUCUUUUUCUUUAUACUUUUGGAUUUUGAAAUUCUCCAAUGAUAAAAAGCAAUGGAAGAAUCUAAAGUAUAUGAAUAUGAAUAUAAAGAUUUGAAUUUUGAUAUAAUGAAGAGAAGGGUCGCGGGAUUUUUAUUUGAAUAUGUGAGAAAAAGAAAGUGUAAAGAUUAGAAUGGAAUAUGGUGUACUAUGCUUUUGGUUAUUGAAAUGUGACAAGUCAUUUUUUUGUUAUGAAUUUGUCUUUUUAUUUCCUUGUUUGGACCAAACAAAAGACAUGUCUUGGGGCACGUUAAGAGGACACUUUUUUACUCUGCCUCCUUUGAAGUUCAAAUGGUGAAAAGAAUCAAUGAGAAUGUGAUGAGGUAUGAAGCACAUAUACUUCUUGGAUUAGGCGUGUCUCAGUGUCGAUAUAAUACCGACAUUUAUAAUUACAUUGAAUUACGUAAUUUUUUAAAAUUACUAGUUGUAUUGGCGUGUGAGUGUCCGGUGUCCACAUCUAUGUUUCAUAGGGGAUGAGUGUGUUUGUUUAGAUUUUUACUUUUUUUACUUUAUUGAUUUUGAUGAUAGAUUAGAAAGAAAGUGAGGAUUGGAUCAGAUUAUUGUAUGGUCUAAGCUAGGCAGUGAUUGUAUAGUUUGUUUUGUAGUUUUGUGUGGAGGGAGAGACAUUUGACAGAUUGUGUUUUGUUUUUGUAUAAUGUCAGUGGUAUGAUCAAAUUCUUUUGGGGUUUGAUGUUAAAGAUACUGUCAUUUUGAUUGUGUUUGUUCCAACAUAGUCCCUAUUAUUUUGUGGGAUUGAAGGUUAGUAAUUUGAUAUUGAAGUGGGACAUUUGAUAAGCACUUAUAAUUGAAUUGAAAUUGGUUGGUUAAAAUGAUGGAAAAGGAUAUCAACCAUUCCUUUUUAUAGGCUAAGGAAUAAUUUUAGGUUUAAUCUUCAAUUUAUGAGAUACAAGAAUUUUCAACUCAUCAUGAUGACAAUUAUUAAAUUUAAUACACUUUUAGUUCCUCCUAAUUUUAUGAUUCAUGAUUUUAACUCCUUGCUUUAAAAUUCCAAAAGUAUAGUGCUCCAUAUUUGAAAAUUUUAGAAUUUUUCUCCAACCUUAAAUUGAGGUUUUUUUAUAGGCAAAUGUUAGUUUAUUAAUAUAUUUUUUUAAGGGAGUUUAUUAAUAUAUUGUUAGAGGGGACAUAGUUAGUUUAUUAGUAUAUUGUUAGAGGGGAAAAGAAAUGUUAGCAGUCAGGAAUCGAACUCAGAAACUCAUUUUUAAACUCCUCCAUUGUAUAAACUUACUAACAACUAGACUACACCUGUAAUGCCCUAUUUAUUUAUUAGAUUAUUCUAUUGAGUUUAGAGUAUAUUUAUAUGAUUUAUGUGAUCAAAAUGAUUAUGUGGUGUGUUGUUAUUUUAUUAAGUGGUGUUAUUUAUUUAUUUGAUAGAAUAAGAUUUGAAAAUAAAAUAAGAUUAAGUUGUGGGGGUUGUUUUGAGAAUUUAGAGAGUUUAAUAGAAUAAGUGAGAAAUAGGAUUUAAUUGGAGUUUUUGGGUUAAAUAAGAAUUAAGUGAAUAAAGUGGGCGUUAAUUAAAUAUUGGAAGAUUAUAUUUACUGAGAAAAAGGAGAAAAUAUGGUUAGAAGCAGUUUCACGUACAAACAAUUUUUGGGAGAAAAACCAAGAGAAAGCUAGGAGAAGAAUCAAGAGAGAGUUGCGGAUCGAUUUUCUUAAGGUAAGGGUAAGACUAACUUUCAAUAAUUAUAGUGUAUGUAAAUUCUGAAAUUGAUUUAACAUGUGGGUUGUUCUUGAUUUUGGAAAUUGGGAAUUAGGUUUAGAAGUUGUAAUUGGUUGUUUUAAUUGUAGAAUUGAUUGUUGGAAUUAAGAUGUUAAUGAAGUUAGGGUUGUGAAAAGAAGUUAGAGUUUUGAAAAGAAGUUAGGGUUUUGAAUUGCAAUUUGAUUGUUGAAAGUGUAGGCAAUCCAAUGAAUUAACAUAUGAUAUGAUGUUCAGGUUGUAGAAUAAUCAUAGGUUAAGUUUCCAAACAAAUUUGGGAGUUUGUGUUUGAGUAUAAUGAAUUAAUAGUGAUUCUUAAGUGAAAAACGCAUUGUUAAACUGAUUUUUGAACUGCUGUGAAGCUCAAAAUCGGCCCCCGAGUUUUCAAAAUCGGCCACCGAUUUUUGAGCUGAUUUUCUAGCUUUGGUUCGACGAAAAUCGGCCCCCGAUUUGUCAAAUUCGGCCCCCGAUUUUCUGUCAGGCAAAUCUGAAAAUAUUCGUAAUUUUCACCAUUUUCUGUUUUGAAUUUGCUUUCGGUGUAAACAUAAAAGUUUUAGAUAAUUUUGUUAGCUUUCCAAUGGCUUUGGUUUGACUUGAAAAUGAUUUUUAUUUUUUGAGAUAUGAUGAAAAUACUCCAAGGAGGUUUUAGUGAACCUUAUGAAAAUUCAGCAUAACCGUUUCUAAGUUAACCCAAAAUUUAUGGGAUAAUUUCAACCCUCAAAACUAGAAGUACUAUGAGUUCAAUUAAGGUGUUUAAGAGUAUUUAACCCAUGUUGUGAGUUGAUCCUUGGGGUAGGAAUGGAGGUUGAAUAUAAUAUUACUGAUGAUCUGUGAAGCUAUUAUAAUAUGAUUUAAUGUUCGUAGUAAUGUAAUAUAUUUGUAUAUGCAUUAUGUGAAUUAUAUAAGAUGUUUAAGUUGUUGUUGAUUAUCAUUUGAUGUUGUUAUAUCUUGAGAUGUUUACGUUGUCAUCGUCGAAUCGUUGAAGUCGUUGUUAAUGACAAACCAUAAAAUAUUAAUGAUUAUGUUGUCGUUUAUAUUAUUAUAAGAUGAUGAAUAUGUUGUUGCUUAUGUCAUUAUAAGAUGAUGAUUAUGUUGUUGUUUAUAUUGGUUAUGAGUUAAUGAUGAUUAGAAGUGGAUUGGACUAUUAAUGAAGCAUUAUAUGAAGAAUUAUUAUUAUUAAUUAACAAUGUUUAUGUUGUUUAAUAUAAUUGUUGAAUUAUAUGCUUAAUAUUAUUGUUUGUGAAAUCUCACCCCUUCUGCUUGGAAAUGUUGCUCUUUGUAUGAGUAACUUGCAGAUGAUCGAGUUUAAGCUGCUGUUAGAUUGCUGUCGUGAGUGGACUAUCUCUCACGUGUGUCUUUAGGUGCUCUGAUACGUCACGGGAUGGGAACUUUGUUGCAUGUUUUUCUAUUCCUUACGUAUUACUUUAUGAAGUUUAUGACUAUGUUUUUAGACUUGAUUUCUAUGAGAUAUUUAUGAUGAGGCAUUCGUGUCAAAGACUACUAUUUUUAGAUGUUGAAAUAAAUUCCGCUGCAAAGUUUUGAAUAUUUAUGUUGAUUGAACUUUGAAGGAAAAUUAGUUAAUUAUUCCAUUUAUGAUUUUUAAGAAGUGUGACAUUCCGUUUAUGUGAAUUACUCUGAUUAUUUAAACGAAAUUUUUAUGUUGGGAAAACGACGUGUUACAACACGUUUAGAAAUAGUCUAUUUUUAUUGAUGUAUCAAGUUAAAUAAUGAGUAGACAAGUCAUAAGGCAAAGUGUCAAUGCAUAUGUGAAUUUAAUAUUAUUUUACUUUUGAUAUCUUUAAAUUUAUUGUUUAAAAAAACUUAAAAUAGAAAAGAAAUGUAAAAUCCUAAAAUAUUAUAUUUUCCAAAAAUAUGCAGUCAUUUGUCACAUUAUUAUUUUUUUUUGUCAAAAAAUCACAUUAUUCUGUGACUUGUGAGCUUAUUAUUCAUCAAUACACAUAACAAAAAGAAACUCAAAAUUCAAUGGUGGAAAUUUAAAAAAAAAAAAAAAAAAAAACUCGGAGAUCAAAGAGAGUGACGAUAACGAUCAACACACUUCAUCCUCUUCUUCAUAAGAGUGAUUUUUGGUCUAUCAAAUAGCUUGAACGUAAACAUACUAAAACAAUGAAAAGAAGAUAAAAAUUAGCAACUUUGUGCGUAUUUCAUAUUACAUAUGCUAAAACGAAUCAGUAAACGAGAAGAAAAAAAAUGAGCAGUCUAACCACAAAUAUUUGAUAAAAUGUAUACUAACCUCUGGUGUAGUUGUGAAAAACGUCUCUAAUUUGAAGAAUUUGAUGGAAUUUAGCUGAAAAUUGAAACAAUGAUAAGAUAUUUGGAUUUGGUUUUUGGUUGUUGUUGUUGUUGAGGUAUUUAGGUUAAUUUUCAUAAAUUGAAAGUGAGGGGAAGUUGUUGAGCAUUACAUAUAUAAUGGUACAUUUCUAAGCAUGUCUUCUAAAGCAUAUUUUCCAUGUUUUAGAUUGUAUAAUCUAUAUACUUAUAUUAAAAGAAAUGUCCUUUGAAUUUACCAUUUUGCCCCUAUUAAGGGUAAUUUGGUAAAUUACUAAUUGGUUGAGUUUUUUUUUUUUUUUAAGGUUGCCUAUAAAUUUUCAUUUUUGCCCCUAACCAAUUUUUUUAAUUAUUUUCUAAUUUUAAUAUUUUUAAUAACUUUUAAUUAUUUUCCAAUUUUUAUAUUUUUAACUAUUUUUCAAUUUUUUCUCCCAAAUUCAGUUGCUUCUACAUUGCCGUUGUGGAAGAUUAAGGUAUCGUUUGACCCGACUUUUUUCAAACUUCUUUACAUUUUUAAGGAGAAGUUAGGCCAAACACAAUAUCAAUUAAGUACUUGCUAAAAAAAGAACAUUUUUUGAACGCAUAAAAUUGAAUAGAAUGAGCUUUGACCAGAAGUUGUUGAAUGUUACUUUAAAAAACUAUUUCUCCACAAUUUAUUUCAUAAACACCUUUUCAACUCACGCUGGGAACCUUUUCUUUAUUUUUUAAUAUUAUAUAUCAAUAUCUUUUUCUUAUUCAAAAAAACUAAACAUAUAUGUUUCCACGACACCAACAAAUAUAAUAUCAUAUAGUAUAAAUUCCAACAUUUAUAAUAGUAAUUUUCUUAAGAAAUCAUCGGGCUUCUUCAAGAGAUUGUCAAGAUAAUUCCAAUUGGGACUAGAAAGAAACUGUGUACGAAUAUUGUGUUGAAAGAUAAAAGGUAUUAUUUUCUUAUUUGUCGGCAGAAGAUGAUAGGAUUUUGUAUACGUUUGUUAAUGACCUGAAAUAUGUCUUUCCUUAUGCAGUGAGAAUAUAGUUGAUGUAACACUAUGGGAAAAAUAUUUCGUAGCUUUAUCAUUUACCAUCUAUUUACCUUGAGUUAUUUGCUUCCAUUUUGUAGUAAAUGGCAACCCAAAUAUAUAUAAUAAUUGGUCAGGUUCGAGGCUACUCAUCAACCUACAUUAUUCGGUUGUUGAGAAGUUUAAAACUUAGUAAGUUUGCAUUAUGAUUUCACAAUACAGUGUUAGAGUAAAUUAUUAUUUCACAAUCUGAUUUAAUUGUUUUUUUUACCAUGUUUCUUGAAUUGUUGUCGUGACCUUAACACUUCUCAAGCUUAGAGUCAAAGCAUCAAUCAGAACUUAAGUCAGAGUUCGGCUUCUUCUCAAUGUACUUCGUACAAAGAUUUUUUCAAUCUGUCUCAAGUUAGGCCAAUUGUUGAAUUUAUAAACUUAGUCAAGGUCUUCUUUUUUUAUGCACAAACAUGCUUUGAAUUUUUUACGCACAAAUUAAAAAUACAUAUUGCAUUAUUCUUUAUUUCAUGUGCAUAUUUGUGUUAGGAUACAUAUUGCAUGACUAUUUGGAAAGCAGCUAAAUUCAAUCUUAACCAGUUUGGAUAAUAUUAUGAGAGUUUCACCAAAUGUUCAAAGACAUCAUUGUCAAAUGGUGCUAGCUAUAGAUGCACAUGCGGGAGUGAUGCUUAAUUUCCAUUUGUUUCAACAAUGUUAAUUGGUCAACGGGGUUCAUAUAAUGCACAUGAAUGCAUUUAUCUAGCCUUUUUAGGAAGAUAAAUUAGAAGUCAUGAUACAUUUUCUUUAGCUUAAAAUCAGUUAUGCUACCUUUAUUUUAUAAAUUAUAUGUAACUAUAUUCGCAUACGUCUUAUCCAUGUUAAUAUGCAUUAGACUAAUAUUGUUGUUAUUUCCCUGUUUAGCAUUUCCCAAACGAGGUUUCAAGAACAAUUCUAAAAGGAAAGCGCAAAACAAUCACUCUCAUUGGUUUCAAUUAUUUUCAUCCUAAAUAUUAUGUCAAUUCCUAAUCUCAUAAACUGAUUAUAUGAUCUCUAAAUCAGCUCAUACAUAUUUUAUGAUGAAUCACAAUGUUCUGUUGUUUUAACAUCUUUUCUUUCGAAUAUUUUUUUUUAUGCCGUGAUUAUCUAAGGUUAUUAUUUUACCUUAUGUUAUACCCUGUUUUUGGACCUAAAAAAUACUGGGCCCAAUUUCAUUUCAAACUUCGUCAAUUAUCAAAUUUCAGCUGCACAGUUCAAUUUGUCUCUGCCUCGCAGUAUUUUCAAUCACAAUUUUACCUAUGUUUUUCUUGCAUAAAACCUUUUAAAAUGUCUUUACUGGUCUUGUAAGUCACGCAAAAGUGUCUCUGAAUCAUUAUGUUGCUUUUUUUCCACAGUUUAUUUCAAAAUUUGCAAAAAGUCAUACAGAAGGGUAUUUUGGUCAUUUCCUGCAGUGGGACCCAUUUUCAUCCUUGUGACUGUCUCUGAGUCUUUUCAAAUUCAUUUUUUACUUUCCAUCAGUAAACCUUGCUAAUUUCAUUUCGAACUUGCAUCUGAGUCAGUGUCGAGUCAAUUUGAGUCUGUUUAGGUCAUUUUUUUAGCCCUAGGGGCAUUUUGGUCAUUUCACAUAAAAUUUUGGCAUGGGGAGGUUACUUUGAAGUACCUCAUUUAGGCCAUUGGUUCGUUUUAGUCCGUUUUGUCAAUUUUAUUUUAGUUUCACUUUACGUUUCGUCAGAUUGCCAAUUUUAUUCCAAUUUUAUUUUUAUUUUACAUUUUGGUCCCCAAGAGGUCCAAAAUUGCGUGUCAGUCCAGAAUUUUCUUUUUUUAUAUUUCAGUCCUUUUUGUCAAUUGCAGUUUAGUCCCUUAAUUUUUCAAUUUUGCAGAAAGGUCCCAAAUUAAUUCUAAGUCCAAGGCCGUGCCAUUUCCAUACAAAUCCAGGUGUCACAUUUUCAUUGGCUCAAGUGUACACAUGUCAACUAUAUAAACAGUGAGUCAGAAUCAGAAGCAAUAAUCACACGCCACUUCACCAAAAAACAGGAUCAAACUUUCUCUUUCUUGUCAGUUAGAUCAAACCAAAAAAUCACAGAGAAAUCACCAAGAACACAAGAACCCUAAGAUUUCCAGAACAAAAUUCAUACACAAAUUCAUUGAUUUUCACAUCAAUCCUCAGAGAUUCGUGUGAAUCUUCAUCACCGGAUUGAGGAAUUCCCCUACAAUUCAAAGUGCGAGCUCACAUUGAAGCAAGCUCAAGCACUGAUCAUAGGGAUUUUUCACACAGAUUCAAAAACGUUGAAGCAAGCUCAAGCACAUAAUCACAGAGAAGCAGAGAAAGAAUCAGAGAAGAUGAAGAUGAACCGGUAAACCGAUUUAUUUUCGGUCCAAAAGCAAGCAAAAUCAUCAAAACCGUCAAGAACAUUCAAGUUUUCCCAAAGAUUUCCUCCAUUAAAGGUUUCAACCAGAACCUUAGGUAAAACUCAGAAUCUUUUCUCAAAAGUAAUAUCACUGUUAAACCUGUAGAAAACAAUCACGCAAGCAAAGCGUAUCAAAAAAUUUCCAGAAUUCAAAGAAAGCCGUAACCGUAAACACGAAACCUAGAUCCAUAAGGAUCUAAGUUUUGAAAGCAAGAACGAGUACUAGAAGCGUAAUCAAACAACGAAACGAUGUAGAUCUUUAAACGAUCUAAACAUUUCUUUUCAAAAACCAAAAAAAUCAGUUUCAAAACCGUACGGAACUUUUUAGAUCUACAACGUUUCAAACCGUAUUUGAAAAAACAGCUGCUGGAUUCGUGUUUAGGGUUAAAGGACGAAUCAAAAUAUGCAAAAAUAUUUGAGUUCUGGAAAUUUUUCACCGGAAACUGCUAGGUCUCGCCGGAGAAGAUGAAGUUUCCGGCGGACCUUCAAGGUCUCCGCCGUAGCUUCAUCCUCACCGGCGGUGAGGGUUUAGAGAGAGAUGAGAGAAGAGAGAGGGGUUAGAGAGAGAAAGAGGAAUACGAAAUGAAAAAACCGGCGCGCUAGGGUUUAUAUAGAGUGCUAGACCGGACCGGUUCAAGACCGGUCCAAUCCCAUGCGUUGUGAGCCCUUAGAUCUAGGGUUUGGGAUCUUGGAUCAAUCCAACGAUCCCUGAGCAUUCCUGUGAGAUCCGGAUCCCUUGGCUUUGGGCCUGGGCCUCUUUUCUUUGCUUUUCUACGUUUUUGCUUUUUUUGUGCUAUUUGCACCGUGUUUCCUUGCUAUCUGCACCUAUUGCUUGUUUACUUCUUUUACAAAAAUUCCUAAAAAAAUCCUAGUGGUUUCUUGAUACAUUCUUGGCAUUUCUAUAGCGUUUUCUUGCAUAAAAAUGUUAAAAUGGCAUGAACUAAUUCCAUGUAUUUUUGUACUUUUGGUAUGCAUUUUGCUAUGUUUUGUUCUUGACAUUUUGAUAGUAUGACAUGGAUAAAUGAUGCCUGUUAUACCCUGUUUUUGGACCUAAAAAUACUGGGCCCAAUUUCAUUUCAAACUUUGUCGAUUAUCAAAUUUCAACUGCGCAGUUCAAAUUGUCUCUGCCUCGCAGUAUUUUCAAUCACAAUUUUACCUAUGUUUUUCUUGCAUAAAACCUUUCGAAAUGUCUUUACUUGUCCUGUAAGUCAUUCAAAAGUGUCUCUGAAUCAUUACAUUGCUUUUUCUACAGUUUAUUUCAAAAUUUGCAAAAAGUCAUACAGAAGGGUAUUUUGGUCAUUUCCUGCAGUGGGACCCAUUUUCAUCCUUGUGACUGUCUCUGAGUCUUUUCAGAUUACUUUUAAACAUUUCAUCAGUAAACUUUGUUAAAAUUCAUUUCAAACUUGCGUCUGAGUCAGUGUCAAGUCAAUUCGAGUCUGUUUAGGUCAUUUUUAGCCCUAGGGGCAUUUUGGUCAUUUCACAUAAAAUUUUGGCAUGGGGAGGUUACUUUGAAGUACCUCAUUUAGGCCAUUGGUUCGUUUUAGUCCGUUUUGUCAAUUUUAUUUGUGUUUCGCUUUACGUUUGGUCAAAUUACCAAUUUUAUUUUAAUUUUUAGUGUUUUUAUUAUUUUUGCAUUUUUGUCCUCAAAGAGUUCCAAAAUUGCAGUUCAGUCCACUUUUUUUCCAAUUUUCAUUUCAGUCCUUUUUGUCAAAUUGCAGUUUAGUCCUUGAAGUUUUAUUUUUUGCAGAAAGGUCCAAAGUUCAUUUUUCAGGUCCAAAGCCGUGCCAUUCCUUUUCCAAAUCCAGGUGUCACAUUUUCGUUGGCUCAAGUGUACACAUGUCAGCUAUAAAAGCAGUGAGUCAGAGUCAAAGCCAAGGACAACACGCCAACUCAACAAACACAUUUUCAGAUUCUCUCUCCAAUCAGUUAGAUCAAAACAGAAAAAUUUCUCAGAUUCAUCAAGAACACGAAGAACACAAAACCCUAACCGUUUCCAGAAAGUCACAAAUUCAUCAAGUUUCAGUGUUUUUCGCAUCAAUUCUCAGAGAUUCGUAUGAAUCUUCAUCACUGAAUUGAUUGAUUCUCUGCAAUUCCAAACGCGAGCUCGCAUCAAAGCAAGCUCAUGCGUUGAUCACAGAGAGCCUCUCGCAAAGAAAUCAAAGAAGCAAGUUCAAACGUAUAAUCAGAGAAAGAAUCGGAGAAGAUGAAGAAACCAAGCCAGUAAACCGAUUUAUUUUCGGUUCAGAGAAAACCAAAGAACGUUCAAGUUUUCCGAAGAUUUUCUCCUUCAAGAAUCUCAACCAAAUUCAGGUAAAACUCAGUUUUCUCUCUUUAAAAAGCAUAAUCACUGUUAAACCUGCAAACAAGAUCCAAAAAAUUUCCAGAAUCAUAAAAAAAAUCAUAACCGUAAGCAAAAACAUAGAUCCAUAGAAAUCCAGAAGUUGUAAGCAAGGACGAGUGCCAGAGAGAUAGCCAACACGGAAUCAAUGUAGAUCUUGAGGUGUUACAAGCUUCUUUUAAAAAUUCUUUGAAAACCUAAAAAAUUUUUCAAAACCGUGACACAAAAACGUAGAUCUACGUUGAUUCACGCCUUGCAUGAAAAAUCCAGUGGCAUAUUCGUGUUUAGGAUGGAAAAGGAUAUCUGAAAAUGUAAGUUUUUUUGAAAACGGUGGAGUUUGUUCAACUCCGGCGGCGGCGCCACCACCCUUGGGCGGCCGGCCACCACGCCGGAGGAGCAAAACUCACCGGGGAAGAUGAAGAUCUUCCGUGUUUUUCCAGAAUCCGGUGAGGGUUUAGAGAGAGAUGAGAGAUGAGAGAAGAGGGAAGAACUUAGAGAGAGAAAGGGAAGUAGAGAAAUGAAAAAACCGGUGCUCUCUUGUUUAUAUAAGCCAGCGAACCGGACCGGUUCAAUCCGGUCCAUUCCCCUUUGAUUCCUGGCCGCUUGAUCUAGGGUUUCAGAAUCCUGGAUCAAUCGUGUGGUUACUGUGCAUCCGGAUCUUUUAAGGAUUGGGCUUUGGUUUGGGCUUAGUUUUUUUACGUUUUUUUUGUUAUUUUCUUGCUAUUUGCACUGCCUGUCUUUGCUAUCCGCACCUGUUGCUUGCCUACCUUUUUAUAGAAAAUUCCUAAAAAAAUCCUAGUUGUUUCUCAAUGUAUUUUUGGCAUUUUUAUGGUGUUUUCUUGCAUGAAAAAAAUAUUAAAAUGGCAUGAACUAAUUUCCAUGAGUUUCUACACUUUUGGUAUGCAUUUUGCUAUGUUUUGUUCUUGGCAUUUUGAUAUUAUGACAUGGAUGAAUGAUGCCUAAUAUGGUGAUGAACAUGCCUCUGGAAAUGUGUUUAUUUUUGUUGUGUUUGGAUAUGAUUUUAUGGAUUACUUGUUUCACAAGAAAUAAUGGUUUAUUUUUUAGAAUAAAGUGGCAAAUUUCUCUAUGAACUUGGUAUGAUAUUUUGCAUGCAUACGCCUCCAUUAAUUGCAUGUCAUGGCUUGAAACAAAAUUUCUUUCUAAAUUGCCAUGAUGUGAUGAUUAUGGGUCACUAGCAUUUUUAAGUAUCAUAUCAAAUGUCUUCUAGGUUUAUUACCACUUUAUUGCUUUCUCUUGGCCAUCUUUAUGCAUUUCCUCUUAAUUACUUCCUACUAUUGUGUGCUUUAUGACUACUAACCAUUUCAUCUCAUGUGCCAUACAUUUCAUAGCAUUCCACCACUCUCUCCACUUUCUUUAGCUUAGCAUUUAUUUUUUGCAAAUCUUAAUUCAUUUGGUGAUGUAAUUUGUUGUCAUUGGUUUGUAGCUUGGCAAAGGGGCCAUAGAAUGUAUUUAGGCAAUUUUUGUAAUAUGGACUAUGGACACUAUGACGCACCGACACGCACACACUCACCUUAGAUGUAUGCAUAGGAUUGUAUGAUUAAAUAAGCGUUUAGGUUUUAAACACUUAGAGAAAAUCCAUCUUUUUUCAAAAAAUAAUUGAACUUCACUUCAAAAACUUUCAUGAUAAGCAUGAAGUCAACACUUCAUUUUUCCUUUCUUUUUUUCUUAAGAAAAAGUUCAAUUCAUCUUAAUCAUUUAGACUUUCUUUCUAAUCACUAAUCAAACCUCACUUUUUUGCUAAAUCUAAUGCUCAUGAAGCCUCCCAAUCUCCUUCUUCAAAACUUUUUUUUCAAAACUUAAAAUCAAACAAUUAAAAUCAAAAAAAAAAGUUUUUUUAGCAAGAACUACGAACGGUUUUGAUCCCUUAAAAGGGUACGUAGGCAAUGAGUCAAAACUCAUCCAAGCCGAAAUAAAAUCAAAAUUCUACUUCUUCUCACCCCCAUUCUUAACUAAAUAAACCUCCCAUUUUCAAAAGUAAGUAAAAAUAAAGCGUAGAAAUCGACUUAGGAAAACGGCUCCUAUAGAGGACUAUAGUUACUCCGGGUGCCUAACACCUUCCCGUAGUAAAACCGACCCCCGAACUUAGAAUCUAAGGGUUUUUUCUCAAUUUUUCCCUUCCCAAGAAAAAAGAGAGAUAUCAACGGUCGAAAGGUACAAGUCCAAUUAAUGACUUGGCACCCAAAAACCAUGAUAACAGAAAUGGCGACUUCACUGGGGAUUCUUUUUAGCGGGUCGCGCCUAGUUUUCUUUAGUUUAUAUUUACGCUUGUUUUAUUGCUUACAUAUGUGAAUAUUUGUUUACUUUCAUUCAACGUGUGGGGUGAGAAUAUCAAAAGUCCUAACCCGGGCUGAGUGAACUUAUGUUUAGGUAGAGAUAUAAUCGACAAUUCGAUCCGGGGGUUGCCUCGUGUAUUGGAUUAUGCGAUCAAUCUCACAUAGCUGAGGCAUUUUGAAGGUGAUAUUGUCGGCGUGUGUUGUCAUGCUUAGGCACUUCACUUUCAAUUGUUCGACGAAGCUAUGAACCGUAGUUACCAAACCCAUCCUAGCUUUUUUUAGGACGUAGUGCGGUGGCUAAAUUGAGUGUUGUCUCAAACUUUAGUCGUCAUGCGAUACUACACUCAAACUAGACCUUCUCACAAAUAAUCAGGGAACGGGUGUCGUCCUGUACUACCAUGAUAUAUGUGAGAGAGGUUGCAGUUUGGGAACUGUGUUAGAACCUUGGUUACUACUGUCCAAAGCCUUAGUUCACCGGACGCCGUGUCCAUCCGUGGCCCUGUUACUUUGAAUCUCAACCCACAUUGUAACUAAACAACACAAUCAUGCAUACAUGCAUUCAUGCAUAAAUAUUUUUCAUGCAUUCAUCGAAGGGUUUAAACAAAUGGAAAUUUUUGUAAAUAAUCACAGGUAUGAAGAAGACUAAGUGCUACAAGUUCAAGGAAGUGGAUUUGGUUAGUUUGAGAGAGUUGGCACUCAAGGUCAAGAGUCAAACAGGGUUCCGACUCCGAUAUGGGGGAUUGCUUACUUUGCUCCGAACCGAUGUGGAAGAGAAGCUAGUGCACACUCUAGUGCAGUUUUAUGAUCCAAGCUUCCGUUGUUUCACUUUUCCGGACUUCCAGUUAGUUCCUACUCUCGAGGCUUACUCCGAUCUAGUGGGUUUACCUAUAGCCGAGAAGACACCUUUCACCGGUCCCGGGGCUCCUCUUACUCCUCUGGUUAUUGCUAAGGAUCUCUACCUCAAGACUUCCGACGUCUCCAACCAUCUUAUUACCAAAUCUCACAUCCGGGGGUUCACUUCGAAGUAUCUUCUUGAUCAGGCUAAUCUCGGUACUACUCGUCAGGAUACACUCGAGGCUAUUCUUGCUUUGCUUAUCUACGGGCUCAUUCUCUUCCCGAACCUCGACAACUUCGUGGACAUGAAUGCUAUCGAGAUCUUUCAUUCCAAGAACCCGGUUCCUACUUUGCUAGCGGAUACCUACCACGCCAUCCAUGACAGGACUCUCAAGGGCCGUGGGUAUAUUCUUUGCUGCACAUCUCUUUUGUAUAGGUGGUUUAUUUCGCACCUUCCGAGUUCCUUCCAUGACAACUCGGAGAACUGGUCCUACUCGCAGCGGAUUAUGGCCCUUACUCCUAAUGAGGUCGUCUGGCUCACUCCCGCCGCUCAAGUGAAGGAAAUCAUUAUGGGUUGCGGAGACUUUCUCAAUGUACCUCUUCUUGGUACCCGUGGAGGAAUCAACUACAACCCCGAGCUUGCUAUGAGACAGUUCGGUUUCCCUAUGAAGUCGAAGCCCAUCAAUCUUGCCACAUCUCCAGAGUUCUUCUUCUACAUGAAUGCUCCCACCGGACAAAGGAAAGCUUUCAUAGAUGCUUGGUCCAAGGUUCGAAGGAAGAGUGUGAAGCAUCUAGGUGUGAGAUCCGGUGUCGCUCAUGAGGCCUAUGCUCAGUGGGUGAUAGAUCGAGCUGAGGAGAUUGGUAUGCCUUAUCCAGCUAUGAGAUAUGUGUCUUCAUCUACCCCAUCUAUGCCUCUACCUUUGCUCCCCGCGACUCAGGAUAUGUAUCAGGAGCAUCUAGCUAUGGAGAGUCGUGAGAAGCAAGUGUGGAAAGCUCGGUACAAUCAAGCUGAGAAUCUAAUCAUGACUUUGGAUGGUAGAGAUGAGCAGAAGACUCAUGAGAAUCUGAUGUUGAAGAAAGAACUAGCUAAAGCCCGGAGGGAAUUGGAAGAGAAAGACGAGCUGCUUAUGAGGGAUUCCAAGAGAGCUCGAGGACGACGAGAUUUCUUUGACAGAUACUGUGAUUCAGAUUCCGAGUCCGAUGAUCCUCCGACUACUUCCUAUGCUUGAGGACUCCAUGUGUUUAUCUUGUUGAAAUUUCAAAGUAUUCCUGUUAAAAAAAUACUAUGUAGUUUUGAUUAUUUGCAAAGAUUUCUAAUUUGUUUAAAAUUCCUUCGAUGAAAAAAAUAAGUCUUUUGCAUUCGCAUUUGCAUAUCAUGCAUCAUAUGCAUCAUGCAUUGGUCACAAAGGCUUCCAAGUGCUCACUAUCUCCUGGUUCCUCUGCCGCAGUGUGAAAAGUGGCUCGUGCUCAGAGAGUUUACGAACCAGAUAGAAUUGAUCGAACCAGAGAAUACAGAAGAAAGAAAAGGGCUAUGGAAGAAGAGAACGCUCAGCUUCGCACCGAGUUAGCCUCUCUAAAGGAGGAAUUGGCUAAAGCUAAUGACGUCAUGACUGCUCUACUAGCUGCUCAAGAGCAAUCAGCUACAGCUAUCCCUACAACCACAGCUGCACCAGUAACUACAAGCGUGCUCCCUACCACUUCUGCAGACAACCGCUUUACUAUGCCAGUGGGGUUUCCGUAUGGGCUUCCACCGUUCUUCACUCCCGUUGCUACAGCAAGCACCUCGGGCACUGCUAACAAUGUUCUGAUCCCUGCAACAAAUGCCGCCUCCAUCAUUGCUACUUUGCCACAAACAACAGCAGCUGUCACUGAGCCUCUGGUACACACUCUGCCUCAAGGUAUUAACAUCAACACACAGCACAGAAGCAUCCCCGUAACCAAGACUAUGGAAGAGAUGAUGGAGGAACUUGCUAAAGAACUCCGUCACGAGAUCCAGGCCAAUCGAGGGAAUGCAGACUCUGUCAAAACUCAAGACCUUUGCUUAGUGUCAAAAGUGGAUGUUCCUAAAAAGUUCAAGAUUCCGGACUUCGACCGGUACAACGGGCUAACUUGUCCUCAAAAUCACAUCAUCAAAUACGUCCGGAAGAUGGGCAAUUACAAAGACAAUGAUUCCCUUAUGAUCCACUGUUUUCAGGAUAGUCUGAUGGAGGAUGCCGCAGAGUGGUAUACUAGUUUGAGUAAGAAUGACAUCCAUACCUUUGAUGAGUUAGCCACCGCUUUCAAGAGCCAUUAUGGGUUUAACACUCGACUGAGGCCAAAUAGGGAGUUUCUCAGGUCCCUAUCUCAGAAGAAGGAGGAAAGUUUCCGUGAAUAUGCGCAAAGGUGGAGAGGGGCGGCUGCCCGUAUCACUCCUGCUUUAGAUGAGGAAGAAAUGACCCAGACGUUCUUAAAGACGUUGAAGAAAGAUUAUGUUGAGAGGAUGAUCAUCGCUGCCCCGAACAACUUUUCGGAGAUGGUCACCAUGGGAACCCGUCUUGAGGAAGCCGUCAGGGAUGGAAUCAUUGUGUUUGAGAAAGCUGAAUCUUCUACGAGUGCAUCGAAAAGGUACGGUAAUGGACACCACAAGAAGAAAGAAACGGAAGUGGGGAUGGUAUCAGCUGGAGCCGGUCAAUCAAUGGCUACUGUUGCUCCCAUCAAUGCAGCUCAAAUGCCUCCGUCAUACCCAUAUAUGCCGUAUUCUCAGCAUCCGUUCUUCCCACCGUUUUAUCAUCAGUACCCUUUGCCGCCGGGCCAGCCUCAAGUGCCCGUCAAUGCGAUUGCCCAACAGAUGAAACAACAGAUGCCGGUUCAACAACAACAACAAAAUCAGCAAGCUAGGCCUACUUUCCCUCCGAUACCGAUGUUAUAUGCUGAGUUGCUUCCAACUUUACUCCAGAGAGGGCAUUGUACAACUAGACAGGGUAAGCCCCCACCUGAUCCGUUGCCUCCAAGGUUCAGGUCUGAUCUCAAAUGCGACUUUCAUCAAGGUGCCCUAGGUCAUGAUGUCGAGGGGUGUUAUGCUUUGAAGUAUAUCGUGAAGAAGCUCAUCGAUCAAGGGAAGCUGACUUUUGAGAAUAAUGUCCCACACGUCCUCGACAAUCCUCUUCCAAAUCAUGCCGCUGUGAAUAUGAUCGAAGUGUGUGAGGAAGCUCCUAGACUUGAUGUCCGCAAUGUUGCCACUCCUCUGGUGCCUCUACAUAUCAAGCUGUGCAAAGCUUCUCUGUUCAAUCAUGAUCAUGCCAAGUGUCUGGGAUGCCUCCGUGAUCCUUUGGGUUGUUAUACUGUUCAAGACGACAUCCAAAGCUUGAUGGAUGAUAAUCUUCUGACUGUCAGUGAUGUUUGCGUGGUCGUGCCAGUUUUUCACGAUCCGCCUGUCAAGAGUGUACCUUUGAAGAAGAAUGCUGAGCCUUUGGUGAUAAGGUUGCCAGGACCAAUUCCUUAUGUUUCGGACAAGGCAGUGCCAUACAAGUACAAUGCUACUAUGAUAGAAAAUGGAGUAGAGGUGCCUCUAGCCUCCUUUGCCACAGUAAGCAAUAUUGCCGAAGGGACUUCUGCAGCGCUAAGAAGCGGGAAGGUCCGUCCGCCGUUAUUUCAGAAGAAAGUAGCUACGCCGACCAUUCCACCAGUUGAAGAAGCAACUCCAACCGUUGUUUCACCCAUUGCUACAGAUGUGAACCAGCCUGGCAAAUCUAUAGAGGAUUCGAAUUUAGAUGAGAUUCUGAGGAUAAUAAAGAGGAGCGACUACAAGAUCGUUGAUCAAUUGCUGCAGACUCCUUCAAAGAUAUCUGUAUUGUCAUUACUCUUGAGCUCCGAGGCUCACAGGAAUACCUUGUUGAAAGUGCUGGAGCAGGCUUAUGUUGACCACGAAGUUACGGUAGAUCGUUUCGGUGGCAUAGUGGGAAAUAUUACUGCUUGUAACAAUCUCUGGUUUAGUGAAGAAGAAUUGCCGGAAGCGGGAAAGAGUCACAAUCUGGCUUUACACAUCUCGGUGAAUUGUAAAUCAGACAUGAUAUCAAAUGUGUUGGUGGAUACCGGUUCCUCCCUCAAUGUAAUGCCCAAGACAACUCUAGAUCAGUUGAGCUACCGUAGGACCCCGUUGAGAAGAAGUACUUUCUUGGUCAAAGCUUUUGAUGGAUCUCGAAAGAAUGUGCUGGGAGAGAUAGAUUUGCCGAUAACCAUUGGCCCUGAGAAUUUCUUGGUUACUUUCCAGGUGAUGGACAUUAAUGCAUCCUACAGUUGCCUGCUGGGAAGACCGUGGAUACACGAUGCAGGUGCGGUUACUUCCACCUUACAUCAGAAGUUGAAAUUUGUGAAGAAUGGAAAACUCGUUACAAUCCAUGGUGAAGAAGCAUACUUAGUCAGCCAAUUGUCUUCUUUUUCUUGUAUUGAAGCAGGGUCUGCUGAAGGGACUGCUUUCCAAGGUUUGACCAUUGAAGGUGCAGAGUCUAAGGAAGCUGGGGCUGCUAUGGCUUCAUUGAAGGAUGCUCAGAGAGCCAUUCAAGAAGGUCAGACUGCCGGCUGGGGCAAGGUGAUACAGCUCUGUGAGAACAAGCGUAAAGAAGGUCUCGGGUUCUCCCCGUCAUCAAGAGCUUCCUCGGGAGUCUUCCACAGUGCUGGGUUUGUUAAUGCUAUCUCUGAAGAAGCCACUGGAUCUGGUCUCAGGCCUGCAUUUGUUACACCAGGAGGCAUUGCGACAAAUUGGGACGCCAUUGACAUUCCUUCAAUCAUGCAUGUUUCUGAGUAAUGUGUCUUGUUGCUUUAAUGCUUUGUUUUCAAAAUAACAAUCCUCUCGCUCUGCCCAAAGCGAGAGUGAUAUUUUCUGUAAGGGCAUGUUUGUUUCGGCAUUGCCGUUGAUUAAUAAAAUUUUGUCGUUUCUUCCACGACUACUUUUUUUUAGUGCUUUUUCCCUUGGAAACAAUGGUAAUGCCAGAAAAAACCAAAACGUCUGUAUUUUCUUAUUAAUUUCAAAAAUCUGCAUGAAAAAAAAAAAAAAAAAAAAAACUCUUUCUUAAAUCAUCCAACCAUUAUAUGCAGGUUGAACCAUAAUAAACCCGUUGAACACAGUAAUCCUACGGUUCCUCCAAGUUUUGAUUUCCCUGUGUAUGAAGCCGAAGAUGAGGAAGGUGAUGACAUACCGUAUGAGAUCACUCGGUUACUUGAGCAAGAAAAGAAAGCCAUUCAGUCUCACCAGGAAGAAAUUGAGCUUAUCAACAUAGGUACCGAGGAAAACAAGCAAGAAAUCAAGAUUGGUGCUACUCUAGAGGAAGGGGUUAAACAGAAGAUCAUCCAGCUCCUCCGGGAAUAUCCGGAUAUUUUUGCAUGGUCCUAUGAAGAUAUGCCAGGUCUAGACCCUAUGAUCGUGGAGCAUCGGAUCCCUACCAAGCCUGAAUGUCCUCCCGUCAGGCAGAAAUUGAGAAGGACUCAUCCUGAUAUGGCUCUCAAAAUCAAGAAUGAAGUUCAAAAGCAGAUUGAUGCGGGUUUCCUCAUGACAGUUGAGUAUCCCGAAUGGGUUGCCAAUAUUGUGCCUGUGCCAAAGAAGGAUGGUAAAGUUCGGAUGUGUAUUGACUUCAGAGACCUGAACAAAGCCAGCCCAAAAGACAACUUUCCAUUACCUCAUAUUGAUGUGCUUGUUGAUAAUACUGCUCAAUCUAAGGUGUUCUCCUUCAUGGACGGUUUUUCCGGUUAUAAUCAGAUCAAGAUGUCUCCUGAAGAUAGAGAAAAGACAUCUUUUAUCACUCCAUGGGGUACUUUCUGCUACAAGGUGAUGCCGUUCGGCCUAAUCAAUGCUGGUGCUACCUAUCAAAGGGGAAUGACUACUCUGUUUCAUGACAUGAUUCACAAAGAAGUUGAGGUAUAUGUGGAUGACAUGAUUGUGAAGUCAGCAGAUGAGGAGCAGCAUGUUGAAUAUUUAACAAAGAUGUUUGAAAGGUUGAGAAAAUACAAGCUGCGAUUGAAUCCCAACAAAUGUACAUUCGGUGUCAGGUCCGGAAAGUUAUUAGGCUUCAUUGUCAGCCAAAAGGGCAUUGAAGUCGAUCCUGAUAAAGUCCGGGCCAUCCGAGAAAUGCCAGCUCCACAGACAGAGAAGCAAGUCAGAGGUUUCUUGGGACGUUUGAAUUACAUCUCCCGAUUCAUAUCUCAUAUGACUGCAACCUGCGGGCCGAUCUUCAAGCUACUUAGAAAGAACCAGCCUGUUGUAUGGAAUGAUGAAUGCCAAGAAGCUUUUGAUAGCAUCAAGAAUUACCUGCUGGAACCACCUAUCCUUGUCCCACCCGUGGAAGGAAGGCCUUUGAUUAUGUAUUUGGCAGUGUUUGAUGAAUCCAUGGGAUGCGUGCUUGGUCAACAAGAUGAAACUGGAAAGAAAGAGCAUGCUAUCUACUAUCUAAGCAAGAAGUUCACCGAUUGUGAAACUCGGUAUACAAUGCUUGAGAAGACUUGUUGUGCUUUAGCUUGGGCUGCCAAACGCCUGCGUCAUUAUUUGGUGAAUCAUACAACUUGGUUGAUAUCCAGAAUGGAUCCGAUAAAGUAUAUCUUUGAGAAAGCUGCUGUUACUGGAAAGAUUGCACGCUGGCAGAUGCUUUUGUCAGAAUAUGAUAUUGUGUUCAAAACUCAAAAGGCAAUCAAAGGUAGCAUUCUUGCCGAUCACCUUGCUUACCAACCUCUUGAUGAUUACCAACCAAUUGAAUUCGAUUUCCCCGAUGAAGAGAUCAUGUAUUUGAAAUCCAAAGACUGCGAAGAACCGUUGAUUAAUGAAGGUCCAGAUCCCAAUAGCAAGUGGGGUUUAGUCUUUGAUGGUGCUGUCAAUGCUUAUGGUAAGGGAAUUGGGGCAGUCAUUGUAUCCCCGCAGGGGCAUCACAUUCCUUUUACCGCCAGAAUCUUGUUCGAAUGUACCAACAAUAUGGCUGAGUAUGAAGCAUGUAUCUUUGGGAUCGAGGAAGCAAUUGACAUGAGAAUCAAACACCUCGACAUCUAUGGAGAUUCUGCGCUCGUCAUCAAUCAGAUAAAGGGUGAAUGGGAGACCCACCAUGCUAAUUUGAUUCCUUAUCGUGAUUAUGCGAGACGUUUGCUGACAUAUUUUACAAAGGUUGAGCUGCACCAUAUUCCUCGUGAUGAGAACCAAAUGGCUGAUGCUCUUGCUACUCUAUCCUCCAUGUUUCGAGUAAACCAUUGGAAUGAUGUGCCAAUAAUCAAAAUGCAACGCCUUGAAAGACCUUCACAUGUGUUUGCUAUUGGGGAUGUGAUCGAUCAGGCUGGUGAAAAUGUGGUUGACUAUAAACCCUGGUACUAUGACAUCAAGCAGUUCUUGCUGAGCCGUGAGUAUCCGCCGGGUGCUUCCAAACAAGAUAAGAAGACCCUGAGAAGAUUGGCCGGUAGAUUCCUGUUAGAUGGAAAUAUUCUGUACAAGAGGAACUAUGACAUGGUAUUGUUAAGGUGUGUUGAUGAACAUGAAGCAGAGCAGUUAAUGCAUGAUGUACAUGACGGUACCUUCGGGACCCAUGCUACAGGGCAUACUAUGUCAAGAAAGUUGUUACGAGCAGGUUAUUACUGGAUGGCCAUGGAGCAUGAUUGCUACCAAUACGCCAGAAAGUGCCACAAAUGUCAAAUCUAUGCUGAUAAGAUCCAUGUGCCUCCGCAUGCUCUCAAUGUUAUGUCAUCCCCAUGGCCGUUCUCAAUGUGGGGCAUUGACAUGAUUGGAAGAAUUGAACCGAAGGCUUCAAAUGGUCAUCGUUUCAUCUUAGUGGCAAUUGACUACUUCACCAAGUGGGUUGAAGCAGCAUCUUAUACCAAUGUGACCAAGCAAGUGGUAGCUAAGUUCAUCAAGAACAACAUCAUCUGUCGAUAUGGUGUUCCCAGCAAGAUUAUUACUGACAAUGGUACCAACCUGAACAACAAUGUGGUGCAAGCUCUUUGUGAAGAAUUCAAAAUUGAGCACCAUAACUCUUCUCCUUAUAGACCUCAGAUGAAUGGUGCAGUUGAGGCCGCCAACAAGAAUAUCAAGAGAAUUGUCCAGAAGAUGGUAACUACUUACAAGGACUGGCAUGAGAUGUUACCCUAUGCUCUGCAUGGCUACCGUACUACAGUGCGCAGUUCAACCGGGGCAACCCCUUUCUCUCUUGUAUAUGGUAUGGAAGCAGUUCUUCCUUUGGAAGUGGAGAUCCCGUCUCUCCGUGUGAUCAUGGAAGCAAAGUUAUCUGAGGCUGAAUGGUGCCAAAGCCGGUAUGAUCAGUUGAAUUUGAUUGAGGAAAAACGUAUGGAUGCCAUGGCUCGUGGACAUUCAUAUCAAGCCAGAAUGAAGACUGCUUUUGACAAGAAAGUCAAUCCUCGAGAAUUCAAGGUAGGGGAACUUGUUUUGAAAAGGAGGAUAAGCCAGCAACCCGACCCAAGGGGCAAGUGGACGCCUAACUAUGAAGGUCCUUAUGUUGUCAAGAAGGCCUUCUCCGGUGGUGCUUUAAUCCUUACACACAUGGAUGGUGUAGAACUUCCAAAUCCAGUGAAUGCUGAUAUAGUCAAGAAAUACUUUGCCUAGAAAUAUGAAAAGAACAGCGUGGUAGGUCGAAAACCCGAAAGGGCGGCCUAGGCAAAAAUGCGCUUCCCGGUGGAUCGAAAACCCGAAAGGGCGGUCCAGGCAAAAAUAAGGGACAAAAAAGAAACAAAUAUGAAAAGCUCGCUGAGAUUGUACACAACUCAGGCAAGAAUGAGCGUCUCGAUGAGCCGAAAACCCGGAAGGGCGGUUCAUGCAAAAAUGAGAUUGAAACAAAAGGCAAGUAACUAUAUCUAGUCAACCACCGUUCCCCUUGAGGCAUCUGCAGCUGUUAAUGACCGUCUUCAUCAAAAAGCUUAUGUACUCGUGGAUUCAAAGUUUCUAAGAAAUGUAGUGAUUGCUGUGUUCAAUGUACCACCAACCAAUAAAAUUACCAUUUUCCAAGCUUUGUGAAUCCGUGGAGUCACGCCUUUGGCUGACCACCACUCUUACACAUCAAUUUGAGCUUGUGCUUUUGUUUAAAACUCUACCUUUCUUCUACUUUCAAAGCUAUAUACAAAACAUUUUCCUUCUAUUUUGAUAAUGACAAUGCUUGAAACAAACAUUUUUGAAAAUUGAAAACUUUUUGUCUAUUUUGAAAAGCAAACCUGAGCAACGGGGUACAUUCAAAUGAAACAUGCAUGAGCGAGAAUAUGUUAAUGUCUAUUUCAAUAUAUGUUACAAGCAGGUUCUCCUCCAGGAUAGUCUGUGGUCAAUGGCAAGAAUGAAAAAACAGAAUGAAAAUGCAUGAAAAUGAAAAGGCUCGCUAAGUUGAAAACCCGAAAGGGCGACUUAGGCAAAAAUGAGCACCCCGCUGGAUUGACAACCCGAAAGGGCAAUUCAGGCAAAAAUGGGGCAUUGAAAAGAAUUUAUUUCCCCGGUGGACCGAAAACCCGAAAGGGCGAUCCAGGCAAAAAUGGGAUGCGAAAAAUGAUGAAUGAAAUUGAGAAUAUAACAUGCAAGAAGCAUUGACCACAGAUGCAAUGUCUACAACAUGCCCAGCACAACGGCAUUUUCCCCAGUCAAGUCUUCCAAGAUUCUAUCUCCAGCAAGUUGCAUACCUACCUAUCCUCAGCCUUGGUUCUGAUACGUCUCCCAACGACGUCAUCUCCAAAGAGGAUUUCCAAGAAUGUGUAAUAUAGCACGAGCCACUACGUGCCCAAUACUCUAAUGUCUUGUCUUCUCCGUGAAGUCGUGCCUACAAAAUGCCAACAGUCAUGCAUUACAAGCAUUCAUACAUGCAUAAUCAUGCAUAUUACGUGCCCAUGCAUUUAAUGAAAUUGUUAUAUCAUCCAUGCAUAUUGCAUUUCCAAUGUCAACAUCAGUCUCAAUUCAAUACUCAUGUCAGGUUCUCCGUCAAAACCUUGUGAGCCAAUAAUAUCGGUCAAUUUCUGCCUUUCAAUUCAAAUCGACGUCAAGUCAACCUCAAUCUAUAUUUUGUCAACAAACCAAUCCCCAGUGAAUGUGUUUCUGUUUGGUCAAGUUACUAGUUCGCAUCCAAGAACGACUUGUACCCAUUUACUUUUCAAUGUUAUCGGUCGAGUGCCCAGCUCAAUCCAAGAGCAGCUUGUACCUGUCUAUAUGUUUCCGUUUGGUCAAGUGACUAGCUCAAUCCAAGAGCAGCUUGUACCUGUCUAUCUGUUUCUGUCCGGUGGAGUAACCAGUUCGAAUCCAUAAGAACAACUCAUGUUUGUCCAGUAACCUCUAUCCCCAAGUGAGUCACCAGUUCGAAUCCAUAAGAACAACUCAUGUUUGUCCAGUAACCUCUAUCCCCAAGUGAGUCACCAGUUCGAAUCCAUAAGAACAACUCAUGUUUGUCCAGUAACCUCUAUCCCCUGUGAAGUGACCAGUUCGAAUCCAUAAGAACAACUCGCAGUUGUCUGUUUGUUUCAUCCCCGGUCAAGUGGCUAGUUUGAAUCCAAGAACAGCUUGUACCUGUCCAACUUGUUUCUAGUUUCCCGUUACUCUGCUAUUCACUAUCUUUGUCAAUGUCUACCAAUCCCGCAAUGGAUACGACAUAUUUUGUUAAUUCCAAUCCCCAUGAGGUCUUGCAUUCAUAAUCCAAAUGAUGCAUGGCAUGCAUAUUAUUUGAAAAUGGGUAGGCGUAUUUUUACGUCCAAACACAGUGUAAAUGCUAAUAUUUAAGUAUCUUCGUCCUGUCAAGCCAAAGACUCCGUCUCUUGAUUCUCCGGACAAAGAAACUUAAAUAGGGGCAGCUGUUAUACCCUGUUUUUGGACCUAAAAAUACUGGGCCCAAUUUCAUUUCAAACUUUGUCGAUUAUCAAAUUUCAACUGCGCAGUUCAAAUUGUCUCUGCCUCGCAGUAUUUUCAAUCACAAUUUUACCUAUGUUUUUCUUGCAUAAAACCUUUCGAAAUGUCUUUACUUGUCCUGUAAGUCAUUCAAAAGUGUCUCUGAAUCAUUACAUUGCUUUUUCUACAGUUUAUUUCAAAAUUUGCAAAAAGUCAUACAGAAGGGUAUUUUGGUCAUUUCCUGCAGUGGGACCCAUUUUCAUCCUUGUGACUGUCUCUGAGUCUUUUCAGAUUACUUUUAAACAUUUCAUCAGUAAACUUUGUUAAAAUUCAUUUCAAACUUGCGUCUGAGUCAGUGUCAAGUCAAUUCGAGUCUGUUUAGGUCAUUUUUAGCCCUAGGGGCAUUUUGGUCAUUUCACAUAAAAUUUUGGCAUGGGGAGGUUACUUUGAAGUACCUCAUUUAGGCCAUUGGUUCGUUUUAGUCCGUUUUGUCAAUUUUAUUUGUGUUUCGCUUUACGUUUGGUCAAAUUACCAAUUUUAUUUUAAUUUUUAGUGUUUUUAUUAUUUUUGCAUUUUUGUCCUCAAAGAGUUCCAAAAUUGCAGUUCAGUCCACUUUUUUUCCAAUUUUCAUUUCAGUCCUUUUUGUCAAAUUGCAGUUUAGUCCUUGAAGUUUUAUUUUUUGCAGAAAGGUCCAAAGUUCAUUUUUCAGGUCCAAAGCCGUGCCAUUCCUUUUCCAAAUCCAGGUGUCACAUUUUCGUUGGCUCAAGUGUACACAUGUCAGCUAUAAAAGCAGUGAGUCAGAGUCAAAGCCAAGGACAACACGCCAACUCAACAAACACAUUUUCAGAUUCUCUCUCCAAUCAGUUAGAUCAAAACAGAAAAAUUUCUCAGAUUCAUCAAGAACACGAAGAACACAAAACCCUAACCGUUUCCAGAAAGUCACAAAUUCAUCAAGUUUCAGUGUUUUUCGCAUCAAUUCUCAGAGAUUCGUAUGAAUCUUCAUCACUGAAUUGAUUGAUUCUCUGCAAUUCCAAACGCGAGCUCGCAUCAAAGCAAGCUCAUGCGUUGAUCACAGAGAGCCUCUCGCAAAGAAAUCAAAGAAGCAAGUUCAAACGUAUAAUCAGAGAAAGAAUCGGAGAAGAUGAAGAAACCAAGCCAGUAAACCGAUUUAUUUUCGGUUCAGAGAAAACCAAAGAACGUUCAAGUUUUCCGAAGAUUUUCUCCUUCAAGAAUCUCAACCAAAUUCAGGUAAAACUCAGUUUUCUCUCUUUAAAAAGCAUAAUCACUGUUAAACCUGCAAACAAGAUCCAAAAAAUUUCCAGAAUCAUAAAAAAAAUCAUAACCGUAAGCAAAAACAUAGAUCCAUAGAAAUCCAGAAGUUGUAAGCAAGGACGAGUGCCAGAGAGAUAGCCAACACGGAAUCAAUGUAGAUCUUGAGGUGUUACAAGCUUCUUUUAAAAAUUCUUUGAAAACCUAAAAAAUUUUUCAAAACCGUGACACAAAAACGUAGAUCUACGUUGAUUCACGCCUUGCAUGAAAAAUCCAGUGGCAUAUUCGUGUUUAGGAUGGAAAAGGAUAUCUGAAAAUGUAAGUUUUUUUGAAAACGGUGGAGUUUGUUCAACUCCGGCGGCGGCGCCACCACCCUUGGGCGGCCGGCCACCACGCCGGAGGAGCAAAACUCACCGGGGAAGAUGAAGAUCUUCCGUGUUUUUCCAGAAUCCGGUGAGGGUUUAGAGAGAGAUGAGAGAUGAGAGAAGAGGGAAGAACUUAGAGAGAGAAAGGGAAGUAGAGAAAUGAAAAAACCGGUGCUCUCUUGUUUAUAUAAGCCAGCGAACCGGACCGGUUCAAUCCGGUCCAUUCCCCUUUGAUUCCUGGCCGCUUGAUCUAGGGUUUCAGAAUCCUGGAUCAAUCGUGUGGUUACUGUGCAUCCGGAUCUUUUAAGGAUUGGGCUUUGGUUUGGGCUUAGUUUUUUUACGUUUUUUUUGUUAUUUUCUUGCUAUUUGCACUGCCUGUCUUUGCUAUCCGCACCUGUUGCUUGCCUACCUUUUUAUAGAAAAUUCCUAAAAAAAUCCUAGUUGUUUCUCAAUGUAUUUUUGGCAUUUUUAUGGUGUUUUCUUGCAUGAAAAAAAUAUUAAAAUGGCAUGAACUAAUUUCCAUGAGUUUCUACACUUUUGGUAUGCAUUUUGCUAUGUUUUGUUCUUGGCAUUUUGAUAUUAUGACAUGGAUGAAUGAUGCCUAAUAUGGUGAUGAACAUGCCUCUGGAAAUGUGUUUAUUUUUGUUGUGUUUGGAUAUGAUUUUAUGGAUUACUUGUUUCACAAGAAAUAAUGGUUUAUUUUUUAGAAUAAAGUGGCAAAUUUCUCUAUGAACUUGGUAUGAUAUUUUGCAUGCAUACGCCUCCAUUAAUUGCAUGUCAUGGCUUGAAACAAAAUUUCUUUCUAAAUUGCCAUGAUGUGAUGAUUAUGGGUCACUAGCAUUUUUAAGUAUCAUAUCAAAUGUCUUCUAGGUUUAUUACCACUUUAUUGCUUUCUCUUGGCCAUCUUUAUGCAUUUCCUCUUAAUUACUUCCUACUAUUGUGUGCUUUAUGACUACUAACCAUUUCAUCUCAUGUGCCAUACAUUUCAUAGCAUUCCACCACUCUCUCCACUUUCUUUAGCUUAGCAUUUAUUUUUUGCAAAUCUUAAUUCAUUUGGUGAUGUAAUUUGUUGUCAUUGGUUUGUAGCUUGGCAAAGGGGCCAUAGAAUGUAUUUAGGCAAUUUUUGUAAUAUGGACUAUGGACACUAUGACGCACCGACACGCACACACUCACCUUAGAUGUAUGCAUAGGAUUGUAUGAUUAAAUAAGCGUUUAGGUUUUAAACACUUAGAGAAAAUCCAUCUUUUUUCAAAAAAUAAUUGAACUUCACUUCAAAAACUUUCAUGAUAAGCAUGAAGUCAACACUUCAUUUUUCCUUUCUUUUUUUCUUAAGAAAAAGUUCAAUUCAUCUUAAUCAUUUAGACUUUCUUUCUAAUCACUAAUCAAACCUCACUUUUUUGCUAAAUCUAAUGCUCAUGAAGCCUCCCAAUCUCCUUCUUCAAAACUUUUUUUUCAAAACUUAAAAUCAAACAAUUAAAAUCAAAAAAAAAAGUUUUUUUAGCAAGAACUACGAACGGUUUUGAUCCCUUAAAAGGGUACGUAGGCAAUGAGUCAAAACUCAUCCAAGCCGAAAUAAAAUCAAAAUUCUACUUCUUCUCACCCCCAUUCUUAACUAAAUAAACCUCCCAUUUUCAAAAGUAAGUAAAAAUAAAGCGUAGAAAUCGACUUAGGAAAACGGCUCCUAUAGAGGACUAUAGUUACUCCGGGUGCCUAACACCUUCCCGUAGUAAAACCGACCCCCGAACUUAGAAUCUAAGGGUUUUUUCUCAAUUUUUCCCUUCCCAAGAAAAAAGAGAGAUAUCAACGGUCGAAAGGUACAAGUCCAAUUAAUGACUUGGCACCCAAAAACCAUGAUAACAAUGCCUAAUAUUGUGGUGAAUAUAACUCUGGAAAUGUGCUUUUGUUUGCUAUUUGUGAAUAUGAUUUUAUGGAUUUCUUGUUUUACAAGCAACAAGUGUUUAUUUUUAGGAAUAAAGUAGGAAAUUUCUUCAUGAAUUUGGUGUGGUAUUUUGCUUGCACAUGUCUCCAUUAAUUGCAUGUCAUGGUUUAAAACAAAAUUUCUUUCAAAAUUGCCAUGAUGUGAUAAUUAUGGGUCACUAGCAUCUUUAGGUAUCAUAUCAAAUGUUUUUUUAGGUUUUUACCACUUUGUUACUCUUUCUUUGCCAUUCUUAUGCACUUCCUUUUGAUUAUUUCCUACUAUUUUGUGCUUUAUAAUCACUAACCAUUUCAUCUCAUGUGCCAUACAUUCCAUAGCAUUCCACCACCCUCUCCACUUUCUUUAGCUUAGCAUUUAUUUUUUGCAAGUUUUAAUUCAUUUGGUGAUGUAAUUUGUUAUCAUUGGUUUGUAGCUUGGCAAAGGGGCCAUAGAAUGUAUUUAGGCAAUUUUUGUAAUAUGGACUAUGGACACUAUGACGCACCGACACGCACACACUCACCUUAGAUGUAUGCAUAGGAUUGUAUGGUUAAAUAAGCGUUUAGGUUUUAAACACUUAGAGAAAAUCCAUCUUUUUUUCAAAAAAAAACAAUUGAACUUCACUUCAAAAUUUUCAUAAUAAGUAUGAAGUCAACACUUCAUUUUUUUUCCUUUCUUUUUUCUUAAGAAAAAUUCAAUUCAUCUUAACUAUUUAGACUUUCUUUCUAAUCACUAAUCAAACCUCACUUUUUUGCUAAAUCUAAUGCUCAUGAAGCCUCCCAAUCUCCUUCUUCAAAACCUUUUUUUCAAAACUUAAAAUCAAACAAUUAAAACAAAAAACAAGUUUUUUUAGCAAGAACUACGAACGGUUUUGAUCCCGUAAAACGGUACGUAGGCAAUGAGUCAAAACUCAUCCAAGCCGAAAUAAAAUCAAAUUCUACUUCUUCUCACCCCCAUUCUUCACUAAUCAUACCUUCUUUUUUACAAAUAAGCAAUAAAACUAAAGCGUAGAAAUAAACUUAGGAGAACGGUUCUUAUGGAAUACCAUAAUCGCUCCGGGUGCCUAACACCUUCCCGUAGUGAAAACGACCCCCGAAUCUAGAACUUUUUAAGGGUUUUUUCUCCUUUUACCCUUCCCAAGAAAAAAGAGAGAUAUCAACGGUCGAAAGGUUCAAGUCCAAUUAAUGGCUUGGCACCCCAAAACCAUGAUAACAGAAAUGGCGACUUCACUGGGGACUCUUUUUAGCGGGUCGCGCCUAGUUUUCCUUAGUUUAUAUUUACACUUUGUUUUAUUGCUUACAUAUGUGAAUAUUUGUUUACUUUCAUUCAACGUGUGGGGUGAGAAUAUCAAAAGUCCUAUACCCGGGCUGAGUGAACUUAUGUUUAGGUAGAGAUAUAAUCGACAAUUCGAUCCGGGGGUUGCCUCGUGUAUUGGAUUAUGCGAUCAAUCUCACAUAGCUGAGGCAUUUUGAAGGUGAUAUUGUCGGCGUGUGUUGUCAUGCUUAGGCACUUCACUUUCAAUUGUUCGACGAAGCUAUGAACCGUAGUUACCAAACCCAUCCUAGCCUUUUUAGGACGUAGUGCGGUGGCUAAAUUGAGUGUUGUCUCAAACUUUAGUCGUCACGCGAUACUACACUCAAACUAGACCUUCUCACAAAUAAUCAUGGAACGGGUGUCGUCCUGUACUACCAUGAUAUAUGUGAGAGAAGUUGCAGUUUGGGAACUGUGUUAGAACCUUGGUUACUACUAUCCAAAGCCUUAGUUCACCGGACGCCGUGUCCAUCCGUGGCCCCGUUACCUUGAAACUCAAUCCACUUUUAACAACACAAUCAUGCAUACAUGCAUUCAUGCAUAAACAUUUUUCAUGCAUUCAUCGAAGGGUUUAAACAAAUGAGAAUUUUUUUUGUAAAUAAUCACAGGUAUGAAGAAGACUAAGUGCUACAAGUUCAAGGAGGUGGAUUUGGUUAGUUUGAGAGAGUUGGCACUCAAGGUCAAGAGUCAAACAGGGUUCCGACUCCGGUAUGGGGGAUUGCUUACUUUGCUCCGAACCGAUGUGGAAGAGAAGCUAGUGCACACUCUAGUGCAGUUUUAUGAUCCGAGCUUCCGUUGCUUCACUUUCCCGGACUUCCAGUUGGUUCCUACUCUCGAGGCUUACUCCAAUCUAGUGGGUUUACCUAUAGCCGAGAAGACGCCUUUCACCGGUCCCGGGACUUCUCUUACUCCUCUGGUUAUUGCAAAGGAUCUCUACCUCAAGACUUCCGACGUCUCCAACCAUCUUAUUACCAAGUCUCACAUCCGGGGGUUCACUUCGAAGUAUCUUCUUGAUCAGGCUAAUCUCGGUACUACUCGUCAGGAUACACUUGAGGCUAUUCUUGCUUUGCUUAUCUACGGGCUCAUCCUCUUUCCGAACCUCGACAACUUCGUGGACAUGAAUGCUAUCGAGAUCUUUCAUUCCAAGAACCCGGUUCCUACUUUGCUAGCGGAUACUUACCACGCCAUCCAUGACAGGACUCUCAAGGGCCGUGGGUAUAUUCUUUGCUGCAUAUCUCUCUUGUAUAGGUGGUUUAUUUCGCACCUUCCGAGUUCCUUCCAUGACAACUCGGAGAACUGGUCCUACUCGCAGCGGAUUAUGGCUCUCACUCCUAAUGAGGUCGUCUGGCUCACUCCGGCCGCUCAGGUGAAGGAAAUCAUUAUGGGUUGUGGAGACUUUCUCAAUGUACCUCUUCUUGGUACCCGUGGAGAAAUCAACUACAACCCCGAGCUUGCUAUGAGACAGUUCGGUUUCCCUAUGAAGUCGAAGCCCAUCAAUCUUGCCACAUCUCCAGAGUUCUUCUUCUACAUGAAUGCUCCUACCGGACAAAAGAAAGCUUUCGUGGAUGCUUGGUCCAAGGUUCGAAGGAAAAGUGUGAAGCAUCUAGGUGUGAGAUCCGGUGUCGCUCAUGAGGCUUAUACUCAGUGGGUGAUAGAUCGAGCUGAGGAGAUUGGUAUGCCUUAUCCAGCUAUGAGAUACGUGUCUUCAUCCACUCCGUCUAUGCCUUUACCUCUACUUCCCGCAACUCAGGAUAUGUAUCAGGAGCAUCUAGCUAUGGAGAGUCGUGAGAAGCAAGCGUGGAAAGCUCGGUACAAUCAAGCCGAGAAUCUAAUCAUGACUUUGGAUGGUAGAGAUGAGCAGAAGACUCAUGAGAAUCUGAUGUUGAAGAAAGAACUAGCUAAGGCCCGGAGGGAAUUGGAAGAGAAAGACGAGCUGCUUAUGAGGGAUUCCAAGAGAGCUCGAGGACGACGAGAUUUCUUUGACAGAUACUGUGAUUCAGAUUCCGAGUCCGAUGAUCUUCCGACUACUUCCUAUGCUUGAGAGCUCUAUUUGUUUACCUUGUUGAAAAUGUUGUGUAAUUUUGUUUAUUUGCAAGAUUUCUAAUUUGUUUUAAAAUCCUUCGAUGAAAAAAAUAAGUCUUUUGCAUUCGCAUUUGCAUAUCAUGCAUCAUAUGCAUCAUGCAUUGGUCACAAAGGCUUCCAAGUGCUCAUUAUCUCCUGGUUCCUCUGCCGCAGUGUGAAAAGUGGCUCGUGCUCAGAGAGUUUACGAACCAGAUAGAAUUGAUCGAACCAGAGAAUACAGAAGAAAGAAAAGGGCUAUGGAAGAAGAGAACGCUCAGCUUCGCACCGAGUUAGCCUCUCUAAAGGAGGAAUUGGCAAAAGCUAAUGACGUCAUGACUGCUCUACUAGCUGCUCAAGAGCAAUCAGCUACAGCUAUCCCUACAACCACAGCUGCACCAGUAACUACAAGCGUGCUCCCUACCACUUCUGCAGACAAUCGCUUUACUAUGCCAGUGGGGUUUCCGUAUGGGCUUCCACCAUUCUUCACUCCCGUUGCUACAGCAAGCACCUCGGGCACUGCUAACAAUGUUCUGAUCCCUGCAACAAAUGCCGCCUCCAUCAUUGCUACUUUGCCACAAACAACAGCAGCUGUCACUGAGCCUCUGGUACACACUCUGCCUCAAGGUAUUAACAUCAACACACAGCACAGAAGCAUCCCCGUAACCAAGACUAUGGAAGAGAUGAUGGAGGAACUUGCUAAAGAACUCCGUCACGAGAUCCAGGCCAAUCGAGGGAAUGCAGACUCUGUCAAAACUCAAGACCUUUGCUUAGUGUCAAAAGUGGAUGUUCCUAAAAAGUUCAAGAUUCCGGACUUCGACCGGUACAACGGGCUAACUUGUCCUCAAAAUCACAUCAUCAAAUACGUCCGGAAGAUGGGCAAUUACAAAGACAAUGAUUCCCUUAUGAUCCACUGUUUUCAGGAUAGUCUGAUGGAGGAUGCCGCAGAGUGGUAUACUAGUUUGAGUAAGAAUGACAUCCAUACCUUUGAUGAGUUAGCCACCGCUUUCAAGAGCCAUUAUGGGUUUAACACUCGACUGAGGCCAAAUAGGGAGUUUCUCAGGUCCCUAUCUCAGAAGAAGGAGGAAAGUUUCCGUGAAUAUGCGCAAAGGUGGAGAGGGGCGGCUGCCCGUAUCACCCCUGCUUUAGAUGAAGAAGAAAUGACCCAGACGUUCUUAAAGACGUUGAAGAAAGAUUAUGUUGAGAGGAUGAUCAUCGCUGCCCCGAACAACUUUUCGGAGAUGGUCACUAUGGGAACCCGCCUUGAGGAAGCCGUCAGGGAUGGGAUCAUUGUGUUUGAGAAAGCUGAAUCCUCUGUGAGUGCAUCGAAGAGAUAUGGUAAUGGACACCACAAGAAGAAAGAAACUGAAGUGGGGAUGGUAUCAGCUGGAGCCGGUCAAUCCAUGGCUACUAUUGCUCCCAUCAAUGCAGCUCAAAUGCCUCCGUCAUACCCAUAUAUGCCAUAUUCUCAGCAUCCGUUCUUCCCACCGUUUUAUCAUCAGUACCCUUUGCCACCGGGUCAACCUCAAGUGCCCGUCAAUGCAAUUGCCCAACAGAUGAAACAACAGUUGCCGGUUCAACAACAACAACAAAAUCAGCAAGCUAGGCCUACUUUCCCUCCGAUACCGAUGUUAUAUGCUGAGUUGCUUCCAACUUUACUCCAGAGAGGGCAUUGUACGACUAGACAGGGCAAGCCACCACCUGAUCCGUUGCCUCCAAGGUUCAGGUCUGAUCUCAAAUGCGAUUUUCAUCAAGGUGCCUUAGGUCAUGAUGUCGAGGGGUGUUAUGCUUUGAAGUAUAUCGUGAAGAAGCUCAUUGAUCAAGGGAAGCUCACUUUUGAGAAUAAUGUCCCACAUGUCCUUGACAAUCCGCUACCAAAUCAUGCCGCUGUGAAUAUGAUCGAAGUAUGUGAAGAAACUCCUAGACUUGAUGUCCGCAAUGUCGCAACUCCUCUGGUACCUCUACACAUCAAGCUGUGCAAAGCUUCUCUGUUCAAUCAUGAUCAUGCUAAGUGUCUGGGAUGUCUCCGUGAUCCUUUGGGUUGUUAUGCUGUUCAAGACGACAUCCAAAGCUUAAUGAAUGAUAAUCUUCUGACUGUCAGUGAUGUUUGCGUGAUUGUGCCAGUUUUUCACGAUCCGCCUGUCAAGAGUGUACCUUUGAAGAAGAAUGCUGAGCCUUUGGUGAUAAGGUUGCCAGGACCAAUUCCUUAUGUUUCGGAUAAGGCUGUUCCAUACAAAUACAAUGCUACUAUGAUAGAAAAUGGAGUAGAGGUGCCUCUAGCCUCCUUUGCCACAGUAAGCAAUAUUGCCGAAGGGACUUCUGCAGCGCUAAGAAGCGGGAAAGUUCGUCCGCCGUUAUUUCAGAAGAAGGUAGCUACCCCGACCAUUCCACCAGUUGAAGAAGCAACUCCAACCGUUGUCUCACCCAUUGCUACAGAUGUGAACCAGCCUGGCAAAUCUAUAGAGGAUUCGAAUUUAGAUGAGAUUCUGAGGAUAAUAAAGAGGAGCGACUACAAGAUCGUUGAUCAGUUGCUGCAGACUCCUUCAAAGAUAUCUGUCUUGUCAUUACUCUUAAGCUCUGAGGCUCACAGGAAUACUUUGUUGAAAGUGCUGGAGCAGGCUUAUGUUGACCACGAAGUUACGGUAGAUCGUUUCGGUGGCAUAGUGGGAAAUAUUACUGCUUGUAACAAUCUCUGGUUUAGUGAAGAAGAAUUGCCGGAAGCGGGAAAGAGUCACAAUCUGGCUUUACACAUCUCGGUGAAUUGUAAAUCAGACAUGAUAUCAAAUGUGUUGGUGGAUACCGGUUCCUCUCUCAAUGUAAUGCCCAAGACAACUCUAGAUCAGUUGAGCUACCGUGGGACCCCUUUGAGAAGAAGUACUUUCUUGGUCAAAGCUUUUGAUGGAUCUCGAAAGAAUGUGCUGGGAGAGAUAGACUUGCCGAUAACCAUUGGCCCUGAGAAUUUCUUGGUUACUUUCCAAGUGAUGGACAUUAAUGCAUCCUACAGUUGCCUGCUGGGAAGACCGUGGAUACACGAUGCAGGUGCGGUUACUUCCACCUUACAUCAGAAGUUGAAAUUUGUGAAGAAUGGAAAACUCGUUACAAUCCAUGGUGAAGAAGCAUACUUAGUCAGCCAAUUGUCUUCUUUUUCUUGUAUUGAAGCAGGGUCUGCUGAAGGGACUGCUUUCCAAGGUUUGACCAUUGAAGGUGCAGAGUCAAAGGAAGCUGGGGCUGCUAUGGCUUCAUUGAAGGAUGCUCAGAGAGCCAUUCAAGAAGGUCAGACUGCCGGCUGGGGCAAGGUGAUACAGCUCUGUGAGAACAAGCGCAAAGAAGGUCUCGGGUUCUCCCCGUCAUCAAGGGUUUCCUCAGGAGUCUUCCACAGUGCAGGGUUUGUUAAUGCUAUCUCCGAAGAAGCCACUGGAUCUGGUCUCAGGCCUGUAUUUGUUACACCAGGAGGCAUUGCGAGUGAUUGGGAUGCCAUUGACAUUCCUUCAAUCAUGCAUGUUUCCGAGUAAUGCGUCUUGUUGCUUUAGCGCUUUGUUUUCAAAAAUAACAAUCCUCUCGCUCUGCCCAAAGCGAGAGUGAUAUUUUCUGUAAGGGCGUGUUUGUUUCGGCAUUGCCGUUUGAUGAAUAAAAAUUGUCGUUUCUUUCACGACUGCUUUUUUUUUAGUGCCCUUUUCUUGGAAAAAUGGUAAUGCCAGAAAAAACCAAAACGUCUGUAUUUUCUUAUUAAUUUCAAAAAUCUGCAUGAAAAAAAAACUCUUUCUAAAAUCAUCCAAUCAUUAUAUGCAGGUUGAACCAUAAUAAACCCGUUGAACACAGUAAUCCUACGGUUCCUCCAAAUUUUGAAUUCCCUGUAUAUGAAGCUGAAGAUGAGGAAGGUGAUGACAUACCGUAUGAGAUCACUCGGUUACUUGAGCAAGAAAAGAAAGCCAUUCAGUCUCACCAGGAAGAGAUUGAGCUUAUCAACAUAGGUACCGAGGAAAACAAGCGAGAAAUCAAGAUUGGUGCUACUCUAGAGGAAGGGGUUAAACAGAAGAUCAUCCAGCUCCUCCGGGAAUAUCCGGAUAUUUUUGCAUGGUCCUAUGAAGAUAUGCCAGGUCUAGACCCUAUGAUCGUGGAGCAUCGGAUCCCUACCAAGCCUGAAUGUCCUCCCGUCAGACAGAAAUUGAGAAGGACUCAUCCUGAUAUGGCUCUCAAGAUUAAGAGCGAGGUUCAAAAACAGAUUGAUGCGGGUUUCCUAAUGACAGUUGAGUAUCCUGAAUGGGUUGCCAAUAUUGUGCCUGUGCCAAAAAAGGAUGGUAAAGUCCGGAUGUGUGUUGACUUCAGAGACCUGAACAAAGCCAGUCCAAAAGACAACUUUCCAUUACCUCAUAUUGAUGUGCUUGUUGAUAAUACUGCUCAAUCUAAGGUGUUCUCCUUCAUGGACGGUUUUUCUGGUUAUAAUCAGAUCAAAAUGUCUCCCGAAGAUAGAGAAAAGACAUCUUUUAUCACUCCAUGGGGUACUUUCUGCUACAAAGUGAUGCCAUUCGGUCUAAUUAAUGCUGGUGCUACCUACCAAAGGGGAAUGACUACUUUGUUUCAUGACAUGAUUCACAAAGAAGUUGAGGUAUAUGUGGAUGACAUGAUUGUGAAGUCAGCAGAUGAGGAGCAGCAUGUUGAAUAUUUAACAAAGAUGUUUGAAAGGUUGAGAAAAUACAAGCUGCGUUUGAAUCCCAACAAAUGUACAUUCGGUGUCAGGUCCGGAAAGUUAUUAGGCUUCAUUGUCAGCCAAAAGGGCAUUGAAGUCGAUCCUGAUAAAGUCCGGGCCAUCCAAGAAAUGCCAGCUCCACAGACAGAGAAGCAAGUCAGAGGUUUCCUCGGGCGUUUGAAUUACAUCUCCCGGUUCAUAUCUCACAUGACCGCAACCUGUGGGCCGAUCUUCAAGCUGCUUAGAAAAAACCAGCCUAUUGUAUGGAAUGAUGAGUGCCAAGAAGCUUUUGAUAGCAUCAAGAAUUACCUGCUGGAACCACCUAUCCUUGUCCCACCCGUGGAAGGAAGGCCGUUGAUCAUGUAUUUGGCAGUAUUUGAUGAAUCCAUGGGAUGCGUGCUUGGUCAACAAGAUGAAACUGGAAAGAAAGAGCAUGCUAUCUACUAUCUAAGCAAGAAGUUCACCGAUUGUGAAACUCGGUAUACAAUGCUUGAGAAGACUUGUUGUGCUUUGGCCUGGGCCGCUAAACGCCUGCGUCAUUAUUUGGUGAAUCAUACAACUUGAUUGAUAUCCAGAAUGGAUCCGAUCAAGUAUAUCUUUGAGAAAGCUGCCGUUACUGGAAAGAUUGCACGCUGGCAGAUGCUUUUGUCUGAAUAUGAUAUUGUGUUCAAAACUCAAAAGGCAAUCAAAGGUAGCAUUCUUGCCGAUCAUCUUGCCUACCAACCUCUUGAUGAUUACCAACCAAUUGAGUUCGACUUCCCUGAUGAAGAGAUCAUGUAUUUGAAAUCCAAAGACUGCGAAGAACCGUUGAUUAAUGAAGGUCCAGAUCCCAAUAGCAAGUGGGGUUUAGUCUUUGAUGGUGCUGUCAAUGCUUAUGGCAAAGGAAUCGGGGCAGUCAUUGUAUCCCCGCAAGGGUAUCACAUUCCUUUUACCGCCAGAAUCUUGUUCGAAUGUACCAACAAUAUGGCUGAGUAUGAAGCAUGUAUCUUUGGGAUCGAGGAAGCAAUUGACAUGAGAAUCAAACACCUCGACAUCUAUGGAGAUUCUGCGCUCGUCAUCAAUCAGAUAAAGGGUGAAUGGGAGACCCACCAUGCUAAUUUGAUUCCUUAUCGUGAUUAUGCGAGACGUUUGCUGACAUAUUUUACAAAGGUUGAGCUGCACCAUAUUCCUCGUGAUGAGAACCAAAUGGCUGAUGCUCUUGCUACUCUAUCCUCCAUGUUUCGAGUAAACCAUUGGAAUGAUGUGCCAAUAAUCAAAAUGCAACGCCUUGAAAGACCUUCACAUGUGUUUGCUAUUGGGGAUGUGAUCGAUCAGGCUGGUGAAAAUGUGGUUGACUAUAAACCCUGGUACUAUGACAUCAAGCAGUUCUUGCUGAGCCGUGAGUAUCCGCCGGGUGCUUCCAAACAAGACAAGAAGACCUUGAGAAGAUUGGCCAGUAGAUUCCUGUUAGAUGGAGAUAUUCUGUACAAGAGAAACUAUGACAUGGUAUUGUUAAGAUGUGUUGAUGAACAUGAAGCAGAGCAGUUAAUGCAUGAUGUACAUGACGGUACCUUCGGGACCCAUGCUACAGGGCAUACUAUGUCAAGAAAGUUGUUACGAGCAGGUUACUACUGGAUGGCCAUGGAGCAUGAUUGCUACCAGUACGCCAGAAAAUGCCACAAAUGUCAAAUCUAUGCUGAUAAGAUUCAUGUGCCUCCGCACGCUCUCAAUGUUAUGUCAUCCCCAUGGCCGUUCUCAAUGUGGGGCAUCGACAUGAUUGGAAGAAUUGAACCGAAGGCUUCAAAUGGUCAUCGUUUCAUCUUAGUGGCAAUUGACUACUUCACCAAGUGGGUUGAAGCAGCAUCUUAUACCAAUGUGACCAAGCAAGUGGUAGCUAAGUUCAUCAAGAACAACAUCAUCUGUCGAUAUGGUGUUCCCAGCAAGAUUAUUACCGACAAUGGUACCAACCUGAACAACAAUGUGGUGCAAGCUCUUUGUGAAGAAUUCAAAAUUGAGCAUCAUAACUCUUCUCCCUAUAGACCUCAGAUGAAUGGUGCAGUUGAGGCCGCCAACAAGAAUAUCAAGAGAAUUGUCCAGAAGAUGGUGACCACUUACAAGGACUGGCAUGAGAUGUUACCCUAUGCUCUGCAUGGCUACCGUACUACUGUGCGCAGUUCAACAGGGGCAACCCCUUUCUCUCUUGUAUAUGGUAUGGAAGCAGUUCUUCCUUUGGAAGUGGAGAUCCCAUCUCUCCGUGUGAUCAUGGAAGCAAAGUUAUCUGAGGCUGAAUGGUGCCAAAGCCGGUAUGAUCAGUUGAAUUUGAUUGAGGAAAAACGUAUGGAUGCCAUGGCUCGUGGACAGUCAUAUCAAGCAAGAAUGAAGACUGCCUUUGACAAGAAAGUCCAUCCUCGAGAAUUCAAGGUAGGGGAACUUGUAUUGAAAAGGAGGAUAAGCCAGCAACCCGACCCAAGGGGCAAGUGGACGCCUAACUAUGAAGGUCCUUAUGUUGUCAAGAAGGCCUUCUCCGGUGGUGCUUUAAUCCUUACACACAUGGAUGGUGUAGAACUUCCAAAUCCAGUGAAUGCCGAUAUAGUCAAGAAAUACUUUGCCUAGAAAUAUGAAAAGAACAGCGUGGUAGGUCGAAAACCCGAAAGGGCGGCCUAGGCAAAAAUGCGCUUCCCGGUGGAUCGAAAACCCGAAAGGGCGGUCCAGGCAAAAAUAAGGGACAAAAAAUAUAUGAAAAGCUCGCUGAGAUUGUACACAACUCAGGCAAGAAUGAGCGUCUCGAUGAGCCGAAAACCCGGAAGGGCGGUUCAUGCAAAAAUGAGAUUGAAACAAAAGGCAAGUAACUAUAUCUAGUCAACCACCGUCUCCCUUGGGGCAUCUGCGGCUGUUAAUGCCUAUCUUCAUCUAAAGCUCCUACGCUUGCGAAUUCAAAGUUUCCAGGAAAUGUAAUGAUUGCUGUGUUCAAUGUACCACCAACCAAUAAAAUUACCAUUUUCCAAGCUUUGUGAAUCCGUGGAGUCAUGCCUUUGGCUGACCACCACUCUUAUACAUCAAUUUGAGCCUUUGCUUUUGUUUGAAAACUCUAUUUUUUCUUCUACUUUCAAAGCUAUAUACAAAACAUUUUCUUUCUAUUUUGAUAAUGACAAUGCUUGAAACAAACAUUUUGAAAAUUGAAAACUUUUUGUCUAUUUUGAAAAGCAAACCUGAGCAACAGGGUACAUUCAAAUGAAACAUGCAUGAGUGAGAGUAUGUUGAUGUCUAUUUCAAUAUGUGUUACAAGCAGGUUCUCCUCCAGGAUAGUCUGUGGUCAAUGGCAAGAAUGAAAAAGCAGAAUGAAAAUGCAUGAAAAUGAAAAGGCUCGCUAAGUUGAAAACCCGGAAGGGCGGCUUAGGCAAGAAUGAGCACCCCGCUGGAUUGAAAACCCGAAAGGGCAGUUCAGGCAAAAAUGGGGCAUUGAAAAGAAUUUAUUUCCCCGGUGGAUCGAAAACCCGAAAGGGCGAUCCAGGCAAAAAUGGGAUGCAAAAAAUGAAUGAAUGAAGUUGAGAAUAUAACAUGCAAAAAGCAUUGACCACAGAUGCAAUGUCUACAACAUACCCAGCACUGAAAUGCCCAGCACAACGGCGUUUUCCCCAGUGGAGCCUCUCAAGAUUCUAUCUCCAGCAAGUUGCAUAUCUACCUGCCCUCAGCUAUGGUUCCGACACGUCUCCCAACGACGUCAUCUCCAAAGAAGAUUUCCAAGAAUGUGUAAUAUAGCACGAGCCACUACGUGCCCAAUACUCUAAUGUCUUGUCUUCCCCGUAAAGUCGUGCCUACAAACUGCCAACAGUCAUGCAUUACAAGCAUUCAUACAUGCACAAUCAUGCGUAAUACGUGCCCAUGCAUUUAAUAAAACUGUUAUAUCAUCCAUGCAUAUCGCAUUUCCAAUAUCAAUAUCAGUCUCAAUUCAAAACUCAUGACAGGUCCUUUGUCAAAACCUUGUGAGCCAAUAAUAUCGGUCAAUUUCUACCUUUCAAAUCAAAUCGACGUCAAGUCAAUCUCAAUCUAUAUUUUGCCAACAAACCAAUCCCCAGUGAAUAUGUUUCUGUUUGGUCAAGUGGCUAGUUCAAGGCCAAGAACAGCUUGUACCUAUCAAUUUGCUUAUGUUAUCGGUCGAGUGCCCAGCUCAAUCCAAGAGCAGCUUGUACCUGUCAAUAUGUUUCCGUUUGGUCAAGUGACUAGCUCAAUCCAAGAGCAGCUUGUACCUGUCUAUCCGUUUCUCUCCGGUGGAGUAACUAGUUCGCAUCCAAGAACAAGCUCGCACCUGUCUAUUUGCCUUGCUUUCAGUCGAGUAACCAGUUCGAAUCCUUAAGAACAACUCGUACCUGCCAAUUUUACAUGUUUUCAGUCGAGACACCAGUUCGAAUCCAUAGGAACAACUCGUACUUGUCAAUUUUCUCUUUUUCCAGUCGAGUCACCAGUUCGAAUCCGUAAGAACAACUCGUACUUGCCAAUUUUCUCUUUAUCCCCAAGUGAGCUACCCAGUUCGAAUCCAUAAGAACAACUCAUGUUUGUCCAGUAACCUCUAUCCCCUGUGAAGUGACCAGUUCGAAUCCAUAAGAACAACUCGCAGUUGUCGGUUUGUUUCAUCCCCGGUCAAGUGGCUAGUUCGAAUCCAAGAACAGCUUGUACCUGCCCAACUUGUUUCUAGUUUCCCGUUACUCUGCUAUUCACUAUCUUUGUCAAUGUCUACCAAUCCCGCAAUGGAUACGACAUAUUUUGUUAAUUCCAAUCCCCAUGAGGUCUUGCAUUCAUAAUCCAAAUGAUGCAUGGCAUGCAUAUUAUUUGAAUAUGGGUAGGCGUAUUUUUACGUCCAAACACAGUGCAAAUGCUAAUAUUUAAGUAUCUUCGUCCUGUCAAGCCAAAGACUCCGUCUCUUGACUCUCCAGACAAAGAAACUUAAAUAGGGGCAGCUGUUAUACCCUGUUUUUGGACCUAAAAAAUACUGGGCCCAAUUUCAUUUCAAACUUCGUCAAUUAUCAAAUUUCAGCUGCACAGUUCAAUUUGUCUCUGCCUCGCAGUAUUUUCAAUCACAAUUUUACCUAUGUUUUUCUUGCAUAAAACCUUUUAAAAUGUCUUUACUGGUCUUGUAAGUCACGCAAAAGUGUCUCUGAAUCAUUAUGUUGCUUUUUUUCCACAGUUUAUUUCAAAAUUUGCAAAAAGUCAUACAGAAGGGUAUUUUGGUCAUUUCCUGCAGUGGGACCCAUUUUCAUCCUUGUGACUGUCUCUGAGUCUUUUCAAAUUCAUUUUUUACUUUCCAUCAGUAAACCUUGCUAAUUUCAUUUCGAACUUGCAUCUGAGUCAGUGUCGAGUCAAUUUGAGUCUGUUUAGGUCAUUUUUUUAGCCCUAGGGGCAUUUUGGUCAUUUCACAUAAAAUUUUGGCAUGGGGAGGUUACUUUGAAGUACCUCAUUUAGGCCAUUGGUUCGUUUUAGUCCGUUUUGUCAAUUUUAUUUUAGUUUCACUUUACGUUUCGUCAGAUUGCCAAUUUUAUUCCAAUUUUAUUUUUAUUUUACAUUUUGGUCCCCAAGAGGUCCAAAAUUGCGUGUCAGUCCAGAAUUUUCUUUUUUUAUAUUUCAGUCCUUUUUGUCAAUUGCAGUUUAGUCCCUUAAUUUUUCAAUUUUGCAGAAAGGUCCCAAAUUAAUUCUAAGUCCAAGGCCGUGCCAUUUCCAUACAAAUCCAGGUGUCACAUUUUCAUUGGCUCAAGUGUACACAUGUCAACUAUAUAAACAGUGAGUCAGAAUCAGAAGCAAUAAUCACACGCCACUUCACCAAAAAACAGGAUCAAACUUUCUCUUUCUUGUCAGUUAGAUCAAACCAAAAAAUCACAGAGAAAUCACCAAGAACACAAGAACCCUAAGAUUUCCAGAACAAAAUUCAUACACAAAUUCAUUGAUUUUCACAUCAAUCCUCAGAGAUUCGUGUGAAUCUUCAUCACCGGAUUGAGGAAUUCCCCUACAAUUCAAAGUGCGAGCUCACAUUGAAGCAAGCUCAAGCACUGAUCAUAGGGAUUUUUCACACAGAUUCAAAAACGUUGAAGCAAGCUCAAGCACAUAAUCACAGAGAAGCAGAGAAAGAAUCAGAGAAGAUGAAGAUGAACCGGUAAACCGAUUUAUUUUCGGUCCAAAAGCAAGCAAAAUCAUCAAAACCGUCAAGAACAUUCAAGUUUUCCCAAAGAUUUCCUCCAUUAAAGGUUUCAACCAGAACCUUAGGUAAAACUCAGAAUCUUUUCUCAAAAGUAAUAUCACUGUUAAACCUGUAGAAAACAAUCACGCAAGCAAAGCGUAUCAAAAAAUUUCCAGAAUUCAAAGAAAGCCGUAACCGUAAACACGAAACCUAGAUCCAUAAGGAUCUAAGUUUUGAAAGCAAGAACGAGUACUAGAAGCGUAAUCAAACAACGAAACGAUGUAGAUCUUUAAACGAUCUAAACAUUUCUUUUCAAAAACCAAAAAAAUCAGUUUCAAAACCGUACGGAACUUUUUAGAUCUACAACGUUUCAAACCGUAUUUGAAAAAACAGCUGCUGGAUUCGUGUUUAGGGUUAAAGGACGAAUCAAAAUAUGCAAAAAUAUUUGAGUUCUGGAAAUUUUUCACCGGAAACUGCUAGGUCUCGCCGGAGAAGAUGAAGUUUCCGGCGGACCUUCAAGGUCUCCGCCGUAGCUUCAUCCUCACCGGCGGUGAGGGUUUAGAGAGAGAUGAGAGAAGAGAGAGGGGUUAGAGAGAGAAAGAGGAAUACGAAAUGAAAAAACCGGCGCGCUAGGGUUUAUAUAGAGUGCUAGACCGGACCGGUUCAAGACCGGUCCAAUCCCAUGCGUUGUGAGCCCUUAGAUCUAGGGUUUGGGAUCUUGGAUCAAUCCAACGAUCCCUGAGCAUUCCUGUGAGAUCCGGAUCCCUUGGCUUUGGGCCUGGGCCUCUUUUCUUUGCUUUUCUACGUUUUUGCUUUUUUUGUGCUAUUUGCACCGUGUUUCCUUGCUAUCUGCACCUAUUGCUUGUUUACUUCUUUUACAAAAAUUCCUAAAAAAAUCCUAGUGGUUUCUUGAUACAUUCUUGGCAUUUCUAUAGCGUUUUCUUGCAUAAAAAUGUUAAAAUGGCAUGAACUAAUUCCAUGUAUUUUUGUACUUUUGGUAUGCAUUUUGCUAUGUUUUGUUCUUGACAUUUUGAUAGUAUGACAUGGAUAAAUGAUGCCUAAUAUUGUGGUGAAUAUAACUCUGGAAAUGUGCUUUUGUUUGCUAUUUGUGAAUAUGAUUUUAUGGAUUUCUUGUUUUACAAGCAACAAGUGUUUAUUUUUAGGAAUAAAGUAGGAAAUUUCUUCAUGAAUUUGGUGUGGUAUUUUGCUUGCACAUGUCUCCAUUAAUUGCAUGUCAUGGUUUAAAACAAAAUUUCUUUCAAAAUUGCCAUGAUGUGAUAAUUAUGGGUCACUAGCAUCUUUAGGUAUCAUAUCAAAUGUUUUUUUAGGUUUUUACCACUUUGUUACUCUUUCUUUGCCAUUCUUAUGCACUUCCUUUUGAUUAUUUCCUACUAUUUUGUGCUUUAUAAUCACUAACCAUUUCAUCUCAUGUGCCAUACAUUCCAUAGCAUUCCACCACCCUCUCCACUUUCUUUAGCUUAGCAUUUAUUUUUUGCAAGUUUUAAUUCAUUUGGUGAUGUAAUUUGUUAUCAUUGGUUUGUAGCUUGGCAAAGGGGCCAUAGAAUGUAUUUAGGCAAUUUUUGUAAUAUGGACUAUGGACACUAUGACGCACCGACACGCACACACUCACCUUAGAUGUAUGCAUAGGAUUGUAUGGUUAAAUAAGCGUUUAGGUUUUAAACACUUAGAGAAAAUCCAUCUUUUUUUCAAAAAAAAACAAUUGAACUUCACUUCAAAAUUUUCAUAAUAAGUAUGAAGUCAACACUUCAUUUUUUUUCCUUUCUUUUUUCUUAAGAAAAAUUCAAUUCAUCUUAACUAUUUAGACUUUCUUUCUAAUCACUAAUCAAACCUCACUUUUUUGCUAAAUCUAAUGCUCAUGAAGCCUCCCAAUCUCCUUCUUCAAAACCUUUUUUUCAAAACUUAAAAUCAAACAAUUAAAACAAAAAACAAGUUUUUUUAGCAAGAACUACGAACGGUUUUGAUCCCGUAAAACGGUACGUAGGCAAUGAGUCAAAACUCAUCCAAGCCGAAAUAAAAUCAAAUUCUACUUCUUCUCACCCCCAUUCUUCACUAAUCAUACCUUCUUUUUUACAAAUAAGCAAUAAAACUAAAGCGUAGAAAUAAACUUAGGAGAACGGUUCUUAUGGAAUACCAUAAUCGCUCCGGGUGCCUAACACCUUCCCGUAGUGAAAACGACCCCCGAAUCUAGAACUUUUUAAGGGUUUUUUCUCCUUUUACCCUUCCCAAGAAAAAAGAGAGAUAUCAACGGUCGAAAGGUUCAAGUCCAAUUAAUGGCUUGGCACCCCAAAACCAUGAUAACACCUUAGAUAAACAUUAAAUGUAAAAGUCUGGAGGGAAAAAUUAGGUUAAAACUAGAGCUGACAUUUUGCAUAAAUUAAAUCUAGGGUUAAUAUAGUAAAGUCACGCGAAAAAAUACGUUAAAUCUAGGGUUAAUAUUGCGUCACGGGUUAACAUUUAGAAAUAAGAGAUGACAUUUUGCAUAAAUUAAAUCUAGGGUUAAUAUAGUAAAGUCACACGAAAAAAUUAGGUUAAAUCUAGGGUUAAUAUUGCGUCACGGGUUACCAUUUAGAAAUAAGAGAUGUCAUUUUGCAUAAAUUAAAUCUAAGGUUAAUAUAAUUUGUUUAGUAAAUUUAAAGAGAAAAAUUAGGAGCGAUUUGUUUAUUUUGAUUUCCCUAACAAUUAACGUUAACAUUUUGUUUAAGUUAAACAUGAUUAAUUAAAUAGGGUUAAUACAGUAAAAUUAAGCAAAGAAGUUAGGUUAAAUCUAGGGCAAAAUUUUGCGUUGGGGUUAACUUUAAGAAAUAAAAUAGGUUAAGUAUAGCAAGAAGGAUUAACAUUUAUAAGUAAGAGAUUAGAUUAAGUAUAGCGAGACGGGUUAACGGUUAUUCCUUUCCAAAAAAACAACAUAUAAUUGGGAACAUCAUUUUAUUUUACUUUAGAUAAAUAUUAAAUGCAAAAGUGUGGAGGGAAAAAUUAGGUUAAAAUUAGAGAUGACAUUUUGCAUAAAUUAAAUCUAGGGUUAAUAUAGUAAAGUCACGCGAAAAAAUAUGUUAAAUCUAGGGUUAAUAUUGCAUCAAGGAUUAACAUUUAGAAAUAAGAGAUAACAUUUUGCAUAAAUUAAAUCUAGGGUUAAUAUAGUAAAGUCACAUGAAAAAAUUAGGUUAAAUCUAAGGUUAAUAUUGCGUCAGGGGUUAACAUUUAAAAAUAAGAGAUAACAUUUUGCAUAAAUUAAAUCUAGGGUUAAUAUAGUAAAGUCACAUGAAAAAAUUAGGUUAAAUCUAAGGUUAAUAUUGCGUCAGGGGUUAACAUUUAAAAAUAAGAGAUAACAUUUUGCAUAAAUUAAAUCUAGGGUUAAUAUAAUUUUUGUAGUAAAAUUAGGAGCGAUUUGUUUAAUUUGAUUUCCCUAACAAUUAACGUUAACAUUUUGAUUAAAUUAAAUAGGGUUAAUACUGUAAAAUUAAGCAAAGAAGUUAGGUUAAAUCUAGGGCAAAAUUUUGCGUUCGGGUUAACUUUAAGGAAUAAGAGAUUACAAUAGUUGUUAUGUUAUUUUUUAUGCAGUGUUUUAGGCUCUGUGUUGCAAAAUUUUGGUUUACGCAGUUUUGAUUUUCACAUUGAUAAAGGACAAUAAUUUUCCGUAAUUUAUAAGAUUUCUUCUUCGGAGUUAAAUUUUUUAAAAAUACGUUAUUCAACCCGUGCGAAUUCGCACGGGUUUGUAACUAGUUUGAAUGACAAAAAAAUAAAAAUGUGGAAUGGGUUGAGAGAAAGAGAAAGGAUGGAAAAAGAAUUAGUACGUACUUUGCAAUUAUGGAAUUAAAACCUCUUUUAUCACACAAUAAUGUGCUAAAGCUCAUUAACACAUUGAUUUUUUUUUUUUUAUUUUUAUUUUUUUUUUUUUAUUUUUUAUAGUUGUUCAAUAGACCUCUCAAAAUUGUUCACUUAACUACAAAAGCUAAUCAAAAGAUGCAUCUUGAUCGAAAUUCACAUACAAAAUCAAUCGAUCGGGGUCAUAAACUGAUUGAAAGAGAAAUUGAAAGGUCUAUUGAACAACUUACCUAUAAUUUUCUUCUUUUCUUUUCUAUUAAUUGGUGUGGGCUUCCACAUGAGUAGAGAUUCGCCAAACAGUUCUUUAUUUCACAAUUUAAGUGAAGCAAUUUGUUAUCAUUCCAAUAAGGGAUAGUGUCUGAGGGGGCACUUAUUAAGAAAGAAAUUAAAUACUACCUUAAAAAUUGUGUAUUUAUUUUUAAAAAAUUGGAAAGAGAUCAUUUUAAUAUAAAAUUUGUCUUUUCUUUUUACUUUUAAUUCUUUUAACAAAUGUCCCUAAACUAUUGUUACUGUGUCUUCCAACAACUACUACAUCUGUCCCUAAUUAUAAAACCAUUUUGAGAAUUUUUUUUGUCCCUUUUUAUAAGACCCAUUUUCUAUUUCCAACUACAUUAAUUAUUUCUUUACAUGCAUGGCCCUAUUUAUUAUUGUUGUGUAUGUCUUCAAAUUGCAAAGUUGGGAAGCAGAGAAAUCGUGACACGAUUUUGGUAAUGUCGUGAGCUGGUUUUCAGGGCGUCCAAUCGUUACACGAUUUUUGGCUUGCUGGGCAAGAUUUUCAGGAUAAGGUUGGUCGUACCUUGGAUCGUACGCAUCAAUCGUGGCACGAUUGGGGGAAAAACGUGACACGAUUUUGACGCAGAAGACAGCUAUAAAAGUGUUCUUUGCAGAUUUUGAAUGAGAGCUUGAAGAGAGAGAAACUUGGGAAAUCAAAGGAAGCAACUUUAGGGAUUAGGGUCUUUGAUUAGAGUUCUCUUGGGUUGGGAAACAUUGCAAACACCUUGGUGAGUGAAAAUCAUUGAGUGUCUUGUUCAUUGGUGAGAUUGGGAAAAAUGGUAGAAAUUAGGGUUGUUCUUUGUGAACUUGUCAAAGCUAAUUUCUUGUAACCCUUUUCUAUCUCUUUGGAAGAACUCAUUGAUAGUGGAUUGGAGAGUUCAAUCUCUCCUCCAGAGUAUGUCAAGUUUGGACCGAACUGGAUGAACAAUCUUUGGUGUGUUUGUUUCUCUCUUCUCUCCUUUUAUCUUGUGCUUGUGUUUUGUGCUUUUCACUUUGUUUCCUAGAUUAGAUCUAGGUGUUGUUAUUGUUGAUUAUUGUUUGCAUUCACUUUGUUAUUGGUUACUACUUUCCUUUGCUCCACACAUCAUAGUUUGUUUUGGUGUGAUUUUGAGACCGGAAUUCACAACAAUUAUACAUUUUUUCUUCAAUCAGCAAUAAAUAGAAUGUUGAAAACAUAAGCCAACCCUCUUUCUUAAAGGAUAAAAUUGUAAAAACAAUAGUAAUUACAAACAUAUUUAAUACAAAUAUCAUCUAUCUUAAUUCCCGUUAUUUUUUCAGAAGAGUCUUAUAAUUAGAGACGGAGGUAGUAUAUCAUAAGUCUCAACUCUCAACCUUCUUCUUAUGUGAUAAUCAAGAUUUUCUCAACAAAUCAACACCAUUGUCAUCUCUAUCUCCAACAUCAAUUAUAAACAUCACACCUUAGUUAAACAGCCAAAUCACAUGCCAAGUUACUUAGAAGUUAGAACCACCAUUCAACAAAGAAAUUAGGUUACUUCAAACUUGAAUGAUCCUCUUGUCCUAGUAAAAGUCCGCGUGUGUAUUGCAAAGUUCGUUAAAAGUACAUUUCGUUAAAAGUACAUUUAUAGUGAACUACUGAACUUGAUGUCGGUGAUUGCUUAUAUUUUGCAACAACAAAUUCUACACUAAAUUAAUUGAUUUAAACCUAUGAAGGACGGAUACGGACACAGACACUAGACACAAUACAGACACUGAUAUGCCGACACAACUAAUAAUUUGAAAAUAUCACAUUAUUCGGUUUAAUUACAAGUGUCGGUGUCGUGUUGGUAUCAGACACGACACGUGUCCGACACUGGGACACGCCUAAUUCGAGAAGUGUCUGUGCUUCGUACCAAGUCAUUUUUUUAAUAAAAUUACUUGUUCAUCAGGCAAACACCAAUUCUCAUACCAAUUCGCUCUCAUUAUAUGCUCAAAUUUCAAAACUCGGUUUUGGUUGAAAAUGAAAUCUUAACCGAUCAAAGUAGAAGCUAUCUCCGUAUUGUGGAUUAGUUUUUCACUAUAGAAAAAAUGAUUUUGAUAAUUAAAAACUAUUUAGAGGUUAAUUUAUUAUAUUAAAAAAAUUAAAUAUGUUUUGUGUUAGAUUAUUAUAAUGUAAACCAUUUUUUGAAAGAAAUUGUCUUCAGCACAUGAUUGGAACUCUCGAUGAACUCAUUUUGAACGCAUACAUAUAUAGUAUAUGAAUGAUUGGAUUUCAAGAGAGAACAAUUCUUGUGCACAUUUAUUCGGAUUUGAAUAAAUACACAAUUGUUUUACAAAUGAAAGAAGAUUAUUCCUAAGAUAUUUUUAAAUGGUGAAAUCUAGACGAGAAAAAAAAAAUAUUUCUCAUUUUUAUAGAUAAAUUUAGAAAAAGAUGAUAUUUUUCGUACAAAAACAUUUAUCAAGAAUUAUGGUAGUAGAAGAAAAAAGAAAUUGUCCACUAAACAUAGAUCUGUUGGUACGAAUAUUACAUAAUAUACAAAGUGGUCAAAAUUCAAAUCAAAAAUACCCCACUUAUACAAGGUUCAAAUUCCAAAAGCCCACUUAUACUUACGUUAGAUGAUUUCUAGCCACUACCAAAACUAAGUUAAAGGAAAAAAAAAUAAAAUAUUAAUUCAUGUGUUACAUUAUAUAUAUUUAAUUCAUGUGUUACAUUAUAUUUCUGUCAAAUGAGUAUCAUGACUAUCAAAAUUGUUACAACCAUUUUACCAUUUUCAACCUGGCCAACUGGAACCACUAUGCUAUGUAUGCAAUUUUUACACUUUAACAAUAGUAAAAAAAGAAGGGGAAGAGGUAGUGGCUAGAAAUGAAACAAAUCACUUCACCAUUUUGAUUUAAAUUGAACAUGUGAAUGCACAGUACAAGUGGUAAUUAGAAAACAUAACAGAUGAAACUGACAAUUCAAAAUUUAUUUCAUUUAUUUCAAAUAUAUUAUUCCAUUAAGAGUAACUACAUAACAUUGUCUCCAAAAAGAAAAAUUAAAAAUAAAACUCCAAAUAUUUUUGUCUCUAAGUAGCAACUGAAUUUACUAGGCAAUGACACCCAUUCUUUUUAUAAAGUAGACAAAAAGUCAUGUACCCAGUUAACAUGAACCACAACUACAACUUGUACUGCAACUUAUUCAUAGAUAAUUUUUAGAGGCUAGAAUUGAUUUUGAGAACCAAAAAAGUGACUUAUUCAUUGUGCUUCUUGUGGAGCUGAGGAUCAGUUUGAUAAAAGACAACAUCUCCAGUGUCACUUACAAAGUGAUCUUCAUUCAUACUUUGUAGUAAAUAUUUAAUUAGAUGAAAUGGAAGUGGUGAUGAUUUCUCUGGCUCACGGUAAUAGUCUCCAAAAAUUGGUUUUGCUGCUUUAGUCUGCAAAGGAAAAAGAUUGCAAUCAUUGUUUAAAACCACAUCGUAAGAAAUGACCAGUGACCCUGAGACGCUGGUUAAAGAACUAAAAAUAGGAUGAAGCGUGUUUAACGGUAAGUAAUUACCGCUUCAACCAAGUGAUAAUGAGGAAUUUGAGGGAAGAGAUGAUGAACAACAUGAGUGCCAAUGUCAUGAUGAAUGUUAUUAAUCCAACCAUAGUCACGAUCAACGGUUGUUAGUCCACCUCUUAGAUAGGUCCAUUCCUACCAAAAUGUACACGAGUAAUCAGACUCAACAAGAUUUGUGAUACAUAAUCACGUAAUUAUGAACAUAAAUAAUUGAUUGAUUGAAGGUACAUAAUUCAUUAUAUUUUUACCUGGCCACGGUACCAUGGUAAUUUUUGCGUAUAACCAUGGUGAUGCAAGUAUGUGACAAAAUCCAACCACAUGACAAAAAUCUGGAGUUGUACAAAAUAAGCAUAUAAUAAUCAAUUAAUGGACAUAAUAACAAUAAUUCAAUUAUAAUACAUUGUUUAGAUCAACGGUAAAUUUGGUAGAAGUAUGGUGAAACGUUCUAAAUUUAAUAAAAGAUUCAACAAAAUUAUGUUGUCCCCAUAACUUUUAAUAUGAAGCACAGCUACGACACUGACACAUCGAUACCAUAAAUAAUUUAUGAAAAUUACAUAAUUCACUGUAAUAACAAAUGUCAGUCUCGUAUCAGUGUCAGAAAAAUGUCUAACACCAGAACACGCCUAACUCGAGGAAUAUAAAAAAAAAAGGAUUUAAAAAUGAAUUUAACUUUACCCAAUAGGGAACUCCAUAGAGCUUGAGAAUUAAAAGUGGACUAGUUGUGAAGGACAAAUAAAGAAGCAAAGAAAACAUGAGAAGCCAACAAACUGUUGAAACUGUCACUUCUUUUCUCUCAUUGGGUGAGAACAAGUCGCUAUAGGGAUGAAAGUGUGACCCUGAUUUUCCAGGACUUCUACUCCACUGAAACAUUAACAUUUUCACAUUAGAAUAUGAAAAAAAAAAUUAGAUUCUACAAGUAUAUUAUCAUGAUAAGAACAAUAUUUGUAUUAUUUUAAAUAAUAAAAAAAAAACUCACCAAAUAAAUUGGAUAUGCAAACAAUGGUAAAGGCACUGAGAAUCUCACAAAUUUUGUCAUGUUGUCUAGACUGUUGUAAACCUUUUCUGUCAACUAAGAAAAUGACACAAAAUAUUAUGAACAAAACUCAUCAAAUGAAAGUUACUUCAUUUUUGCCCUUUGUUUGGGACUAAACCACCAAAACUAUGCAUAUAAUAUAAUAUAAUAACAUUAAUUAAGAACUUAGAAUAAAAUCAACAAAUCACAUACUGGAACCCAUGACUCAUCCCUUUCAACAUUUCCAUGGUUUUGAUGAUGUGUUUUGUGACUAAUUCUCCUGAAAAAUUCAUUAAAGCAAAAACUUGAAAUUUGUUAUAAUUCAAAGUAAAGUUAUUACCAUGAAACAACAAGGACAAAAAUGAUAUAAUGAACAAUAAAAAAACAAAAAUUCUAGAAACUAUUUCACUCACCAUCCAUGGUAUGGAACAAGAAUUGAGGAAUGCAAAAUAUGGCCCACAAAGUUAUUCACCAAAGAACUAUCUGAGAAGCUUCCAUGGCCACUAUUCCAAACAAAACAUCAAUGUUUACAUAAAAAAACAUAACAAAAACAAAAAACCAUAUGACAUAACAUUAACAUGAGUUAAACAAAAAACAUAAUUGAAAAAAAAAAAUUAUUUCUUACCAAUCAUGUCCAAGAACAAAAAUUGCCCAAAACAUUGUUCCUUGAAGAGGCCAAUAAAUUGGCCAAAAAUACCAGUUAUCAAACCUAAUUGCAGCUACAAUCAAUGCAGUAACAACCACCACAUCUCUAAGAACAUAACUUAGAGAUCUCCAUGUGUUCUUCACCCAACAAUGUUUUGGAAUAGCAGCUCUAAUAUCUGCUAUCUUAAAUGGUGGAGGAGCACUAGGGUCAAAUUCACUAUGGUUGUAAUUGUAGCCACCAUUGGUUACAACCAUUGUUUCUUGGCCUAGUGUUUCUCUUUUUUCAGAUAUGUGGUGAAUAGAGGUUGAUAUAGCCAUAAGAUGAAAUAUUUUUAACCUUUUGUAUGAGUAUACUACGACAGACACAUGGGGUCGUUUGUAUAUAUAAUAGAAAAAUGUUAGAGUGGUAAUAAUAGGUGCACAAGAUUUUAGUUUGACUUGUGUAAUUUUUUGUUUAUUUAUGUUGAUUUUCCUAAGAUCUAGGUGAUGUGGGAAAUGCUAAACUUGUGAAUUUAUGACGAUUUUGCAAAUUUCAAACCGUAUGAAGGUUGAAUAUUGAACCAUUGUAUCUCUUGAAAAACAUGUGCUAACAAAGAAGUGAAUUUAUGGUCGGUUAAUAUAUGGCAUAAUUAAAUUUUAUGUGCUAAUGUGAAUUUAGGGUCGGUUAUAUAUAUGGCAUAAGUUCAAUUUUGGAGGGUCAAGAAUCAUUUUAAUAGUUUUUUUUUUUGUUGAAAGAAUCAUUUUUUUAGUAUUGAUUUUAGGGUUAAUUAAGUUUUUAGUCCCUAUAAAUAUUCACAGUUUUGUUUUUAGUCCCUAUAAAAUAAAAUCACAUUUUUUAGUCCCUAUAAAAUUUUCCAGCAGCAUUUUUAGUCCCUAUAAAUUUUUCUAUCAGCACUUUCAGUCCCUGUCAAAAAUUUUUAUCAACAAUUUUGGUCUCUAAAAUGCUUAAGAAAAAUGUCACAAGAACUAAAAAGUGUGAUUUUAUUUUGUAGGAACUAAAAACAAAACUGUGAAUAUUUAUGGGGACUAAAAACUUAAUUAACCCUUGAUUUUAUCAUUGUAAAAAAAAAAAAAAUUUUAUCAUGUGCGGAUGAUUUAAAAGAUAUUACAAUUGCUUGGUGCUUAUAAUUAUAAUAACUUAACUGCAGUUAAUGUUGAUUUUAAUUUGGGUUUUAAUCUUGUGUUAUGGAUCAAGGCAAUUUCUCUCAAAGUUAACAUUUUUAUAUAAGUUUGUUGUUAAAUCGAAUUUCUGCAAAGGACAAUUUAUUUAGAAGGCAUAUCUUACCUAAUAAUGAUAUUUUUUGCUCGGUUGCUUGUAGUUGUGCGGAAGUCAGAGACCACUUGUUCUUCCCGUGUGAUGUUUAUGGUCGUCUUUGAAAUCUUAAUUAUGAUUGGUUAAGUUUUUACUUUGCUCCUCCUAAAAAUUUACUUGAUCAUCUUCUUCAAUUUGAGAGUUAGGGGGUUUCUCUAAAAAGUUUUAUGUGGCUUUCAACAUUAUUUGAACCUUUGCCAUUUAUGUCAUUUGGGAUUGGAAUGAACUAAACAAAAUAAUCUUUAAUCGUAAGGUGUGGCUUUCAACAUUAUUUGAACCUUUGUCAUUUAUGUCAUUUGAAAUUGGAAGGAACGAAACAAAAGGAUCUUUAAUUGUAAGGCUGAAAUUCUUACUUCUUUAACUUAAAAAAAUUAAGAUUCAGACAUAUUGGUGGUUAAAAUCUUUUUAUGAUUUGUUUUAUUUUGAUUAGAUAACUUGGAGGUUAAAUCCUUUGAUGUGUAUAAAGGUGCUCUUCUAAUUAACUUGUGUUUGUACCCUUUUUCAAUUGUAAUUCCCUGGACAUGUAGUUUCUCUAGUACGUACACCUUGUGUCGGAAGGACUAUUUUUGAUUGUUUAAUAUAUAUUUUCUUAGCCUUUACGGAAAAAAAAAGACAAAAUUUUCGUAAUAAAAUAAUGGACUUAGUAAGGACAAAAAAAAAAAAACUUUUUAUUGAGAUGUCAUUUGAUAUAGUGACUUAAUUAAUAUAUUUUUAUUGCGAACUGAAUAGUUAUUAUAUCAAAAUAGGGAUAUCAUAUAAAAGGUACCAGUUGUCUUGGUUCCAAUAUUAAGAAAUUUUUUUGAGAAAAUUAUUAUUUUUUGCUACAAAAGUAUUAUACAUUUAAUUAUUUUUUGCUACCAAAGUAGUAUACAUUUAAAUUGUCGAAUUAAAAGUAGUAUAUAUUUAAUGUAGAUUGUAACUAGAAAAGGAUUUAUUUUAUUUCAAAAAAUGCUUAUAAUUGUAUUUGCAUACACUGAUACAUUCUUUAGUAUAUCUAAUUUUUAAUUAUCAUUAUUAUUACUACUAUUUUUGAAAACUUAAUUUGAUUGGCUUUUAGUAAAAAAAAAUGUAUUUUGACACAAAUAAUAAUAAUUAUAUACAUAUCGUUCUUCUCUCAAAAAAAAAAAAAUAUAUAUAUAUAUAUAAAUGUUGUUCUUUUUUUUAUUAAAGGGAAAUAGAAAGACAAGAGAUAAGAAAAUUAGUUAACUCAUUGCCUCAAAUUAGUUGUUGGGUAUAGGUUGUUGAUGAGAAUUCGUGAAUUGGGUGAUAAUAAAUGUGUUGUUGUGGUUAAGUUGUUGUGUUUUAUGACUUUUGUGAAAAUGGGUUAAAAAUGGAGAAGUUUGAUUUUGAUGAGUUUGAGUGAGUUAGUAGAGUUGUCGUGAUGAAUUGAAUUGAGGAGAAUUUCUGUUUUCAAUCAAUGUAUUUUAGUGAGGAAUCGUUUGGGAGAAAAUCGAAUUUUUGUGUCAAAAAUUGUUUUAAGCACUUUUGAAAAAUAAGUCAUUUUUAGCUUAUUUGAAUUAAGUUGUUUUGAGUUACAAAACCAUGUUUUCAAGUAUAGUUUGAGUGGUCUAAGUGUUUGGGACACGUUGGCGAAAACGGAUCAAAAAUCGGGUUUUACGCGCGAAAAAUGAAAAAUCAAAAAAAUUGCACCAGAUAAGGUGGCAUGACCAUGCGCCCUGUGGCACAUCCGUGCCAACCCCUUUGUGUCCGGAAACCCCGAUUUUCGUGUUUUUGAGUACUUUUAAGUAUAUCAAUGGUUCCCAAACACCAAAACCUAUUUAAAUGGUAUGUAAUUGGACUUCUAAGAGUGGUUUAUCAUAGCUCCAAGUUAGGAAUGAAUUGGUUUGAAAAAUGAGGUAAAAAUGAGACGAACUUUGAGAAUUAUGCGAAAUAAAUGAACUUUGUGAAACCAAAAUGAUAUGAUUGAUUACACUAUGUGUUAUAUGAUAUGUAUGGAUGUUUUGAUGAUACGUAAGAACGAGGGAACCUAUUUUUGUUGAGGGAAAUUGGAAAUAGACGAUUUUAUGAAAAUAGACGAACUUCGUCAAAAUGGGGUUUUAUGAUCAGAUAACUUGCAAAUUACUUUGUGAACAUGAUAACCAGAUGAAAUAAGAGUGAGCCAAUGUUUGUGGAUGUUAAAUAGGUGGGUUAUCAUUAUGUGGUCGAUGGUACGUCUUUUGUGUGAUUAUACUAUAUGAAACAAUGUUGUUUCUUUGUGAUGAUGAUUACUUGACAGUUGUUUAUUAUUGUUAAAUAUGAAUAUGCAGAGAUGAAUGCUUGAUGAUGAAAGUGUAGAGAUGAUUUAUUAUUUGAUAAAUGCUUGAUGUGUGGAUGUAUUGUUUGAUAAUUCAAUAUGUGGAGAUAUGCGGAGAAUAUGUAGAGUAAAUUGGUGCUGUGUAUUAUCGAGUCAAUACUUGGCAUCCAUGCAUUCAUAAGUCUUAUAUGUGGAGAUACGUAGAGAUAUGCAUAGAUAUGUAGAGGGAUCAAUCGGUAAAACCUACCUUCGACAUCCAAUGGUAUCACAUGCAUGUAGAGUCGAGUCUAGAACAUCGCAUGCAUAUAAAAUGUGUGAAAUGUGCCAUAUUUAAUUACUUGACUUGGUGAAUUAUGUGGGCUAUGUGAUUGAUGAAUGUUGAUAUAUAUGGAGUUGUGGACUUGUAUAUUUUGUAUUGAUAUGCUUGAGAAAUAUUGUCGAUGCGAUAAUUCAUUUGGAAUCUCGAUUAAUAUUUAUUUGAUUAUGUUUAUUAUGUGGAAUAUAAUAUAACCUCAGUGGUCGUUUGGUUGACCGUCUGCCUAUUUGUACGAAUGUUAUUGAUCCAUAUAAAUAUAUAAAAUUUUUGUUUUAGUUUCUUUUAAAAAAAAUCUUCAACUUAGUCCUCCAAAUUUUUCGCAUCAACCCUUUUGGUCCCUCUUUUUAUUUUUGAAUAUUCCUGAUCCUUCUUUUAAGUCAACUCAUAUGUAGACAUCAUAUUUUUGAAUGAAACUUGACAAGAAUAUUAUAAUAAUGUCUCCCAAAAAAUAGAUUUAUUUUAGCAAAACAUGAAUAUUUAUGUUUUUUACACUUAAAUAUUUAUGUUUUGUUAAAAAGUUCUAUUUUUUUAAAGAGCUUAUUAUAAUAUUUUACACAUUUUUGAACAAUUUCGUUCAAAAAUAAAAAAGGUAACACAUGAGUUUAUUUAAAAGUAAAAACAAAAAGCGGUGAUCUUGACAAAAAAAAAAAAAAGCAGUGAUGAAGUUUUUUUGAAGACUAAAAGUCAAAUUUUUCUGGAGAAAUUAAUUAAAACGAAAAAUUAAUAUAUUUACAACAACCAAAACCAUAUUUAACCUUUUGUUAUAAUGACUCACUCUUUGAUGGAAGCAGAGAGCAAUGUUAUCCAUGACUCUUUGGCGCAACCAUAUUUAUGAUAAAUUAAUAAUGAAUGUUUUUGUAGUUGAAUUGGUAAUGAAAUACCGCAUAUUCUCUUUGAUUUAGGUUCAACUUUUGACUCUAACAAAACAUAAAUUUUAUUUAUCUAUAUGUAACUUUUUUAUUGUAUUUUUUUUACAGGAACUUUUUUACUGUAAAAAGGCUUACUAUAGAAGUUGUUUAAGGCCUCUAAUAUUGUUUGACUUGGGCAGGCAAAUGCAUAAGGAAGUGCAUAAGCAAAGUAGUGCACGUAAUUCUUAUGAGUAAAGGCAUAAGGAAGUGCAUGCAUGAGCAAAGUGGUAUACACGUAACCCUUAUAUAUCAUGAGCAAACACAUAUAAGGCAUGUUCUUGGAUGUUCUUGGCAUGAUGGAUUGGGUUUUGCCAAGUAAAGUGGUGAUGGAGUGCAUUUUUUAUUCACGUUUUUUCAAUGGAAUGGAUGAUGUGCAUUCUCUCUUACACGUAAUUUCAAUAGAGUGAUACUUUUAGGAUAAUUUUGAUGUAUUUUGUUGCCACAAUUUUGAGUAAUGCUUGAGUUAUUAUUCCUUAGAAUAAUUUUUCAAAGCACUCUAAAAGGAGAUCAUCUUGCUAUUAAAACAUAGGAAAAUGAACAUAUGACUAUGAUAGAAGCGUGAAAAAUCACUUUUAUGGAAAGGUUGGUCGUCUUAUGAAACUUAACGAUUUGUGUGCUAAGUUGGUUGCGUUAUGGAAGCUUUUGAAAGAAAAAAAAAAUGAGGAAAUGUUUCUUGAGUAUUGCUGUUGACACAUUUGAUUUGACUGAGAAACACGAGUAAAUUACUCAAAUGCCCUUCGGCAGUUAACUGCCGAAAUUUUAAAGAACCGGCUGCAGUUAACUGUCGAGGAAAACUUCGGCAGUUAACUGCCGAGGAAUUUCAAACCUGAAAUUAAAUAAGGAAAUAUACCAAAAUUUUCUUUAAUUAAAUUUAAUUCUUUAAUCCUUUUAAGGAAUUAAACAUAAUUAUUUUUAUGAUUUCAUUCAUAUGAUUUUGUUGUCAUAAAUGAAAAAAUAUGAGAGAUGAAUAAUAUCAGCAAUCGGUAGUUAAUGGAUCUAAAAUGAUGAUUCAAUAAAAAAAAAUGCAACAACAAAAAACAUUAUAAAUGAUAGAAUAAUUAUAUUUGUAAUUAAUUUCAUUGAUGUCUGUCAUUAUUCAUAGGUUUGACUAACCUAUUAUUACCCCAAUUUUUUUUUUUUUGAAAGACCCCCAAAUUUUGUUUUAAUUGUUGGACUUCAAACCUCACAUUUUUUAAAUUAAACGUUAACUUCAAAUUCAUUUAGCAAUUUCCAUCCUUAAAAAUUACCUCACGUCACAUUUUAUUUUAUUUUUUAAUAAUGUAAUAAAUCUGGUAUUUUAAUUUAUUAAAUAAAAACAUAAUUAAAAUUUUACAAAUAAAAUGAUUUACAAAAACCCAAAUCAAUACCAGUCAAAAAGAACGAGAAUAAUUUUCAUUUAUGUCAAAUUACAUUUUUGAUCUAUUAACUAUUUAUUUAAGUAAUAUUGUUUUAGUCCCUUAAUUAAAAUUUAAUUUAGCCUUUCAUUUAUCACUACAUGCUUCAUUCAGAAUUUUCAUUACCAGUCACCAUCCCCUUAUCAACAACACAAUCCUUAUCUCAAACCUUCAUUGCAAAACCCAAAACCCACAUACAAGUGAUAAAGUAGAAGAAGAAAAAAAAUGGAAAAAAUUCAUAUUUUCAUACCCAAUAAAUCAAUAACUCCAUUAUCAUUCCCCAAUAAACCCACCAAAUUUGAUUGCAUUUCUUCAAAAAGGGUCAAUGCAAAUUCCAACAAUGUCUCAACAACCAAACCUUCAAUUCGAAAAUUAAUUGAUUCCCAAUUGAACCAAUUAUGCAUUAAUGGCUCCCUUAGUGAAGCUGUGACAAUUCUUGAUUCCCUUGCUGAGCAAGGGUGUAGGGUGAAACCCAUUACUUAUAUGAAUUUGUUACAGUCAUGCAUUGAUAAAGAUUGUAUUUUUAUUGGUAAGGAAUUGCAUUCUAGAAUUGGGUUGGUUGAAAAUGUGAACCCUUUUGUGGAGACUAAGUUGGUUAGUAUGUAUGCGAAAUGUGGGUUGUUGGGUAUGGCGCGGAAGGUGUUUAAUGAAAUGUCUGUGAGGAAUUUGUUUACUUGGUCUGCUAUGAUUGGUGGUUGUUCGAGGAAUAAGAGUUGGGGGGAGGUUGUGGGUUUGUUUUAUGCAAUGAUGAGGGAUGGUGUUUUGCCGGAUGAGUUUUUGCUUCCGAAGGUUUUGCAGGCGUGUGGGAAGUGUAGGGAUUUGGAGACUGGGAGGUUGAUACAUUCGAUGGUGAUUAGACGUGGAAUGCGGUGGUCGAAGCAUUUGCGUAAUUCGAUUAUGGCUGUGUAUGCUAAGUGUGGGGAGAUGGAUUGUGCGAAGAAGAUUUUUGAUUGUAUGGAUGAGAGGGAUAGUGUUGCGUGGAAUGCGAUGAUAUCUGGGUUUUGUCAGAAUGGUGAGAUUGGACAAGCUCAGAAGUAUUUUGAUGCUAUGCAGAAAGAUGGAGUUGAACCUAGUUUGGUAACUUGGAAUAUUUUGAUUUCUUGUUAUAAUCAGUUAGGGCAUUGUGAUCUUGCAAUUGAUUUAAUGAGAAAGAUGGAGUGGUUUGGUAUUGCUCCAGAUGUAUAUACUUGGACUUCGAUGAUUUCUGGAUUUACUCAAAAGGGUAGGAUAAGUCAUGCUUUAGAUUUGUUGAAAGAGAUGUUUUUAGCUGGUGUUGAGGCCAAUAACAUUACAAUUGCAAGUGCUGCCUCAGCAUGUGCAGCCUUAAAAUCAUUGAGUAUGGGAUUAGAAAUACAUUCUAUUGCUGUUAAGAUGAAUUUGGUCGACAAUGUAUUAGUUGGUAAUUCACUGAUUGACAUGUAUUGCAAGUGUGGUGAUCUUAAAGCUGCUCAACACAUUUUUGAUAUGAUGUCAGAGAGAGAUGUAUAUUCUUGGAACUCAAUUAUUGGAGGGUAUUUCCAAGCUGGUUUCUGUGGCAAAGCUCAUGAAUUAUUUAUGAAAAUGCAGGAGUCUGAUUCACCACCCAAUAUUAUUACAUGGAAUAUAAUGAUCACAGGAUAUAUGCAGAGUGGUGCCGAGGAUCAGGCGUUGGAUCUUUUUAAAAGCAUUGAGAAAGAUGGGAAAACUAAGCGAAAUGCAGCUUCUUGGAAUUCUCUGAUAUCUGGUUUCGUACAAAGUGGACAAAAGGACAAGGCUUUACAGAUAUUCCGGAACAUGCAGUUUUGCCACAUACUUCCCAACUCGGUCACAAUACUAAGUAUCCUUCCGGUCUGUGCAAAUUUAGUGGCUAGCAAGAAAGUGAAAGAAAUCCAUUGUUUUGCAGUCCGUAGAAUUUUAGUGUCUGAACUUUCCGUAUCAAAUUUAUUAAUCGAUAGUUAUGCCAAGUCAGGAAAUUUAAUGUACUCGAAAAAUAUUUUUAAUGAAUUGUCAUGGAAAGAUGCUGUCAGUUGGAACUCUAUGCUUUCAAGUUAUGUUUUACAUGGCUGUUCAGAGUCUGCACUUGAUCUUUUUUAUCAAAUGAGGAAGCAAGGGCUUCAACCAAAUAGAGGUACUUUCGCAAGUAUUCUCUUAGCUUAUGGUCAUGCUGGAAUGGUGGAUGAGGGGAAGAGCGUUUUCUCCUGCAUAACUAAAGAUUACCUGGUUAGGCAAGGUAUGGAACAUUAUUCUGCUAUGGUCUAUUUGCUCGGUCGUUCAGGUAAGCUUGCUGAAGCACUCGACUUCAUUCAAAGUAUGCCCAUCGAACCUAAUUCCUCUGUAUGGGGUGCCUUGCUGACCGCCUGCAGAAUUCAUAGAAAUUUCGGAGUGGCAGUCCUUGCAGGAAAGCGUAUGCUUGAGUUUGAACCUGGAAAUAAUAUAACUCGACAUUUACUUUCACAGGCAUAUUCUUUAUGUGGGAAGUUUGAGCCGGAGGGAGAAAAGGCUGUCAAUAAACCUAUUGGUCAAUCCUGGAUUGAAAGGAAUAAUGUUGUUCAUACUUUUGUAGUUGGUGACCAAUCAAACCCGUAUUUGGAUAAGCUACAUUCUUGGCUAAAAAGGGUAGCUGUAAAUGUCAAGACACAUGUUUCUGACAAUGAACUUUACAUUGAGGAAGAGGAGAAGGAAAACACUAGUAGUGUACAUAGUGAAAAACUUGCAUUUGCUUUUGCUCUGAUAGAUCCUCACAACAAACCUCAAAUUUUACGGAUAGUAAAAAAAUUGAGAAUGUGUAGAGAUUGCCAUGACACAGCCAAGUACAUAUCAAUGGCAUAUGGGUGUGAAAUAUAUUUAAGUGAUUCAAAUUGCUUACACCAUUUCAAAGGUGGCCAUUGUUCUUGUAGGGACUAUUGGUAGAGCAAAUGUUGUGUGAGAGAAUCAAUGAUGUCAGAAAUAUGUAAAUCUGUCUUGAUGUAUAGUUGUUCAUGACGUACACAAACCUUUUGAAGAAUUGAUAGUUUAUAAUAUUAACCUUUCACGCAACUGAAAUUUUUGGCUUCCCUUUUUCACAUAAUGUAUCAGGUUAAACUGUAUAGAAUUUCAUUUGAUUAUUAUUCCAGGAUUUUGAAAUGCUUUUCAGGUGAAAAGAUUUGCAUGUAUGUCCUGUUAGCAAUUUCCAUCAAGAAGAUAUAUUAAAAAAAUUAAUGAAAUCAAUCAUUGUAAUAAUUUCAAAGAUGAUUAUAGAAUAAUGAUGGGAAAUAUAGUGGAGCUAUAAAAUAUUGGUAGAAUCAAAACUGUCCCACGAAUAAGCAUCCAUGAAUCAAAAGUGUCAGCCACCUUAUAAAAGCUGCACUAGGCAGUGAGUGCAUGCAGAAGCAAAAGAGUGAGGGCUCUUGGCUAAAUUCUUCUAAAAUAUUUGUUCCUUUUCUCCAGUCAUUUAUUUCUUUUACUAAAAUUGAGGGAAUAGCCCGUGGAAAGGAAAUGUUAGCUCCUUGACCAUAAAAAGUGCACGAAACUUUCUUAAUAAAAGAAAAAAACUGAUUUCUGUUUGGAAUCUGAUUCUCUGACUUUCAAUUCUUUCCCUCCAUGGUGGAACCAGAAUUAGCUUCUUCUAACAGUUUCUUAUCAUUAUUAUUUUCUAUAAAAAGCUCCUUGCCACAAACCAACUUUCUGCUUCCAUAAAUUCCUCUUAAGCCUUCCCCUGCUACAUCAUUAUUAGCACUUGCAACUGCAUUUUUCUUUCUAAGGUCUAUCAUUCUCUUCCUACAAGCAGAGGAUGGUAGUGCACUCUUACAAUAUCUUAUGACACAUUGCAUACAUAACCUUAUAGGUGAUGUUCAUUAACUAUCUUUUCACUUUUUAACACCUUUGCAUGAUGUUUUGCAUGCAGAGUUCUGUGGAUUCCAUAAAGAAACCUGCAUCUGUUGGGCCAUGGGGCGGCAAUGGAGGGUCCCGUUGGGAUGAUGGAAUAUACUCUGGAGUAAGGCAGUUGGUGGUAGUUCACGGAACUGGAAUUGACUCCAUCCAGAUUGAAUAUGAUAAGAAAGGAAGCUCUAUUUGGUCAGAGAAACAUGGUGGAACUGGAGGAAAUAAAACUGACAAGGUAAAGUUUUCAUCUUGUACUAAGCUGAUCCUAUGACAUAAAUUUUUAACAUUAGCACCAAAGAGUCCGUGAAGGUUUCAGUUAAAUUAUGAGCAUAUAUUAACUAACCACUUUUGACUGUGUUGUAGGUUAAACUUGAUUAUCCAGAUGAGUUCUUAACUUCAGUUCACGGAUACUAUGGUAGCUUGAACCAAUGGGGCCACAACUUGGUUCGGUCACUGAGUUUUGAGAGUAACAAGAAAACUUAUGGACCAUUUGGUGUCGAGCAAGGCACAUAUUUUUCAGUACCAAUGACUGGGGCCAAGAUUGUUGGGUUCCAUGGCAGGUGUGGUUGGUACCUAGAUGCCAUUGGAGUAUAUAUGAAGUCCUUGAAGCAACCAAAUCCAGCGAAAGCCUUGCAUCAUUCUGAUCACGUUAAUAACACUAGUGAGAAUUUUGGCUAUUCAGUGAUACAAGGAACUGUGAACCAGAAUUAUGAUAUUGUUCUUGCCGUAAGACAGAAAGAUCAUAAAGAUGAUUUCGGUAAGCCUAUACCAAACAAGAUGCCAGGGAAGAUUUCUACUAUCAAAGAAUCUAAAAACAUUGAACACAAAGAAAAGGUAAAGAUAUCCUGCAACUUUAGUGGAUGAUCUCUGUCUUUGAAGUGCUCCUGAAGUUUUUAUUUAAAUGUAAAAAAUCUUGCUUUUACACAAAAUGGAUCUUAAAAUCUAUUUAUGUUGCAGAUAACUCAUUCAGAAAUUCCACCCGCAAAGGUUGGUGGUGUAGUUACAUGCGGUCCUUGGGGUGGCGUUGGCGGAUAUGCAUUUGACGAUGGGACCUAUAAAGGAAUCAGGCAAAUCAAUUUAUCGCGCAAUGUUGGAAUUGUAUGGAUUAGAGUUAUGUAUGAUCAUGAUGGGGAUGCCAUAUGGGGAUGCAAACAAGGUGGGACAGGAGGAUAUAAAAGUGAUAAGGUAAAUCAAGAGCAUACAACCAAACUUCGCUUAUUUUACUUAAUAAUCUAAAACAAUCACAUUGAAUUUUAGCAUUUUUUGCAUCACUUUGCAGAUAGUCUUUGAUUUCCCAUAUGAAGUCUUGACAUAUAUAUCGGGAUACCAUGGACCUUUGAUGUACAUGGGACCUGCUGUUAUAAGAUCACUAACUUUCCACACCACAAAAAGGAAGUAUGGACCAUUUGGGGAAGAACAAGGAACUUAUUUCACCACAAAGGUGAAAGAAGGUAAAAUCGUCGGCAUUCAUGGGAGAAAAGGUUUGUUUCUCGAUGCUUUUGGUGUACAUGUGCUUGAAGGAAAAGUGGUUGUGCCGGUGGCAAUGCCUCCGAAGGAAAUCAUCCCUAGAGAAACAAAUAUUGGUGAAAUAGGCGGUACUCAAUGGCCUAACAAACUGGUGCUUGCUAAGCCAACAGCAGCUGAAGAGGUAUUUCUUUUCAUAAUAAACUUUUCGAAGAUAUAUUGAAGACAUUCAAGAAUUUGGUUAUCUUUAUGUUUGAGUUGUCCUUUUCACUUUAGUUCCCUCUUUCCCAGGUUUCUUGUGGUGUGGUCAAAGAACCAGCUCCAUGUGGCCCAGGCCCUUGGGGUGGGGAUGGAGGUAGACCUUGGGAUGAUGGAGUCUUUUCUGCGAUUAAGCAGAUUUAUUUGACAAAAGUAUCAGAUGGCAUCUGCUCUAUCCAAAUUGAGUAUGAUCGAAACAGGCAAUCUGUGUGGUCUAUAAAACACGGCGGUAAUGGAGGAGACACCAUGCAUAGGGUAUGAUUGUUGGUUUCCACUUCCUUUAAGCACAUUUUACUGUUUCACUCUUGGUUCAUUAUUUAUCCAUUGUCAUCGAAUUAGUUAAAUUAUAAAUAGAAUUUAUCUGAAAUUUGAUGUGCUUGAUCAUAAUAUGACGAUAUUCAACGGUUGGAUUGGUAAGUUCAAUGUCUAAACUGAUUUAUUAAGCAGAGUAACAAGAGUUACUCCUAGAGUAAGUUGAUUCCCACCCAAAGUACAUAUAGACAUAUAUGUAUUUAUACAUGCAUGCAUACAUUGAUAAAAAAAAUUCAAGCAUGCAUACAUUGAUAAAAAAAAUUCAAGCAUGCAUACGUAGAUAUGUAUGUAUGAAAUAAUAAGCUAAUAUGUAUGUAAUAUGUGUAUGUACUAAUACAAAAUGUAUUUCUUAUACUUACUCGUGCUAAUUAUGAUGUUAGAUACAACUGGAGUUUCCACAUGAGGUAUUGACUUGUAUAUCUGGCUAUUAUGGGUCAAUCACAAAGGAUGAGAAGCAUACAGUCAUAAAAUCACUGACAUUCCACACCAGCCGCGGUCAGUAUGGUCCAUAUGGUGAGGAAGUAGGGAAAUUCUUCACCUCAACCACUACAGAGGGAAAGGUGGUGGGUUUCCAUGGGAGGAGUAGCUUGUACUUGGAUGCUAUUGGGAUCCACAUGCAACACUGGCUUGGAAGUCAGAAAACUUCAAGGUCCUCCCUUUUCAAGCUAUUUUGAGUUUCUGAUCCGCAGUGCUUGAACAAAACAUCAGUUUGGCAUUUGGAGAAGUGUUGCAAGGAGUUUCAAAUUUUAGUGUAAUCUGAAUAAGCAGAAUGUAAUCAGGUGAGAGCAUGAUUACCUGUAUACUCUGAAUAAUUGUUUGGUGGGGUUUUCUGAUCAACAUAAUAAUUUUCUUUACGAGAAUGAAUAAUGUAAUUUGUUUGUUGAUUUCUUACACUUCAAGGUAUGAUUUAAGAUUUCAAUUUUUGCAGUUCUUCUGAUAUAAAUACCUCCACCCUCUCUUUCUCUAUAGCUAACAAGUAUGACAACAAAGGAUAAAAUAAAGUCAAACUAUUUUUUUUUUGUUGACAAAAAGUCAAACUAAAUAGUCUCACAAAUAUUUAUGCCAUUAAUUAAACUCAAAUAAGGCAAUUCAAACCAGGCUUGGGUGGACUAAAAGCUUGUUCUCAAACACAUACUGAAUGCGGUGGAACUAAAUACCCACGGAACAAAUAGUAUACCAACUAUAUAUAAUGUGUCUUGUGUCAUCAGCAAAUGGCUACUUACUACAGUUGCAAAGACCCAAUUCUGCGCGCCAUUAACAAGAUUUUACAUUGGUUGUCCACCCUCUAAACAAAUCUAGGAUGGUAAUUAAUUAAGUAAAAAGAACAAUAUAUAUAUUUUUUUUUUAAGAAGGUAAAGUACUCCACCAAAAUUGACACCUGGAAGAAUCGAAUUGAGAUCUUGAGAAGAGCAUACUCCAAAGUCGUACAAGUGGAAUAAUAAUACAAUUGUUUUAAGGUAAAAACUAUAUAUACAAAGUGAUUAGUAGUCAACACAGAAAUUAACAAACUAAUAGUUUUAUCAACAGAAAGAAAAAAGACAAACUAAUCAACAACUUAUCUUCUACUUGUUGCAUUUACUAAUAACUCAAUGUUCUACUUUCACAAUAACAAACUUCAUUAACUUGCAUGUAUAGAAAUUGCAAUAUGAGUGGUAAAUCUUUAUAUCCAAAAUUGGAGUGAGGCAGGGAGAACUAAAAAAAAUGUUAACAAGAAACAGUGCUAAUUGAAUUAGACCACAAAUAUGAGCUAAGCAGAUUUCCUCAACAUCAAGGGAGGUGAAACAGACUUCAUUCCAUGUUUUUGAACUGUUUGCUUUGGUAGCACCAGCAGAAGCACCUUGGAAUUGUUCAAACUUCACAAUAAAAUCACUGCUAACUUAGCCCUGUCAGAAAUAAAAGCAUAUACAAAUUUUGCAGCAUGACAGAAUUCUUAAUCGUACAAGCCGUCUCCAUUCCAACCUAUUUAUGUAAUCCAUUACCCUUGAAGGAUCUUCCUUCAAUGCAGUAAGAAUCAGCCAACUUAGCAGAUUGAAGUUUCAAACUAAAAGCAGAAUUAUGUAGCAAUAUCUUUUGGAGAAGCUCAAUCAACUCAUAGGAAAGAUCAGCAAUCAUAAGAACUUUCAGGAAAAGGAGUGGACAUAUAACUAGAUCAAUCAAAUGCCUCCUAAACUCAUAGUUGGGAUUUAGGACCUUCUCACAGAUAUCAGCAGCAUCCAUACGUCCAACAAUUUAUCUGAUACAAACAUAACGAAAUAACAUGAGUGUCCUAGAUUAGCAUUAUAAAAUACAAUGACACCUUCCUAAUUAAGAGUUGUAUACACACCUGGUUUGUAGCUUGAGCAACGGAUUUUUAUUGGUAACGUGCUCAGCAUCACAAUGCACCAUUUGGUAAGCAACAAUGGCAAAUGUAGGGCCCCAUUUCUCACAAUAUUUACCAACAAUACGAGAAUCAUAAUAUUGGUUGGUUAUGAGUAAAUGGUUAAGAUUGACAUCGAUGUCAAUCAUAAUUUUACCCACAUCAUUACAGACAUGUACAUCUUGGCUUUGCUCACUCAAAAGAAGUUCCAACAACUGUGAAUGCAUAGAAAUUGAAAUGAGAAAAUAGUAGUGUGAUAAGCAUAUGCAAGGAAGAGAGAAUGAACUGAAAGUAUAAGACCUUUAAGAACACAUGCAUCUGUGCAUCUGGAAGAUUAGCCUUCAUUAUAAAGUUCUUUGUCUUCUCGAUAAAAUUUUGAUUCCCAGUAUUAGCAGUUGCUUCAAUGUAUUUGAAGUGAAUAUCAGGAUCCUCACUAAAGAAUACAAAAUCAAAAGGCAAAAUUAUAAAAACGAAAAACAACUGCAAAUGCAAUAUAGGCCUAGAGUUUAAAUAUGCACCCAAACAAAGUGUAGUCCCUUAUAGGACCUGAAUUCUUCAAAGAGUUUCAUGAAUGCAUCAACACCCAAUUGCUCAGUAAUAUUUUUAGAAGUAUGCAAAUUAUGUACCAGUAAAAUUCUUUGAUGAAAUCCCAAAAAAAAAAAAUUAAUUGAGAAACAAAAGUUUUAUAGAAACAACAUACAAGCUCUAGAACAUUAUCUGAACAAUUAUUUGAAUAUUGUCCCUAAGAGGUUGCAAAGAACUCAACAAAAUCCUAAAAAUCACUCCAUGAUGAGAAUAUAUAACAAUUUUUUUUAUGAAAACCAGUCAAUUGAGCACUUGAAACUAGACAAGCCAUUAUAACGUUGUACAAAAGACAUACAAGAAGCUUGAAAGGAAUUGUUCGAAUAAAGAAUCAAAGAACCUGAAGAGCCUUUUCACAAAGUUAAGCAAACAAAAAGAGAUAUUCAUAAAAUGUUCGCCUAUUUUGAUUUUUACUUUGAUGAGAGUAAAUGUUCACUUAUUAAAUAGAUAAGAAGUAAGAAAAUGAAAUAAAAUAAAAUCAUCGAAACUUACCUAUGGAAGACAAAAGAGAAACUAACACGACAGCUAUAAAAUAGUGAAAAGAACGAGUGGCAUAUCCUGCAAACACAUUACAAUAGAUUGUUAAUGUAAUAUGAGAAACAUAAUCAAAAGGAUGGCGGGAGAAUAAAGAGCCUACCAGUUUAAGUGGAGAUGUGACAAACCGUUAGGAGCAACAAACAAAGGGAACUUCAAUGUUGAUGGAAGCAGAUAAGAGUAAACAAGCUAAAUCAAUGCUCUUCAAAUGCCUAUACUUAAUUUUCAGAAACAAAAGAUGGAUACUUCCCGAAUAUGUGCUAUCUUGUCCCAGUUCUCCCCUGUUCCCUCCUUGCAUCGUUCCUUCAAUAUUGGGCAACCGAAAAUUGUCAGCAAAUCAAGUGAAGUGAGGUGUCUAAUACCUUCUAGCAAGCAUUUUAAUCUUUCACAACCACCAAUUGUUAUUUUUCGUAGGGAUUGUAGACCUCCCCAAAUUUCCUCUGGUAAAGGCUCAAGCUCGCUGCAACAAGAGAUAUUUAGAUGCUCCAAAGCUAGACUGAAGGGUUCAUUUGGUAACUCUUUCAAUUUUCGGAAACCACUUACUCUCAAAUAUUCAAGACAAGUAAGGUUUCUAAACAUCCCCUUUGGGAAGGAGGUUAUUCCUUCACUUCUCUCAAGGUCAAGGGAAGUAAGACCAUAGAAGCUAGAGAUCGACCUCAGUAACUCAUUGUUACAUUCAUUUACAUAAAGGUUUUUAACAUAUGGAAGACAUGACAGUUGAAGUUUAGGGUAAAAGGCGAUAUCCAAUUGAAAAAGACAAGGAAACAUCUCCUCUCUUUCCACUUUCAAGUUUCAACAACCCCUCUAAGUUUGGUAAAUCAUUUAAUACCUCCAAAUAUGGGAAAAUCCUCACCUCCAUACCAUUGUGAGAUUCAUCAUCACCAUCAUCGUUCCAAAAUCCUCACCUCCAUACCAGAGCUCAACAACAUCACCGAUUCUGGCUGUUGAUAUAUUAUCUGAUUGAAAUGCCGACUAAAUAUUUUAUACAAGAAAGGGCAAUCACCUGUAUAUUUUCAAGAAUAACUAUAUUUAAAAUGAAACCAACCAAUUGAUGUAAAAUUAUUAUCGGAAUUGAAGAUCUAUACCAUAUCUAUUCCAGCAUCCAUGAGAGUGGAGACGCGAGAAUGAUAAUCUGACGCAUAAGGUUGGCAUAAUAAUCGAUUUUGUCCCAGUCAAAAAUCAUAAGGUUCACAUAAAUCAAUGCUCUUAAAAAAUGUAUUCUUCUUCAUUCCAGUAAACAAAUUUUGGAAUGUCUGUUAUCUUGUCCCAUUCCUCUCUUGUUCUCUUCUAACACUGACCCUUUCAUUUUGGGUAACCAGGAAUAUUCAAAAACUCAAGUGAGGCGUCUAAUACCUUCCGGCAAGGAUCUUAAUUCCUCAUACUCAACAAUAUCCAUAGUUCGAAGAGAAAAAUAAAUGGCACCUGUUCAGUUCCACAGGAAAAGGCUCUCUGUUAGUGAAAUGGCUAAUGCUAAUCUGCUAUAAUAUAUGGAGUUAAAAGAUGCCAAAUUCACUUUGUUAUCAAAUAAAACUGUUGAUUUCUCAUUCGUAUCCUCCGAAGUCAUUCGUUUCCUCUUGCUUUCAGAAAAAGCAGUGGACAUAACUUGAUCAAUUAACAUUGUUUGACACAAAAAUAGUCGGGAUUCAGCAGCAUUCCGGACGUUCCACAACAUAUCUGACACAAACAUAAUAAAAUAACAUGAGCGACUCGACUAGAAUCAUGAAAUAAAACUACACAUUCCUAAUGAAGAGCUGUAUACACACCUGACUUGUAGCUUGAACUAAGAAUUUUUAUUUUUAUUGGUAACACAUGCUCAGCAUCACAUUGCAAAAUUUGGUAAGCAACAAUGACAAUGGCCCCAGUUCUCCCAUCACUCAAAAGACGAUUCAACAACUGUGUAAAGUGGUUCCUGCACAUACAAAUUAAAAUGAGAAAAUCAUAUAGUAAUAUGGGAAAACUAGAAUACCUCUUCUCACUAAACAAUGGAAAAUCAAAAGCCAGAGUUAUAAAAACAAUAAGAACUAGAAAAAGCAAUAUAAGGUCGUCUAGAAAACUGUCUUAAGAAAUACCUAGAGCUCAAAUAUGCAUCCAAGAAAAAGUAUAAUCCUGCAUAGGACUUGAAUUGGUCAAAGAGUUUGAUGCAUGCAUCAACACCCAGCUGCUCUGAAUCUGAAAACUAUGUACCAGUAAAAAUGUUUUAUAAUAGCGCAAAAAAAUAAUUUAAUCGAAAGGGAUUUCAGAAAGCGAUUAAACAUGCAAUUAUAAAUUUCAAUUCCCAAAACAAAAAGGGAUUUCAGAACACGUGCACUUACUAAACUAAGACGAAUUAAAUAAAAUAAAAUAAAAGAAUCCAAACUCACAUUUGAAAGACAACACAGAAACUAACAUAACAAGGAGACCAUUGUGAAGAGACAAGAGUGGCUCAUCUUGCAAAGAGAGUACAAGAGAUCGUAAGAAACACAAUCAAAAGAAAGAUGGAAGGAGGGAGAAUAAAGAGCCUACCAAUUUAGGUAGAAAUGAGACAAACCGGAAGCAAAAACACCAACAUCUUUGCUUCUUGAUUCCUGUUGAAAUUAGAAGCAACACCAGCAUCACAAAAUCUUUAAUAUCGGAAUAUGCGAUAUCUUGUACCAGUCCUCUCCUGUUCCCUCCUUGCAUCGCUCUUCUAGUGUUGGACAACCACGAAUUGUCAGAAGCUCCAGAGAAGUGAGAUGUCGAAUACCUUCCGGUAAGCAUCUCAGUUCUUUACAACGACAAAUAUCUAGAGUUCGGAGGGAUUGCAGACCUUCCCAAAUUUCCUUUGGUAAAGACUCAAGCUCAUCACAUGAAGAGAUUAUCAGAUGCUCCAUAACUAGGCUAAAUGGUUCAUUUGGUAACUCCUUCACUUUUGGAAAAUCAUUCACAUCAAGAGCUUGAAGACAAGUAAGGUUUUUGAACAUCCCGUCCGGGAAGGAUGUUAUUCUUUUACCUCCAGCGAGGGUAAGGCUGUUAAGACCACAAAAGCUAGAGAUUGACCUCAGCAACUCAUUGUUACAUCCCAAUACAUCUAGGUUUUUAAGAGAUACAAGACAUGGCAGUCCAAGUUUAGGGCAAAAGGAGAUGGUUAAACGAGAAAGACAAGGAAACAUCUCACCUCUUUCCACUUUCAAUAACCCUUCUAAGUUUGGUAGGAUUUCUAAUAUGAGUACCUCCAGAGAUGGGAAAAUCCUCGCCACAAUACCAUCUUGAGAUUCUUCAUCAUCAUCCAAGUAUUUCAAAUCAUUCAUAUUAUGCAAAGCGAGUUUUUUCAAAGAUUGUAGUUUACCAAAUGACGGAAGCCGCACACAUUUCUCACAAUUCCAAAGUACAAGAGCAACUAAAUUACUGAGAAUACUUAUCCAACUUGGUAAGAAUAAUCUGUUAUAGUGACAAAUUAUCAACCUCUUGAGAUUUGAGUGAGGUUGAAGCACUUCAAAUAGUUGCUCAAAACUAAUAGUAGGGGUCUUCGUAAAUCCGUCAUUGCUGGUCCACGAAAAACAUAAUUCCUGGAGGUCUUUUUUACCCAUCAAAUUGGCUGCUUGAGCUUCAGAUAAACUACAAACAUCAUUUAAACCUUUGAUACUUAGUUUUCCUCCCAGGUUUAGAUCGUGUAACUCUGCCAAGCUAUUCCCUUUCUCUAAACUAACAAUGUACACACUUAAUGUUCUUAGACAGGUUAAUUUUCCAAUGUAUGGAAACAUGUGAAACAAUGAAUGGCAAUCUUUAAUGACAAGAUGUCUGAGAUUCUGUAAACAAGCCAAGCCUUUCGGAAGACAGCUAAGUUUUUGACAAUCUUUUAUUUUCAAGAUUUCCAGUUUUUGUAAGUUGUAAAUUGAGUCCGGCAACAUUUUUAUUUCAAGAGAACGAAGUUCCAAAUACCUUAAAUGAAUUAAACUCCCUAGUGAUGGUACCUGGAUAAAGGAUGUGCAUAAAACCCGAAGGGAACGGUUUGUUGGCGAGUAAUCAUGUUUUGUUUUGGUGUAAUGAUUCAACUGAAACAAUGUUCUCAAGGAUUCAACUUUCCUGAAGGCACCCUCGUCGAAUGAUAACACGUCAUCAUAGUGAAAACUUAUGUGGUGUGUGCUUUUUGACAAAGUAGUCAUGUUUGAAUUCUCCAAAUACAUACAUUCUUGACCCAUUACUGAUUGAGCAAGAUCAUGGACAAGAUCAUGCAUCUUGAAAGAAAUGUCUCCAGAACCGUUGUCCAUCUUGAUGUCUUGAAAGAAAGAUUUUUGGCACAAUUCAUUCCAAACCAUGCUGCCAACAUCUUCAACCUCCAUAUUUUCCCUAGAUAAAAUAAAUUCAUUAGCCAUCCAAAGAUGAAUCAAUUCUUCCCUCACGAAUUCUGUAUCUUUGGGAAACAUAGCACAAAAAGCGAAACACCGCUUUAAGGUUGGAGUUAAAUGAAAGUAGCUCAACCUCAAAGCAGGUAAAAUAUAAUUCUCAUGUGGUAAAGCCCAAAGUUCACUCUCUUUAAUUUCAAGCCAUUCUUUUUCUUCAUUCCUUGAACUCAUUAGACCUCCCAAUGCUUGUGCUGCAAGAGGCAAUCCAUCACAUUUCUUUACUAUCUCCUUUCCUAUUUCCACAAGCUCUGCACGCUCUUCUCUAUUUUGUCCAAAUGCAUAUUGUUUGAACAACAACCAACAUUCAUUAUCAGAGAGAACAUAUAAAGGAUGAGCGUGGCAUGUUCCCAUGAUCGUCGCAACAACCUCAUCACGAGUGGACACUAAAAUGGAACUACCUUUGGAUCCACACGAUAACACUGAUUUCAGUAUAUUCCAUUUCUCUUGGCUUAAUCCGAAUUCCAAUUGCUGAUUUUUGUUCCACACAUCAUCCAAAAUCAGCAAAUAUAUUUUACCUUGCAGCAAUUCCUGCACCUUUCUUUGUAUUACAUCUAAAUUGAAGCCGUCAUACUUCUCUCUUGUGAUAGAUUCUAUAAUGGAGCACAAAAUCCUCUUGACCGAGAAAGUCUCGGAAACACAAACCCAUAUUUUUGUAUUAAAAUUGCUACUCACCCUAGCAUCAUUGUAGACCAAUUGAACAAGAGUUGUUUUUCCAACACCACCUAAACCAACAAUGGGAUAGACGGAAAGGAAGUCGGAGUCCCUCGCUUGGGUGAGAAGAAACUCGAUAAUCUUCUCUUUAUCAUCUUCUCGCCCAAAUACUUUUGGUUCAGCAAUAAUAGAGCUAGUUUGACGCCAUUCUGCUACUUCAAUUGAUCUUUCCCUAAAAGUUCCAUUCUCUCCUAAAUGAAACUUGUUUUUACUUUCAGCAAUAUCAUCUAACCUCCUUGUAAUCUCUUUCAAUCUUUUGCCAAUCUCACGACAAAAAAUGAUGUUCUUUGGUUUGAAAGAUGAUGAGGCAAUAAGUCGAGCAGACUCGAUCGAGCACUCAUCAAGGAUAUCAUCGAGCACAUAAACAGCAUCUUUGAGUUGUUGUAGCCAUACCUUUAUAGAGCGAUUGAUGACUUGCUUCUGCUCAGCAUCUUCAAGAACAGCGUUGACCAAAUCUAAGGUGGUUGAAAGCUUCUGAGCCUUGGACUUGAUUCCAGAAAUGGUGGCCAAUUCAUUUUGAACAAGAGACUUCAAAUUCUGUAACACAACUCCAAGUAAGGCGUCAGCCAUAUUCAGUAACAAAAGUGUUGAAAAAAGAGAAAAAGAUAUAACAAAAGGAGUGGUGAAUUAUCAGAGUGUAGAAUGGAAAAUGAAUAUGAAAUGCUGAUUGUUUUUAUUCAAAAGCAGCAUCCACGAAAAGUAUGGAUGACUAAGCUUAUUGAAUAUCAAAGUCAAACGGUUGUAGUUAAUUUUGGGUCAAAUGCAUCUUUAAGUUUUUCAUUUUUUCAAAAAUCGUCUUUUAAGUUUCAAAAGUCUCAAACAAAUCCUUUUAGUUUUUGAAUCAUUUCAAACAAGUUCUAUUGUAGAUAACAUAGUUGGUAAUUGCUUCCUUGAACUCAUCUUUGAUACCAAAUUUGGCUCCUAACACCUACUUAAAAUUAAUCAUCUUUUUAGGCAUGAUAAAUGGUGGAUAAUGCUCUUUGUUGCUAUCAUCUAAAUCAUCACCAUCAUCCUCUAAAAAGACUUGUUUGAUUCAAAAACUAAAAGGAAUUGUUUGGGACUUUUGAAACUUAAAUGAUUUGUUUGGGACUUUUGAAAUUUAAAGGACAACUUUGGGAAAAACGAAAAACUUAAAGACCUUUAGAUGCAUUUGACUUUUGUAUAUAAAUCUUUUUUUUAAACUUGCAUAUUGAUUUCUUAAGUUUUUACUUUUCAUGUUUCAACAUAAUUGUGUCAUUAUAUUUAAAAUAAAUAAUAAUAAAUGUAUCUAGAAAAUUGCAUAAAAGUUCAUAUUUAUGGAUAAAGUUUUCUUCAAAUGCUUUUCUUGGUCUGGUCUUCAAUGUUUUUAUUUAUUAAUGAAUGACUUAGCUCUUGAUUUUUUUUUGUCAGAUAGUCUACUGGUUGGAGAUCACACAUUUUAAAUAUGGAGAAGUGGGGUGCCCGAGGUUCGAACCCCGACCCCUGCAUAUAAAAUGCAUUUGUCCCUACCAAGUGAGCUCUUGAAUUAUUAUAAAUAGUCAUGUUAUCAUACGAAAAAUUUGUCCCUAAACCCUAAUCCGGAAAAAUAUGGAUUAUAUAAUACGAAUCGUGUUUCCCCUAAAUUCUUGACACAAGAGGGUUGUUUGAAUUUUAUAAUCCAAUAAAAAGCAAAAGAUGCACCCUAUUUUUUGGGGUGUUCGUAUUAUAAAAUUUGAAUUGGUGAAAAACAUUUCCCACCCCAAAUCAAGGGAAAACUCAAUUUGAAUUAUAUAAUCUAAAAAUCUCAUGUUCAUUUUCGUAAAAAAUUAGGGCGCAAGAGAAAUUUAUAGAAUGGAAAAAGUAAUAGUCCAAUUAAAAUAGAUACCCUCUGAAAAUUUGGAGGUCUAGAAAACAUUGAAUGGCCUAAAAUGAAUGGCUAAAACAAUUACCGUUAUUUUUCACACCAUGUACUCUUCUUACGCGCAUGUGCUCUAUUUACGCGCCUUAUUUUUUUUUUCUAUAGCUAACAAGUAUGACAACAAAUAUAAUCUGUAUUUUUCUCAAGCGGAUUGAUCAAACGAGGUUAUAAUACUUCACCAUAAAUAAAUUCAUGGGAGUUUCUAUUACUCCUCCCAAUGAUUUCUUUAACUGAAGAAGUACACUUUUUCGGACGGGAAACACUUUUGUCCUGAUUUACCUAUCCUAGGCUAAGGAUAAAAAAUUUUUUUUUUUUUCCUUCACUCAUUCGAAGUACAUGUCCAGGGUAGAAAAAGAAGGUCCCUGAAUUCAUUUUAUUUUAUUUUAUUAGCAAAAGAUCCUAAUGCCAGUUAAUUAUAACACCAUAGGAAAAUAUAAUCCCAACAUAAUUAAUCCAAAGAAACUGAGGACACUCCUCCGGAGGAUAAUAAAAGACAAACCACAAUGUUAUAAAUUAUAUAAGUGUUUACUAAUAACUCAUUGUUCUAACUUCUACAUUUCACAAUAACAAAUCUCAUUAACUUGCAUUUAAAGAAGUUUCAAUAUGAGUGGUAAAUCUUUAUAUCCAAAAUUGGAGUAAGGCAGGGGGAACUAAAAAAAAUGUUAACAAAAAACAGUGCUAAUUGAAUUAUAACAUUUAGACCACAAAUAUGAGCUAAGCAGAUUUCCUCAACAUCAAGGGAGGUGAAACAGACUUCAUUCCAUGUUUUUGAACUGUUUGCUUUGGUAGCGCACCAGCGGAAGCACCUUGGAAUUUUCAAACUUCACAACAAAAUCACUGCUAACUUAGCCCUGUCAGAAAUAAAAGCAAUCAUAAGAACGUUCAGGCAAAGGAGCGGACAUAACUAGAUCGAUCAAAUGCCCUCUAAACUCAUAGUCGGGAUUUAGGACCUUCUCUCGGAGAUCAGCAGCAUCCAUACGUUUCACAAUUUAUCUGAUGUAAACAUAACGAAAUAACAUGAAUGUCCCACCGAAACUAUCAUUAUGUAAUACAAUGACACCUUCCUAAUGAAGACUUGUAUAAACACCUGGUUUAUAGCUUGAACAAAGAAUUUUCAUUGGUAGCAUGCUCAGAAUCACCUUGUGCCUUUUGCUAAGCAACAAUGGCAAAUGUAGAGCCCCAUUUGUCACAAUAUUUACCAACAAUACGAGAAAAUCAUAAUAUAGGGUUGCUUGUGAGAAAGUGCUUGAGUUUGUUAUUGUUGUCGAUGAUCACUUUGCCCCACAGCAUUACGGACAUGUACAUCUUGACUUCCAUCACUCAAAAGAUGUUCAAACAACUGUGUAAGCAAGUGAUUCCUGCACAUGGAAAUUGAAAUGAGAAAAUAGUAGGGUGAUAAGCAGAUGCAGGGAAGAGAGAAUGCACUGAAAGUAUAAGACCUUUCAUAACACAUGCAUGUGUGCAUCUAGAAGCUUGGCCUUCAUAAUAAAGCUCAAUGUACUUGAAGAAGUGAAUAUCAGGAUUCUCACUAAACAAUACAAAAUCAAAAGCCAAUAUUACAAAAGCGAAAAACAACUAUAAAUGCAAGUUCCCUAAAAAAAACACUAUAAAUGCAAUAUAUAUAGGCCUAGAGCUUAUUAAAUAUGCAUCCAAGAAAUAGUAUAUACUAGUUCUUCAUAGGACUUGGAUUCUUCAAAUAGUUUGAUGCAUGCUUCAACACUCAAUUGCUCAUAAUAUUCCUAGAAGUCUGCAAAUUGUGUACCAUUAAAAUUCUUUAAUGAAAUCCAAAAAAAUAAUUUAAUUGCCAAAGAAAAGUCUUAUAACAUAUUAUAAGACAUUUAUUUUUAGAAAGAGCCCAAUUCUUAGAUAUUUAGAAGGAACCCAAUUCAGUCGUUAACUCUUGAGAAUUGCUUUUCUCACCAAAGCAAUUGCUCACGUACACCCUACUAAUGUCAAUAAUAAAACAACAUAAAACGAUUCUUAUUUUUACUAAUAUUUGCACGCCUUGAGAUUUUUGUUUUGCACCUCAUCAAUCAAGACUGACGAGUCGAACCGGUGACAUUUGAAUUUGAAUGUUUGUUAAAUUUUCCAAAUGGACUUUUAAUGCUGCUACUCCCUCCGUCCAAGUGACACAGUUGAUCCAAUUAGGAAUACCAAUGCGUAAUUUUGAGUUUAAAUAUCUUGAAUAAUAUAUUGGAAAAAAUUAUAAAAAUUUGAUAUUUUGAAAAUACUCAUCGAGACGAAUCUAACGACAUCUUAUAUGAUAUUAUUUAUCUUUGUAUAUUAGUAGAAAAAUAUGGUCAAAGUAAGUUAGAUCAAAAUUGCACAUUUUUAAACAGGUCAUUUAUUGCGGGACGGAGAGAGGAUUAUAUUUGGUAGACUUUUAUUUUUCAAUACAUGAUAAAAACGUAUAACACUACCCUUCAAAAAAAAAAAAAACGUAUAACACUAGUUUCAAACUCAUGUCUAAGGCUUAUACUACUUCAAUUACUCAUCCACUAAACCAAAUCAAAUGCAUUUGAUACUACUUGCAAAUAAAUAAUAUUGAUUUGAAUUCCAGAAUAAAUCACUACUAAUCUUAGGUUUUGUAACCCGUUGUUCAUUAGAUAAUUCUUUUAGGAAUAUUAAAUUAUCAAACCGUAAAAGAGAAGUUAGAGUUUAUUCAUGCUUUUGAUAACAUUAGUUCACCCAAGACAUUGGAUUGAGACACAAUAUUGAUGUUGGUUUAUUUUUCUUUUAAAUCAACAUAAAUUGUUCUGUCAAAAGAAAAUAAUAGUAGAAAAAUAAGUAAAUAAUAACCAUAUACUUGUGUUCUUUCAAAAAAAAAAAAACUCAACUCAGCCAUGGAUCGCGCACAGCUUCUCUUAGUAGGUUUACCCCUCUUCCUCCUCUGCUCCGACCUCUUCUCCCUCUUCACAUCAUCUCCUCCACCGCCAAAACCAUCUCACCACCACCAUCACCACCAUCAACAACCACAACCAGUAAUCAACCCCGUAACCACACCCUUCCCUUCCGACUCCGAGGUAAUUUUCUAUUCCUUCAACCAAUUUACUUCAUCACUGUUAUAUUUUCAUCAUCACAACAUGUCUAAUUAUUAUUCGGUUUGUAUUUGAUCUCAGAAACUCGCUACUAAUAUUGGAGGUGCAGGGUUUGGCAACACUGUUAAUAUCAAUUUCUGCUCUUCUUGCUCCUACAAGUACGUAAUAUACUUUACAGAAUACUUAUUAUAUUUAUAUAUUUUUAGGAAUUAUAUUAAAGACAAAAUUGAUGCCUUAUUCUUUUUUUAUUUAUGCAUCUACAAUGCAAAAUGUUAUGCGGGUUGUUAGACACUUGAUGUGUAUUUUAUGCUUUGAAAUUUUGAUUCUCAGUGGUUAAUUAGCUAGAGAAAUGUUGUAUUAGGUUUUUAUAUUGAGUUUAAUUCAUCCUUACAAAUCAUUCCAUGCAUAUCAAUUUUGAGAUGUUCUAAGUUACUAAAAUACCAGUCAAUCCUGGAUUGCGGCCGACCCCAAAAGUGGGAUAUCGGGUGUAUAGUGGGAAGACGCUACUGAAUGAUACUAUAAAGUGUAAACGAACAUAUAUUUAAUAUAAAAUUAAAUAUAACACUCAAAUCUCAUGAAAUAUUCAUAAAUCAAAACACUCAAACAUCCACAGAACAUUACAUUCAAAUCCAAAUACCAAUAAAUGUCAAGGAUAUAAAUAAGCUUAUGAAAGCUUUCAAGUCUCCAACAAAAUUUCACAAGUCUUAGUUAAAACAUUAAAUCCAAAAGAACAAAGGACAGAGGAACUAAAAAGAAAACAAAGAAUAGAGGAAAAGAUAGAUGGAACAUGAAUAGUGGACGACGAUGGCAAUCGGUUUGCAGAUCGUGUGAGGGUUGCAAAUCAGUUUGCAGAUCGUGUUUUGCAGCGGAGAAGAGAGAAGAGUCAGGAAAAUGUUUGCACACAACAAAAUGUUAGGGCUUAUACGAAAUCCCCAAAAUGCCCUUAAAAUGGUUUUAAAAUUAGGGUCAAUGUGGGAUUUUCCUGUUAAAACCUAAUAGUGGAUCAAAAUCCGCUGCCCGCUAUAGCAGCUAUAGCGUCCUCUAUCUUGAACUGCAUCUCUAUGACGCCCACCAUAGUGGUUUCUUACCACUAUGCUAUGCUAUGCCGCUAUAGCGCACUAUUGACUAAAGUAAUUACUAUCAUGAAAUUCAUGGUGGACUUCCUUAAUGAACUAGAUAUUAAUUCCUUUGUUCACUUUCCUUGAUCUACUUAUCAUUGCUCUGCUUGCUGAAUCAUAUUUCUUAUAGUUGGUAGAUUGCUUGUUGGUUGAUUGUUUGUCAAUGAGUUGGAUCCAAAUUUGGUGUAUGAUAGAACACUAUGGCGUCAUUUGAUCCAUGUAGCCGACCCCACUUAGUGGGAUAAGGCUUGGUUGUUUUUGUUGUUGUUGGUUGAUUGCUUGUCUUUCUGUGCAUGAUUAUGUAUAGAAUGGGAUAGUCAGUGUAAAUGGAUGUUUUUUACGUAUGUAGGGGAACAGCAGUAACAGUGAAAAAAAUGUUGGAGAUUGCUUUUCCUGGAAUUGAGGUUAUUCCUGCAAAUUAUCCCCCACCACUUCCAAAACGUCUGCUAAGCAAAGUGGUUCCAGUUGUUCAAAUUGGUGUUAUAGGUGUCGUAGUGGCAGGGGAACAGAUAUUUCCAAUGCUGGGUUUUGUUGCACCUCCUCCUUGGUAUUUUAGUUUGCGUGCUAAUAGGUUUGGAACCAUUGCUACUACUUGGCUUCUUGGAAAUGCCGUGCAAUCAUUCUUGCAGAGCUCCGGGGCAUUUGAAGUUUACUUCAACGGCAAUCUGGUUGGUGCUCUUCUUCUAUCUUUUACUUAUAUCAUGUGAUUCUUUUGGAAGCACUCACAAUCAAUCAUGAUGGAAUAGGUCCCUUGCAUGACUAGUUUUAUCAACAUUUUGACCACUUCACUUCAUUUUACUGGAUAUUCACCUGACAUUAUGAAAUACUAUCAUAUAACAUGUUAGCAACGAUCAUUGAUCUUGACAAGACUAGUUGAAAAAUGAGAAAUAGCCAAUAUUAGUUGAAAAACAAGAAAUAGUUUUGUUACCUAGUAGUGCUAAUUAAAAAUGGUGGUCCCUUUGAUUUAUUAUAUAAAACCUUUGUACUCGUAGUUUAGAACAUCUACUUUCAGAUUGCAAUCAUUUGAACAUGCUUUUACUGGGAAGUUGUUUCUCGCCAUGUGUUUGACUCUCAACAAGUCAUUUGGUUAGUCGGUAGAUUGUUUUGAUUAUUAGGUUUCUUUCAUUAGAGUUUUUUGGUAUAUAACUUGUUAUAUCAUUACUAUUACGGUUUAUUUGGAAAACACCUAUGAAAUGGACUGAUAGUAAAUAAAUUGUGAUAAACAUGUCGUCUUCUCUGUUUUAAAGCUUGUUAUCUGAAGCAAAUUUUGACUUCCCUGUUGCUUUCAUUUGUGCACUUCUGCGACUAUAAUGUUACUGAGUUGUUGGUUAGAGUAGAUGGAAUGUAAAUGGCAUCUUUAAUGCUUCUGAACUUAACCCGUUGAAAUUCUUCAUCUGUCAUUGAAGGUGUUCUCUAAAUUAAAAGAGGGAAGGUUUCCAGGAGAGAUAGAGUUGAAGGAUCUGAUCACCAAAAGGAUGACAAAUUCUAGACUUGUCAGCAGCGCUUCAGAAUUGGGGCUUUAGCUCUUUUGUCGAAUUGCAUCUCAUGAAGACUUCUAAUUUGAACAGGCAAAGAUGAUGUAAUGGACCUACCAUUGCAUUGUGAAGCCGAGGCUGGUUCACAGAUAUAUCAUAGGAAUGUAAUAUUGUAAUGUUUCCAUACUGGAAAAUUGACUGUAAACCAUGUAACUUCUGAAGCCAUAUUGGUUAAUUCAAGUUUGCUUCAGACGUAAAUUUCAGCCUUACACUAUCAUUUUUCUUUUUUCGACAUUCUGACAUUGUGCUAUUGUCAGCUCAGCUCAAGUAAACUCCACUUACCACGCGAAAAAUAGAAUGAUAUUAAGGACAAUUUUGACCAUAUAUCUAACUGGAAGUAUAUGACUUCUGAACUAAAUGUGUAUAGAAAUUAAUAAAUCAAAUUAUCGAGAUACUGUAAUAAAUGAAAAAUAGAUCUAAGAAAUGAAUAUUAUCAAUGGCAAUGCGAGGAACUCAUUCGGUUAAUAGCCCUGAAAUGACGGAAAACUUGUCUGGCCAAAGAUUCUGUUAAAAAAAUAAAUCAAGUGCAUCAUCAAAUUGCUUUCUGAAGUCAUGCAAUUAUUGGAGAUGUUUGAAAUCAUAGCCUAAAGUUAUUGUUAAUUUUUGUUUGACAAAUAUUUCACACUAAUAUCUAAAGUUAAAUAUUUAAAAUUAAAUUAACCCCUAAAAUUAUUUAUGAAUAUCAGAUUAGUAGUCUUCAUAUUUGUUAUGUAAAUCUCAAAUUUCUUAUCAAAGAUAGUGAGACAUGACUAAAUUAUUUUACAAUAUAAUUUCAAAGAUGUAGUCAAUUUCUUUAUUUGAGGGACUAACUCAUUGUCUCGUACAAUUUUAGGCAUAAUUUUUUCAUACAUUAUUUUGAACAUACAAUUGGUGAACAGUUCAUUAUGAUUUUUGCUUGAUGAUGAACAGUUGAUAUAAACAUGAAAACUGGUUUGUUGUGCUCAGUAACUAAUAUACGUGAUGCCUAGAGUUGAAUCUCGAUGUGUAUACAUUGUUGAUUAUAAUAAGACCAAAGACUGCCAUAUUUUAUUGCCUUCCUCUUCAAGCUAUCUUUUGUGUAAUCUCCUUUCAAGUGCCACCAAUUUCUACCAAAUUGAACAUACACGAAGCAAAUAUCAUGAACAAGUACAGUUCCUUGUUGUUCAGCUAACUGGAAUUCAUCACUUAUCCCUUUAAUAAUGACCUGCGAUGCAAACAAAUAAAGCUAAGUAUGUUAGCAUUUCAAAGCCUUAAUAAAAUGUCACAACUAAAUAGGUUUAAGCUCUUUGGAACAACUCCUAACCAUUCUGAAAGUAUUUUACCUAAAAAUUUUCAUAUUCUGCUUAUAUCACGGCCAAAAACAAAAGUUGUAGCCCAGUUAAUAGCUACAUAGAAUCUGUUCCUCCAGCUAAUGACACGAGUUAGAUAAGCUGAGCGCCAAACAAACCAACUGAGAAAACCUGCUAGAGACAAUCCUUUUGCAUCCUGUAGGAGAAAAGUUAGUGAAUUAAACUGUUCUAUGUUUUUAAGAGCACCAAGAAAAGGACCUUUAGGUCGAGCACUGAUAAGUCUAGUGGUCCCUUUCUCCUGGGAUACUAUGCGUGAAAACCAGAUAAGCCUCACCAAAAGGUUAAGGAAUGAUAAAAAUUACCUUGUUCUGUCUGAGGUCUACUAGAGCCUUGUAACUUCCAACAGUUGCCAUGCUUCCAAGAUGCUUGUACACAAACUGAUUCCCCAAGUCUAUAUCUUUCAUGCUGUUUGCACGGCCUCCAUUGGCUUCACCUACUUUGUUUAACAAGGCUGCUAAGUAUUUACCUUGCCUCUCUGCUACCUGUGGAAUUCAAGUGGCAAUACAUUAAGGCCCUGUUUAAUUAGGCACUUAUAAGGUAAGUGUUUAUAUCAUAUAAGUGCGUAUGUAUAAGCCAUUUCUAUCGCAAGAGAUAAAAUAAAGUCUAAUUAAUUUCACGUAAUCUAUAAGCUGCUUUCAUAAGCUAUCCUGGAGAGCUUAUGGAAAUAAACCUAAAACAACUUAUGGACAUGCAUAAGAUAAUUCCAUAAGCUCUCCUAAACAGUCUCACAAGUGCUUAUACCGGAAGAUAAGUUGAAAUAAGUCGGUCCAAAUAGACCCUAAUUUGACAUGAAUAAGCUUUCAGGCAAAGGAAGAUACAAUACAUGAACCUCUACCAAGUAAAGGGAGUAACACAUUCAGAAUGGAAUGUGUUUAGGGACUAACUAAGUCCUUAGUGUUAAACUAAAACCAAACCUACACAUUGACAGGAAUUCAAGAAAUGAAAGUGAGCGUUGGAGAAACUAAUGAAACCAAUGUAAGUUACUUGGGCAAGAGCUGGAAGUGUUGGUUUUCCAGUACUUUCAACAAAUCCACUGCAGUCACCUAUUGAGAAGAUAUCUUGUACUGAAGGAACACGAAGCCACUCAUCAAUACCAAUCCUGUGAAGAGAGAACUUUGUACAUAAAUACUUACACGCUUUAGUGUUAAAACAUAAUAUAUUUGGAGUAUUGAUAAAAAUAAUAAUAUAUUUGGACCAAUGUGAUCCUGCUUUCAUGAUAAUACAGAUCCGAAUACUAUAUGUAUCCAUAUAGAAAUCAGCUGCCAAUUGUAAAUUUUGCAACGGUUGUCCAUGGAAUGAAAAUAAAUGCAACUACUACGUUGAGUAAACAAACCUUCCACCAGGAGAUUUAGGGAGAUCCAGCGAGUGGAUAAAAGGUGAUGGACCAACUCCAGUAGACCAAACCAGCAAUCCGUAUGGAACCUCAGUACCAUCGUUAAGUAUAAUCUUCUUUUCUUGUACAUCUUUCACAAUGCCUCGAACAAGUCGCACUCCUGACUGAUAGAAAUCUUAACAUGAGGAAAGGAACAUAUUGAACAAACAGUAAAGGGACUUUCUCGUGAUAUUCAUAGGUACAACACGAACAUAUUUAACAAAAAGUAAAGAAACACUUACAACAUAAAGCUCACCUUUGUCAACUGGUUGGUGGCAUAGUGCCUGAGUCGGUCAUCAAAGGAAGACAAUAUCUCAUUAGCCUGAAGAGACAUGAAUAAAUUGAUUAGCAACAAAAAUUAUUGUGAAAGACAAAUUUUGGAUGGAGAAGAAAUAUUGUUACAAAUUUACCACAAAAUUGGCUUCUAUGAACUCUAAGGUAUUUCUAACCAUUUUAUUAUUACAAUGAAUUGCCGAAAAUGACAACGGCAAGAGCAAGAUGACUGUUGCUAAUUUCUAUAACAUGUGUAUAAUCUAUUUAAUUGCAUCACAUAUCUAAUGAUACUAAGCAUACCUCAAUCAAAGUAACAUGGAUAUAGUCCUUCACAUGAGCAUAUCUCUGACGAACAUCUCUCAUGAUAAAAUCACUAAGUUCACCACUAAAUUCAACUCCCGUAGGACCACCUCCGACAACCACACAGUGUAACAGCCUUUUCUUCUCCUCUUCCGAAAUCCCUGCAUCCAAAUCAGUUACAGAUUACAAAGGUAAUGCAUAAAAAGCAUUAUUUUUCAAACACAGGAAAAUUAUCGCAAACCUGGAACGUCAGACAUCAUCAAAUUGAGGAGCAACUUGCGACGGAUUUCCUGUGCAUGGUAAACUUCACGAAGAAAAAUUGCAUGUUCAUAAACUCCAUGAAUUCCAAAAGUGGUGGGUUGUGCUCCUAGUGCAAUUACUAACUUAUCAUAGGAGAUUGUAAACUUCCAAGGAUCCAGUGUCUGUGUUCCUUCAGUUACAGUCUCACAUUGUACCUUCAAAACAAUGUGUCAGACUCUCCCAAAUUAAGCUGCACUGUGAUUACAUUUAUUUCAACCAAUACUAGUAUCACACCCUUUUGUUCGUUGCUGUCUAAAGGAGUAAGAGCAUUUGAAGAAGACUAAAACAGUGUUAUAAAAACCAGGAAAGUUACGAUGUUUCACCCAAUUUUUCAUAAGAAUUGUAAAUUGAAGUUUUAUACAAAGUAAGAUACAUAAAGCAGAACACACAACAGUACUACGGCUAUGGAAUGUAGUUUUAUACAUAAAAAACUAUAUUUCUCAAAAUAUCCUAACUAAACUGCCAGGAAACAGUAAGGAAAAUCGAAAGUUCAACACUCCUCCUGGUUUGGCUUGUUACAUAAUCCCACCUUCUUUCUUAGCUGCAAAAACCAAGUCCUAGGCUAUUAGGAAUAUAUUGUAUUCAGAGUUUCCCUUUUCCCAAAGUCAGAAUUCUGUUACAAUUUUGUUAGUCACGGUUAGGAAUUUAGUAACAAGUUAAUUACAUCUAGUUGCACUAUAAAUAUACCACUGUGCUCUUAUGCAAAUCAGAAUGGAAUAUACAAGGCUCUCUCAAAUCUGAUUUCUAGACCUUUCUUUCUUUUCUACACUUUCCUUUACUGUUUAUGCAUCUCAGUUUCUAAUAAGAAUCACUCAAUCUUUAUAAACUCUAUUUAUGUCAUAACCCUAAGCAACAUGGGAUUUGAGCUUUUCUCCAAUAAUGAACACCAAACGAAGAAGUCACAAUGUUAGGAUGAGUAAUUUCACAGAACAAACUGACAAACGAAAACACAUUGAUUCUAGCGCCAAUUUAACAAACUGACUAGCAAAAGAUACAUUUGAGAGUGUUUUUAUAAUUGAUAUAUUCAGGGACUUUAGUGGCACCAUCAGACAUAUUAAACAACCCAAAUGACUAUUUACUCGGGUCGGUUACAAUUUAUAUAUGAAAUUGAAUUUCCAUUGGGGCUUCCGGUGUCAGGGACAGGAACUGCUUUGAAAGUCAAGAUUCCAAUACAACAAUAACCAACUAUCUCACUAGUUAGGGUAGGAUAAAAGGAUACUACGUAUUUCAACCCUACAAAAAUGCAAAAAGAAAAAAAAUAAACAUCUAUAGUAAAUUCCAAAUCCCAAAUAAGGUACCUUUUAAUGGUUUGAAUUUUCAAACCUCAAAUAAAUUCCACUUAGCUUCAGAACAUUCUAAAGUUCUUCUCUACAUAAUAAUAGCUAUGAUUUUUCAUAGCCAAAAACGCAUUUUGCAGCACAAACUUCUAAUCUUAAAAUCAAAUAUAUCACAGCAUUGCUAAAUCCUCAAUACAUAGUUUGGCAGAGGAAAUUCCAACUUACAACCAUUGCAGAAUCACAUGCCAAAGGCAAAGAUCGUAACUCAUAAUGAUACUUGUUUGCCACAUCAUAGUCACAUUAACAUGACAUUGAAUUCAAUCACUUCCAACCACUCAUCAUUCUUAUUAAGAAACACAUUCAUGUGAAAAAUUGAAUUAUAAAAUCUACCACUCCUAAAGUUUCAGACAAACAUUAUAUAUAUAUGCCUUUUUUUUUUGUUUUGUAAAACUCGAUAUCCUGCCCAAUUACCGGCAAAUCCGCGAGACUAAUCCCACCGUUAACUAGCUGGGGGGUCAAUUGAAAUGAAAUCAAAACUUUGUAUGGACUGAUCAUAGUAGUCAAUAGCGGCCAAUAGCGCCGCUAUAGCGGCUGCGCGGUGCGGUGCGGUGCCGGAGCGCUACGCAACAAGCCAUAGUGUUGCGGUGUGAGAUAGCUGCGCAACGCUUCGUAGCGGUUUUACGGUUUAGAACCGCUAUUUCAUUUUAAGAGAAAAUACAAAAUUGUCCUUGGUUUAAAAAAAAAAGAAGGGUAUUUUUGUAAAUCUUCCUCUGCUUUUCUGCUGUUCUGUAAAACUUUUCACCUCUGCUGUAAAUCUUCCUCUACUUUGUCGUGUUUGCUCUGUUAUCCUGUUAUUUUUUUGUUUAACAAUCUCAAAACUCUGAUGUCCUGUUACUUUUUUGUUCUAGUUUUCUUUGCUAUUAUUGAUUCCAAACUCCAUUCUGCUCUCUCUGUUUUUGUUUGUAGUUUGUACAAACAAUCCUCUGUUUUGUUCAUAUAAAACUCUAUUCUGCUCUCUCUGUUUCCUUAUUUUUGUUGUUUUUGUUUUUAUGAAAUAGCGGUCAUAGCACUAUGCGCUAUCCCGCUAUAGCAUUUUUGGGGUCGGCCACUAUGCGCCGCUAUCCGCUAUUAACUACUAUGGGACUGACCCAACACAGGAAUUGUUAGCAAUUGGAAGAAUUGAACCCAAGACUUUGAGAGGAGCAUACUCAAAGGUCCUGAUCCUACAUCACCAGACCAAGCCCUAGGGGUUUUACAUAUUUAUGCCUCGAUUAGUUAAUUGCUAAUUCUGAUUCUUAGAUAUCAGGUCUAACUCAACUCCUCAAAAACCAAUAUUUUUUUUUUUUUUUGAGGGAUCCUCAAAACCAACUUGUAAAGUAAGAAUCACUCAAAAUUUCAAAACUCUAUUUAUGUCACAGCUCUAAGCAACAUGGGGUUUAAGCUUUUCUCCAACGAUGACCCACCAACCAAGAAUUCAAAAUGUUACAAUGAGUAAUUUCAAGGACCAAACUGACAAACAAAAGACACAUACCAGCACCAAUUUAAGUAAAAAAAAAAAAACAUUUAACAACUAAACUGUCUAACAAAAGACACAUUCGAGGGUAUUUUUUUUUAUAUAAUUUUGAUGCAUUCAGAGAUUAUAGUGUCACCAUCUAACAUAUUGAAUGACCCAAAAUGACUAUAAUAUUAUAAUUUAAUCCAAUGAAAUCGGUAAAAAUCAUUUUUUUUCCCUCCCACCAUUACUAAACCAUAUAAAUAUUCCCAAUUACAUUAGAUAAAACAUACCAUGAAUUGAAAAGAGAAAAAAAAUCAAACACCUGAUAGACAUGUACAAAUAAGUUUAGAUACAAUACAAUAAAAAGAAAAAUAAAGAUACCUCAUGUUUAUCAGCAUUGAUACCAGUACAAUUAGCAAGGAAGAAAAAAGAACCAGGUUCUUUAGAAAUAGUGGGUUGAAUCCUUGCAACAGGUUCAGCAACAGAUCGAAACUCAAGAGUUCCAACACAAGUAGAAGCCAAAAGAGGUGUGAAAACCAUGUGAUUACGCGGUGAUACACAAACGAUAUCAUAGAUAUUAGAAUCUAAUCCUUUCAUGAAUCUGCAUCCGGCCCAACCGGUGCCGAGAACCACCACGCGUGGCUUCUCGUGUGGUUUGGUUGGUCCGAGAGCCGCAUAACGAACCGGAGCGGUUGAACCGGGUGUUGAAGUGGAGAAGCGAGAGAGAAGAGUGAGAGAUGGGAAGAGGUGAGAAGGGUUGGUUGAGUUGGGGGGUUUGAAAAGUUGUUUCGUGGUGAAGAAGUAACUUUUUGAGAGGUUUCUAAACAAAGACAUGGUUAGUGUGUUUGUGUUUGAGAUGUUGAAGAAAGAAGAAAUGAAGUUCCAAAGAUGUAGACUGAUGGGAUGGGAUGAUCAGAUCAUAUUGAGUUGACUGAUAAUGUCACCAACUUUGUUGGGCUGCUUGUCUGCUUUUAUGGGAUCAAAUGAUGUAAUGAGAUGAGAUUGUUGACAUUAUUAUUGCUUUGAAUAUUCAUGUAGACUACUAGUCGUACAUCACAUACUGUCUUUUUUGUCCAGGUGCUCAUAAAAUAUAUAUACAAUAAAAAAUAACAAAUUUCAAAACUCGGAAGAUGCUAAUACAUCAUAGUUGAAACGAGAGAUUGAAGUUUAUCAAUUUUUUUUUUAGCAAAGGAAAGGUAAGUAUUAUCAUUAAAUCAAUCAAUGUUCAAUAUAAGAAGAAUAAGACUAAAAAAAUACGCUAAUUAUGUCAAGAACAGGCCGCCCUAAUUAAAGUAUGAGCAAUCAUGUUUGCAUGUCUCUUAACAAACUUCACAUCAAAGUUAGAAUGUAAAGAUAAUUGAUAAAAUUCUAUAAACAAUAGCAUAGAAUUCCGAAUCACCGUGACCCGAAGACGAUAGCGCUUGCACUAGAGUAGCUGAGUCAGAUUCGAAGACAUCAAGUAAAGCUACUGUCUCCCUCUCCAAAACUGUCAAAUUCGCUUGCUGCAAAUUCGUUUGAGCCCGAAUAAAUUGCCCAUGGAAGUCUCUAACACAACACGCAAAAGAUGUAAUAUGGUUACAGUCAUGGAACGCGACGUCCAUGUUGCACUUUGACCACGUCUCGCACGGUUUCUCCCAAACAGAGUUGUUACCUUGCACUCUAUUCUGCCCGUGUUGCACAACUGUUGGUGAGGGCUGUUUAUGAACCUCUUGUCAUUGUUGUCAUGCAUCUAGUGUUGUUCUUCCAAUAAUUGUUGAAGUAUGAUGAGCGUCAUUCUAAAUGACUUCAUUACGUGCUUCCCAAAUUUGCCAAAGAAGCAAAGCCACCCGACCAGCAAUGUCUCAGCUUUCUGAACAACAUAUGUCAAAAACAAAAUAUGUCAAACUGCUCACAGUUCCAACUCGCGGUUGCAACACAGUCGAAAGCCCUGCCCAAUACCAACUCUCACGCGCCACCAUAUAACCCAUAAAAGCAUGUCAAUCACCCUUAACAAUCGUAUCACACCAGGAACAUAUCACCUUACAUUGUACAUGUCGUGAUUGUAGUCAGAGGCGGGUUGGAACACACCCUCUGUAAAUCCUUCAUAACAAAUUACGAGUUUUAUGAGGGGGAUUCACCUUCCAGAUCCUACACCACUCUCCGUCAACAUGGAACCAAUCAGUGUGUAACAACUCCAUCAUAGCCAUUUGCAACCCGUCUUAAUAGUAUACCUUUCGUUACGUUCCAUCAUCCACUCUAUUCUUUCAUUCUGAACUUCCGCAAACAAUGGUGUGUUGAGAAUAGCUUGCACCAUCUCAUCUAAAAAGGUUUAAUUGUAGUUUUGAUCCCCUUUUUUCAUCAUUUUGCGAAAUUGGUCCCUCAAUUUUUAAAUUCGACAGUUUUGGUCCAUCUAUCAAAUAUUUUGUCUAAAAUAUUGUUAUAUCAAUGUUUUAAAUGAAGUUUUCAAUGGAAUUUUGUUACAAUUUCAUCCAUGUUAAUAUUUUUUCAUCUUCAGAUCAUAUUCCACGACAUUUAAAAUUUAUCACAUCACAUUUUUAAAUUUUAAAAUAUGAUGGAGGGAUCAAAACUGUCGAUUUUUACAAUAGGGGGACCAAUUAUGCAAAAUGAUAAAAAUAAGGGGAUCAAAACUGCAAUUAAGCUCAUCUAAAAACAAAGAUUCAAUCAAAGAAAAAAACAAAAAAACUAACUCAUAUGAAAUCGAAGAUAAUAAUAAAAAUAUAUGUCGACAUUAAUUAAAACGAUUCAAGUAAGUCGUUGUAGCUUAAUGUAAAUUGCCUAGAAAACGAAGAUAUUGAGAUGAAUGCGGAAAUAAAAGAUUAGUUAAUUUGUUGAGAAUAGAAUAUACACCAACUAAUGCUAUCCAAAUUCUUGUAAUGUAAAUGUAUACAUAAACAUGAGCAAAUUUAUAUAUGAUGUCUUAUGCAAAAGUAAAUCAUCUCAUCUUCUUUGCUAACUUGAUUUUGGACGUGUCUUGGUGACAAUACAAUUUAGUAAAAUAUUUCUUGUUAAAACAAAUGUUCAAGUGAUUAGCAACUCACGAAAAAAUAGCAGUAUAAUACAAAAUUUUUGAUGAAAAAUGAGAGCUUAUCAUCAACGUAAACCGAGAAAGAAGAUGGUGAAAUCUUUGUUCUUGAAAGGUAAAAAUAGCGAGUAUGAUGAUUGUGGCUUGUGAGUAUAUAUCAAAAGAUAAUAGAAGAAUUAGGAAAUAGAGAAAGAAACAAAAAGAAUGAAGUAGAAGAAUAAAAUUGAAACGUUUGGAAUUUGGAAAUAUAAAAUUGAAACGUUUGGAAUUUGGAAAUUAAUUGUGAACAUUUAUUCUAUUAAAAAAAUAAAGGAAAGACUAACCGGUGUCUCUCAAGUACUAGUCAAGGAGGAUAUUACAAAAUGAAAUUAUAUAUAUAAGGGUUAAUUAAGUUUUUGGUCCCUAUAAAUAUCUGCACUUUUGUUUUUAGUCCCUAUAAAAAUAAAUCACACUUUUUAGUCCCUACAAAAUUUUCUAUUAGUGUUUUUAGUACCUGUUAAAUUAAAAUUUGUUUAAUUAUGCUUAAACUUCUAAAUUUUUGAAAGAUUUUUUACAUACAAGUUCACUUGUUACGUGACUUUCUCUUAUCUUAUUUCCUUACUUCUUAUAGCGCAGUAACAUGUCCUGAAUAUCCCUUUUUUAUUUGGGGCAUUGAAAUAUAUAAUGGCAUGUUUAGUCAUUAGGGCUAUUUAGGUUGAUGGGUUCUUCAUUUUGAUGACUGACUGUAAUUUCUAGUCAGAACAAUUUCUUGAAGCUUUUUGUUUGUCUCUUGUACAUCUUUAUGCCGCGUUUUCUGAUAUCAAAUAUGCCAGUGAAUACGCAUUCCAUUGAACCACAUGGUUGGAUUUCAUGCUCUCAAUUUAAUGGAUUUUCAUUUAACACAUUGUUGAAUUCGUUGGAGUGAUUUUCAGGCUUUUGUUCAAUUUGUUCGUUGGAACCCUUUCCGAAGAAUGAGAACAGGAGAGCAUGAAAGAUCUUUUAUUGGUAAGGCUUAGGGGAAAUAUACAAAUAAUCGCGCAGGUAAUGUAUUAGGACUUAUGUAUUCUUAUCACAAUAAGCCUUUUCAUUUUGAGCAGCAAGUUGUUGAUCCUGAUAUUCACUUCAAUUACAUUAAAGCAGCAGCUAAAACUGGACAAAUUAAGGUGUAGAGAAUGUGACAUGGGAAUCAAUUAAUGUUUUAUUGAGUGAGGGAAGCAAAGACAUAAAUGUGUGUAAUGCUCUGCAGUGCAAGUUCUUAUGAUUGCUGAUUUCCGCCAUUAGUUGAUUGAGCUCCUUCAACAGAUUGUGCUGCACAAUUCUGCCUUUGGUUGAAACUUCGAUCAGCCAAUUUAGGGUGCUUUCUUAUGUAAAAUAAGAUAGCAACUUUUUGUCAGAAAAUUCUGCUCUAUAUAUAAACCAGAAACAAUUUACUUUCAUUCACAUGAUGUAUCUGAGUUUAGUCUCAUUAUUGUUUCAAUGAUUGUUAAUUAACCAUUUAUUUAUUCGGGUUUACUAGAAUUUGUAUUGACACAUAACGUUGACUGAUCGAUCUACUUUGAUUGGAUUGUUUUUAUUAUACUAAAAAAAAAUGAUUCAGUUUAGUUUACCAAUUACAUACAUAAUAGUUUACCAUCUUUUAAAUGUACAGGUUGGUAUGUAACGAUUUAAAUGAUUAGGUUGGUAUAGUUUACCAUCUUUUAUAUAGUUUUGAAUAUUUUGUGCAAAUUCAAAACCUUGAUGUUUCUGCUGGCUACCAAAACAGACAGUUAAAAAACAUGGAAUGUAGUUUUUUUCGUCUUCCUUGAGGACAAGGAAAUAUAUUUGGCUCAAAUUCAUUACAUGAAAGUUAAUGAACUCUGUUAUUGUUGAAAGUAGAAGAUUGGGUUACAAGUAAAUGUAACAAGUAGCAGAUAAAUUGUUGAUUAAAACAAGUGUGUUGUUAUUCCGGUCAAUAUCCAAUCUUUUAUUUUUAUGAUCAGUAUUUAAUGUUCUAUCUGCAUGUGAUCCUUUGAGUUUGAAUAUUAUCUUAGCUUACUCUUAUAUUAUGCUAAAACUCAACUGAAACUGAAAGAUACUAAAUUCCAUUCCGAAUUUUAUUCUCAAGAGUGCAUCGCAGCAAUAUCCUAAUGACAAACUGACCAAUUGCAAGAAAACCAAAGAGUUAAUGUUUUCUCCUCCAAAACUCCACCACCUCGAAACUCGAAUUAACCUGGUGGAGUUCCAAACAUGAAUUUUACCUGCAUUAUGAAAUACCGUCUGUACUUCUAACCAACCGGUUAUCUUCGCCCAAACCCUAGAAAAAAACGGACACUCAAAAUAAAUGUCGAACUGAAGGUGAAAAACACAAGAAGGGGGGGUUGAAUUGUGUUUUCUUUUUCUCUUAAAAAAUACUUCUUCUGAUAAAACUUCAGAAGCAGUUUGAUUGCUUCUGAUGAAAUGAUCAGAGUCAGAUUGCAGCGGAAAAGAACAGAGCAGAGAAAAGAAAGACAAAGACACAAGCAGUUAUCCUGGUUCCUUCCACAACACGGAAGUAGUCCAGUCCCCCUUGCACUUCCAAGGAGAUUUCACUAUAAUCACAAAGAUUACAACUGCUCAAUACUUUCUAAGUAUGAGACUUCACAAAACUAUGCUCAAGCACACACGCAAGAGUCUUCCAAUGCUCAAGCACUAAGCAAGAGACUUCUAAUGCUCAAGCACGCAGGCGAGAGACUUCUAAUCAAACAAAAAUACAGAGAAUUGAGUUUGAAUUGAACACUUGAUAUACAAUCAGUGGUGUUCACAAUACAAUACAGAAAAGACUCUAGACUUUGAAUUUCUAAGAUGUAUCAAAUCAGUGCAGAAAUUCAGUGUGCUUUGUAGAAUCAAAUUGACAGAGUUUUGGCGCUUUUUUUAACUUAUGUAUUUCUCUCUUUUAUCUUCAAGUCUUCACUCCUUUUUAUAGAGGCGUGAAAGAGACGUUGAGAUAAUCAGCACGUCUAAAGAGUCGUUUGAAAUCCUUUGAUUAUCCACCAGUGAUCCUUUGCCUGAUUUGGGUGUAGUCCUUUGAAGAAUAAACUUCAAAUUCCUUCCCAUCUUGAGUGUACAAUUCUGCAGGCAUGGCUGUUGUUUUGUCUUGUAGCGUAGACAGAAAACAGAGUAGUGGAGGUAGUGGUUGUACACUUGUACUUUGUCAACUCUAUUAACGAGAGACAAGAGCUUAGUGCUAUCCAUAUAUCCGUUGAUACCUCCCUUUCAAUUCUUCGUUCUUCUUUGAUAAGACUGAAUUGAAAAUCAGCUACUUUGAAUCUUCAGUUUGAUUAAAGGAUCAAAUGUAGCUUCUGGUGAAGAUAUUGAUUCUGAUGAAAACUUUUGCUUCUGAUGACUUUCUGCUUCUGAUGACGUCAUCUCUUCAGGAGCAGUUUAGCUUCAGGAGCAGUUUUCUUCAGAUGCUCAGAAUUUCUUUUUCUUUCCAUUGUUCUUCCAAGACCUAUUGAAAUGACUUGAGUAGCCUUUGGUCCUGUACACUUGAACAAUUAUUAGUAAUAACCAAUUGACAAUUUUUAAUACCUUGUUAUCAUCAAAACUCAAUAAGGUUCAUUGUGAAACACAUUUUGUUCCAACAAUCUCCCCCUUUUUGAUGAUGACAAACAAUAGUAUUUAAAAUGUUCAAUUGUUGUUGAUCUAAUUAAUAAGUUGACUACUGGGACAGAGGUUUGUAAGCUCCCCCUGAGUCUAAUAGAUCUUUAAGGUGAGGUUUGUAAGCUCCCCCUAAGUUCUAUUCUUAUUAAUUAAAUUUCAAUAAAAUACUUAUAAAAUCAAAUCAGAAGUAUUUAAAAGAAAUUUAGAGUAGGGCUCAGUGCCUUAAAAAAUACUAUACAUUUACUCCCCCUUUUGUCAUCAACAAAAAAGAAUAGAAACAAAAGAAAGAGUAUCAGAGCAAACAGCAUUAAAAACAGUAAAUAUCAUCAGAGUUAAAGCUUGUAAAACAUAUUGAAGGUGAAAAAGCACAAGAUCCAGAAACAAUGAUAAUAUAUAUAAAGAAAGAUUAAGAUACAAAGACACAGCUACUAAGAACAAAAGUAAAAAACAAGCUAGAGUUGGGUGUGCAACUAAGGUUGGGCUUGCUUAUACAACUGUUCUAAGAGAUACUUGAUCUGAUCAUCCUUCUUCUGAAGUAGCUCAUCCUUUUCCCUCAUUCUUCUUUUAUAUCCAGCCUGAAUUCUAGCAGCCCUAGUGAUGUACUCUUCUUCUGGAUAGAAAGGAGUAAUGUCCAGCAGAGGCACAAAAUUCAGCUCUUUCUCCUUAGCUGCUUCAUGCAUAUCUUCCAAAAGCUUCUUCAGCAUAGCAGAGUGAGAUGACACACAUUUAGUUCUAAGCUGAUCCAGCAGCUCAUCAAAGCUCUUCUGUAGAUCCAUCCACUGAUCAUAAUAGUGAAUAGGAGGUGCAGGAACUGUUCUGCGAAGAAUCAGUGCCUGAAUCUCAUCACUAAGUCUGAUCAGUUGUUCCUCUAUAUACUCAGACUCCAGGAUAUGGUCAGGGAUGGGUGAAGGUUCAGUUUGAGUUGUAUUUGAUGUGGAAGGUUGGUCAGAGGUUAAGUCUAUUAUAGUGGGUGAGUCUGGUUGUUGUUGUUGUUCUGUUGUUUGGUCAGAAGUUGUUUGGUCAGGAGCAACUUGUUCAGAAGCAGUUUGCUCCUGAACAGUUUGCUCAGGGAUGGUUUGGGUUUCUGUUUGGGUUUCCAAGACAGUCUUCUCAGAAACUGUCUUAGAGGCCUUAGUGGGUGUUGGUUGCAUUUCACCACCUAGAUGUUUUUCUAAGUUGUGAAGGGUUGAGGAUUCUUGGUGUUGGGGGGUUUCUGAAGUAGUUGCAUCUGAAACUACUUCAGAGGCCCUUUGUGGAGUUUGGUUAGGUUCUUGGUUGGGUUCAGGUUGUUGUAUACUAACAGGCUCUGGAAUAUCUGGAUAUAGUGGAUGAGUAGUAGGCAAAUUGAAUUUCUCACAAAGUUUUAUCCUAUUUUUUGAAAAUUCUAUUUGAGUACUCUCAUAGUCAAGUGUUCCAAAUUCUGUUAGUUUGGUAGGUUUGGUUUUUAGAAGCUUGUCUAUAUGUUGGCUAAGGGGUUGGUCAUCUGAUUCUGUGGAUGAUGAAGAGGGUGAAGAGGGUAGAGAUAGAGACUGAGUAUUAGUUGGAGCUUUAGAUGGAUUACCUGAGGACUGAGCUUCUGGAGCCUUUGAAACUGGUUCUGAUGAAGUUGUUCCUGAAGCUUGCUUAUUCUUCAAGGCUUGAGAAAGCAGAGUUGCUCCAUACUGAACUGUUUCUUGCUCUAACUCAGAAGCUAAAGCAGCAAUGUCAGGAGUAGGCACAUACCCUGCAGCCUUGAGACGCUCAUCCCUUUCUUUUUCAUACAAAAUCUUCAUCCUUUUCUUUUCUGCUAUCUUGGAUGCAGAAACCUCCCUAGUAUACUGCCUCAUUUCUUCAGUCAUUUCAAAACUGGGCAUGACUAUGGGCUCAGAAGUUGCAGUCCUUUUUGCCUUCUUGGGGCUUGAGUCUUCAUCCCAGUUCUCUUCCAGUUCUUUCAACAUUUCUUCCCUUCUUCCUUCAGCUGUCUUCAGAUUUCUUGUUAAAUUAGACCUCUUCCUUUUGAUGGUCUGAAGAGCAGCUUCUCUUUUAUUUUUGGGACUUGAAGGCUUUUCAGAAGCAGCUUGAUCAGAAGCAGCUUGUUCAGAACCAGCUUGUUCAGAAGCAGGCUGUUCUGCUGUUUCUUGAGUACUCCUUGUCCUUUUUCUGAUAAGAGGGACAUCAUCCAAAUCCUCCACUUCCUCAAGAAUGGUGGACAUAGCAGAUUUUUCCUUCUUAGCUUUCUUAUGCUUCUGAGCACCCACCUCAGUAGCAUCUUCAGCAAGGUAUUCUUCCUUGGUGAUCUGCUUCUUUUUAGAUUUUCUGCCUUUGGCCACAGGCAGAUCACCACCAUACAUUUCUUCUGGGAUAUCUUUCAGGCUGAUUUUCUUGUUGUAGCUCUUGUAGUAGUCUAAGAUGUAGGCCCUCUGCACAUCCAGGGGAUCUUUCUUGCAGAUAGGGAUGUGAUGAGUGACUAGAUCAGAUAUGACAUCAGAUUCAUGCAUAUCUGUAUCUAGUUUCCUGCAUGUUGAAAUCAGCCUCAUCUUGACUAGAGUUGCCCCAUUGAUUAUUUUUCCUGUGACUGCUCCCAGCUUCUGAUUAUCAUAAAUACCCACGUCUUUCAGGGCACUUAGGAGUCCUCCUUCUUGAAAGAUUAUGGAGAGCAGCCUUCCAUAGGGAACAAACUUCCUGUUCUCCAUCUGGCUCUUCUUGAGUUCCUUGAUCAUGUAUUUAAACAUAUACUUGGGAACGUUCAUUGUUGUUUCCUGAGAGAUGGUGUGAUGCAGAAAGACUUUGUGACCAAGUGAAGGUUGAUCAUUUCCUCCACCUUUGGGAAAAAUGUUUUCAUUCUGGAUCUUCAGCAGCAUUUUCUUUUCCAUGCUUAAGGUGCUGUAAGGCUUAGCAUCCUUUGAUCCGUAGAUAGUGUUGUUUACUAUCUCCUUCCAUGGGCUUGUUCUGGGGUUAGGAAUCUCUUCUCCAUCGUAUGUCCCAGAAGCAUCUCUCCUCAUAGCUUGAGCAAUCACUUGCUCAUUGAUUGUUACAGGAAUCCCCAUGACGUUUGAUCUAAUCUCAGUCCCAGUGAAGGCGAGUAGACCCAUUUCUUCUCUGGUUUUUCCCUCCAAAGUAGGAUCAACCAGAAUCAUCUGAGCUUCUUCCUGUUUAGCAGCAACUUUGUCAAACACUGAAGCUCUUACCCAGAAUUGUCUGACAAGCACUUCAUAAGUAGGACCGUUGAGAAGACUGAAGUAACUCAUUAGCUUCUGCUUCUUGUAGAAUCUUACCAAGUCGCAUCCAUGAUGAGUUAGAGAAGUGAAAUCCACAGGAUUUUCCGCUUGAAUGAUUAGCUCCCAUUCCUCAAUAGACAUAGUUCUUCCUUUGAUUUCAUAAGCAGGAGUAUCUAUAUCCAUAUUCGAUGAAGAACCACCGGCAGAACUUGAAGAUGCCAUUGAUUUGAAGUAGAAUUAGGGUUCUAAGGUGUUUUGAGAGGUUGAGAGAAUGUGCUUACUUACACAGAGGGUUGAGAAGAAAUUAGAAAGUGUUUGUUGUGAAGUGAGAAGUGUGUGAAAUGACUUAGUGUUUUUAUUAAAACGUUUGUAAUUCAGAGGGGACAAACAAACACAGCAUUAAUGACAAAUUGGGGGCGCGUGUAAGUAUGUUAAAAAGCGAAUAAAAACAUCAUUGCCCUUUUUGUUAUACUCCAAUACAAAUAGACCACGUCAGAGACUCUUCAGAAAACUACCUUUUGGGUAAUGGGACAGCUGUUACAUAAAGUAACUGCCAACGUUCCCACUAGCCAAGCUAUUCAGAAGCAAAGAAUAACACUUCUGAAGUUUUAGUGCUGACGUCAUCUUCAGAAGCACAUUUUCCUCAGAACCUCAGUUAAGAGCUUCUGAUGAACCAAAAUGCUUCUGAAUAAACUUCAGAACCAAACUUCUUAUUCAGAGGCAAGCAAUUUUUCAAUCAGACACAAAAUGCAUGUUCAAAUUUUUCUUAAUAAAAUCAAAUCUUUCAACAGACAAAGGUUUUGUAAAUAUAUCAGCCCAUUGAUGUUCAGUAUCAAUGAAUUGUAUAUCUAAAAUCCCUUUUUGAACAUAGUCUCUGAUAAAAUGGUGUUUGAUUUCAAUAUGCUUGGCUCUUGAAUGUAGAAUUGGAUUCUUUGACAAACAAAUAGCAGCAGUAUUAUCACAGUAAAUGGGAAUACUGUUAGCAUUAAUCUGAUAGUCUUCCAACUGAUGUUUCAUCCAAAGUAGUUGUGUGCAACAACUUGCAGCUGAAAUGUACUCUGCUUCUGCUGUAGACAUAGCAAUAGUUGCUUGUCUUUUGCUUGCCCAGGAUAUCAGAUUCUUUCCCAGGAAUUGACAAUUUCCACUGGUUGAUUUUCUUUCAAUCCUAUCACCAGCAUAAUCAGCAUCACAGAAUCCAAUCAACUUAUAAUCUAGGGAUUUCCUAUACAGGAGUCCAAGAUUAGUUGUUCCUUUCAGAUACCUGAAGAUUCUCUUAACUGCAGUUAAAUGAGAUUCUCUAGGAUCUGAUUGAAAUCUUGCACACAAGCAUACACUGAAUAAAAUAUCAGGUCUAGAUGCAGUGAGGUAUAACAGAGAACCAAUCAUACCUCUGUAUAGCUUCUGGUCUACUACUGUUCCAGUAUCUUCUUUGCUUAAGGUGCAGGUUGGAUGCAUUGGAGUGUUCAUCACUUUACAAUCUUCUAGCUUGAACUUCUUCAGAAGCUCCUUUGUAUAUUUUGUUUGAUGAACAUAUACUCCUUCUUUACUUUGGUUGAUUUGAAUUCCCAGAAAGAAUUUCAAUUCUCCCAUCAUACUCAUUUCAAAUUCAUCCUGCAUUAACUUAGAAAAUUCUUUGCAAAGAGAUGCAUUAGUAGAACCAAAUAUUAUAUCAUCAACAUAUAUUUGCACAAUCAAAAUAUCUUUCUUAAGAGUCCUUCUGAAGAGUGUUGUGUCAACUUGUCCUCUUUCAAAAUCAUUUUUAAUUAAGAAAUUACUUAGUCUAUCAUACCAAGCUCUGGGAGCUUGUUUCAAGCCAUAUAGUGAUUUCUUAAGUUUAUAAACAUGGUCAGGAUGCUUAAGAUCCUCAAACCCAGGAGGUUGUUUAACAUACACUUCUUCUUCAAUGACACCAUUAAGAAAGGCACUUUUGACAUCCAUUUGAUAUAAUAUUAUGCCAUGAUUAAUUGCGUAGGAUAGAAGUAACCUGAUUGCUUCCAAUCUUGCAACUGGAGCAAAUGUUUCAGUGUAAUCAAUGCCUUCUUGUUGACUGUAGCCUUGAGCAACAAGUCUGGCUUUGUUUCUGGUUACUUCUCCUUGUUCAUUCAGCUUGUUUCUGAAUACCCAUUUUGUUCCAAUAAUGUUCUUCUGAGAAGGUUUGGGUACCAGAUCCCACACAUCAUUCCUUUGGAAUUGAUUUAGCUCUUCUUGCAUAGCUAAUAUCCAUCCAUCAUCUGAGAGAGCUUCUUCAACAGUUUUAGGCUCAAUUAUUGAAAGCAGUCCUAUUAAUGACUCUUCUUGUCUAAAAUGUGAUCUAGUUCUUCUAGGACUAUCUUUGCUUCCAAUGAUUAGCUCCUCAGGAUGUGAAGAUUUGUGCUUGAAUUUAGGUUGUAUAACCUGCUGAGUGUUAUCUAGAAAGUCCUCAGAAGCAAUUUCAUUCUGUACUUUUGAGCUAGGUUCUGCUUCUGAAUUAGACUCAGCUUCUGGAGUGAUUUCAGCUUCUGGACUAGAUUCAACUUCUGUAUACUUUUCAGAAUCAGAAGGUUGAUCAGAUUCUGAUGCAUCUUCAGAAUCAGUUGUACCUGCAUUACUUUCACUUUGCUCUGAAGUUUUACUUCCAGGCUCUCUAUCAUCAAAUUUUACAUGCAUAGAUUCUUCAACACAUUGUGUUUCUGAAUUAUACACUCUGUAUGCCUUUGACCUUUCAGAGUAACCUAAAAAGAUUCCUCUUUGAGCCUUGGCAUCAAAUUUCUUCAGAUAGUCUUUAGUGUUUAAGAUGUAACAGGUACAUCCAAACUGAUGAAAGUAAGAGAUAUUGGGUCUUCUUCCUUUAAAGAGUUCAUAUGCUGUUUUCUCCAACAUAGGUCUGAUAUAGAUCCUAUUUUGAAUAUAACAUGAAGUAUUGACUGCUUCUGCCCAAAAAUGUUUAGCUAAGUUGUUUUCAUGGAUCAUGGUUCUGGCCAUUUCUUGUAAAGUUCUGUUCUUUCUCUCUACAACUCCAUUUUGUUGUGGAGUUCUAGGAGAGGAAAACUCAUGGAGAAUCCCAUGUUUUUCACAAAAAAGUUCAAAUGGCUCAUUUUCAAAUUCUCCACCAUGAUCACUUCUGACUUUCAAAAUUUUCAAUUCUUUUUCAGAUUGUAUUUGAGUGCAGAAGCUGCUAAACACUUCACAUGCAUAGUCUUUACUUUUAAUGAAUUUUACCCAAGUCCAUCUGCUGUAAUCAUCAACAAUGACUAAUCCAUAUUUACUUCCAUAUAAGGAUGCAGUGUUAACUGGACCAAAAAGAUCAAUAUGGAGUAAUUCUAAGGGUCUGGAGGUUGAUACAAUGUCUUUAGAUUUGAACGAACUUUUCACAAUUUUCCCUUUCUGACAUGCACCACAAAGUGCAUCUGAAUGAUAAUCAAUGUUAGGCAAUCCUUUGACCAGUUGUAACUUGCUAAUUUUAGAAAUUAAUCUCCAAUUAGCAUGUCCCAACCUUUUAUGCCAUACCCAUUUUUUAUCAUUCAUUGACAGAAGGCAAACUACCUUCUGAUCAGCCAGAUCAGAGAAAUUUAUUUUAUAGACAUUCUCAACUCUCUUUCCCUUGAAUGUAAUGGAUUUGUCAUCCUUGUUAACUAGUGUGCAGUUGGUCUUACUGAACGUUACAUCAUACCCAUUGUCACAAAAUUGACUUAUGCUCAAUAGGUUAUGCUUCAGACCAUCUACUAGCCACACAUUAUUAAUUGAGAUGGAGGAAUUACCAAUAGUACCUGUACCAAUGAUCUUUCCAGUUUGGUUGCCACCAAACUUCACUUCUCCUCCAUCUUUCAUUGUAAGGGUAAGGAACAAAGCUUUCUCUCCAGUCAUGUGCCUUGAACAUCCGCUGUCUAGGUACCAUGACCUUUGUUUCUCUCUUGCCCUUAAGCACACCUGCAUUUUUGGCCAAUUCAGAUUUAGGUACCCAUAUCUUCAUGGGUCCUUUUGGGUUAGCUUUGGAGGUUUUACUUUUCCUCCCUUGUACCUUAGGGUGAAUGCUGAGUGGCUUCUGAUCAUUCAAUACUUUAGGUUUGACACCUUUUGGUAUUGUUUUCUCAGAAGCAGUAGCUGCUUUGUUCUUCUGAUCCUUUUGUUUUGGAAUUUUAGAUUCUGGUUUAAUCAGAUUCUGAUGAACAGGUUCUGAUCUUUUCAGAAUUUUAAUCUUUUGACUCUUAGGAUCAGAUUUUGUCAUUACCUUGAUCUUAAGAUUCUCUGGCUUUGAUGUGAUCUUAGCCUGUGAACCUGAAGCUUCAGGUUUUGACUGAACAUCAGUUAUAGCAUUUGUACCUUCAGGCACAAAGGUGGAUUUCAAUCCAUCCUUGAUACAAUCACAGUAGCUCUUGAGACUGUAUUCUUUGGAUUUCUCCUCAGAAUAUCCAAUCCCUUUGCCUUUGUUCUUGUAUGUGCUGUAGAUCAUAGAAGCAACUUUGCUUCUGUCUAUUCCAGCCAUAAUAAAAUCAUCCAAGGCAAUCUCAUGUUUAUUGCCUGAACCUUUAUCACAUUUUUCUUGUAGCUUCUGACAAAGACUCUUGAGUCUAUCUUCAUAUGUUGUUGAUAUGAGGUUAAACCCUUUGAGUUCUUCUUCAGAAGCUUUCAGUUCCAAUAGAGUUGACUUUUGUUGUUUCAUCAAAUCAACAUAUUUUUCUUUUAAAUCUGUCAACUCAUUGGUUCUGUGUUCAAACAGUGAUAAAAGUUCUUUUAGAGAAUCAACAAGUUCUUGUCUAGGGAUUUUGGAAUAUACCUCAUUUUCAUCUUCUGAAUCUGAUUCAGCUUCUGAUACUGCUUCUGAUGAUACUGUUGCCACUAACCCAACAGCUGCCUUAGCAUCAUCAUCAGCUUCUUCUUUAUCAGAACCAGAUUCACUAUCCAAAUCUUCCCAGGUCGCCAUCAAGCUCUUUUUGAUUUGCUUUCUGAAUUUACUGGAAUUGAAGCUUGAUUUCUUGGAUUUGCCUUUAAACUUCUCCUUCUGAAGAUCAGGGCAAUCAGCAAUGAAAUGACCAGGCUUCUUACAAUUGAAGCAUCCCUUCUGAUCUUCUUUCUUGGAGUUCUUGUAGCUACCUCUCUUGCUCAAAAAUUUCUUCUGCUUCCUUGCCAGAUACUCAAGCUUGUUGGACAACAUAGCCAUUUUUACAGAUUGAUCUUCAUCAGAAUCUCCAUCAGGUGAUUCUUCUUCAGAUUCACUGGCUUUGUAGGCUUUGGAAGAUUUUGAGAUCUUUCCUUUAGAUGGUAAAGCAAUGGAUUUACUCUUCUUAGAGGUUUCAUGCUCAUUUAAACUCAUUUCAUGCACUUUGAGUGAGCUAACAAGAUCUUCAACACUUAAAGUAUUUAGAUCCUUAGCUUCCUCAAUAGCAGUUACUUUGGGUCUCCAUCUUGAAGGUAAGCUUCUCAAAAUCUUACUAACAUGAUCAGAAGCAACAUAGCUUUUCUUCAGUAUUUGCAAUCCAGAAACUAAAGUUUGAAAUCUUGAGUACAUUUCUUCUAUACUCUCAUCAUCCUUCAUUCUGAAAAGUUCAUACUGAUGAACUAGCAUCAAAGCUUUAGCCUCUUUUACUUUCUUGCUGCCUUCAAAGUUUGCACAUAGAGAAGCAAACAUAGCCUUCGCAGUAGAUUUGUCACUCAUUUUCAUGUAUUCGGUGCGAGGUAUAGAAGCCACAAUAAUCCCUCUGAUUUUGUGGUGCUUCUUGUAAAGCUUCUUCUGAGCAGGAGUAUGUAUUUUUCUAUCUAUAGCAGCUCCUUCUUCAUCUAAAUCCAGGUCAUCAACUCCAUCUUCCAGUAUGUCCCAUAACUCUUCAUCUAAUCCCAUGAUAAAGCUGUACAUAUUAGUUUUCCACCAAGAAAACUCUUCUGGAUCUCCAUUAAACCUUGGAGCUUUUCCAGAGUCUGUUUUCUUGUCAGCAGUAUCAUAGUCAUGCUUGACGCUUGUGUAUUUUGGAGUAACUGAUUCCUCAUCUCCAGACAUGUUUUUCUAAUAGAUCUUGAACUGUAACACGGUUAAGUGCUGUGAUAACAGAGCAAGCUCUGAUACCAAUUGAAGGUGAAAAACACAAGAAGGGGGGGUUGAAUUGUGUUUUCUUUUUCUCUUAAAAAAUACUUCUUCUGAUAAAACUUCAGAAGCAGUUUGAUUGCUUCUGAUGAAAUGAUCAGAGUCAGAUUGCAGCGGAAAAGAACAGAGCAGAGAAAAGAAAGACAAAGACACAAGCAGUUAUCCUGGUUCCUUCCACAACACGGAAGUAGUCCAGUCCCCCUUGCACUUCCAAGGAGAUUUCACUAUAAUCACAAAGAUUACAACUGCUCAAUACUUUCUAAGUAUGAGACUUCACAAAACUAUGCUCAAGCACACACGCAAGAGUCUUCCAAUGCUCAAGCACUAAGCAAGAGACUUCUAAUGCUCAAGCACGCAGGCGAGAGACUUCUAAUCAAACAAAAAUACAGAGAAUUGAGUUUGAAUUGAACACUUGAUAUACAAUCAGUGGUGUUCACAAUACAAUACAGAAAAGACUCUAGACUUUGAAUUUCUAAGAUGUAUCAAAUCAGUGCAGAAAUUCAGUGUGCUUUGUAGAAUCAAAUUGACAGAGUUUUGGCGCUUUUUUUAACUUAUGUAUUUCUCUCUUUUAUCUUCAAGUCUUCACUCCUUUUUAUAGAGGCGUGAAAGAGACGUUGAGAUAAUCAGCACGUCUAAAGAGUCGUUUGAAAUCCUUUGAUUAUCCACCAGUGAUCCUUUGCCUGAUUUGGGUGUAGUCCUUUGAAGAAUAAACUUCAAAUUCCUUCCCAUCUUGAGUGUACAAUUCUGCAGGCAUGGCUGUUGUUUUGUCUUGUAGCGUAGACAGAAAACAGAGUAGUGGAGGUAGUGGUUGUACACUUGUACUUUGUCAACUCUAUUAACGAGAGACAAGAGCUUAGUGCUAUCCAUAUAUCCGUUGAUACCUCCCUUUCAAUUCUUCGUUCUUCUUUGAUAAGACUGAAUUGAAAAUCAGCUACUUUGAAUCUUCAGUUUGAUUAAAGGAUCAAAUGUAGCUUCUGGUGAAGAUAUUGAUUCUGAUGAAAACUUUUGCUUCUGAUGACUUUCUGCUUCUGAUGACGUCAUCUCUUCAGGAGCAGUUUAGCUUCAGGAGCAGUUUUCUUCAGAUGCUCAGAAUUUCUUUUUCUUUCCAUUGUUCUUCCAAGACCUAUUGAAAUGACUUGAGUAGCCUUUGGUCCUGUACACUUGAACAAUUAUUAGUAAUAACCAAUUGACAAUUUUUAAUACCUUGUUAUCAUCAAAACUCAAUAAGGUUCAUUGUGAAACACAUUUUGUUCCAACAGAACUGUUUUUUCAAUAUCAUACCCACCAAUACAAAACUGAGCUUCACUACUUAAGAUCCCUAUUCUGUAAAACUUGUCAAACAAACAAUAUUACCUUCAGUGAAGUGAACACACAGUGUAAGCUGAUGGUCCUCCUUCCACACCCCCAAAUUAAUUUCUUGUAUCAAAUGACAAAUUGGGCAGGAGUCAGAAUUUACCAAAUUGAGAAUACUAACGUAGAGCUGCACUAAUAUAUUUACAUUACAGAAUACUAAUGUAUCCAAUUAGUAACACUGCAUAUUCUCUAAUAUAUUCACAAUGUAGGAAGUAAGGAAUAUGGAACACAAGAAGAUACAUUUUGGCAAUACUUUAGUAUCUCUGAUAUGUCUUGGAGAAUACAUUUUGUGAUCAAUGGAUUGGAAAUUACUUUCAGUGAGAUCAUUUUGGGUCUUGUAUUUGAUACAUUCUGCAUAAUAAAGAUACUAGUGCGAGUGUCACAUUUUAUUUUGAUUUGUAUUAAGACAUUGAAAAUUGGCAGUCAUAAAUUUUCUUUGUAUAUGACUGGAGAUUGAGUACCAACUAAGUUAUAGUGUUUCAUUGAUUAAAUAAUCAAUAACUUUUUUUUUUGGUCAGGUAAAAUAAUCAAGGGUUAAUUAAGUUUUUAGUCCCUAUAAAUAUUCACAGUUUUGUUUUUAGUCCCUACAAAAUAAAAUCAUACUUUUUAGUCCUUAUAAAAUUUUCCAUCAACAUUUUUAGUCCCUAUAAAAUUUUCCAUCAGCAUUUUUAGUCCCUAUAAAAUUUUUCCAUCAGCAUUUUUAGGCCCUAAAAUGCUUAAGGAAAAUGUCACAAGGACUAAAAAAUGUGAUUUUAUUUUAUAAGGACUAAAAACAAAACUGUGAAUAUUUAUAGGGACUAAAAACUUAAUUAUACAUUUUACUUUUUUUGUGAGUGCUUAAAUCUUGUGACCAUAAUAAUACUCUCACCACUAAAUGCAUUAAACAAUAAAACAAGUGUGGACCCACAAAGAGCUGGCUAUCGUUUUUUAUGCUUAAUCAAACGCUUCCCAACAAUUGUACCAGCUAGUGGUGACUAUAUAUAUUAAAAAAUGUUGAUGUAAAAUAUACAAUAAAAGAGACAAAAAGUCAGUCAAUAAAAGAAACUCACCAUACAUUUCAUUUUUUUUAUUCAACUCAUCACAGUCCACCCUCUUCCAUUUUCAUUCAACCACGUUAGAUCAAUCUAAAUAAUGGCUGAGGCCUUACUUGGUGAUGCGUUUGAUAAUUUAUUGUCUCUUGUUCAAAAUGAAUUUGCAGUCAUUUCUAGAAUCAAGUUCUACUCCAAGAUAUAUUGGGUCAUCUGCUAUUAGGUUUUUCGUAAUCGGAUCAUCCAUCAUUUAUGUCUACGACUGGUUUGUAAGGUGAUACCAUCUUAUAUAUCCACCCACUAUUUAUGUCCAUGAACUAAACUCAAUAGUGUUGGUCGUGAGAGGGUGUAUCACCUUACAACCCGGUAUUGUGGGGUUGCGCCCACAUUGUAAUACUACUUUAAUCAAUAAUGAAAAGCUAUAAACUUAUUUCUUUAAAAAAAAAAUGAGUGAUGAGGUGUCGACGAAAAAAUUUGGGGUCUAAUUUAAUAAAGAUAAUAGAGAGAUAAACAGAUCCUUUAAAAAAAAAAAAUAGAUAAAACUUGUUCCAGAAAUGCACAAAAUUAAAUUAAAGGUAUAAAACAAAUUACAUGUAGCCUGAGUUAGUAUGAUUGAACAAAGUUUGAUAUUUCUUUUAAGAGUUUUAUUGAACUGAGCCCAAGCUAGUAUGUAAUUAAAAUACCAAUGACAUGAGAUUUCAAAAACAAAUAUCAGUGAAUGACCAUCUUAAACCAGAACUGGAAUGAAAUUUUACAUUUAAUCAAAUAAAUAGAAUGUAAAACAAAUACAUAUGACAUCAUAACUGUCCCAAAAGAUACCUCAAAUUUAUUAUAAAGUAAAUUUUAUUAGUGUUCAUGUAUGAAAACAAAGAAAUUAAAUAAAAUUCUUUCCAACAAUUAUACAUGCCAGUAGGGACACCCCAUCUCUUAAUGGACCCCGAUCAAUAAUAAUGGAACCUUGCAAGCAAGUUGCAUAAAUUUGUGGUUAAAAAUAUGCCUACUUGAAUGUUUGCUCACAAUUAUUGAUCACCUAGUUGCCGACUUCCUACUACCAUUGCAUUUAUUCUCAAAGUUCUUCAUUCUGUUUACUUUUAACACUCAGUCAAUCUAAAACCAAUUUCUCAUUUACUUAUCUUUUCAACUCUUUCUUUUACCAAAAAAUGGCUGAUGCGUUGAUCGGAGUUGUGUUUGAUAACUUGAAGUCUCUCCUACAAAAUGAAUUUGCAACCAUUUCUGGAAUCAAGUCAAAGGCUCAAAAGCUGUCAGACACCUUAGAUAUGAUCAAAGCCGUUCUUGAAGAUGCUGAGAAGAAACAAGUCACAGACUGCUCUAUUAAGGUAUGGCUGCAACAACUCAAAGAUGUUGUUUAUGUGCUCGAUGAUAUCCUUGAUGAGUGCUCGAUCAAGUCUAGUCGACUGAGAGGAUUAACCUCUCUCAAGUUUCGCCAUGAGAUCGGUAACAGGUUGGAAGAGAUUAACGGGAGGUUGGAUGAUAUUGCUGAUAGGAGGAAGAAGUUUUUUCUGCAGGAAGGUACUGGAACUGUUCGGGAAAGCCCAAAUGACGUAGCUGAAUGGCGUCAAACCAGCGCUAUUAUUACUGAACCAAAAGUGUUUGGACGAGAAGACGAUAAAAAGAAGAUUAUCCAGUUUCUUCUCACCCAAGCAAAGGACUCCGACUUCCUUUCCAUCUAUCCCGUUUUUGGGUUAGGUGGUCUUGGAAAAACCACUCUUCUUCAAUCGGUCUACAAUGAUGUUACCGUGAGUAGCAAUUUUAAUACUAAAGUUUGGGUUUGUGUUUCUGAGAAUUUCUCUGUCAACAGGAUUUUGUGUUCCAUUAUACAAUUUAUCACAGAAAAGAAGUAUGAUGGCUUUGAUUUAAAUGUAACACAGAAAAAGGUGCAGGAAUUGUUACAAGGUAAAAUAUAUUUGCUAGUUUUGGAUGAUGUGUGGAAUCAAAAUGAACAAUUGGAAUCAGGGUUAACACGAGAGAAAUGGAACACAUUGAAAUCUGUGUUGUCAUGUGGAUCCAAAGGUAGUUCCAUUUUAGUAUCCACUCGUGAUGAGGUUGUUGCAACAAUCACAAAAACAAGGGAAACUCACCGUUUAUCUGGUCUCUCCGAGGAUGAAUGUUGGUUGUUGUUCAAACAAUAUGCAUUUGGACAUUAUAGAGAAGAGAGUACAAAGCUUGUGAAAAUAGGAAAGGAGAUUGUAAAGAAAUGUAAUGGAUUGCCUCUUGCAGCGAAAGCAUUGGGAGGUUUAAUGAGCUCAAGGAAUGAAGAAGAGGAAUGGCUUGAAAUUAAAGAUAGCGAGCUUUGGGCCUUGCCACAAGAAAUUUUGCCUGCUUUGAGGUUGAGUUACUUUUAUUUAACACCAACUCUAAAACAAUGUUUCUCUUUUUGUGCUAUAUUUCCCAAAGAUGGAGAAAUCCUGAAGGAAGAAUUGAUUCAGCUCUGAAUGGCUAAUGGAUUUAUUGCAAAGAGGAAAUUAGAGGUUGAAGAUGUUGGAAACAUGGUUUGGAAGGAAUUGUACCAAAAAUCAUUUUUUCAAGACAGCAAAAUGGAUGAAUAUUCUGGAGACAUUUCUUUCAAGAUGCAUGAUCUUGUCCAUGAUCUCGCUCAAUCAGUAAUGGGGCCAGAAUGUAUGUAUUUGGAGAACAAAAACAUGACCAGUUUGUCAAAAAGCACACACCACAUUGGUUUUGACUACAAAGACUUGUUAUCCUUUGAUAAGAAUGCUUUCAAAAAAGUUGAAUCCUUGAGAACAUUGUUUCAGUUGAGUUAUUAUGCCAAAAAAAAACAUGAUAACUUCCCAACAUACCUUUCUCUUCGGGUUUUAUGCACAUCCUUUAUCCGGAUGCCAUCACUAGGGAGUUUAAUUCAUUUAAGGUAUUUGGAACUUCGUUCUCUUGACAUCAAAAAUUUGCCUGACUCAAUUUACAACCUAAAAAAGCUGGAAAUCUUGAAAAUAAAACAUUGUCGUAAACUGAGUUGUCUCCCAAAACACUUGGCUUGCUUACAAAAUCUUAGACAUAUAGUCAUUAAAGAAUGUCGGUCUUUGUCUCUCAUGUUUCCUAACAUUGGAAAAUUAACUUGUCUAAGAACAUUAAGUGUGUAUAUUGUUAGUUUAGAGAAAGGGAAUAGCUUGACAGAGUUACGUGAUCUAAACCUCGGUGGAAAACUGAGUAUCCAACACUUAAACAAUGUUGGCAGUUUAUCUGAAGCUGAAGCGGCUAAUUUGAUGGGUAAAAAAGACCUUCAUGAAUUAUGCUUGUCAUGGAUAUCCCAACAUGAAUCUAUAAUUAGUGCUGAGCAAGUACUUGAAGUGCUUCAACCUCACUCAAAUCUCAAGUGCUUGAAAAUAAGUUUCUAUGAGGGAUUAUCCUUACCAAGUUGGAUAAUUCUUCUUAGUAAUUUAAUUUCUCUUGAACUUCGGAAUUGCAACAAAAUUGUGCGGCUUCCGUUACUUGGUAAACUACCAUAUCUAAAAAAACUGGAAUUAUUCGAAAUGGAUAAUCUGAAAUACUUGGAUGAUGAUGAAUCUGAGGAUGGUAUGGAGGUGAGGGUUUUCCCAUCUCUAGAGGUACUCCAAUUAUCUUGUCUACCAAACAUAGAGGGGUUAUUGAAAGUGGAAAGAGGGGAGAUGUUUCCUUGUCUUUCUAGUUUGGAUAUCUGGAAAUGCCCUAAACUUGGACUGCCAUGUCUUCCAUCUCUUAAAGACCUCUUUGUAUGGGAAUGUAACAAUGAGUUACUGAGGUCAAUCUCUACCUUCCGUGGUCUUACUCAGCUUAAACUAAUUCACGGUUUCGGAAUAACAUCCUUCCCAGAGGGGAUGUUCAAAAACCUUACUUCUCUUCAAUCUCUGUCUGUAAAUAGUUUCCCACAAUUGGAGUCCUUACCAGAGACAAAUUGGGAAGGUCUUCAAUCCCUUCGAUUUCUAAAGAUUCAUAGAUGUGAAGGAUUGCGAUGCUUGCCGGAGGGUAUUCGACACCUCACUUCUCUUGAGGUUUUGAAUAUUUAUAAAUGUCCAACAUUAGAGGAACGAUGCAAAGAGGGAACAGGGGAGGAUUGGGACAAGAUAGCUCAUAUUCCAAAAAGAGUGAUUUUUUAGAAUGAAGAAGGGCAGAGACGUUUACCCUUAUCUGCCUCAAUCACCAUCGCAAAAAUCAAUUUUACUGGUAGGAUCUCUAUUUCCCCCUAAAAUACACCCUUCUUAUGUUUGGAUUUUAAGUGAUUAAUUUACUCGAAUUUUAUUAAAAAAUCGUUAUAUAUUCUCAUUAUAGGAUGAUUUGCAGGCUUUUCUGUUGAGUUCUUUUGAACGCAUCCCCCAAAAGAUAUAUGUUCUAAUAUUCUAAUUCAGGUAAUUUUCUUCAUCAUAGUUUAUUUAUUUUUUUAAUUUCCUUUUUGAUUUUUGAUUUCAUUUUUAAUUUUGCUGAUUUCGUGGAGAUUGAAUUGAAUGGUUAGGAUUGCUUUCGACACACAGGGAUGGGGUCGACAGAUAAAUGGAUUAACCGGAACAAACGUACCUAAUGAUGAAGAGAACAUCUUUUGGAGUGGAGGAGGUGACAACGAGUCCAGUCGUGGCAUCGAGGAUUGCGAUUUUGAUUAUCAGGGUGUGGGUAGGAGCUCAAUGCCCAUUAGCGAGUCUGAUCAUCAAGGUUUAUUCCAUUUUUAUAAGUUUUUGUUGGUCUUCUUUAUUUAAGUUAUAUGUUGUUUGGCUUCCUCUUUGCUUAGUUUUGAUAAUAAUUUGCAGAAAUAAAAGUUUUUGAAUGUAAUUAUAUGGGUUGGUGUCAUAUCAGUAUCUAAACAUCAGACAUGUCAUCGAUGUGAAGUUUUGAGUAUAGGUGAAUGAUUGUUUGGUGCAGAACAAAGGUUGCAAUUACUUUGAUGGAUCAUUUAGGUUCGAAAAAGGCUCAUGUUUUUGGGCACUCAAUGGGUUUCUAUUUUGUGUGUUUUUUUGUCUGUUUUACUUUUUGAUUUAGUUAAAAUUCAGAUGGUCUGUCCUACGAUUUGGUUAGGUUAAGUUUUUUUGUUUGUGUUUAUUUUUAAAUAUGUUUGCCUAUUGAAACAGGAUCUAUGAUAGUUUGUAAAAUAGCAGCAACAGUUCUUGAUAGAGUUCUCUCCUUGGCUUUGCUAAAUGCAAUGAGUGGAGGUUUUCAAUGUUUUCCAGAGGUAUUGUCCCUUUCAUAAUUCUAUGAAAUGUUUUGAUUUAUUUUUACAGCACUAUGAUUAGAGCAUUGAUGACGCAAUUUUGUAAGACUUUUUGAAUAGAAACUUAGUUUAGGAUGAGUGGACUUGCAUACAUAAUAAGUAUAAUUUCUUAGUACUGAUUUUAGUUGAUCCUUUAGGAGAAAUUUAGUUGAGAAUUAUCUUUCUAUGGUUUAAGUCAGAAUUUUGUUAAGAAUUUCGUAGUACUGAAAUUUUGCUGGUACGUUAUUUGCAGAUUUUUAAGGAAUAUUGACGGGUGUCGAUGCAUGCACCAAACUCUUUGGCCAACCUGUGAAGGAUUAAACUUUUUCUUGGUUGCAUAUUUGAUCUCUAGGUAUUUCUUAAGACAGUUAUCUAGACGAACCUAUAUUGUAUGCUAGUUUUAUCUCUUCUCUGGAUCGUCUUAUCACCAUAUAUUACUUUCUAAUUUAAAUUUCUAUAUGCAGGAAUCACUUGCUUUCUCAGUUUCUAUGUGUAAUGUCUAUGGGUAAAAUUAUCAUCGACAGAACAGCAACUCCAGCAUUUUGUCACAGGCAACCUAUUAUGCUGUGUUUGUUAAUGUUACAAAUAAAAAUUCUUGGUUCAUGCUAUUAGCCAGGUGUGUAUACAGCUCUUCAUUAGGAAGGUGUCAUUGUAUUCAUGAUUCUAGUUUGACUUGGAUAUUCAUGUUAUUUAAUUAUGUUUGUGUCUGAUAGACAUGUUGUGGAAAAUAUGGAGAAGAUCUACAAAGAAAGUUUUUACGAUUUCUGAAGUUCCCCAUGAGUUGAUUGAGCUUCUACAAAAUACAACACAAUUAUGCAUUUAUUUGAAACUUCAUUCUGCGAUUUUGGUAAAAGUUCACUUGACUCCGUAUCUCAAAAUAUUCAGCUUUUCGUGGAUGAUCCAGAUGUUUGAUCACGUAAAGGUAAACCUGGGCCAUUCUUCAGUUCCUAUAAUAUUUUAACACAUAUUGUUUGUUUUCAUUUUAAAUUCAUAUAUUCAUGAAAACAUGCAGGCGAUGAUGGUCUUUCAUGUAUGAGAUGUUUAUGGAAGAGUUGGCAUUUCAAGUUUAAUCAGCCUAAACACCAAUAUUCAGAAUUGGCGAUUUUCUUAAGCAUAUUUUUGGAGUAAAGUUUGCUGCAGAAGUUUUCAAUUUCAGUUAACUGAUAGAUCUUUGCCUGUAAUGGUUGUAGAAGAUUGAGAUGCUUUCCUUAGGGUACUCGAAACCACACCUCACUUCUCUCGAGGUUCUGAAUAUUCAUCAUUCUCCAACAUUAAAGGAGCGAUGCAAGAAGGAGACAUGGGAGGAUCGGGACAAGAUAUCUCAUAUUCCGGAAUUACGCAGUUGAUUUGGUGUUUCUGCUUCUGGCUUGCCACAUUUCCACCUGAAUUGGUAGGCUCUCUAAUCUCCCUCCGUCUUUAUUUCUAUUGACUGUGUUUCUUACAGGGCAGUAACAAUUUCUUGGUAGUCUCUUUGUAGGAUAUGCCUCUCAUGUCUCUUGACUUUGGUUUCCUUGUUAUGCGACUUUAUCUUUUGGCUAUCAUAGGUAAGUUUGGAUUAUCUUAUUUCCUUACUUCUUAUCAGUGCAGUAACAUGUCCUGAAUAUCCUUUUUUUAUUUCGGGCAUUGAAAUAUAUAAUGGCAUGUUUAGCCAUUACGAAUUUAUCACUGUAACAAUAUUUCUCAACAUUUUGAAAAGGCUUGCCUCCAUUAGGGCUAUUUAGGUUGUUGGCUUCUUGAUUUUGAUGACUGACUGUAAUUUCUAGUCAGAACAAUUACUUGAAGCUUUUUGUUUGUCUCUUGAACAUCUUUAUGCCGAGCUGUCUGAUAUCAAAUAUGCCACAUUGAAUACACAUUCCAUUGAACCACAUGCUUGGAUUUUAUGCUCUCAAUUGAAUGGAUUUUCAUUCAAAACAUUGUUGCAUUCGUUGGAGUGAUUUUCAGGCUUUUGUUGAAUUCGUUGGAACCCUUUCCGAAGAAUGAGUACUGGAGAGCAUGAAAGAUCUUUCAUUGUUAAACCUUAGGGGAAAUAUACAAAUAAUCGCGCAGGUAAUGUAUUAGGACUUAUGUAUUCUUAUCAUAAUAAGCCUUUUCAUUUUGAGCAGCAAGUUGUUGAUCCUGAUAUUCACUUCAAUUACAUUAAAGUAGCUGCUAAAACUGGACAAAUUAAGGUGUAGAGAAUGUAACAUGGGAAUCGAUUAAUGUUUUAUUUAGAUGACAAAGAACUGUAUGAUGAAAGCCAAGCUUCCGGAUAUUUACUUCAAAUACGUUGAAAGGUAAAGUUUUUGGUUGCGGUUGUAUUUAAUUUAGAAUCAUUCUUUGACAAUCUUAAAUGUCCAUUUUUCUAAGAUUAUAUUUCUUGCUUCUAGGUCAAUCGAACAAAUUCUGCUAUAGUUGUCGGGAAAUUGUUAGAUGAUGAAUACUUUGAGCUCAUUCUCUUGUUCCCAUUGAACCAUUGGUUAAAGAAUGUGAGAAGAGCUAAUUUUCUCUCUUCCCUGCAUGUGCUGGAAUCACUUGCUUAUUACACUGUUGUUGGAACAUAUAUUGAGUGAGGGAAGCAAAGACAUUAGUUGAUUGAGCUUCUUCAACAGAUAGUGCUGCACAGUUCUCCCUUUGGUUGAAGCUUCAAUUUGCUUUCUUAUGUAAAUUAAGUUAUAAGAUAGCAACUUUUUGUCAGAAAAUUCUGCUCUAUAUAUUAACAUGAAACAAUUUACUUUCAUUCACAUGAUGUAUCGGAGUUUACAGUCUCAUUAUUGUUUCAAUUAUUGUUAGUUAACCAUUUAUGUAUUUGGAUUUACACUGUAAUUUACUUUCGUUCACAUGAUAUAUUUGGCUUGUUCUUAUUCAUACCAAAAAAAAAUGGAUCAGUUUAGUUUACCAUCUUUUUAUUUGUAGCAUCUUUUUAUAUAACUUAUAAUAGCGUUUGAACUUAUAAAAUACUAUUUUUCGUUUAUUUAUACCCUUAUUAUCUUAUUGUGAAAAGAAUAUAUUAAUUAAAAAAAUAUCCUUUCAUAUUUCUUUUUUUUUUUUUACAAAAUUGUCAUUUUAUAUUUUUUUUAGUUAGUUCAACGGUUAAUUUUAUCACAUACUUCAAAUAAAAUCAAUAAGUUUAUCUUUUUUUUUUGUUGACAAAACUAGUUUAUCUGUUAUUAAAUUGCUUAUCUAUUAACCGCUAUAAACUCAUCAUAGAGCACCUAGAUAUCAACCACCGGCUAGUUUUUACCAAAUAGAGCAUUAGUUUUUUUUUUUUAAGAAGUUAAAAUGAAAUUUUUCAAAACGCAAAGAAUCCUAACUAGCACGAGAAAUACUAAGCUAUGAGACUUAAAUAGCAACAUACAAAGAAAAAGUGUGCCAUACGCGAAACACUCAAACAAACACUCAUAUAUCAAAUACAAACGUCUACAAACAAACCAAAAACACCCUCCACUAAGGGCCUCCGAAACCAAUAAAAACUAAACACCAAAACCAUAAAGUCAUCUCCCAAAAACAAACUCUAAACGCCCUCUAAAAUAACCUUCAAACCUACCAAAAAAUCGUGCAACCGUACCUUGCUUCUCUUCUGCAGUUGAGCGCAAUUAAGCACGGGUUGAUUAUAUAUCUCACACUACGUGUUGCGGGUUGAAUGUCCACGCCCUUGUGGUGCAUACUUGCAGGUUGAUGACGCAUAUUUGCCGUGAGUUUUUCAAGGAUGGAUUUGGUGCCUACUCGUAUUUUACCGCUUACUUUUGGAGUCUUGUUUAGUGGUGCUGUGAUUAAGACGGUGUGGGGUUUUUAUGUUAUUAUUGUUUUAUUGGUGGAACCUUUGCGUUCAUUUUGAUGAUGUAUCUUGAGAUAUGAUAUUUACUCUAUGUUGUUGAGAUUUUAUUUUUCUCCAUCAUACCAAGAACCAAUGAUACAAAAUAUAAGGAAACUCGCAUCUAUGUUGUUCCUCGUUCUAUUUGUCAGCCAGAUCACUAUCAUGAACUGAGAUAAUUUAACCUACACUCAGGGGCGGAGCCACCCCCCAGCUAGCCUGGGCUAGUGCCCAGGCUCGGCUCCAACUUUCUUUGUAGCAAGCCCAACUAUUACUAGAAUUUUUAGCUUUUUCUGCGGAUUUUUGUGUAAAUUCCGCAGGAAACACAUUUCCUGCAGAUUUUGCCAAGGAUUUAGGUUCCGCAGGAAAGAUAUAUCCGUAGGAAAUGUGAAAUUAUCUGCAGAAAAUGUGAAAUUAUUUGCAGGAAGAAAGCAACGUUUUGCGAUAAAUUUUUUGCCCAGACUCUGUAAAAUUCCUGGCUCCACCACUACCUACACUGGUUGCACAAAAAUUGUUCCAACAACAAUAUGAGGUAUAGAUUCCUCAAGAUUAAUUAUAUCUCCCACAUGAGGAGUAGUUACCUUUUCUUUAGAACUUAUUAUAUCAAUAAAAACAAGAACCUUUCAACAUGCAUAAUUGAUAGUUUCGUACCCCAAUUUUUGACCUAGGAACCUACAUUCAUACACCGUCUGACUCAGAAUAUUCUCUGGUUUUUCAAAAAAAAUCGGCAGAAAAGUAUUUUAAAAUACCUCAUCUUUGUACCGAUUCCGACCCCUCUUCUCACUUUUUUAUCUUUUUUAUUUUCUUAGUCUUUUAGUUUUAUCUUACCUUUUAUUUUCCAUCUUUUAAUUUUAUUUUACUUUACAUAAUUUAUUUUAAUUUGUUUUUAUUUUAUUUCGUAUUAGAUUUAUUUUAUUUAUUUCUUUUUUAAUUAAUUAGUGUCCAAAAAAAAAAACAAAGUGUCAAUAGGUCCAAAAAUAAAAUGUCCAAGGUCUAAAAAAAAAUUCAAGUCAAGUGUCAACUUUAACAUUCCUUUUUCAAAAUUCACCAUAAUUGUUCAUCAUUUCCAUUAAACCAAUUUUUCAUUUUUCAUCAACCUCCUCACCUAUAAAUAGAGCCCUUAUUCCACACAAUUUCACACACCAAAAGUUCUCUUGAGUUGUCAAAGAACUUUUCUCUCUUCUCCCUACUUAGCUUGUGUUGACGAGCUAUUCUUUUCUUCUCCCUCUUUUUUCUGCCCCUUCGGAAUUUUGUCCCUUCGGUAAUUUUGUCCCUUUGAAAUUUUGUCCCUUCGGUAAUUUUGUCCCUUCGAAUGUCCCUUUCUUUUAUUUUAUUUUAUUUAUUCCCCUUUUAUAUAUAUUUAAAAAAAUGCAAAAAAUAUUAGGUUAGAAAAGGGUUUUUCGUGGUGAUCCAACGUCACUACGAAAAUUCCUCGUGCUUUUAUUUUCUUGUUACGUUAGUUUACUUUUAAUUUUUUAAUUAAUAUCAAAAACAAGAAAAACAUUCAAAUAAUCAAAAAUCACAAAAUAUUUUCAUAAUAAACCUUGAUUUUCAAUCAAGUGGUCGUUCUUUUUAUUUUCUUUCUUAAUCAAACUUCAAAUCAAUUUUAAUUCUACUUUGAGUCAUUUUUCUUUCAAUAUAAAAAACACGAACAAAUUCUUUUUGACACUUGGCUUUUCUCUUUAAAACUUUUUUCAAAACUAAUAAAAACCACAAAACCAAUCAAACGUCAAUUUCUACCCCGAACUACGAGGUUUUGAUCCCUUACGGGUACGUAGGCAAAGGACCAUGUCCUUCCAAAUCAAUAAAAAAAUGUAAAUAAAAAUGUUCCUUUUCCUUUUAUCACUUUAAUUCCUUCUUUUAGAAAGCAAGCAAGUUUAAGCACAAAAAGUUAAAUAAAAUCAAGAGGUUCUCGUAGAGUACUACGAAUAUUUAGGGUGCUAACACCUUCCCUAAAUAUAACCAACCCCUGAACCCUUAAUCUUUAAAAAUGUGGUAUUUAAACCUUUUUCCACUUUCUUUUGAAAAAAUUAAAAGUUCAGUCGCGAAAUAAAAAAUGAGUCAAAACUAAUCAAAUAGCUUGACCUCCGAAAAAUUACACGAGAGAUAGGAACUAGACUUGUAAGAAGUGUGGUGUCACUUCAUCAAUUUUCUCAGCUUUAGUAUUUAAUGUGGUAAGCUCAGAAAAUGUCUUCACUUUGUGUUACUUGUGCACAACUACUGAACUUGCAGAAAUAAUUUUUUAGAGUCUUAAUAUUUUUAAUUCUUAUAAGAUUAUCCAAUUAUCUUACAUGAGUUGCAGAAAGGUGGAAUUUUCGCAUGCUCAACAUCCACAUAAAAAUCAAAUUCAUUCCUUUUCAACAAAAAUUCAUUCACGCGAAUUCAAAAUUUAAAUCAACAUAUAUAUAUUAACACUCGUGCAAAGUGGCUGAUUUCCUCAUAAUAGUUGCCUCAUCAAAAGUCAAAGGAAUGUCGAAAACCCCCUAGAUUUUCAAACAAAAUUUUAGCGUCUAACAUUCGCGAGUAAGUCCAUAAAUGUGUACUAUCCAUAGUUAGGUCUUAGUUUGGUGCACUAUUUAAGGAUUAAACCCAAUAGUCCAAACUAUAUUCUAAGUAAACCUGGUGAAAGGUUCCAGGAUCAUAUGGUUCUUACAAGACAUAAAUUACACCAUGGAUUAGAGAGCACUUUUUUUUCCACAACCUUAAGAUUCUUCCAUUCAAUUCUAGCAUGAAAGCUAGGGAAAACCCCUUUGGAAAAAGUGAACCGUUUGUGGAUAUUUUGACAAUCUAGAACACCUUUGACCCAUGAGAACUCUUCGCUGAUCUAUCAUUUGAAGAUCUGAAAUAAAAGCUCACUUUCUUCGAUUCCCACAAUAUUUCACACAAAAAUUCAUAUAUAACUUCCAUAUAUUUUUUCUUUAUACAAACUCAAUAUGAAAUUCCCCGAAUGGAUUUUCCAUUUCCAUAAAGAAUAUAAUUGACAACUUUGAGUUCCAGAUUAUCCCUUUCCUGGAAUAGAUCUCGGGGAAAAAGUUUUACAAAAUCGAUAUUGUCCGAUAUUUCAUAUAAAAUUACAGGUCGAACCAAAAAAAAAUAUUUUUUCUUGGUAGUUGCGAUCCAUUGGACACAGAUAUAUUGCACUAAUCAAAGCUUUUAGGUGCCUCUUUUUACCACAUCAUUCAAUAACUUUGUAAUAUUAUAACUCACAAUAUUCAUAUGGGUCUUGGUAACCAGUGCCCUAAGGGCAAUGGUUAAGGAUUCCAUUAAUAGAAAUUUUGUCUUGGAAAUACAAGUCUUUACUUUUUUCUUAGCAAUAAUUACACCACUUUUCGAUACAAAUAUAUUUAUUUUAGUACUUUAACCAAUACCUCAAAUGCAAUGGUUAGAAUUCUCCUAUUCUUAUUUCACAAUCUACUAUUAUUAACCAAACAUCACAAUCCACACUCCAGCCUUUAAUUUCACCCUUUUUUAAGAUACUAUUAUAUGUUUUCUCCAUAGCCACAAUUGCCUUCAUUGUCUCCCCAUUUGGUCAAAAUAAAAUCUUCGUUGUAGAGAUAAAAACACGAUUAAGAUUGUUUUUAAUAUGUAUGGUUCAUGAUUGCUUCACAUAAGUUUGGUAUAUUUAUUACAAAAUUAAGACCAUCUAUAAUAGGGGUUCUUCCCCUUUUUAGCGUCAAGCUAACUAAACACCCCAAUUAUAACAUCAAUUAAUUGGGUGCCUAUAGAGAUGGAUGUUUUUAUAGGCACCAUCUCUCCCAUAUUACAUGUGGGUCCCACAUAUAUAAUUAAUUGUAAUUUUUUUCUCUAUUCAAUUAUUAAUUAUUUUAAUAGUAACAAAAUAAAUUAAAUAAUACUUAUAAGUCUUAUAUUUAAUCGAUUAACUUUUUGAAUUUUCAAUGAAAGACUUUUACUACAUCAAAUAAUUCAUUCAUCUUAAAGUUAAAAAAUUGAAAUCAAGCUGAUGUAAUUUAUUAUAAUUUGAUUUUUUUUCAAGUUUAAUUUUUUUGAAUUAUUAAUAAAAUUAAAAAAUUCACUUUUUUAUUGUUUAUAAUGAAAUUAAUUCAAUAUUUAAAAAUUAUAUAAUUAUGAGUGAAUAUAUAAAUUAUUGUUAAAAUUUAAUGAUAUAUAGUUAUUACUUAGACUCAUUUAAUAAUUUAUUUCGGGUGCUACGUUGGAGAGAUUAUGUGUUUAUUAUAUAUUAAUUACGAAAUGAGUGAUGUGUACAGUCGGGACCCGUUUAAGCACCCAAACGAGGUGCUGCAUUGUGGAAGGUCUUAGUUUAUUAUAAAUAUGGUUUCAUAAUAAAUGUAGAAGUUUCUUUAAGAAAAAAUAAGUACAAAAUUUUAAAUAUUGUUUCUUUUAACAAAAACAUUAAAGACUCAUAAGUGAAUGAAAACAGGAAAAUUUGGUAACACUUGUAUAUUAAUUGGUUAUCUAGACAGAUCAAUCUAUUAACUCCUCCUAUUUGAUUACUUCAUUACAUUAAUCGAUUAAUUGUCAUAAAAAAAGUUCUAAACUAUUCUAGCCAUCUCAUAUUGAUGUUCAGAUGUCUAAACAUUUAACAAUUAGAACAAUUGACCAACAAAACUAAUACAUAAAUAAUCAGAGCUUUGGGGUAUUACAUUUCUAAUUUCAAUCACUUAAAUCAAGUUUUCAUACUUUUCUAGUCAAGUAAAUUUAAUCAAUAUAAUAAUACAAUUAUAUUCAAUUGCUAAUUUGAAUGUUCUUUUUAACUUAUAAUUUUUAUGUGUCUAGAACAUCAAGACAUGAACAACAAUUUUUUUCUUCAAAAAUAUAAUUUAACGUGAUAGAAUUGAAAACUUAUUUUAUCAUAUGCAAGUAUUGGAAAAGGGAAAAAAACAUUUAUCUAACAACUAAGGCUUAAUACAUCAUCUGAUCCCCUAACUUGUUUUAUUUUUUCAGUGUGGUCCCUCAACUAUUAAGUGUGUCAAUUUGGUCUCAUAAGUCUUCCUCCAUUUACUUAGUUGGUCCAUUUUGUUAAGUUUUUUUCAAAAAACGUUAUGUUUGCACAUGUGACUCUCCACAUUGGCAUAACCCUUACAAUUCGGAGAAGAUAGAGAGAGAAUGAAGAAAACGUAUAGAGAGAAAGGAGAAGAAAACGCAGAGAUAGAAGAAGAAGAAACGAAAGGAAAAAGAAAGGAAAGCUUAGAAACGAAGACGAAUCUUCAACUCGGAUCCAAUUCUAGGUUUGUUUCCUCAUCUUCGUUGUGAAUCACAAGUAGAAAAAGUAUUUUUGUUCUGAUUAGGGUUUUGAAAACUUUCUAGGGUUUUGGAAAAUUUUAUAGGGUUUUGAAAUUUGAAUGAUUUUUUUUACCUUUUAAGGUUCUGUAUGCAUGAAUUUGGAUAUUCUAUUAUUAUUUUUCUUCUUAAAAGUUGAUUUUUGUCUGUUGUGUUGGAUUUUAUGCAUACAUUUGAUUAGGGUUUAUUCCUUUCUUUCCUUAAUGGCUCAGAAGAGAUGGACCAAAUCUUUGAGUGUGUCAUACAUCAUGUUGGGGACUUUUGUAGUUUUAUGGACUUUGAGUAUGUAGGUCCAGAAGAAGUACUAGAAUGUGACCCAAAUUAUUUCUCCUAUUUUGCAUUAUUAACAACAUUAAAAAGAUUAGGUUACCAAACUCUUCAAUCUCUGUGGUAUUAUGAUCCUGCUUUGGAAGAUGGAAUGAUUGUUUUGAAUAGUGAUAAUGGUUGUAGAAGGAUGCAGAAUAUUGCACAUCAAUUUGAUAGGGUCCAUUUGUAUGUUGUUCACCUAUGUCACAACCUGAAAUUGUAGUUCUUAACCCAUUGAUAAAAUAUCCUUGUAUGGCCCCACCUGUUAGGAAUGAGACAAAUGAAGGUCGCACUAGUUUAGGUCCCACUCGUGAGGGUUGAAAUGAUGAUGGUGGUGUAAGUGGUGUAGGUCCCACUGCUGAUGGUACAAAUGGACGUGGUUUUGCAAACUAAAAUUGUUACUAAUACCAACUCAACCCAAUCCUAAGAUUUUUAAAAUUGUUCCUAACAACUGAUAACUAACUAUAGUCGUUUUUUAAAAAAAAAAAAAAAAAAAAAAGAUAUCAUAAGAUAAACUAUCUUGAUUUUUUUGGGUUGCAUAAGAUAACAAUUAAUCAUGUACAUAAAAUAUGACACUAUGUGAUAAUUUAUUAUCAGAUGAUCAUCAAACACAUGACAUCAUACACACUUACUUUUAUAAUAUUUAUCUUGACUUAUCUCUUAUUAUAUCUAUAAUUAUCCUGAUCAUCAAAUUGACCAAAAAUAAAAUUUAAAAACCAACAAUGAAUAUAAAUUAUGUAAUUGAAUAAAAAGUAUAUGCAAAAACAUUAAUUUAUCAAAUCAGUUUAAAAAUAUAUAUAUAUUAAUCAAAUCACCAUCAAAUAUUAUUGUGACAUUUUUUUUUUGUCAAAAAUAUUAUUAUGACAUUGUUUUCUUAUUUUAAGCAUAUAUCAAUUAUCAAAACAAAUAUUCGUAAAUGUUCAAACAUCAAAUUUUUUUCUUUCUAGUUUCCAAUCUAAACCGCCCUCUUUUAUCACAUCCCAUUUACUACAUCAAUGCUUUAAUUAAUUUUAUUUCUUCAUUAAAUAUUCAAUCUACGUCCUCGUAAGCAUACCUCAAUUGGUAGAGACAUGCAUUGUUAUAUGCAGGCGCUGCGGUUCGAACCCCAAACACCACACUUAUUCACUUUAAAAAAAGUGAAUUAUAACCAAUAAACUACCUGACAAAAAAAGAAUAUAUUCCAUCUACACAAAAUAAAAACAAAAUCUUUUCCUUUAGUCUCAAAAAGUACGUUAGAGUUUAUAGUAGGGUAGGGUCCACUCUCAAAACGGCGUCGCCUAUACGCUGCACCCUCACACACUGGACCACACUCUAUAAUAAGCCGUUAAACUGAAACAAAAAUAACAUGAGGAAAGGAACAUGGUUAUUAAACAGUUCCAUCAAAACACAUAAGUAACGUGCAUGGUUUUUGUACACGUGGACCAAUCACAACAAAGCUCAGAAUCCUUAUUAUUAUGUUAUGUUGAAGUGAUCAAACUUCAACACUCUCAUAAAACAGAACUGAACUGAAACAAAACACAGAAAGAGAGAGAAACAGAAAAAUAAUCUAAGUUUUUUUUCGAUGGAUUAACGUUGUGGUUUUUGUCGUUUCCUUUGAUUCUGUGUUUUUUUCAUUGUUUUCUUGAAAAAGGGUACGUAUGAAUCACAGUUUCUUCUGCAUUGAUAAGUUUUUUCUUUCUUUCUGAAUUUUCUUACAUCAAUCAUCAAUGGAGGUUGAUGGUGAUAAGAGUGAUAAUGGAAAUCGAAAAAGGAAAAGAAGAUUUUUGAAGAGAAAGCUUCUUGUCAAUGAAAAAGUUGAGGUAAUGUAAUAUGAUUUGUGAUUUCGGUUUUUUCUUCUUCAUUUUUGAUAAAGAUUUUAUUUUUAUUUGGUUAUGAAUUUCUGGGUUGUUGAUUUUGUUUUUGGUUUUGUGAUUUGAUGUUCUUAGGGUUUCUUUGAGGUUUUUUUUUACACAAUUGUUAUGAUUCUUUUGUAUCAAGAAUUUUCUUUGUUUCUCUGUUUAUGAUCCUUUGAUUUUCUUGUAAUUCUGUUGUUGAUUUAUGGUUUCGGUGGAUUUUGAUGUUACUCAUCUAUGAUUUUUGUUUUCAUAAUUCUCAUUUUCUUAAAUUGUUUUGAUUUUUCUUGUUUUACGCUGUUUUAGAUUUCAUGCAAGUGAUGAAUUGGGAAUAGGAUAAAUGCUGUUUAUGGUAAUGUGGACUAAAUGUUAUUUCCUUUAUCAACACUUUUGCAUUUUUUUAACAAUUGUUUUUUGAUUUGAGAUACAUGCAUGUUGUGUGAAUGGUGAUUUCCUUCAUCUGAAAUUUCCACUUGAAAGAAUUUUUUAUGAAAAGUUUAUUUUUUUUAAUUUUUCAGUUGAGAAGUUUGGAAGAUGGUUUUCUGGGAUCGUGGCAUCCGGGGAAAAUUCUCCGCUGCGGGAGGAAGACGCGUUAUGUCAAAUACGACAAUAUUCUUGAUGAUGAAGAAUCGGAUUAUCUUAUUGAAGUGGUGGAUGUUUCUAGUGUUUUGGAUGGUGUUAAUUCUUCAUCUGCUUUAGAUUGUAGCUAUCAGCGAGGCCUGAUUAGACCAUUACCGCCUCCAAUUGAGUUACUGAUAAAGGAUCUUCCAUUCGGACAAUGUGUUGAUGUGAAAUAUCAGGAUGCUUGGUGGGAAGGUGUGAUAUUCGAUCGCUGCAAUGGAAUGAAGGAUAGGAGCAUAUUCUUCCCAGAUUUAGGUGAUGAAAUGAAGGUUGGAGUUAAACAAUUGAGGAUCACUCAGGAUUGGGAUGAGUCAACUGAGAAUUGGUUACCGAGAGGGAAAUGGGUGUUUCUCGAGUUGUUUGAGGAGUGUGAGAGGGUAUCCUAUGUUGCAGUCUCAGUGAAACAGAUUUGGUAUGAUAUUAGGAUGAGAAAGGAUUUUGCUGAAACCAUUAGAGAAUGGACUUGUAAUGUGAAGGAGUUGUGGAGAGACCUUGUUGUUGAGGUAAUUGGUGAUUACUAUACCCUCACAUUAAGCGAAGUUCGCCCUGCCUUAAACAUUCCAAACAAUUUACUCGAAGGAGAGUCAUUUGAACCAACUGAUAAUGUUCAGUGUGAGGCUACUAAUCAAGGUAAUGCAUUUGGUUCUGACAUUGGAAUAUCUGAUAAGCCUGAGGAAAACGCUGACUCCUUAAACUUGUUGGUUACUGAUCAAAACUGUGGCAGCACAAGCAUCAUUCCUUUGGUGGAUGAGGAAUUUGAGAAGGAAAAUCUUUUACAUGAAGAGCUUGAAUCAGAUAAAAGUCAAAUGGUGGAUGUGGAGUUUGAGAAGGAAAUUCUUUUACAUGAAGAGCUUGAAUCAGAUAAAAAUCAAAUGGUGGAUGUGGAAUUUGAGAAGGACAUUCUUUUACAUGAAGAGCUUGAAUCAGAUAAAAAUCGAAAACGGAGACGUUCUAAGUCCAUAAUUUGGAAGCCAUUGGAACUGUCUGAAGUUGAAUUCUGUCCUGAAGUUAUUGAUGAGUAUGCACUUGGAUGUAGGAGCAAGACGGUUCGGGAGCUUUUGAAGACGAAAGUAAGAAAACAUCUUGUUUAUCUUGGAUGGACAAUUGAAUGGACCGAAAACAAUACUCCUCCACAUAGACGAUACCGGUACAAGUCUCCGGAUAAACUUAAUCCAAAGUUUUACACUUCCAUUUUUCAAGUUACUAAAAUUUUGCAAGAGGAUCCUAACAUGAACUCUGGGCCACCUCAAAUUGACAGCAAUCUUUCACAUCUGCUCUCUGAUCCACCCCAAAUGAGUCAAGGUUUCAACGUUUGUCCUCCAACCAAUGAACCUUCUCCAGUUAAAUUUCAAGUUGAACCAGAAUUUUGUCCUCUAGCCAUCGUGAAAUACUACUGUCACUCAUUAGAGAGAAACUCGUCUGAUAAGAGAAAGUGGAAAUUGAAGGCGAAAAAACAUCUGUUAUCAGAAGGAUGGAUGUUUGACUACCCAACUGAAAGAAGGAAGACUACUUUGUACAAGUCUCCACAAGAUCAGUGUUUAGGCACACUUCAAGGUGCAUGCAGACUAUACCUUAAAGAAAAGAUUCCCGAAUGGACUAAUUCUGAUCAUGGUGAUGAUGAUGAUCUACUUUCGAGUGUGUCCCAAUUGCUUCAAAAAGAGCCUGAAUUACGUACUAUAGAUGGUUCACCACCAACUGCAAAGAGAAACCAUAAACGCGCAAGGACUUCAAAGGCUAGCACACAAAAGGACUUAGAGAGUGAAGUACUUACCCGGGUGCUAAGAUCAAGCAAAAGGGUGCAGAAGGUUUUGGGUUCGUCAUAUCAAAAGCCUCAAAAUAUUCUGUCUUGGUUAAUAGAUUGCAACAUUGUGUUGCCAAAGUACAAGGUCUUUUACUGGGAAACCGAAGGAGGAAACUCUCCUAUGUUUGAAGGGAGGAUAACUCGCGAAGGAAUUAGGUGCACCUGUUGUCAGAAUCUAUAUGGACUCAGUGGCUUUGCAAACCAUGCUGGUGGAAGCAGUAACUGCAGGCCUUCGGCUUGUAUAUUUUUGAAGGAUGGUAGGUCACUGUUAGAUUGCAUGAUGGAAGUAAUGCAAGAUCACAGGACAAGAGAAAUUACGGAGAAACCGCACAAUGAUCUGUUUGAAGGUGAAAAUGACAACAUUUGUUCUGUUUGUAACUACGGUGGUGAACUCAUUUUAUGCGACCAAUGCCCCUCGGCGUAUCAUAAGAAUUGUCUUAAUUUGGAGGUAGAUUAUUAACAAGUUUCCUUUUCAAUCAAACAUAUUAAGUUCUAUCUUGUCGCUAUAUUUCCUUUCCUUUUUGUUUCCAUGUAACUCCUUCAAUUCAGUACUUCAUGCCAUAUUAAGUUUCAUUCUGCAUGUGAAGGGCAUCCCUGAUGGUGAUUGGUUUUGUCCAUCAUGCCGUUGCGGGAUUUGCGGCCAAAAUAAAAUUGAAGAGACUGAGGAUGGACACUUUCUUACUUGCAUUCAGUGUGAACAUAAAUGUGAGCUGAUAUAUAGAUUUUAUCCAAUAUUCCAUCCAUUCCUUUGUGAUGUGUUUUAGUUUGUGUGAAUAACUACAUAUUUUGACCAAUGAAAAAUUUGACCAAUGAAAAAUGUCUUCAACUCUGUAGAUCAUGUUGAGUGCCUCAGAAAUGGAGAAAAAGAUGAUUCAAGACGAUGUAUGAAAAAUUGGUUCUGUGGAGAAGAGUGUGAACGGGUAAGUUAAUUCCACCUCCCUUUUUUCUUCUAGUUUAGAAAUAUUUUCAUCUCAUUUUGCAUGAAGAAUUGGUUUCUGCUUCUAUUUAUUCUGAUUUGACAUUUGUUGGAAGCAUUACUUAACCAUUCUUUUUUUCUUUAUCAAAACUAACUACUCCACAUCCAAUUCAAACACUUAGCACUUUCUAGUCCAACAAUGAGCUCUUUAUUCAGAUCAUGGUUGCAUCUAUUAAUGGCUGUCAUUUAAUAGCUAAGUAGCAAGUCGACAAUGCAUGAUUUUUGGUGAUUGGUAAGUGUUAAGACAUCAAAAGCAAAACAGAUUUAAGUUUGAUGCUAGUGAAACAUUUAAGGCCUUGUAACUUAAAUAUACACUGCUAGAAUUAUGUUUUAUGACAAUGGUUUUACUCUACAUUUACGCGUAUGCACUUUUCGCAGGUCUAUACUGGGCUCCAGAAUCUAUUAGGAAAGCCAGUUUUAGUGGGGGCAGACAAUCUAACUUGGACAUUGGUGAAGUAUGUCAACUCUGAGACUUGCGGUGUUGGCGGUGCUGAAAGUGACUUAGUGGUGGAGAAUUACAGCAAACUGAGUGUUGCACUCUCGGUGAUGCAUGAAUGUUUUGAGCCCCUGCAUAACCCUUUCUCUAGCAGAGAUAUCGUGGAAGAUGUUAUAUUCAACCAAAGGUUAGACAUUCUUAUCCUUCAAUUUAUGUUUAUCAUUUUUUUUUAUGAUUGUUUGCAAACUUUGUUUGUCGCAUACUCACAAUUCAUGCAUAUAACAUCAUGAGUUGAACCUGCUGAAAUAGCUUUGCUUACCUUCAAUUUUGAGCCUUUUCCAUUACACCAUGGUGGUAAUAUUCAGGUAACAACUGAAAGUAAUCAAUUCUCUGAUCUACCAACUUUAUCAUCAAUAAAAAAUAAAAAUAAACAAACUCUACUAUUUUUAUACAAUACAUAGAUAUGUUAGAAUUUAGGAUUUCUUUUGUUGCAUAUAUAGUGUUAGGGCAAAGUUUGCGGCUUUACGUUUAUCAUGCAGGAUGGAAUUUCUUGGACCGUAACAUAUUUAUUUGAAGAUACUAAUAAAAACGUUUCCUUAUUUUAUGUACACAUUUCUUGUCGUCCAACUUAUCCUGCAAAAUCUAUGCCUAUAUAGAUGGCAUCAUGAUUAGUGUUUGAGGAGUAAACAAAGUAUUUCGGCUCAUGUUGAGUAUUUAUUGCGAUUUUGGUUAUUUGAUUCAAAUAUGAUUCUAAUGGAUAUAUCAUAUAGCUUUUAACUCCUUCUGUGCUUAGAUUUCUUUUUUUCGAUCAAACAAGAUGGCAUGCAAAAGUAUCACUAUAGGUUUUAAAUUCCAUCCAUGUUUGCACCUCGAAACCUUAGUUUUGAUUGUAUGUACAUCUUUGAGUCCAUUCACUGAUGGAUUUGUUACCAGGUUUACAUUGUUUGUAAUCAUGGUAUUUUACCUCUAACUUGACCGGCAUUAUUAUUACAUUCACUUUGCGCCAAUGCCUGAUGUAUGUACUUCGGAACCUCGUAGGUCUGAGCUCAAUCGACUAAACUUCCAGGGUUUCUAUACUGUACUUCUAGAGAGAAAUGAAGAAUUGAUUAGUGUGGCGACUGUGAGGUGAGUAUAGGAUCUGCUACUACUAAGAAUAAAUACAAUAACAGAUUAUGCAUGAUUCAGUGAUUGCAUUUCAAGUUUCCGUAACUUGGCAUUUCAUGUUUUAGGAUAUUUGGAGAGAAGAUAGCAGAAGUGCCCCUCGUAGGUACCAGAUUUCAGUACAGACGACUUGGAAUGUGCCGCGUUUUAAUGGAUGAGCUCGAAAAGGUGACAUAAAAAUCAUAAAGUUUGUCAUUUUAUCUGGUUGUUUUUGUGAACUAUAUUAAAUCAUCUUGAUAUGGCCUGUGACAUUUGAAUUGUAAUUCAUUUCUAUUGUGUAAGUUAUUCCAAGUUUAUUAUCAAAUUUCUCACUUUAAUUUUUUUCUUUCAUCAGAAGCUAAAGCAACUUGGAGUGGAAAGACUAGUCUUGCCUGCUGUUCCCGGUGUGCUAGACACAUGGACGAAUUCUUUUGGUUUUGAGCAGAUGACGAAUUUUGAAAGGUCACAAUUUCUGGACUAUUCUUUCCUAGACUUUCAAGGAACUGUCAUGUGUCAGAAACUUUUGACAAGAUUUCCAUCUCCGGAAUCGGUUGUAACAAGAGGUUCGUAGCUUCUUAUGAUUCCUGUAUUAGCCGUUAGUUUGGCAUAAUCACAAUGCGGUAAAGUUAUUGUCGCAAUAACUACACUUUAGAGCUUUAACAAAUUUAGUGUCAUUGUGAUAUUGCGAAACUCACCGACAAUCUAAAUAUGCACAUAAUUAAACAGUUUCCUCGCUGAUUGGAUUAUAACCGUAUUUUUUCAUAUUGCAGACGCGACUCCAAAACAAAAAGAUGGUAGCUUCUCUGUUAAAUGUAAAAUUAAUUUUGAAAAGGCUAGUCCAGUAUCUGAAGUGGAUCAAGCAGAAGGGAUUGGCAAAAGAGGAAUGAUGGAUCUACAAGUUUGGAGAUCUUCCUAAUCAAACAAGAAAAUAAAUUUGAUUUUUGUGAAAGAGACAGAAAGACAAACAUGGAGUAUUGGAGGGGGAAAGAAAAGGAGAAUAAGAAAAAUUGUACAAGAAAAUUGCAUUUGAACAAUUAUAUUAAAUGUAAAGUAGGAAUUUUAGUCUUUAGGCUAAGUUUAUCUUCAUGAUUGAAAAAUAAUGUUGGUCUUUAUUUAAAUGAUUAACUAAUGUACUGUUUAUAUAAUGUCUUUGUUAUGGGAUUUUUCCUAAUGAACAAGAAUCUUUAAAGUGAACAUAUACUUGUUUAAAGUGUAUUAUAAUCACUAUAGAGUUUUGACAUUAUCGAACAUUAAAUGUGAGUAUAUUUCUCAGCCAAAAUUCAAAUCUUAAUUUAUCAUAUUAUCAUAGACUAGACUAGUCUCUUCUGUUGAACCUAACCCCACAAGUAGGUACUAUAUGUCCUUUAAUUUCGCCAUAUAUGCAUGGCUUUAUUGGGGAGCAUGGCUUUAUGCAAAAAAAAAAUCAAUUAAUGAGUUCAUUUGAUUAAAAGAGAGUGUGAAUUAAGACUGGGAAAUUUCGGAAUAAAAACAAGAUGUCCCGUUUCUAUUAUGUAAUCAACUCAAUAUGUAAAUCAGAUUUGGUUUUAUCCUCUCUUUUUCAUGAGAAGAAGAUUUUAUUAUAUAUUUUUUUACAAAAUCAUAACAAGAAGAUUUGUUUUCAUCUUUACUAUAGAUAUGCCUUAAAGAUUAUAUAUUAUCUUCAAAAUAAUUACAAAAAAUAUGUCUACAAGAAAUUUAUGAAAAAUAAAUAAAAGAUAUGCCUACAUGAUUAUCUAAAAAAUAAUUACAAAUUCAAAUAAUUCCAUAAUUAAGUAAAUCUGUGUAAAGUUACUCUACUUAAUAACUCAUUAAAUCAAUAGACUCACUAACUUAACUCAACCGUUGAAUUUAAUUAAGAGUGAGCAAGGGAAGAGUUUGAGAUGGAUUAUUGUAAUCAAUCAUAUUCAUUUUAGAAAGGGUCUUGUUAACAUCCUCCUUUUAAAAAAUCAUAAGCAGUCUCUUAAACCCUACCUACUAUAGUUUAGACAUAAUUUUUUUUGUUAAUAAAAUAAUAAAUUUCAAAUUUAUUUAAGAUGAAAUCGGGUCAGCUUAAAAUAUAUCUAAAAUAUUUUUAGUAACUUUUUUACUACUAAAAAACAUGUUUUUUGCUAGAGAGAGGGGUGUUUGUUUUAAGUUUCACAUCUCAACUCUUAACCAAUUCUUUCUAAAAAAAACUCUUAACCAUCUUUUCUCCUAGUUAAAAUAAAAAAUCAAUACUAUCAUUCUAUCAAUACUAUCCCCUUUUUAUAUUUCAAUAGUUUAGAUCAUUCACAUGCUCAUAUUUGUUUUCAUAUAUUAUAGGAUCUUGAUUCAUUCUCAUGAAAAUAAAAGUUAAAAUCAAUGGGGUGUUUAUUUUAAGUUUAUUACAUUUAUUCCUAGGAAUGUAAGGAUAAAAUUGUAUUGCUAUAUAUUUUAAAAGAAAGAUGUUUGAUUAAUAUUAUAAUAUUUUUGAAAGCUUUUAUAAUAGGUAAGUUUUUUUUUUUUGAAGGAUUUUAUAAUAGGUAAGUUAAUAGAUAUUUAUACAUGACUUUAUUCUCAUUUUUAAGACAACUUUAUUCACACUCUUUUUUUGGGAAUUUUUGUCUAUUCCCAUAAACAGUUUUAUAUUUAGAAAUACUUUUUAAAUUUGUAAUGAACAUGUAAAUGCAUAUAUCUAUCAUAUUAUUAAAAAAAAAAAGUGUCUAAGUUCUUUUGGAACCCCUUGGAUUUCUUCUUGUUGUUUCCCAUUCAUGAACCAUACCAUGAUUUCUACUACCUAUUGGACAUCCAUGUCCAAUAGGUAAGCAGGAGAAAACAAUUUCUAGUUAGAAAUUCGAAUAAAUUAAAACCUAGUUUUUUUUUUUUUUGAGAGAGAAAUUAAAACCUAGUUUUGUAUAUGGAGCCUUGGCUCUAGAUUUGGGGUCAAGAUCCUAUCACUAGAUUUGCUCAUUGUAAGAACUAUUGAGCUAGUCUCUAUUAAUUUCCAUCACUAAUUUUGAAUAUGUCAAUAAAGAGCCAAAAAAAAAAUAAUGGUUACUUUUUUGGGAUCUAAAAUCGGUGGUUUGCCUCUUGAAUGGGGACAAUUGGAUUGGAUAAGCUGCAACAUUUUUUUCAAUAUUUUGGGAUCUAAUAUCGGUGGUUUCUCUCCUUUUUUUUUACAUUAAAAUUUUUUCCAUCCUUUUAUUUUGAAUGGCUACUUACCAUUGCACAAGAUCAUGAUUUUAUAUAUACUCUCUUUUGUCAGAAAUCAUAAUUCUAUAUAAAGAAAUGUUGGAACAAUAGAAAUUAUGGCUGGGGAUGUCGGGAUAACCUAACAUGUAAGGAUAUGAUAAGCAGCUAGUUUCCCACAAACAGCAUGCAUAUAGUGACAAGUACUCUAUAGUAUAUUAUAAUUUAUAUCCAAACACUAUCUAUUGUUAUUACUAUUUUUUGAUAGGAAAAAUAAAUUAAAAGACAUGAUAUUUGUUUUGACCAAACCUAUAUUUAAGAAUGAUAUAUACUUCAUCCAUCUCUGUAUAUAAGCAUCAUUUGCCUCUAAUAAAAGAGUGCUUAGAUAUAGGGACGGAGGGAGUAAUUAUGUUUUUUCCGUGUAGUUUUCUUUCUUUGUAAAACGAUAUGAAUGUUAAAGAAUCCCACAUGGGAUAUGAGAUCAUCUAACAAUGUUAUGUUUAUAAGUGGUGACAAUUUUUACCGUAUCAGAGUCUCCUCCAAGAUUUGUUGGAUCACCUGCUAUCAGAUUUUUAUUAUUGGACUAUCCACUAUUUAUAUCCACACUCCAGAUGUUCAAUCUUCAUUGUGAGAGGAUGUGUUAAAUGUGUCUAUAAAUUGAAGCAAUAAUCACCUCACAAACCGAUUUUGCGGAGCUAUGUUAUGUACAACCAUAAUUUCUAAGAUGCAGAAGAAACAAUUGAAAACAAUCCAGGAGUGUAAUAAGUUGGUUUGUUUCAAUCUUUGAGAAGAAAAAAAUGAAACCAAUAAAAUAAUCAAUCUAGUUUUAUAAUAUUUUCUCGCAAAAUCUGAAUUAAAUCUUCGAAGAAUGGGUCGAUACAUACGAUUCAGUUCAGUUGGGUUGAUAUUGAAAAAUUUUAAAUAAAUGAUUUUAAAAUAUAAUGAUACAUGAAGAUAUCAUAUUUUUUACCUCUACAAAUACAUAUUUUUAAAAUAACACUAUGUAACAUAUUGUAUGAAAUAACAACCUCCAACUCUUUAAUUCUUAACCAGUUAUGUUCAAAACUGAACCAACCCAUUAAAAAAACUGUAAACCAAACCAAUUUAAAUCGAAAUCGUAAAAAAUCGCACUUGAUUCGGAUGAAUUCAGAUGACUUUUGCACUAAACCGUACGGUUCGGUUUGCGGUUUGCAUCUCAGCAACCGAACCAAAUCAAACCAAAUCGCAAGAAUAAUGAAUAUUACUUAAUCAUGUGCUAGCCCAAUUACAUAGCUCAAAAAUAACGCUUUCAAUUCGAUUUUUCCAUUGUUGCACCAUCAAGUUCGAUUCUAAUUAUUUUCCAUCUCUUUCAAUUCAUUUCCAGUGAUGAAUUUGUUUCCUUUACUUCCCAAUAAUUUGUUUCAUGCUCUUAUGUUUCUUCUUAAUUUUACCUAUUUUGAUAUAAGUUUUACCUAAUAUUUUAUCAUAUAAACAGCAAAAUAAAAUGUCCUAUGUUUAUUUUGUAAUAAGUUGGCAAUAUUAGAGUUAAUGUAAUUUUUUUUUUUAUCUCGCGAUGAACCGCACAAACCGAACUAAUUCAAGCCGCAUUGGUUUGGUUUUGAUGACUUUUUAAAAAUCAACCGAACCAAACCAAACUGCAUGUUUUUUUAUCUUGCGGUUUAGAUGAUUUUUAUGCUCAAAACCAAACCAAACCGCACCGCGAACACCCCUGUAAUCUUAACUCAAACUAGAUUGGGUUUAGCGAUAAGAAUUGUUUAUCCGGAUCAUCUUUUGAAACGGUUAAACUAUAUAUUAGUAUGGUCACAAAUUAAGUUAAACGUUAAAAAAAAUUCAACCUCUAACAUGUUUCCUUUCAUCUAGUUGAUUAUUGUUUUCUUUUGGUUUGGUGACUUUGCUUUGUUGCCUCUUUUGUAAUCUUUACUAUUGUAUUUUCAAUAUUAACACUUCUUGUGUUAUGACUAUGCCAUUUUAAUACAUUCUUUCUUGACCUUUUCAAAAAUAAAAUUUCUCUUUCCUUAAAAAAAAAAACAUUGAGCUACACAACAUCCAUAAAACACGACGAUAAAAUCGAUAUCCAAAUCAAAAUAUAAUGGUAUGGCGUAGAAUACGUUAACAAAAUCGAACCUAUUUAAUUGGUUUGGAUGGGAUCUUGUUCUUCUACCCUUAAUCAUAUCACUCACACCGGAUUUUUGGAUUUGAAAAACAAAAUCUUUUUUCCUACCAUAUAUCACCACCAUUGUUCAAAUUUUACUAAACCGCGUGAAAAAGUUGCAUGGUGAGUGAGUGACCACGUUCACGUUCAUCCACCUUCACAUGCACACAGUUUCUAUACCUUUUCUCUCAAAACAGUUACCUCUUUUUUGUAUUAAUAAUACAUUUUCAUUUUCCCUCUCUUCUAUUCUCUCUCAAUGUCUCUUUCUUUUUCUGUUUUUGCUUCAUUCUUCUCUCUUCUUUUUCUUCUUUCUCUUCAUUGCCAAAUAGUUUCUUCUUUUCAUUAUCAUCAUCAUCAUCAUCAUCAUCAUCAUGAACAAGUUUAUCAUCAAAAACCCAGUUUGAAAGCAAACAAUAAUCAAAGUAGUUGUGCAUUGUUUGUAGGAAGUUGGGUUUUUGAUGAAAGUUACCCUUUUUAUCAAUCUUCUAGCUGUGAAAUUAUAGACCCAGAAUUUAAUUGUCAAAUGAAUGGUCGUCCUGAUUCUGAUUACCUUAAAUACCGUUGGAAACCACUCAAUUGUGAGCUCCCAAGGUAUAAAAAAUAAUAAAAGCAUAUGUAGCAUUAACACGUCUGAUCAAAGAUGUGUCUGGUGUCUGACACGUGAUUAUGUUCAAUAAUUCAUUUUCUCAAGUGUCAAUGUCGUGUCUGGUGUUCGUGUUUGGGUUUGUGCUUCAUAGCAAAAUAUAGUGUUUUUAAGAUAUAGUGUGUGGUUGCUUAGUAUAAUUUGAAUGAUGGUGUUUUUGUGGUGUUUUGUAAUGGCAGGUUCAAUGGAGUUGAGUUUUUGUUGAAGAUGAAAGGAAAAAGUGUGAUGUUUGUUGGUGAUUCGUUAGGAAGGAACCAAUGGCAGUCUUUGAUUUGUAUGAUAUCUGCUGCAGCACCUAAUGUGGAGACACAAUUGGUUAGGGGAGAUCCUCUCUCCACUUUCACAUUCUUGGUGAGUCUAGAAAAAAUUUCUGAGCUUUAAGUUGAUUGCUAACAAAAAGUUUUAAAUUGUGGCUGUGAUCAUUGAUAUAUUCGGAAGAAUUGCGGUCAAAUGUAUCGAUCUGAUGCAGCCUUAAUUGCAGUUGCUUGUCUGACCAGUGCUAGUCUCUCACACUAACACUUGUGAUUACAUUUAAUUAUAUUAUUUUCUCAAAUUAUUACUGGUAUCAUGUAUCAGUGUCGUGUUUGUGUGAUCGUGUUUACGUAGGUGCUUCAUAGGUAUACCAAAUACCAAUACCCAAUUUGGCAUUUCACACUGUUUCUACUGCUAGUAAGAUUUAAACCAUAAUGACACUGCCCAAGUUUUGUUUGGUAAGAUUUAGAUUUUGGUUCAAAAGGAAGAGGUAGAUAAGAGCUAAUAGCUAUGCUAAUUUCCAGCAAUAAAAUAGUUGUUCCCCUCUUUGUAAAGUUUCAUUCAUGAUAUCACAAAGAGGUAGGGUCGUAUUUGUUUGGUAUAAGACAAAGAAGCUGUUGAAAAAAGUGUUUGUAAAACAGUGUCAAUUGAAUCAUUAGAUAGAUAUGAGGGGCCUCAAAAUAUUUUCAAGAAUUUUGAUUAUUUAUCCUGUAGAAUAUUGACUAUGCAAACAAGAGAAACAUUUUAGAGAUGUUAAAAUUGAAUAUGAUUUGGUAUAUGCAGGACUAUGAUGUGAACAUUUCAUUUCAUAGAGUUCCUUAUUUAGUAGAUAUUGAUGUGGUCCAAGGGAAAAGAAUUUUAAGGCUUGAUGAGGCAGAUAAGAAUGGUGACACAUGGAAGAAUGUUGAUGUGUUGGUGUUCAACACAGGACAUUGGUGGAGUCAUCAAGGAUCACUUCAAGGGUAGGCAAGAAUAGUAUCUUCUCUUUUUUAAGCUUAUUCAAGAAAAUACUAUAGGAAAAUUGAUUUUUUUUUUUGGGCUGUUUUUGUUGAUUAAUUGAGUGCAGGUGGGAUUAUGUAGAAUUAGGAGGGAAUUUUUACCCUGAUAUGGAUCGAUUGGUAGCUUUGGAAAGGGGUAUGAAAACAUGGGCUAAUUGGGUGGAUGCUAAUAUUGACAGAAGUAGAACCCAUGUGUUAUUUCAGGCAAUUUCUCCCACACAUUAUGAGUAAGGACUCUUCUAUGUCUCUAUUUUGGACCAAUUAUUAAUAAUUGAUUUUUUUUUUUUUUACUAAGCUAUAAUUGAUUAUCAAUGACUUGAAAAUAGGGCAGUCAAUAUUAAUUUAGUGAUUUAAAAAUGGUUAAAUUUAACAAGUUACAUAAUUAAUCAGACUCUUGAAGCAAGAUGCCAAAUUAACUUUUUCCCUGAAGUCAAACUAAAUUUUCAUUUUUUUUUUUUUCAUUUGCAUUCAUCUGAUGAGCUGCUUCUAGAUCUGGAAGUAGGACCUUGCUUUUGACUAUCCUUGAUUAUUCUAUUUCUAUCCUGAGGCUGAAAUUUUUUGGCUUGUUUAUUGGUGCCAUCUUGUCACAGAAUUAUGAAUCCGCACUUCAAUGUGCUGAGCUUAGAAGAAAAUAUGUCAGCCUAGUUAUAAGGGAUCCAAUGAAAACACAUAAAAUAGAUAAAGAAUUAGGAAGAAAAAAUGGUUGUGAUAAGAAAUCUUUAAAUCAUGUAAGAUCACAUGAAUCAGAUGGUUCUAAACUCUUUCAAGAGAGUUCUUGGUUCAAAUUCAGACCGGAGAAUGCAAUAAUGUUAAACCUGUUAGAGAAAGCUUUACUAUCUAAUUUGGACCUACCUGACUUAAGAGAUUAGUCUUUGUAAUUGCACGCAAAUAUACACAUCUUUUUUAAUAGAUAGAUAAAAUGACAAAGUCAUUAUAAACUCACACACAAGUGGAAGUGUUGGGGUUCGAACCCUGGUCAUGAUGUCUGACCUAACAAUUUCGGCAUUUUCGCUAGUUGAGCUACAAUACGUGGAUAGAUAUACUUGUUUUAUAUUGAGGGAAAUAUUUUUUGAUGAUUUUUUAGUAUAAACAAGUAUAAUAAAUAAAUUGGUUAGAAAAUAAAGUAUGCUGAAUAAAUUUCUAGGUAAUUAAGAUACAUCUUUUUACUAGCAUUACCAAAAGAAUAUAUAAUUAUGAAAACUAUGUCUUAAUCUGAUGAGCCAAGGUAGCAACAUCACACAUGAAGAUGUUAAGUUAUGUAACACUGAAUGAAAGAAUCAGCCCAAUUGAGUAUGAAGAAAAGAAUUGCUUCUUUACUUGUGGCAUUAACUCACUGAGGCACUGACCUUAGCUAAAAAUAGCUUUUUUAGAAAUCAAGCAUUGAUAUGUAAUAAGGGCGUUUGGAUUCAUUUAUUUACUGCGAUAAACACUCGUGAGAAUAUUGGGAGAGCUUAUUAAAACAACUUAUAACAUGCCCAUAAGUUGUUUUUAGCUUAUUUGCAUGAGCUUUUCAGGUUAGCUUAUGACUGAAAAAGUUUAUAGUUUAUAUGUAAACAGUUUGCUUUGUUUUGUAUUUUACUAUAUAAAUAAUUUAUAUGAUAAGUGCUUAUGCUAUAAGUUCAUAAUUAAAUUGUGUAUUCAAACAGGGCCUAAUAAUUAAAACAGGAAUUAGUGCUUUUCAAAUUUGACAGUAAAAAUGUAACAUGGCUUUAUUACAUUAAUAUUUGGUUAAGCUAGUAUGUAUGUUUUUCAAACAAAUUUAUGCUAAGAUUUGGUUGCACUGAACACUGAUAUUUAUAUGUAGCGAAAAUGAAUGGAAUUCAGCUGUUGGUAGAGCAACAAGUGUAACGACGACAAAGAAUUGCUAUGGUGAAACAGCACCAAUCAGUGGCACAACAACAGACUUUGGAGGAGGAGAAACAUACACUGAUCAACAAAUGAGAGUAGUUAACAUGGUGAUUCGAGAAAUGCGCGAUCCUGCAUAUCUUCUUGACAUCACAAUGUUAUCAGAAAUGAGGAAAGAUGGACACCCUUCAAUUUACAGUGGUGAAUUGAGUUCCCAGCAGAAAACUGACCCUGAUCACUCAGCUGAUUGUAGCCAUUGGUGUCUUCCUGGUUUGCCUGAUACUUGGAAUCAACUGCUCUAUGUUGCUUUAUUCUAUUAAGUUCAUUAGUACUUAAUUAGGUAUUUUACAAGGCUUUAAUUAACACUGUAUGAUUACUCUUAAUAGCUGUGAAGUUAUAUAUAUACAUUUUAUAGAACCAUUUUGAUCAAGAGAGAAAAUAGAGAGGUACAACUCAGGGAGUUGAGAUUUUCCUUUCAUAGAAAGUCUUUUACAAACUGUUGCUGCAUUCAGCUUGAUCAUAGUGAUGGGAUCGACCUCAGUGAGGAUAAAGGAGACAGUUGCUCCGAACCUCGGUAAUCUUUGUGUUUUCAAGAUUUUACUUUCUGCAAUCUUUCUUUCAUAAUCACGUUUAGAUUUGCUUGACCGGUUUCGACUUCAACUUGUUUCGCUAAAGAAUUCUGUCUUGUUCAAAACUCGUCUUUUGUUUCAUAACAUUAUCUCAGUCAAGUGUUAUCAACCAUCGUCUGGAAACUCAACAAGCCACAAUUAAGUCAAUGUCACACAAACACAAACCGUUGAACAAGUAGCAUGAGACGUGAUUAAUCCUCAUGAGUUUAUCUGUGUGGUGCGCAGAUCAUCUAGGAUAUAACAUGCUCACGCCGGCCAAGGUAAAGGUAUCAGAUAAAUUAAAUUAUAACUUUUAUGUGAAUAUCAACAGCUUUAAGCCAGCUUAAUGUGACAGUAAGAGUCGAAACUGUUCCAAUAAGUAAAACUUGAUGCAAUUUGUAUAUAGGCAACACAUUGCUUUGAAACCAAAUAGAUUAAGAUAACAGUUCAAAUUACAGAAUUCCAAAUGAUACAAGAUGCAAUACUUAUUUAAAGCCUUAUAAUUAUAUUAUAUAGCAUCAUUUCAUUGCCCCAGAUAAAUAAUACAGCAGGCGAAUUCUUCAUUCAUGUUAAUUAUUAUCUUCAUUCUAGCACAGUCGCUUCGUGCCACAGCUCAAACUAGCUCUGAAUGGCAACCUCAACUGGAGAAGCUUCCAAUGGUAUAAUCUUCUCAAAUUCUACAGGUUUGUUGACCAAGGUUUUCUGGUUUUCGUAAGCUGAAUCAUGAACUCCAAGUGCUGCUCUACCAGAAGGAUCAAGGUUCUUGGACCAAGAAGCAUCCCACUCAACAGCCUUAGCUGUGCUACAUGCAACAGUUGGUCCUCCAGGAACAGUUAGCCUUGCUGAGUUCUGCAAAACAAUUAAAAAAAUCAUCAAUAUUUUAAUCAACCCUUGUUAAAUUAUGUUGUCUUAUGGUCUACGAAGCACUGACACAGACACAAACACCAAAUACGACCUGAUACUGACACGUAAACACCAGUAAUGAUUUAAGAAUAUAGAAGUGAUUGAAUGUAAUCAUAUAUGUCAGCGGCCAACACCAUCACGUGUCAAACACCAUAUACACCUUUAAUCUGAAGUAGCAGUGCUACAAAGCUUAUAUCGUUACAACCGAUUAAAAAGAGUUGAUUGAAUAACUUGCCUGGGGGAAGAACCUCUCAAAGAUCAUUCUGUAGUAGUAUGCUUCCUUGGUGUUUGGGGUGUUGUGGGGGUAGAUAUUGCCAGCAUUAAGCAUCAUCCUAUCAGUCACCUAAUGGAAAAUGUGAAGAACCAAUUAUAAGUAACAUAAACUUUGUGACAAUAGAAAACUCCAUCACUAAAUUGUAGAGUAAAAAGGUUGGAUUCAAAUACAUGUUUUGCAGCAUGAGCUUUAAGGCCAUCAAUCCAACUAUAACCAACACCAUCACUGAAUUGUUCCUUCUGCCUGUAUAAAAUGUGCUGCAUGAAAAUGAAUGUUUCAAUGUUAGUUUCGCAAACCAAUUUUGCAUAAAUCAAUAGACAUUGCAGCAAAUUACUUAGUAGUACCUUUGGCAGAUAAGGAUUCUCUUCAUCAUCGAAGGCCUUCCUCAGAAUAUACUUCUCAAUUCGUCCUUCAUCUUUUUUUAUCUGCACGUUUUAAACAAACCAGCUUAGUUAGUACCCGCGAAAACAUUUCCUGUUUUCCAAGAUUUGUACAAGAAACACUAAAAACAACUAUUAUGUUUUCGGUAUUUCAUGUAGAAUUAUUGAAUCAACAGAGUAACACUAAUUACUCAUACCAUUUUAUUCUCAGGAUCAAUAUUCAUUGCAACAUUGAUAAACUCCUUGUCCAAAAAUGGAACUCUGGCUUCUAGACCCCAAGCAAAGGUUGAUUUAUUUGCUCUCUGGCAAUCAUAUUGGUGGAGUGCUUUGAUCUGCAUAUGAAAAAGUAAAAAAAUACAUCUAUUAAUCAUUAUACUUCAACUUCUUUUAUUAUUUUCUAACAUUGAACUUCAUAAUUCUAAAUUAAAUGACCUUGCGGCAUGUUUCUUGGUGGAACUCUUCCUUGUUUGGUGCCUUGUGAAAGUACAGAUAUCCACCAAAUAUCUCAUCAGAUCCUUCACCAGAGAUCACCCAUUUGACACCAAGUGAUUUAAUCUUCCUUGACAUAAGAAACAUAGGUGUACUUGCUCUAAUUGUAGUCACAUCAUAUGUUUCAACAUGGUAUAUAACAUCCUCAAUUGCAUCUAUACCAUCCUAUAUAACAUAAAACUAUAUAUUAAUCAUUUCAUAAUCUCGAUUUCAAAAAUUGAAGUAGCCCUAACUGUAAGCUAAAAAAGUACUAUUUCAAGCAGUGUUUUUAGAACCAGACUGUUGGUUGGUUCAAUCGGUUCUUUUUAAUACUUAUUUAACAGUCAACCGAUUAAAUCAUUUGAACCAUGACCUAGAAGGUUUCGUCGGUUCGAUCUCUAGUCAAAUUUUUAAAACAUUGAUUUCAAGCAGUUACCUGAACAGUAAAGGUAAACUCAUGGUGAACAGUUCCAAGGUAAUCUGCAACUUCUUUUCCAGCCUUAAGAUCAGGUGAGCCCUAUUUGAAAUUAGAAGACAAGAUAUUAAGACAACAUUGAAGGUAUUCUUUUUAAAAAUAAAAGAAUUACAUAAAGUUUGCGAAAGUGAUUCAAAAAUUUAAGUGUAUAUAUGCACCUCAAGGCCAACGCAGAAUGAGUGUAAUUUUGAUCCCCAUUGUUCAGCAGCUUUAGUGGUUGCUAGGUAGCGAGAAGUGAUGGAUGCAACCAAUGAUGAGUCCAAACCUCCAGAUAGUAGAACACCAAAAGGCACAUCAGUCAUCAACCUCUUUAUCACUGCCUGUAAUCACAACCAACCAAGAGGUAAGUAAAAUCUAACCAAAAAUUGUUUAAGUCAGAAAUUGAACUUGAACACUCUCGACCAAUACAUUUUAUCUUUUCUAGUCAAACGAGGUUUGACGACAAAAUCAACUGACAUAAACCAUAUACUAAUGUUUUCACUAAAAUCAUAUAUGACAUGACGCAAGAUCAAUCAUGUUAACUAUGCACCGUAAGUCUAAAACUUUCAAUCCAAUUAUGUGCUAUGAUUUUUAUGAAUCAUACCUUCUCAAAGGCAUGCCUCAAAGCUAGAGGAUCAUAAGGAGCUGAUGGAAUAGCCUCAGAGUACCAGGGAGGAUUGUACCAUCUUCUAAAUCCACCAUCUUUGCUAGAGUACAAAUGACCAGGUGGAAAACACUCAAAAUGUUCACAAUCAUCAUUCAAGGCUUUCAUUUCUGAUGAAAUCCAAACAGAACCUGAAUCCAGACACAUUCCAAAACAUGUUCAAAUACAAACUCAAAAAAUCCAUAAAUUAAAUUAUAAGAUAAGAUAUAACAUAACAUUACCAUCCAAUCCCCAACCAAUGUAUAGGGAAGUUACUCCUAUAGCAUCUCUAGCCACUAUGUAACUGUUAUCACGAGUAUCCAAUAGAACAAAGGAAAAGAUACCAUCCAACUUGUCCACAAAGUCUUCUCCAUAUUCCUCGUACUAAUCAAAAGUUUAACAUCAGUAACAAACAGUUCAUAAGCACAUGUUUAAUCAAGAAUCCAAACCAAACAAAUUAUUACAUCAAAGAUUACUAACCAAGUGUGCAAUAACAUCACAAUCACUUCCCGUUCGGAAUGUGUGAUUAGACAGCUGUUUCCUGAGAGCUUCAUGGUUGUAAAUCUCUCCAUUUACCUGAUUUUCCAAUAAUGACAGAAUUUACCAACAUUAAAUUAGUAAAGUACUAACAUAAUCAUUAUUGUUAUGGACACUCACAUAGACAUGAACAUUAGAUACGACAAUGACACUGACACGUAAAUAUCAAUGAUAACAUAAAAAUGACUGCAUAUUAUCACAUGUGUUAGCGUUGUAUCUAUACUGUUGUUGUCUGACACUCACGCCUUCAAUAUAAAGCGUCGAUGCUACAUGUGUUGUAAUUGAUUUAGCAUAUGUCAUAUAAAUGGCCUACCGUGACAAUGACAGAUUUGUCUUCAUUAAAGAGAGGUUGAUCCCCAGAAGCAGGAUCAACUAUGGCUAACCGUUGGUGUGCCAAAAAGCAGUCACCAUGUUGGUGGAGCCCACUCCAAUCAGGGCCACGGUGCUUCAAUCUGUUACGUCAACAAACAAAUAAUCAAUAAUCAAUCAAUUAUCCAUAUUCAGACACAUUAAACUAAAGGACAAUAAUAUUCUUUCAAUGUUACUAUGUCACCACAUAUUUUUUUAAUAAAAUUACAUUUUAUAUGAGUUGAGUUUGGACUUUACAAUGUUGUAGCAUAUAUUACGCACCACCUAGAAAAUCUUUAUAAGAUGAGUCACAUAAUUAAUAAUUGAACCAAUAUUAGUUUAUCAAAAAAUAAAACUUGAGCUUAUGAAAAAUGUAACUUUCAGUAGAUAUAUUCUAUUCGAUUAAGUAUUAUCAUAUGGAAAAAAGAAUAUAGUUCUACAAUUAUUUAACUCCUUUUAAUCUUUUGUUGUUCAAUUGUCAUUGCUCCUUUGAAUUGUUCAUAGUUCCCACUACAAAAUUUACCAAUAAUUCCAUUUCAAACUGGACCCCACAUACCACUUGUUGGUCCUAAUUGAUAAACAAUCAGUGAUCUGAUUGGAAUAUAUAUUGCCCUCUUAUCUUAUAAAAUUCUUGUUGUUUAAUCUAACUUGAUGGGCAUGGUGACCCAAUAUAAAGUUACCAUGGUUAAUUAAACUAAUUAAAAAAUUUAAAAUAAACAUUCUAUGUUCUCUAUAAUAAAUUAAAGAGUGACUUUUAAAUAAAGUGGAGUGUUAUGAUUACAACUGUUGAAGUUAUAAUCAUAUUAUAUAUAAAUAAAUUAUAAAAUUAGUUAAAAACUUCAAUCAUUGGUUAUUUUUAAUUAAUGAAUAUGACAUGUCUCUUUUUUUAGUCUAAUUACAAAUAUGACGAUUGAAACAAGGAAUAUGGAUUAUGUCACUUGGGUCCCACGUUUAUUCUUAAUCAUCAUCCAAAAUGACAAGAUCAUCACGACCCUGCUAAACAAAGAGUAUUAUUCUGUCUUGCUAUCCAAAUCAGCCACUCUUAACAAGGAAUUUGUUGCUGCACAUAGUAAUAUUCAGCACCAAUUUGCAAAUAGAAACACCCAAAAAGUCAUGGUUGGAUAUAAAUUUAUCCAUAUUAUCUAAUAUAUUUUAUUUAAUAAUUAAAGUCUUCCUGAUUGAUUUUAGAAAGUCCAUAAUGAAAAGCUAAGUAAAUACAAUUAAGAAUGAACAAUUUGAUCUGCAAAAUUUAACAAAUUUUAAUGAAAAAUAAACAAACAUUCGUUCACAUUAGUCUUUUUGCAUCGGUCCAUUUAUUUUUUAUAUUGUCGUGAACGACUAAUGUGAUCAAGAAUUUUUCAAAUCUAAUCAGGUCGAAACCACUAUAAUUGGUCUAGUAGUAAAAGAUUUAGAUAGUAAACAUAUGAUUUUGAUGCACGAUCAAUAUACUAUUACACUCUCAAUUAAUCACAAGAUCGUGUGCAUGGUUUUGAAGUUAGAUAUGAUGAAAGUUAAACUUUGGUUACAAUUGAUUAACGGUGUAAAAAAUCUUUAUACCGACCAGUGCAUAUAGAUUAAAUCCGACAAAAGUAUCAUGUGUAAAACAUGAAAUUAAGAAUACAAGAAUAGAAAGAGAAUAAUUGCCUGCGUGAAAGCUCAAGGACACGAACCCUCUUAGCUCUAGUAGGAUCAGAGCAACCAAGCACAGCAAGAAUACCACACAUUGUAGUAUAUGUUUAUAUGAUGAAGAAAUCAAAGAGAGAAAUAAUUUAGAAUAAGCUUAGCUUAGUUAGAAUAAAGAAGAAAAGAUAAGUGAAGAACACAACCACAUGUAGUAGUUGUAGUAAUGGUUUUGAAAUUGAAGGCUUAAAGGAAAUAAUUUAGGAUACAUAACACUUCUUACAACACGUAUUUAUAAGACAUAAUGUGAAUGAUAGACAUAAAAUGCUGACGGUGAAACGACGUCGUUUUUCUAUCAUUCAAUGUACUGUUAUUGCUACUAGUUGGUCCAUGACACUAGACAUGGGACCCACAUCUUGUACCAAGUAUAUUAUGCCAUGUGGUGAAACGUGGUUCGUUCUUGGUAUAGACUUUUUUUGUUAUUUAAUUUUUCUUUUAAGUGUAAAAUAAAUAUCCAGUAAUAUAUCAUUAUUAUUUUUUGGUUUUUUAUUCUAGUUUGUGUUCACAUGCUACAAUUUUGUUCCUUAUCAAAAUACUAUCUUUUGUUAGUAAAUUUCAUGUGUAUUAGGCAGCUAGUUGUUAACUUGAUAACUUCAUCUUUCAUCAUGAACUAAUGAAGGUUUUUUUUUUUUUUUUUUUUACAAAAGCUAAUGAACCUUUUAAACUAUGUUAGAUUUUUUAAUUUGAUCCUUAUGUUUUUGUUUUUAAAAUAAAUAUUCCAACAAAUAAAAGAAAUCAUUAUUAUUUUAUCUAUCAAAUGCUUGAUUGUAUGAGUAGGUCGUCAUACUUCACCACUCAAUUGAAUGGGCUAAUCUUUUACAACGUGAAGAAUGAAUUUUGAUUUGUGGUUUGAAGUGGUCAUAUUUGGCGGUAACAAUGCUUCAAAAAUUAUUAUUUUUCAUGGAAGAAAAGGUGAAAAAAUGGGUGACUAAAUUAAGUCUUUGUCAUGAGCGAGAUUGUUUAUGAUAGAAAGUCUUUCUCUUAUUUAACAUUAUGGUAAAAAGAUACCCUUAUUGUUGCUUCAAAUAAUUUGGUGUCUAUAAAUAUUGGUGUUUUUAUAGGCAUCGUCUCUCUCCUCUUAUUUGCGGAUCUAUAAUACACAAAUAAUUGUAAAUCUCUUCCAUUUUAUAAUAUUUUAAUAUUAAAAAAUAAAUAAAAUAAUUGAUGCAAAUGAUUGAUUAUUUUAUCAACCUUCAAUUUUUAUUUUCAAUCAAAGACCAUUUUUAUUUUUCCUUACUACAGUGUUGAUCAGAAGCAUGAUGUUAUUUAAAUUAGGUAAUUUACCAUCAUUUUAAAUUAUUAUUUUCUAUUUUUAAUUAUUUUUCAAAUUAUUAAUAAAAGUGGGAAAAAAUAGUACAUAUUUUUAUAAUUUAUAAUUGAAUUAAAUUAAUUUUUCAAAAAUUAGAUAAUUAUGAAUAAAUGAAUAGAUAAAUCAUUGAAAAAAUUAAUGAUAUAGGAUUAUUGUUAGAAAUCAGUUAAUAAUUUUUUUUAAAUGCUGAGUUUGAGAGAUUAAGUGUUUAACAAGUAUUAGUUAUAAAACUAGUGACUUGUACAAACAAGAUCUGUUUAAACAUCCAAAUGCGGAGUUCCAUUGUGUAUGAUUUAAGGUCUAGAUUAACCUUAUGAUAGCUUUGUUGGAUAUUAAAUUUGAUUGCAAUGUAAAAGAAUUAUUUUUAUUUAAUUUUGGGGCUAUUAAGGAUGUUAAAUACUCUUUCUAAGGUAAUACUCCACUUUACUCUUAAAUUAUUAGAACUUCUCAUAUCUUUCAUGAUGGUGUUUCAUUAGAUACGCAGAUUUAGUAAAUGUAACAGCAUUUUCCUCGUAGUAUAAUGAAAACAUCUUGUGAUAGUCUUGUUUAGGGGUCUUCAUGUACCUCAAUAUUUUCAUGCCCAAAAGAUUACAAACUCUUUAACCUUGUCUCAUGAAUAGAGCAUUGGUCUAGAUACAUAUUGCAACAAGUUUUAAUACCUAGGGCAUAAGUUUUAAUAUAAUCCCUAGAAUAAAUGCUCAAAGCAAUUGAGUUAAAAGAUGUUUUAAUAUUUAACAGACUUAAAAUGGAGAUAUUUUAAUCCUCGUUUGGCACUAGAUACAUAUUAUGAAUAUAUAUUGGUUUUUUUAAUUUUGAAUUAUAACCACAAUGAGACGUAUUUAAGAUAAUGUAAGAAUUAUGAACUCUUAGUUAAAGAUUUAGUGUAGUAUUGUUAUUAGGCUUAUGGCUUGUAAGUCUAGACAUUGUUUUAGUGGGUUUAGAGUAUAAGAUAAGACCCUCGGUUUAUUGGAUAAAACAUUCUAUGUUGAAGUAUAUUGUUAAUAUUUAGAACACAGUAGAAAAUAGAAAGACAAGUGAUAUAUAAUUCUCAUUGAUCUGUGUGUAAAAGUACAUGACAGGUUUAUUUAUACACUAAAAUAAAGAGAAGACUAAUCAACAUGUAUAAAUACAAUUGAAUAGAAUACUAAUAAGCAGGCUAACUAAUAGGUUAUAGUUAAUGAUAAUUAAAUUAAAUAUUAACAUGUAACAUCCCCCCACAAGCUGGACUAUGAAGAUCACAUAGGCUAAGCUUGGAAACCAAGGAAUUGAAAGCUGGAGACAGAAGUGGUUUUGUCAACAAAUCUGCUAUUUGAGAAGAAGAUGGCACGGGAAAGAGAUGAAUGAGACCACUUUGAAUUCUUUCGCGCACAACAUGACAAUCAAUCUCAAUGUGUUUUGUUCUCUCAUGAAAUGUUGGAUUAUGAGCAAGAUAUAUGGCUGAUUUAUUGUCACAAUAUACUGAAGCUGGUUGUUGAAAGUUGAUAUGAAGAUCCUUGAACAAAUAGGAGAGCCAUUGUAAUUCACAAGUAAGGCUGGCCAAGGCUCUAUACUCAGAUUCAGAGCUGGAUCUAGAAACAGUUGUUUGCUUCUUAGACUUCCAUGAGAUGAGGGAAGAGCCAAGAAACACACAAAAACCGGAGACAGAUCGUCUAGUAGAGGGACAGCUAGCCCAAUCUGAAUCAGCAAAACCUGCAAGUUUGACGGGAGAUGAAGAUGAAUAGAAUAACCCUUUGGCUGGAGAGUUCUUGAGAUACUUCAGAAUCUUUGUAGCAGCUUGAAAGUGGACUUCACGGGGCUUGGAAACAAAUUGACUAAGUUGUUGAACAGCAAAAGCAAUGUCAGGCCGCGUGAGUGUCAAAUAGAGAAGUCUACCAAUCAAACUUCUGAAGGAGAAUUCAUCAUGAUAUGGAGGGGAAUCAGAAUUAUGCAACUUUAAGGAGGUAUCAUAGGGAGUGGAACUAGGCUUAACAGCCAUGUGACCACUAUCUUCAAGAAGCUCAAGAGUAUAUUUGCGUUGAUUCACCGAAAUUCCUUUGUUUGAUCUUGCUAUUUCCAAGCCAAGAAAAAAUCUUAGCUUCCCAAGGUCUUUGAUGCGAAAUUUUUGAUCCAAAAACUGCUUAACAUGCUGAAUUUCAGCAUAAUCAUUUCCUGAUAAAACUAUGUCGUCCACAUAAACUAAUAAGGCAGUAAAAUUGGUACCUUUUAGCUUAGUGAACAAAGAAGAAUCAGCAACAGAAGGAGUGUAUCCGAGAGAAACCAACGCUGCAGAAAGUUUGGCAUACCAUUGCCUACUAGCUUGCUUCAAGCCAUAGAGACUCUUAUUUAACCGACAAACUUUAAGAUCAUUAGAAUCUGAAUUUUGAAGCUUCAGACCAGGGGGUAACACCAUGUAAACUUCUUCAUUGAGGUCACCAUGGAGAAAUGCAUUAUUGACAUCAAAUUGCUCAAGAAACCACCCUUUGAUGGCUGCCAAAGAAAGUAAUGUUCUAACUGUAGUCAUUUUUGCAACCGGUGAAAAAGUAUCAAAGUAAUCAACUCCUUCCAUUUGAGUAUAACCCUUUGCAACUAACCGGGCUUUAUGCCUUUCAAGAGAACCAUCAGAGUGGUAUUUAGUUUUGUAAACCCACUUGCAUCCAAUUGGAACUUUUCCUGGUGGUAAAUCAACAAUUGACCAAGUAUUUGUGGCUGCAAGAGCAUGUAACUCAGCUUUCAUAGCUUCUUUCCAACAUUCAAUCUUACAAGCUUGAUUAUAGGUCUUAGGUUCAGGGUUAGAAGAAACAGUUAGACAAAAAUUUUUAUAUGAAGGAGUGCAAUGAUCAUAUGUCAAAACAGAAGAGAGAGGAUAUGCCGAUUUACCUGAGUCAGAGAGUAAUUGUGAUUCAGAAGAAGUAAGGAGACUGCAGUGAUAGUCUUUAAGAUAUGCCGGUGUUGUUUUAGGUCGUGCAGAUCGUCGAAUAGGUACAUCUGUUGUGGUCUGAUCUGGAAUAGCUGUUGCAGAAGAUGUAGCAUUAGGAGGGGUAGAAUUAUGUGUUGUAGAAGUAUCAGAAUUAUCAAGGUUUUGAGAGAGAGGAAAAGAAGAAUUUGGAAUAACAGAUGAUUGGAUGGGUUCAUGAUAGGAAGAAAGAUGUGAAUUAUCAACGGAGACAUGAGGUGUAGAGGAAUCAGGGGAACAUCGUUCAUGCAAUGUAGAAAAUGGAAAAGAUGAUUCAUGAAAGAUGACAUUUCUUGAUAAGAAAAAUUCAUGUGAAUGAAGAUCAUAAAGAAGGUAACCCUUGGUGCCUUCUCUAUAUCCAAGAAAAACUGAUUUUCUUGCUCUAGAAUCAAAUUUGGUUCUAUGACUUUGGAUGGUGGAGGCAAAAGCAAGGCAACCGAAGACUUUUAGGUGAAUUAAAGAAGGUUGUUGUUGGUGAAGACAUUCAUAUGGGGAUUUAUUUUGUAGAAGGGGAGUUGGGAUUCGAUUAAUGAUAUGGACAGCUUGUUGAAUUGAAAAAUGCCAAAAAUUGGUAGGGAUAUGAGAUUGAAAGGAGAGGGCUCGAGCCACAUUAAGGAUAUGUUGAUGCUUCCUUUCUACAAUACCAUUUUGUUGAGGAGUCUCAACACAAGACCUUUGAUGAAUGAUGCCUUUAGAAAGAUAAAAUGAAGGCAUGAUGAACUCAAGUCCAUUAUCACUUCUCAAGCAUUUAAGUUUCUUAUGGAAUUGAGUAUCAAUGAAAGAAAUGAAAUUCAUGAGAUGAUUUCUUGUUUCACCUUUACAUUUCAUAAAAAUGACCCAUGUAAAUCUACUAAAGUCAUCAACCAAGGUUAAAAAAUAUUUAAAUCCGGAAACAGAAGGGGUAGCAUAGGGUCCCCAAAUAUCAACAUGUAGUAUAUCAAAUAUUUGAGUGGAAUGAAUAAGACUAUGAGGAAAUGAUGUUUUCUUAUGUUUUGCAUAAUGGCAUAUAUCACAAGGAGAGUGGGUACUGGUGUAUUUUACAAUGGGAAACUGAAUGGAAAUACAUUUGUGUAUGGAAUCCGAAAUGUGACCCAAUCUAUAAUGCCAAACAUUUGCAGAAUCAGUUGACUUAGACGACAAACUUGGAAAAACAGAAUUACAAAUUGAAGCAGAAACUAAACCAUUAUUUUGAGAUUUAUUUAGCAGUGAAGAAUCCAACACAUACAGUCCUCCAAACUUCUUAGCUGUACCAAUCACUCUCUGAUUCAAAAUCUGCACAAUAGAACAUGUAUCAAUAGAAAACAAGAAACUGGCAUUAGAAGUUUUCAAAAAUUGAGAUAUUGAAAAUAAAUUGAUGUUGAAAUCAGGAAUGUAGUAAACAUUAUGAAGGAUAAGUGAAUUGGAUAAGGAUACUGUGCCUGCUAUGGUUGUCACUAUUUUAUUACCAUUUGGUAGUGACAUGGAGAUAGGUGGAAUGUUGUAGAAAGAAGAAAAAUUUUGCAAACAGUGAGUGAUAUGAUCAGUUGCUCCUGAGUCUAUGACCCAAAGAGUAGAUUUCUUACCGAUUAUGGGAGUGGAUGUGGAAGUAUAAGCUGCGGGAAGUGAGAUAACUGAAUUGACAGCAGGCUGAGGCAUAGUAGCAUUGGUGUUUGACGUUGAAGCUUGCAAAUUUGAAUGUUGUAGAAGCUGCAAAAUCUGAUUAUAUUGCUCAUGGAUAGAAUUCAGUGAAGGGCUGCUAACAGAUCCUUGGUUCUGGACAGCAUCAGUAUACUUUUGUUCAGAAACCGCAAGAUUCGCUGACUUAGGACCUUUGUUUUGAUAACCAGGAGGAUAGCCAUGGAGAAGGAAACAAGUCUCAAUUGUAUGAUUAUGUCUUCCACAAUGACUACAAGUGCGAGUAAUGCCUUGAUUAUGUCCUCUUGUUCCAUUAUAAGAUCCUUUACCUCGACCUCUAUAGCUAGAAGAACCACCACGAGCAAAACCUUUGUUAGAAUUGGUUUGCUGAACUUGAUUAACAGCUGAUUGUUGAUCAACAGGAAUUUCACCAAAAACAGGAAUAUGUGUUUGUCUUUCUUGUUGAAGUACAAGAGAAAAAGUCUUAUCCAGUUCAGGCAAAGGAUUAAUUAGCAUAAUCUGAGAGCGCACAUGUGCAUAUUGCUCAUUCAAACCUUUCAAAAACUUAAUUACUUUGUCUUGCUCAUUAUACUUUUUGAGAUCAGAAGCAACACCACAAGUGCAAGGGAUGGCACAAGUGCAAUCACGAAUUGGCCGGAAGUUCUGAAUUUCUUCCCACAAAGUGGUUAAUUGUGUAAAAUAGGAGGAGAUAUCAAGAUUACCUUGUUGAAAUUUAGCCAAUUCCUCAAGAAUAUCAGCAACUCUGAAAAUAUCACCCUGUGCAAAACGGUUCUCCAAUCGCUUCCAAACCACGGAGGCUCGAUCACACCAAAUGAUUGAUUUCACAAUGGUUUCAGAAAUACAUCGUUGAAGCCAAGACAGAACCAUGUUGUUACAUCUUAACCAUGGUUCAUGAAGGAGAUCUGAAACAGGAGGAGGAUUUAGGGUGCCAUCAACAAAUUUCAAUUUGUUCUUGGAAAUUAAGGCGACCCGCAUAGAUCGCGACCAAGUCUGGUAAUUCUUGUUAUCCAAUGAUGGAGUAACAAGAACAAGUGAUGGAUUUUCAUUAGGAUGCAAGUAGUAAGGAUUUGAAGGAUUGGUUGCAAAAUCAAAAAAUGGUGGAUUCUCCAUAGAGAUGAAAGAAAUCAAAUAAUCAAGGAAUCAAAUGAACAGCGGAAUGAAAACUGAAAAUAAAAAUUCAGAAAUUGAAUAAUAAAGAGGAUUCUUGAGAUGAAUCGAUCAACAAGAGAAAUUGAUGAAGAGAUUCACAACUGAUACCAUGUUAAUAUUUAGAACACAGUAGAAAAUAGAAAGACAAGUGAUAUAUAAUUCUCAUUGAUCUGUGUGUAAAAGUACAUGACAGGUUUAUUUAUACACUAAAAUAAAGAGAAGACUAAUCAACAUGUAUAAAUACAAUUGAAUAGAAUACUAAUAAGCAGGCUAACUAAUAGGUUAUAGUUAAUGAUAAUUAAAUUAAAUAUUAACAUGUAACAUAUAUUGAUACUAAUACUCUAGAAGUACACAAUAUUUACAUGUUAAUUUAUAUGCAUUUCGUUUGUAAAUGGUGUAGACAAGGAAUUGCUAAUUUUAAGUAAUAACUAUACAUACAAGUGUAUGUAAUUCAAGUGAAUGUUUUUUAUGAUGUGGACUAUUGAAUCUAUUAUAAUUUUUUAUUAUGCAAAUAAAAUUCACUUGCACACAUCAUUAACAUUGUAGAAAAAAAUAUGACUACAAUGUAAAUCAUCAAAGACAUUUUAAUGUUUUUCUACUAUAGUGUAAUCAUCAGAGAUUUAGUAAUGAAGUUACAUAUCUAGUCAUGCUUCUGGUUUCACACUCUACACCUGUGAAACCCGGAUACCAGAUACGAUACUGCACCGAUACGUCGAUACAGAAAAAAAUUAAAAAUCAAGAUACGAUACGGUUGGGAUACGUUAAUAAAAAAAUUAUAUAAUUAAAUGUACAAUAUAGUUAUAACCAUUUUUUUUAAUAUGCAAAUAUAUUAACAAGCAAAAGAAACCGGUCAUAGGCUCCUAGCACAUCAACAUAAAUAUAAAUAAUAUUGACGAUUAAGAGAGUGAUGAUUAGUCAAUUAGAAACACAAUAUAUCCACAAAAAAAAAAAAAACACCAUUAGUGCUAUACUAUAUCCAAAAUGAACAUUGUUAGUGUUAUACUAUAUCGAUCCAAAAAAAGCACUAUAUUCAAAAAAGAACACAUCACUACUCAGGAGUUAAGUUAUUUUAGUUAACAUUAAUUGGGAAAUAUCAGGGCAGAUAUCGGUGCAGAAUAAUUAUUGAAUACUCUCCUGGUACGUGUAUCGGGAAGUAUCGGAUAAUUAUUUUUUUUUAAAAUAAAAUUUAAUCUUCGGAUACUCUCCUGAUACGUAUCGGGAAGUAUCAGGCAGGUAUCGGUGCAGGAUACGCAGGGGAUACGGUACGUCAUCCAUUUUGAAGUAUCGGAGCUUCAGCUACACACAUCAUCAAAGACAUUUUAAUAUUUUGGUGCUAUUAAGGAUAUUAAAUACUUUUUCUAAGUUAAUACUCCACGUUACUCUUGAAUUAUUAUAACUUCUCAGAUGUUUCAUUAGAUACAAAGAUUUAGUAAAUGUACAACAUUUUCCUCAUAGUAUAAUCCAAAACCACUUGUGAUCGAUAAUUUUGUUUAGGGGUCUUAAUAUAUCUCAAUAUUUUCAUGCCCAAAGAUUACAAGCUCAUUAACCUUGUCCGGUAAAUAUGGCAUUGGUCUUUUUUCUUUUUCUUAGUUAAAGAUUUAGUAUUGUUAUUAAGCUUAAGACUUAGUUAAAUAACUUAUUUUAAUAUUUUGUAUUAACUAGUAGUUUUUUAAACAACAAUAGGAUGGGAUUGAGUCCAGAAACAUGAUAUGUGCAUAAUUGGCGUCGAAUUAUUUAUAAUUAUUACUAAUAUAAAAUAUGGUCAAUUAUUUUACCAAAAAAUAUGGUCAAUUGUUAUUGAGCACUAAUUAUGGAUAAAUAAUUUGAUUAUAAAUGGACCGUGAUGGGUUUGACGAUUUAAUAAGUUCAAUAAGAGAUCUCUAUCUUGAAUCGUUUAACUAUUAAAACUUUAUCACUAAGACGUUUAGAAAUACUGUGAAACCUAAUCUAUGAACCUAAAGAUGAUGAGGAUAGUGCAGGCCUCUCAUAGUUGCUCUCUCAUCGGUUGUGUCAAAUCAUAUAUGUCUGAUAAAAUAUGGGUAGAGUUACUUGAUGACAAUCAAAAUCGUUUAUUUUUCUUUAAUUAUUUGUGUUAUAUUUAUAAUAUAAAUAGAAUAUUUUAUAUGUUGCUAAUAAUAAUUUAUCCUGGCAGACAAGCAUGGGAUGAAUGAUCGAUUAUGAGACAAGUAUAUAUGAAGCCAAUGAAGUAGUUGUCUGUCCAAAAACUGCAUGCAACCCGAAAAUUGGAUAUCAGUACAGAUAAACCUCUUCUAUACGCUUAUCAAAAUAUCACAUGCAACAAAAAACACACGCAUGUAUUUUAGUCCCACUACUUUUCUGAAAUCUUUCAAUAUCAAAUCUCAACCAUUUUCUAGUUCAGUGAUUCAUAUUUACGUUUCCAUGUGGAAAAUGAUAAUAACCUUAACUGACCCAUUAAAUUAGGUUCUAUAUUAUUUCUUUUCAAGUAAAAAAUUUAACAGAAAUAGAAAAGUUAGUUUUCUAAGUUGUGUUAUGUUCCUUGCAAUGUAAUGCUUUUACUUGUCGAAGAAAGAAAAGAAACGUGAAUCUACUUAAUUUUAAUUCAUAUGAAUGAAUGAAUGAAUGGAUCCCCAAUUCCCCAUAACUUUACGUCAAGUGUAUUAUUUAAUUUAUUUACAUUAGGGUUCUUUAUAUAAUUUUUAACCAAUUAUAUAUGGUUGAGCUAUUUUAUGCUCACACUAGAUCUUUUUUUUCUUUUUCUAAUCAACAUAAACAUGGCUUAAAUUUGAGAUAUAUGAACAUGAGGCCCGUGUGCAUUACAUCAUGUGCAAUUAAGUUCGAUGGGUUUUGUGGCUUGGCUUUUAGGCAGAUCUUAGGGCUCAUUUAUGUUUGCAUGUGUAUAGUUAAUCUAAGUUUGAGGUUCUAGUUCGUAUAAAAUAAGUGGAGGACUAUAAUUGAUUGACAAGUGGGUGUCCUUUAAUUUGUUUUCAUGGUGGACAAAAAUUGAGGAUCACCCAUGUUUGAUUUAUGAAGAAAAAUAAAAUAAAAUUGUUAAUAAUUGUUAUAAAUUUAAUGAAUGACAUGCAAGAUUCAAGUGAUUAAUAAAUUUUAGUUAAAAACGAACUGAUAGGGAAUUUCGAAUUCGAUAUUUGGCUGAACAAUCUUUAAAAACUAGAGGUUAAGCUUUAGUUUGAUGUUAUGGGAUGCAGUAUCCUCCAGAUUAGUUUCUUCUCUUAGACAAUAAAACUAAUAUCAACAAUAAAAAUGAAAUUAAAAAUAUUAAGCUGAGCAAAAAAAAAAAAACUUGGGGCCUUCAAAACCCUACGAAGUCCCUGUCCACAGAAUUAAGUCAUAAUCUGAUGGUUAACUUUGUUUCUGAAUACGAUAUCGAUUUUUAGCAUCCAAAUCUUAGUGGCUUUUAGAGGUUACAUAGAGUUCUUUUGAUACUUCACUUCAUGACAAUUUAACAUGGUUUAUGCCUUACAAGUUUGGUUUAUGACUUUUGGUAGCUCUGUUAGGUCGUUUAUCAAUUUUUAUUUUCAUUAUUUCCUAAUCCACAUAAGUGAAGAUUUUGAUUGAUAAAGACUUUCUCAACCUCCUCAAUUCAUAUAGUUGCAUACAGCAUACUGUUUAUAUACAAUAAUAGAAAUGUUAGUUUAGUUCACUCUCAAAUCAAUUAAUGGAAUACAAUUACUUGUAAGCACCAAUAUAAAGUUAAAAUAGAAAUCAAAUAAAAAACUUCGCAGCAUUAUUGAACUCAACUGAAUUACAUAUAUAAUUUUGAGAAGUUUGUUUUUGAACAUUAGGUACGUAAUUGUCUAAUAGGUUCUCUCUAUAUGAGGUAAUCAUAUUUGAGGUGUACGUCGGUCUGCGACACCCAACAUGUGUUGGUUUACGUCGGUUUAUAUAAAAUAAACAAGAUACUUAAGAAAUUUGAUGAUUUUUCUAUCAUCUAUCUGCCAGUUUAAAUUGACUUAUUUGAAUUUAUUUGUUCAGUUUACUUUCAUAAACUCUAAGAAAAAUUAUGAUAACAGUUAUGACUUAUACAAAGUAAAUUAACUUUAUUUUAUCUUUGUUGUAAGAAUAUUUUUUACACAAGUGUUUACCAUGAACAGCAGAUUAAGUUACUUAUCCAAGUAUAUCAACGUGAUAAACGACUAAAAUGUUGUGUAAUUUCAUAAUCAUAUGGCAUAAAUACAGCAUCGAAGGGUUUCAUAAAAUCCUUCUUACUGUUAAAAUUAAAAUAUAUGAGCUGCUUAAUUAUAAUGUGUCACUGUGAUGAACACUCAGACAGUAGUAACUAGUAAUGGAAUCUAAAGUUCCUUACAAACUUAGCAUUGAUGAUACUCAACAUUACCGAUAACUUUGAUAAAAAUCAAUAAUGGCCAAAUAGAAACAUAGUAUGAUAAAAUUACAAAAUACAACUAGUGUACUUUCCCGUGCCAUGCCAACAUAAAUUAAAAUUUGGCAUUCUCUCUAAACUCAUUCGAGGAGCUAAUCCAUAUAACUAAUGACCUACUUAACUCUCUGUUUCUGUUGAUUUUUGUCCUUUCCGCGACCUCUUCCUUUUCCUGCUUCUCUUCACUGUGUUGUCUCCUUUGGUUUCCUGCGUAAGAGUCAAGUAAAGGAAACAUCUAACAGAUCAGUAAGAAGCAUGCAAAAUAUAAGUUCCAGCAGAUAAGACACAUUUAAAAUAUGCUAUAUACUAUAAAAUAGCUGAACUAAACUAAGGGGUUUGGAAUUUGUUUAAUAUGCAUGCAUAAACAAAACCAGAACAGCUAAGUAUAUAGCAUCUAAACUGUUUUGCGCAGUUGCAACAGCCAACGCUAUCUUAAAUUGAAAAGAAAACUAGCAUUACAGAAUUCAGUUUUUCAGGUUAGACGGUAUUCUAAAAAAGACAUGGUUAGCAGAAGGGUUCGGCUUGGAACUAUUGUCGGCCUAUCAUAAGCAGCCUUAAUUUGCAAUUUUAAGAGUCAUGACAAAUUGAAGAAAAGUUAACAGAUUAGUGUUUUCAAGUUCAAAUUGAAGAAACAUUUAAAUUUUGCCAACAACCCUACCUUUGUAGGAUUAUUUUGGUUUUCACGACUUUUCUUCUUCUUGCACGAAAGUGGGUUUGGACCCUGCAAAGUUCAUAGCAAUAUCAUCAAAAAGUGACGCAAUACAACUGUUACAACAACAACCAAAUAGUAUCCCACUAAGUAUGGUUGGCUACAUAGAUCAAAUUACACCAUAAUCAAUGCAAUAACUGUUCUGUUUUAUAGGGGAACUGUUGGAAACAAUAAAUUAAUAUGAAUCAUCCCAGCAUACAUGUGAACAUGUUUAUAUUUGUUAAGUUUCAAGGAAACAUCAUAGAACACAACUUAAAAUCAAAACAUAAUACAUCUGCAGAAAAAUCUACCUCUGGGACAUCAUGAUCAAUAAAUGUUCUUAAAACUAUUUGACCCAUCAAAUGUUUUCCAAAUGCAACAAAUUUUAUAGUUACCCUCCUAAUACCCAUUAACAUGACCAUAUUUUCAUUUUUACAAAAUUAUCGUAGGAUAACAUAGAGUAAAUGGAGGGAGAGAAAACCAUAGCUCUUUAUUUUACUAAACCGUUCAAGUUAUAGAAAAUUUUGAACACUCAAAGCCAAAAUCCAAAAUACACGGCCAUAUAACUAUAUUAUCAAAGUGCAUCAAGUGCUGCAGGUAAGAGAGGGGGAGAGAAAAAGAAAUUAAUUUGUGGCAAAAAUAUAUCAAGUCUGUAUGAACAAAUUAAUUUCUAAUUGGCUGCUACCAGCUUGUUUUAUCAACAAAAGAAUACUGUCAGUUAGUUAACAGUCACUUCCAUGUGGUAGUGUAAGCUGGAGUCUUUUAGUUCUGUCAGCAUUAUGUCCCUAAAAUAUUCAGUUACAUAGUUACUGUUAUAAUCAGCUAAGAUAUCACAGAAUAAUAGACCAUCUUUCUCAAGUUAUAUCAUUUCCUUUGGUUUCUAAAUUUCCUAUAUGUUUCUCUCAUUACCUCUAUCAGCUACAAACAAAAUGGUAAGCUAUAAGCCUAUCUAUGUUUAGACAUGUGAAAAUCAAUAACCAAUCAAGAAAAAAGACGCAGCACAAAAUUAAAAUAUAACCUUUGCUUUUCUUCUCUUGAAUUGAGGUUUAUCCCUGACGCCAUUCUGAUUCCUUGAAAUUAUGCUUCUUUUUAUUGCCUGUGCACUUGCAAUCGAAUCUCCUAAAUCAUUGUUUUCCACUAUUUCAGCAUUGGAAUUAUCAGCUUCACCAUCAGCCAGUUUCUUCAUAGCCCUAUCCUUAAAUAUCUGGUACUCUUUAUCGGUCAUAUGCAAUCGUCUUUCUUCAGAAGUUUUGACAUACUCCUUCUGAAAUGCAGAUGGAGAUUCGAGGAAAAGAGCAUUUCUGAGACCAAAUAUGAGGGGCACACCAGGUACCUGCAACAAGCGGAUAAAGACUAAACAUAUGUACAAUGGGACAAAUUUACACAAAGUCAACAUAUUUUAGACGUAAAUACGCAGAAGUUCAGUGGCACUGUGACACAGAACAUGCCAUUAAUGCAAAUAACAUUUUAUCAUGUUUACAAAGUGACAGCAACAUAUUGAAUUGGUACAAUCAACAUUACAAAAAAAAUAUUCCAACCUCUUCCAACUUCUUCCGUAGGUCAGUGUCCUGACUAGCAACAAAGAAGUGCUCGGAAUUAUUUUCUCCAACAACCUCCAUGAUGCAGGAAUCGGCCCUCACACAUUUAUCAUGCUCGCAUCUGCAAAUUGGAAUUUAGAUCAAAUUAUAAAACCAUCACCACAGCAAUACUUGUGCUCAAAUAUCUCAACCCAAAACAACAAUCCUUUCCAGUCUAGUGGACUAAUCAAAUAUUAGAUACUGAUUAUUAAGACUUAAAAAGUUAACAGCUUCGAUUCUUCACAUUAGGCAGCCUUUUAACAUGUCAUUUCAGUCGGCCAGAAAAGUGAUUCAGAGUAGGAAUGUCAAGGUCAGUUCUAUACAUAUUUGGGUCUAUAAAUAUCAAUUCUCAAUGCAAUUAUAUCAUUUAUAACAGAUCUCAAUGAGGGUAACAAAGUAAGUACACUAGUGAUUUGGGUGAUCCGCAAUAUUAGAUACUGAUGAUUAAUCAAUUGGGCGAGGAGCUAAAGGUGGCUUUCUUGCCAAAUAACAAUAUAAGGGGCAGAAAAAAAUUAGAAAGAACUUCAAAUAUGAGCAACAAGAGUAAAUGAAAACCUAAAGGAUUUAAAACGCUUAAAUUCUUCUGAAACUUCAAAGUUGUUUCUUCAUUGAGGCAAAAGGAGGUGUUGCUUUGUGUCUAACAAAAACUUAUUGGACUGAAUUAGACAGACCCACUUUCUUCAAAUUUGUGUUUUCUCAACCUAAUAUAGUGUUGAUAAUGGUGGAAUAUAGAAAAAGGGCAGAAAUUUAUCAUAUAAAGAUGCCAUUGCAGCCUACGGUGCAGCCAUGGCAGGAACCCCUUUACAAAUUGCCUAUGGGGAUUGUCAAAAACUCCGAUAUUGCCAGUGGCCACCAUUUAACAACACUAACCUAACCAAGCCUUCCAAAACUACAUCACCCAAACAUGCUGACCGAAUUAUUCGGAACCAGCCCAUUUGACCCCUCUCUUAAAUAAAAUUAGUAUAAUAAAUUUACAUUUAAAGGGUCUCAGCCUACUCAAUCCGGUAUCAUUCAUCAUGCACAUCUAUCUUAAUGACACAGGAAAAGUUUGUUAAACAACUAGGCUCUGUUUGGAUAACCAACUUAAUUUGCAGCUUAUAGCAUAAACACUUAUCAUGAUAAACGCUUAUGCAUAACCUAUUUCCAUAACAAAAGUAUAAAUAACGUUAAAUUGUUUUCGUAAAGUCUCCUAAACAGUCUCACCAGUGCCUAUAUCACUAGAUAAGCUCAAAUACACAAGUCAAUUCAAACAGCAGUAAGAAGUGUGUAUACCUUGCAAUUAUAAGAUCAUUCGCUGCAUCAAGAGCCUCUGAAUACGACUUCCCAAGCCGUUUCAAUUCAGCAACAACACAUCUACAUCACCACAAUCCAAAACUCAAAUCAACAACACGAAAAAAAAAAUCAAAACAAAAACAAAAGCACCCAAAACAAAACAAAACAAAAUAAAAACAAAAACCUUGUUGUGUAGAGCUUGACAGUGGCACUAAGAAUAUUGGCAAGAGCAGUAUCAGCAGGUGUUAUACGAUUGACAAUAAGGUGAUUAACAAAUGUUCCAUCACAUAGAACUUUGUAAGGUUUUCGAAAACCAAAACAUGCAGUGUAAAACGUUAAACUCUUCCUAUGUCUCUUUUGUUUCUUAACCUUCAUCUACAUAAAAAAAUCAAAAAAGGGUAUUCAAAUUAAACAACAAAGAAACUAAAUUUGAAGUUUGGUGUUCAGUGAUAAUAACAAGUUCUUUCAUAUACCUUAUACAAAAAAUCUCAGCUGCCGGCGACGAUCAACUCCGACGGCGGUUCCCGGCAAUGUUUUGUUUAUUGCGGCGGUUCGGUGACGACAGCGGCUGUGAGACUGAAAGGAGAAUACGGUGUAUGGAAAUUGUGAAGGUUAAUGGAUAAUGGAUAAUAACCGGUUAACUCAAUGGUAACCGACCCGUUUUAAGUUUUGUCAAAAUGGACUGGAUCAGUUAAAAUGAAAUUGCUAUGAAACAUUACCUCAUCGGCGGUUAACUGCCGUCGGUUAGGUUUUAACAGCAGUUAACUCUCUCCGUCAGUUGGCUUUCAACGGUAGUUAAAUACCGUUGCAACUUGCAAUCAAGCAUUCACACAACAUGUUCUGUUUUAAGAAUCAACCAAAAUUCAGUUUCUUUAUUACCUGUAAUUCAAAAAAACAACAAUCCAGAGGUAGUACAACCUUUAAACCAAUUAUAAUCACUCACAAGCAAGAACAAUACAUAAUUUUGUACAAUUGACCAAAAUUAAAUCAAUUCGACAUUUCGUUAAAAUUACACGAAUGUUCGAAAUUCAACAAAAGUGCAAUAGUAGGUGUAAAUAAUAACUUAUUUGAUGGAAGGGGAAAAUAGGUGAUGAUGGAACAGUAAGUAGGAGUAGGUUUUUGUAAUCAACAGUAUCCAUGCGCAAUGGCAGUUAAUUGUCGUUGAAAGCUAAUUGAUGGUGUGUUAACCGUUGUUGAAACUUAAUCGGAAGUAAUUAAUUGUUGAUGAGGUUAUAUUCGUCAUUUCAUGAUAUUUUAUAGCAAACUUUGAUGUGGGAGCGCAACAAUUUUCCAGUUUUUAUGCACACCCCUUAGAUACAAGGGUAAAGUGACACUGAAUGAUGGUGUUUCAUACAUGAUUAUGUGAUAUUUUCUAAUAGUAUAAAUUGUUUUACAUAAUACAUCUUUCGAUUUUAUAUGAGCAUAAAUAACUAUUUUCACACUUAUUAAGAAAAUUAAGUAUUCUCCUUUUCAGCUCUAAGUAAUAGUGUUAAGUAUGUGUUAAGUAAAGUAAGUUAAGUUUUGUUUAUAUUUGAGACCAUUAAAUGAGUUAUAUAUUUAUUUUUUUAUAUUUGAGAAAGGUGUUGAGUAGAAAUCCUUUUGGGGAUAGCUUGUAAAAUGACCAUCAAUAUUACUUGAAUUAAUAAAAAUUUCUCCUUCCCGAUUUUUUUUUAAAAAAGAGUGGUGUAUAAUAAUUAAACACUUGUUAUUAUAAGAAAAUAUAUAAUUGCAAAAAUUACACUUGUUUUAAAAGGGUUAAUUCAAAAUUUGACAGAAACGACAAACUUAUGCUCACAUCAAUAACAUAAGGGACCGGCAUAAAAAAAACAUGCAAUUAAACAAUAAUUUUAUUUCUAUCAUAACAAUUGUUGGCAAUAAAAGAAAUAAGAAUGAAGUCAAUGAAGGCUAACUCAACUGGUAAGUAGUUAACUUUUUUAACCUUGAGGUCUGUCCUAACUUGGUAAAUUAUUUGUUGGAAUCAUGAACCAUGGGGUGGAAGCAUGUUUAUGCACAUUUAGAAUGUACUCCUUCGUACUAAAAUAUAAGUAAAAUUUGAUCAACAAAAGUCAAUGUAUUUGAUUCAAAAUUUAUAUCAAAUACAUCAACAUAUGUUGACUCAUUUUUACUUAUAUUUUGAAAUGAAUGGAGUAUUAUGUUUCUGCCUAUGUAUCCAAGGAAGAACAACCUCAAAUUUUAGUAACCAUCCUUAAUCUCAACGAUAGUGCUUCCGAUGUAUAAAUGUAAACGAUUCAGUGAAUGCAUAGCUGGGUUCAAGGGAUUGUUCAAAGAUUUCAGGAGCUUUCUAGUUGCUCAUGAUAUGCUCUUGGGGGUUCUUAUAAUAUAAACCCAAUUUCCUGUUUUUCCUUUUCUUGUUUUACCUUUUUUAUCAUUUUUUUUUUCUUGAAUUUGAUUUAUAUCACCUCAGGUUUAUGUAUUUUAUUCUUUGGAUCUCGCUAACCAGUGCCCUUAGAGUAUUGGUUAAAGAAUCUACAAAUAGAAAUUUUGUCUUAAAAAUAUAAGAUGUUACUUUUGAUCAAGUAAUGAUUACAUAAUUUUUUCAUGAAAACUUGUUUGUUUUGAAUGGUUAACCAGUGCCCUCCUUUAGGGCACUGGUUACCAUUACGGAUAAAUUUUUCGCUUGAAAAAAAUAAAAAUAAAAUCAAUUUUUUCUCAUAAAUUAUCACCUUUAUCAUGUUUCAUAAUUCAUAGGCAUAUCCAAGCCUCAUCUUAUCUUUUGCACAUGAUAUGAUUCCCUCUUAUGAUUUGAUAUGUGACUAGGAAUAGGAUUAGGCAAAUGCUAUUAUAUAACUAUAAUAUAAUAUAUCUUUGUUUAAGGUUAUCCCUUUAUCAAUUAAUCACAAUCCUCCCAUGACAUUAUAAUUAAAAGACAUUGUUGUGUUAGUGGGUGAUAUUCUAUAAAUUAUUUCUUCCAUCAUGGGAAGGAUGAAGAAAGAUCCAUAAGCUUAUUCAUUUGCUUAAAAAAUUGAAUUCCACGAAAAAGAUCAAACAUAUAUUUUAUGACUAAAUUAUUACAUUGUUCAUUGUUUGCUUUGGCUAAGAUAUGGCACCCCCAAGCACAUCCUAACAACCACGUGUAUAGAUGCUGUAGGUGCGUUAUACAUUCAAGUUUGUCGUUUUUAUUUUGGAAACAUUUUUUUUAUGGAUAAUUACUUCAUUUAAGUUUUAUUUCUUGGAAGCUACAGAUGCAGCUUUUCAACCAUGAAUGAAUGCAUUCUUGUUGCAAAACUUCAACUGAAUGCUACAAUUUGUGAAGUAAAGUAGAUUUGUCAAUCAUAGAUCGACGGAGGGAAAAAGAUUUAUAUUUUGACAAAUGUUUCAUAUAAUAAAUUAAAGGUGGUGAAUGUUUCAUAAUAAAUUAAAGGUCGCUCUAACUUGUACUCGAUAAAGUUAAGGCAAUAGAGAGAAAGUAAAAACAUAAUAAUAAUAAUAUGAGAGAGAAAUUUGUCAAAAAAAAAUUGUCGAAAAAUAGUUGUACAAAUAUUAUUUCUCUUUUAAAAAUGUGCUAGCAAGGAGACCUUGUGUUUAAGGAGGGGCGGGAUAACAAUACCCCCAUCCCGUCUCGACAAGUAUAAGAAAAAAGUUGAAUCGAAACCCACAUUUAGUUAUAACGGAUUUCUCUGAAAAAAGUCUUCGGAUGUGUUAGGUCAUACAAGUUUUCAGAUGAGUACUUAGACUUUGAUAUGACUUUUUUUUAGGGAAGACUUUGAUGAUUGACCUCCUUAAAAAACCUAUUAAAUAAGAAUUUAAAUUAACCAACCUAUUUACUUCAAACACACCCUAAUAGGCAAUAAGUCAAGAAUCAAAAUUGUAGAAAAGGGAGAGGAAUUCAAGUUGCCAAAUUUUAAUUGAAAGCAUACGUGAUGCUAGAAGUAACAACAGCGAUAGCAAUUUGUUGUCAAGUAGAACAUGUCAAGAAUAAACGGAUAAAACUAUGAUUAUACUCUUUAUAUAAAUCGAUGAUGUAAUUCAAAAUCUUUUUUCUACAUAUAGAAACAUUCAAUCAAUUCAUAAUGUCUUUUUAUAAUUCUAUUUGAUACAUCAUCCAACACUAAAUGUGAAUGUAUCAUGAGAGUCUAACAUCUUAAGCUAAACGGUGUUUAUGACUUUAACUGAUGAUGUUAACUAAUGUCUUUGAAACAUUUAUUAACAAACUUCUUUUACACUUUUAAAAUAUCGACUACAUAUAUUUUAAAAUAUUUUUAUUAUAUUUGAUUCUUUAACAAGUUACACGAACAACUUCUUAACAUUUUUUUCUUUAAAAAAAAAUUUCACAUUUCUCAUUUUAUCAUAUUCAUUUUCCACAAUGGAUGACAUCAAAUGUGGGGGACAUGAAAACGUUGUAGGUAUAGACAACAACAAAAACAAUUAACAACAAUACAUUUUAAAAAUCAACAAUAAAACAAAACCUUCUUUUCCCCCACUUUAUCUUUGUAUAUGAUUUUUCUUUGAGAAUAUCGUCACAACCAUAAUUAGAUACAUAAAUAUAAUAACUAAAAAAAAUAUCACAGCUAACAUGGGGUGACUAAGAUCCAAAAUGAAUCAUGCUGGCUUUGAAAAUGAAAGCACAAAAGAGUGACAUCAAUCGAAUAAUUUAGUGUGCGGCGACACGAAGUUGCGUAUGUAAUUAUAACAAGAUAGGUUAGUGAGAGUGACAUGUAUUUUGAAGGAUUGAAUAUGGUUUGGUUUUUGGUUCAUGUUCAACUUACUUGUCUAAAAAGUUAAACUUAAUUUUUGCAUUUUAGGGGUUUAAAAGUAGAUAAUGGACCACCUUAUCUAUGCUUCAAUUGAAGAAAUGGUGAUAUUAUUGAAUCAAUAGGAAGGGACAAUUUAAAGAGAUGGAUGAUAAUGUGGCAAGAGAGUUUUAGCCAAAAAAAAAAAACGUGGCAAGAGAAUUGUUAGUUAUAGCACUCUUAUUUAUUUAUUGGGUCACACCAUUUUCCUUAAUUUUUUUUAUUGAGAAUAUGUUGAUUGGGUUUCAUAUACUAACCAUGAUCAGGAAUUUUUUUAGAAGUUUUAAUGUUGUGAAUUCAGAUCAAAAUUCACAUUAAUAUUUGCUCAUUUGGUUAAGUUUAAAUUUGACAUACAUUUAAUUCUUUAAAAAGAGAAACAAAAAAAAUUACAAGAAAUUAACAUCAACAAUGACGGUCAUAAUUUUUAUCCUUUGUCUGAAUCUCUUGAUGUGGUCAAAAGACUCAAUGAUUUAUUCUCUAGGUGUACACAAGUAUUUUCCAACCCUAAAAUCUAUUCCAAAAGAAACAAUAUUUAUGUAUCUUAAUUUGCUUGAUAAGGCCUACUUUGCCUCACUCCCACCUCAUUGUUAGAACUAAAAACUGGAGCCUUUUAUAUAUGGGUAUCACUCUGCUUGUCUAACACUUCAAGAAACAACUUUGCGGACAAUUGCCAAAAAAAUAAGCAAACAAAGUGAAACAAUCACUUUGUUUGUCUUCCACAUCAUGAAAUGGCCUUAUGAAAUAUGUAUUGUCAAGCAAGAAAACCGCAUUGUUUUUCUACUCUUUUGAGAAACAAGUGGCAUCAUCAACUUUCUUGAGAAGCAAAAAAAAAAAAAACUCAAAAUGCUAACAAAUGUACUUACAUUUAUCCAACAAUGAAAUUAUCACAUCAACAGAGAGAUUCAAAUUCAAGUCCUUGUAAAAUUCGGUUUGAAUUCAAUUAUCAAUUAUUCCAAACUAAAUUGACACUCUAUUUUAUCUACACACCUAUAUUAUUAUUAUUUUUAGGGUUAAUUAUUGAAAUUGACAUGUAAUAUAAACGAAGUCUCAAAAUGACGUUGUUAAAUAAAAAUCACAUAUUCUAACCCUGUAAUUCGAGAUUCUUAUUAUUUAUGAUCAUGUGAUAUACGUAAAGUCCAAAAAAGCAACCUAAAGAUUUAAUUUUUUCAUGAUUUUUUAGAGGCAUGUUAAGAAAGUUAAAAUAUGAACUGACAGAAAAAAUUAGAAAUUUUCGAUAAGCAACAACUUAAUUAUGAAUUUUUAAAGCGUCAAAAGCUCAAAAAACAAGAAUGAAAAUCUCAACCUAUAAAUCAAAUUGUGAGCUCACUAUUUGUAGAGGCAUCUAUAAAAAUACACAAAAAGGAUCUACAAAGUUUCAUAGCGUUUAGAAGAAGUUUCAAUUUAUUUUUGUUUUCCAACUAAAACGUGCAAAAUUGAAAUUUUGUUUCUAUUAAGCGACUCACAUGUCAAAUUUUAUUCCCUAAUUUUGUAGGCAUGGUCAGAACAUAAUGAAUUUUUUCAGUUUUUAAACGAGAGACAAAUUAAUUAUAAAUUGUUUAAGAAAUUCAUAAUUAUGGGGAAUAAAAUUCAUAAUUAAAGACAAAGUGGUCCUUUUAAGUUUCAAAAGUCUCAAACAAGUCCUUUUAGUUUUUGAAUCGUUUCAAACAAGUCCUAUUGUAGAUAGCAUAGUUGGUAAUUGCUUCCUUCAACUCAUCUUUGGUACCAAAUCUGGCUCCUAGCACCCACUUAAAAUUAGUCAUCUUUUUAGGCAUGACAAAUGGUGGAUAAUGCUCUUUGUUGCUAUCAUCUGAAUCAUCACCAUCAUCCUUUAAAAGGACUUGUUUGAAACGAUUCAAAAACUAAAAGGACUUGUUUGGGACUUUUGAAACUUAAAGGACUUGUUUGGAACUUUUGAAACUUAAAGGACCACUUUGGAAAAAACGAAAAACUUAAAUGACUUUUAGAUGCAUUUGACCUAAAUUGUCAUUCCUAGAAACGGAAAAUAACUUUUGUUCCUGAAACAGUAAUUAACGUUUUCUCUAUAUUUCAAUCUAAAUAAGUGAUUUUCACAUAGAUCUAGGUUUUUUCUUUAUGAUUUCAUCAUCUAAGUGUGGUGGUUUGUUGUUCGUCGUCUUGUGCGGCGCUGUUUGAUUUUCCGUCUUCUUGCGGUGUUUAUUUGAUUCAUAUUGAAGAUUGAUUAUUCAAUCAAAGAUUUGGGCGUCAACGUUGCAGAUCUGGAGGCCAUGGAUAUUCCGGCCACUUUAAUUUUAUCAUAUAUUUUUGUAGGCAUUAUGCUGUUAUAUAUGCUAUUAACUUGGAUGUUGUGAGUAUGUUCGCAGAUUCAUUCUUUACGUUUUUAGCGGUGUUGAAUGAUAUAGUCUCUCGAUUUAAAUAAAUGAAUAUCAUUUUGUUUUUGUCAAACAAUAAAAAAAACUAUCAUUAAUCAACCAAACAAUAAUUAAUUACUGCUAGAGCUAUUUUCGAACGUUCAAGGUGCAUAUGAACAAUUCAUAGGUGCUAAAGAGCAAUUUUCGGAAAACAAAGUGUAUUCAACGGACAAUGAACAAGUGGGUCUUAAUACAACCAUGUGAAGAAUUUAUUCCACACCCCUAUAUUUUGCUUGGAAAAAAAUAACUUUGUUGAAUAUAAAUGAUAUAAAAAAUUCCUGAUAAAUAUGAGAUUAUACAGUUUUACUGGUAAAUAUGAGUUAUUAUAUACACCUCUUAUAAAUAAAGGGAUACUCCCUCCAUCCCCAAUUAUUGGAAGAAAAAAAAAACUCUUUGUUUGUCUCAAAAUAUAAGCAAAACAACAAGUGUGACAAAUUAAAAGUAUGGUGCACAAAUUAAAAGUAUGGGCGUCAACAUUGCAGAUCUGGAUGCCAUGGAUAUUCUGGUCACUUUAAUUUUAUCAUAUAUUUUUGUAGGCAUUAUGCCGUUAUAUGCUAUUAACUUGGAUGUUCUGAGUAUGUUCGCAGAUUCAUCCUUUACGUUUUUAGCGGUGUUGAAUGAUUUAAUAUCUCGAUUUAAAUGAAUGAAUAUCAUUUUAUUUUUGUCAAAAAAAACUAUCAUUAAUCAACCAAACGAUAAUUAAUUACUGCUAGAGGUAUUUUCGGAAGUUCAAGGUGCAUAUGAACAAUUCAUAGGUGCCUAAAGAAUUUAUUCCACACCCCUAUAUUUAGCCUUCUACUCCUACUAGUUUGAGACAGGGCAUAUUUUGCUUGGAAAAAAAUAACUUUGUUGAAUCUAAAUGAUAUAAAAAAUUCCUGAUAAAUAUGAGAUUAUACAAUUUUACUGGUAAAUAUGAGUUAUUAUAUACACCUCUUAUAAAUAAAGGGCUACUCCCUCCAUCCCAAAUUAUUGGAAAAAAAAGCUUUUUAUUUGUCUCAAAAUAUAAGCAAAACAACAGGUGUGACAAAUUAAAAAUAUGGUGCACAAAUGAUUUUAGUCUUUAGAUUUAUUUUUCUUCACAAUAAUACCAUGUACCCAUCACACCCCUACUAAAUUCUAAUGCUUCACCCCAACUCUCGCAUACUUUUCACUAUUAGACCCUUAAAUUCAAAGUUAGUACCGGUCUGUUUAGUUAACCCAAAAAAAGAGUUUUUAGCUUUUAGCUUAUAGCUUAUAAGCUCGUUUGACAAAAAAAGCUCUGUUUGGUAACACUUUUUCACCAUGAGCUUAUAGCUUAUUUCACGAGCUUAUAAGCUAUUUUUCAGAAGCUAUUCCAAGUAGCGUUUGAGCUUAUAGCUUAUAGCUUCUCACUUUUUCUUCCAAUUUUACCCUUAUUAUUUCAUUUAAAUUGUAUUUUUAUCCAUUAUAAUUUUUAUAAUAAACUACGUAAUAAAGACUACUAUCCCGUUAUUCCAAUUUUUGUAUAUAUAUCAGCUGACCUUUUUUUUUUUUUUUUGAAAAAAUAUAUACCUUUGUUUUUUUUUUACGAAACAAAAUACUAUUAUUCUAUUAGUGUUACUUUUUUUUUUUUUGAGGUAAGUGUUAUUUUCUUUAUUCUCUGUUAUUAGUAUUACUCUAUUAGUGCUACCUUUUUUUUUUUGUUUUUGAGGUAAAUGUUAUUUUUUUUAUAAAGUGGAAACACUUAAAUGAUAAUAAAUAUAAAAUAAAAUUUUAGUGAAUAAAAUUUAAUUUAAUUUAUAAUACAUAGGAUAUAUUAAAUUAAUAAAUUUAAAGUAUUUUUUUAAAGAAAAAUUAGUUUACAAAAUUACAAAUACUUAAAUUAAUGAUAUAAUUUUUAUUAUGAAUUAAGAAUACCCUUUAUGUCAUUUUACAUUUAUCAGCUAGUUGAACCGCUAUUUUUACCAAACAGAGCCUACAUACACAACACCUAACAUGUUUCUCAUCUCCUUAAAUUCUUCAACCUUAAGUGGUUUUGUUAAUAUAUAAGCUUGUUUGAGUUUUGUUAAUAUAUAAUACUUAGUUUCAUUGUGUUUCUUGGACCACACGCAACUGGAUUUUUGGCUAAGAAAAUUGCAUUAGUUGUUUAUCACCGCCAAAAAAUUGCGUGUUUUGAGAAAUUUGAGGACACAAAUAUGAGUUUGAGAACCCUAUCACUUAACUUUCACACUGCUUCUUAUCAUCAUGAAUUAACAAACCAAAAUAUGAAGUACCUUUUAGAUAUUUCAAAAUUCUUUAUGCAUCAAUCGUAUGUGAUUGAUUUGGAUUCAAACUCUAAUUCAUUAUCUCCUUAAUUAAGUAUCACAUUCAUCAAGAAUUAACGUGAGCUUUCUUAACAAAAUUCAUUUUAACACUCUCACUUUUAUUCGAUAAACAACAAGGUCAUAUUACUUUGGAGACGAAUCCUUUAUAAAGUGGUAGGAUCCAUACGUAUUUUGUUUUAAUAAGAGAGUGAAUGUUAAAAGGUACGUUAAAAUGAGUGUUGUUAGCGUAUUUUACGAAGUAAUGUUUUGUUAAAUAUAAAAGAUGAAAAUAACAAGUGGAGUCAGAUAAUUUAGUUUUCUCUUAAAUCAAGACCACAUAAAUUGCCCUUCUCAAAUAAAGAGUAAAUUAUUUUUUGUUGUUGUUGUUGUUGAUAUAGAGAGUGAACCUCUUUCAAUAAUGGAAAUUUCUCUUUAGAUAAUUGUUCUAAGACACUUUGAUCAAACAAAAAAUGAUAUUUGUACAACUACUUUAUUAUAAUUUUUUAACAAUUUAUUAUCUCGGACUUAUAUUAUAUUAUUAUUCUCUCUCUUUAUUUUUUUCUCUCUAUUGUUUUGGACAAAUGAGAAGAGAGGAAAUGAAAGUUGUCAUCAAAGUUGUUACAUAUGGUUGUACAUAUAUCACUACUCUUAAUCAAAAUAUUUCCAAUGAUAUUAAAUUUUUGUAUAUAUUUUUUUCUUUGUUUUUGUAUUGGUAACUUAUAUGUGAUAAUAAUUCUCUUGUAGCAGAAAACAGAAAAAGAGACAAAAAAUAAAAAGCAGAAGCUUGCUACAAAACAACUCCCAAACACAUAAGGGAAUUAAACCACCACUUAUGUUAGUUUAAAGAAAAGUUAAUGUGAUUCGUUUUCAACCACAAAAAAGAUUAAAGUUUAUUUUUUUUUUAGAAGAUGUUGAACCGCAUUCCCCUUUUGUUGGCGAAUCUGAACAUUUCUUUCCCGCCAAAUGACCCAGACAUAUGAAAAUCAAAUUAGAUGAAGAACUAAACAGAUUCUUUUAAAGACCGCCUAGUAAUCCAAAUUGAAGAAGAUGACUUUAACAUGUUCCAGAUAUUUCUAACAACAUAAAAAUUGAAAAUCUAUUUUCUUCAAACAUAAGGAGGUAAGAUAUAAACUAGUUAAAAAUCUUUUUUUUAGAUAAUAAAUAAACACAAAUAGCUUCAGAUUUUUUUUCUUUCAAAAUCUCUAAAAAUAAUCUCCAGAUUUCUAACACAAAAUCUAUUUUUUUUCUUAAAGUAAAACAAACAUACCCUAAAUUUUUUCAUGCUUCAGCCACGUCAAGAAAGAGGUAAACCGCAUUAAUUUUUUGGAUAAUGAUGAAGGGGUACGAAUUGCUGAUGAACAAGGCAUGAGUCAGGUUGCAAAAGAAUAUUUUGAGACUUUAUUUUUAGAGAGCAAUAGUACUCGUGCACCGGUUGGUAAUAUAAUAGAAAAAGUUGUGUCUGAUGAUGAUAAUAUUAUGCUAACCGCUCCCUUUCAGGCUGAAGAAUUUAAGGACGCUAUGUUUUCUAUGCAUCCAGAUAAGUGUCCUGGUCCGGAUGGUUUUAAUCCGGGAUUUUUUCAACAAUUUUGGUCUGUCUGUAAUUCUGACAUUUUUCAGGAAUGUUGUGCGUGGCUCAAACAUUGCAUUAAUCCCUAAAGGUAAUGAGCAAAGAACCAUGAAGGAUUGGAGGCCGAUUGCUUUAUGUAAUGUGUUGUACAAAUUAGUGGCAAAAGUACUUGCUAACCGACUCAAAAAAAUCUUACACGAAUGUAUCUCUGAGAGUCAGUCAGCUUUUGUACCAGAGCGCUCUAUUCUUGAUAACGUCGUGAUUGCUAUUGAGGUGGUCCAUCAUAUGAAAGUUGGUAAGAGAGUUUGAGAUAAAAAUGUUGCACUUAAAUUAGAUAUUAGUAAGGUGUAUGAUAGAAUUGAUUGGCUUUAUCUCAAGGAAGUGAUGCUUAAAAUGGGUUUUGACAGUAAAUGGGUACAAUGGAUUAUGAUGUGUGUUGAAACUGUUGAUUACUCUGUCAUCGUUAACAAUGAGUUGGUAGGUCCGAUUAUACCGGGUAGAGGUUUGAGACAGGGUGACCCGUUGUCGCCUUAUUUAUUUAUUUUGUGUGCUGAAGGCUUAUCCCCUCUUAUUCGGAAAGCAGAACGAACUGGAGACCUCCAUGGCGUGUCUAUAUGUACUAAUGCACCUACCAUUUCUCACCUAUUGUUUGCAGAUGAUUGCUUUUUGUUUUUCAGGGGUGAUGAUAAUGAGGCACAAGUGAUGAAGAAUAUUCUCCAUACUUAUGAACUUGCUUCGGGGCAGGCCAUUAGUCUUCCAAAGUCUGAGGUUUUCUUCAGUACUGUUAUUCCAUUGCCUUUGAAGGAAACUAUUACUAAUAUAUUAGGUGUCCGAGCGGUGAUGGGCACGGAAAAAUAUCUUGGCCUUCCGUCUAUGGUGGGCAGAAGUAAAGAGGCGACUUUUGGUUUUAUCAAGGACCGUAUUUGGCACAAAAUUAACAGUUGGAGUAGUAAGUGUUUGUCCAAAGCUGGUCGAGAGGUAAUGAUCAAAUCGGUACUACAAUCAAUCCCAUCUUAUAUUAUGAGCAUUUUUUUACUUCCAAAUAAGCUUGUUGAUGCAAUAGAAAAAUUGAUUAAUGCUUUCUGGUGGGGCCAUGGCGGUAAUAUGCGUCGUGGAUUACAUUGGAUGUCCUGGGAAAGAUUGUCUGUUCAUAAAUUUUUUGGAGGCAUGAGCUUUAAGGAUUUGACCUCUUUUAAUGUGGCUAUGUUAGGGAAACAGGGAUGGAGGUUCCAAACAGAGUCUAGCAGUCUUGUUUGUCGAUUAUUUAAGGCUAGAUACUUUCCUAAUUCUGAUUUUAUUGGGUCCAAAAUUGGGCAUAACCCAAGCUAUGUUUGGCGAAGCAUUUUUAGUGCAAAAAUUGUGGUGAAACAGGGUGCACGAUUGCGGAUCGGUUCAGGGGUCAACAUACCUUUCUUGGGAGCCCUUUGGCUCAAUGAUGGUUUGUCUUUAUCCACAACUAAUCCUAUUUUUGAGCCUUUGAUGCAGGUGAAAUUAUGUGACUUUAUCGAGCAAGAUGUUAAAAUGUGGAAGGCGCCUCUUAUUCACAGUUUGUUUGAUGCGCAAACUGCGGAGCUCAUUCUCAAUACACCAUUGCAGCCACUUGUAUUGGAGGACAAAAUGAUUUGGAAAUGGGAGAAGAGUGGUACGUAUUCUGUCAAGAGUGCUUAUAGAAUUUGUGUUACUGAAAUUGCAGACAAUUCGCAUAUGCAUGUCAAUGGCCGGUGGAACCUUACUUGGAAACUAAAAGUGCCUCCUAAAAUCAAAAUUUUUCUUUGGCGUGUGUGUCGUGGUUGUUUUCCAACACGUGCUCGCUUAAAUAGUAGAGGAGUCUCUUGCCCACUUGAUUGUGUUCAUUGUAAUCAUAAUUAUGAAGAUAAUAUUCAUAUCCUUAUUGAGUGUCCUAAAGUUGUUCAAGUUUGGCGGAAUGCGAAUUUAUGGGACACAAUUGGCAGGGUGAUCCAUCAAGACUAUAAUAUUAGUGCUCUCAUUUUCACCCUUUUACAAAAUCUAUCUUCAGGGAAAUGUGAGCUGAUGACAACAAUUAUAUGGAGCCUUUGGAAAUGUAGAAACAUGAAGCUUUGGCAGCAACAACUUGAGACAGAUUCGCAGGUGCUUCAACGUGCAAUUCAUGUACUUGACGAAUGGCAAACAACCCAAAGAAUUAGAUCAAGCAGCAGUAACCAAACCAUAACUCCACAGGUUCGGUCUUUGAGACAAGAGGAUGCAUCCUUUUCUACUUCUCUUAACAGGGUUGGGUUGGGCAUGUGUCUUAGGGAUGAUGAUGGCGCUUUUGUACUUGCAAGAACAGAAUGGUUUGCCCCUAUUUGUGAUAUAGAUGUGGGGGAAGCUGUUGGACUACACACGGCUUUGGAUUGGCUCUCUAAUCAAAAAUUUGAUAAUGUAGAUUUUGUGCUGGAUUGUAAAAAGGUUGUUGAUUGUGUCAAUUCUAGUCUAGAAGAUAGUAGCGAGUUUGGAUGUAUUAUCACUGCUUGUAAACAGCUGCUAGUUGAUAGUUUUCAGAACUCUCAUGUUGAGUUCAGCCGGAGGCAAGCAAAUAGGGUAGCUCACGAGUUAGCUCAGGCAGCCCUAUCUAAUCCUAGCCCCCAUGUGAUUGAUGAUAUACCUACAUGUAUUUGGCAUAUUUUAUCUAAUGAAGUGCAAUGAUUUCCUUUCCUAAAAAAAAAAUGAAGAAUGGAGGGAGUAGUUUUGUCAUUGAAUAAUUAUGUGAACAAGACUCACGCAUUAGCCAAAAUAAUAUAUUAGAUGAGAACAAUUUUUUUGCACAUGAGAUAAUAAUAGUUUGGCUGUGUGAGAAAGAAAGAAAUACCGAGAGAAUAUAUAAAUGUUUAAGAAAUAAAAUAGGUUUUUUAUAAAAAAAAAAAGAAAUAAAAUAGGUUUGAUGUAUCGAUUGGUAUCCUAGAAGUAGAGGAAAGAUGAAGAAAGAAUUAAGAAGUGUCGAUAGUUUUUUAAAAUAUGAUAAUGCCCCUAAAUUAAAAAAGUUCUUCUACUUAAGCUAAUUUAAACUUUUUUUAAUUUAAUUAAUUAACCUUUCUUUUUUACAAUAAUUAAGUACUCCAUAAUUUCAGUGAUUACAUUAAUAUAACUAUUUAUUGAUUCAAAGUAUGUCAAAUAAUUCUAUAGAUUUUGGUUUGUUUAGUGUGAGAUACGAUUGACUUAAUUUCAAAGCACUCCAAUUUAUAGAAUUAUUGAGAAAUGUAAGUACUCUCAACUGUGCAUAAAUUAAUCAUCGGAUUAUUUAUUUUUCCUUCAAAAAUUCUCAAUUAACAAAAUUACUAUCAAUUUUUAUUGCAGCAUACAUAUACUUUAAAUGAAGAAAAAACAAUGUAAUAGUUGAAACUCAUGAAACCAAAAACAAUGUAAUAAUGAAAACUCUUGAAACCAAAAUUGUGAAAGUAUCUUUUUCAUAUUUGAAUUCACUGCAAAUUACGUGCAAGGCUAGCAGGUAUAAGAAAAGCAAACAAAUUCGUGCAAAUUGUGAAAUUACAGACCCAAAAGUGUUAUAAUUUUUUUUUGGUUGGUGAAAGAAAGAUAAAAAGUGCAAGUGGUAUAAUUCUUAAAUCAACUUAGUUAACUUAGUCAAUUCAUUAACACAAAAAGAAAAAUUAGUCCACUAUUUAAUUGUGAGAUUAUUAACAAUUGAGAAAAUAAAUUGAGAGGACUAAUUCAUGCCCGUCCAUUCAACGAAUAAAUUUUAAUCACUUACAUCAAUUUUUUAAUUGUGAGAUUAUUAAUCACUAUUGAAUGAAAAUACUCAUUCUAAAAUAAAUAUAAACAAAAGUGGUAGUUGUUUUUUGAAAAGUGGUAGUUGUUACCAUUCUCACUAUUUUAAUCACAUACAUCAAUUUUUUAAUUACCUUUUAUUUAUAUUGCAUUCCAAAGGGAGUAGGUAAGAUCAAUUAUUAAUAUGAAAAUUGAGAAUAAAUAAAUUUAAUGGUAAAAUUGAUAACAAUUGAAAGACCUUAGAGAAAAUAAAUUUAGAGGAUAAUUAUCAUCGAUUCAUUGUUUAAAAAAUAGUCUCGCAUUCAGUAAAAUGGUAUCAAAAGGAAAGUAAAUUAUGGACGUGGUUAUUUGUCAAUAUCAAGAAAAGAUGAAUGGAACCCACUUAUUGUAACUCUCUGCCUGCCUCUGGUACUCAUUUCAGUCUCAAUUAUUAGUAAUUUUCAUUUUUUAAAUUCAUUGUAUAAAUAAUAUAUGUGACCAUAAUAUAGAUCAUAUAUAUCAUUUAUUCAAUAUACUUAAAAAAAUGAAAAAUUGUCUGCUUGUCACAUUAACCAAAGUUUUACUAAUUUCUUAGAUCUAUGAAUAAGUUCUACAUUACUCUUUAUCAUCACUCACUUUGUUCCUCUCAAUCACCAUCCAAGACAAUAGUUUGUCUCAGUCAUGAAUUCUCAAAGAAAUGUUAGAUUGAUUACAUUAUCAAAAUAAAAGUGAGAAGUAGUACUAGCAAAUACAGAUGUGUAAACAAUAAGUCUCAAUAUAUUUUUCUUGCAAAUUAUUUUGUUUCCUUGGGCCCUUAUUAGGGUUUUGACCUAGCCACACAAAACCCAUCAAUCUCUCAUACAAUAAAUCUAAACCCUCCAAUCACUCAUCUACUAGCCGUCCGAUCAACCAUCUUUCAUUAUAUAACCAACCAUACAACUAUCUCAUUCACCAUCCGCCGUUACCAUCCACUUCUAUUCCUCUUGGCCCCUUUUCUAAAAUUAGGGUUUCUCAAUUAUUAGGGUUUUUCAAUUUUCUUAAUUUUUUUGUUCAAUUUUUGAAUUAGGCUUCACUAUCUGGUCGAUGUGGAUCAAUUCAAUUCCCAUUCAGACUCGUUCCCUUGAAGCAAUAUUAAUAUGUGUUGUUCCUUCAUUUCACUUCCAAAACCCCCUUUUUUGGUUUUGGGAGCAUGAAAGAACAACUAAAUUUUAAAAAAAAUCGUAUUUUUAUCAAUGGGUUUUCGUUUUUGAUUAAUUUGAGCAAAUGGGUUUUGCUAGUUAACUGUGAUGAGUCUUUAACAGACCUGUAAUGAAUUGCGGGUAUGAUCGCAUUUUUAUUGAACAUCUAAGGGACUGAGUUAACUAGUUAAUCUCCCAUUUUCUUAUUAAUUUUUGUUUUUAUUUUUUGUUAUAAUCCAUUUAGUGGCUUCAGAUUUUGAUUUUAAUUAUGCUUGCACCUAAUUUAUUGUGUUUGCAAUGUUCUAUGAAGCCUAUAAUUGUGUUCCCCUCGCUAUCCACUACUGCAAAUCUAAUGCUGUAUAUGGACGUCGGGGAACAAAAUUUCAAUUUUUUUUUACCAUGUGAUUAAAUGGUUUAAGCCGUUUUGAAUUAUUGCUUCUAGAUCUAUGUUUGUUUGUUAAUUUGAUUUGAAUUGUAGAUAAGGAUGAAGCAAUAUAUAUAAUCCAACACUUGAUCUGAUUUUGUGAUGCCAAAUAUAUUUAUUAUGUUUCUGAAUCUACAUUUUGGGCUAUAAUCGUAAUGUUUUGCUUGUAGGUUAAUUUAAUUUAUAUUUUGUAAAUAUUUGAGGAGUCUUAAUUUGCACUAUCAUGUGAUGAGUUUGGAAUAAAUCUUAGGACACCUUCCUACACAACAUAUGUUGUGGAUGAGAUGAAUUAUCCUUUCUGAUGAUGUUUACAAAUUUCUCAUUACUCUGUCACUAAGUUAUUUUCUAGCUACAUUUUAAUUUUUUAUGUGUUUGGCCUUCAUAAUCCCAGUUAAGAUUGAAUUUUUUUCAAGUGAUUACACUGAUUCAUGGAAGGCCAACAAUAAGUGUUGGAAGUUUCGCUGAUAAAUGCCUUUAAUUGAUUUUACAUCAGGGUGUUUACUAGUAACUUUACCGCACACUCAUUUCUAACUUUACCGCACACUCAUUUGGAAUAAAUCUUAGAUCAAAUACCCAGUUAGUAUUAGUGUGACUUAAUAUACGAUUGUUUUAUGGGUUUAUGAUGCAACUGGAAUUAGUCGGAAUUGUGACUGGAAUGAAAAGGUUAAUGUUAACAAAUAUGCGGCUGAUCUUGACCACUGUAUCUGGAUUCACUCUUUAAUUUCCUAGUACGGAGCAUUGGUUAAUUAAACAGUCUCAAGUUCAAGUACAUUUCAGUAUGGUUUCAAUGACGAAAAACUAGCAUGAUAUAAAAACCCUAAAACAAAUUCAAGUUAACCAACAAAUGCAAGACAAUACUAGAAAGAAGAAACUAGCAUUGCGAAAAACUUAGUGUGAAACAAGCUUAAGGCAGUAGAUGGUACUAGUUUAAAUUCAAGCAACAAUUACUAUCAUCUUACAAUACUAGAAACUGGCAUUGCUAGUUAUCAAGAGACAAGAGCAUCCACAAUGGGGCAUAUUUUUUGGUAUGGUGCACAAAUAGCAAAAUCACCAUUGAUUUAAUAUUUAAAAAUUCAACGGUCAGGAUUGCACACCUGGUAAUUGACUAGCAGGUAUUUCGUAAUAGUAUUCGAAAUUGCAGAAAUAUCCUAUGAAUUUAUGUAAUUAAAAUUAUAAAUUGUAGAAAUAAACCUUGAAAUUAAUGUAAUUAAAUUUGUAAUUUGAAAUUAAUAUAAUUAAUUAUUUCUGUUAAUAAAAAAAAAUUAUAUUUUUAAAUAAUCAAAGAAAAGUAUUUUAUAUUAGGCCUUUUUUUUUUCCCUUGUUAAAAAAAAUAUAUAAUUGUUGUUUUAUAAACAGAAUAAUGAAUAAUUUAUGGAUUUUUUUUUUAAAGACGAAGUCAUUAUUUAUUUAUUCCCCUUAAUUAUUCAUCUCUUCAAACAAAUAUUUGAGUUUUAAUAAGGUUUUAAUAAGCGAUGAACGAUGAAGAUGGUGACCGAUGAAAUGUGCGGUGAAUGCAGGUGUGCCAUCAUCGGCGUUUUGAGAUGGACGAUGACGAAGAUUAGGUUAUUUGAGUGGGUAUUCCGAACCGUUUUGAGGGCAAUAAGAUUGGGCUUUUUAGGUGGACCGGGCAAAAAUUAAUGGGUGACGGCCCAAAUAGAAGGUUCUGUUAAGGGUUGUUUUGAAUCUUAGCAUUGGUCGACGGCUGUGAAGAAAUUUGUAGGUUUGAAUUUUGAAAAUCUCUUCAUCGGCAGUGUCUUGUUGUAGCAGGUAACUUCAAUGUUUGAGUUAUAUUAUAAUCAUGUUAUUUACUAGAUGUUGUUGUUACUGCAGCGAUAUAAUUGAUCCGGAGUUGGAAGAAUUGAUGCCCAAUUUUGACUCACCUGCGGACGAAAAUCCAAGUGAAGAAGAAGUUGAUGGCCCAGUAUUUGCACAAUUACAAAAUUUUCAAAACGGUGAUCAUAUUUGGAUGUUGUUGGGAGUUUUUCUGGAUGGUUUUAAUUUUAUUUUUGCUGGAUUAUUUGCAUAUGGGCGCCUCUAUGGUUGGAAAGUAGUCAUUGUAUUUGUUUUGUAUGUGUAGGAUAAUUGAAAGUUGGAAUUGUUGUUGAUGAAAUGGACAAGAAUAUGAAUAUGAAGUUGUUGAUAAAGGAUAUUGGUUAGAGAAAUACGUUUCAAGUGGAUGGGUUGAGUUUGUUAGGGCAAAAGAACUCAAACAUGGAGAUUCGUUGAUCUUCAACAUUGAUAAUCUUCGACAACAAAUUAUUUGUAAAAGUCAUUAGGUGUGAUAGUUAGGUUGUACAAAUUAUUAUUAUGUUGCCAAUUUGGUUUGAUAUGCGAACACCAGUUUGAUUGCAACUAAACCGAUAACUACAUUGUACCCAGUUUAAAAACCUUAAAAAGCCACCAAUUAAUUGUUAAAGUCGCGACCACCGUAGUGGUGAAGUCAAGGGUACCACCGUAGUGGUGAAGUCGUGGUGAAGUCAAGGCUGGAAUAUAUCCAAACCGAAAAUAAGUUUCAACAUCCAAAAACAUAAUAAGGGCAUUAGAUGAUUACAUUUCAUAAAACAUAAUAACUAAUAUUUGGCUUCUUACUCCUUCAUCAUGCUCUUACUGGUGACGGAUAUGUCGAACAUACAUUUUUUUAGGCGGGUCCUCCAGUUGGAAUAACAAUUUGUCAUUCACCUUUAAACCACGGUCAACAACAAAUUGAAACCAUCCACCACCUAAACUCUUCUCAUGGUUCUUUCUUGGGGCUGUCCUAACCCAACAUUGAUAGGUCUUGCGUGUUUCCACAUCCUCCAUCGGCAUUCUCAAAUAUCUUUUUUUCAACACCUUUCUUGAUACUGAAUUUGGAAAAUGCUACAUGUACGAAGGAAACAAAAAAUUAACUUAUAUCAUCAUAGGGUUCAACUACCGAUGGUAGACAACAACAAAAAAAGAUACUUAGGUAUUUGUUUGUUUCACAUUAUUCAUGAAAUGAGUAAACCAUAAACCAUGAUUGGUAAAACAAAUGAAGAUAGAGAAAUAACAUAUAAUUGGAAAAAUAUUAUGAAGUUGACAUACCAGCACUUGAAGCUUUUUAAUGGAAGCCAAUGCUUUUGUGACAGUCUUCUCAAAGUGAUAGAAAUUAAGGUUUUCAGGUUCUUCUUCCUCAUGUUCUGCCUCCUCUUCCUCUUCAGUUUCGUCUUCCUCUACAGUUUCAUCUUCGUCUUCGUCUUCCUCUUCCUCCAUUUCGUUGUCAGAUACAAUCUGAAUUGGCUCCUCUUUAACACGUGUCGGGAAUACAUUUGGAACUAGGAUGUUUCCUAGUGGAGUCAAUCUAAAGAAGUUCUUUGCACCGUCAUAGUCUAGCCUAACUCUUGUUGGAACUUCGCAACCAAAUACCUUAGCAACCCUAACUCCCGGAGUCAUAUACACACCUACGUCAUCUUUUCCAAAAUGUGUUGUAAUGGUUAUCUCUUCAUCAUUUCUUAACAUUCCAGGAGCUUUUAGAUUGAAUUCUUUCUUAUUGUCCUUGUAGUACUGCUUUGGAAUACGUAUCCUCCCCUAAAUAAAAAAAAUAUUGUUAAGUGUGAAUCCGUGAAAAAUUAAUGUAUGUAAGGAUCGAGGUUUUUUUUACCUGUUCAGGCCAGAUGAUGGUCUCCAGAAUGUCACCUCUUAUACCUUCCUUCGACAUCCAUCUACAAUACAACAUAUGCAGAAGAAUUUAAUUUCAAAUUGUCACAAAAAUAGUACGUAAUGGAUAAAGUCGGAGUACAAAUACAACAAAUAUAUAUACACUUAGAAAGAUGAAAUUGUCAGAAACAAUGUUCAAAAUAAAUUAAAAUUGAGGCAGUCCAAAAGUGAAAGUAUGCAAGGAGACAAUUUAAAAUAUAAAAACGAGAAAAACAUCAGAAAAAUAUGCAUUGGACUUGGAUUUUUCACUAUUUGAAGGGGUGUAAAAAGAAGUUAUGGGCUUGUUUAAUAAAAGAAAAGAAACGGGUUGAUUGUAGCCCAAUAAUUCUUCCUCUCUAACCUAGAGAGUGAAAUGCAUAGUAGAGAAAGAAAAAAACCAGAACUUCAAAAAUGACCAUUUAAAAAAAACAGGCAAAAUUGGUAAAUAACAGAGGGAGAAUAAUAUGUUAGAGAACUGAUGAUGUGCAGUAAUGAAGAAGAAAUAUGUUUAUGUGUAGGAAAUUGGUGUAUAACUUAUGGGUAAUUUGGUAAAUAUAGAUGUCACUGAAAAGUUGAAGCUGCGUUUGCUUUGACGCAGAAGCUUGAACUUGUGGCUUCAAUCAAACCUGCGUUUGGACACUUCAUCAUGUUCUGCACAAUGACGUUUUCUUCUAUCCAAACACCACAGAAAAAACAAGACUCACGUUUAUAGAAGAAAACGCAGGUUUGGAACUUGUGGCUUCAAUCAAACCCGCGUUCGAAUCGAUCGAUCCUUUUUAUGUUUGUUUGAUAAAUCGGUUUUGAUAUUACAGAACUUGAGCGUUUUUGAUGCAAAUAAACUCUAAUGCCAUAAUAACCAUGAUAGUUGUGGAAUAGUUUACCUUGAUGUGUCGCCUUCCAUGAUGAUGGUGAAGUGGAUGAAGUGGUCCCGAAAGGUUUGUCUGCUUCUGAGAAAGGGGUUUGGUGGUAUGACAAUUGUGAAAGUGAUUGUUUGUGAGGAUAAAUGUCCUUAACAUAACAGCCACAUAAUUGAUUUCCAUUUUCCUUUUAAUUUUCCUCCAAAUAUUGACGUUACAACUCUCAAUAUUUGUGACAUUAUUUAUUUUUAAAAAAAUAUUGAUUUCCUUCUGAAAUUUUGAACUUCCAAACAAGAGAUCUACGAACAAGAUUGGAGGUUGGAGAUAACUAAUAAUAUUUGAGGUUAGAGAAGAAAAACAAAACAAGGAUGUAUGUGGUGUUUGAUGAACUUGGUAGGUAGAUCUUUGGAUCCGAAACAAGAUGAACUUUUUUUUUUUUUUGACGAAUAAACAAGAUGAACUUGGUAAUUGUUUCUUCAGAUCCAAAUUAUUUUGUAAUAUAAUCGGCUUUCCUUCAUUUAAUAUGCACACCUUUUUAAUAAAAACCAAUACAAAAACAUUUAUUAUUUCGGGGGCCAAAUGUGUAAUUGUCGAAAAUAUUGUGCUGUGUCUGAAAUAACAUUUAACACAAAAAUGGGGGUCAAUGUCAAAAAGUAUAUAAAACCUGCAAAACCGGCUAUCAUAUGUAUUUCCAAUUAUUUUCAUUUUUGUGCACCAUACCAAAAAAUAUGCCCUUGGGCAGGCUAGAUGCUACCCCACAAUGGUAGUUGCUUAAUGGAGAAUCCUUAAAUGGACUCUAUGUUAAUAAAAGUAAGGACUCAAUGAUUCCAAUGGAAAUAUACUAAUAUAGACUCCAAUGAAAAAUAUUUAAUCAGGUCUCACUAACUUUACAUCAUUAAACAAAAAUAAUUUAUUUAUUAAACCUCAUUUAUUUAUUGGUAUAAACUUAAAUUUCAGCCACAUAACAUUACAACUUUUACAUUCUUUCGUUAAAUAAUAAUAAUAACAACUAGUAUAGUGACCCGUGCCAGCACGGGGAAAUAAAAAACUUUUUUGAUCAUAAUUGUGGUUAUAAUUUAAAUUUGAUAAGAAAAAAACAUCAUCUUAAUUUUGUAUAUAUUUUGAAAUAUCUAAACAUUGCAUAUAACGAUAAAAGUAUUUGGAUUAUUAUACUUGUACUAAUUAUUUGUCGCAUAAGAUGCACUCAUUGUUAAACUUAGCAUAUGUAAUAUUUUUGCAAAAAUACGCCGAUGUACUGUAUAAUAAUAUUUGUUGACAAAAUGUAUUUUAUUAAUCAUAAAAACUAAAAAAUGUGUAUUUUUUUUAUAUAAUAGUUAGUGUCACAUGCAUACACGUAGUCGGUAAAUGCAAACGUUUGUUAUUUGUUUUUAAUUUUUACAAAACAAAUGGUCUAAUGUAAAUAUUGUAUUUUAGGAUAACAACGAUGUAAAAAAAAAAGAAUCCGCGACAAAGAAAUUGCAUGUCUAUAAUGAAAAGUACGCCUUACAAAGAAAUUAAAAAUAAAACGACUUCCAAACAAUAGGCAACUUUAGAUUUCUAAAUUAUAACAACAAGAAUUCUAAAACAUAACAAAUGAUCAUACUUUUUGAAAAACUUCAUGAUAUACAACAUUUGUGGUCUCCUUGUCUCCUUACAAACAUUAUUAUCCCUGGCUUAGGAAGAUAAACCCCCACUCGAGAUAAAGAUUGACCCUGGCUUUUAUUUAUUGUUACAAAACAAAGCGUCAAUGAAAAUUGCAUGCGCCUGAAUUUGAAGGGUAGUCCUGGAUCACUCGGAAUAAGAUUCAUCAUGGAAAUGAAUACCAUAGUACAGCUCUUUUUCCUGUAAUUACGGUAGCAGCUAUCGUGCUCUUCCCUAGGUGUAACUGACAACCUAGUACUAUUACACAGUCCAUUUGUUUGAUCGAUGUUUCUCAUCAGCAUAAUUGGACAUCCCACCCUUAGUUUCAAUCGGUGAUUUGGAAUUCCAGAGGUCUUAAUACCAUGAAGAAAUUCCAAAUGCGAGAUACACCAAACCUAAAAAUGUGAAAAACAACACAACCAACCCAUAUGCGAGAUGAGAAACCUUCUAAAUCCAUCAAGAGCUCUGGAAUUCCAGAUCUCUUAAUACCAUUAAUAAACUCGCAUUUGACUUUAUUAUUAUUAUUCUCCCUUCUAGGGGUUUCUUGACACAUUUCUCCUCUUUCAACUGAUUCAAUAUACCCCUUUUUUUUAUAUGACCUUUGAUUGUUUUGUGAAACUGAGAUUUGGUCGGUUAAACAUGCUUCAUAAUCCGUUAAGGGUUUAAUGUGAAUCAUCAUUGUCUCUGCAGCCCAUGCCACCAUCUUUAGUGGCUUUGUUUUCUAGGAUUGUAAGCUUCACCAUUUGGACGAUUUAGAUUGCGUUGGUGCGGUUUUGUUAUUCAAUUCAUUGUUUCAACUGUUGGUUUCCCUUCUUCGUAUUGGCUUCAGACUCUUUGGCUCGUAAGGGCGCUGACUUAGCGUUAUGGAUGUUUUUUUGUGUUUCAGUUCGUUUGAUGGCCGUUGAUUCUUGUUAAUGUCAUUUUCGUUAGAGUGGGUUGUUGGUUAGUGCAUGCUACAAUGUUUCAUUCAACAUGUUUUAGAGUUGGGUUUUGAUUUUUUGUGGUCGUCUUUAAUUUUGUGAUCCCAAACGUUCAUACACCACUUUUUUUUUUUUUGGAAUAUAGUUUCAUCCAUGUACGUGGGUCUGUUGGAUUGUGCUCGUGAUUAAUGUUCAUUUCUUCAUAUCCUGUUUUUACCCGUUUGCGAUGUAUGUUUAUUACCCAUUUGUGUUUGUUUUACUUUUGUGUAUUUUAGCACUGUUUCUAUUAGCAUCUAUGGUGUGUAGAUUUAUUGGGUCAGGUUUUGGUCCCCCAGUCAUUGUACUUCCUUUUUAUUUUAAUCUACUAUAUCCUUCGCUUGAAAAAGUUACACAAAAAAAUACAUCUUACAUACAAUUAACAUAUAUUUAAGUUAUUUGACAUAUAGGUCACCAUAUAUUUAAAGUAAAUUUAGUAUAAAUUAUAAAGCAGUAAUAAUAAUGUACCAUAUAAAAAUGCCAUUUGAUUUAAUAAAGUAUAGUUUAGGGACCUUGCAGUCGAUUCUAAUUUAGAGAUCAAGUUGGUGAGAGAGUGAUAGUUUAUGACUAAUUUUACUCUUUAUAUAUAUAUAUAUAUUCCUCAAAAAUUGGUCAUAGAUGACUCGCUGAAAACCAAAAUUGUGACGCUGUUUAAGCGAUUGGUUAUAAGAUAUUUCUCAACAUCGGUAUAAUAUCUUAAAGCUAAUGUUUGUAAUUUAUCAUUUGAUUUGCAUGUUUGGCGAGUAAAUCUCUUAGUUUGUCUGGGAUAACUCACUUAGUUUUUUUUUGUUAGAUGGGUUGGCUUUGUGAUAUAUCUGUAUGACUUUUUAUUUGUUACGACUUCAUGCAGACUAUGUUUUUAGAUAGUAACCAUAUAUGUUAAUUUCAUUUUGGAUUCUUCAAAAGGAAAAAAUAUAUUAGUAUAAUAGUAGUGAUUAGAUUUUACAUAAAAAGACAAAAGGGAGUUGACUUUGUAUAAUUAUUUCCAACUAAUCGAUGAAAAAUUUGAGUUUUUUUUUGUUUGAAAGAAGAAAAUGUUUUUUUUGUUUGUAUAAAAAAAGAAUAUAAUUUGGUUGCUUUUUGUGGAAUGAAUGCUAAGUGGUGAAUGAGAUUUAACAAUCAAGGUAAGAAAAUACACGUUCAUACGAUAGAAGCUCGUAAUAAUUAAUAUUGAAGAUAACAUGUCAUGAUGAGAUUAAAUAAAGAUAAUGUGAAAUCCUUAACACUUACAUUGUGUAUUUAAUGUUUUGGAAAAAAAAAUAUUAUGGAGCAAGGGUGAAGUGUCAUGUCACCAUGCUCUUUUUUUUACCGAACUUUGGUGUGUUGGAAAGUUGAGAGGAAAUACAUGAAAUGUUUUGCUUGUUAGAAAAGUUAUUUAUCCAUUAUCAACAAUUUCUCCACUUUUUCUUUUGCUAUUGUUUCAAGUAUAGUGGUAGAAUAUUAAACUACCAACAAUUGCAAUCCAUCAAUGUUGUUACCUCCACAUUGAAAUUGUAAUUAAUGGUUUUUAUUCAUUUAAGAUAUAAUUAACAUGUUUUUAAUAAAACGCUUCUUAGUUCCUUUAUAAUAAAUAACAUUAUCAAGACGAUAUAAUUGAUGUGCAAUUAAAUGGAAAAAUUAUUUCAUUACUCAUGAUAUUUAAAAUAAUAUAUUAUUUUCUCUAAAAAAAAAAAUGCAUUCUUUUCACUUUUUUUUUAUUACUUUCUUUCUUUUCAUUUUUUUUAUUACUUUCUUUCUUUACACUUUUAUAUGAUAGAAAAACAAUGUUACAAUUUCUCCUGUGUCGAAUCUCAAACCGAGUUUCUUGAGAUUGAAAAGAGAAACUCUCAACCAAAUGAUUUCUCGGAAGAUAUGCAAAUAAUGUUACAAUUUAAAAGUGACAUUAAUAAUUUUAAAUGAUAUAUGCUUUUCACUUUUAACUUCUUUUUUUUUUCUUCGUAAAUAUAUAUAUAUAUAUAUAUAUAUAUAUAUAUAUAUAUAUAUAUAUAUAUUUUGAUGAAACUUUGAAAUGUCGCUUUAUGAUUUUUCACAAAUUUUUCAGGAAUUACUAUUAUACAUUUAAAGUGAAAAUGACACGAUUCUUAUUGCCUUUUUCAACAAACAAUAUCAAACUUGGAUUUGAAAUAGAACACCAAAUUAGAAAUUCAAAUUAAAAAUGUAGUAUUUAAAUAUAAAAAAAUAUUCAUUUUGAAUUAUGGGGUUUUCAAAUUCAAUAUUUUGUUUUGUGAGUUAAUGGUAGUAAAUUUUUGACUUUUCAUAAUUUGUUUCCGAUUCAACAUCACUGCCAAUUGAGCAUAAAUUAAAUCCAUUCUCUUGCUUAAUACUCCUAUCAGACCAUAUACAUAUUAAAUUAACACACUCCAAAUAACAUUUGAAUCUAUUAGGCACCUACAAAUUAAACACAUGUAAAUUAUUUACCUUCUAUUUAGAUAGAUACACCUUAUCCCAACAUACCCAAUUAUUUUUUCUUUGUUCCAAACCUCCACUUUAAAGGAACCUUUUAUAAAUUUGAGCUACUUCUUUCGCAACCUUUAUUGGUGCCUUAAAGAAAGACAAAAUGAAAAGCGGUAAGCUACUUACACCGAAUUUACAAGGACCAACCUACCUCGUAUAAACAAAUAUUGACCCUUCCACCACAAAAGUUUCUUCUUCAAUAAAUUUAUUAUCAUAAUCAAUUUUUGUGUUAGCACCUAACGAAAUACUUAAAAGCAUAACUAACGACACACUAUCAAUGUUACAAGAAAGAAAAUAUAAUGCCACCUCCAUAAAGGGGUCAUCCAAAUAUUAAUUCGAAACUUUCCAAAAUAGUUUUGAUGCUCCACAAGUUUUCCCAUAAUCCGUCGUUAAUCAAUAUAGUAUCAUUUGCAUAUUGAAGUAUAUCGAAACAUUUUUUUAUGAAGAAACUAAAUUAGUUAAUUCAAAUUAGCAUCAUAGACAAUCGAACCAGAAACUUUAAGGGGAAACACACUCCGACGACUUAAGUCAACACCACUAGACCAAAGUAUAUCGAAACUUAAUUCAUUAUUUACCUUAAAACUUUUAAAAGCUUCAAUAUUUGUGUGUUAAUAUUACCAAAUUUUCCUUUGUUUGUGUGUGUAUUAAAUUUGACUUUUCAUAUUUCAAUGCAAGUUAGUAGUAUUAAUUAGGGUAUGUUAAUGAAAAAAAAAAUGUAUCUAAUAAUUUGAAAAGGGACUUACAUUUAGGGAUAAAAAGAAAAUCAAAUGGGUACCUAGAUAUAAGGACGGAGUGAGUAAUUACAAACAAUUAACAUGAGUUUCUUGUUAGAAUUAAGAUCGAUGGAUGCAAAAAACGAAAUUUAAGAAAGAAUUUUGAAUUACUCAUAGAAUUAAGAUUUGCAUCAAAUGGUAACGGAAAUCAAAGUCAUAUAUGCACUCUAAGUCGUGUCAUUUACAUCCAUGGUUUAGUAUGUUUUAGUUAUCUCGAGUCCUCAUUUUACAUUUAUUAUGAAUUCAAAUUCAAAUUUGAAUAAUAAUGUGUAGAAUAAUUAUAAAAUAUUUCAUUUAUUCACUUUAAUUUGACAUUUUCUUCGAUCGUAUAAAUUAUAAUGAGUGUUCUUAAUAUACGACGUGUUUAGACAAAUGGGUUCUAGUUAAUAAGCCGUUCAAGCGAGGUCGCCGGUAUAAAUGAGCAUAUUAGAAUUGCCUAUAUAAUUUCUCCAUCGUUUUUUAGAAGCACCUCUAAUUUUUUUUCGCAUGUAUUAAAAAAAUUGGUUUGUAAAUUUAAUGUGUACAUUUCAUACGUAAAAUUUAAUAAUACCCUUUGUAUUAUUUUUAAAGGAAAAUACCCAUUGUAUCUUUAACUUUCAUAUUUUAUUUGGGUAAUGAAUUCUUGCAUUAUUUAUGUUCAGAAAAAAAAAAAAAAAAGGGACAGCUUUGAUGAAAAAAAAAAGCACCUAGUUUUUUGCAAAUGAGCUCAUAAUUAUAUUUAGAGUAAAAAAAUUAUUCAAGUAGAACUUAUUAUUAAAGAGGGAUUAAGUUUCACCCAAACAUUGAAUCGCAUAUAUUCUAAAAUAACAUCUGUUUAAUACAUUAAAUUCCAUUUUGAUAGGUACAAAUCCUGUGCAACAAAUUCAGAUAUCAGAUGGUCUCAAUGUGCAACCAAUUCAGAUACUCACCUCUGAUUUGGCUGAGCAACACAGAGAGGAACAACAGAGUGACAAAUAUCUUGAUUUACGCAUUGUUGGUCAUUGGAGUGAUGUUGUCACCAAUCUAGACUACACUCAAGGUUCCUCGUCAUUGUGUGGCACACUUUCCUCAAGAAUUGAGGUUUUAAACCAAACGUCGCUCAUGAAUUGGAGAUUUUGCGGCCACAUUUCUUGAAGGGUAAUGAUGAUAGGAACUUUGUGCCUCAACUUUACACUGAUGAAGAAGAAAGAGAGGCCGCUAUCAAUUAUCUGAGGAACCGCACUGCUGCUUCGGAAGAGCCCUACAUUGAGGUGGCGUCUCGAUCCACAAAGAAAAAGAAGCAGAAGGGUUUUCGGAUUCACAAUACUCGCUCCGCAAGUAGGUUACCAGAUUGAUUCAUGAGCUUUCUAUGAGUUACUUUCCUUGUUCUUGUUCUUGUUUGUUUUCUUUUCCCCUUUGUUUGUAUGCUUUUAUUUUCUUGUUCUUUUUAAGUUUGGCAUUUGGCCCCUGUUUUUUGUUGCCUUUAUCAUUUGAGAAGGUUUUGGUUAGGUCCCCCUUCUCCUUUUGUCCUUGUUUCUUUUUAUGUUUAUAUAUCUAGGGUGUUGCAGUUGAUUCUUCAUCUGCGCCCCUUUUGUUUGUUUAAAAAAAAAAAAAAAAAUCUAUUAUGAUUUGUUAAAAAAAAAGUUUGAUAUGUUUAAAUACACAUGUCUGGAUUAUAAAUUAAAAUAAAAAGAUUAUCAUUUUCUUUGUAUGUUAUACAUAAUAUUAAAUGAGCUUUGUAACAAAAAAGAUGUAUUAAUUGCUUUAAAAAAAAUGUAUUAAAAUGAGAUAACAGAAAAAAGAAAUGAAAUGAAAGGUAGUAUUAUUAAAAUCAUUGCAAAAUAAAACUUGUCAAUCACCAUAUAAUUAUAAAAAGCACAAGGUAUUUUUUCUUGGUCACAAGACCAAAUCAAUAAUGUUUGGAUACGCGCACAUAAAAAAUUCUCUUUAAAAUAUUCAAUCAUCUUUUUUAUCAAUUUCCUCCUUCUUAUUAAAAAAUACAUAAGAUUUGCAUCAACAACGUUACUCAUAGAAUACAUUUUUCCCUUUGCAUCAUACUCUUGAUACACAAGAUAUAUACAUCAAAUUCAGUUUACAAUAGCAAGAAUUGGCAAAAUUCUCAAACAUGUAGCGCUGCUAAUGCUGGAUUCGACCUGUAAAUCAAAGUUUGGCAAAAAUGUUAAUCAAAGUUCAGCAAAUAAUAGCAAGAAUUAUACACCCCUAACAUGACAAUUAAAAAAAUGAUUAAUAAGAAGUCUACAAAUUCAUCCAUUAGAUCGAUUAGAAUUAAAACGAAAUCAAUGUAUAUUAUAAUUUUUAAAAAUGAUUAGUAAGAAGUAAGAAUGGAAGAUUGUGUUGUACCAACAAAAAAAAGAAGGAGAUAUUAUCACUUCACAAAUAAAUCAAAACAAAACUUCUACAAAAAAAAAAUCAAAACAAAACAAUAGGAACAAUCAAUCACCUUUGAUUCUCUCACAUGAUUAAUUUUAGAAAUUAAACCUUUUAUGAAAUGAGAGCAUGAUAAACAAUAAAAGAAUAAGAAAACAAAACCGAUUUAACAAACCAAGAAAAUACUGGUUUACUAACGACACUCUCAAAUACUAUUUGUGUUGAAUUUUGAAAGUAGUGUUAGUGAAAAGCAUGAGUCUCAAGACGAUUAUUUAUAGCCAAAGAAAUCAAAUAAUCACAACAUAAUUAACUUUGAUUGGUAGAAAAUUAAAAUAAAUGACAAAUGAUUGGUUGAAAUAGCAAACAAUGAUGCUAAUAUAAAAAAUGACCGAGCAAACUAAUGGGUAUGAUUAUAGGCUUAUUAACAAUAUUGAUUAUCAUUUAAAUCCUAUAAAGAAAGGAUAACUAUUUAUUGGAAUUUACAAAUUAGUUGGCCGGAAUCAAUGGAAUUUGGAAUAACUUUGUUUUGCUCGAUCAAUAGUUUAUGGACCAAUUUUAAUGUACUGUUCAUUAUACAAAGAAUGUUUAUAUAUUUUUUAAAGAAAAACUAUUAUUUUUUAUUAAUAAACCUAAAAAAACUAUAUUUUAGAAAGACACAUGAUUAAAAUAACUGAAUGAUUUCAGAAACAUUUUCAAUAGACAGUUUGUCCUUGUUCAUAUCCCUAACAAACCAAAGUUGAAUGACUCGAACCAUGAUAUUCCAAUUUUCUUUCGAAGGGGAAAUAUCAGAAACAUAAUUGAUUUUUUGAACCAUUUGAAGUGUAAAGAGAGAUACGAAAUCGAAAGAAAGAAAAAUGGAGAAUUGAAAUUCUGAUGUGAAGAAAGUGUUAGCCAAGAUGUCUAAUUUAUAGUAUAUUUUACAGGAUAAUUUCGUAAAAUAUUCACAUUCAACUCGACAAUUCAUAUUUAAAUUUAUAUCUUAGUCAUUAAGUAAUACAUUUUUUUUUUGUGAAGCAGCGUAAUUAACUUUUUCAAUCAGCCCAUGACUUAAGGUUUAUUUUAGCAAGUCCGUUAAAUACAAUUAACUGAAAUCAUAUUUUUGAUAUUCUUUGUCAAUCAUCCAUUUAUGAUAUUCUUUGACUAAUGAACUUAAUGAUACGUAUUUAAUUCCAAUUAAUUUUUUUGAGGUUAAUUUUUAAUUCCAAUUAAUCAGCUUCAAUUCCCUUUUUUUUUUUUCUGUCCUAAAAUAAAAAUAGCACAUUUCAAUGAAAUUUAUUGAAAAGAAAGAACAGUUUAAUAAAAACCUUAUCAAUCAGCCCAUGAUUAUUGUUUUUGAUAUUCUUUGCCAAUCAACCAUCUAUAUAAUAUAAAUUUAGGAAAUAGAAUAUCAUAAAAAAAUAAUAAGUUUGCAAUUAAUGGAAAUAGAAUAAAGUAAAUUUUAAUGAGCAAUAAACACCGAAAAUUGAAAUAGAGCAGGAUGAAAGUUAUUACUCAAUUUGGUGUUUAGAGUAAUUAAAAUGGGAAAAUAUCAUAGCAAUGGAAAUAGCAUUUAAUGAGCAAUUAAAUUUUUAUCACUAAAAAAAAAAAAUGACAUAGAGCAACACACUUAAUAAGAAAUUUAAUUGAAACGCUAUUUUGUUAAAAAAAAAAAAAAUUUGUCUAAUACCAUUAAUAUCAUUAUUACGAAAAUAAAAAGUAAGAAAUGUCUAACAUUAUUUGGUGUUUUUUUUUAAUAAACACUAUUAUGCGUUAUUAUUAAUAAAAAACAAAUUUGAAUAAUUCAAUCGAUUGUUUUAUUUUAAUCUUUGAAUUCAAAUAUUUUAAUUCAAAACUAUCUUUUUUGAAAGAAUUUUAAUUUAAACUAUUUGAUUAUUAAAAAAAAUUAUUUGAUUCAAAUUUGUACUUUUUGAAUUCGAAAUGUUUGAUUUCUUCUAAUAUAAAUUCAAGUAAUAGAAUUUGAUAUUGUAAAACUUCCUUUUAUACAUGAACAUUAAAUACAAAUAUGUAAGGAUGAUUGUGGUGAGAGCAUUUUGUGAGGAUCAAUAUGGUGAGAGUAUUUGUAAAAAAGAAAGGGACAUGUGGCAACACCAAAACAAUAGUAAUUCAUUUCCAUAAAAGUCUAUGAAAUAUGUCCUAAAUUUAUAUUAUAUAGAUUCAUUUUUUAGACAUAAUUUAAAAGUACCUAAAUUAGAGUUAUUUUAUUUGCCAAUAUACGACGACUGUGACCGGGUGAGUGCUCUCAAGUUGAGAACUGGUAUAUAAUAUUAUCUUAAUUUAUUUCUCCUAAAAACAUUUAUUCAUUUUAUAUAUUUAUAAUUUAAUUGAGAAUAAUUAUUAUACUCCAAACAAUCUUUAUCUCUAUUAUAAAAAUUUGGCUUCAUGAUUUUAAAAUGUACGUGUGUCACUUCUCCAUUCUAAUGAGCAUCAAUGUCUAAUCCUUCUCAUAAAAAUUGUUUACACAUAUGAUCCAUUUCACAAGACAAUGUCAAUGUAAUUUAGCAUUAAUCAUAGGGAAUAAAAAGAAAUAAAAUCUCCACAAUUUUUAUUUUGAAUUGAAACAAUAUCUACCAUACUAAUUGAUUACCUUAAAUUAUAUCUUUUCAAAAAAAUAAAAAAUGAUCUUAACUCUAUUAUGUUACAGAGACAAAAAAUUAACAUGGUAAAAAAAAAAACAAAAAAAAUUCAAUUGCCACAAAAAUGAUAUGAACGAAAAAAUUGGUUUAAUGGUAUGUCAAAAAUAAUAAUUCUUAACGGUAUCAAAAAACAAAUAAGCCAAUUAAAUAUAAUAUAAAGACUAAUAUUAUAUAUUUGUAUUAUACAAUUCAUUUUCUAAUGGAGGAAACAUAAGUAUUUGAUUGAUUGCAUUUUUAAAAAAAAAUACGUCUCAAUAUUUAAUAGAAAUUAAUGUCUCAAUUUAAAUACAUAUUAUAUCAGUUUCUAAUUUAACCCUUAAAAAAAUCAGUUUCUAAUUUAAAUGCAUAUAUUAUCUCAAUCAAUUAUGUUUAAUGGUAUGAAACAAAUAAGUAUAAAUUUUUAAAUGUUUUUAAAAAUAAGUAAGCCUAUUAAUUCUGUUUAAUAGUAUACGUUUGCAAAACAAAAAAAAUCAACUGUAUAUCUACUUAUAUAGUAUAUGUUUGUAAAUGUUUUUUUCCAACGGUUUUGUAUAUGUAUUUUACCAAAGGUAUAUUUCUACAAAUAAGUAAACCAAUCAAAUUUUAUAACGUCGUCACAUUUUAACACUUCAACCAAUAACAAUGUAGCAUGUGGCAUCUUUUAUCUAAUAAUCCAAUCAGAAUACGUUGUUUUGUUUAUUUGCAUCAUAUUUUUUAUUUAAUCAAAUUGCACUUUACUUAUACCAUUUAUCUACAUAUGCUUUAUGUUUCUUCAAUCAUUCCAUCUUCCUAUUUCUCUUCCAUAUAGCGUUGUCAAACUCUUAAAAAAAUUAUCGUGGUACCAAAAUAUAAUUACAUCUAUCAUAUCAACCCGAUCAAAGUUGGUUCCACCCUAUUUUUCAUCAUGGUGCCUAUAAAUAUUGCUACAACUGACUUCUUUAAAUCUCGCAUAUUUUUCUUUGGUUCUUAAUUCUUCUGAGUUUGCAUUAUAUUAAAAACCAUCAUUUUAUGUUCAAACAUCUUUCUCCCUUCAAAAAAAAAAAUGUUCAAACAUCUUUCUAUCUCUCUAUAUGUUUCAGACUAUGUCUCUUUUUUGUUCAAUUUUCUUCUUUUUUUAGAAAGGAGUGAAAUAUGUUGAUUGUUCUUCGACCAAUUAUUUUUUGGGUUUGUCUAAAUUUUAUUGAUUUGUUCUAUUUUUUUCCAGUUAUUUAAAUUCAUUCAAAAAAUAGAAGCACGAGACUACAAUACAAGGAUUGAAGUUCAACACUAUAAAGAAUAUUCUUUUUAGGGGCACCGCAAAUAUUUUAGAGUUGUAUAUUUUACAGAACUAAUAAGUUGUAUAACAUCUCAUAAAUAUUUGUAUAUGUAUACAUACAAAGUUGUAUAUCUUAAUGAAUGCAUACGUUGUAGAGUUGUAUAUUUCCAAUCGGACAACAAAAUAUUGAAUGCUUUUGCUAUUAAUUUUUUUUGGGUGUUCAAAGAACUCUGAUCUACAAAUUUAAGGAGUUAAGGAAGGAAAAAGUCUAUUCUGAGUAACUUUGGUGUUGCUACAAAUCUUGGAUCUUAUUGGACAAAAAAAACAAGACAAAUUUUGAUUAUUAAAUGUUUGCUUAAACGGAACAUAGCAAUAGCCAAAUAAAGCCAGAAGGAUGCACAACAUGCUAAAAACUAUGGGAUUGUGUGGUGGUUUCAUUCAAGGAGCUUUUUUCCCGUUUCUUUCAUGAGAAAGUAAGGAUUAAACGAAUGACAUCAAAAAAUGAAGAAAACAAUUCGUCGUAAUGACAAGACUUCUCAUGAGCCUAAAUUGAGUUGGAUAAUCAUAUUAUACUAAGAGAAAUUGCACAAGUGAGAUUAACAUCACACCUUCAUCCAAAUUCUAAAGGCAUUAGAUACAAGGGCAAUCUCACUAUAUGUUUUCCACUUUCUAAUAUUGCAUGCAAUCUGGAACUUUAACUAAUAUAACACAUAUUAACAUCUCUUCCUUUACGUGUUAGACUCUUCGCAUCGGUGAUUUUGUAAUAUAGCCAAAUAAAAUCAGAUGAAGUCAUUUGAUGGUAAAAAAAAAAGGUGGGUUGAUGGUGAUUUAAUACAUGGGGAUUUACGUUCUUUUAUUUCAUGAGAAGUUAGAAAAUAAAUUAGAAAAGGAAAGAAGAUAAAAAAAAUAAUUUGAACAUGAGAGAAAUAAUAAGAGAAAAAUAUGUAAUGUGGGUUUUAUCGGUGAUAGUAUAUAAUAGUUUGAGUUACCGGUAAUUAUAUGGUUUUGUUGAAGAAGUUGAAUAUUUUUGGGUUAGUAUUACCAAAGAGUAUGACUUUAUUAAAAAAACAUCACAUCAUUUUAAAAUGUCUAAUAAACAUAUAUUUUAUAAACUCAUCAUAACUCAUCUGGAUUUUCCAUUGUCACAUCCCCCAAAGACUAGAAGUGAAGGAAUUUAUAAUAAUGGAGGUUGACUACAAAAAUACAAUGAAAGCUAAUGACAUCCGACAACAAAGUUUUACAGAAAAAAGGUUAAUUAAAAAAAUAUUGCAUAUAAAUAAGAUUUUUUUUUGGUUUUAGUCCAUAGAAAUAAGUCACAUUUUUAAUCGUUGUAACAUUUUCCUUUGAACAUUUUAUAGCCCAAAUUGUUGACGGAAAAUUUUACAGUGACUAAAAAUAAUGCUGACAGAAUAAUUUUACAAGGGCCAAGAUGUGCGAUUUAUUUUUGUAGAAAUUAAAAAUGAAAUUCUUCAAUUUUUUUUUUUGGUACAAAGAAAUUCUUGAUAUUUAUAGAGACCUUUUAGCUAAUUAACUCUUCAAAAAAUAGCAAAUAACAUCGAAAAACCGACAAAAUAGUUCAUCAUAAUGUUGAGUCUACAAAGGAAGCCUAGAAUUGGUCGAAAUAUCACAUUAUGAUAAUAGCAAUCACACAAGUGAGACUAACACCACAUCUACGCUUAAAAUGUAUAAUAGAGUAGUGCUAGCACACUCUCUUUUGAACACUCUCUCUAAUACUCACUUUCUUAUUGGUUUAAAUCAUUGCGGAUCUACACUUUGGAGAUAGAACUCGCAUAAAGUGGUGAGACAUACAUUGAUUUCAUCCAAUAAAAUAGUGAGUGCUAAAGAGAGUGUGCAAAAGUGAAUGUUGCUAGCAUUCAACAUUUAAUUUGUCAACUCAGUAUUACGCGUCUACAAUUUUAUAAUCUAUAAAAUACUAAAGAUUGACUAAAAAAAUAAGUAAAAUUUUUAAACAACGGGCAUCUAAAAUAAAUAAAAUAGUUUAUCAUAAUGUUGUGACUUUCAGGGGAACAUAAACUGAGUUGAACAAUCACAUUACAUCAAUAGAAACCAUAAAGUGAGACGAACACCACAUGUUCAGUUAAAACCUUAAAGCAUUAUGUAUGAGUCAUCUCACUUAUAUUAUUCUUACCACAUACUCACUCAUAUAUGACAAAUUAACUUCUCUCUUAAAUGUGAGACUCUUUACAUCUGCAAUCUGGUAACAUAACCAAAUAAAGUUAUACUUAGUCACAACAUUGUAAAAAAAAAAAAAAAAGACUUGCGGUGAUUUUAUGAAGAGAUGUUUCUAUUCCUCUCAUUCAUGUGAACAAAGAAACUAAACCAGAAAAAGAAAUAAGAUGAAAAAGAAAUUUUAACUUGAGAGAAAUGGUUAUGAAAAAAAAAAAAAAAAAGGAGUGUGUGCUUUGACCGUGAGAGUAUAUGGAAUAUUGUUUGUUGCUGGUAAUUUUAUGGGUUUCUUGAAGAAUUUAGAGUAAUUAAUAUACCAAAAAUUAGACUCAAAUUUAAAAUUUUAAAUAAGCGUGUAUAUUGUCAACUUAGCAAAACGGCAUAUGCAUUUUUCCAUUGUGAAGUUCUACCAAAGACAAAAAAUGAAGGAAUUUGAAAUAAGUGAGGUUGAAUAAAAAAAUAGCAUGAAAAUGAACGAUCUCCAAUAACUAAAAUUUAACAUACAAAAAUUAAAUAAAUGAGACCCACCAGCUAACAAAUAAUUCAUCAUAACUUUGGGACUUCCAAGGGAUCCUAUCUUGAGUUUUAUCACCACAUUAGACCAAGAAAAAAUACACAAGUGAAAUUGAUAUCCUUCCAUCUCACUUAUAUGUUGUUCAAAAUUUAUCAUUUCAUCCAAUAUAAAUUUUUAACUCAUACUUGACACAUUAACACCUCUUAUUCAAAUUUGCAACUCUCCUGUUCAUAAUUACGUGAUAUAGUCAAAUAAGAUCAAAGGAAGAUACAAUAUGUUUAAAAAAGUUUGUUGGCGAUGGUUUCAUUACAAGUGGUUUAUGUUCCUUUCGUACAUGGGAAGGGGGGAAAAAAUAGAAGGAAAUCAAUUGAAUGUAUUUCAUGACCGUCUUUUCACUAGUUUAUAUAAGAAAUGUACUAAUAGAUUCGACGAUAAUUUGAUGAGUUAAAAACACAUGACUUAUCAUAUCUGUUUAAUUCACGUGACAAUACAUUAUUAAAUGUAUUUGUAAAACUUUUGUACAUUGAUGUAUAUAAGUUAAGGAAAAUGUUGGUGAGUACCUAAAAGCAUUCUUUAAGAGUUUAAAAUAGUAAGUUUAUAUGAAAAAUUUGAGUAAUGCAUUGAAAAUUUAAAUGUUUAACCUUUUAAAUAUAUGCAUUGAAUUCUUCAAAAAUAUAUAUAUGCAUUGAAUUAAUUUCUUUAUUUAAAAUUCUUAAAGAGUGUCCUAAGGACACUCGUUAGCAAGACCGUGAAUUAAACUCUCUAUUAGUUGUUCCAUAAGUGUAGCUCAGUUGGUAGCUAUCAGAGAUAAUUUAUGCAGGGGCCGGGGUUCGAACCCCGAAUUCGCCACUUCUCCACACAUAAUAUGUGUGAAUCUAGCCACUAAACUACUUGAUCAAAAAAAAAAAAAAAACUCUAUUUGUUUCACAUUAGUCAUUUAAGUUAUACAAUGAAAAAUAACUUGGUUGAAGAAAGAGAGAUGAUGAGUUUUUUUUAUUAUUAUAAGUUUUUAUAUAUUUUAUCGAUUUAGAUCUGUCACGUCAGAUGUUACAAACCUUAAAUUUAGAGGACCACAAACGUAGUUUAGUCUUUAUUAAUAAAUAACUUACUGAAUUAGUUUUCGUUAUUGCUUCCUCAAUAUUCUUUGAAUUCAUACUUCAUAGGUUGACAGUGGCGGAGCCACGUUCACCUCAGGGGAUGCACAUGCACCUCCUCACUAUUAUAAUUUUGCACCUACUAUGCUAUUAUAUUUUUAUGUUGAAUCCCCUCAAUUUUCUAUUUUGCACCUCCUUUGCAUCUGACUUUAAAAUAUGUUCGUAGAUUUAGGCACACAUCUUUUUUCUAUUGGAUUUAUUUAUGUGCUGGCCUGCUGGAACCCGCCAUUAGUUAUUACCGAUGCAAUUCAGCUUUUCUUGUCGACUAUAUUUACCUUCUUCUUAUUAUUAUAUGGGUUUUUCCAUCAUGUAAUUUGCACAUGUUAAGAAGUUUAAAGUAGUAACUUUAACUUGGAACUUGUGUUUUUUAUAUUAAAUAUGUAGCUUUUAAUCAAUAAUUGUUGGUUUUUAAUGAAAAAUGACUACUUUUAGUUAUCUUAACAUGUGCAAUAUUGCACAUGUUAGACAAACCCUUAUUAUUAUAUUAUAAUAAUUAUUUACUGAAAUACCAAGAUUGAAUCUCCUGCUAUUGAAUUUAACAAGAUAUACCACCAAGCCCAUACGAAUCAGAUUGGUUGAUGCGCGCAAGUGUUAUUUAUAACUCAUAUUUCAUAAAAAACUUUUAUUACCUUGUUAAAAAACUUUUUCUUUUCUAAAUUAUUCAUGAUAUUACUUUUCUAUAUUAUUGGUGAUUGAUGAUAUUACUUUUCUAAAUGUUAAAUGGUAAAUAUUAGAAUUUACGGUUAGUGUAAGAAAUUUAAAAAAUUUAUAUGUUAAUAUAACAACUUUUGAAGUUAGCCAUGAUCAUUUUUAUGUUAUGAAGAUUGUAAAGACUAUGUUGUGUAAUCAAAUGGAAGCAAUGGGAUGUAUUACACCACAAAAAAAAAAAAAAUAAGGAGGUAAUGGAUGACCGAUUAUUAUCUCAUGACUUAUAUUGAGAGAUGAGUUUGAUAACAUGAAUAAUAGGUUGAUAAACCGCAUUUGGGACCAAAAAAAAAAUCGAUAAACCACAUAAUGAAAAAUUGUAUAAUGUUUUUAAUUUUGAUUACAAUUUUUUUAUGAAGGAUUACAAUUUUUAAUCAGUUGGUAGAGACAAUGCAUAAUAUACGCAAGGUCCGGGGUUCGAACUUCAACCACCAAAAAAAAAAAAAAAAACAUCUAAAUUCGUGGCUUGAACCCCCUGGUCCAGGGUCCUGGCAACGCCAGUGGGUUCACCAUAAGCCAGCUGCUUAAACUUUCAGAGCCUAUUGUACAGUACAGUUUAUAAUCUUCUUCUCUUUUCAUCUGUUGCGUUUUUUAAAUAUGACAGAGGCCUUACUUGGUGUUGCAUUUGAGAAUUUAUUGUCUCUUGUUCAAAGUGAAUGUUCAACCAUUUCCUGAAUCAAGUUUAAUGCUCAAAAGCUAUCAACCACCUUAGAUCUUAUCAAGGUUGUUCUUGAAGAUGUUGAGCAUAAGCAAGUCUCAGACCGCUCUAUUAAGAUAUGGCUUCAACAAAUCAAAGAUGAUAUAUAUGUGCUUGAUGAUAUCCUUGAUGAGUGCUUGAUCGAGUCUGGUCGAAUUAGAGGCUCAUCCUCUUUCAAACCAAAGAACAUUGUAUUUCGCCAUGAGAUCAAUAGGUUGAAAGAAAUUACCAGAAGAUUAGAUAAGAUUGCUGAAAAUAAGAACAAAUUUCAUCUAAGAGAGGGUAGAUGACUUAGGGAAAGGCCACAUGAAGUAGCUGAAUGACGCCAAACCAGCUUUGUUAUUGCUGAACCAAAAUUGUAUCGGUGAGAAGAUGACAAUGUUAGCGGCCAACUCUCGGGAGGGAUUUAGUCCCACAUCGGAUAGAUAGGAUUCUUGAGAAGAGUUUAUAAAGAGGAGGAACUCCUCACCGUACAAGUCGGUUUUGUAUGGAUCAGUUAGGCCUCGAUAUUCGUGACAUGGUAUCAAAGCCUAUCGGGUCCAUCGUUGGGCUUGCAUCGUCCACGCUUCAGGCCCGUUGGGACCGCGAUGAAGUGUGAGGGGGUGUGUUAGAGGCCAACACUUGAGGCGAUUUAGUCCCACAUUGAAUAGAUAUGAUUCUUGAGAAGAGUAUAUAAAGAGGAGGCACUCCUCACCGUACAAGCCGGUUUUGCAAGGAUAUGAGUUAGGCCUCGAUAUUCGUUACAGACAAAGAUAAGAUUGUCAAGUUUCUUCUCACCCAAGCGAGGGACACUGACUUCCUUUCCAUCUAUCCCAUAGUUGGUUUAGGAGGUAUUGGAAAAACAACUAUUGUUCGAUUGAUCCACGAUGAUAUUAGGGUGAGUGGAAAUUUUAAUAUAAUAAUUUGGGUUUGUGUAUAUGAGACUUUCUCUCUCAAUAGGAUUGUGUGUUCUAUUAUAGAACCUAUCAUAAGAGAGAAGUGGGAUGGCUUCAAUUUAGAUGUAAGGUAAAAUAUAUUUGUUGAUUUUGGACGAGUGUGGAACAAAAAUCAAAAACUAGAAUUCGGAUUAUGCCAAGAGAAAUGGAAUAUGUUGAAAUAUGUGUUGUCGUGUGUAUCCAAAGGUAGUUUCAUUUUUGCGUCCACUCCUGAUGAGGUUGUUGCGACAAUCAUGGGAACUUGUAAAACUCAUCCUUGUUCAAACAAUAUGUUGGGAAAAAUCCAAGUCCCACAUCGGAUAGAUAAGACUCUGAAUUAGAGUUUAUAUAGAGGAGGCAAUCCUCACCUUACAAACCGGUUUUGUAAGGAUGAGUUAGGAGUGAUGAAGUAGUGAUAAAAAAAAAAGAAAAAGGAAUGACUUGAAAUUAAAGAGAGCGAACUUUGGGUUUUACAACAUAAUGAUUAUAGUUUGUCUGAUUUGAGGUUGAGCUACUUUCAUUUAACUCCAACCUUAAAGCAGUGUUUUGCUUUUUGUGCCGUGAAGGAAUAAUUGUUUUAUCUCUAGAUGGCUGAUGGAUUUAUUUCAUCUAGGCGUAAUUUGGAGGUCCUAGAUGUUGCUAGCAUGGCUUGGAAUGGAUUGUGCCAAAAACCAUUCUUUGAAGACAUCAAGAUCUAUGAAUAUUCUAAAGACAUUUCUUUAAAGACGCGUGAUCUUUUCAAUGAUCUUGCUCAAUCAAUACUGGAGCAACAAUAUAUGUAUCUGGAGAAUGCAAACAUGACUAGUUUGACAAAAAGCACCCAUCACAUAAGUUUUGACUCCAAUAAUUUGUUAUCAAUCGAUGACGGUGCCUUCAAAAAAGUUGAAUCCUUGCGAACAUUGUAUGACUUAUAAAAAUAUAUUCCACAUAAGAACCUAUAUUGCAUUUUCUUAGGUGCAUAUUUUAGCUAUGACAUUUCUUAACAAUGUUUUGUAGAGAAACCUAUGUUGCAUUUUUUAGUUCGUUUUAGUAACUUUUUGAUUUCGUAUUGUUUAGAAGGGACCUUAUAGCCACUUCGAGUACAUCGAAGCAGCUUUUAAAACUUGACAAAUUAACGAGGUAGAGCAUGUGAUAUGGGAAACAAAGUUUGUAUAUGUUGAUAUGUAAACUAAUGAAAUAGAUGUCUAAUUGAUUUUCUAUUUGGGACUCGAGAGUUUCAUAUCUUAAUUAUGUGUAUGCACAAACGAUGUAGAUGCAAUACAAGAAUGAUAUUAGAGGUCCACAUAGCAAUAAAAUUAAUUAAUGAAAAUAUUAUAACUAUUCUCAUCUAUACUAUAUAUAUAAAGAAAAUAGUGUGUUGUAUUUUUUUUCUGACUUUUUCUCUUUUUAAAAUAACCAUCAACUUUCAAUAUAAAUAACAACUAUAACAAAUUGAUAAGAGUAAAUGAAGUAUAACAAACACGAUGAGUGUAAAUAUGUUCAGUUUUUUUCUUUUAUCCUUUAAAGGCGUAACAGACUAGAUAAGUAUAUUUAUACUUACUUUUUCAUUAUCCCAAUUAUACACUUAUACAAUGUUUUCUAUAAUAAAGAUUGUUGUUGGUUUUAUUAAAAAAAAAAAAAAAGAAUUUAGAUUAUAUUUUUUUAAAAAAAAUUAGAUUAUAUUUUUUUGUUAUAUUGUUGAUGUCAUUGAAAUGGAUAGUCGUGAUUAGUUUGAUUUGUUAUAAUUUGAAAUUAAAAAGAAUUUAUAUUUUUACUUUUAAUCAAAAUCAAAUUUCAUAACAAAAAACACUUAUCAUAAUUUUCAAAUGUUAGUGUGAUAAAAAAACAGAAAGACGGACACAUGAGUGCAUGUCUUUCUACUAGUUUUUAUAAUUAGAAUAUUAUAGUUAUUCUCAUUUUAAUUUAAAAGAUAUAAAAAUUAUAAUUAAAAAAUGGCUUAAAUAUGUAAAUCGUCCCUGUAAUUUGGCGUAUUUUUUGUUUUCGUCCCUGUAUCUUUUUUUGUUCUAAAACAACCCCUAUAAGUUAAUAACUUUUUGAUUUUCGUCCCUCCUGUCAACUUCCGUUACAAAAACGCACAUGUGGAAAACGGAGGAUGACGUGGCAGACAAUGCUGACGUGGCAAACUUAUUGAUGAGUCACACAGUGAAAGGUACCAAAAUCAAAAAACGAAAUUUGUAGAAGGACCAAAGCCAAAAAAACAAAAUUCGUAAAGGGAACAAAACCAAAACCAAAAAACGAAAUUUGUAGAUGGACUUGACUAUUUCCAGGACCAAAACCAAAAAACGAAAUUUGUAGAGGGACCAAAACCAAAAAACGAGAAGACGAAAAAUUCAAAUUUAAUUACAUUUCUUCAUCUUCUUCUUCAUUACUAUCAUUGUCUUCAUAAACUUCAUCAUCAUCAAACAAACACAAAAAUUUGUAGAUGGACUUGACUAUUUCUAGGACCAAAACCAAAAAACGAAAUUUGUAGAGGGACCAAAACCAAAAAACGAGAAGACAAAAAAUUCAAAUUUAAUUACAUUUCUUCAUCUUCUUCUUCAUUACUAUCAUUGUCUUCAUAAACUUCAUCAUCAUCAAACAAACACAUAAAUUCAUCACUUCAAAAUUCAAAAAUCCAUCAACUUAAAACAACAACAAACUCAAUCCAACACCUUCAAUUAUACCUUCAUGUGAUAACUUCUCUUUUAUUUCUUCUCACAAACAACAAAAUCAAAUUAAACCAAUAUACCCACUAUUCAACGUGCAAUCCAAUUUCACACACUUUAAAAUCGUUUAAAAUAAAACUUAUCUCAAUUCAACAUUCCAACAUAUUUUUCAAUUCUAUUUAUUAUCCCUCUAGAUCUUCAAAUGAAAAGAAUAUUCAUAUCAAACUUGAACCUUUCUCUUAUAAUCCAAUUUCACACAACAAUCUUCCAAAUCAAUCGGAAAAAAAGAACACAACCCAAAUGUUCGAAACAAAAAUGAUGAGAUUAGAGUUCAAAGAAUUGACGAAGAAAGUAUUUGGAGUGACCAAGAAAUAGCAGAGAUGCGAGAUCAAUGAUGAGACGAGAGUUGGUAAUGAAAAAAAAUCAUUCUUUAGGUUUUUCAAUUUGAGAAUUUUGUGAAUUUUUCAAUAUUGGGAAUUCGAGCAUUCACAAUGAGGAUUUUGUUGUUAUAAUUUGAUUUUGAUAUUAUCAAUAAAAGUUUAGUGGGACUAUGAACAUUGUGGAUUUUAGUGUUGAGAUGUCAAUCUGACCAUUGUCAAUGGGAAUUUUGUUUGGGUUUGUGAGAAGUUGUCUAUUGAGAGGGAGAUGAUGAUUUUGAAGUUUUUUUUUUUAUCUCUUUUCUGAGUAUUUUCUCUUGGGUUUUUUGAUGAUUUAUGAAGACAAUGAUGAAGAUGUAUAAGAGGUGGAAGGAAGAAGAUGAAGAAAGCUAUUUUUUUCUCGCUUUUUGGUUUUGGUCCCUUUACGAAUUUUGUUUUUUCGGCUUUGGUCCCUCUACAAAUUUCGUUUUUUGGUUUUGGUCCCUCGCACUGUGUGACUCAUCAAUAAGUUUGCCACGUCAGGCACUGCCAUGUCAUCCUCCGUUUGCCACAUGUGCGUUUUGUAAUGGAAGUUGACGGGAGGGACGAAAAUCAAAAAGUUAUUAACUUACAGGGGUUGUUUUAGAACAAAAAAAGAUACAGGGACAAAAACCAAAAACACGCCAAAUUAUAGGGACGACUUACAUAUUUAAGCCUUAAAAAAUUGACUAAUGACAACGAUCGUUGCCUCAUUAUAUGAAUUGUAUCUUCGAACGACGUUCAGUAAUAACUCAUCUGUAUAAAAUAAUCUCAAAUUAAUAAAGUGACAAACAAAAAUAAGGCAAAAUUUACAAAUAACAAUUUAUCACUUUUUAUAAUGAAUAAAAAUGUGUAAAAGUUUUUUUUUUUUAAAUAAAAGAACUUUUGUAUAGAAAAAAAAAAGUUAUAAAAAACACAAGUAAGGUUAUUAUAAUAAAUUUGUUGGUCAACUUGUUUUCCUAAAUUUAUUUAUUUAUAGUAGAUAGAUAGGUAUCGGUGAAUGACCUCCUUGCUUGGAUUGAUGGUGCAUAAUAUUAGUACCUUGACUUUGUAAUUAUUGUAACUGUUGCAGGUGUCUUUCCUUCUCACACCUUGUGCAGGGAGUCACUGGUGUCUAUAAUAUAUCUCAUUUUAAUUUGUUAAAAAAAAAAAAUUCAAAAUCGUAUUGAAACUUAUAUUUAAUUAAAUAAAUAGAAAGGUCUUUUUUUUUUUUGACAAGGUGUUCUUUUUGUUAAGCAGUACAUAUAUGCAUAUUAUAUUUUAGAGGAGUAAUAUUUGAACACUCAUUUGAGACAACUCUUGUGACAACUUUCUCUCUCUCUCUCUCUUCAUUGGUCAAGAACAAUGGAGAGAGAAAAAAGAAGAGAGAAAAUAAAAGUAUAAUGUGAGUAUGAAAGAGAAAAUUGUCAUAAAGUGGUUGUACAAAUAUCAUUUCUCAAUAUUUUAUUGAAAAAUUGGUAAAAUAGAUAAGACUUGUUAAGCUGUCCAAUAGACUUGUUCAAGCUGUCCUAUACAUUAUUAAAUGCAUAAAACAAGUCCUGCACCAUAAACAAUUGGUUAUCGUCCUUAGCCAGAGCAGGGGUGGAUCCCAACAUGGCAUGGUGUGGCAAGUGCCACACCAAUUUUUUUUUUUUAUAUAUAUUUUUAUUAAUUUAUUGUAUAAUUUUACUCAUAUAUUAAUACAAAUAUCUAUUUUUUUUUAUUUUAUGUUUAUACAUGUAUCUAUAUAUUUAUUCAUAUAUUAACAUGGUGUUAUAUGUUAUUUUUUUAAUUUAUACAGAUGUCUAUAUUUGUAUUCAUAUAUUAAUAAGAGAACCUAUUUAUUUAUUUAUAAAUGUGUCUAUAUUUGUACUCAUAUUUAAUAAAUAAAUAUUUUUUUUGUACAAUUUAUACACAUAUAUCUAUAUUUUUUAUUCAUAUAUCAAUACAAAGAGAUAUGCUCUAAAAAAAAAAUCAAUACAAAGAUAUAUAUAUAUAUAUAUAUAUAUAUAUAUAUAUAUAUAUAUAUAUAUAAAAUUUCUACACAAUUGCAAAUUACUUCGAAAAAAAGCGCACACGGGUAUCUUGUUAGAGCAUUUGAUUCAUCUCUUGUAACCUAUAUAGAAAGGGAUAUUCUUAGAACAAUUAGUAAUUAUAUAAUUUUAGUUUAUAUUCAACAAAUAAAAAAUAGAUUAUUUUCUUUGUAAUUUUGAUUGCUACAACUAUUUUUAAUAUAUCUUCUUAUUAAAUUUAAUAUUAUUUAAUUGUUUGACAAAAAAAAAAUUUGCCCCACUAAUAAUAUUGUGAAAUCAGAUCCGCCCGUGACCCAAAGUACUAAAUUUAAAUACUAGUGGCAUGAAAUUUUAAAGAUUAAAUAUAAGUGAAUGACGUUUCACCAACUUGAAUGAAAUUUUAUAUGGAACGUAAAUAAAAAAAGGGUUUUUCUAACCUGUGCAAGAUUGCACAGGAUAAGAAGUGAUUAAUGCACCAUAUUUUAUGGGUUUCUCCAAAUCCUAUUAAUGAGCCAAUUUAUUAGCUUCUUAUUUGUUUUUUUUUUUUGACAAAAUUUAUUAGCCUUUCCUUAAAACUCGUUCUCUUCCACGCUCACCGCACCAAUAAGUAAGAACAAAAAACUGUUCUCUCUCUCUCUCUCAUAUUUGUUUUCUUCUAAAAGCUCUCUCUCUAAUAUUCAUUCCAAUGCAGGUAAUAACCAAAUCGGAAUCAAGGUAUAACAUGAAUUAUAUCUUUUGUAAUAAUUUCUUCUGGUUCUUCUUUUGCUUUGAAUUUGGCUAAUUCUUCUCACAGUGUUCAAAUUGACGGGAGAACCAAAAUUGGGCUCAAGUACACUAUAUUCCAAACCUCUCAAACUGCACUAACCCGUAUAACUGCAAAGCUUCUUUUUUGAAGGAACUGCAAAGCUUUUAAAAGCAAACUGUAAUAUUUCAAACGAAUGAAAGCAAACUGCAAAGCUUUUGUGACGUGAGAAGAAACUGUAAUAUUUCAAGCUUAUAAAAGCAAUCUGUAAUCUCUUAAAAAAAAACUGUAAUAUUUCAAACUUGAAGAGUGACGUGAGAAGAGAAUAAAAUGUUUUAAUGUCUUUGUAGAAUGUGUCUUUUAAGGGAAGAAGAAGAAAAUGUAUUAGAGAAGAGAAGAAGGAAAAAAAACAAUUUUCAAGGAAAAGACUCGUUAAUAAGGUUUGGAAAACCCAUAAAAUAUGAUGCAUUAAUUACUUCUUAUCCUGUGCAAUCUUGCACAGGUUAGAAAAACCCAUAAAAAAAUGCAGGCACUAGAUUCAUAAACAUUUUCUGAAGAUCGUUAUUCUGUCUGUCGGCCACAUCUUAUUGUCUCCAUUGACAGAUUCAUGAACUUGUAGAUUCUUUAUUCGUGCUCAAGUAUCAAACCAACGCAAAAGACACAAUUACACAAAUAGAAUCAAUAAUGGGCCCCAAUAACGUUAACAUUUACAUAUUUUUCAUUCAUGCCGACAUUAAUAUAUUUUUUGUAAAUUGUUUGUGAGCACCUACAUGCUGACUUUCUACUUUCAUUGCAUUUAUUUUCAAAGGUCCUCCAGCUUGGUUCAACACUCAUUCUAUCUAAACAAAUUUCUCGUCUUCUUAUCUUUUCAACUCUUUAAUUUGUUUUCACAAAAAAAUGGCCGACGCUUUGCUUGGAGUUGUGUUUGAAAAUUUGACGGCUCUCCAUCAAAAUGAAUUUUCAACCAUUUCUGGAAUUAAGUCAAAGGCUCAAAAGCUAUCAGACAACUUAGUUCACAUCAAGGCUGUUCUUGAAGAUGCUGAGAAGAAACAAUUCAAAGAACUCUCUAUUAAGCUAUGGUUACAAGACCUCAAAGAUGCUGUUUAUGUGCUCGAUGAUAUCCUUGAUGAGUACUCGAUCGAGUCUUGUCGACUGAGAGGAUUUACCUCUUUCAAACCAAAGAACAUCAAGUUUCGCCAUGAGAUCGGUAACAGGUUGAAAGAGAUUACAAGGAGGUUAGAUAAUAUUGCUGAACGUAAGAACAAGUUUUCUCUACAGAUGGGUGGAACUCUUAGGGAAAUCCCAGAUCAAGUAGCUGAAGGGCGCCAAACCGGCUCCAUUAUUGCUGAACCAAAAGUGUUUGGACGAGAAGUUGAUAAAGAAAAGAUUGUUGAGUUUCUUCUCACCCAAGCGAAGGACUCUGACUUCCUUUCCGUCUAUCCCAUAGUUGGUUUAGGUGGUGUUGGAAAAACAACUCUUGUUCAAUUGGUCUACAAUGAUGUUAGGGUGAGUGGCAAUUUUGAAAAAAAAAUUUGGGUUUGUGUUUCUGAGACUUUCUCGGUAAAGAGGAUUUUGUGUUCUAUUAUAGAAUCUAUCACAUUAGAGAAGUGUCCUGACUUUGAUUAUGCUGUAAUGGAAGGAAAGGUGCAAGGAUUGUUGCAAGGGAAAAUAUAUUUGCUGAUUUUGGAUGAUGUGUGGAAUCAAAAUGAACAAUUGGAAUCUGGGUUAACACAAGAUAGAUGGAAUCGUUUGAAAUCUGUUUUGUCGUGUGGAUCAAAAGGUAGUUCCAUUUUAGUGUCCACUCGUGAUGAGGAUGUUGCAUCAAUCAUGGGGACAUGGGAAAGUCACCGUUUGUCUGGUCUCUCUGAUAGUGAUUGUUGGUUGUUGUUCAAACAACAUGCAUUUAAACGUAACAAAGAAGAGGAUACAAAGCUUGUGGAAAUUGGAAAGGAGAUAGUAAAGAAAUGUAAUGGAUUGCCUCUUGCAGCAAAAGCAUUGGGGGGUUUAAUGGUCUCAAUGAAUGAAGAAAAGGAAUGGCUUGAUAUUAAAGACAGUGAGCUUUGGGAUUUACCACAUGAAAAAUCUAUUUUACCUGCUUUGAGUUUGAGUUACUUUUAUUUAACACCAACCCUAAAGCAAUGUUUCUCCUUUUGUGCUAUAUUUCCCAAAGAUAGAGAAAUCCUGAAGGAAGAAUUGAUUCAACUUUGGAUGGCUAAUGGAUUUAUUGCAAAGAGGAAUUUAGAGGUUGAAGAUGUUGGAAACAUGGUUUGGAAGGAAUUGUACAAAAAAUCGUUCUUUCAAGAUAGCAAGAUGGAUGAAUAUUCUGGAGACAUUUCUUUCAAGAUGCAUGAUCUUGUCCAUGAUCUCGCUCAAUCAGUAAUGGGGCAAGAAUGUAUGUGUUUGGAGAAUAAAAACACGACUAAUUUGUCAAAAAGCACACACCACAUUGGUUUUGACAGCAACAACUUUUUAUCCUUCGAUGAAAAUGCUUUCAAAAAAGUUGAAUCCUUGCGAACUUUGUUUGACAUGAAGAAAUAUUAUUUUCUUAGAAAAAAAGAUGAUCACUUCCCAUUAAGCAGCUCUCUCCGUGUUUUAAGCACAUCUUCUCUGCAGAUCCCAAUAUGGAGUUUAAUUCAUUUAAGGUAUUUGGAACUUACUUAUCUUGACAUAGAAAAGUUGCCUAACUCAAUUUACAACUUACAAAAACUGGAAAUCUUGAAAAUAAAACGUUGUGAUAAACUGAGUUGUCUUCCAAAACGCUUGGCUUGCUUACAAAAUCUUAGGCAUAUAGUCAUUGAAGAAUGUCGGUCUUUGUCUCUAAUGUUUCCUAACAUUGGAAAAUUAUCUUGUCUAAGAACAUUAAGUGUGUACAUUGUUAGUUUAGAGAAAGGGAAUAGCUUGACAGAGUUACGUGAUCUAAACCUCGGUGGAAAACUGCAUAUCCAAGGAUUAAACAAUGUUGGCAGGUUAUCUGAAGCUGAAGCGGCUAAUUUGAUGGGUAAAAAAGACCUUCAUCAAUUAUGCUUGUCGUGGAUAUCGCAACAGGAAUCUAUAAUUAGUGCUGAGCAAGUGCUCGAAGAGCUUCAACCUCACUCAAAUCUCAAUUCCUUGACAGUAAAUUUCUAUGAAGGAUUAUCGUUACCAAGUUGGAUAAGCCUUCUUAGUAAUUUAAUUUCUCUUAAUCUUUGGAAUUGCAACAAAAUUGUGCUGCUUCAGUUACUUGGUAAACUACCAUCUCUAAAAAAUCUUAGAGUAUAUCGUAUGAAUAAUCUGAAAUACUUGGAUGAUGAUGAAUCUGAGGAUGGUAUGGAGGUGAGGGUUUUCCCAUCUCUGGAGGUACUCUACUUACAACGCCUACCAAACAUAGAGGGGUUAUUGAAAGUGGAAAGAGGGGAGAUGUUUCCUUGUCUUUCUAACUUGACAAUCUCCUAUUGCCCUAAAAUUGGACUGCCAUGUCUUCCAUCUCUUAAAGACCUCUAUGUUGAGGGAUGUAACAAUGAGUUACUGAGGUCAAUCUCUACCUUCCGUGGUCUUACUCAGCUUAUCUUAUAUGAAGGUGAAGGAAUAACAUCCUUCCCAGAGGGGAUGUUCAAAAACCUUACUUCUCUUCAAUCUCUGUCUAUCAUUAGUUGUAAUGAGUUGGAGUCCUUACCAGAGCAAAAUUGGGAAGGUCUUCAAUCCCUUCGAACUCUACAGAUUUAUAGCUGUGAAGGAUUGCGAUGCUUGCCGGAGGGUAUUCGACACCUCACUUCUCUUGAGCUUCUGACUAUCAUUAAUUGCCCAACAUUAGAGGAACGAUGCAAAGAGGGAACAGGGGAGGAUUGGGACAAGAUAGCUCAUAUUCCAAAUAUACAGUUUAAGUGAUAGAGUUAAUUGAUGUUUAAGAAGCAGAGACGUUUACCCUUAUCUGCCUCAAUCACCAUCGCAAAAUUCAAUUUUACUGGUAAGAUCUCUAUUUCCCCUUAUCUGCCUCAAUUCACUUUAUUUUUAUUCAAAAGUAUUUUUAUAUAUUUCUCAAUCUUGACUUCUUUGGAACCCAUCCCCCAGAAUGAGCACCAGAAUCUUUAUACAUGAAAGAUAUUUCACUGCUCAACUAAAGUUACAAAUGUUCUAAUUCAGGUCAUUUUCUUCAUCAUAGUUUAAUUUUUUUUAAUUUGCAUUUUCGAUUUUUUUUUUUAAUUUUAUUGAUUUUGUUGAGCAUAUUUUAGGAGUGAAGUUUGCUGCUGAAGAUUUCAAUUUCCUUUAACUGAUAUCUCUUUGCUGGUUAUCGUUGGUUUCCAGGUAAACAUAGUUCAUAUCUUAGCGAAUACUUUAAUAUGCAUUUUCUGCCUUAUCAAAUUGAUUGAUUUUAACACACAUAUAGAAACUUUCAGUUUGAUUUGAACAUAUAGAAACUUCAGUCGGCUUUCUUUUUAUUGCAUGCUUCAGGACUUUAUAAUGCUAAUUAGCUUCACACAUCAUAUUUAGAUGUAUGGUAAGAUUUGAUAAAGGAAUUGAGUGUAUUUUGGUCAUACUUACAGGCAAGGGACUGAAUGUAUUUUGGCCUGAAAAAUCAAUCUCCAAAUAAGGCAGUGAACAAUGGUGAUCCAACACAUGAGCUGAACUUAAUUCCAACUAAUAACAGAUGUUGAAAGAGUUAUAUAUAGCUUCUCCUAAGCCUUAGGAGGUUGUCCUUGAUUUUACAAUAUCUACUAGUACUAAUGUUGCUAACAUAAGUGAUUCUUUAUAUUAAUCUCUUUCCCAUUUCUCUAGUGUAGUUUUUUGUUGGUGAGCUUAUAAUCAGACAUUUUGUGUCUUGGUUAUUCCAAACAGUGUACAUACAUUAUUUAUUUAAAAGGGAUAAAUGCUUUUUUGAAUUCAUACUUGAUCAAAUUAUUGCCUUAUGGAAGCUAAAAUCAGUGACUACGAGAUUUUUUUGUCAUUUAUAAAAUUCACUUGUCAACAGAAAUGUAACCAGACAAAGAAUUCAAUAAACAAGGCACAAUGAAAGCGAAAACGAACACUUUCAAAUCUUGCGAAAUCACACACGCAAAUAAAUUGUGGAAGCGAAAACGGACAUGAGUUUGUUAAUCACAUAUGAAAUUUGCCUGGUUAUGUACAAAGGGGAGGGAAAAUUUGGUGAUAAAGUUCAAAAUAUUGGGGUCUCUAGAUUGGACUUGUCUAGUACAAUGAAAGUAGAAACAUUGGUCAUACAAUGUUCUUGCUUAAUUUUUUACUUAAGCAGCAGAAGAUUUUUUAUUUAAUUAACAUGAUUAGGUCUAGUUUUACUCUUUCUAUGUUACCAUACCAACCUCUCUAAUUUUCCCUCUCUAAACUGAUUUAAUUUUUUUUCACAUUAUAAUUAAUUUUUAAUUGAAGUAAAAAAAACAGUACUUUUUUGUGCAUACUAUUCUGUUCUUUUACUUUAUUUUUCGCUUCAAUUCUAAUCCAAUUCAUAUUCAAUUCUAAUUCAAAUAUUUCAUAUCAAAUUAAAAAUCAAACAUUUUGAAUUCAAAUAAUACGGAUUUAAAUCAACUAAUUUAAAUUUAAAUAUUUAAUUUCAGGUAUUAUAUAAUAAAACAAAUAAUAAAAUUUAAAUAUUUUAAUGUCAAAGAGAUCAAAUCAUUGAUAUAUGUCAAAUAAUAAAAAUACGAUUUGAUUAAAAGUAUUGAUAUUGAAAGAAUUUAAUGAAAUGUAAAAUUGUUUCAUUUUUAUAUUCACAAUAAUAAUGUGAGCUAUUAUAAUAUUUUUAAUUUUAAUGAUUGCAAAACAAAUAUGGAAAAGUUAUACUUUUAAUAUAAAAUUUAAUUCAAAAAAAAAAUUGUGCAUUUAAUCUCUUAAAAGUUGCAAAAGUUACACUUUUAAUAUAAAAUUUAAUAUUUGUUUUUUAUCAAUAAUGUUAGAAAAAAAAACACUUAUUAUUCAAACAAUACCGUAUAAUAGUGUUAUAUACAAGUAACAAAGUAAUAAUAAAAAUAUAAUUAUUUAAUAAAAUAUAUUAAUCGAUAUUUCCCUCUGUAACCAAAAAAAAUAUUAACGUGAUACAAACUUCCUAAACAAGUCAUCAAAUUGUAAUAUUUUGAAUAAACAUUAAUUUUUAUGAGAAUAUUUUCCUUAAUGAAUAAUGAUGUCUUCAAAUAAGUCAUUUUAUUAUAAGAUUUUAAAUAAUAAUUAGCUUUGAUGAGAAGAUUAUCCUCAAUGAUAAAUUUUAAUAAUAAUUGUUAUGUACAAUGUAUUUAAUUUUUUAUGAAUAAAUUGAUUAAUUUGUUUACUAACUUUUUUAUUAAAAAAAAUGAAAUAUUUAUGAAUAAAAAUACUUUGAUCUUUUUAAAAAAAUUUAAACCUAAAGACAUUUUUAAAAUAAUUAUAUUAAUCUUUUUUGAAAAAGCGGUUAAUUUCAUUUUAUCAAAAGUUGAUUUAAUUUGGUGAUAUGUCUUUAAUAUCUAAGAUAUGUCUUUUUACCACUAGACUAAACUUUUACAAAUCUAUUACAUUAAUCUAUUAUUUGCUAAUUUUAUUUUUAUUUUUUUUGAUACUUCAUCUUACUCUUAUGUGUGUGUGUGUCAAAUUUUAUCAACUUGUGAUAAAACGAAAUGUGAUAAAAUGAAAUGAAAAGGGUUUCCAAUUUUUUUUACUAAUACUUAUUAGUUUAAUCUUGUUUUUUAUCAAACCUAUUAAUCUAUUGUUCCUGUAUGUUAUUAACAUUAAAAGAGUUUUCUUUUACUUUAUUUUGGAUAUGUAAAUAUUGAUCCAAAUUAUAGUGCAUUAUAUUUGAUUGGAUUUUUUUUCUUCAAAAGAUUCAUCCAAGUCAAAGUUAACCGUGUUUGAUUUUAUAUUUGGAUCAUAUGAUAUUUUGCCUCAAAAACAUUUCGAAUUAGACUUCAAACAAACCUAUAAAUGAUUAUUAUAGUUUUUUAUUUACAGUAAUUUCAAUUUUUUUUUUUUUUUGAAAUCAUUAAAAAAGUAUUGAUUUCUAUAAUCCUAAUGUGCAUUAAUCAUAAUUAAAAAAGAUAUUUUAUCAAAAGAUAAAAGAAUGACAAUUGAAUAUUUAAAUGUUUGAGUUUUAAUUGUUCAAAAAAAAAAUGUUUGAGUUUUAUUAAGGAAAUUAAUACAUAAUAAAAGAGAGUACAACGGGUAGUCUAACUCAUAUUAUACCAUGCAAACCAUCUCCUUCUCCUGAAAAAUAAAAUAAAAAUAUACCUGUUUUUUGUCCUAAAAAAUAACUUUUUUUUUUUUAAAGUAAAAGUGGGAUGAGCACUUUCAAUAUGUCAUUGUUUUUUAAUGAACUGAAGAGAGUUUCAUUGAUGAGAAAAUUAAAAUCAAUCAAUAGUAAAUGACCACUAACAUAGGAAAUACAAUCAUUUAAUUCCUUCGUCGUUUGUAAGAAAAAUCAUUCAAUAAAAAAAAAUUAAAUUUAAGCAAACAUAAGUUUGUGAUCGUCAUGGGUAUAAAAAAAAUUAAUUAUGGAUGAUGAUAACUAUUUAAAAAGAAAUUAAGCAAACAUGCUUCAGCAUCCACGCCUACAGGUGUUCACGGGAUGAGUCGGUUUUCAUUAUAAUCUAUUACCCGAUGCAAUCAAGUUUCAUUAGGUUUGAUCAAUAAAUAAUUACACGUAACUUUAUUUUAAACAAAUCUUAAAAAUAUAUAUAAUUAAAUUACAUUCUAUAUUAUAAAAAUUUCAAGACUUGGACUAGAUUCUACUAAUUAAAAUUUGAACACACUUGAAUUUAAUUGAAACACUUUAAAUCUCUAUGACAUGGACCAGGUAUAUAAUAGUGUGAAACUGGGUCAAUGCGUAGAAGAAACGCGUUGUAUAGCUCAAAUACAAUGUUAAAUGAGCAAGGAUGGAUACAUCGCUGCCUGAAUGCAGUAAAAAAUAAGCAAGGGUCUCCACAUCUUUGUAACAUUCAAUUUAAGGUGUUUUACUCUGAUUAAUUUAUGAAAUUUUUAUGUUGGGAAAACGGGGUGUUACAAUUGGUAUCAGAGCAGGUUGGUCCGUCCGGCCAAGUAGUUGAGUCGUUUGUGUCGUGUGACAGUUAAAUAUUGUCGUUGUGUUUUUCUAAUUAAUAAUUAUGUUUUAUUAUGUGAUCAAGUUGACUGACUAACUUUAAUGUGAUUUUUGUGUAUUGUUGAAGUUUCUAUUUGUUAUCCAUAGUUUAAGAUAUUUAAGCAAUAACUGAAUUUGUUUUCGUUUGUGUUUUGAAUUUCGAGGACGAAAUUAUUUAAGUUGGGGAGAGUUGUAACACCCUAAUUGUUAUUUAAUUAUUUUUAGUUGAUUUAAAGUCUUUCAUAUGAUUUUAAAUGAUUUAUGUUGAUUUUGUGGUGUGGUGUAUUUUAUUAAAUGGCUAUUUUCAUUAUUUAAUAGAAUAAGUGAGAAUUAGGAUUUAAUUGGAGUUUCGGGGUUAAAUGAGAAUUAAUAGAAUUAAGGGGAGUUAAAAGAAAUAAGUGGGAGGUUAUGUUUUACCGAGUUAUUAGAAAAUAGAACCAAGAGUCAGAGAAUCAGUUUUACGUGAAAACAGCAGUUUUGGGAUAAAAUUAGAGAAAGCAAGAGAACCAAGGGAGAGCCAAGUGAACCAGAUUUCUGUUGGAAUUAUUCUUCUGAAUUCAGGUAAGGGUGAGGUUUGCUUCAAUAGUGUAGAUUAUUAUAAUUCUGAUUUUGGUUUAACGUAGUUCUGUUAAAAAUUUGGAAAUUGGGUUUAGGUUUGAUUCUUAGAUUUUUAUAUAUUCUAUUUAAGAAAUUUGAAAUUGUAGUGUGACAUGCCCGUUUGGGUUUUACUCUGAUGUUGAACAAUUAUUAUUUAAUUGAUUUUGGGAAACGGGGUGUUACACUCCACAUCUUUGUAAACGAGUGUGGGUAAUCAAGUUAGUUAAUGAGAGUAUGAUCUGUUUUAGAACAUAGAAUAAAGGUACUCUUAUUUGAACAUAUAUGAAAAUAGUUUUUUUUUUUUUUUUAGAUCACAUAUAUGGAAAUAGUUGACGCUAUGACUAAAAUGAAGAUUAAUUUUAUGUGCCAGCAAAAAACUAUGUGGGUAGGUGAGAAGAUGAGAAGCCAUGAUUGGGAAACAAGGAUCAAGUGGUGACAUUUAAAGGAUCAAAACCAAAGUGUUUUUCUGCAAAAGAUUUUGAAGGAAGGUUGUGUGAAGCUACAUAGAAGUGAAAAUGAUAUGUGGAACAAGAUGACAUAUGAGAUUAGAAAAGUAGCAAAAGAGACACUGGAAGAAUUAAUAGGUUUUGGACCUAGCUAGGAGUAAAAAAUCUUGGUGGAACCAAAGAGUUCAAAUUAAAGUGAGAAUCAAAACAGUACUUCACUAAUAAAAAAAUAGGGAUAAGGGUGAUACACAUUCCAACCUUGAUGACAGGGUUGUUUUCGAGGGGUGUGUUUUUUAGGAUAUAGUAAAGGCUGAUUAGAGUAGUUUAAUAGUUAAAAGGUAACAUUUUUAGGAUAUAGUAAAAAAAAAAAAACUAAGAGUUACUAACUCAACGAUACCAUUCAACAUUUUCUACAUUUUUUAGGAUGAUACGUUUAAAUAUAAAUCUAAUAUUUUUUUCUUUCUCUUCAACGUGCACACAAAUGCAUGCAAAGGUAUUAAUAUUAAUUUCGUUACUUUACAUUUAAUAUACAGAUCUGCGUAUCGGUGACGAUGACUUUAAGAACCUUUGUUUGAUUGAAAUUGAAAUGUUGUUUCAGGAAAACGGAGAGUCGCUUACUGACUUCAAAUCUAUACCCAGGCCAAACGCAGCAGACAUGCCAACUUUCACAAACAAGCUUAUCGUUGAUGAGCUAAAUUACAACAAAGAUGAACUGUAAAAGACACAUGCUGAUAUGUUACUGAUGCUGAUUGAUGAACAAAGAUAUGUGCAUGAAAAGAUCAUGGAGUCUGUUGGUUCUGACGACGAUGGUUUCUUUUUCUUAUAUGGUUACAGUGGUAUUGGAAAAACCUUUAUAUGAAAACAUAGUCGGCUGCUGUUAGAUCGAAGGGGUUAAUUGUAUUGAAUGCUGCAUCUAGCGGUAUAAUGACUCUUCUAUUACCAGGAGGAAGAACCGCACACUCGACGCUGACAGUCCCUAUUGAGAUUAUGAGGCAUCAUCACUUACGAUGGAAAAGGAUAGUCCUAGGGCAGACCUGAUGCGUGCUGCAAAGUUGAUAAUUUGGGAUGAGACUCCAUUGAUGCACUGAUGGUGUUUUGAGGCAGUUGACCGAUCAAUGCGUGAUAUCAUGUCCAAGAUUGAUCCCCUAAACGAGUUUAAACUAUUUGGUGGAAUGACAAUAGUUUUAGGUGGUGAUGUCAGGCAGAUAUUGCAUGUUGUCCGAAAAGGAACGAGGCAGGAUAUUGUUGAUGCAUCAAUCAAUUCAUCAAAGAUAUGUGCUUAUUUUAAUGUGUUAAGACUUACUGUUAAUAUGAGAUUGGGUGCAUCUUUGGUACCUGCAGAGCAGAAAGAAAUUGCUAAUUUUGGCAAGUGGAUACUCUGAAUUGGAGACGGCAACAACGCUUCGGAUGAGAAUGGUGAAAUGAAGGUAGAAAUUCCUGAAGAUUAUUUUUCCAAGAAAGGGGAAUACUCGCACCAACACUUGAUUAAGUUGAACAUGUUAACGAAUAUAUGAUGUCACUGAUUCCAGGUGAAGAGAAAGAGUAUUUAAACUCUGAUUCUGUUUGUCGCUCGGGUGAAAAUUCUGAUGUCCAAAGUGAGUGGUUCACAACGGAAUUCCUUAAUGGUAUUAAGAGCUCUGGAAUUCCAAAUCACCGGUUGAAACUAAAGGUGGGAUGUCCAGUUAUGCUGAUGAGAAACAUCGAUCAGGCCAAUGGACUGUGUAAUGGUACAAGGUUGACAGUUACACAUCUAGGGAAGAGCACAAUAGCUGCUACUGUAAUUACAGGAAAAAGGGCAGGUACCAAGGUAUUCAUUCCCAGGAUGAAUUUUAUUCCGAGUGAUCCAGGACUAUCCUUCAAAUUCAUGCGCAGAUAAUUUCCAUUGACGCUUUGUUUUGCAAUGACAAUAAAUAAAAGUCAGGGUCAAUCUUUAUCUCGAGUGGGAGUUUAUCUUCCUAAACCCGUGUUCACGCAUGGGCAACUCUAUGUCGCUGUCUCUCGAGUUACUUCUAGAAAAGUUUUUUAAAAAGUCUGAUCAUUGGUUAUAUUUUAGAAUUGUUGCUGCUAUAAUUUAGAAAACUAAAGUUGCGCAUUGAUUGAAAGUUGUUGUUGUUUUUUUUUUUUUUUAACUUCUUUGUAAGGCGUACUGGUCAUUAUAGACAUGCAAUUUCUAUAUAAGCGGAUCUUACUGCCAUUGACUAUUAAUUCAUGCAGUUUUCAAGUUUAACAAUCCGCGGAACCUUUUUUUUUACAUCGUUGUUACCCCUAAAAUACAAUAUUUACAUUAGACCAUUUGUUUUGUAAAAAUUAAAAACAAAUAACAAUCGGUGUUUCUGUAGCCCAAACUACAUUUAUACACACCCGUAAAAAUUAAACGUUUGCAUUUACCGACUACGUGUAUGCAUGUGACAAUGACUAUUAUAUAUAAAAAAAUACAUAUUUUUUAGUUUUUAUGAUUAAUAAAAUACAUUUUGUCAACAAAUAUUAUUACACAGUACGUCGGCGUAUUUUUGCAAGAAAAUUACAUAUGCGAAGUUUAACAAUGAAUGCACCUUAUACUAUAAAUAAUUAGUACAAGUAUAAUAAUCCAAAUAUUUUUAUCAUUAUAUGCAAUGUUUAGAUAUUUCAAAAUAUAUACAAAAUUAAGAUGAUAUUUUUUUCAUAUCGAAUUUAAAAUCUAUACAUUUGAUCAAAAAUGUUUUUUAUUUCCCCGUGCUGGCACGGGUCACUAUACUAGUUGUUUGUAAUUAAUCACUCCGUCCUUAUAUCUAGAUACCCAUUUGAUUUUCUUUUUAUCCCUAAAUGUAAGUCCCUUUUCAAAUUAUUAGAUACAUUUUUUUUUCAUAAACAUACCCUAAUUAAUACUACUAACUUGCCUUGAAAUAUGAAAAGUCAAAUUUAAUACACACACAAACAAAGGAAAAUUUGGUAAUAUUAACACACAAAAUAGACACAUUAAGUAAAUUAACAACUUUUCUUCAGAAAUGUGAAAAAAGCAAAGAGGGCUUACACAUAGGGACGAAGGGAAUAAGAAAAAGUUAAUCGUAACCCAUCAAUCUUAUAUAAACUUGGUCCUAUUUAUGAGAAAAAUUCAAAAAAUUGAUGGGUAUAUUUAAUACUCCUUCGGUCCUUAUUGAUCCUAUUUAUGAGGAAAAUUCAAGAAAUUUAUGGGUAUACUAUCUCUGGUUCUUUAUAUAAGAAACAAAACACAUAAAUCGAAACAAAACACAUAAAUCAAAUAGACUAAGGAAACAUUUUGAAAAUAGUUAUUUGCAUUUAAUACUCUUAUAAAUUGACAUGGUGAUGUAUAACGAGGAAGCGUCGACCAUGUUUCUCGCGCGGUUUGAAGCAAAUCAUCGGUUUGUAGGCGGUCGCGAUCUAACAUAUGCUGAAUUUCCAACAAAAUUUACUUAUGAGAAGAAAUAAAAAUAGUGGCAGCCACGUAAACUAGGAUAUCAAACCAAGCAAGUUCUCGGAAUCAAGAGAAUCAAUCAUAGUAUGAAGUAAAAAAUUUGGGAUAAAUAACUUAUUUGAUAUUAUGUGAUUGCUAAUUAAUAUAAAAUUUAAUGGAAAAAAAUUAUGGUCAAUCUUAAAUUUUAAAUUAAAGUUAAAAAUAAGGUAACUAAUUAGUUGUGGAAGUUUCUACUAUAUUUAUAAAUGAUUAUUAUAGUUUUUUAUUUACAGAAAUUUCAAUUUUUAUUGUUUUUAUUAUAGAUUUUUUUAUUAAAGAAAUCAUUAAAAAAAUAUUGAUUUCUAUAAUCCUAAUGUGCAUUAAAUCAGAAUUAAAAAAGAUAUUUUGUGAAAAGAUAAAUAAUGGAUAUUGGAUAUUUAAAUGGAUAUUGUGAACGAUUGUGGGUAAAGAAGUUAGUUAAUGAGAGUAUGAUCUGUUUUAGAACAUGGAAUAAAGGCACCCUUACUUGAACAUAUAUGGAAAUAGUUGACGCUAUCACUAAAAUGAAGAUUAAUUUUAUGUACCAACAAGAAACUAUGUGGGUAGGAGGUGAAAAGACAAAAUAAUUAGAUAGUUCAAGAUCUAAGCAUUGAUAAACCGGAAAAGUUAGAUCGAGAAAUGGUGUAGGCAUUACUGUGGAUAAGGAAUUGAAAAAGGAAAUUGUGGAUGUAAAGAGGAUGUGAGAUUUGAUUGUAUCCCACAAAUUUUUAGUUUAAUAAGACAUCUUUAUUAUUUUUUUUUUUUUAAGGAAAUAAGACAUCUUUAAUGUUAUGAGUGUUUACUCACCUUAGGUAGGUUUGGAAGAAUAUUCUAAAGUUAAAUUUUGGAAGGAUUUGAAAGGUUUAAUUCAAGUAAUACACAAGGAGAAAAUGUUUUUCUAAACCAAGUUGUUUGGGCUCCAGUGGCAAGGAGUUCCUUCCAAGGACGUAUCCGGGGAAUACCGGGUUUGAUUUCUAGGGGGAACAAUGAUUGGCCAGUGCGCAUGCCUCUAUGCAUGAGCUGAAUUAGUCGUCCACCUUAGGUGGGCCGGAAACCGGUGCGAAAGCCAAAAAAAAAAAGAUUUUCUAGGAGGGGAUCUAAAUGGGCAUGUAAGGAGUGUUUGAUAAGUUUUAAAGGCGUGAACAAGGGUAUGGCCGUGGGGACAUAAAUGCAUAGGGUAAUUCCAUCCUAGAUUUUUUGUAGUCUUUUAAUCUUACUUUAGGAAAAUAAAAAGAAAAUUUAUUACAUACAAGAGUGGAAUUUCAUGUUCUCAAAUAUAUUUAUUUCUUAUUAGGAAUUAUGACAGAAAUAUUUGUUUGAAUUUAAUGUUUUACAAAGAGAGAGUUUGACUAUCCAAGAUAUAAUAUUGGUUAUGGAUGUAAGGGUUAAGAUAAGAGCGGAGAUGAGAGGAAAUGAUUGAGAUGCAAGAAUCAAGUGGUGACAUUUAAAGGAUCAAAACCAAAGUGUUUUCCUACAAAAUAUUUUGAAGGAAGGUUGUGUGAAGUUACAUAUAAGCGAAAAUGAUACGUGAAACAAGAUGACAUAUGAGAUUAGAAAAGUAGCAAAAGAGACACUAGAAGAAUUAAUAGGUUUUGGAGCUAGCUAGGAGUAAAGAAUCUUGAGUUCAAAUUAAAGUGAAAAUCAAAAUAGUAUUUCACUAAUAAAAAAUAGGGAUAAGGGUGAUACAUUUGAAGACUAUUACACAUUAAGAAAUUUAGCACAUUCCAACCUUGAUGACAAUGUUGUUUUCGAGGGAUGUGUUUUUUAGGAUAUAAUAAAGUUUGAUAUAGACUCCAAUGAAAAAUAUUUAAUCAGGUCUCACUAACUUUACAUCAUUAAACAAAAAUAAUUUAUUUAUUAAACCUCAUUUAUUUAUUGGUAUAAACUUAAAUUUCAGCCACAUAACAUUACAAAUUUUACAUUCUUUCGUUAAAUAAUAAUAAUAAUUUGCAUGAAUUACAUUACAUUUUAUUUAAAAGAGUUAAAUAUGUUUUUGGUCUCUAUAUUUUACCUUCCUUUAAAAUAUAGUCCCUACAUUUCAAUAAAUAUUUUUAAAAUUCCUAUAUUUUUAUUCCGUUACGACAAAUAGUCCCUACCCUCAAAUCUGUAACGCUUCAACAGUAUUGUUCACUUUCAUCUUCCUGUUCAUGGUUUUCUUCAUCAUAUAUCAUCACUACCAUCUCUUGCUCCUUCUUAGAUCUUCUCUCUACCAACACCACCAACUUAUUACCACAUCACCAAAAACAAAACAGACCCACAAAUUUUCCUAGAAAUUUUGUCAAAGUCUAUCACUCUCCUUUGUUCCUUUAUUUUUUUCCAAACUAGAAAAUCUUCCACCCUGUAAAUUUUGUCCUUCAAUCUUCUUAGCUCCCACUCUCUUUGUUUUCCAAUCCGACCUUGCACAUCAACCGUGGCCAUGUCACAUGCGGCGAUUCCCUGAUUCUGAAACCUCAUUCUAUGGGUGUUGUUGUGUUUCGAUCAUGAAACCUCACUUCCCUUCCUUCAGACUCCUCUCUCUCUCCGCGAUGUUUGUUGUAUCUGUGAGGUUUGAUCGGAAUCGGGAGAGGGUUCAAUGGUGGAAUAAAAUUAGGCAAGAGAGGGGGUGAUGGAGAAUUUAUGAAGUGGGGGGACAGGGAGGAUUACAUAGGUGACUGGGGGGAGGUGCUAUUGAUUGUGUUUGAGGUGUCGUGGAAGAAGAGUUGAUUGAAACCAGUGAGUUAAAGAUCUCUUAUUGUGUGGAAUGGUGGAGGAAUUGAUACCAAUGUGCUAUUAUUGGAUCCAUUAAUCUCUAUGAUAUAACAUGACGAUUGAUGAAUAGUUCUCAAUGGGGAGAAAUAUUUAUGGGUUUAUUGAAGUUGUUGAGAUGAUGAGAGUUUUGGGAAGGAUGAUGAAUUUCUGAGCAGCCACUUGAGGAACAUUUUAUUGUAAUUCACUUGUUUUAUUUUGUUUUUGUUAAAAGGGGUUUUAUUUAAAUUUUUUAUAAUUAAUAAUUGUAAUAAAAUAAAUAUUAGAUUGCCACAUCACCAUUCUGUUUGGUGACUGAGUAUAAUUUAACAGCAGGGACUAUUUAUGCUAACAAAAUAAAAAUGUAGGAAUUUUAAAAAUAUUUAUUGAAAUGUAGGGACUAUUCUUUAAAGGAGGGUAAAAUGUAGGGAUCAAUAACAUAUUUAAACUCUAUUUAAAAUGGGGACAAAUAGAUAAAAUAAUCUUUAAAACAACUAUUAAUUUAAAAAAAAAAAAAAUUAAAACAACUACUCCAUCCGUCCCUUAAUAAGUGACCUAGUUGACCAAAUUACGUAUACCAAUGCGUAAUUUUGAGUUUAAAUAUCUUGAACAAUAUAUUGGAAAAAAUUAUGAAAAUUUGAUAUUUUGAAAAUACUCAUCGAGACGAAUCUAACGAUAUCUUAUAUGAUGUUAUUUAUCUUUGUAUAUUAGUUGAAAAAUACGGUCAAAGUCAGUUAGGUCAAAAUUAAAAAAAUUCCAAAUGGGUCACUUAUUAAGGGACGGAGGGAGUAUUAAUUAUUAAAAUAUUACUUCUUUUGUAAGCGAGCCCACAUAGUACAUAUUUUAUUACUUCUUUUGAACAUGGGACCCGUUAGUUGCUUUGGAGAGAGGGCCCUUAUGCAGUUACCCAUUCCUUAAUAGGGACUCAUUUUUUCUUCCUCCAAUGGAGAUCCUUAAUAGGGAUCCCAUUGGAGAUGCUCUAAAGGAGUCUUUGCAACAUCAAAUUUAAGGUCUCAAUGCCAUUUUUUUUGGUAAUAAAAUGUGGUUAAUAAUAGAAAUCUAAAUUCACGUUAGAACUGAUUAAAGAAAAUCGAUGUUUACACAUAUCGUAAGGAUGAGACAUACAAGUAAAAUACGUAAUUGUUUUUUCAGCAGUUAAAAACAAUUAUGCAGACAGUGAAUUUUGCAUAAUUGUUAAGCAUUUUCAAGCCAUUUUUCGAUCAGUUUUUAUCUGUAAAUAAAUCAGAGCAUUUCCAAAUGCAAUAUAAGCCAUACAACAUUUAAACUCAGUCAUAAAAGAAAAAUACAAUAUCUUUUUGUCCAUAAUUAAAUCAAACCAGCAUUUGGUUCAAAAUACACAAAAGUUUGAAAUUCAUCAAAACGUUACACAGUGUCCAUAAUUAAACAGCACAUUACAACUCAUUACAUAUCAAUAAAUUAAAUCUUUACUUACAUUCAAUGCAAUUGCAUAUGGAAAAAACAUACAUAUAUAAUAUAUUAUUUUCCACAAUAUUCCGAAACAUAAAUACGACGUCGCUAUCGUCUUUAACAAGCCAAGGCAUAUAACUUGCCGUUUUUCAUGCAUAUUCAUCUCUAUCUUCUCCUAGGUCUAUGCAUGACAUUUGACCAAACAAGUGACAUGUAUAUUGAUUUUCACCAAGAUGCUCAAAAUAAGUGUUAAGUUGUGCCUUCAAAUCAUCAAGAAAGUCGGUCGGCGUUAUCAUAACCUUAAUUGUCUUUUUUAAAAGCGGAGUACCUAACAUGACCUUCAAUUUUUGCAACCUCAUACAUGUUUCACUUCACAAAAGCUUUAUGAAAAAAAAUCAUACAUUAGGAUGUAAUUAAACGAAACGUAAUAAUAAUCAAUGAAAUGUACAUAAAAUGCAUAAACAUUAAAAAAUAUGCACUAGUUUCACCACAUAAAAGUCAUAUUAUCAUAUAUUUAUAUAAGUUACAAAAUGUUAUUUAUAUAUUGGCCACAACAAAUUGGUGUUACAAUUUCGACCCAAAAAUACGCGUCGGUGUAAUUUCUACCAAAAAAAGGACUAACACCGACAAGAAAAUCACUCAUUAAAGAUCAAAUGAUUGGGGAAGAUCACGUGAAUUAGAAUCUUCCUCAUCUUCCGCAAUAACUUCAAAUGGUUGCUUUGGUUUUUCGGGAGUGCCCAACAAAAUAGGCGCCGCUUUGUUCGACUCUUUUUGUGGUUUCGGCGGUUUCUUUCCACUUUCAAUAACUACGAGCUUUCGGAACAACUCAUGUUCCCAUGUCACCACAUCUUCUUUCUUAUGAUUGUGUCACUCCGUAGAUGAUGGAGGUAGUUGACAACCAUUCUUCAAAUAAAUAAGCACGAAAUGAUUUGGAAUUACUCCAAGGCACGUGAUUGGAUUGAUCAAGUUUGAUCUUUGUGUAACAGUUAUAAAUCCUGCCUUAUUUGGUUUACGACGUACUCACUCAAACAAUUCUUCCCUAUCUUUCGACUUAACAUCGUCUGGAAAAAAACCUAGCCAUGUCAACUUUGAGGGCAUGAAGUGGGAGGACAUCGGAGGACACAUAAACUCCAUCAAUGUUUGGUUUGGCUUCAACCUUAGGCGGUUUCACAUCUCCGAAAAUUUCGACAAAAUUUGGUUUUGUCUCUCCCGGAACAUCUUCCGUGUUCUCUACCAUUACUAUUAUUAAACAACACAAAAAUAUGAAAUAACAACUAACUAAUGCAUAUACAUCAAUGCCAUAAUGAAUUAAAACAAAAAAAAACAAAGAAUUUUUUUUGGAAAAACUGGCAAUACCGAGGAUUCCGAUGACAGGGUUCUACGUAACUGACGUAGAAACCCAUAACAAACCAAAAAAUAAACUGAUUAAAAUGUUCAAUAGUUGUUUUUUUUUACGUGAAAAGUGUGUUGAUAUCUCCUAUGCUUGAUACUUGAAUGAUUUUGGUGCAAAAUUUGAUGAAAAAAUAUUGAAUUUAAGAAUUGGAUGAAAGUGGUAUGGAAGUUGAUGAUGAAAUAGUAUGUAGGGUGAGCAGGUGACUGUUUCAUUUGAUGAAACAUAUUUCUCAACAGUUAACUACCGAGGUUUUCCUCGACAGUUAACUGCAACCAGUUUUUGAAUUUCUCGACAGUUAAAUGCUAAGGGGGUAAUUACGUAUUUUACUUGUGUGUCUCAGCCUUACGAUACGUGUGAACAACAUUUUCCUAAUUAAAAACAUAGUUUAAGAUAACUUCACGGUAGAACUAAAUGAAAAUCUUGUCACAUGAAAGUAUUUAGCAUAAAUUAAUGUCAAUAUACAAGGUCUAUUUUCUAUAAUAAAAGAGUAAUGAUUACUCCCAUUUGACAAUUCCAUCAUGGGUGGUGGUUGAUGGUGUUCAACCUUAGUGAAGCUUAAUCUUCUCUAUAUUUGUCUACUGACUGGAUGUCCCCACUCCCCAUAUACAAACCAUUUUGAAGAAAAAAUAGACGGGUUAUAGUUCAUCCAUAUUUUGAAAUGAUGGAUUCGAAUUAAUUCUUGCAUUAAUAAAUUAAUAAUCACGGCUCCUUCCGUUUCAAAAUACAUAUUUAAGUCAACAACUUCACAUAUGUCAAUGCACAAUUUUGACUGUUAAUAUAUUUAAUUAUCUGAUGUAAAAAAUUAUAAAUAAAAAUUUAAUAUUUUGAAAAUAUUUGUCGAGACAAAUUAAACAACAUCUUACAUGCUAAUAUUUGUAUUUAUAUAUUAGUUAAAAUGUAUGGUUAAAGUAAAUCAAGUGAAUAGUGCAUAUUGCAAAAAUUGGACAUGUAUUUUGAAACGAGGGAGUAUUUUGUAAAGUGUGUGAGUUAAAUGGAUACUUCCCCCACACCUCAAUUGGAGUUAAGAUCCACUCUAUUUUUUAUUUUCUUUAUUUCUUUAAUUUGGAGAGAUAAAGACACAAAAAAUCUUACAUAUAAUUAAAUUAAAUUAUACCAUCAUUAAUUAAAUUAAUGAGGGUAGAAUUCAUUUAAUGAUGGGACCCACAAUCUAUUUUUUUGUGCCUAUCUCUUUCAUAAUUGCAAUCUCCAUUUUUAUAAUGGAGAGAAUCUCAACUCCCUCAAUUGUCGGCUACCUCCACCCUCCACCUUUCUCUUUCAAUAUCCAAACCCCAUUCCUUUGGAUGUAGCUUUAUUUGGGGUAUUGCGUUCGCGUCUUCAUAGUGUUGUCACCUCACCAUCCACAACCCCUUGUGGGGUAAUUUAAGUAGUUGUCGACGGGUGGUUUACUCUGUCUCUGACAAUUUUAUGUUUGUCAUAUUUAAAACCCUCUUUGUACCGGAUUUUCUCGUGAUUUAGCAAGUUGGUUGCCUAGUCGUGAUGGAGUUAUGGAUCUAGUUAUCCAAAAGGGUAUGUGAAACGGAUGUUGUCAUGUCUAGUGACGUUCUCGUUCUUAGAUUCUUUGAUUUUAUUCAGAUUUGUUGUAAUUUACAAGUUUUAGGUUUGGCGUCUUGAUGGCUUAAUGUGAUUUAUCAAGGGGUUUGUUGGUGUCAUGGUGCGUGAAUCAGUCCAUGUUAGCGGCCAGUUCAUUCCUCGUAGUUCAUAUUGAGAUGUGAAGAGUAAUUGAGAGUGUUAUCUAUGACUCGUCAAUCAACUUUUAUAGAGUGUUAUCUCUGGACACCAUUCUUACUGCUAAUGAGGUGGUUGAUGAGGCAAACAAAUUAAAGAAAGAGUUACUUAUAUUCAAGGUUUACUUCGAAGAGGCACAUAAUUAUGUCAACUGGAAAUAUUUAGAGUCAGUUAUGGAAAAAAUGAAUUUCCCCGUUUUGUGGUUGAAGUGAAUUAUGAAAUUUGUAACUUCUGCAAUGACAUUAAUACUUGUUAAUGAGAGUUCAAAAAAUAAGUUUUCUUUUGGGAGGGGUUAUGACAAGGCAAUCACCUCUCCAUUUUUGUUCUCAAGAAGGGGGAUAUUAGGAAAAGACCUUGGAUUAAUUGGAAUACCAUUAUCUACCUAGGCAAGGAGAACAUAUGUUUAGGGGUGUACAAAUUGCGGGAAUUUAAUUUAGCUUUGUUAGGAAGAUGACGUUGGAGGGUUUGUGUUGAACAUGAUAGUUUGUGACUGAAGGAGGGAGGAUGAGGGAGGCUGGGCGUGGUGAGUCUGUGUGGUGGAGGAAUGUUAAGGGUCUGCAUAGAGGGGAGGGCUUGACAAUAUGAAGAUGAUUUAACGACAACUUGGUGAGGGUGGUGGGAGACGGCACAAGAACGUUUGUGAGAGAUUGAGAAGGUUGUUCGACUAACAGAGAGUUGUUUCGCUACACUAGUAGAUAUGUAUGCGAUAGAUUGACAGUUUGGGGGUGGGGGGGGGGGGGGGGGGGGGGGGGGGGGGGGCUCUGAAAUGACGAUGUCGGUUAUUUGCUCAGGGAGGAAGAGAUGUUGGGGGAAUGUUGUGAGGCUUUAUCUUGCAUUCUUUUACAUGUGGAGUUGGUAUCUUACACCUAACAAAGGUUACGCUGUUAGUGGAGUACACCGAUUGUUGACUGCGGUAGAGUCGAGUACCCGCCAUGAUCUUUAGGAAAUCAUUCAAAAUAAAACAAUACCACCAAAAGUUUCAAUUUUUUCUUGGAAGUUGGGAAAGAAUCGACUUUCUACCAAAGAUAAUCUACUAAAACAUGGUAUUUUCACACAAAUUUAAAUGUUUGUACUAUUGCCUGUGACUUUGAGGAAAAAUUGGAUCACUUGUUCUUGGGAUGUAAGUUUUUUUGAGACCUUGUGUUAUGGGUUUAACCAGUCAGUUGUAUUCUCUUUUUAUGUUUUUUGUUCGUGUAUAUUUUUAACUCUUGUAGUACUUUGUGUUCCUUACACAAUUACACUCCUUGAGUUUGAGAGAACAUAUUUGUAUAUAAUUUCAUUUUGCUUUAUUCACAAAACAUAUACAAUAUAUAUCUUUGUAAUUUUAUUUAAAAAAUAAAUAAAUAAAAUUCACUAACUACUUUUCUUGAUAUAUGUAAAAUAAAAAGUAAAAUGGACUUAUACUAUAAAAAGACAAAAUAUUUAGCGUUUAAUUGUUUUUUUUGUCAAGUAAUAUAUAUAGUUGCUCGAUCUCACACAUUUUAAAUUUGAGGCGUUCGAGGUUUGAACCCCAAUCUCUACAUGUAUUAUACAAUGUUCUUACUAACUGAGUUAAUCUUACCGAUUAAAUUAUUAGUGCAUGAGUUGGAAUUAUAUAAAAUUCUUCCAACUAAGUAAAACAUUUUUUUUAAGGGCACAUGACUUCUUUUUAUUAAUGUAGUUCACAUAAAUUGAGUGCGGACUAAAGUGCAUGAAUAAUAUAAAAUUGGAAAGAUUUAAAGAAUAAUUUAUUUAUAAAUUAAUUCCUAAAUUUUCUGGCUCAAAAGACAAAUUCUUUCAUUUUGUUAAAAAAAUUAAAUUCUUUAUUAUAUGAUAAUUUGCCCGUCUUAAUUUACAAAACUAAUUGUCCUAAUUUAUUAAAAAAAAUUGUCCUAAUUAAGUUCUUGGAUUAAAUAUAAAGUCCAUAUAUCUAUUCCCUUUUUUUAGUUCAUUCUAUAUACACAAUCAAUCUAAUGUUUUGUAAACUACAAGUAAAUCGCAACCAAUCAAAUGAAUGACUAAAAAUAAAAUGAUUAAAGUUUAAUUUCUGUAAUUUUUUCUUUAAAAUUGUAAUUUUUUAUUUUAUUUUUUUAAUUUGUAUAUACCAAUAAUGUAAAAUUAUUUUAUACAUGUAUCCAAUUAAAUCACUUUAUGAUAUCACUAAUUUAAACCCCGACCUUAUAUAUAUAUUAUACAUCGUCUACAACUACACAUUAUAUAUCCUAAUAAUAAAGUUUCAAUUGUUUCAAAAAUAAAUAAAUAAUAAAGUUUCGACAUAAAAUAAUCUCUUCCGAAAAACGUAACGCAAAUUUAAACAUUGGGAUUUGUCAAUUUCCUACGGCUUCAUGAUUAACAUCACCAAAUGACUCAUCUUGCAGUUUUUCUUGCAUAAAAUGCUCUCAUUGACACAAAUGUUAUUCAUGCAAUCAAUUAAUUAAAAUCAUCAUAUGAUAUGGCAUUCAACAUUGUUUUUCUUCUCUGCCUCUUUUCUCAAAUUAUUACUACCACAGUGACAUUGAAAACUUUCUCAGAACCUAUUUCUCCCAAUAUUCUCGAUGUUACUUCAUUAAAUCGAAGUAGUUUUCCUACAAACUUCAUCUUUGGAGCAUCAAACUCGGCAUACCAGGUUUUUUCGGUUUAUUCUUUAUCUAGAUCUUUUUUAUUUUCCGUGGUUAAAAUUGAUAUCGUUUCAAAUAGUUAGUGCAUGUUUGAUUAUGUGGUGAGAUUAAAAAAUUAUGAUGAACCAGAACCACCAUGAUAGUGUAUAGUUUUUGUCAAAAUUCAUCGUGAUUUGACCAAUUUGACCGCUCAACCAAACAUGCUCUUAGUGCCCGUUUGUUUUCGCGCUACAUAAAAAUCAAUCAUGCGUCAAGUUCAAAGCUAGAGUUAAUUCGUAGCUUUUUGUAGUGUAUUGGGAUGUAGUGCAAAAGUGAAUUCAAACAUACACUUAAUAUACUCUAAUCACAUUUUGAAGCAACUUUCUACGUCACAAAUUAAUUUUUUAUUUUUAUUUUUGCUACCAAGACAUGAGUUUUGUUGUGUUCAUUGUAUAUAAACAUGUACAGUACGAAGGUUCUGCAAAGGAAGGUGGCAAAGGAACAAGUAUAUGGGAUACCUUUACUCACAAAUAUCCAGGUUAUCUCUAUCUAUUUACCUUUAGGAAGCUUUUAAAUUAUUUAUUAAAAGCUACUUUGUUUUAUACGAAAUUAAUUAAGCUUCCCACACAAAAAAAAAAAACUCUCAUGUAUAAAUAAUAAAUAUAUAUGUAUACUUUUUAAAAGGAUUGGACAGAAAGAUGACAUUUUUUUGGUCAAGUCCUCUUUCUUUAAUCUUUUUUCCAACUCUUUUAUAAAGUACAAACCAUUCCUAAAGUGAUUUGGUUCGGAUAACAACUUAUGAUUUCAAACCUACAAACUUAAUCAUUUGAAAAACACAUGAGAAUAUCUACUAGUGUUUCAAUUUAGUUAAAAGUGAUUUUAAAUUAUGUAAUUUAGUUCAAAUGUAUGAAUUCUAUUAAAUAGAGUGUCAUUGUUUUUUAAUUUUAAAUUAUAUAUAUGUGUGUCAUGACAUGAUCCGAAUCAAACCAAUUUGUUCAUUACUUUCAUUGGGUUGAUUGCGUAUCAAAAAAAAAGUACAAUUUUUUGAGCCAAUCUGAACUAAUGAUUCUUGACCGAAACUGAGCCAACCCAACCCAACUCAUUUUAUUCGUUGAUCGAAAUAUAUUUUCAAUUUUUUAUAUAAUGUUUGUUUAUUUUUUCUUCCAUAAAACAAAUAAGUUUAUAGGUUUAGUCCUUGUAAUAUAGGCAAUUUUUUUAUUCCCUUAAACUAGAAUUAAACAUUAAUUUGAAAUAAAGAAUAUGUUAAUUAUUGUAAUUUAGGGUUUCUUAAAGAGUAAAAUAUAUUACAAGUACGUAAAAAUAACAACAUUAUUAACUUUUUUAAUCUUGUACUAGAAUAAACUUUUUUUCCCUCAAACUUUAGUUGGGGUAUAUUUAUUUCUUAAGAUCAAAUAAACUAGAAUAUAUUUAAGAGUAAGUAUAUCCCUUAAAAUACAUAUACUAUAAGGAUUAAAACAAAACAACUAGAAUUAAAGUAUGUCAAUGCAUGACUUACAUUUAAUAAAUGGUGAUCGAUAUACAGAAAAAAUAAUCGACAGAAGCAAUGGAGAUGUCUCUAUUGACGGGUAUCAUCGGUACAAGGUAUGAUUCACAUAUCAUUAGCAAAGUGGUUAAACUUAAAACUUUCACUUAAAGCAAAAAUGUCUCAAACAAAUUUUACUUUAGGUUUCACUCAAUGGAUUUUCUACUAAAAUUCUUUAAUAUAUCGAUGUAUUUUAUUUUUAUGUUAUAGAAAAUUUGUUUUAUACAGGAAGAUGUUGGGAUCAUGAAGUAUAUGAAUUUAGAUGCAUAUAGAUUAUCCAUCUCAUGGUCUAGAAUACUACCAAGUAAGUUGAUAAUUUCCCAUCCUUAAACAAUGCAUAUAUCAAGUAAAUUAUUGUAGUCAUAGUAAACUAUAUCCACAUUUAAUCAAAAAAAUAAAAAUAAAACUAUAUUCACAGAUGGAAGGAUAAGUGGAGGCAUUAAUCAAGAAGGGAUCACAUUCUACAACAACUUCAUCAACGAGCUAAUAGCUAAUGGUCACAAAUAUUAAAAUUUGCAUUUUAUAAUUUCUUAAGCAUAGCAUAGUACAUUGCAAUCAUAAUUGAAAAAUUAUUAGUUUUGCAGGUAUAGAAGUAUUUGUGACACUAUUUCAUUGGGAUCUACCACAAGCCUUGGAAGACGAGUAUGGAGGUUUCUUAAGUCCUCGCAUAGUGUAAGCGACGAUGUACUAACGUUAAAACUAUAAUUUAUUUAGAAUUAUAUGAGUAAAUUAAAUUUUCUUCUAAGUUGAAGAAUGCUUUAGAUGUGAAACUAGUAUCUUUUUGUGUGUGCAUGGAGCGGUAAGAAGAGUCUAUAGUGCUACAAAAAGUUUGAUUAUACUUUUACAUUUUGAAUUUUAGAAAUGAUUUUCGGGAUUACGCGGAGCUUUGCUUCAAGGAAUUUGGAGAUAGAGUGAAGUACUGGAUUACGAUAAAUGAGCCAUCCACUUACUGCACAGGUGGAUAUGUUGUUGCGAUAUUUCCACCUGGUAGAUGUUCAGAUUGGCAAAACCUCAACUGCACCGGUGGUGAUUCGGGGACAGAGCCAUAUUUAGUUGCACAUCACCUACUCCUUGCUCAUGCAGCCGCUGUUCAAGUUUACAAGACAAAAUAUCAGGUUCAUUUUAUCUUUGAGUAAUGAUAACUUUGAAGCUCUAAAAUGUACCAAACUUAUGUAUAUUAGUCUUCCUUUCAUCAGUCUUGAGUCUUGACAAGCAGUUUCCUCUAGAUUUUGAAAGCAGGACACAAUCCUUUUGUACCAAGCGCGUCAUAAGGCCUUUAUAUCCUUGUGUCUGCUCAACAAAGUCAGUUUCCUCUACAUCACGAUGUAGAAAAGCACUUUCACAUCUAGUUGAUAAAGGCACCAUCAUUUGAAAGUUGUAAGACCAAUGAUAGUUCUUACUUCUUAUAGUAUAUCCCAUAUAGCAGCAGGGGGAAACAUUUUGCGCUAGACAUCCUUGUAUUACUUGUGUCUAUAGACAAGUUCUCAUAAAUGUUUUUAUCAACUUCAAUACUAAUUGUGCAAGUUUAAUUUACAGGUUCCAUUGUUACUUAAAAGCCAAACUACAUCUCAAAAGGGUUGGAUAGGAAUAGCCUUACAAUCUUACUGGUUUGUGCCGUUUUCAAAUAGCAAAUCCGAUGAAAGAGCUGCAGAACGAGCAAUUGACUUCAUGCUUGGAUGGUUAGUAGCUCAUUGCACACUCGCUCUAUAUAUGAAAUUAUGAACUUAACAUCACUUGAUUAUAUUAAAAAGAAAAAACAAAUGGAGCAUGAUUUACUAAAGCAUUUUCAUUUUUCAUUCAUCUAUCAAAGUAUGAAGUAUUGUUAAUUAUUAAUGUUAUUAUUAUGAAACUCUCAAUACCCUCGUCGUUUUUUGGGUGCAUCCUAUCCUGCACCACCACGAUGUAUUGUAAUUUAAAAAAUUAUAUUAUAAAGUUUUGAAAAUUGAAUAAACACAUAUCCUCAAUUCUAGUAAGGUAUUGCAAGUGUGACAACGGGAGACAAUAUGUGCCCGCGUGCACACACACAGCACCAUAAGAAAGCUAAAAAACAUUCUAUUGAAAUCUCUAUUUCAGGUUUAUGACACCAUUGACAACAGGAGACUAUCCACAACAUAUGCGAUCCUUGGUUGGACAACGAUUGCCAAAGUUCUCUGAAGAACAAACCAGGCUACUCAACGGUUCUUUUGAUUUUAUUGGAUUAAACCACUACACAUCUCGAUAUGCAGCCAAUGCACCUAAUUUAAACACUACUAUACCUUGCUAUCUCACAGAUUCCCUUGCCAAUCUUACAAGUAAACACACCUUUAUUCAUCACUUAUAUCAUAAUGAAUUUUAACUAAUAAUUUAAAUCUUUGUUGAAUUUGACGACGAUCUCUCUUAUUUUUUGUAAUGGAAGCUGAACGUAACGGGAUACCCAUAGGUCCACAGGUACGUACAAGUGCGACCAAAUCAAAUGAAGUUUAUCUUUCUGCUAAAAUAAAAAUAUGAAACCUCCAUGAUUAUAUAUAUCUGCAGGCUGCUUCAGAUUGGUUUUACAGUUAUCCAAUUGGAUUUAAGAAACUGUUGGUCUACAUCAAGGAAAAGUACAAGAAUCCAUUGAUUUAUGUUACCGAAAAUGGUAAAUUACAACAAUCCUCGAUAAAUAUUGCAAAGUAAAUCUAUGAAUGAACAUGAAUAUGUGAACUAGUUAUUUGCUUAGGUGCAUCACACACACACACAUAUCAUAUACAAGCAUAUGGAUAAUGGACUUACCUUCAUGUACAAGAAAUUUUUCCUCACAUACUUGGCUUGAUUUGCAGGUAUAGAUGAGAAAAAUGAUCCAACACUGCCAUUGGAGGAAGCGCUUAAGGACAUUGACAGAAUUCAUUAUUAUCAGGACCAUCUCUCAUAUCUUCAAUCAGCAAUUAGGUAAUGGUUGUUUUUAUAUCUAAAAAUUCUGUCUAUUUGCUUCAAUACACAUCUUAAUACUUUCUAUUUUGUUUUGUUUUUUGUUAAUAUAUAAGGAUCGGCGUAAAUGUAAAAGGAUAUUUUGCGUGGUCGCUAUUGGACAAUUUUGAAUGGGGUGAAGGGUACACAGUGAGGUUUGGAAUGAACUUUGUAGAUUACAACAAUGACUUGAAAAGAUAUCAAAAGCUCUCAGCACAAUGGUUCAAGAAUUUUCUGAAGAGACUUUAAUUAGACUUUCUGAUAUUUAUAUGCAUGUCUCUCUUUGUAAUGGUAUUUAAAAAAGAAACAUAAAUGAAGUAGUUACAUAUGAUUGUUCAUUUUCUAAAGAAAUUAUGCGAUUCUAUAAAUCAUGGCUUUUGUGUAUAUUUAGUCUUUUCUCUUGUUAUGUUUCAAUAAUAACCUUGCCACACCCUUUACAACCCUUACCAUGACCACACUGACAUUUAGAUGUUAUAAGAAUCUUUGGUAAUCUAUCUUGGAAAAGCCUCUGAAAGAAUCAUGAUUCAUAUCGAAGAAUAUUCUUCAUUGCUUUGAAAGUCCACCCUAUCAACUAAGUUUCGAAGACCUACUAGCAACUCCUCCUCCCACUUAAUCACCAUUCACCACUGACACGACCAACACCAGACGCCGUCCCUCUAGCUUACAAUCUCAGCCACAGUUGCUUGCUUCUUUGUUUUCGGCCAUUUGAAAUAGUCGGGGAUACAUCACUCUAAAGCCUGUUCUCUCAAUCCAUUGAUCCUGCAAAAAACAUCAUUAAGGUUAGUUUACCUCCCAAAGAUAUGUGUCUCCCUUUCCAAGCCCUUAUACUCCUUAAAUUUUCCGUUCGCCACAACUUUCGUAACCAGCCUAUAUAAGCCUUCUAUGAUCGAUGCGAAUGCAAAAGGGACAAGUGGAUCUCCCUGUCUAAAGUCCCGCUUGAUUCGACUAUCAUCAAUAGGGCUACCAUUAACUAGUAUAGACACAUGGCUGCCGAAAAUGCAUGACAUAAUCCACUUCCUCCAUGCAUCACAAAAACUCUAUCUAGCAAGCACAUAUUCAAGAAACUUCGAACUAACUAAUAAUAUUUUUGUUGUCCUACCACUAAAAUGGUAAAAGGCUACAGAGAUUUGCAUAGCACAAACUCUGGUACGUGGAUACAGACGCAUCGACACUCCUAAUGUCAAAAAUGCCUAUUAAGCAAGAAUGAUAAAUGACCUUUAACAACACCCUCUUCAUUCCUCCUUACUCCUUCAAUAAUUACCUACAAUUUCAUCAACCUAGUAUAUAGAUUAAGAUUUUGUGAUUAUCAGAAGAAAAAUGAAAAAUCUAUAACUAAAAGCAUAAACACAAGAAUUUAUACUCGAGUUCUAUAACUUACAUAUUAAUAGGCUUUAAUUGGAAACUAAAACACAAAUCCGUUGUAGUCUAGUUGGUCAGGAUAUUCGGCUCUCACCCGAAAGACCCGGGUUCAAGUCCCGGCAACGGAAUCUUUUUUUAUUUAUUUAUAAUUUCUCUUUUUUUUUUUUCCUCGAAGGACUCUGUUUCUUUUAAAUAUUUCCAAUUUUGUAAAUACAUCACGAAAAUGGUAAGUUGGUGCCAAUGGAAUACUACUACCACCCCUCACAAUAUCUGCAGUGCCAAACUUUUGAAAAAUUCUUAUUUUUAUAAAAUACACAUUAAAUUCUUUUAAGUUUUUUAGGACUGAGUUCAGAUAAUUUUUUCUGCAUUGUGAGUUUAUGCUUAUUCAAACUUGAUUUUGUUUAGACAAAAGUAAUUUUAGAACUAAAAAAUUGAUUUUAAUAUGUUUGAUUAUUUUCAAAUAAAAUCAAUUUUGUCUUGAAUUAAUCUCUAAAGUUAAUUUGUAAGCUCAACUUUCUUUUUCAUUUAAGUAUUUAAAUAUAAAUUACUUAUAUUCAACUUACUUUUAAUCAAAAUCAAUUCAUUCAACAUGUGAAAUACGGGGUUAAGUAGAUGUUUUCAAGACAAUGAAAAAGUUGAUAACCGCUUUGAGUAAAUACAAAUAAUAACAUAUCUGAAUUUUAUUUAUUAUUGUCAUUUUGAAAAGAACAAAAACACUUUGGAACUAUUUGUCAAAUUGUUAAAAUAUAACAAUAUAUGCGGUAAUAGUAAGCGUGACAUGAGCUUGAAACAUGUAGCAUAUAUAAAUUUGUUACAAAAGACAAUUUCAUUCAAAGGUGUAGUAGCAACUAGAACCUCAAAAACUACUAAAUCUAAAUCAGCAGUAUCUUAUAUGUACAGUAACUUGAAAGAUCGGUAUGAAGUUCAGUAUUGUAUCCAAUAUUACAAAGAGUGGGCUUGCAUGGCGAAUCAAACCUUAACCUCCAAGUUAUAGCUUCAAACACACUGUGCUUAGGUGAAAUUGUCACCGCGGUUUCAAACACACUAAAACUUAAUGGUCUAUCAAGCCUAUAGCAAUCCCUAAAUAACAUGAUACUUGUUCCAUCACUGUCUCUUUUACGGCUUUAUUAUCUGAAAUUUGAUCAGUACCAGCAAUCUACCUCUUCUACUUGCACUGCUGGCAAAUUCCACUUCUUUGGAGGCCCUGAGGCCUUUGGAGAUCCAACAAAAUUAUGCACAUCAAGUUUCUCAAGUUCUACAGAGAUCGUACGACCAUAAAAACUCUGCAGAUAAAGGAUAAAAAACAUUAAAAAGAUAGCAUUCAGUUGUCAAAGUUGAUAAUCAAAAGAUAGGGCAUGCCAUUAAAAUCUGAACCUGUUGAUCCAUUGUUUCAAGUGCAAGCAUGGCAUCGUCUUGACAUGUGUAUUGAAUAAAAGCAAGUCCCUUUGAUCUUUCUGUGCUUACAUCUUUAACCAUUUGGACUGGAGCACACACCAAAUAAAUGGCACAGGUGUGAGCCAAAGUACUAAAAUCAGUUAUGCACCAUAUUUUAAGUGCUGCUAUAUCGAAGUAUGAGAAAAUUCAUGCACUUACCUUCAGCUAUCUUGCCAAAAUUUGAAAAUUUCUUCUGCAAAGCAUUCUCGCCAGUAAAAUAGGGUAGAUCUGUCUCCAAAGAAGAGCAGGUAGGACUUCAUAAAAAAAUGGUAAAUAAAAGAAAGAAAUAUCCCUUCCAAAAAAAUAAAACAAAAUGCUCCAUAGUCCAUAGCAUCCAGAUAUCAGGAGAGAAUAUUAAAAGGAUAUGAAAGACUGAUCACAGAUCAAAAUGAAGAACUACAUAAUGUAAAGAAAAUUCUCCACACUCAACAAUCAGCCAGAUUUGUGAAAACAGAAACUAGUCAAUCCACAAGUGUUUUUUUAUCUACAUCAAGUUAAUAAGAUAAUCCACAAGAAAAGUUUUUUUUGUAGAUAUCUGGAUGAAGCUUAGUGCUUUGGAACAAAAGGCAUCAAGUGUGUUAGUGGAAGUCCAUAAUUUCGAAUUCAAAAGCAUGUAAUAUGACAGAUAAGUGAACGUCAAUUUUGUAAAAAAUCAAAAUGUAGUUGGCACAAUCAUCUUAGAGAAGAUGAAUGCAAUAUUGCCAAUUUUCCAUCCAAAUGAUUGUGCAGUUGGCACCUUCGGAUUUUCAUUUAUCAGUUACGGACAUUGUAAAAUGACUUUUUUUUUCAUUAUUAUACUGGAACUUAUUUCCAUUACCAUACAGGAAAGAGGAACAAGAACCCAUCUAAACAGAGAAAACAAGUUGUUAAAGAGUCUCACAUUGGAUGAGAUAUGACCUGACUAUGUGUUAAAAGUGGGAGCAGUCCUCACCUUACAAGCCGGCUUUGUAAGGUUGAGUUAGGCCCAAACCAAAUUCUAAGACAAGCAUAUAUAACAAGAACCAAAAAAAGCAUAAUAUUGGCUUAAAAAGGCUCUUAAAUCACUUUUCACUUCUAACAAGAAUACCCUUCUCCUCUACUGCCCAAGAAAAAAAUGACUUAACCUACAUAGAUGCAACAGAAACACAUCUAUCCUAAAGAUGUUGCAACAUGUUUUCAAAAGCGUGCUUUAGCAGAGCAGACAUGUCUUAAUACUACAUAGACCGCUACAGACAUGCACUAGCUGAGCAGUUUAGUUAACUCUAUGAUUUCAAAAUAGCUGCCAUCCCGUUAUCUGCUAUCUCACUAUAGCAUUUUUUGGGUUGACCGCUACACUGCUCUAUAUGGGAUUGAUAACACCGGUUAUAGAUAGAAAUUUCUGAAUGAAAAUUCAGUAGUUGCAUGCAAGCUGCAAUCCAAACCAGUAGAGAUAGCACAGUACACGCCUUCAUCACAAGAAAGAAUCUGACAGGAAGGAAGCUUCCCUUACAAGGGAAGAGCAAAUACUACUCAGAGAAUGCAAUUCAAAAUAUUAUAAAUGAUGGUCUGCCUGCGGCAGCGUAGCAUUCUUCUUAUGUAUAUCUAAUGUGUUAAGUAAAAGCAUUGAAGAGAGCAAAUGGUGAAAUGAGGAUUUUCGUGAUGCAAAUAAGCAAAUUAGAAAGAAAAAGGUAAAUCAGACCAAUAGAGCUUCAAAUUCCUAGUCCUAACUAAUAAACUAACGAAAAACCACGCAUCGAGGCUAGGCUGGUGAUACCCAUUCACAAAAGUGGUUAGUAUUAUUUUGUAUGUGAGAUUUGUCUCUGGGCUAGGAGCAAUUGUUCUUGAUAAGGAGUUCAUUGGAUUGAACUCUUGUUUUCUCUUAUUGUUUCUGUUUUUCACCAUUGUAGAGCUUGAAGCUCACCAUUUCCCAAUUCAAUAACAAUUGUUCUAUCACGCUAGUACGAUUCAACACUUGUAACAAUGAAAACAACAAUGGAUCAACUCCUAAUAUAAUGUAUUCCCUAUAGAUUACAUUCAACACUUGUAACAUUGAAAACAACAAUGGAUCAAAUAAAGAAAUUGAAAACAGCUUGAAGGGUAGAAAAUUAUGAGAAAAUAAGAGAGUGAGAGAGUUACUUACUUUUAACAAGGAUUUUGCUAGCAAGCGGAUAUUCGUGUCGCAUAGAUAAUGAUGAUCUGAGGAGGUUUAGACGAGAACGGUUUGGUGGUGUGUAGUAAGGGAAUGAAGCCAACCCCAAAAUCUUUGUCUCCAUCAAAACUAAAACCAAGCAACCUCGUAUUCGUCGUCGUCUCUGUGUCAGAAAAUAAUCCCAACUCCUUUUUGACUUUUCAAUUGUUGGAUUUAGACUGGUUGGUUGCUUCCGUUUUCGGUAGAAAAAAUAAAUUAUACUACCUCAUUUAUUUUUUAAUUGUUACAUUUUAACAUUUUACACAAACUAAGACAAUCAAUAAAUGUUACUAUUUUUGAUAUAAUAAUUUUUAUUUUUACUAUAAUAACCUUAUUUAUUUAAUAUCUCCACAAUAAUAAAUAAGGGUAAUAUUAGUAAAAUAACAUUUAAUGUUGCAUUGAUCUAUGUAAAGUGACACUUAAAUAAGAACAAAAAAAUUCUUUAAAAGAGACACUUAAAAAGGAACGGAGGGAGUAGUCUUCCAUAGAAAAUUGUGGGUUUAAAUACUUGGGAUUGUCUAUUGCGGAUGAUCCUAAGAAGCUCCAAACUUAGGUGAUUGUAUUGUGCUUUUAAAGUCUAUCUUGUCGGUUGUGCCAAUUUACUUCUUAUUUUCUUCAAGGAACCAUCAAGUAAUAUUUCUCUUAUUGAAUCUUCAUUUGAUUUUUUUUUAGGGGAGAGUGAGGAUGCAAGGAAAAUCCACUAGGUGAAAUGAGAUAGAGUGUUGAAACCAAAAGAUACGGGAGGUUUAGGUCUAAGAGAUCUGAAAUUUUUUAAUUUAGCUCUCUUAGAAAAAUUGUGAUGGAGGUUGAAAAUUGAACUAAACUGGAUGGACUCAGUGUUUUUCGGAUGGUUGAAUUUUUUUUUUUUUUUUCUUAACACAGUCUCGAUGGUUGGAUAAACUCUCAAAAAAAAUUUGGGUCGUAUUUGACUUCCGGUAUACAUUUUACCGAAAUCUCACAAUGGACGCCGAUGGUCAUGUAUGAUCAAGUCGGGUGUACCUCAUGAACAAGAUGUGUGGUAUUCAAGCCAAUGAUUUGAUCUAUCGCGACUCGUCGUAUGCUCUUUCUCGAAGCAGAUGGGGGGAUUUGUUCAACAAAAGGCCCCAUAAGACUGUGUAAAGUGAUCAUACCUUGGGUGAUACCCCUAUUUAUAAUGUUGUAUUCUAUUGAUACACUCCUUGUUAUUUUUAUAUUUUCUCCUUUAAUUUGUUCAACUUGUAACAAAAUUAAUAUGGUUUACUUUGAGCAACUGAUUUCAAAAUAGAUGUGAUGUCUAUCCUCUUUGAAUGAGAUACAUGUUAGUAGGAAAAACCCAACAAUUAUCUUAUAGUUUGUCGGCACUUAAGGUAGUAGAGCACGUUGGUCCUUAGUUUGUUCAUGAAGUGGGAUUAAGGUGAUCCCUGAGACGAUGUAGGAGACAUAGUUUUGUGUUGCACGUUAGUAAUCGAUUAACGUUUUUGGAUAAUUCACUCUAAUAUAAUGUUCACAAACAAAAAUUAUAAAGAUAUUAUUUGGGUGAAAGUUUGUGUGCAUGAAUGUAGAAUAUUUUGGUGAUAAGAAAUGCUAGAAAUCUUACAUUGAGUAGAUAAAAAUAUUCAAUGUGAUAUUUUUCAAUUUAAUAAACUGAUCUCUUGUGAUAGAAUCUCUUCGCGUAUUUAAAUUGUGACAGUUGAUGUUUUUGCUAAGAAUUGAGUCACAAAAAAUCAAAAAUAGCAACCUACAUAGUAUUUGCUACGUAGGCUUUUACACAGAUGGCUAUGACAGAUAAAAUUGUUAAAUGUGACAUUUAAAUCAUAAGUCUAUUAUUUUUCUUCAAAAAAAAGUCACAAGUCUCUUCAACCUAAUAUAUUAAUCUUUUAAGGUUAAACUCUUUAAAUGAGAUUAAACCCUAAUAUAAAAAAGAGAAUUGUUUUUUGUAAUAGAGAUAUUUUAUGAAAAAUUUGUAAUAAUAUGAUGAAAAAGAAAUUAAGACAGAACAAAGAAAUGUUGAUAAGAACAUGAGAAUUGAGAUGUGAGAUGAGAUGGCAACGGUUAUGAUGCCAAAUAAGCCAAAUAUUAAAGAACGUGUACGUGUCUGUUGUCCUCACUCUCCUUCCUUCCUUCCAACGGUAAACUUCACAGAACCUGCUCUUGCUAUCUCAAUCACCAGAUGGGCCCCACAUUUUCAUAGCUGGUCCAAUCUUAUUCAUCAAUACAAAGAAAAGAAAUCAAAAUCUUAAUCAGCAAGGAGGAAAUUAUUGGGGCACUUGCACAGUGGUUUAAGUCAAAGAUCAAAAUCAUAAAACACUCUUUCAACACCGAUAUAGUACACUAUUUUUAUUUAUUCUUUUAUUCAUUCACACAUAUCCUAAGACCAAAUUUUCUAUUUUAUUUUUACAACUUUCUCCAGCUUUAACUACCUUCAUGUCCCAAGUUACAUUCUUACCCUCCACUUUCAUUUACAUGAUUCAUUUUUAGUGAUCACACGUUAUUAGAGUCAACAUUCAAAUUACUACAUUUUAAUGCAAGUUAAUGUUAAUGACCCCUUUAAUAAUUGAAGAAAGUCAUGCUUUACUAUUCAAAUUGAAAUUUAUGAAAUGUUAACUAGUGUUUUCGAAACACUCUUUAAGAAUUUUGGCAAAAUUACACAAUUAGUCCCUUAACUUUAUUUUAGGUAACACUUUCGUCUUUUAUCUUUUUUUUGUCACGAUUUAGUCAUUUAUGUUAUAAAAUAACAACAUAGUUAUCUUUUUUAUGAAAAAAAUAAUCAAAAACUCCAAAAAAAAAAUCAUCAAACUCAUAGGCAAACGUAAAUCUUCAUCAUACAAGCAUAUAAAAUCAAAUUUCUUUGAAAAAAAAUUUCAUAAAAAAUGAUAAGAUAUUGUCAUUUUAUAACAUAAAGGACUAAAUCGUGACAAAAAAAGAUAAAGGACGAAAGUGUUGCCUAAAAUAAAGUUAAGGGACUAAUUGUGUAAUUUUGCCAAUAAUCUUUGAAGAUAAAUUUUUAUUAAAAUCUGUGUAAUCAAGACAUUGAAAUUUAUAAAUUUGACUUUUAUAAAAAAUACUUUUUAAAUUAAAAAUCCUUAAAGAGUGCGGAUAUUCGUUUUUUUGACAAAAACAAGGAUAUUCGUUAACAAGACCCUUGAAAUUUACGGUAUGUUAAGAUUUCUCAAAUUAAAAAUUAUACUAUGUGCAUGUUUGAAUUUCCAAUAUUUACGUUUAUGACGUAUGAUUUGAGUGAAAGUAUAUUUUAAAAUGAUAGACAAAUAUAUGAUAAAUGUGAGUAGUUGUUCUUUAAAAUAUGAACUAAAGAGUUCCUUUUUUUUUUUUUUUUUUGGUACAAAAACUAAAGAGUUCCUUAAUCCUUUUAUUAAUGUUUUUGGAGCUAAAACUAUGGAAACAGAUCUUUGCAUAACUUUUAUUUUAACAACAGGAAAACAAAUAUUUUAACAAAUAUAUAUACGGUCAUUAUUAUAAGUAAAAAUUAACAUUUUAGAUUCAUUUAUUAAAUAAUGUAUGUGAUUUAUAAUAAAGACCAUAUACAAUAUUAAUUAAAUGAAUCUAAAAUAUAAUUUUUUGCUUAUAAUAGCAACUGGAGGGUGUACUUUUUUAGAGAUUAAUUAAUAUAAAUUCGUGUAGAAUCUCUUGAUAGAAUCUCUCCCUCUCCAACAAGUCGGCCCUAGUUUUCUCUAUCUAGGUUUUCUCUUACAAUUUCUUCAUUGAGGGGUGGUUUUGGGUCAAUAUUUGACCUGAAAUCACCCCUCUUCAUCUUUUUCUCUUUAUUUCAAUCUAAAUAAGUGAUUUUCACAUAGAUCUAGGUUUUUUUUCUUUGUAAUUUCAUCAUCUAAGUGUGGUGAUUUGUUGUUCGUCAUCUUGUGCGGCGUUGUUUGAUUUCCCAUCUUCGUGCGGUGUUCAUUUAAUUCAUAUUGAAAGAUCGAUUGUUCAAUCAAAGAUUUGGACGUCAACAUUGCAGAUUCAUCCCUUACGUUUUUAGCGGUGUUUAAUGAUGUAAUCUCUCUAUUUGAAUGAAUGAAUAUCAUUUUGUUUUUGUCAAAAAAAUUAAUAUAAAUUCGUGUAAAAAAUUUAGUUGACCAUCCGAUAAAUAUUAAUUGAAAAGAUAUGAUGAGAUAACUUCCAAAAAUAAUAUAAAUAUAUAAUCAUAUAUUAUUAUUUUAUUUAUACUUGUGAUGGACAUCAAUUAAAUUUUUGUUUCCUUCAAAAAAAAUCAAUUAAAUUUUUGCUGCCCUAAUACUUAUAACCGAAUCUUUGACCGAUAAUCAUAUAUUUUUUUAUCCAACAUGAUAUUUCAAGAUAUUUCAACAAUUUGUAAAAGAAAAGGAAAGAUAUUUUAACAAAUUUAUGUAAUAAUAAUCACCAAUAUAUUUUGUCAAAAAAAUAAAUAAAUAAUCACCAAUAUAUAUAUAUUAUUGGGAAGAAGCUAUUUUAAGAAAAAUUUAUAUGAUGAAAUUUUGUCAAAGAAAAAAAUAGUUAGAUAACCAUAAAUUAUUAUAUUUUUUGUGUAAAAAUUUUAAAUUAUUAAUUUUUUACUUGUGAAUGCAUACCAAUUAAAUUUUAUCUUUUCUUUCCCUAAGUACACAUAAAACGAAUCUUUGACCAAUUUCCACAUACUCCAUAUGAAGAAGAUAGAUAUGUCAUUCAAGUAGUAAGCAAAGGGCAAAAUCGAAGUUUCCAUAGCAUGGUCAAAGAACGUUUUAAAAAUUGACUUGGAAGAAAGAAAGAAAGAAACUAAAACUAUAGCUGUGAUUUAGUAGCAAAAUUCACAUCACAAAUAACACGCAAAUCAAAUUAACAAUUAAAUUAAAUGGGUCCCACAUUUUCUUUCCUUUAAAUAGCAAUUCUUCAUCCUCCUCAUAACACUUAUUCAUUCAACGGUACGAAAAAAAAAAAAAACAUAAACACACGAACAAACAAAGACCAAUUCCAACGUUAAAUUAUUUGACUCAAACAAAACAAAAAACCUUAAUCAUCGUGAACAACAACAAUAACCUUAAACAUGUCUUGCUCCGUCGCGGUUUCGAAUUCGCCGGUGUUUUCACCUUCUUCAUCUCUCUUCUGCAACAAAUCUGAAACGUUAACGUUAUCUCUUUCUCAUCUCAAACCAUCUUCAACAACAACAACAACGUCUUCAUCGUCUUCUUCUUCGCCUUCUCCUUGUUCUUCACCUUCUUCACCUUUUUGUCUUCGGUUACCGAAACUACCCUUGGUUUUUACGUCUAACAAGGAUUCUGGGUCGCAGAAUGAUGCUGUUUUGAAGAGGAAACGACCUACCAGGCUUAAUAUACCUGUUUCUGAACAUGCUUUUUGUGUUCCGGCGACGCCUUCUGCGGUGGCGAGGGAUGUUGUUGAGGCGGAGGGAGAUGGGUAUUCUGUUUAUUGUAAGAGAGGGAGGAGGGAGUAUAUGGAAGAUCGUUAUACAGCUGGGGUUAAUCUUCGUGGUGAAAACAAUUUGGUAAGAAAUUUUUUAACCUUUUUAUUUAUUUUUAAUAGAAUAUAUAAUAUUUAUUUGGUUGGUUUUGAUGUUGAUAUGUUUUUGUCAAUUGGGUUUGUUGAAAGUUUCAAACUUGAUUUCUUAAUUGAUUUGGGUCUUAUUGGAUCUAAUUGUUUGCAGAAUUUCAAUAUUUUGUUCUUUUUUUGGUCUGAUUUGGUAGCUGCAUAUGGAAAAUUUGAGAUUAAUUUAUGUAGUUGAAAAAGUCAAUUUUAAGCUGCUAGGAUUUUUUUGAAUUGUUGCUUUUGAAGUUAAAAAGUUUGUCUUAGUAAUUAGCCAUUAGUUAAAUUUGAAUUUUGUAGAUAGUUGAAACAAAUUAGGAACAUAUGAUUAUGCAUUUAAUGUUUAAUUGAGAUUUGAUGUAUAUGCUUGCUUGUUCUUGUUGUUGUUGAUGACUUGGACUUAUAUUAGAUUUGAUUGUGUAAAAUCUAACUUGUACAAGUUUAUUUUGUGGUAAUUGCAGGCUUUUUUUGGCGUAUUUGAUGGACAUGGAGGUGCCAAAGCCGCUGAAUUUGCGGCAAACAACUUAGAAAAGAACAUCUUGGACGAAGUUAUCAUGAGCGACAAAGAUGAUGUUGAGGAGGCAGUGAAGCGCGGUUACCUCAAUACCGAUUCUGAGUUCAUGAAAAAAGAUCUACAUGGUGGUUCUUGUUGUGUGACAGCAUUCAUUAGGAAUGGUAACUUAGUUGUGUCUAAUGCUGGUGAUUGCCGUGCUGUUAUUAGUAGAGGAGGGGUUGCUGAGGCACUAACAUCUGAUCACCGUCCUUCAAGGGAAGACGAAAAGGACAGAAUUGAGACCCUGGUAAAUUUUCUUACCAUUGUAUUGGCUUCUCUUUUUAUUUAUGUUUUUUUGAAACCUUGUGUUUGAGUUUGGUUCUUAAUCUUAUGCAUUGAAAUUUGUCUUGCAGGGUGGUUAUGUUGAUUUAUGUCGCGGUGUUUGGAGGAUUCAAGGAUCUCUUGCUGUAUCAAGAGGAAUUGGAGACCGACACUUGAAACAAUGGGUGACAGCGGAGCCCGAGACUAAAGUUAUUAGAAUUGAACCUGAACAUGACUUGUUAAUAUUAGCUUCAGAUGGAUUAUGGGAUAAGGUAAUACUUCAAAAUUUCAUUGCGAUGUUAUUGUAUGUGUAUUCGGCGUUUGUCAAACAUGAUUUUGAUUGGAAUGUUUGUCUAAUGUCAAACUCGUGCUAAUCCAAACGCAUUCAAAUCAUGUUUGACAAAGAUAAAAUCAAUUAUGAUGAUUUUCGCACUUUUCUUUUGAUAUUGAAUGAUUAACUGAUCAAGUUUCUUUUUAUCAUUUCAGGUUAGUAAUCAGGAAGCAGUAGACAUUGCUCGUCAAUUUUGCGUAGGAAAUAACAACCAACAACCAUUGAUGGCCUGUAAAAAGCUUGCAAAGUUGUCUGUUUCAAGAGGCUCUUUGGAUGAUACCAGUGUCAUGAUAAUCAAAUUGAAACACUAUGUUUAGAGGUUCAUUGGUAGAACAGAAGAAGAUGGUGGUGCCUGAUGAUUAGAAAUUAGCCUAUUCUUUUCUGUAUAUAUAUUAAUUAUUAUUGAUUAAUUUUAUCUGACGACAUUUAUUGGUGAAUUUUUGUACCCGUAGAUGGGUGAGUAGAGAUUAACAAAGCCAUUUAGCCAUUUGUUUAGUAGAAUAUUUAUCUAAUAAUCAUGUAAUAACUUUAUAGAUUAUCUAAUUAUUUCGGUAAUAAUUCAUUCAUUCUUUUAUAUUGGAUAUAACAAAUUUGUGAUAGUUUAUAGUUUCACUUUUUUGAUGCAUGGAAUGAUUGCAUAGUUCCAUAGAAUUCAAUGAAUCACUUUUUCAAACGGUCAAGACCAAGUUAGUUAGCCUACUGUCUUUUGAAUUUAUCAGCUUAAUCAAACGGUCAGAUAUUUUGACCAAUAGGCUGGUGGAGGUUUUUGUUUACAAAUUUGAAAGCUUAAUCAAGCUUAAUUUAGAUCAAUAACCUAAUUUGUUUCUCAGAGCAUGGAUCAGUGUCACAUGUGGUUUAUGAUGUGCCUUAUUUACUCAUUAUUUGAGUAAAUCCUAUUAAAUUUUAGCAGGCUCUGCUUGCAAGUUUUGAGUCGAAAGUAAAGGAAGAUUCCUAUUAAAGUAUAUGAUUUUUGCUUAAGACCAAAUUUAAUAGCAAAUAGUACGAAAUUUGUCAAAUAUCGACUUCGUAUAUGUCUGGUUUAGCUUUUUCAAAGAUGAAAUCACUUUCAAAUGCACAUUUGGACGUUAAGCUCCAUUUCGUAGCUUCCAUUGUGAUGUGUGUUAGAAAUUAGUUUCUAACGCAGAAUUAUACAAAAAGUUAUGUGGUAAUCUUUUUGUUUCAAAUAGUGGUUAAAGGAUUUUUUUUUCUUUCUUUCUAUGAUGGUACAAGUUUGACAAUAAUUCAUUUUACAAGCAAAGGUUUCAAUGGUUUUGUAAAAUGAAAGUAGUAUGAAACAAUGUAAAAGAAACUAACUGAAGUACAAAAUUACAUGAAAACAUGUAAAGAGUUUCAUGAAAAGUAAUAGUGUUAGCCUCAUGCACCCCAAUGCUAUCAAUGACUUUCAGUUGCAACCUAGUUCGAUAUUAUGAAGUAUUUGUCCGAAUUACAAUGAACUAGUGUGAUUUUAUAAAAGUUAUCACGGUGUUUCAAUGUGAUUUUGACAAAUUCACAGUGAAAACUAAACAAGACCUCAAUCAUUAAGUUACGAUUAGGUACUUUGAUGGACGAACAACAUCUUACCACCCUAUGCUAUAAACAUAGAUUUAAAGUCCGUUCAUUCUUACAUUCUUAUGGAGUACAUUAAUGGCAAGGUUCAUCAUUUCCUUUGUAUGAACUAAAUUGGCGAUUGUUGGUUUAUCAUUGCUACUAUUCGUGUUAUUAGACUCUCUUCUAAUUUUUAAGAGAUAUUACUCACAUCCCAAAAAACUUAAUUUUGUUUAAAUAUAUGAAAAUAGAAAAAAGGUGAAAAUGAUAAUGACCCUUUAUUUUAUUUUAUUUUUUUGAAGGAAAAAAAUUCAUUGCUUUUCAUUAGCUAUCAAGUCUCGGAUACAUGACGGUACAUCAUCAUAAACGUUGGAGCUAGCAUGAGAUGAGGCUACCGUAGCUAAUUCAUGAGCGACCCUAUUGGCUUGCCUCCUAUUGAACUCGACAUAAGAGUUUUGAAAAUUAUAAUCGAACAACUGCCUACAUAUAUCCUUGAGACUUCAAAGAUCAAAAGUCGUCACUUUUUUUCUCUCUCUUUAUUCUUUUGUAACUAAGCACUUUUUUUAGAAGAUGAACUAAACACUUUUACACGUGAAAACUAUUCUCUAAAGUAAUUUUUCACAAUAAUUUGUGUUAAUCCUCACAAAUUUAUACUUAUAACUUUGGAACUAGUUUGCCAAUUUCUUAUCAAGAGGUCCAUAUAUUUUCCUCUUCUUAUACGUUGACAUUUUCAUAAGGAUCACGAGCCUUAAAUCAAUAGUAUAAAAAAAACUUCAAAUUAUUUUUUAUAUAUAUGUAAUACUAAUGUGAACAUUGAACUAAUUUAUAAAUUGGACCGUUGGUGGAAAUUGACCAAGUUUCCUAGCCAUUAGGACUUAGGAGCACUGACUCCGUCCCCUGCCGACCACCAUUUGUGACAUGCACAGAAUAAUGAACUUAUCAUUAUGAACCUUAGGAAUUAAUGAAGAUUUUCAAUUUAAUUUAGACCAAAAUUAAGGUGGGGAAUAAAAUAGCUAAGUGUACAAAUUAAGGUGGGGAUACUAUACUAAUUAAGUGGCGGUGUGAGAUUAAGACAUUAUUUUUGUCUUGACUAAGAGAUUGACUUUAGGAUCAUAAGGUUGGUUAGAGAUAUUAUUGAGAUACCUUUAGGACACGUUCUCAUCAUUCAUGGUCCUUCGAGGAAGGCACAAUGUUUUGUUAACUUAUGUACACUCCAAAAUCCAAAUGAAGUUUUGGUGGAUAAUAUAUGCCAUACAAUUCCCACAAGAUAUUCGAUUCAAGAAGAGAAAGUACAUGUACAUGCAACCAAACUCAAUUAUCAUCAAAUCACCAACCAACGUUUGUAAUAUGCAUUGCAUGUAGCACGUACCAUACGGCAUAAUAAUAUGUAUGUACACCAUUGUAUGAAUUUGACUCAGAGAAAAAUCAGUCUCCUUUAAUGAUAUAUACUAUACUAGCUAGUAUAUAUUAUUUUGGCAUGCCAUGUAUUUUUUGGUAUGUCAAUGAAUCAAUGAUAUAUUAUAUGUACGUCAUGGAACAUGCAUGUUUGGAUUGUUCUCUAUAUAGUUUCUUUUAAUAUUAAACAAUCUUUAUGUUUUUUUUUUUUUUUUUUUUUUUAUAUAUUUGUUGUUGGUAGUCAAAUUAUUUAUUGUGUGUGUAUAUAUGAGUUUUUUUUUUUGUUUUUUGGGAAGAACCACGUUUGCCGCUGUAUGAUGGUCAAACCGUCUUGAUACUUUUUCUCUUUAAAGACUCGAUUUAAUAUUUUUUUUCCUUCAUAAUUUUCUCACAAUCUAGUUUAUAUCUCUGGCAAGAAAGAAAAUAGUAUUUUGAUUAGUUUUUGACAUUUUCAUAAGGCUGUUGUAAUGAGGUAAACUUAAGAGAGAAACUAAUAUAAUCCCUCAUAAACAUGUUAUAACUAAUUUAAAUCUAAUUUUUUUGAUUAAAUUGGUCUGCGAGUCAGAAUUAAUUUUAAGGAGACAAAAAUGUUCAUUCUCAUACAAACUAAUGAAAAUACAUCCACGUGACUUAAGUCAUGUUCGCCUUAUAUCAACGUGAGUUACGUCAUGUCUAAAGCAAGGUUGAUAUAAGACGAAAUUACUUAAGUCACGUUGAAGACAUUUUUGUCAGUUCAUGUGGAAGUGAGCAAUUUUGUAUGGGAGAAGAGCAACAUUCUUUUCUUCUAGCCAAACAAGGAGGCCCGUUUACACUACAAGGCCUCAGCUUAGGCCCCAAACAAUUUUGAUAAUUAUUUACUUUUUAAAAAUAAGUCUUUGCAUUAAAAUGAUUAUAAUUGAUGUUGUAGUAAUAUACUUUUUGAUUAGAUCCUUCUUGUUAUAACGUUGGUAGUCAACUAAUAGCUUAUUCACAAAAAAUAUAUAAUAGUUCAUGUCUAAUUGUAACCAAAUGAUCAUAUUGGCUUAAUUUAACACUCACAACAACAAUAAGUAUACGAGUUACUUUGAACUUGUCCAAUGACUUGAAAGAUAAUUUAAAAAGAUCCUUUCAGACACUUGUAAGAUGGUAUGAGAAGUGGUGGAGGCUAUGAGGAGAGAAGCUUCCUCUGUGAGUCCAUCAAAGGGUGUGUUGAAUCUAUACAUGUUUUGACGCUCAAGUUGGUGAGUGAACAAGAGAGUGAGGUAGAUAUUAAUGAUGAAAAGUGAGGCAGAUAUCUACCGCUAGGCUUUCACCUAACCAUGUGUCCCCAAAAGAUCCUUAUAAUGAUCUGGAGGUAGUCACAACAUUGGAUUCAUACUGGUUGGUCCAUAUUGACAGUCUGGACCACGAACCAAUGAGAUUUAUGGGGUGUCCAUGAUAGGAUCCGCCAAGCAGCAGUAUCCAGUCGGACAUGGGUCCUAACUCGGAUUUAGUAUUGGUCCUGUCUGUAACAAAAAAAGAAACUUGAAAAUGAGUAAUUUGACAUAAAUAAAAGCAAGGGUUAAUUAAGUAAAUGAUCUCUAUAAAUAUACACAAUUUUGUUUUUAAUCCCUACAAAAUAAAAUUGCAUUUUUUAGUCUUUUGUAAAAUUUUAUAUUGACAUAAAGAAGAUACAUAUGUUUCUCAUACUAAUUAAACAAAACACAUUUCAUUCAACGAUAAAGAAAACAUUUGUGAUUGAUUUUACAUCCACAUAUAUGACUUACAAUUGUUUGUUACAACUUUUUCUAUGAAAAAGAAAAUAGUAUUUUUAAACAAAAUAAACACAUUUAAAAAAUUACUCAGUUUGAUACAACUUCAAAAAAAUAAUAAUGAAUUUGAGAAGGGUACAUUUAUAUUUUAGAAUUUUUUUAUUUAAAAAAAAAUUUCUAAAGAUUUUAUUGUUCUAAAUGGCCAAAGUCCUAAAUAUAUUGAUUCUCUAAUUCUUAACACGUUUGACAUUGAUCCAAGACUCCAAGUUAGAACAUGAUUUUUAGAAAAACGAUAAAAAUACAUCAAAGUGAUAAACACCACAAAAACUCACACAUAUUACAAUGUCUCGAGUUCAAAUUCAAAUAAAGAUGUCCAACAUAAUAAUUUCGACAUAUUCAAUUGAGAUGGGCUUUAGGGACCUUUUCCUUAUAAUUGUAAUUGGCAUGAGAAGGAGUGCAAGGUACAAGGCUAAAAACACAUAACCAUCAUUGCAAAAUUUGAAAAAAUUUCUUUGAGCAAUUUGAAUUUUCUAAGCAAGAACUCUAAACAAACAGACAGAUAAGAGGGGAUGGGGGGAAGCAUUGCAUGCUAAGCGUAAAAAAAGAUGGAAUGUUUUGUGUGCACUAACAAGCACUACAUGCCCACCUCAUAAACCAUUAAUGACCCUUCUUUUGUCUCAUUCUUCAUAGACAAAUCUCCCCAACAUUGCAAUUUGCAACAAACACAUUUCCCACAUCUCUUUUACUACCUCAUCAUACACCUCUCAAACAUAGUACUAAUAUUGUUUUUUUGUGUCUUCUUUUAUGUUGUCAAUGUUAGCAAGAACUUUGGGGGCUUCUAACCCUAUCAUAUAGAUAAGCAAUGGAAUACACGUCUUUUGCUUCAUUCAUUAUUGAAUAUUAUAAAGCUUUAUAUGUUUCUUUUUAAAACGAAAGGUAAAGAAAUUAUGAAAGGUUCAUGCUUCAUGUUUUUAAAAUUUAAAUUUAAAGUCAUAGUUGGAUGCACGAAGAAAAGAGCUGAGCUACGUUAACAAAACGUUCUUCUUUUUGCAUUAUUGGCUCGUGCCCAUAUUCGAUCUCGUGGUUACUUGUCCAAUGCAUAUGGGGUUGCUUUUUGCACCCUCUUUUCUUGUUAUACUAACAACCAUGUAUCAUUUUGUUUUCUUUUCAAAAAUUUCCAUGUCUAAAAGUUUACUUUUUGAGUGCAUAUUCUUUUCAAACCUAUAUUGUCAUGCGAGCAUUUUUACAUUAUGAAAGUUUGUCUCUAGUGAUAUGUUUAGAAAAUGGGUCUUCAAGGUUAACAUUAUUAUUAGAAAGGUAUUUUGGUUGUGAUUAACGUACUAGAUGUUGAUCCGUACGUGGAACAUAUUAUUAGAUGAUAAUCAAGAAAUAAAUUUUUAUGAGUAAAAAAAAGAGAACAAGAUUUUUAGAAUUAUAAUGGUCUAGAUAUUUGGUUUUACAAACAAGUAGUAAACAAUUUCUUGAGUUUUAUUUUCUAAAGGAACUUGAAUUUGAAAAGAGUAAUGACAUUUAAACACAAAUAGUUGACACUGAAAAAAUACAGUUACUUUAAACUUUGAUUCAAUUGAAAGACAAAUAAAAGAAACUAAUGAAAAUAAAUAAAUCAAAAUCAUAUAAUGUACGGUCUGAUGCCACUUUUUGUGUUGAUAUAACAUUUUUGUUUGAAGAAAUAAUUUGUCAUAGCAAAUAGAAUCAAGGCUUAAAUAUGCAAACUGCCCCUGUAAUUUGGGCUCAUUUUGAUUUUUGUCCCUGUAAAAAAAAAUAAUUUAAUUACAUCCCUGUAAAAAAAAUUUUGUUUUAAAAAUGUCCCUGGCCCCACUUCGCUGGUGAUGUGGCAUGGGUUUUGCCACGUGGCAGUCCACAUAAUUAAAAAAUUAAAAUUAUUUUUAAAGUUUUAAAAAUUAUUUUUUUAAAUUAAAAAAAUAUGAAAAUAAAUUCAAAAAUCAUUAAAAAAAAUUGAAAAAAAACUGUUAAAAUUAAAUCUUCGACUUUAAUUUUUUUGAAUUUGAAAAUUAUAUUUUUUUCUUCAUAUUUUAAAAAAAAUUAAAAAAAUAAUUUCAUUUUUUUCAGAAAUUUCAGAUUUUAUAAUUUAAAAAAAAUAUUUUUUUUUUUUAAAAUUAUAUGAUAAAAAUAAUUUCAGAAAAUAAUUUAAUUUUUUAAAAUGUUUUUUUUAUAUUUUUAAAUUUUAAAAAAUAAUUUUAAUAUUUUAAUUAUGUGGACUGCCACGUGGCAUAAGUUGCCUAGUCAGCAACUGCCACGUGGCCCAAAACGUUGCCACAUCACCAGCGAAGUGGGGCCAGGGACAUUUUUAAAACAAAUUUUUUUUUACAGGGAUGUAAUUAAUUUUUUUUUUUUUUUACAGGGAUGAAAAUCAAAAUGAACCCAAAUUACAGGGACGGUUUGCAUAUUUAAGCCUAGAAUCAAUAUUUACAUUUCCAUUCGAAAAAGAAAAAAAAAAAAAAAAAAAAAACAUAUCUUUUACACACUAAACUUAGCUAGGCAGAAUCACCAUGAUUGCCAGAAUAUAUAUAUAUUUGUAUGGGAUUUUGGAGAAAAGAAUCCUAACUUAGUCAUUGGGCAAAUAAAUAGUGAUUUUCACGAAUUUUGACAUUUAUUUCGUUAACAUGUCAUGCCUUGGACCUCUAAAAAAAGGUCAUACCUUGGUUGAUGUUAUAUUAUUUUUUUUUGAAUAAAAGUUUGAUGUUAUAUUUGGUUGCACUACAAAGAUAAGAAAAAUAUUUACUAGUCAUGUUUCUAUCAUCAAGACCUAAAUUAAUCGACUUCUAAAGUAAGGAAAAAUCAAAAUGAAAGUUGCGUCUACGCUUUAUUUUGAGUUAGAAUCCUCUACAUUUAUAAAGAACAAUCCUCAUUUCGAUACCCAAUUCAAUUGUUGCAAUGACUCAUUUAAAAUUAUUGAAGAUUAAGUUUGUUAAUAUGAUAACUCAACUAAAUAUUUCUUACAAAAUGCUUUAUACAAGGAAAUAAUAUAGCAUCACGAAAUGGCAACGAACUAAUAUCAUUGGUUUCACGGCCGUGUUUUCCGCAAAGGAAAUUGCUAGUUAUAGCGAAAGAGAAACUCCAGAACAAGUGUCUAUUUAAUAAACAUAUCUCUUAAAUUAUAUCCAUGACAUCAUUGUUUUCCGCCCUAAAUGCUAUUGGCUUAAUGGUGUAUCAUGAACUGCUCGGACAAAAUAUCUCACGUUAAAUAGCAUCAGCGGCGAAGCUAGCAACUUUUUUACGAGGGGGUCAAAUGUUAAAAGUUUAUUUUUAUUUGUAAGAAACUAAGUAAUUUACAAGAAAUUUAUUCUCUAUUUUAUGUUUGAAUCUUAUAUUGACAAUUUUCAUUGCUAAUGUUGAGAAUUGACUCAAAAUUGAGGAUUCAGCCAAAAUCGUGGCCCGAUUUUGGACCAGUUUUUGGACUUAUGAUUCUGGAAAAAUCUACCCAAUUCAAUUGUUGCAAUGACUCAUUUAAAAUUAUUGAAGAUUAAGUUUGUUAUAUGAUAACUCAACUAAAUAUUUCUUACAAAAUGCUUUAUACAGGAAAUACAUAUAGCAUCACGAAACGGCAGCGAACUAAUAUCAUUGAUUUCAUGGCUGUGUUUUUCGCAAAGGAAAUUGCUAGUUAUAGCGAAAGAGAAACUCAGCAACGAGUGUGUAUUUAGUAAAUGUAUCUCCUAAAUUAUACACAUAAUUGUUUUCCCCUCAAAAAGAAAUGCUAUUGGCUUAAUGGUGUAUUGCGAACUGCUCGGGACAAAAUAUCUCGCGUUAAAUAGCAAUGCUCUUCCGCAAAACACCAACAAAUAUGUUUUUAAACAAUUCUAAAAUUUUGACAUGUUUCCUUCGUGAAUUUUCGUGAUCCUUUUCUCCCAAUUUUUUUUUUUGGUAAAGAUAAUGUCUCCCAUAUUUUCAAUGCAAAACACGGCAAUUCUAGCUCUAAUUCAUUUGCAGGGUAAAGUCUUUCAUGGUUUUUUUUUUUUUUUUUUUUGCUUCCUAGAGGCAGAAUACUAGCAAAUGACUUUGUAUGGUGUGAUUAUCCAUCGUAUGCAUCUCUUCAUGAUAUGAUGUGGGUGGAGUUUUCUCACAAUGAUGUUAGGGUGGAUUUUGAUCGGGGAAAUAUUAUUUAUAGAAAAAAGAACAAGUAUAAGAUACUAUCUGACUAUGCCAAAGCACCUACUAUUUCUAGUUUAAAAGACCACAAUAUACCACAAUAUAUUCACUAGAAUUAGACAAAGCAAGUCAUACACGGGCACAACCUUAAAUCAUAAACGUUUGGACACACAUAUGGAAACUGUUAAAAGAAAAAUAAUUUAAUCACAUCAUUUAACGCAAAAGGCAUCUCAAAGGGUAUAUAAAAGUUUACAAAACAAGUAUCGCUAGAUAGCUAGCCAAAAGGGAGAAAAACAAAACAUUACGAAUUAGAAAACCCAAGAUUGGCUAACGAGUUGGAUCACCAUGCGUGAUAGUCGCAAACAUUAUGAGAGUUAUACGAUUUCAGACACCGCCAAAAAUGAAGUUUAAUACACUCAAGUAACUAAUCCAACAUAAUAUGAUGUAAUCUCACUGUUACCAUGAAUUCGCCUACAUGUUCCCUAAACAAACUUGUCUCACCUCCCUCACCCCCUUUUCAAUAUCAAAUAAAUCCUUCCACCACACUGAUGUCUGCCUCCCUCCUCUACGAAUACUAUCAUUUAAACACCAUAUUUAGCCGGUAUAAUUUUAAAUAAAAUUAAUAUAUUUUGGUUCAAAUAGCUCUCAAACGUUUUAGAAUACCAAAUCAAAUUGAUAGUAAAAUCAAUAAAUUUAAUUGUGUUAAAAUAUAUUCUAUUAAUUUGAAUUUUGAAAAUGAUUCAUUGUGAAGUUUUUUCUUCAAAAAACGCUAACAGAGAAACCUACACGUACUAAAUACUGAGAAGUGACGAAUUAUAAAUUCGAACGACGUUCAUGCAUAUCUAAGGUAUCCACAACGUUUUUAGGCUAAAUUACAUCGGAGAUUCUUUAAGUUAUUUAAUUGUAACAAAUUUGUCUUUUAAGUUUUUUCGUAUUACUUACGUCUUUUAAGUUAUUUAAUUGUAACAAGUUAAUCGUUUUAGUAUUUUUUUUUUGUAACACUUAAGUCCUUUUAAGUUAUUUAAUUGUAAUUUGUUGGAAAUUUAGGUUUUAAUAAAAAAACAGAUUUCAUAAAACAUGUUCAACAAUUAUGAAUCAAUAGCGGAAGCAAACAAAACAUUGAACACGAUUAUGAUCGGAUCUAGACAUGUCUGAUUUAUCAAGGAUAUUAAGAAUAAGGGUAUUAAGAAUACCUGGAUGAAGCUUUCGUGACAACUCUCUCGCCAUCAACGAUCUAAAACAAGGAGAGGAGAUGAUCUAAUCUGAAACACACAACAUAGCUUAGCGGCGACUGAUUUGGUUCUUCCUCAACCGGUACCUUUAUACCUCGAGUUCUCUUCAGAUGGGGAGAAGAGAAUGUUUGCCGUGUACGGUGUAUUGGGACCAUAGUCUCUUUUAUAUUGGAUGACUAUUAGAUUUUCCAUUAUUCCGUUAAUGAGUCAUCCAGACAUCCACUCAUUGAAUCCAUAUCUAUUAAUGAAAUAUUUAAUUAAUUAUCUAAUUAGAAAUCCAAUAGCCUUAUUACUUAAUUUAAUCACUAAUCAAUUAAGGCUCACAACUGAUAAAUAGCUAAUAUAAUUAUUAUUACAAUAUUUGUCCACAUAAUGAUAUCGGAAUAUAAUAAAAUAAUAAAAUAUUCCAACAUAACUUUUAAGCCCCAAAUAACUUACAUUUUUAAGAUUUGAAAUCCUCCAAAUUAUUACUAUUAAAUAACUUAAAAGGUUAGAAAAAAAUACUUAAAGACCAACUUAUAAUAAUGAGUUAACUUAAAGACUUGAGUGGUACAUUCAUAUUAAUAACUUAAAAAUGAUCGUCGGAGUUAAUAAAGAAUUUAAAUGAUCAAUUUAUUACAAUUAAUAACUUUAAAAUUAUCGCCGGUGUAAUUUAUCCACGUUUUUACUAUACAAAUUGUACUUACGACAUAUGAUUUUUAUUUUAUUUUAUUUAUUUAGUAAAUUGUUUUAUACUUUUGAAGGUCUAAAACGAUUACUUUGUUGACUUUAUUCUUGUACCGACUUGCUUGUUUUAAGAGUCAAAGGCAAUGUUAUCCAAGAACUCCUUACAUCUUUUUUAUUCCACCACUAACCUAAAAAAACUAACGAUUUAGGCACUUCAAAUUGUACCACCUCUCCAUUAUUUUUUUACUUUAAAAACUCCAUGCCAAUACAUAUCCAAUACCCUCUUUAUUCUUUUUUGAGGGAGGGUGAGGGGUGGGAAUGUGUAAAGGAAUAUACACCUUCUUUAGGUGAUGGUCAAUUUCAUUUAGAAAAGAUGUGGACACAAUAAACUCCGUCACAUAAAUAUAUAGUUCUACAUAACUUUGUGGCAAUAUGCAAUGCAAGUCAAGUCAUGAAGCACGUUGCUUAACCUUCAAAACUUGAAUCUUAUCCAAAACCAAGUAGGUCACCGAGUAAGCAUAAGCACCACAAUUUUAUUUGUUUAUUCUAUUCUUAUACUCCUUCGUGCCUUAGUGUGAAAGGUUGCAAAUUGAAGUUACUAAGAAAACCAUUCCUACGCGUCACACUUUAAUCAUAACCUUGCCACAUAUACUUAGAGACCAUUUUCUACUACCGUGUGGGACAUUCAUAUUUAAGCCAAAUGGCAUCAUUCUAGAAAUUACUAGAAAUUAAUCCAAAUUUAAAUUUAAAUUCAAAUGUCUUUUUUAAAUAAUAUUGACAACUAAAGAAGUAAUUUAAACCAUGUUGAAAUUUUAUCAUGGUUUUCCUUUUAAAAGUCUUGUUUUUCCUCAUUUGUGUAGCUAGUUUUAUGCCAAAAGUCAUGUUUAUGUGGACACAUAUUUCAAUUUUCUAUUUCCCUCAUGCGUAACGCUUUGUCUAUUUUUUUUUUCUUUUAAAAAAUCUUAUAUAGUCAAAUUCAGUUCUAAUGACCUUCCAAUUCAUUUAGACUUUGACAAAUGGCAUGUCAAUAAGAGUUCUAUCUCACUAAAACUUUGUUUGCACAUACAAAAAACCUAAAAUAAAAUGAAUAUAAAUAUAAAAUACAAAAUACACCAAUCAUGCAUUGAAUAGUUUUUUUUUUUUUUUAUUUCUCAACAAAAAUAUUAUAAUCAUACACCAUUUUUUAAAUUUCAUCUUAAUUUAUAUUUUAUAUUUAUAUUAAUAUAAUUUACCAAAGAAGUGAAAUAUAGGAAAACAAAUGUGGGAUAAGUUGGACUUAGGAAUAGGCAUUUUCAUUUUAAAUAAUCUUGUAUGUUACCUAAAAUCAUAAUUUUGCCGUUUAGGGUGAAGUAGUGCAUUUAUAUGAACAUGAGAAUAGGUAUUUUUCAUAUAAAAAUUUAGGCUGAAUUAGGCAAAAGCAAUUUAAGGAAAAACCUUAUCUUUUAAUUUGUAUCCAAACAAAAGAAUACUCUAGUACGGUAUAAUGUAAGGUGUCAAGAACUUAAUAAGGAAAUGAAGAAAUGAAGUACCACAUGUCAAAUUGUUCCAAUAAUUUUGUCACAACACAAGUCAGAGAGAAUUUCCCACAUCUUCUAAAAGAUACGACUAGAUUUUGGGGACCUUACCAAAAUCCAAAAUUUCACAUACAACCAAUUAAAAAUAAGAAUAAAAAAAUACAUUAAAAUAUAACAUAACAUAAAAAUAUUUGGUGGAAGUGUUAUGGUGCACGUCAUAUAGUUGUAGUUUAACUAAAUUUUGUGUGGCUAAAGCCAUAUACAAGCAUCAUUGAAAUCUUUCUAACAUAUUUGCAUUACCUUUACCAGAAUCUAGCACUGUCUUCAUAAAUUCGUGGACCAACAAUUUUUUGCCACGUUAGUGUUAUUACCUACUUAUAUGUUAAUUUUACUCUGUUUCCUACUACAGCCACGGUGUUAUGUUCCCUUUUGCCAACUUGUAACAUUCACCUCUCAACUAUAAUGCAUGCCCAUAUUCCACACUCCAACCACAUGUUCAAAUUAUUAUUCCUACGCAACAGUACCAACUGUAUAUUAUAAAUAAAUUAAAUGUACCUUGCUGGGUAAUUUAAUAAUAAAUACCGAACACCCCUUCAACAGAAAACCUAUCGUGAACCGUUUUUUUAUAUGUAAGAAAUAUUAUUAUAGAAAUGCUACCAUGGUAUUGUUUUCAGAGAAAUAUAGCUUUAACAAAAUUUGAGUUUGGUCCAAAAGUUAGGUGAUGUUAAUUAAGAGUUUUACAUGAGAUGAAAGAUAGUUUGAACUUUGAAUAUAUCUUUUAUAAGUAGAGGUAUUAGUAAUUUAGAAAUCAAAUUUAUAAUAUUGAGUUACAUUUAACUUAAAUUUUAAGAUGGUAUGAAAAUCUAUUACUAUUAGAUUUCUUUAAUUAGAUCACUUGAAUUAUAGUUCGUAUGUAUAAUCCUAACUAUGAAGAGUGUACGUUAAGAAUAAGACACUAACGUGAGAAUAUAAGUUAGACCUAAUCUAAAUUUUAAGAAGUGAAAUAUAAUUAAUUGCAAACUUCUAAUUAACUUAAAUUUUGAAAAAUGGUAUGAAAACUUAUUCAAGAUUCAUUGGAUCAUCUACUGCUAAAUUUCUCUUAUCAAAUUGAAUUACUUGAGUCCAUAAUUCAGAUAUUUAAUCCUAAAUAUGAAGGGUGUGCGUUAAGAGUCAUACAUUAAUGUAAUAUGAUAAAAACAUAUUAGUGAAGACAAUCAACCCCUUAUAAAUUAAGCUCAAAGUAAAUUAUAAAUUCUAAGUGAAAUAUAAUUAACUACAAACCUCCCAUUUUUGCUCAACCUUACUUACACACAUUUUAAUCCCUUAGUCUCCACACUAGUACCACUAAAAUUCACCUAAAUCACAUAGAAAAGGCUUUAAAAACAUUUCCUUAAAUCAAAAUUAAAAACCAUAGUACUUAUCCAAGUAUUGUCUACUAGUGACAUGAAAAUGAAAAAUAAAAAUUGGGAUCUUAAUCUUGGAUAAGGAUUAAAAGUCCAAUCCCUUAAGAAAGAAACAGUAUCACCAAGUUCUCUGUUCCAAGAAUUCUCCAUUUAAUGUCAAAAAACAUUACCGUCCUCUAAUAUCUCUCCCUCAACGUCACACCACCGCUUUUCUUAAUUAUCCACUUCCAUAAUUUCCACGCUGUAACAAAAAUACAUAUUUUAAAAAAUAAAAUAAUUUUCCAAAAACACGUAACACCGAAUGUUAGAAGAACAAACACGCACUACAUGUGUCUAUAUAUAUAAACCUCAUUCCCCUCAAACAAAACCAAACAACACAACGUCAAAAAAAAAAAAAAAAAACACAUUACAUUACAUUACAAUUUUCAUAGUUCAUAGCAAUGAGUUCAUGGGUGAGAGGCAAGUGUAUUGGUAAAGGAGCGUUUGGCGUUGUGAAUUUAGCUUAUUCAAAAAGCGAUUCUAAAGUUUUCGCGGUGAAAUCAGUUGAUACUAAAACUGCUCUUCCAAGUCAGUUAGAAGCGUUGGAGAAUGAGAUUAAGAUUUUGAAACGGUUAUCUUCUUCUUCUUGUUCUUCUUCGCCUCACGUGAUUGGUUUUCUCGGCGAAGAUGUCACGUGCGAAGGAAAUAAAACGUCGUCGUUUAAGAAUCUACACUUGGAGUACAUGCCAGGUGGCACCGUCGCUGAAAUCAACCGUGCUGACGUGGAUGAAAAGUUAGUUAGAAACUUCGCCUGGUGUUUAGUUAACGCGUUACGUGAUGUUCACGCGCGUGGCGUUGUUCAUUGUGAUGUUAAAGGAAGAAACGUUCUCAUCGGUGGUUCCGUCGCUAAGCUAGCUGAUUUUGGUUCAGCUAUGGAAUUUUCCGGUGGUGAAUGUGAAGUACCACGUGGAAGUCCGAUGUGGAUGGCGCCGGAGGUUGUUCGCCGGGAGUAUCAAGGACCGGAGUCUGAUGUCUGGUCAUUAGGAUGUACUGUAAUUGAGAUUUUCACCGGAAAAUCACCGUGGGAGGAUCGGGGAUUCGAGACGUUGAGUCGAAUUGGAUUUUCCGAUGAGUUACCGGAGUUUCCAAGCGGUUUGUCGGAGCUCGGGAGAGAUUUUCUGGAGAAAUGUUUGAGGCGUGAUCGGAAUCGGAGAUGGAGGUGUGAUCAGCUACUUCAGCAUCCAUUUUUGUUACCGUGUGAUCGCGUAGUUGAAACUUCGCCACGUUGCGUUUUGGAUUGUGAAGAAAACGAGUUUGAAUUUGAAGAAGAAAAUGAAGUGAAGUUGAAUAGUGAUGAAAAUGAAAAUUCAGGUAAAAAUAGAAUUGGUAAAUUAGCAACGGGAAUGAGGGUAAAUUGGGAAACGGAAGAUUGGAUUGAAGUGAGGGCAAUUUCGUCUGAACAAAAAGAAGAAGCAACAAUGGAAAAUGAAGAGUAUGAGUGUGACUGUGAGGGGGAAGAAGCUGAAUCAGGGGUAAUAUGGGAAAUUGAGAAUAUAAUGAGGGUAGAAGAGGAAAUGGAAGUUGGGAGUAAUUCGGAAUAUGGGGAUUCUGAUGAAAGGGUAAAAUGGGAAAUGUGGAAAUACAACCGCAACCGUAGGAACAACGUUAUAGGUGGAAGUGGAAGUUGGUCUGGUUGGAGAUGUCGGUAUAGAUACGGUUGGGGAAAUUUUAAUAGGAAUAUUAGUGGAAUAUUCAGCAUUUGCACUUGUUGUAAUAAUUGUAAAUUAUUCAAAUCAUGUAAAUUGUUCUCAAUAUAUAAUAAUUGUUAUUAUUCCUUGUGGUUGAAAAUAUUCUUUAAUUGGUGUUUCAAAUUGAGAUUCAUGUUAAACAUGGUUAAGAGUGUUUUUAUUUUAAAGUUUAGUGGAAAUAAUUUAAUCAGAACUAUUUUAUUUAGUCAAAUAUUAGAAGAGUUCGUUCAAUAUAAAUAAUUUUUUUAAUAAAUAAAAAUGAGAUAUAUUAUUAUUAAAAGAAAAAAAUUUACCCCUCUAAGGAUCAUAUUAAGGGUCAUGCUUAAGAAUAUUGGAGGCCAGAGAUAAUUCUCAAAAGAAAAGAAAACUAGUAUAAGUUUACAUGUCUAAAGAAAAUUGUACUGAUUUUAUAUAUUUUGUACGACCUUGUUGUUUGUUUAUUAUUUGUUUGCAUUGACGUUUAUAACUUUGAAUGUUUGCCAAAAAUCUAUGAAAUCUUAUAUAUUUCAUAAUGUUUACGAAAAAUUUAAUGCAAAAAUAAUUUUUUAAAAUCUUCAUCGAAGAGAAGGAUCAAGAAUAUUCUAAUUUACAGAUGACUACUAUAACAUCAUAUAUGGAGAGAAAUGUUACUCAUGAGGUCAUAUGAAACUAAAAUAUUUAAAAUUGCAUUUUAAAUCCAUAAUGUUCUUUGAAAUUUUAAAGGUAUAGGUAUGUGUUAUAAAUUCCUACUCACUAUUUUAAAAUCCUCAAGACAUUUUUUUGUUGUUGUUAACAUUGUCUCUUAAAAUUCAAGAACAUGAUGUAGUAUCACAUACGCCAACCUUUCAAGGCAAAAUACACGAUAUUUUCCAUUCCAAUAAUUAAUUUUGUGUCAAACUUUGAAGGAAUCAUGAGAAGGCAUUGUCCACUCUUAAAGAAUUAAUUGUGUGUCAAACUCUAUGUAAAUGAAUCUAAAGGUCUAAAGGUAGAUUUCUUAUUUCUCCCAAUUCAAAGAUGGAAAUCUCAAAUACUAAACUUUGCAUAAAUCAUGAGAAGGCAUUUUCCACUCUAAGAAUUAAUUUUGCAUCAAAGAUUUCUUUUUCUCCCAAUCAAAGAUGGAAGUUGCAAAUACUUUCCAGUGCCCAAUACAUUUUGAAUCUAAAAAUUUAUGCAAUUCUAUCCUUGAGCUCUUGUGAAACAUUCAUACUACCAAAGUAUUUUUUUUGUUGAUUUUUCAAGUUACCCAGACUUGAACCAAAGACCUAAAGAUUGACGGCAUAAACCUCUAACCAAUAGAACACUUGGGAGCAAGUAUAAGUAUACUACACAAGUAUUAAGUCUUCUAAAAUUACUCAUGUCUCAUAAUAAUAGUCACAUUUGUAAAAAAAUAGUCACAAAAAGGUUAUCAUUUUUAAUUUCUAAUGUAACUUUAAUUGCUUAUUAUCUAAUUAUAUCACUAAUUAACGCUAUGUGCACAACUUUUAAGUUAUAAUUGUCUCAAAAAAAUUGUCUCGAAAAAAAUUAAGUUAUUAUUCUUUACUUUUCAUUUAUGAUAAUUGACAUACACAUUAGUCAUAGAUAAUUGAUUAAAAUCACCAUUCAUUUUUUUUUUCCAUUUAUAAUUGUUAAUUAUUUCUUUAUUUAUUUUUUCGAUAAGCAAAGAGAUAUGUAUGACAUCAUGACGAGUCUAAAUAGAGUACCUCAUCAGAUGUUUUUUUUUACUACUUGAUAAUUGUUUUUUAAUAUGUAUGAAAUAAUCAAAUACGAUAAAUACCGUAGAAUGACUAAAAAGAAAAACAAUAAAUACCGUAGAAUGACGAGAGUAAUGGUUUGUCUCGAUGCAACCACAUAAGUUUUUGUCUAAGUGUAAAUGUCUCACAUGUUAGUUUGUUAGUGAUAGAGUAGAACUCAUGACCUCUAUAUUUCUCUAAUUCAAUUUUUGUAGGUGUUAUCCAAUAUGGAUCUAUUAGAACAAAAAAUAUACCCACUUCGAGAUACAGAUAUACCCACAUUGACUUGCAAGAACUUAAUUUAGACAUUAUUUUAUGGACAACAUUACAUGGGGAUAUAGGCCUCCGACCCCUCAUAGACUUCCCGUUAUCACACUUAGGAAUCAAAACAAUAUUUGUUGAGUUCAUGUCUUAUAGCAUAAAUCCUAAAGCAAGCCAAUGACAACAAGAUGUAUCAAAAGACAAUUAAACCCCACAUAUCUAACAAGAUUUCACUUCUUGUGGUAUCUAUUUUAAGGAGUGGGCAAAACAAAGUGGGCCCCAAUGUUUAAUAACGGUUUUGGAUGGUUGAUCAAAAGACACAUAAAGAUUACUUAUUUUAUUGAAAAAAGCUGAUCGAGAGUUACGAUUCGAUCACAUUUUACAUACAAAAACAGUUGAUCAGAAAUUACGUUCCGAUCAGAAGCGAAAUUGAGAAGUCUAUUGAGCAACUUUAUGGAUUUUAUAUGGCACACAACAGAAGUGGAAAAAGGCACAUGUAACUUAUAAUUUGGUGUUUUCUUUGUUGGAUUUUCAAUUGGACAACUACGAAACAUGGUCACAAGAAGCAUACCUCAUGUUGCAACCGCAGUAAUGCUUUUUGGCUUUGAGCCAACAAUUGCAUAUGGCAAAUGGAUUUGGAGGAGUCAAUUGGGUUUUGAUGGAAAAGAAAAAGGAAAAAAUGUUUGGAUGAUAUGAAAUUGUAUGCUGUAUAUAAUUGGAUUGAGGUGUGUCAUGUGGACCAUAUAGUUUCUUUACAAUUCUAGAGAUAUUUUUAACAUGCAUUAUUAAUAAAUGUCAGUGCUACUUGUGCUUGCCCAUCACUUGAGAUUGGAUGGCAAACAUAUCCAUAUAGUAAUAAAAAGAUACACAUAGAUAUAUAUCAUAAAAAUAUAAACUACAAUGACCUAAUGUGUGGUACAUUAACACUUCCCUAAAGUAUCUGUUAUAAAAAUGUUUUUUUAGAGAAGUUAUAAAAAUGUUAUAGUUAUUUUUAUAUCAAUUUUUUUGAUCAGAUAGUCUAGUGGCUAGAAUUCACCUUAUUAAUUGUUAUAUUAAACCUUAUCUAUCUAUUUUAAAAUAAUUAUUUUGUCUGAUGAUAUUGGAGGAAAUUUUGUACCUUUAUUUUUAUUAAGAUCACAAAUUCUUUAUUUAUUUCUUUCUAAAAAGUAGUUUUCUUAUCAUGAAGUAAGGGGAAAUGUUUUGUUUGACUCGUGAAACAUACCUCUACAACAAAUAUAUAUUGAACUUUAAUUAAUUUUUUAUUUUUAAAAUAAGAGAGGCCUAAGCCCAAGAAAGAAGAAUGUUAUUGUUCCCACAUCAAAGAAUUGUAGGAAACACUACGAAAAUACUAAAGUAACCUCAUCAACAGUUAACUGCCGAUGGAUAUUAACCAAUGGUAGUUAACCGUCGAUGAAAAUUGGUGUUAAAUUCGCCAUUUUAUGGUAUUUCUUAACUUUGUGCAAAGUGUAAACAACAAUUUUCAAAAAAGAAACUACAUUAAAAUUACGCGUUUUAUUUUAUUUUUGUUUUUUAAAACAAAAGAGGGCCUAAGCCCAAAAAAGACACUGAAAUUAUACAAUGACUUUUGACACCAGUUUGAUCAACUAAUAGUUUUCUUAGUAAACAUCAAUGUAAUUCAAUAUGUUAAUUGAAUUAAAAUUUAAAACUAAGUUGAAGUACAUUCUAGAGCGUAGUAAGACUAGAGAGCACCUCUGUCUAUUGCAGGUGUCAUAGUUUUUUGGUAAUUCUAAAUUUGAAGCAUUACCACUCGAUCACAUGCAUGUCUAUUGCAUGAGUGCAUCUUCCAAAGACUCAAAGUCUUCAUUUACAUGAAAUUUUAAUUCAGCUUUCAACAUUCAUAAGCACUUAAUGAAUUGACGACCAAUAUAUUGGAUGCAUAUUGUUUUGAAUAUGCCCUUAAUAAAGAUGAAAAGGAGAAAGAUGAACUUGAACUCAUCAUUUUUACAGCCGUUAAAAUAGCAUACAUGAUUUGCUUUUGCUACUUGUCUAAAUUUUAUCUAAACACCUAAUUAUGAUGGUUGCCAAACACAUUCAAACAUUUAAGUUAGUAACAAUUUUAUAAGCAUGGCAUUUUUAGUUUACUAACUUUGGUAUUUGAUUGAAGGGUUAAUUAUAUUUUCGGUCUCUACAAAAUUGCGACCUUGUAAGUUUAGUCCUUAUUUAAUUUUAAUAGUUUUUUUAAUCCUUACAAAAAAUUUCUGCACUCAAUAUUAGUCCUUACUCAAUCCAAAUUUGUUUAAUUUAUGCUUAAACUCUUAAGUUUUUCAACAAUUUUUUACAGACGUGUUAAGAACGUUAUUAAAAGGUCCUCCGAAAAAAAUAUCGCAAAAAUUUGAUUUCUACGUCCAUAUUUUUGUUACUUAUAUCUUAAACUUUUGUCGUUUUAAAAAAUUCAUAUUUAAUUUAUUUCAUGUUAAAAAAUUAUAGAUUUUAGCAAAUGAACCUUCAUAGUGUUAUAAACUUGUAUAAAAAGAAUCGUUAAAAAAGUUAAGAGUUUAAGGAUAAUUAAGCAAAAUUUAUUUUAGCAGGGACUAAAAUUAUAAGUAAUUUUUUUUUGUGUAGGGAUUAAAAAAGCUAUUAAAAUUAAGUAAGGACUAAACUUAGAAUGUCGCAAUUUUAUAGAGACCAAAAACAUAUUUAACCCUUGAUUAAAUUAGUUUUUCCUUUUGCCAAUCCAAAAAGUCAUGCAAGCCUCACAUCUUUCUCACUUGUGAGCUUAGCUCAGUUGGUAGGACAAUGCAUUAUUAUUUGCAGAGAACCACUAAACUACCUGACAAAAAAAAAAGCUAGACUUGUUUCCCUAUAUUGUAGAUGCCAAUUAAAGCCUGAAUUUAUUUUUUUAUUAUUUUUUUUUCUUUGAAAAUGAAGUCUGCAAAUCUUAUAGCUUAUGUCUUUUUGGCUUUCAGCAAACUACAAUGGGGCUCUGUUGGAUAUUUUUAGGGUUGUAUGGCCCAAAAGUCCUAAACCAAAUGGCUUUCACCUCCCAUCCGUCAUGUUUCUCAUGCGUCCUCCUAAAUUUCAAAACUGCCCUCAGAUUUUCGGAUUAUUCAAUAUGCUACUCUUAUUUUCAACUCUUCCUUUGAGGUCCAACUCGAUUAGUCUCUUCAGUGGUUCAGUUGUGAUUUUUCCUCUUAAGUCCAACUAGAUUAGUCUCUUUAGCGGUCCAGUUAUAAAGUCGAUUUGUGACAAUACCUUAUAUGCAUCUAUGUUAGGAUUGAUACGAGCUGUUAGUGGGUUCUGAUACCAUGUUGGAUGGAGGAAUGUUUUACAUAUUGAGCUGUAGUUGUUUCAAGGGGCACUCAACAUGGAAAGGAUAUUGAAGAUUUGCAGAAAAGUUUGGACAAUGCUGAGUAAGGUACAUAUACAAGCAUUUCUAAUUUUCUGACAUAAUUACAUUUUCAGAGUGAUUUUCAAAUUAACUAAGAAUAAACAGUAUUGUUCUAAAGUUUUUGAACUAGGAUAAAAAACUUUAACAGUGUUUGUGGUUUCUAGAAGCAUUGCAGAAGAUUAUGGUCAGACUCAGACAGUCAAAUAUAGGUUUGACGCCAUCUAAGUAAUCAGCAUUUCAAUCUUGGGCUAUGUUUCAGAGUUUAUAAGAGAUCAUAGCAGAAUUCUAUUCACUUUGUGUUAUUGUCAAAUCUUAAUUCUUAGUGUUAAUUGAUGGUCUUAUGAUGAAAAUUAUAAAUUUAACCCAAAUAAAAACGGAUAUUAAGAACAUAUCCAUGUACCGAACUAAUAAGUAGCAAGAAAGUGAAAUAAAAGAAAACACAAUGAUUUGAACUUAUCAUUGAAAAACAUUACAGAAACUAACAUGCACUGCAUGAUAAUAAUGAAGUGACAAGAGUGCAAUAUCCUGCAAAUAAAGUAAAAAAGGUUGUUACUGCACAGUAAGAAACAUAAACAAGUUGAAUCAAAGCUUUUCAAGUGUGUCUGUUUCUUCAUUUUAAUUCUAACGAAUGUCUAAUUUUGGAAUGUGUGCUAUCUUUUCCCAGUACACCCUUGUUCCCUCGUUGCAUCGCUCAUUUAAUCCUCCAGACAAACAUAAAUAGUCAGAACCUCAAGUGAAGUGAGGCGUGGAAUACCUUCUUGCAAGGAUUUCAAUCCUUUAUACCAAGCAAAUUCCAUUGUUCGAAUCGUAGACCUUUCCACAUUUUCUCCGGAAAAGACUCAGGCUCAUCACAGUAUAAGAUAUGCAGACACUCUAAAGCUUGGUUUAACGGUUCUCAAAAUCCUCUAUGGGAAAGAUUUCAUUUCUUUACCUACACAAAGGUAGAGAGUGUCAUGACCAUUGAAACUACAGAUUGACAUCAGUGACUCAUAGUUACGUCCAACUGCAAAGAGGUCUUUAACAGAUGGAAGAGAUGGCAACUCAAAUUUCGGGCAAUCAUGGAUGGUCAGAUCAUGGAUUAGCGAGGUCUUUAAUAUGAAUUACAUCAAUUCAUAUUAAAAAGUGACAAAAAGAAAUGCAAAUUCAAUAUAUUUGACAAGGCCUGAGAGUUUGUUGUGAUAUAUGACACAAACUAUAUGAAUGCAAAUUUAUUACUGGACAACACGCGAUGCAUCCAAGAACUCGCGCAUUGCGCAGCAUGGAACGUAAUUGAAGGUUGUAAUAAGAGUAGUAGUACUUCUAGAUACUGAAUCCUGCUACCUCUAUAUGAUUCUACUUCCAUUGUUCUAGACAAGCCCAAUCUAGAGCCCCAAAUAUUUAGAACUUUCUCACCAUUUUAUUUUCCUCCCUUUUGUAAAUAACCAAGAAAGUUUCAUGUGUACUAAACAAACUCAUGUUAAUUUUCCCUUCAACAAUUCAUUUGCUUGUGUGAUUUUUCAAUAUUUGAAAGUGCAGUCUUCCACAAUUUUGUUUAUUGAAUUCUUUGUCUGGUUACAUUUCUGUUGACAAGUCAAUUUUAUAAAUGACAAAAAAUCUUGUAGUCACUGAUUUUAGCCUCCAUAAGGCAAUAAUUUGAUCAAGUAUGAAUUCAAAAAAGUAUUUGUCCCUUUUAAAUAAAUAAUGUAUGUACAUUAUUUGGAACAACCAAGGCACAAAAUGGCAAGGACAACCUCCUGAGGCUUAGGAGAAACUCAAGUGAAGUCAGGUGUCAAAUAUCUUCUGGCAAGGAUCAAGUUCGAAGAGAAAUAAACUAAUGCUAAUCUACUAAAAUAUACGUAGUUAAAAGAUGGAAAAUUCACUUUGUUAUAAAAUAAAACAAUUGAUUUCUCAUUCAGGAAAAGCAGUGGAUGCAACUUGGUUAAUUAACAUUGUCUGACACAAACGAAGUCGGGAUUCAGCAGCAUUCCACAACAUAUACGACACAAACCCAAAACAAUAACACAGAUUAAUCAAUGGCUGUGCGUCUGGAAGAUAGGCCUUUAUCAUGCAGUUCUUUGUCAUAUCAAUCAAACUUUGAUUCCAUAUCACAUGCUCUGCCUCAUUAAUUUAUCCAGUUUUAGAAGUUUCUCCAAUGUAUUUGUAAUGAAUAUCAGGAUCCUCUAUAAAUAAUACAAAAUAAAAAGUUAUGAAAAUGAAAAAGAACUAGAAAAUGCAAUAUAGGUUAGUCUAGAAAACAGUCUUAAGAAAUACCAUAGCUAAAAUAUUGGUCAAAGAGGCCUUUAAUUGGUAAAAGAGUUUGAUGCAUGCAUCAACAAUUUGCAACUCAGAAUAUUCCUUAGAAGUCAUCAGAUUUUGAAGCAGUAAAAUUCUUUAAUAUAAGUCCAGAAAAAUAAUUUAUUUGAAAAGAAAAGGCUUAUGUUAACAACAUGAGUGCUAAUACAUUACCUGCACAAUUAAUUGUAUAUUUCCCCGAAGGAUGACCAAUAAAGAUCUUCCGUGUACUCCAGUGUUCAUUCUUCGAAAUAGGUUCAAACCAAUUCAACCAAAGCCUGAAAAUCACUCAUAUGGAGCAUAUAUAACAAUGUUUUAAAAUUCAGUGAGUUGAGCACUUGAAAUCCAAACAUGUGGUGCAAUGACAUGUGUAUUCACAAUGGCCUAUUUGACCAGCCAGAAGCAGAAACACAAACACAAUACCUUUGCUUCUUGAUUCCUAUUGAACAUAAAAGCAACAUCACCAAAAGUCUAAGUUCGGAAUACGUGCUAUCUUGUUCCAGUCCUCUCCUGUUCCGUCCUUGCAUUGCUCCUCUAAUGUUUUAGUUGGAGAACAUAAACCUUUGAAAAACAUUGAAAACGUUGAAUUCUAUCAGGAACCAUUGCUGCUAUCAUAGAUCCUGUUUCAAUAGGCAAACAUAAUUAAAAUUAAACACAAACAAACAAACAAACUUAACCUAACCAAAUCUUAGGACAAACCAUCUGAGUUUUAACUAAAUCAAAAACUCACUAAAAAAGACAAUGAAACAAAUUCACUAAAAUACUAACCCGUUGAGUGCCCAAAAACAUGAGCCUUUUUCCAACCUAAACGACCCAACAAAGUAAUUGCAUCCUUGGCAUGAUCUUUGUUCUGCACCCAACAAUCAUUCACCAAUAUUCAAAUUUCCAUUUCACUUUUUGUAAAUCAUUCAAAUUAACGUAUUGAUGACAUGUCUGAUGUUUAGAUACUGAUAUGACACCAAGCCAUAACAAACAGAAACUUUCAUUUUUUAUCAAAAUUAAGCAAAAAAGAAGCCAAACAAUAUAUCAUUCAAAUAAACAAUCUAAAACAAAUAAAUAAAAAAGACCAACAAAAACUUAAGAAUAAAAAUGGAGUAAACCUUGAUGAUCAGACUUGCUAAUGGGCACAGAGCUCCGACCCAUGCCCCGAUUGUCAAAAUCGCAAUCCUCGAUACCCCCACCAGGGACUCAUUGUCACCUACUCCAACUGUAUUUUUGGAAUAUGAGCUAUCUUGUCCCAAUCCUCCCCUGUUCCCUCUUUGCAUCGUUCCUUUAAUGUUGGGCAAUCAUUGAUUGUCAGAACCUCAAGAGAAGUGAGGUGUCUAAUACCCUCCGGAAAGCAUCGCAAUUCUUUACAAUUAGAAAUAUAUAGAUAUUGAAGGGAUUGCAGACCUUCCCAAUUUUGCUCAUUACAAUCAGAGAUACGCAGAUGCGUCAAAGCUUGGUUAAAGGGUUCAUUUUGUAACUCCUUCAGUGUUGGGAAAUCAUUUACAACCAGUGAUUGAAGAGAAGUAAGGUUUUUGAACAUCCCCUCUGGGAAGGAUGUUAUUCCUCUACCGUAAUCUAGGGAAAGCUCAGUAAGACCACGGAAGGUAGAGAUUGACCUCAGUAACUCAUUGUUACAUCCCAAUACAUAGAGGGAUUUAAGAGAUGGAAGACAUGGCACUCCAAGUUUAGGGCAAGCUGUGAUUCUCAACUCAGAAAGACAAGGAAACAUCUCCCCUCUUUCCACUUUCAAUAACCCCUCUAUGUUUGGUAGGCAUAGUAAAUGGAGUUCCUCCAGAGAUGGGAAAACCCUCACCUCCACACCAUCCUGAGAUUCAUCAUCAUCCAAGUAUUUCAGAUUAUCCAUAUCAGAUAAUUCCAGUUUUUUUAGAGACGGUAGUUUACCAAUUAACUGAAGUCGCACAACUUUCUUGCAAUUCCCAAGUUCAAGAGAAACUAAAUUACUAAGAAUAAUUAUCCAACUUGGUAAUGAUAAUCCGUCAUAGUAAUUUAUUUUCAAGCACUUGAGAUUUGAGUGAGGUUGAAGCACUUCGAGUACUUGCUGAGCACUAAUAGUUGGGGGAUUGGUAAAUCCAUAGUUGCUUUCCCAUGACAAGCAUAAUUCAUGAAGGUCUUUUUUACCCAUCAAAUCAGCCGCUUGAGCUUGAGAUAAACUGCCAAAAUCUUUUAAGCCUUCGAUACGCAGUUUUCCACCGAGGUUUAGAUCACGUAACUCUGACAAGCUAUUCCCUUUCUCUAAACUAACAAUGUACACACUUAAUGUUUUUAGACUAGUUAAUUUUCCAAUGUUAGGAAACAUUCGAGACAAAGAUAUACAAUAUUCAAUAACUAUAUGUCUAAGAUUUUGUAAGAAAGCCAAGCGUUUUGGGAGACAAAUCAGUUCACCACAAUGUUUUAUUUUCAAGGUUUCCAGUUUUUGUAAGUUGUAAAUUGAGUCAGGCAACUCUUGUAUGUCAAGAUAAAGAAGCUCCAAAUACCUUAAAUGAAUUAAACUACCUAGUAAUGGCCCCCGGAUAAAGGUUGUGCAUAAAACCCGAAGAGAAGGGUCUGUUGGGAAGUAAUCCUGUUCUUCUUUUGGAAAAGUAGAAAACUCAAACCAUGUUCGCAAGGAUUCAACUUUUCUGAAGGCACCCUCAUCGAAUGAUAACAAAUUAUCAGAGUUAAAACUUAUGUGGUGUGUGCUUUUUGACAAACUAGUCAUGUUUGCAUUCUCCAAAUAUAUACAUUCUUGCCCCAUUACUGACUUAGCGAGAUCAUGGACAAGAUCAUGCAUCUUGAAUGAAAUGUUGCCAGAAAAUUCAUCCAUUUUUUUGUCUUGAAAGAAUGAUUUUUGGUACAAUUCAUCCCAAACCAUGAUGCCAACAUCUUCAACCUCCGUAUUACCCCAAGAUGAAAUCAAUCCAUUAGCCAUCCAAAGCUGAAUCAAUUCUUCUUUCAAGAUUUCCCUAUCCUUGGGAAAUAUAGCACAAAAAGAGAAACAUUGCUUUAGGGUCGGUGUUAAAUAAAAGUAACUCAACCUCAAAGAACGCAAAAUAUAAUUUUCUUCUGGUAAAGCCCAAAGCUCAGUGUCUUUAAUAUCAAGCCAUUCCUUUUCUCCAUUCCUUGAGCUCAUCAAACCUCCCAAUGCUUUUGCUGCAAGAGGCAAUCCAUUACAUUUCUUUACUAUCUCCUUUCCUAUUGCUACAAGUUCUGCACGCUCUUCUCUAUAAUGUCCCAAUGCAUAUUCUUUGAACAACAACCAACAUUCACUAUCAGAGAGACCAGACAAAGAGUGAGCUUGGCAUGUUCCCAUGAUUGUUGCAACAACUUUAUCACGGGUGGACACUAAAAUGGAACUACCUUUUGAUCCACACGACAAAACAGAUUUCAAACGAUUCCAUCUAUCUUGUGUUAACCCAGAUUCCAAUUGUUCAUUUUGAUUCCACACAUCAUCCAAAAUCAGCAAAUAUAUUCUCCCUUGCAACAAUUCUUGCACCUUUCUUUGUAUUACAUCUGAAUCCAAGGCAUCACAUAUCUCUCCUGUAAUAUAUUCUAUAAUAGAACACAAAAUCCUCUUGACAGAGAAAGUCUCGGAAACACAAACCCAAGAUCUUAUGUCAAAAUAGUCCCUCACCCUAACAUCAUUGUAGACCAAUUGAACAAGAGUUGUUUUACCAAUACCACCUAAACCAACAAUGGGGUAGACGGAAAGGAAGUCAGAGUCCCUCGCAUGGGUGAGAAGAAACUCAAAAAUCUUUUCUUUAUCAUCUUUUCGUCCAAACACUUCUGGUUUAGCAAUAAUGGAGUUGAUUUGACGCCAUUCAUCUACUUCAUCUGAGCUUUCCCUAACAUAUACAGUACCAUCUCGUAGAAGAAAUUUGUUCUUAAUAUCAGCAAUAUCAUCCAAUCUUCUUGUAAUCUCUUUCAACCUGUUGCCGAUCUGACGGCGAAACACGAUGUUCUUUGGGUUGAAAGAGAAUGAGCCUCCAAGUCGAGCAGACUCGAUCGAACACUCAUCAAGGAUAUCAUCGAGCACAUAAACAGCAUCUUUGAGUUGUUGGAGCCAUACCUUAAUAUAGCUGUCUUUGACUUGUCUCUUCUCAGCAUCUACAAGAACAGCCUCGAUGUGAUUUAAGGAGGUUGAUAGGUUUUUGGCCUUUGACUUGAUUCCAGAAAUGGUAGAAAAUUCACUUUGUAGGAGAGAAUUCACUUUCUCAAACGCAGCUCUAAGUAAAGCUUCGGCCAUUUUUUUAGAAAAGAAAGAGUUGAAAAGUUAUAAGGAAAUGAGAAACUGGUUUAGACAGAAAGAGUGCUAAGGAGACGCAAGUAGGUGUUCAAUAAUUGAUGCAACUUGCAGAGUCCAUUACAUUGUAUUUUAUUGGAUUAACGGUGUUUUAUCUAGAUCAUUUUUGGAUUUAUCUCUUAUAAAAUAUUUUUUUGGUUUAAUUGCACUUUUCCUCUCUAUAGUUUGCCAAUUGUACAAUUUUGCAUCCCAUAGUUUUAAACUAGCGAUUUUGCCCCCUAUAAUUUUCCCCUUUAUGAUUUUAUGGUCCCCAUGAUAUUUAGUGUUGGUUUUUUUUUUAUCAAUUAAUGUGUGUCACGUGUGUAAUUCCAUUUUUUUAAAAAUAAAAAAAAUGGUAUUUUUUAGAUUUUGAGAAGGGGGCACGUGAUUUUUCAGAUUUUAAGAAAAAAUAUCACGUGCCUCCUUCUCUCAAAAUCGAUGGAAAGAGUUUGAUUGAACUACUAUAACGAGUGGUCGACAUAACAAUGAAAUACCUUUACUUUAUAACCCUCUAAAAAAAAUUUAAUUGAUAGUACUUUAUGUAACACUCCGUUUUCUAAACAUAAACAAAUUCAUAAAAAUAAUCAGAGUUUUUCACAUAAACGGAAUGCUACACUUCUUUUCUUAAAAAUCAUAAACGAAAUAAUUAACUAAUAAAUAUCAACAUAUAACAUAACAAAAUAUCACUCAUCAAAAUAAAUCGACUAAAUUAUAAAAAGUCAUUUAAACUCAAUAAAAUAAAUAAAUAAUAAAAUAGAGUGUUACAACUCUACCUUCUUAAAAGAAUUUCGUCUUUGAAAUUUAAAGCACAAGAGAAAAAUGAAUUUAAUUAUUGCUUAAAUAUCUUAAACUUUGUAUAACAAAAAUAGAAACUUCAACAAUACACAAAAUUCACAUUAAAGUUAAUCAGUCAAACAUGAUCACAUAAUAAAACAUCACCAUUAAUUAGAAAAAUACAACGACAAACGACUCAACUACUUGGCCGGUCGGACCGACCUGCUCUGAUACCAAUUGUAACACUCUGUUUUCCCAACAUAAAAAAAUUCAUAAAAAUAAUCAGAGUUUUCCACAUAAACGAAAUGCUACAAUUCUUUUCUUAAAAAUCAUAAACGGAAUAAUUAACUAAUAAAUAUCAACAUAUAACAUAACAAAAUAUCACUCAUCAAAAUAAAUCGACUAAAUUAUAAAAAGACAUCUAAACUCAAUAAAUUAAAUAAAUAAUAAAAUAGGGCGUUACACUUUAUACUACUCUUCAGUACUUGUCGCUUUUAGAGAAUAAUUUUAUUUCAUUUUACUUGUCACUUUUAAGUUUCAAUACAAAAUUAAUUAUUGGUUUGUCAAUAAUACCCUUAUCCAUUUAUUGAAGAAAGAAAAAUAAUAAAAUGAAAUAACAAAUGAUUAAGAGUAUUAUAGAAAAAAAAACACAGAAUUUCAUCAAAAAUAACAAAAUUUAUUUGGUUUCUUGGUAUGUGUAAAUUUCUCAAAAGAGAUAAGUAUUGUGAAAUGGAGAGAAUAAUAACUUUGUUUUACAUUUUAUUUAUAAGAAAUGCAUGUCUUUAAUUGUUUCGAAGUUUAAAAUGAAAAUAUUAUUUUAAAAUAAAAAAUAAUUGUUUGUUCAUGCAAACAUUGAAAUAAUAAGAAAUAAUUAUUUUCUACCUAAAACUCUAACAUUAAACAAAUUUAAAUUGAAUAAGGACUAAUAUUGAAUGUAUAAAUUUUUUAUAGGGUCUAAAAAAACUAUUAUAAUUAAGUAAGAACUAAACUGAAAAGGUCGCAAUUUUACAGGGACCAAAAACAUAUUUAACCCAAAAAAAUUAUUCACUUUUAGUUUAUAUUUACAUGUUAUAAAGGACUAUUUUGGAGUACUAAAUGUGCCCAUUUUUUGUAAAAAGUUUUUAAAAUAAUGACUAUUCUUACAAACUAUAUGGAAUAGAAGAUUAAAAUUACCUUAAAAUUUUAUAGAAACUAAACUUAAGAAUUUGUGAUUUUGCAGCGACUAAAAAUAUAUAUUUAAUCAUUUGUUUCGUGAGCAUAACUCAGUUGGUAGGACAAUACAUUAUUAUAUACAGGGGCCGGAGUUUGAACCCCGGACACCCCACUUAUUCACCUUAUAAGGUGAAUUCUAACCACUAAGCUACCUGACAAAAAAAUAAAAAAGAUUUAAUCAUUUAAUUUCAUACUUGCUCAAGUUCUCUCUCCAAAAAAGUCUAAUUUAUUGUACUAAUUUUAGAUAAAAUAAUAUAUAGGAGUUCUCUUGAUUCUUGAAUCCAAAAAUCACCACUGUAUCUCAAUUCUCACAAGCGUAGGUUAGGGUCUGUUUGGUUCGCGGGUUUUGAACGGGAGGGGAGGGGAAGGGAGGGAAUAUUUUAAAAUUUUUGUGAUUAGUUCAAUUUUUAGAAGGGGAUGAGAGGGAGAGGAAGGGGAACAAAAUCCCUCAUAUAAGCUCAUUUAUGGCUCCUCCUCAAAUUGAAGUUUUUUGGAGGGGAGGGGAGAGAAAAAGAGAUGAGUUAAUGCAAUUUUAAUUACAUUAACAUAAUUAUCCUCAUGUUUAUUUUUAAAUGACAAAACCGUCCUUAUUAAAAAUUUAAGUGUUUUCAACAUAUUGCUUAUUACUAUCUUUUUUGUAACAUGUCAAUGUCAAUUUUUUUUUUUUUAACGAGAAUUGCAUAUUCUUGUCUUCUAAUUAUUAUUUUUUACGUGAAUUCACUUUUUUUUUACUAACGAUGCUUUUAUUUUUUUUAUUUGGAUAUAUUUAUUUUGGGUUUGGUUAUGGUGCAUAAGGAUUUUCCUUAUGCACCCUGCAUAAGGAUUGCUAAUAGGGCCCAUUAAUAGUAGCCCAACAAAUUUUCUGCUUCCUACACCCCAAAAACAGAAAACAAGUAAAACUGGCAAAACAAAACAAACUAUUCAUUUCUUCAACAACCACCUCUCUUUCACCUCUCACCGGAAACCGUCGCCGUUAACCAUCGCCGUCGUUCUUCACCACUGUAUCAAUCGCCAUCAUUUCUCAAGGUCGUCGUUCUCCACCACUGUCUUGAUUUCCCCACCAUCGUCGUUCUUACUAUCGUCGUUCUUCACCUUCCACCACCAUCGGAACACGAGGUCCAUCGGAAACAACCUCCACCACCGGAAACACUAGCCGCCGUUCUUCAUCAACACAAGGUCGUCAUUCUUCACCACCGGAGACACCGUCGUUCACUACACCAGCUCUUCACCACCACCGUCGUCGCCGUUCACUUCCAACACCGUCGUUCACUUCCAACGCCUUCGUUCACUACAACAUCUUCAACAAACAGCAAACAUGUCGAAAUCAAAUCAGGUUUGCACUGAACUUCUUUAUUGAUCGUAAAUUUGAUUUUCAACCAAAACCAUUUUUACGUGGAAAUGGUUUCUAUGUGUUGUACACUAAAACCAUUUGGUGCUGGUAAUUUUUUUCUUUGGAUUAAUGACUCAAGUAUAUUAUAAUCAUCUGAUGCUGGUAAUUGAUUUCUUUGAUCCAGGUUAACAAAUCUAACGACGGGGGGCCAAUUCCAAACUUCAGUAUUGGACUUACGCAAUUAGAGCAAGAGCAAGCAUCUGAUGAAGAUAAAGGAAAAAAAAAGGGUAAAAAGAUGGAAAAAAGGGUAAGUCUUCAAUUCUAUUUGCUGUCAUUUUUAGUACGAGCAAUAAUUUCUUCGUUGAUUUUUUAGUACGAGCAAUAAUUUGUUCAUUAUGCUGCAAUGUUGUUCAAUUGAAAGGUAUAUUUCAUUGAUUCUGAAAUAAAUUGUUUUAUCUAUGUUUCUUUGAUGUUUUGAUUUCAUCAAUCUCAAUUUGUUGUUGUAUAGUUCAUGCUAUGUUUUUAAUUGUUGCUGGAUGUAUGCUCUAUGAUUCAUGUUUUGACUCUUCGUGCUUAACACUGAACUGCUAGUGAUAGUUAACCUAUGAUAUGAAGCAUGCACUCGGACACACACAGCGCUGAUACGACACGUCAGACACAAUUUGAGAAAAUUAGACAAUUCAAUGUAAUCACAUGUGUCCUGUCAUCAUUUGAUUUGAUACGCUAUGUAGCACGGACACUUCUAUUUGACGAGGAUUUGGUUUGUCUGAAUAUCCAUAACCAAUAAGAUCAAUAGAGUAUAUGCGGUGGGAUUUUGCUAGGUCUGGAAUAUUUUUCCUCCAGUGAUCACUGCAAUGAAGUGUAUUCUCAAUCACUCAAAAUAACUGCAGAACCAAACAGACCUAGCUAUAAGACCCUUACAAUAAAUAUGUGAUAUAAUAUGUGUCCUGCAUUUUCUAAUUGAAAUGAAAGAACAUGAAUGCAUGUUUCUUAAUCAAAUUUCUAGAUACCUCUAUUCAUGAAAAAAUUCAAGAAUAAAGAUCCCUAUAAUUUCUAAAUCUUUGCCUGAUAAAUUGGUUGAUGGUUUAUGAGGAAGGAGAGGUGAAAGAAGCUAAAAAGUUGUGACUUAUGAUGAUGAAUGGUUUUGUUAUCUGAUGGUUCUGUUGUAUGCUUCAUGUUUAGAAUGGUUCUGUCUGCUGUCAUUUACUCUGAUAUUGAAGACGUAGGCACAAUUGGUCUAUAUCCUCUUAUAUCUCUGUCUGCAUAGUCCACUUCGUCAUAACUUCAAUCUAAUUUUUCUUCGUCUAAUGGUGCUAAGUACUAGCUGAGGCAUAGUCUACUGUGUUGUGUCUUAUAUUUCAACACUGAUAUGAUGGAUAAAUGUAUCUAAUAUGAUAGAAGCAAAUAUCUGAAGACCAUAUGAUGCUGUUAGUUAUUCUAAUUGUUGCUCCUCCCUAUUAGCUCUCUUCCAUAUAUUUGGUUAUGCAAUAUAAGGUCUUUAUUCCAAGUUCAAAAAACAAGAAAAUGUGAGUGAGUAAUCACUUUUGAGAAAAGGAAUUCUUCACUGAACUCCAUCUACAAUUCACAAAUCACAAGAUACAUAAGUUUAGAAAAUUUAUGUGAGCCUAACUGAUAGGAAUAGGAUCACACAUAACAAAUUCAUGCACUGCUUGGACUUGCACAAUGUUGAAUGUUGGAAAUAACAUAUGAAUGGUGGAAUGGUAGUUCUGGGUGAGCAUCAAGUCUCACGAGAGGCUUCAAUCCAAGAGGAAAAAAAACUGAAUUGAAUUUGUCUUGAACUCUCUCUGCAUUUGUGUGUGUCUGCAUCGUCUUAUAUCUCUCUCUGGCCCACUUGAAUUUUUCUUAACUACAAAGUUUCAAUUGUUUCGUUGAACACUGAGAUGAUAAAUACAUGUGUUUGAUAAGAUAGAAGAAAAAAUCUAAUACUGAGAUGAUAAAGACCGUUGGUUAUUGGUAGUUAUUCUAAAUUUCUAAUAGUGACAUCUCUAUGUUAGCAAUAGUUUUAAUUCAAAAUACAAGAAAACAUGAGAGGAAACUUACAAGAGGAAUGUCUGAAGGUCUGUUCUUUAGAAACUUAGACAAAAUAUGUGAGUGUUCAUUAAACUAUAUAUCUAUAAUUUGCAAGAUCACAAUGUAAUCUGUUUCCUCUUAUGGUUCUGGACAUAACCCUUGAUUCUAAGGUGAACCACAUUAAUUAACUCUAAUUGAGUUCUUAUGUGUUUUGUUUUUUCACAGAAGUUCCAACCAUUGUACUCCAAAACCAUUAGAUGUAUUUAAUGGUUUUCUUUGCUCAUGCAGGUGAAAAAAACUAAAGAGCUAGAGCCAUUGCCAUCAUUUAGUAUUGGACUAACUCAAAUAGAAGAGGAGGGCAGGAAUGAAGAGGCUAAAAGUUCAGAUAUGGAAAAUGAGGAAAAUGCAAAGCAAAGACUGAGGCAUAAGAUGAGUAUACCUAAGGUAUAUGAUCUUAUGAAUUCAGUAAAUGGCAAACAAAGAAAGGAUGAGAUCAUUAACGUAUUGAAUGAAAGUGGCUUUGGGGGAAUGGUUCAUUUCUGAAUCUGUGUUAAUGCUUCAAAAGAUGUUUAUGAAUUUCGAUGAAUUUGCUCAAAAUUAGGUGUAUGGAAUACUGAAACCAUAAGUAUGGUAUAAUGGUUUUGAUAGUGUACUAGGUAAAACCAUACUUAUGGUGUAAUGGUUUUGAUCAAAAUUAUUAUAGGUACGUGGUUCUAAUGGUUUUCUAAAUAAAAACAAAUGUGAUAAACAGUUAUUUUAGGCCCAAGAAUGUUGAAUUUAAUUAAAAUUUGCUCAAAAUUAGGAGUAUGGAAUACUGAAACCAUAAGUAUGGUAUAAUGGUUUUGAUAGUGUACUAGGUAAAACCAUACUUAUGGUGUAAUGGUUUUGAUCAAAAAUUAUUAUUGGUACAUGGUUCUAAUGGUUUUCUAAAUAAAAACAAAUGUGAUAAACAGUUAUUUUAGGCCCAAAAAUGUUGAAUUUAAUUAAAAUUUGCUCAAAAUUAGGUGUAUGGAAUACUGAAACCAUAAGUAUGGUAUAAUGGUUUUGAUAGUGUACUAGGUAAAACCAUACUUAUGGUGUAAUGGUUUUGAUCAAAAAUUAUUAUUGGUACAUGGUUCUAAUGGUUUUCUAAAUAAAAACAAAUGUGCUAAACAGUUAUUUUAGGCCCAAGAAUGUUGAAUUUAAUUAAAAUUUGCUCAAAAUUAGGUGUAUGGAAUACUGAAACCAUAAGUAUGCUAUAAUGGUUUUGAUAGUGUACUAGGUAAAACCAUACUUAUGGUGUAAUGGUUUUGAUCAAAAAUUAUUAUUGGUACAUGGUUCUAAUGGUUUUCUAAAUAAAAACAAAUGUGAUAAACAGUUAUUUUAGGCCCAAGAAUGUUGAAUUUAAUUAAAAUUUGCUCAAAAUUAGGUGUAUGGAAUACUGAAAUCAUAAGUAUGGUAUAAUGGUUUUGAUAGUGUACUAGGUAAAACCAUACUUAUGGUGUAAUGGUUUUGAUCAAAAUUAUUAUAGGUACGUGGUUCUAAUGGUUUUCUAAAUAAAAACAAAUGUGAUAAACAGUUAUUUUAGGCCCAAGAAUGUUGAAUUUAAUUAAAAUUUGCUCAAAAUUAGGUGUAUGGAAUACUGAAACCAUAAGUAUGGUAUAAUGGUUUUGAUAGUGUACUAGGUAAAACCAUACUUAUUGUGUAAUGGUUUUGAUCAAAAUUAUUAUAGGUACGUGGUUCUAAUAGUUUUCUAAAUAAAAACAAAUGUGAUAAACAGUUAUUUUAGCCCAAGAAUGUUGAAUUUAAUUAAAAUUUGCUCAAAAUUAGGAGUAUGGAAUACUGAAACCAUAAGUAUGGUAUAAUGGUUUUGAUAGUGUACUAGGUAAAACCAUACUUAUGGUGUAAUGGUUUUGAUCAAAAAUUAUUAUUGGUACAUGGUUCUAAUGGUCUCAGAUAACACAAAUGCUCUGGUUUAUGUAAUGGAUGACAGUGAGCCACAUCCCAUCUAUAAAUCUUAUACACAUUCAAAACUUCAUCCAGCUUCAAAUAUAUUCCAGCUUUACAACCGACCCUUUCCUCAGGUUUUUCUUUCACUUUCACAAACUCAAUAACCAGUGGACUGUCUGAUGUUGGCCUGUUGUUAGGAUUAAGCAAACUUCCCUUCUUGUAACCUUGUUUGUUACAAACAUAACGCAAAUAAUGUAUCUUUUCUGAUUUCUUAUUUUGUGAAUUAUUCUUCGACUUCAACAUAGUCCUAAUAGAAAAUCCAGUGUUAUAUGCAUAAUUACCAUAAAAAUCUUCAACCUCUUUGAUAGAUUGAAAGACUAAAGACUUCCAUGAUUCUUCAUUGCUAGGGGAGUAACAUUCAGUAUGAAUCAUUGAAGAAGUUUCAACACUCAGUUGUCCACUCUCAGCAUGAAUCAGUGAUGAAGCUUCAACACUCAGUUGUCCACUCUCAGAUGAAGUUGAUAUCAAAUCCAUUGAAAACAGCAACAAACACUAUUAAGAACAAACAACCAUUAGCACAUUAAGCAUUUUUCAUUCAAUAUACAAAACGAUUAACACAUCAAUGCAUGUAAAUUUGCAGAUUAAGCAUUCAAGAUCAGAAAAGUAGACAAGGACUGAAAAAACUACAAACAAUAACACAUCAAUGCUCUUAUUUUUCAAUCUAAUAUUCCUAAAAGUUUCGCAUAAAUCUUUGCUUGACUUGAAUAAUGAGUUAUUCACUCUUGUUUAUCAUCGGCUUAAAUUCGAUUGUAUAGCUAUAAAUUCCAUUUUUCAUGGUUACAAACCAGGAAUAAAAGGACUCCUCUUUUCACUGCAUAUCAUAUUAGGUUCUAGAAGUGACAGUUUUUUGUGAUUGACAGUUUUAUGUGAUACAUUGAUUUUCAUAAGUUGUAAAUUUUAGGUAUCAUACAACUUUCAAUAAGUGUCCUGGAGUUUGUGACACAAGAGUUUUAUGUCUGAAACUAUAUAGAAAAAUAAACUUGUUUGGUUCUGACUAGGUUUGGAUAUUGUUUUUACAGAAAUCAAUUGUAGCAAAUAUAAGUUAUUACAUGAUACAAUAGUCCUCAAAUAUAGUAAAAUGUUAAUGUCUGACACUAUAUAGCAAAUAAACUUGUUUGGUUCUGAUUCUUAAUGCAUCUAAUUUUAGUCUCUUAAUGACACUUCACAUCAAAAUUGUAAGACUCUGAACAAUAAUUUUGUAAAUCAUGUUCAAUGACACUUCACAAGAAAAACUUUAUCUGCUGUUUCAUAUCCUUUACUGAUGGUUUCAGGUUGAGAAAGAAUUCUAUGUUGAGGAAUUAGUGUUUCCUUAUAAGCAAAAUCAUAAAUUCAACACAGAAAUAGAGAAUACAAACAAACAAUAAAUCUUUGCCUGAAAAAACUACAAACAAUAACACAUCAAUGCUCUUAUUUUUGAGGAAUUAGUGUUUCCUUAUAAGCAAAAUCAUAAAUCCAACACAGAAACAGGGAAUACAAACAAACAAUAAAUCUUUGCCUGAAAAAACUACAAACAAUAACACAUCAAUGCUCUUAUUUUUGAGGAAUUAGUGUUUCCUUAUAAGCCAAAUCAUAAAUUCAACACAGAAACAGGGAAUACAAUCUAUUGAAUUUAUUAAGAAAUUCAAUAAAUUCAAUCACAGGAACAGGGAAUGGUUCAUAAAUCACCAAAAAUGCAGGAACAGGGAAUGGUUCAUAAAUCACCAAAAAUGCGAAAUUGAAAACCGAUCAAACACAGAAAAACAUCACAAACGCAAAACCUGAAGGUUAAUCGGAGUUGAGCGAGCGGCGAGCGGCAGAGAAUGAGCGGUGAGCGGCGGUAGAGAAGCACUUAUGAGAUGAGCGGCGGCAAGCGGGAGGGUUGCAACAACAAUGAAUAGGCGAGCGGCGAGCGGCGGUAGAGAUUGAGAGGCGACGGCGGCAGAGAAGCGGCGAGCAGCGAUCGGCGAGGUGAGAAGAGGAAAAUGAUAGUAUGAGAUGUGAAGGAGAGUGUGAGCUGAGAUUAUUACACGUGUAAAACCAAUCUGAAGGUUGAAAAGAGCUUAUGCAGGGUGCAUAAGGGAAACCCUUAUGCACCAUAACUUAUACCAUUUAUUUUAUAGUUUUUGAUUGUAUUAUAUAUUAAAACAUAAUUAAUAAAAUUUGUAGAAGAUUUUUUUAUAAAUAUAUUUUAAAAAUAAUUUCUAACAAUAAAUUUUUUAUAAAUAUUUUUAUAUUGUACUAGAUUAUUUUAGAAGUGCUCUAAUAUUUAUGGAUAUCUAAUAUUUUGUUAGAACUUUUGUGUUUGAUUAUUUAUGGAGUUUUUGGUUACCGAGUUUUCAUGUUUAAAUUUUUAUGAACGGAAUAAUAUAAAAAUCAUGAUAUUGUUUUAAGGCUAGAGGGAUAAAAAAGUAAUUUGGUUUUAAAAUCCAUCCCAUUCCCUUAUGAAUCAAACAUAUAUUUAAUUAAAAUCUCUUCCUUCCCCCUUCCCUCCCAUCAUUUGAACCAAACAUAUAUUUAAUUGAUAUAUCUCCCCUUCCCCCCUCCCUUUCCCUCCCUUCCAUUAAAACCCCUCCCCUUCCCUCUGUUGAACCAAACGGACCCUAAAGAAUUAUAGACUGGUACGUUGUGAGUAGUGCACAAACGUGAAAAAGGAUUGAUGUGUGCUUUUGAAGACCGCUAGGGUUUUACGGCACCGCUUGCGAUUGCACUUGCCCUUAAUUCCAUCAAUUUUGAAUUGAAGUUCGGUUGGUGUUUUAAUCCAAUCGGUUACCAUCCAAUUGGUGUUAAACCUUUAUCAUCAUCAAUUUGUUUUAGCAAUUGUGGGGCUGGUGGUUCAAAGGUAUCACGUAGAAGUUUUUGAGUUACUAGCUUUCAACGAAGUCCUUUACAACAAGUUAACAAGUUGCUGCAAUUGAUAAUUGUAUGUCACAUUUUGGCUCUGUUUGGUAAACAUAACGGAUAACUAUAAGUUCGUUGAUAGCUUAUAGCUGAUAGCUUUUAGCUGAUAGCUUUUAGCUGAUAAAUGUAAAAUGACAUAAAGGGUAUUCUUAAUUCAUAAUAAAAAUUAUAUCAUUAAUUUAAGUAUUUGUAAUUUUGUAAACUAAUUUUUCUUUCAAAAAAUACUUUAAAUUUAUUAAUUUAAUAUAUCCUAUGUAUUAUAAAUUAAAUUAAAUUUUAUUCACUAAAAUUUUAUCUUAUAUUUAUUAUCAUUUAAGUGUUUCCACUUUAUAAAGAAAAUAACAUUUACCUCAAAAAAAAAAAAAAAAAAGGUAGCACUAAUAGAGUAAUACUAAUAACAGAGAAUAAAGAAAAUAACACUUACCUCAAAAAAAAAAAAAAGUAACACUAAUAGAAUAAUAGUAUUUUGUUUCGUAAAAAAAAAAACGAAGGUAUAUAUUUUUUCAAAAAAAAAAAGAAAGAAAAAGGCCAGCUGCUAUAUAUACAAAAAUUGGAAUAAAGGGAUAGUAGUCUUUAUUACGUAGCUUAUUAUAAAAAUUAUAAUGGAUAAAAAUACAAUUUAAAUGAAAUAAUAAGGGUAAAAUUGGAAGAAAAAGUGAGAAGAUAUAAGCUAUAAGCUCAAACGCUACUUGGAAUAGCUUCUGAAAAAUAGCUUAUAAGCUCGUGAAAUAAGCUAUAAACUCAUGGUGAAAAAGUGUUACCAAACAGAGCUUUUUUUGUCAAACGAGCUUAUAAGCUAUAAGCUAAAAGCUAAAAGCUUUUUUUUUGGGUUUCCCAAACAGACCCUUUGGAACCAAGGAAUCACGACAGGUUUGAAUUACGACUGCCCUAGCUCCGGUGUGGCUUUGCCAGCCUCAGCCAUGUUUGACUGACUGGCAGGCAGAGCUAGCGCCUCCAACCCUCAACUUUGGAACCAAGGAAUCACGACAGCUUUCAACAGUGCUCGCACCCACACCUGUUAAGUCUAUUGUCGCUCCUACGGUUCAGAUGACAUCAGUUGCACCUAAGCCCUCGUUUGAUCAGGUCCUACGUGGUAAUACGAUACUGUCUGACCCUCUCCCGGUGCCUUCCAUUCGUGGUGAAAUAUUAUCUGUCAAAAUCACGGAUGAUGUCUAUUUUUGUGAACUAGAUGCUUGCAAAACCAACCUUCGAGGUCGGUUGCUUCUGAACAAAGGAGAUAAGCCUUACUCCUCCAAAGAUCUUGCUGACAAAUUACAGAAGUUGUGGAAAGUGAAGGAGCCAUGAAAUUUGACGUCCCUUGGACAGGGUUAUUAUGAAAUUUUCUUUAAUUCACAAGAGGACAUGCGAACCGUUUGGGUAGACGGUAGUAUUAGCUUGAAGCCAGGCUUACUCGGAUUAUUUGAAUGGACAAAAGACUUCAACAUGCACACGCAACGACAAACUCACACUCAGGUUUGGAUUCGGUUAUGGGAAUUACCACAGGAGUACUGGAUGGAGAGAACCUUAUAUGAGAUCACAGGGGCGGUGGGAACUUCGUUACUCAUUGAUAAUGUGACUAGAAAUAAACUUUAUGGUCAUUAUGCCGCAUUUUGGUUGACAUGGAUCUUUGGAAAGAUAUUUUUAAGGUUCUGUUUGGUUAGAGACGCUUCCAGCUAAGUUGCAUAUUUCUUUCGAGACAGAAUUGGUCUACCCAAUAUAGAUUUCUUUUGUUCUGUUUUUUUUUCUUUUUUUUCCGAGAGUUUUGGCCUAGUCUCCCUUCUUUCUUGUACAUACUUUUUUCCUUUUUUUUUAAUUUUAUUUUAUUGAAUUUAGAGUUUGGCAAAAAUAGGACCGAGGCUUUCCGGGGUGCCAACUUAGUUACGAUGUCGGUGUUGUCUCCUGAUGUCUGACUUUCUCCUGCUGAGCAAAGAAAAAAAAAAGUGCACAAACGUGGAAUGGAAUAAUAAGCAUUACUACAAUUAAAUGUUAAUAUUAAUUUUAAAGGUUAAAUAUGUUUUGGUCCCUGUAAAUAUAUCAAAUUUUUCUUUUAGUCAUUCUAAAAAAUUUCAUUGAUUUUUAAUUUUUUUAAAAUUUUCAAACACCACUUUUGAUUCAUAUUUUUAUGUCAAUUCAUGUAAUUUUUAAUGAAAUUGUGCAGAAAUGUGUAGAAUAUUGUAAACAUUUAUUCGAAAACAUAUUUGAUUUUUUAGAUGUUCAUAUAACAUCACUAAAUUUUAAAGAACCCUAUUUGCAGAGACUAAACACAUUUAUAUUAUUAAGGUGUUGUUAAUUAAGGAGUGCCCCCGAACACUCUUUUAGGAUCACAAGUUUGGAAAAUAUUCUUUCAAAAAAUCAAAUAUUACAAAUUUUAAUACAUUAAUAACAUACAUUUUUAUAAAAAGUUACUACUAUUAAAAGAUCUUAAAAGAAUACUCUUGGAGCAUUGAUCUUAUCAUUUCCCUUAUUUGGAGUAAAGCUCUUAAAACAAAUAAAUUAUUUGGAGUAAAAUUGACUUGGGUCAAUAUGGAUUGAUUAUUAUAUUGCAAUAGACUUGCGUGACUAUCUGUAUUUUGCAUUUUCGAUAAGGAAAGUGUUGACUGAAUGAAAUCAAUACUCCAAAUAUGAACCAUCAAUGGAUAUACGACGUGUUCAUAAAUUUCAGAGGGGACGACAGUCGUAAUAGCUUGGUUUCUCAUCUGUACGCUGCUCUCUCAAACGCGCGAAUCAACACAUUUCUUGACGAUGAGAAGCUUCACAAGGGAUCGGAGCUGCAACCACAACUAUUGAGAGCAAUACAAGGGUCUCAGAUCUGUUUAGUUGUUUUCUCGGAGAAUUACAGUAGAUCUAGUUGGUGUCUUCUUGAACUUGAAAAAAUCAUGGAAAACCGUGGUACUCAUGGUCAAAUAGUUAUACCAAUAUUUUACCAUAUUGAUCCAGCCAUUGUUCGUCGUCAGUUAGGUAAUUUUGGAAAAGCUUUAGAAAUUACAGCUAAAAAAAUGCAAUCAAAAAGGGAGAAGCAAAAACUGUUGUUGCAGACGUGGAAGUCUGCUCUUAGCCAAGCUACAAAUUUAUCUGGCUGGGAUGUCACCUCUUCCAGGUAAAUCAUUUUCUUCUUCUUUUUUUUUUUUAAUAAUUUUAUUUUUUAGAAUCAGAAUGAAUUAAUGUUUUUAAGUUUUUUUUCUUUCACUAUAUUCAUAUUAUAAUUACUGUGUGGUGUGUAAAAAAAAGAAAGAAGCUAGUAUGUGUUAACAAAUGUUUCUGACAAACCAUUUUUUAUAAUAUACGUCAUUUUGGUCACUAUUAUAAAAUUAUAAUACUGAGUUAGCAGAAACAAUGCAUUUUUAUAUGCAGAAAAUGUAAGGAUUAUUCUUCAAUGCAUUGUUUUUAGUCCCAGUUAUUUAUUAAAAUGUAAUGAUUAUUCUUCAAAGUCACACAAAAUUUAGGGAUCAAAAACAUAUUUAACUCUAAAAUAAUUGGGACCCACUAACUAUCACAUCAGCAUUCCGUUGGAGAAUUAACAGCUGAGCCUAAUUUUGAUAACGGAGACAAAAUGUGAGGAUUUUAAAAACAUUAAUGAAAUGUAGGGACUAUUCUUCGAAGGAGCGUAAAAUGUAAGGACUAAAACCAUAUUUAACCCUAAUAUUUACUAGAUCCAAUAGCUUUUCAAAUAAUCUAAUUUUUUUUUUCUUCUUAUAAUAAUAACCGAAUUGUGUAACAUUCUUAUAAACACAUUUAUUUUUUGAAGGAUAUAAACACAUUUAUUUAAAAGUAUAAUUCAAAGUAUAAAAAAGUCGGUCCAAAAUUCCUAUAACUUUAUAUGUUGUUAACUGAUGAUAAUAAUAAUAAUAAUAUUCAUUGAAUUUGAAGGAAUGAAAGUGAACUGGUGCAAAAAAUUGUUGAGGAGGUAUUGGCAAAGCUAGACAACACAUUCAUGCCUCUUCCUGAGCACACGGUUGGACUAGAGUCCCGUGUUGAGAAAAUGGUUCCAUGGAUUGAAAAUAAUUCAACAAAGGUUUGUAUGAUAGGCAUAUGGGGAAUGGGAGGGUUGGGUAAAACUACGGCAGCCAAAGCCAUCUACAAUCAAAUUCAUCGCAAAUUUGUGUACAGAAGUUUCAUCGAAAAUAUUAGAGAAACUUGUGAAAGGGAUAGCAAAGGCGGAUGGCAUAUUUGUUUACAACAACAACUUCUUUCAGAUCUUCUCAAAACAAAGGAGAAGAUACACAACAUUGCCUCUGGGACAAUUGCAAUCAAGAAAAUGCUCUCUGCAAAAAAGGUGCUCAUUGUACUUGAUGAUGUGACCAAAGUAGAGCAGGUAAAAGCCCUAUAUGAAAGUCGUAAGUGGUUUGGUGCAGGAAGUGUAUUAAUUGUUACAAGCAGGGAUGCACACAUACUUAAGUCACUUCAAGUUGACCAUGUCUAUCCAGUUAACGAGAUGGAUCAAAAGGAGUCCCUCGAGCUUUUCAGCUGGCAUGCGUUUAGACAGGCAAGUCCAAGAGCAGACUUCAGUGAGCUCUCAAGUAGUGUAAUUAAGUACUGUGGAGGACUACCCUUGGCUGCUGAAGUCAUCGGAUCUUAUUUAUAUGGCAGGACAAGAGAAGAAUGGACAAGUGUGCUAUCAAAACUAGAGAUAAUUCCUGACCAUCAUGUGCAAGAGAAACUAAGAAUAAGCUACGAUGGUCUAAGUGAUGGUAAGCAAAAGGAUAUAUUUCUUGACAUAUGUUGUUUCUUUAUCGGCAAGGACAGAGCUUAUGUUACUGAGAUUCUAAAUGGCUGUGGACUUUUUGCUAGUAUUGGAAUAUCUGUCCUCAUAGAGCGGAGCCUCUUAAAAGUUGAAAAGAAUAACAAGCUUGGAAUGCAUGAUUUAAUAAGAGACAUGGGAAGAGAAAUUGUUCGUCAAAAUUCAGAAAAAGAUGUUCGCCAAAUUUCAGAAAAAGAUCCAGGGGAGCGUAGUCGGUUGUGGUUUCAGAAAGAUGUACAUGAUGUUUUGACAAAUAAUACUGUAAGAACUUUCUCCAUAUACAAUUUGAAACUUUUGAAUAUCCUCUGUAAUCUUAUGAAAAUUAUAAAGUUCUCUUUGUUAAUGAACUGAUUUGCUCUUCAUAACUAUUUGCUGAAAAAUCUUCAUGUUUGUUACAAGUGUGCUUGGGCCACAGCCCACAUCUGCCGUUUUGUUGCCACUGUUCUAGCAAGUAAACGAAAAACAUUUCCCCUUACUUUUCUUAGUUUUUUCUCUUCACACACAGGGAACAAAAACUGUUGAGGGUUUGGUUUUAAACUUGGAAACAACAAGCAGAGCUAGCUUUAAUACUAGUGCUUUUCAGGAGAUGAAGAAACUGAGACUUUUACAACUUGAUUGUGUUGACCUCACUGGAGAUUUUGGGUUUCUUUCCAAACAACUGAGAUGGGUCAAUUGGCGACAAUCUACCUUCAACCAUGUUCCCAACAACUUUUAUCAAGGAAAUCUAGUUGUUUUUGAAUUAAAAUAUAGCAUGGUUAAACAAGUUUGGAAGGAGACCCCGGUAUAAUAACAUUUUCUUUAAAAUUCAAAUGCUCAUGACAAUAGAAUCUGUUGCCACUCUUUCAUUUCUGAUUUUCAUCUCUAAUUUUUCUUUUAAAUGAUUAUUUUCUUGCAGUUUCUGGACAAGCUAAAAAUUCUCAACCUCAGUCAUUCCAAGUACUUGAAAAACACCCCUAACUUUUCAUUAUUACCGAGUCUAGAAAAGCUCAUUAUGAAGGAUUGUCCAAGUUUGUCCGAGGUACACCCGUCCAUUGGAGAUCUCAAUAAUCUUCUUCUGAUAAAUUUUAAGGAUUGUACAAGUCUUGGCAAUCUACCAAGAGAGAUAUCUCAAUUGAUGUCUGUGACAACUCUCAUACUUGAUGGUUGUUCAAACAUUACUGAAUUGGAAGAAGAUGUAGUGCAAAUGAAAUCCUUGAAAACUCUAAUGGCAGCAAGAACUGGUAUAGAAAAAGCACCUUUUUCCAUAGUUAGUUCGAAAAGCAUUGUUUAUAUAUCCCUGUGUGGAUUUGAAGGAUUUGCACGUGAUGUUUUUCCUUGUCUCAUACGGUCUUGGAUGUCACCAACAAUAAAUUCCUUACCACAUAUCCCUCACAUGUCCUUGGGUGUAGAGAGUAAUGAUUUGCGUUUGGGCAAUCAAUCAUCAACGCUUAGAAGCUGUUCAACACCUAGAAGUGUUUGGGUACAAUGCUGCUCCGAUAUUCAAUUAACUGAAGAAUUAAAAAGAUUACUUAAUGAUCUAAACAGUGUGGAUUUUACUGAAUCAGAAACUUCACAUGCAUUACAAAUCUCAGAUCUAUCAUUGAAAUCUUUUGUUAUUACUCUUGGCAAGAGCUUAUCACAGGUUCCUUCUCUAUCCUUUUAGUCUCACAUGUACUGAUAUCUAUUGUUAAUUAAGAGAACACGAUGAUAUUUUCUGUUUGCAUUUUUUUCUUUAAAUGGUUAAAGUUUCUUGAAGAUACAAAUUUAUUCAGUCAGACGUGUACCAUUGAAGUGAAAUAAUUUUUUAGAUAAUUACACCCUCUUAUUUUUUACUAUACGUGUCAUAUUUUUUAUAAUCAAUCUGGUUUUAUGUCUGGGAUGUUUACCAUUGAAGCAAUCUACUUACUGCAAAAUGUAAUGGAGUGAUAUCGGAUGGAUAAGACUUCCACUUAGUUUUCAUUAAUUUGGAGAAGACAUAGAUAGAGUGCCUAGAGAGAUUUUGUGGAAAACUCUCGACAAGAAAGGGGUUAAGACUGCCUACUUUUGAGCUAUCAAGGAUAUGUGUGGGAGGUUCUCGACUAGUGUGAGGACACAGAGUGGGGUCACAAGAUUUUCCCAUAACAAUAGGACUGCACCAAGGGUCCAUUCCAAGUCCUUAUCCUUUUUACUUUGGUUUUGGGCUUACUUAGGGAGAGGAAAAAGAAAAAUUAUAAGAGAUAGUAUUAAAAACAACAAUUAUUUUUAUGCAAUAAACAAAGCAAAUGAGUUCAAGCACGGUAUAGCUGCUAGGAAAGAAAGGCGUAAUAGAAAAUUAUUCAUAGAGAUAACAAAACCCUCAUCUACUAGAAAAGUUGAGGUUCCUUCCCUUUUCUAAGUCCUAGAUGACAAAACUCUCAACUGAAAUUUAGUGAUAUCAUUAUUAUCUUACAGAUGGAAAUUACCAAAACUUUUAAGUUGAGAUAUUAACUAGCAUAUGGAAAGUGAAAAGAAGUAUAAGAAAAGGUUAAUUAUAACAUGAGAAAAUGGUCAUUGGCCAAUUACAAGUUAAAAUCUGUGUAUGGCAUAUCAGUAUUUCAAGGGUUCUGCAGCUAUUAUAAAAGCAUUCUGCUAUUGAUGUGAGUGUUACAAAACUAUUGCCUCAUUGCUUUAAAUCAGUUUCUGUGUAUAUUUUUAUUUUUAUUUUUCUGUGUAAUGCACUAUUUUUACACUAUAAAUGGCACAAAAAUGUCUAUUAGCAUGAAAUAAUUACACAACUAACUCAACAUAUGUUCAUGAUACAGGGAUUAACAACCACAACCACUGGUUCCAAUGAUUGUUUUGUUCUGGUUAACAAUUAUCCUUCUGGGUUAUCUUAUACAUGUACAGGACCUUCAGUCCGAUUUCGAGUGCCUGAGGAUAGUGAUUGUCACAUGAAGGGAAUUACUUUAUGUGUUGUUUAUUCAUCAACAUUUGAAAACAUGGAAACUGAAUGCCUCGUUGGUGUUUUGAUUAUUAAUUAUACAAAAUUCACUAUCAAUUUAUACAAGCGAGACACAGUAAUGUCCUUUAACGAUGAAGAUUGGCAGGGUGUAAAAUCAAAUUUAGGAGCUGGUGACAAUAUGGAGAUUUUUGUAGCUUUAGGGAAUGGUAUGACUGUUAAAGAAACAGGUGUCCAUCUUGUACAUGGCCAAUCAAGUACUAUGGAAGUUGAGUCGUCGUCAAUGACCAUGGAAGUUGAGCAAUCUAUUAUGGUAAAAAUGGAGCCAUUGCCCGAAGUGGAAGUGCAAACGCAGCCUAAUGUGAAAAUAGAUCCAUCACCUGAAGAGGAAGUACAAUCAUCCCUUGAUGUGAAAAAUGAGGCAUCACUUAUUAUCCAGAAUGAACCAUCACUGGAGCCAUCGCUUACUGUCCAGGACGAGUCAUCACCGAAGCCAAAUGAAAACAUCUUUGCAAAACUUGGAAAGAGAGUUGGUAAAUGUGUAUGCUUGAAACUAUAGAAUAGGGAUCUCAGAAAUUUAUGAUUGCCCAAUUGGGCACACUUUGUCCUAAUAUCGAAAUACCUUCCUAAAUAUUAUCAUCUUAACGACUUUACCUGUAUGUUUUUGUAGGAUACUCAUCUAGUUUUGAACUGCAUUAACUACUUAUUUAUAUAUUACCCAUUUAUCAUGUAAAUGUAAACAAUAAAUAUCAUGACAUCCUCUAAAAAAAAAACAAUUGGAUAGAAAGAUAAACUAAUGAUCUAUCCUGAAGAGGAAACUUAAGAAAAUCGACAUCAUUUGUUUUUAAUACCAUUUCACCAACAUGUGGCACAAUUGGAAAAACAUAUUAGGAGAUGUGAACUCAACUCUUUAAAUGCAUCUCAAUUAUUUUUAUAUAUUAGUUUUCACAGUUAUGUGGGGAUAAACUGGUUUAUCAAAAAAUUAAUACCACUUCUAUUUUUUAAUGCUUUUAAUUUAGUCACUAAAUUUAGGCAGAGAAGACAAUAAAUUAAUGAGAAAUGAUAUUUGUACAUCCAUUUUAUGAUAAUUUUUGUACAAUCUUCUCUCUCAUACUUACAUUAUCUUUUUGGGAGGGAGCUUGGACUAUGCUAAUGUCAGUUUUUAUAUUAGUAGUAUGUGAAACUUCCAUCGUAUUGUUUGAUUCAAUUUAUGUGGUUCUGAAAAUGUUGUUAAGAAAUUCUCAUGCGUGGUAUCCUGCUUUAUGAUUUAAAAAUUUAAAAAAACCAAAAAUCAGUGUCAGAUUUCGAAAAAGUUACUCCCUUCACCCAAGUUAACCCUCCAAGGUCAAUGGGGAAGGCGACGGUGCAGGGAAGGAAUUAGUGAAUAAAAUUGUUAGGUCAUGUAUUGUUUUCGAUCAAAUCGCAAAAACAAAACAUCAACUUUGGCCUGAAGCAUUGAACCCGCUUCCUGAAAUUUAUUUCAGAUUAGACGACUAUCCAUCAAAUUGUUUAGUCCAAAAGCUCUUGAACCGAUCUAUCACCUUGCAUCUAAAAGAGAUUGCAAUCCAAAAAAAUAAAAUUGUAAUAAUAAAAAAUGAGAUUAAAAUAAUCUUUUUGAUAAUUGAAUGUGUGAGGUGAUGUCAUUAUAGAAUUUGAAUGCAUGAAUAUCACAAAAACAUCUCAAAGUGCUUUUUGUUAGUAAUUUUAUGGAUGAAAUUGACUAAUGAAAAACAUUUUCAAGAACCAAGCAAAAAAGAAAGACUUUUGAAGACCAAACUCAAUAAAAAAAAUAUGUAUUUCAAUAAUUUUUAUUAUUUCGAUACAUUUUUUUAUUUGAAUCAGCAACAUUUAUUAGGCUCGGCUAGCACAAGAUGCACUUAACCGGCGAAGGAGGAAAAAGAGUACAAAUAGGCACUACAAAACAGACCGCAGCGCACUACCAAAGACAAACUUGAUAAAAAAAAACCCCUAAGAGCCCAAUUCCAACCAAAGGAGGACUCAAACAACAGCAUAAAAACAACAAGAACGAAAUACAAGUGGAACGCUUAAACAACAAAAAACGCAGGCUGCCAAACACACACAACCACCAACAACAGAAAACAGCUCCCAAAAAAACCAGUCAACAAAAGCUAUCUCACAAGGCACGCCAAAGGGUUCCAACACCAUUCGUAGAAAAGGAAAAGCAGCGCUUUUUAAACGACUUAGACACCACCGCCACGACAAAACUUUAAUAUCAUCCACCAACUCCAUCACCCCCGUCUCCUUAGCAUUGAAAAUUUUAUCAUUCCUUGCCUUUCAUAUCACCUAAAUAGUCGCAUGCCAAAUGAGUCUAAGUCCUCGAAUGAUCUUCUUGUUCGACGAAACCGCAUUCCAACACGCCCAAUGGAUGAACAAGUUUUGAGGAAUGAUGAACAUAAAACCCACCCAAUGGAGAAGUUCUAACCAAACACCUCUCGCAACCUCACAAUGCAUAAAAAGAUGAUUCGUGCUUUCGUUAUCCCUUCCACACAAAACACAACUCAAAUUAAUAUCUGGAGAAAGGGCGUUCCUUCUACGAAGGUUGACACGGGUAGGGAUACGGUCUAACAACAUCUUCCACGAAAGAGCCUGAUAGUACUCAAAAGUAAUAUAUUUCAUGUGUUAAUUUAGGCAUUUUAGUGACUUGUUUUGCAAGUUAUCUAAGGAAAAACUACCAUUUAUCGUAAUUUUGCCAUUUAUGCUUUACAUGUCUUACUCUACUCAAUUUGUGCAGGAAAUGACAAGCAAGGACCAAGAAACCACUUUAUGAGCCAAGCCAAACUCGCUUAAGCGAGAAAGUUCCAGAGAGCAGCCAUCCAUCUCGCUUCUGAGCCGUGGUUUUAUUUCCGAUGCGUUGUUUGGUGAGAACUAUUUAACUCUCGCCCUUGACGAGCUUGUUUGUAUCUUUUCUAUGAUUUAUCUGAAACAUAAUGAUACUUCCACACUUCCAAAGUAACCAACAAAAUAAAUAAUGAAGUUUUAAUCAUAUCCAAUCAUUUUCAAUGGGAAUUAUCUAUUCUUUGUCUUAGCUUACCCAUAAUUUCUACUCUUCUUCAUAUUCUCUUUUAUUUUACUAAAUUCAAAAUCUUUUAAUCCUUUUCUUCUUUCUAUUAGAUUGGAACUAAGUCUUCUACUCUAUGAUACUACUUCUCUUAGAUCAAAAUUCGCUACAUCCCUAUUUAGAUUUGAACUAGCUGGCCCAUUUCAUUCUUUUCUGUUAUACUCCUUCUCUUAACUUGGAAAAAAGCAUCGCCUGCUAUCCUACUUUCUACUUCUCUUCAUGCUCCUAUUAGAAAUUUGAACUAAGUCAUGCAUAUUUUAUUCAUUCUCCUUCUACCGUUCAUCCAUCCCAUGAAGUGUAAAAUGUAGUUGCUGACAUUAUAGGCUAUAGAGAAAUAAUAAGAGCUCACUUAUAUAAAUGAGUUGCACAUAACCACAUAUUAUGUGUAUAUGCACCAAAUAAUAGUUGGAAAAUAGAUAAUAUCGAUUAAAUUGUAUAACCAAAUUUUGUCUCAAAAUAUGAACUCUUAAGUUGUUAUUAAUUACUUUUCAAAUGCCGCAAAUGUAUAAUAAUUUUGACACAUAAAAUCGGAAAGACAGAACCUGAGCGUUAAUUCUCUCUUUUGAAUGAAGUGUUAUGUUACAUAGAAUUAUAGAGUUCUGGUGUCGCCGACUGUGAUCCAGAAGUAUGUCAUUAAUGCACUGCCUGACGCCAACCUUGAUCCUGCAUAAGAUACGCAAAGUCUAGCUUGCAAUUAUUAGCACAACCAUCUCUCAAGAACACCUCUGGAACUAUAAUACAAAUGUGAUAUUCACUAUAGACAAAGCGAAAACAGUAGAAUAUUUAAAUUGAAUGGAAGUUAGUGUCACAGAAAAAGCUUCUACUUGCUGCCAGAGAAGAAACAAAUUUGCAGUAGAGAUAUAUAGUGGAUUUCUAAAUUCUUCUAACUAGUAACUUUAUCCAUAAGAGCAACAUUGUUAAUUUUGACCAUGGGGUAUCGUGAUUUAUAGUCUUGUAAAUCCAACAUCAUUCAAUGAUAUAAUUUGUAAAUUUAUUCGAACUGAAAGACAUGUAUAAAAGGCUAACUUGUGUAGUAAUGAUUUAAAUCAUUGAUGGUGUGACUGUCAUCAACUAACGAAUUUGGUUAAACACGCAUUAAUAUCGAUAAUAUAUAACCUGGAGGAUGUUGUUCUGGUUGCGCGGCGCUUCAUGUGUUUUGAGCGUUAAUCUGAGUUCCUGUAUUUUAGAAAUUGAUAUAUUUUCCUAGCAUUCAAAAGUUGUUAGAUAAUAUAGAUAAUAUCAUCUAUAAACAAGGAAGUCGUUUACACAAUACAGAGGUUGUUUUAGUUUAUCAUUUAAAACUGAAGUGUAUCUAAAAUUGUGCAAAUUUGAUCAAGGACUUGUGGAACUGAUUUAGCUCUAGAUCGAUAGCGACGAGACUGACAUGAAAGCGUUUUACAGGAAAUUCGUUACACCAAGGGUUUUAAUAAAUCAAUCAAACAAUUUCAAAAUUAUGCAAAACAACAGUAGACAGUAGCAAAACUGACAGUUUGCUAUGAGAAGGCUCUCAAGGUUAGUAUUUACAGUCAUAAGCGGGUUGGAUAAACCCUAUAUUCUAGGCAUUUAGUUACUUUGAUAAGAAUAACUAUCAGGGGUUCUAGCUGCUUUUAGAAUGUGCUCAUUCGUGAUGCCUGUAAAGGUGCCACCUUUGCUUGCUUCGAGCCUUUAGAAGGGUGCUUAUGAUCAUCUGAGUCCUUAUGAAGGACAUUGUGUCCUUUAUCCGGGUUUUCCCAGUCCAUUAUGAAAUUAAAGAAAGAAAAAAGGCUUCAAUCAGUCCUUUUCCCAGUCCUUUAUCCUCCUUUGCUUGCUUCGACCCUUUAGAAGGGUGCUUAUGUCACCAGGUACUCAUUUUUUUUGUAUUCCAAAUAUUAAAUUUGUCAUAUAAAAUCUUAUGCUUGGUUUCAUUUCAUGUAUCAGAAUUUAAAGAGGACAUUCUUGUGCAAAUGUGCUGACUCUAGCAUACCAAAGUCUUGGAGUAGUUUAUGGUGACCUAAGUACUUCUCCUCUUUAUGUAUACAAGACCUCAUUCUCAGGGAAAUUGAGCCUUAAAGAAGAUGAUGAAGAAAUUUUUGGGGUGCUUUCAUUUAUCUUUUGGAUAUUUACUAUUAUUGCUCUCUUCAAAUAUGUUUUCAUUGUCAUGUCUGCUGAUGAUGAUGGAGAAGGUACAGUCUUCAAUCAUUGAUGUUGCUUAAGUCUGUCUUCUCAAUUAUAAGAUAUCAUUUUGGAAUAAAUAAAAGGACUAAUAUUGUCUCUCUUAAUUAUAUAUUAGGAUAAAUAGUUAAAUCUUUGUUAGAAUCAAUUGCAGGAGGCACCUUUGCAUUAUACUCACUUCUUUGCAGACAUGCAAGACUAAGCAUUUUGCCUAAUCAGCAACCAACAGAUGAGAAUUUAUCUGCUUAUUCCACAGAAGAUUCUGCCGAUACAUGGCAAUCUUCUCUUUUGAAGCUGUUCUUUGAAAAGCAUCCUAGAUUCCAGAAAGGACUGUUAAUAUUUGUUCUGUUGGGAACUUGCAUGACGAUUGGUGAUGGUGUGAUUACUCCUGCAAUAUCAGGUAGUUUGAUCGGGAGCAGCCCCUCUCAGCUUCUAUUAUUAUGUUUACUUGAUACUUCCUGUACGCUUUGACCUUAAUAUCAGUUCCAGAUUACUUGUUGAACAAGUAUACAGGAGUUUGGUCUUAUAAAAAACAGAAUUGUUUAAAUAUGUGUUUUGUCCCUGUAAAUAGAGCGAAUUUCGGUUUUAGUCCCUAUAAAUACCUUAUUGUUUUCUUUUCAUCCUUACAAAAUCAUGUAUUUGUUUUUUGUCCGUAGUGUCAACUUUCUGUUUAAAAUAACUAACGUGGAAAAUACAAGUAAAUGACAUCCGUUCCAUGUAGAAUAAUUAUGCCACGUGUCAACACCACCACAUCGGGUGAUAGUGAGACAUCAACACUAAUGAACACGUCAUUAAAAACGAGGAGAUAGACAUGGCAUAUCAGCUCCAUGUGUCCGUGCUGAUGUUCAUGCCAGUCGUAGCUCACUAUCAUCCAAUGUGGUUUUGACAUGUGGCAUUGUCAUCCUACGUGGAAAUGAUGGUGUGUACCUUUGUUUACACCAUUAGCUUUUUUAAACCGAAAGUUUAUGCCAGGGACCAAAAAUGAAAACAUUUGAUUUUGCAAGGACUAACCGUAAUAUUUUAAACCAAAAAGAAUUAUGCUAUCCAUCAUUAGCAAUGUCACAGAUACACACAUGCAUUCCUUAAAUUGUAGCUUUAGUUGAUUACUAAUUUCUAGAAUUCAUUAUUUCUCACUAAUGUGAUUAGACAAAAGCACAUUUCACAAUAAAUAAUUGCACUGUUUACCGAAAAUAUACUGUUUCAAGAGUUGAUCCUUAUACAAAGUUCUGUACCAGUUUGUCCGUUUCGGUCUAUGACCAUCCUUUUCGUGUCUCAUUUCAGUAUUUUCAGCAGUUUUAGGAGUUCAAGUUAAGAUCAACCAACUACAUGACAGUAAGCCAACCAAACUUCUAUCAUUACCAUUAUGUCUAUUCAAUGCAUAAUUUUAAAACUCUACCUUAUGUAUUGCGCAGAUUAUGUUGUUAUAGUCUCAUGUAUCAUUUUAGUUGGCCUUUUCUCCAUUCAGCAUCAUGGAACACAUAGAGUUGCCUUCAUGUUUGCCCCAGUUGUUGCAGCAUGGCUUUUGUGCAUCAGUGGUAUUGGUAUAUACAAUAUAUUCCGAUGGAACCGACAAGUAUAUCGUGCACUUUCUCCAGUCUAUAUGUUCAGGUUUCUCAAAACAACUGGCAUUGAAGGAUGGUUGUCAUUAAGUGGAGUGGUGCUUUAGAUAACAGGUAACUAUAAGUUAGUCAAUUUUAUUAUAGUUGUCUAGCUUGUGUUAUUUGAACAACCAAAUUCAGACAAUUUUCGCAAUAACUUUUUAAGUGGUUAACACAGUUCAUGUAAGUGGCUAAUUGCGUUCAGUAGGUGCUUAAUGGACCAUAAGUGAAAACUCAUUGACCAUCAAUUUAACUUCAUCCCAAACUUGUGGUUGAUGAAUUUAUGUUGGUGGUUAAUAAGUUUGGACACCUGAUAUAUCUAUUAAUCAUCUACUAAACAUAAUUAAUCACCUAUUUGAACUAAGUUGAACACUUAAAAAGUCACGAAAAUUGUCUAAAUUUGGUUGUACAACAAAUCAUUUCUCGAUCAGCUACUGUCUUAGGUGUGGAGACAAUGUACGCUGACAUGGGUCAUUUUUCUGCACUCUCAAUAAAGGUAAAUUAAAAGUAUGCAAUAAUUAACAAUGUUGAUCCAAGUAUAUUAGUCUAGCAUACAAAAAUGAAAUCUGAUUUAACAGUUACACGUAAAUCUCAGAUAGCUUUCACAUGUUUAGUAUAUCCCUGCCUGAUUUUGGCAUAUAUGGGUGAGGCUGCAUUUCUCUCUAAGCACCAUUAUGACAUUGAGAGAAGUUUCUACAAAGCCAUACCAGGCAAGAAUUCACUUUAAUAAACAACAAAUAUAUCGAUAUUAUUUAUGAUAACUCUAGGGUAACAGUGCUACUAUUUUUCUGCAGAAGCUGUAUUUUGGCCAGUUUUUAUAGUGGCCACUUUUGAUGCUGUUGUAGGAAGUCAAGCAGUGAUUUCUGCAACUUUUUCCAUCAUAAGCCAAUGUUGUGCUUUAAAUUGUUUUCGAGUCAAGAUUGUUCAUACUUCUAGCAAAAUAUAUGGACAGAUAUAUGUUCCAGAAGUCAAUUGGAUAUUAAUGUGCCUUUGUUUAGCUGUUACAAUUGGCCUUUGGGAUCCAAACAUGAUGGGUCAUGCAUAUGGUAUGAUAUCCUUUUCCAUUGUGUUUAGAUUAAACAAUCAUUUUUAUCCUAAAAUGUGUGAGGUGCUGUCACAUUAGUCUCUAACGUAUCCAAUUAUAAAAAUAAAAUGAAAAACUGCAUAAAUGCGUCUUUCAGUAGUCCGUUUCUUUAUCAAAUGUAUCUUUCAUUAAUUAGUUUAGUUCUCAAAUGUGUCUUCUUGUAGUCAAUUUGGUCCAUAAAAUUACGAACAAAAGACAUGUUUGGGACAUUUUUGUAAUUCGGAUACAAUCAUUACUAUAGUGAUUACGCCUCACACAUUUAGGGAAAAUGACAGUUUAUUCUUAUGUUUACUCAUUAUGAUAUAUGAAGUAUGGAAAACUAAAUUUAAACUACUUUUCUUGGUUUGCAGGGUUGGCUAUCACCACUGUUAUGUUUGUGACAACAUGUUUGAUGACACUAGUAAUUAUAAUGGUUUGGAAACAAGGGAUAAUAAAAGCACUUACAUGUUUCCUAUUGUUUGGAUCUAUUGAACUUCUUUACAUCUCAGCUUCUGUCUGCAAAGUCGCUGAAGGAGGAUGGAUCCCAAUUUUGCUCUCUUUCAUUUUUAUGGCCAUAAUGUUCACAUGGAAUUAUGGAACAAUGAAGAAACACCAAUUUGAUGUUGAAAACAAGGUCUCCAUGAGCAAGAUGGUCCGUGUCCCGGGAAUCGGUCUCAUUUUCAGUAAUCUUGCUUCCGGUAUCCCGGCUAUUUUCGGUCAUUUUAUUACAAAUUUACCAGCAUCCCAUCAGGUUUUAGUUUUCGUAUGUGCUAAAUCAGUCCAAGUCCCUUAUGUCAGUGAAAAUGAAAGAUUAGUCAUCAGCAGGAUUGGUCCGAAGGAAUUCUACAUGUUUCGGUGCAUUGUUCGAUACGGAUACAAUGACAUGCAACAAGAGAAUUACAAUUUUGAAAUUAAAUUGGUAUCUGCAAUAAUACAAUUUAUAGAAAUAGAAGACAGUGUUCCAGAACAAACAAAUGAAUUGACUAUAGAUGAUGGGAGAAACUUAAAUAUGGAAGAUCUUGGUCAGUCACAACACACCUUGAAAUUGAAUUGGUCACAUUCUGAAAAGAAUUGUUUACCAUUUUCAUGCGAUGGCCAACAAGUUCAAGACGAGUCCUAUAAAUUUGAGUCAUUUCAGAUUUUAAGAGCCAAAGAAUUAGGUGUUACUUAUAUAGUUGGGUAUUCCUAUGCAGAGGCAAAAAAAUCAUCUACCAUUUUAAAGAAAUUUGGAAUAGAUGUUGUUUAUGCUUUUCUAAGCAAAAAUUGCAGAGAACCUGAUAUUAUGUUGGAAGUAGCUCAUACUUCUUUGCCAGAAGUUGGUAUGGUUUACCAUGUAUAACUCUAACCUUAUACUGAGGUAUUUGCAUAGAAGAGAAUAGAUAUAGUUUGUAAAUGUUGGUCAUAAACAUUAACAAUGACUUCUAGUAUCUAAGAAUGUAUCAAAAAAUGUUGAUCAUUAGGUUGUAGGUUUUUCAUCAUUGAUCUCUAAAGAGUCUUUGAUUCUGUAUCUAAGAAUGUAAUUCAAAAAGUAGAAUAUAUAUACUUGUACUUUUGUUGAAAUGUAGCUACUGAGAUAUGACACAAUCAUUAAAAUACUUCAUUUAUAUUUACUGAGAUGUUAUUUCCUUUAUUUUCUUCUAUGUAAAUGUAAAUAUUCUCUAUUUUCAUGUAUAUAUUUAUGAUGUAAUUAGAUUGUAAGGUUAUUCUCAAGUUAACCCUUUCAUGAAAAUUUCAUCUGAUCUUGUUGUAUAAAAAUUGUAUUUAUAGUGAACUUAAUGUUCCCUUACUAAUGGCUAACAUAACCAGCACCUGACAUUAUAGAAACUAUAGUUCAGAAUUAGCAAAAAAGGUAAUUAAUACGAUGAUGUUUGAAAAAGAAAAUCAAUUGUCAUUUAAAAAACUUGCCUGCACUCCCAAAGUAGCCAUCAACUAUAUUAUUUGGAAUAUUGCAGUGAUUUGAAUAUACAUGGUCUUAAUAUACAAAUGAUUCUAUAUUAUUCGGCAUACUGUAUUGGAAUCAAUGUUGGUCAAAAGUUUCUUCUUCUUCAGUCUAAUUAAUAUAUAAUUUAGGAAUGUGUUCUAUCUUGUCCCAGUCCUCUCCUAUUCCCUCCUUACAUCGCUCCGUUACAGCUGGGCAACCAUAAAUUGCCAGAACCUCAAGUGAUGUGAGGUGCAGAAUACCUUCUGGCAAGCAUCUCAAUCUUUCACAGAAAGCAAUCUCCAUGGUUCGAAGGGAUCGUAGAGUAGACCUUCAAAAAGUUGUUCCGGUAAUGAAUCAAGCUCACAACAGUGAUGGAUACCAAGAUGCUCCAAAGCUAGGUUGAAGGCUUCACUUGGCAAUGCAUUCACUUAAUUUGGGAAAUCAGAUAUUUCCAAAGUUCGAAGACAGGUCAGGUUUUUCAACAUCCCUUUUGGAAAAUAUGUCACAUCUUCACGUCUAUUAAUCUCAAGGGUAGUUAGGCCGUAGAAACUAGAGAUUGACUCCAGUAACUCAUUGUUACAUCCAUCUACAAUGAGUUCUUUAAAAGAUGAAAGGCAUGGCAACCCAAGUUUAAGGCAACCAACAAUGGCCAACUUAGAAAGGUGGGGAAAAAUCUCCCAUUUCCACUUUCAACAACCGUUCCAAGUUAGGUAAAUUACCUAAAAGCAGAUCCUCCAGAGAUGGGAAACCCCUGACCUCCACACCAUCGCUUGAUUCUUCAUCAUUCACAUACUGCACAUUAUCCAUAUACCAUAAUUGGAGUUUUCUGAGAGAUGGUAAUUUAGCAAGUGAUGGAAGCCAAACACAGUUUCUGCAAUAAGAAAGUGUAAGAACAGCUAAAGUACUUUGAAUUUGGAUCCAACAUGGGAGGUGCAAUCCGUCAUAGCCAUGUAUUUUCAAAAUCUUAAGAUUUGAGUGAGAUUGAAGCACUUCAAGUACUUCCUCGGUGCUAGUAGCAGGUGUCUUGGCUUUACACCUGAUGUUCCAUGAGAAGCAUAUUUCCUGAAGUUCUUUUUUAUCUUGCAAAUUUGCUUCUCGAGCUUCAGACAAACUUCCAACAUUUUCUAGACAUGUAAUGCUUAGUUUUCCUCCUAGCUUUAGAUCAUGUAAUUCUGCCAAGCUGUAUCCAAUCUCUAAACUGGAUCCUGAAUCCUGCCCAAUCUAGAGCCCCCAAUGUUUAGAACUUUCUCACCAAUUUUUUCCCUCCCCUUUGUACAUAACCAGGAAAAUUAUAUUUAAUUAGCCAAGUCAUGUUCAUUUUGCCUUCCACAAUUCAUUUGUGUGUGUGAUUUCGCAAGAUUUGAAAGUGUUUUCUUCCUGAAUUUUGGUUAUUCUUUUCGUAAGUCUUCCUGAAUUUUGUUAAUUUCAUGAUUAUGAUGAUCGUUAUAUGGCAAAUAAGACUUCUGAUGUUACUAGUCGCAAAGCUUUAUACUUCAUAAACUUCACCAUAUCCAUGGUGGAAUCAGAGAAAAUGCAGAAGCUUAAGGAAGAAAAAAGAGAUAAAAUCUCUAGAUUCAUUCAACUGAGAUGAGUUUGUUACAACAUAGCUAUAUAUAGCUGAAUUUAAUCCUAACUAACUGUAACUAACUAUUAGCUAGGAUUAGAAUCAUAGAGAGCUAGUACAUAGUAAAGUUUUAGGGAAUUGCAAGAUAACUUGCUGCGCAAGCUAUCUGUUAGUAGAAAUAAUCACACAGUUUAAUAAUAGUCAUGAUGAUAGAUUGCUUCCUGAUUUUUAUUUCUGAUCUGAGAACUAUCCAUCAAUAUUUUUAGCUCCAGCCGGGGAACAAAUCUAUCACCUUGUCUUCGAAAGAGGUUGAAUUCCAAAAACUACUGGUUUGUUUUUCUUCUGCACAAUUGGAUUUUGAUUUAAAUAUAAACUUCAGAAAACAAAGAUCUCAAGCUAACUGUACUAUUGUGAAAAAUAAACAUCAAAUGGAAAAAUAAGGCUCUAAGAAAAAUUCUUCAGACUGCUCCCUCUCCCCAUGCAAUUACAACUCAGCAGAAGUAUGUAAAGGUUGUGGGGCUGAAGUGUCACUAUUUACAUAAUUUCAUUACCUUUUUUCUUGAUUGAUUUAAAUAUUACAACACAUGACUGAGAUUAUUUAAGUUAGCGUAGCUCUCAAGAUGAGAAAAACCAAAUAAAUUGUGCAUAACCAUGUAUUCUUUGGUGGUUUGAUUGUAAUAAUUUGGACAAGAGGCUAAAGAGCAUUAGUAACAUCUUUGUCUGGUUACAUUUCUGUUGACAAGUCAAUUUUAUAAAUGACAAAAAAAUCUUGUAGUCACUGAUUUUAGCUUCCACAAGGCAAUAAUUUGAUCAAGUGUGAAUUCAAAAAAGUAUUUGUCCCUUUUAAAUAAAUAAUGUAUGUGCAUUGUUUGGAACAACCAAGGCACAAAAUGUAUGAUUAUAAGCUCACCAACAAAAAAACUACACUAGAGGAAUAGGAAAAAGAUUAAUACAAAGAAUCCCUUAUGUCAGCGACAUUAGUACUAGUAGAUAUUGUAAAAUCAGCAACAUCUGUUGUUAGUUGGAAUUAAGUUCGGCUCAUGUGUUGGAUCCUCUCCUUUCAUGCCAACCAUAUCAAUUUUAUAUUCCCUUUUCUCAUUAUUUGAUGGACUAAUAGCUUGUUUACUUCCUUCUUUCGAGAUUAAUUUUUCAGGCCAAAAUACAUUCAGUCCCUUGCCUGUAUGUAUGACCAAAAUACACUCAAUUCCUUUAUAAAAUCUUACCAUACAUCUACAAUAUACUAUUUUUUUUCUUUGCUAUAAGGAUGGAAUUUUAAAUAUGUUUGGUGAAAAAAAAAAUCUGUGAAGGUAAUUAGCAUUAAAAAGUCCUGAAAACCAACUCCAACCACAAGGAGGUGGAGAGAGUAUUACUUUGUUGAAGCAUGCAAUAAAAAGAAAGCCGACUAAAGUUUCGAUAUGUAUGUUAAAAUAAAUCAGUUUGACGAGGCAGAAAAUUCAUGUUAAAGUAUUCACGAAUAUAUGAACUAUGCCUUACCUUGAAAUUAACCAUAACCAGCAAAGAGCUAUCAGUUAAAGGAAAUUGAAAUCUUCAGCAGCAAACUUCAUUCCUAAUAUUGCUUAACAACGUCGCCAAUUCUGGCUAUUGGUGUUUCCCCUGAUCGAACAUGAAACUCCGACUCUUUCAUAAAUGUAUUAUUAUACAUGAAACGGCUAUUUCAUAAAUGAAGGACCAUCACCUGCAUAUUUUCAUGGAUAUAUGUAUUUAAAUUGAAAUAAAGUAAUGUAUGUUAAAAUUAAUACUAUAGGAAUUGAAGAUCUAUACCAUAUCAAUACCAGCAUUAACGAAAGUGGAGACGCGAUAACGAUAAUAUGACCAAUAAGGUUGACAUCUUGAUUUCGCUCAGAUAAAAAUCACAAGUUUCACAUAAAUCAAUUCAAGGAUGUCUUCUUCUUCAUUCCAAUAAACAAUUUUUGGAAUAUGUGGUAUCUUGUCACAUUCCUCUCCUGUUCUCUCCUUACACUCCUUUAAUUUUGGGCAACCACGGAUAUUCAUAAACUCAAGUGAAAUGAGGUGUUAAAUACCUUCUGGCAAGGAUCUGAAUUCGUCGCAUUCAACAAUAUCCAUAUUUCAAAGAGAAAUAAAUGGCACCUGUUCAGUUUCACAGGAGAUGCUCUCUGUAAGUGAUAUGAAUAAUGCUAAUAUACUAAAAUAUAUGGAGUUAAAAGAUGCAAAAUUCACUUUGUUAUCAAAUAAAACAGUUGAUUUCUUGUUCAUAUCAUCCAAAAUCAUCACCUCUUGCUUUCAGGAGAAGCAGUGGACACAACUUGAUCAAUUAACAUUGUCCAACACAAACAUGGUUGGGAUUCAGCAGCAUUCCACAACAUAUCUGACACAAACAUAAUGAAAUAACAUGAGUGUCUCGACUAGAAAAAAUGAAAUACAAUGACACCAUCCUAACAAAGAGCUGUAUACACACCUGCAGAUUUUCUGUCUUUGGUUGGUAACAUGCCAAGCAUCACAGUGCUCCCUUUGGUAAGCAAGAAUGACAAACACAGGGCCUCAUUUCUCACAAUAUGCAUUGGUUGUGACCUGAAUUUUAACUAAAUCAAAAACUCAAUAAAAAAGACAGAAAUACACAAUAAUAACCCGCUGAGUGCCCAAAAACAUGAGCCUUUUUCCAACCUAAAUGACCCAACAAAGUAAUUGUAUCUUUUGCCAUGAUCUUUGUUCUGCACCCAACAAUCAUUCACCAAUUCACCAAUAUUCAAAACUCAACCUAAUUGUAUCUUUUGCCAUGAGCUUUGUUCUGCACCCAACAAUCAUUCACCAAUAUUCAAAUUUCCAUUUCACUCUUUGUAAAUUAUUCAAAUUAAUGUAGCACCAACACUUCAUAUUGAUGAGAUAUGUUUAGACACUGAUAUGACACCAAGUCGUAUAAUUACAUUCAAAAACUUUCAUUUCUUCAAAUUAUUAUUAAAAUUAAGCAAAGAGGAAUCCAAACAAUAUAUCAUUCAAACAAACAAUAUAAAGCAAAUAAAUAAAAAGACCAAUAAAAAAACUUAAGAAUAAAAAUGGAGAAAACCUUAUCAUCAGACUUUCUAUUGUGCACUGAGCUCCGACCCGAACCAUGCCGUCUUCAUCAUUAGGUACGUUUGUUCCUGUUAAUCCCUUUAUUUGUGGACCCCACCCUUGUGUCAAAGGCAAUCCUAACCAUUCAAUUCAAUCUCCACGAAAUCAGCAAAAUUAAAAAUGAAAUCAAAAAUCAAAAAGGAAAUGAAAAAAAAAAUUAAACUAUGAUGAAGAAAAUUACCUGAAUUAGAAUAUUAGAACAUAUCUUUUGGGGGAUACCUUCAAAAGAACUCAACAGAAAAGCCUGCAAAUCAUCCUAUAAUGAGAAUAUAUAACGAUUUUUGAAUAAAAUUCGAGUCAAUUAAUCACUUAAAAUCCAAACAAAAGAAGGGUGUAUUUUAGGGGGAAAUAGAGAUCCUACCAGUAAAAUAGAUUUUUGCGAUGGUGAUUGAGGCAGAUAAGGGUAAACGUCUCUGCUUCUUAAACAUCAAUCAACUCUAUUCUUGGAAUAUGAGCUAUCUUGUCCCAAUCCUCCCCUGUUCCCUCUUUGCAUCGUUCCUUUAAUGUUGGGCAAUCAAUGAUAGACAGAAGCUCAAGAGAAGUGAGGUGUCGAAUACCCUCCGGCAAGCAUCGCAAUCCUCUACAACCCCAAAUCAGUAGAGCUCGAAGGGAUUGAAGACCUUCCCAGUUUUGCUCUGGUAAGGACUCCAAUUGUGGUAAAAAAGUUACAAACAGGGAUUGAAGAGAAGUAAGGUUUUUGAACAUCUCCUCUGGUAAGGAUGUUAUUCCUUCACCACUAUUUAGGGUAAGCUGAGUAAGACCACGGAAGGUAGAGAUUGACCUCAGUAACUCAUUGUUACGUCCAUCGACACCGAGGUCUUUAAGAGAUGGAAGACAUGGCAGUCCAAGUUUAGGGCAUUUCCAGAUAUCCAAACUAGAAAGACAAGGAAACAUCUCCCCUCUUUCCACUUUCAAUAACCCCUCUAUGUUUGGUAACCCAUGUAAUUCGAGUACCUCCAAAGAUGGGAAAGCCCUCACCUCCAUACCAUCCUCAGAUUCAUCAUCAUCCAAGUAUUUCAGAUUAUUCAUACCAUAUACUCUAAGUUUUUUUAGAGAUGGUAGUUUACCAAAUAACGGAAGCCGCACAAUUUUGUUGCAAUCCCCAAGUUUAAGAGAAAUUAAAUUACUAAGAAUAAUUAUCCAACUUGGUAACGAUAAUCCGUCAUAGCAAUUUAUAUCCAAGCACUUGAGAUUUGAGUGAGGUUGAAGCUCUUCGAGUAAUUGCUCAGAUCUAAUUAUAGAUUCCUGUUGCGAUAUCCACGACAAGCAUAAUUCAUGAAGGUCUUUUUUACCCUUCAAAUUAGCCGCUUCAGCUUCAGAUAAACUACCAACAUUGUUUAAUCCUUUGAUACUCAGUUUUCCACCGAGGUUUAGAUCAUGUAACUCUGUCAAGCUAUUUCCUUUCUCUAAACUAACAAUGUACACACUUAAUGUUCUUAGACAAGUUAAUUUUCCAAUGUUGGGAAACAUUCGAAAUAAAGAUCCACAUCCUUCAAUGACUAUAUGUCUAAGAUUUUGUAAGCAAACCAAGCGUUUUGGGAGACAACUCAGUUCACGACAAUAUUUUAUUUUCAAGAUUUCCAGUUUUUGUAAGUUGUAAAUUGAGUUAGGCAACUUUUUUAUAUCAAGAGAACAAAGUUCCAAAUACCUUAAAUGAAUUAAACUCCAUACUGGGCCUUGUAGAGAGGAUGUGCUUAAAACUCGAAGAGAGCUGUUUAAUGGGAAGUGAUCAUGUUUUUUUGGAAUAUAAUUCUCCAAGUCAAACAAUGUUCGUAAGGAUUCAACUUUUUUGAAGGCACCCUCAUCGAAUGAUAACAAAUUUUCAGAGUUAAAACUUAUGUGGUGUGUGUUUUUUGUCAAAUUAGUCAUGUUUGCAUUCUCCAAAUACAUACAUUCUUUCCCCGUUACUGAUUGAGCGAGAUCAUGGACAAGAUCAUGCAUCUUGAAAGAAAUGUCUCCAAAAUAUUCAUCCAUCUUGCUAUCUUGAAAGAAUGAUUUUUGGUACAAUUCCUUCCAAACCAUUUUUCCAACAUCUUCAACGUCCAAAUUACCCAUAGAUGAAAUAAAUUCAUUAGCCAUCCAAAGUCGAAUCAAUUCUUCUUUUAGGAUUUCUCUAUCCUUGGGAAAUAUAGCACAAAAAGAGAAACAUUGCUUUAGGGUUGGUGUUAAAUAAAAGUAACUCAAUCUCAAAGCGGGCAAAAUAGAAUUUUCUUGUGGUAAAGCCCAAAGCUCACUGUCUUUAAUAUCAAGCCAUUCCUUUUCUUCAUUCCUUGAGCUCAUCAAACCCCCCAAUGCUUUUGCUGCAAGAGGCAAUCCAUUACAUUUCUUUACUAUCUCCUUUCCAAUUUCCACAAACUUUGUAUGCUCUUUGUAACGUCUAAAUGCAUGUUGUUUGAACAACAACCAACAGUCACUAUCAGAGAGACCAGACAAACGGUGAGUUUCCCAUGUUCCCAUGAUUGUUGCAACAUCCUCAUCACGAGUGGACACUAAAAUGGAACUACCUUUUGAUCCACACGACAAAACAGAUUUCAAAUGAUCCCAUCUAUCUUGUGUUAACCCAAAUUCCAAUUGUUCAUUUUGAUUCCACACAUCAUCCAAAAUCAGCAAAUAUAUUUUCCCUUGCAACAAUCCUUGCACCUUUCUUUCCAUUACAUCUAAAUCAAAGUCAGCACACUUCUCUCUUGUGAUAGAUUCUAUAAUAGAACACAAAAUCCUUUUGACCGAGAAAGUCUCAGAAACACAAACCCAAAUUUUUUUAUCAAAAUUGCGACUCACCCUAACAUCAUUGUAGAUCAAUUGAACAAGAGUUGUUUUUCCAAUACCACCUAAACCAACAACGGGAUAGACAGAAAUAAAGUCAGAGUCCUUCGCAAGGGUAAGAAGAAACUGGACAAUCUUUUCUUUAUCAUCGUCUCUUCCUAACACUUUUGUUUCAAGAGGGGUGGAGCUGGUUUGGCGCCCUUCAGCAGCUUGAUCUGGGCUUUCCCUAAGAGUUACACCCGUAUGGAGAGAAAACUUGUUCUUACGUUCAGCAAUACGAUCCAACCUCCCUGUAAUCUCUUUCAACCUGUUACCGAUCUUAUGGCGAAACUUUAAAGAUGUGAAUUUUCUCAGUCGACUAGACUUGAUCGAACACUCAUCAAGGAUGUCAUCGAGCACAUAAACAGCAUCUUUGAGGUCUUGUAGCCAUACCUUAAUGAAGUUGUCUUUGACUUGUCUCUUUUCAGCAUCUUCAAGAACAGCCUUGAUGUCAACUAAGGUGGUUGAUAGGUUUUCAGCCUUUGACUUGAUUCCAGAAAUAGUAGAAAAUUCAUUUUGAAGCAGAGAUAUCAAAUUCUCAAACACAACUCCAAGAAAGGGAUCAGCCAUUUUUUGAGAAAAAAAAGAGUUGAAAAGAUAAGAAAAAUGAGAAAUUGGUUUAGAUUGAAAGAGUAAUGAAGUAAACAGAAUGAAGAACUUUGAAAAUAAAUGCAAUGGUAGUAGAAAGUUAGGUGCUGAAUGGUAGUAGUAAUUUUUAAAAUAAAUGAUUUGGAGGAAGCUUCAAUGUACGUUUACCUCUUAAUAUAAAAAAAUAAUAGAAAAAAUUCACUUCAACAUGCGUAAUCCAUAAACAUAAUACUCCCACCGUCCCAAUUUAAUUGAACCAUUUAUUCAUUUCACACUUAUUAAGAAAAAUAUAUUAACGAAGAAGACAGAAAAAUAGUUUUGAGUGUUUUUGUUAAUUAUUGGUCCAUUAUUCUUUAUCAUAAAUGUAAAGUAGAAUAGAUUAUAUCGGAAGUGAUGAAAGUAAAAUAUUAAUUAGAGUUAUAAUUAAAAAAAAGUAAUUAAUAUUGUAUUUAAAAGUGAAAUGACUCAGUUGUUUUGAGAUACUUUUUAUUGAAAAUAACUCAGUUAUUAUGGAAGAAGAAGUAGAAUUUUACGGUGACAGGAAAAAAAACAAGUACCAAAACCGAAACCAUGUCAGAAGCAAUAAGACAAGCGGUGCCUCGGUGGUAGAUUCAUGAACUUGUAAAUUCUUUAUUCAAGAUGUGACCGACCACUUUAACCAAUAAGAUGUGGCCGAUAGAAUAAUGAUCCCUACACAGCACGAUAGCCAGUUGUUUAUGGGUCCAACUCCAACACUUGUUUUAUUGGUGAAAAAAAUAAGUCUUAUCUAUUAUUCUAAUGUUUAGAUAAAAUAAUAUUCCAUCUAUCCCGUGAGUUUUUUUUUUAAGAAAUCUAUCCCGUAAGUUUGAUUCAGUUAGUAAAGGAUAUUGCGUAUUAUAUGUAAGAAUCGGAGUUCGAAACACCAUACUUUUUCACAUUUAAAAUCUAUUAACUUAACUCUAACCACCAAACUACAUAACAAAAAAAAAACAAUAUUAAAAACCAUCUAACUGUCAAAAUUAUAGUUUCAAUUUAAUCAUUUAAUUCAAAAUUAUACUUCUUAUGAUAUCUAUGUUAAGGAGUGGGUAAACACAUCGUAGGCCCCUAUGUUUAAUAGCAGUUUUGAUGGUUGAUCAAUAAACACAUAAAUAUUGCUCACUUUAUUGAAAAAAGCCGAUCCAGAGUUACGAUCUGAUCGUAUUUUACACACAAAAACAAUUGAUCAGAAGUUACGACACGGUUGGAAGCAAAAUUGAGGAGUCUAUCGAACAACUUUAUGAAUUUUAUAUGGCACACAACAGAAGUGGAAAAAGGCACAUGUAACUUAUAAUUUGGUGUUUUCUUUGUUGGAUUUUCAAUUGGACAACUACGAAACAUGGUCACAAGAAGCAUACCUCAUGUUGCAACCGCAGUAAUGCUUUUUGGCUUUGAGCCAACAAUUGCAUAUGGCAAAUGGAUUUGGAGGAGUCAAUUGGGUUUUGAUGGAAAAGAAAAAGGAAAAAAUGUUUGGAUGAUAUGAAAUUGUAUGCUCUAUAUAAUUGGAUUGAGGUGUGUCAUGUGGACCCUAUAGUUUCUUUACAAUUCUAGAGAUAUUUUUAACAUGCAUUAUUAAUAAAUGUCAUUGCUACUUGCAUGCCCAUCACUUGAGAUUGGAUGGCAAACUUAUCCCUAUAGUAAUAAAAAGAUACACAUAGAUAUAUCUUAUCAUAAAAAUAUAAACUACAAUGACCUAAUGUGUGGUACAUUAACACUUCCUGAAAGUAAAUGUUGUAGUUAUUGUUUAUAUUAAACCUUAUCUAUCAAUUUUGAAAUAAUUAUUUUGUCAGGUGAUAUUGGAGGAAAUUUUGUACCUCUAUUUUUAUUAAGAUCACAAAUUCAUUAUUUUUUUCUUUCUAAUAAAUAGUUUUCUUACCAUCAAAUAAGGAAAAAUGUUUUGUUUGAUCCGUGAAACAUUUUUUUUUUAAAGAACAAUACAUAAUACCAAGAGAUGGAUAAGUACAACACAAACAUCAAGCUAUGUCGUGAGUAAUCAAGUUCUGCUAAUAAUAAAAGUGUCUCCAAUAUUUUUGCCCUACAACAUAAGUACAACACAAACACAAAACUCAUGUAUUGAUACAAAAAUCUGCAUAAUUAUGAAGAAUUGCAGGAGCAACCAAGUUCUUUGCUUAUAAUAAAACGAUAGAAAAAAAUAUCCAAGUUAAACUAACCAUUCAUAUUGACAUUACUAACUAAAACGUUGAAUGAUUCAAUUACAACACCUCUUGGCCCGCCUCGGAUCAGCCAUAACAAUCUCAGCAGCUUUCUCAUUAGCCAUAAUUUUCUUCAACUCUGAAGCAUUCUUCUUAGUCUAAGACAUCAAAUUCCGACUAAGACUUAUCAAAUCCUUCUUCCUCUGAAGCAUUAUUCUCGGUCUAAGACAUCAAAAUUAGUUCAAAUCAGCAAAAAGGUAAUAUAAAUCCAAGUAAAAUAAGAACAGUAAAAAUUCACAGUAACAGAGAAGUUAUAAAAGUAAUUACAAUUCCCAUAUUGUACGCAAGCAUUGUCUCCUCAUACUCCUCCUUGAACUUCUCAAACUUAGCAAUGAAUCGAGCCUUAUCCUAAAAUACACAUAAAUCACAAAAACAUUUAAAAACAAAACACGAACUAAGAUUUAUAUCAAUUUUCUUCAGUGAAACAUAGGUGAAAUUCUCACAGCAUCCUAACCUAUUUCAACCUUUAUAUCCAUUCCAUUCCUUUCCACCAACUUUCCCAACCUAAUUCAAAUUCACCGUAAAUCACGUUAGAAAACUCAAUAACAUUCAAAAUUUCCUAAAAAUCAAAUUCAACAGUUAAACAAUAUUGCUUCACAAAACUCACCACGACAAUGGAUUUGUUGCUUGGAUUCUCUUUUCUUAAACCUCUCUCUGAAUUCAGACCUAAAAAUCACAAAACAAAAAUCAUCAGAAUCAAUGGAACUUCAGCAUGUUGCAAAUCAGACACAAAUUUGUAUGGCUGAUUCCAGUACAGGUUUCACUAUAAGAAUUUGUAUACGAUCACUCUAUCAGACACAAAUCAGAUCGAAAUUAUAACUCAACAUCAACAAAAUCUACACCAGAAUCAAGAUUAUCACCAAUGUUAUAGUGAAAACCUAGAAAAAGACCAGAUGUAAUAAGUUUUAUUCUAAAAAACACCAUUGUUUGUUCAAUAAAACAACAAAAUACAAAAUUCACUUAAUUUAACGUUAAAUCAAAUAAACAUAAAUAAACCCAGAUAUUUAAUUCUAAAAUUCACAAAUUAGCAUACAACAAAUUGAAUACCUGGGAAAAUGGAAUUAGGUCAGCAAAAUCAAUGAAUUUUCAUGGGUUAAAACCAACAAAUCUAGAUGUAGAGGAUUUUGAGAUCUGGAUUUGAUGUGAGAUGAAUAUGUUCAUUCUCAACUCACAGUCUUGUGGUGGUUUACGUAAGGUGGCUGGAGCUAGAGGCAAUGACGAUGAAGAAGAGCAGAGCAUCGACUGAGAGAGGAGAAGAGAAGAGCAGUGACCGGAAGAGAAUGAGAGAGAAGAGUCACGUUUUUUUUUUUUGUUAAGAGGCAUUGAGCGUGUGAAAUAUUUGUCAUUUACAAUGUUAAGAGGCAUUGAGCGUUUUUUUUUUUUUUUUUGCAUUGGAACAUUUGUCAUUUACAAUGUUACUUUUAACUUUACAUGGGAACUGCUUUAUUAUACACACAGUUGCACAACCAUAUAAAUGUGCAUGGAAAAUAUACGCACGUUUACAGCUUUGCCAUUGAAAAUGUGCAUCCGAAAUAUGAAAUGCUUUAAAUGUUCUUCAUGUUUGAAUGGUGUACCGCCCUAGCAUAUAGUGAAGAGAUUUGAAAUUUGAAAAUGGCAUUAAAUGUGAUAUUAUUAGCAAAAGUUUCCCGCUCUAAAUCUAGGUUUAGGGUUUUAGAGGUGUUGUGUGCAUUGUACAUUAGGAUUAGAUAAUACUAGGACUAUUACCCGUGCUAACGUCCGGGACAUUAAAAAUGGAGAAGCUAAAAAAGUUCCGAUAUUAUUCAUUACAUAAAAAAUAAAAUAAAUAAACAUAAAAAGUAUUUAAGAGCAUACAAAAUAUUGGGUCACACAUUUUCGAAUAUCUCCUUAUAAACUACAUUUGAAGUGGUGCUGAUACAAUCCCAUUGUCAUCCGUUAAUAAUUUCUUCAGACCAUCCCUUGAUGUCACACGUGAUACUGCAACAUAUAGCUGCCCAUGUGAGACGACCGACUGUGGAAGAUAGAUGCCAACUUGCUAUAGAUCCAAACAGCUGCAACUGCCAACCCUAUAGAUGCUAGCCAGCAGCUGAAACCAACAACUAAAAUGCCAACAACACCAUGACAGCACCCUGAAACCACCAAAAACCUGCACAACACCACCAGAAAAGCUCCCAAAAUGACAGCAGAACCCGCACAAAAUAAAGGAAUUAAACGUAAGGAAUGUUGAAUAACUAAAUAUACUUCGCAAUCAUAUUUUCAAUUUAUAAACACAGAGCGAAGUGGAAAGCACAAUCAUUAAAGGUCAGCAUCAAUGGACAUAUUGGUGUGUUUGAAAAAAAAAUAAACAUAUGAUUUUAAAGUAUCAAUCAAUUUAUUAACAACAUAAUACAUGAUGGUAAAAUCUAUUUAAAUAUCAUCAAUUCACUUACAAACAAACCAAAAAUGUAAUGGAAUAACAAAGUUAGGGAAAAGUUACAGGAACAACGAUUUAGGAUAUAUAUAGUAGCAUCUUCAACACAUAUGGCUGAUACGAUGCCGCAGACGACAACGGCCAAGGUGAUGUCGGAAUCGAGAGCAUUGGUGAAGGGCGACGACAGGAGAGAGCUGCGGCAACGGAGAGAGCGGCAACGACAGAGAAUUUUGUUUGAAUGUCUGAGAGUGAGGUGGAAGAUGAACAACUCAAAGGGCGAAGAGAUUUUUUUUGAGUAAAAGCAAUCUGAAUUCCAACACAUAAAGAAGGAAUAAUGAGAGUGGAGAGAAGAGAACUUUAAAAUGAAGGAGAAAGAGGUGGACAUCGAUAAGUGUGGAGUCAAUUUGGGAAUUGGAGGAUAAUUAAUGAGUCAAAACUUGGAAAAGUGCAUAGGAAAUAUACAUCAAAUUUGAAAAUUUGACUCAGAUUAGAUCAAAGGAUGAGAUGCAUGCUUAGCCAAAUGAUGAGAUCCAACGGCCUCCCUUGUUUUGGAGCCAAAACCAUUUAGGUUUAGGGUUUGCAAUUUCAUUAGCAAUGUUAACAAAGAUUAGAUAUAAGCAUGACUAGGACUAUUACCCGUGCUAACGCCCGGGACAUUAAAAAUGGAAAAGUUAAAAAUGUUCCGAUAUUAUUCAUUACAUAAAAAAUAAAAUAAAUAAACAUAAAAAGUAUUUAAGGGCAUACAAAAUAUUGGGUCACACAUUUUCGAAUAUCUCCUUAUAAACUACAUUUGAAGUGGUCCUUAUACAAUCCCCAUUGUCAUCCGUUAAUAAUAUCUUCAGACCAUCCCUUGAUGUAACACGUGAUAUUGCAACAUAUAGCUGCCCAUGUGAGAAGACCGGUUGUGGAAGAUAGAUGCCAACUUACUUAAGUGAUUGUCCCUGACUUUUGUUUAUAGUCAUUGCAAAACACAAAGCUAUAGGAAACUGUAUGCGUUGAAAUUUGAAAGGAAUUCUGGUAUCAGAUGGUUCAAUGACAAUCUCGGUAUGUAGACCUUCUCUCCAACAUUGCUUCCUGAUAUUACCCUCCCUUCAAUAACAUAUCUUCCCAUCUUAGUGACUAUUAGUCGAGUACCAUUACACAAACCUGCUGUUAUGUCCAAAUUUCUCAACAACAUAAUAGGAACUCCAACUUUCAAAGUAAUCUUGUGAUUAGGAAGACCCGAUGAAUUGAUUGUGUUCAAGAAUUCUGGUAUGUGAAUAUCAUCUGGCCUAUUGACUGAUGCGAUAUCUGCUAUUACAGAAUCACAACUCAAAUAUGUCCUUUCUUCGCCGGGAAUGAGAGACAAAACAUAGUUAUUAACCUCAUCAACAAUUGUAUUUUUAGGAGUCAAUAUUGCUUUAUCUUGAAAAAAAGAUGUAUCAUGCAUAUUGAGUAAUAUUGACGGAUAGAUGCAGUCAACAAUUGAAGCAAUAUGAUCACUUGCGCUAUUAACGAGUAGAUCAUCUGGGAUUUCCACCUGAAUGCUAUCAUCUCCAAUCCCUAAUACCCAUUUGGCGAAUUCUGUUCUUUCUUGUACCUCAUUUGGUGAACAUCCAUGCAAAAGUCUCAUAUUCGUUGUUAAUGUUAAUACCUCACAAUGUCGCCAAAGUUUUGACGAAUUAAUACUUGUAUAAACGACAUCUGGUCUGGUGCCUUUAGGAACGACUGGUAGAAUCUGUCGAAAAUCUCCACCAAGAACCACAACUUUACCACCAAAAGGAAUGUCUGUCCUCCUGUUAUUAUGAUCUUUAAGGACAUCCCUUAAGGUGCGAUCAAGAGCUUCAAAGCAAUGUUUGUGCAUCAUAGGUGCUUCGUCCCAGAUGAUUAGUUUUGCUCGUAUAAUCAAUUGUGCCAACGGACUUUUAGGCUUUAUAGUGCAAGUCGAACAUUCGUCCACAUUGAAAGGAAUGCAAAACCUUGAGUGUGCUGUUCUUCCGCCAGGGAUAAGCAAUGCGGCAAUACCGCUGGAUGCAACUGUCAACACAAUUUCACCCUUCGAAUGCAAUGCUGAUGACAAAGCUCUCCAAAUAAAUGUUUUACCUACAUUAAGGAACCUAAUUAGAUUAAUAUCAUACACUUGCCAAUAUAUAUUUCUCACCGGAAUUUAACAAAAUAAUCAAUUGUUGUAAACUACUAUAUUUCAAGUAUAGAUCUGAUGCAAAAUUGUUGUACUAUUAUGCUAAUAUAUACCAUCAAAAUAAAAAUUUGAUAAAACAAUAAUUUUCCCAGCCAAAGACUACAAUAAUGAUUAUUACAAAUUUUUUUGAAUGUUAUUAAAACGAUAUAUUUUAAUAGGCAGCAAUGUGAAAUUUAAAAAACCAAGAUGAGCUUCGAAAACAAACACGUGAUAGAUAUUAUUGAAGUAGCAAUAAACGUCACAAGAAAGGGGGGGUUUGAAUUGUGACCCUUUUAAAAAUUAUUCCUGAAACUUAAUUUUAGAUUUAUAUACUCAAGAAUAAUCUUGGUGAAUGUUAGUUUAUCAAGAUUAGAGUAUAUAACAAUUAAUUGAAUUAGAACAGAACGUUCUGAAGAAUGAUUAUAAACAGAAUGAGAAAAAUGAAGUUAAGUUAAAAGAUUAUUUUAGCAAGGACCAGAAUGUUCUGGAGAUUAAUAAAAUAAUGUGUGUGUGUUGUGUAACUUUAAAUAAAGAGAGAGAGAGAGAGAGAGAGAGAGAGAGAGAGAGAGAGAGAGAGAGAGAGAGAGAGAGAGAGAGAGAGAGAGAGAGAGAGAGAGAGAGAGAGAAAUAACACAGGAGAGUUAUCCUGAUUCACCAAACCCGGCUACUUCCAGUCCCCACACCUCGUGUGAGAUUAUCCACUAUAGUUUUCUUGCUAACAGAAACUUCUGACUAGCACUACAAUUUCUUGAUCACACCAGAUCAGUCCAUAACACCUGUAUUAUCAACCUCAGCAGGCUUAUACAAUUCUUUGCACACUAGCAAAAGAAAGGUUGGAAUUUUCUAUCUCAAAACUAUUAAGCCCAAUAGACUUUGAGAAAUACAACACACUUUGUAUGAAGAGAUUUGUUUGGAUAGAAUAAAUACUCAAAUCUUUGUUUGAGUUUUACAAGAGGCAAAUUCAAGAGAGAUGAUCCAAGAGAUAUAGUGAGAGAGCUUGGAAUUUGCUUUGUAUGUGAAGAGCUUUGUUUGUAGUGAUGAUUUUCACUUUGAGAGAUAUUAGCUUUCAAAACUCUUGCUUAUGACCUUCAAAGGCCCUUGUAUUUAUAGGUGAGGAGUGUCUUGGUGACCAAGGGAGAAAAUAGAGCUGUUGGACACGUUUUUGAUAGCUGUCCAAAGUCUCAUUUGAUUUCUCUUUUCUUCUUAAAAAUAGCCAGAACGUUCUCAGAAUGUUCUUUCUGAUUUGCCUGACUUUGAAAGCACUGUUGCUUUGCUUGCGCAUGAGAUAACCAGCUGUAAUGAGCUGUAUAACUUGCAGCCCACUUCUGAUGAUGUCAUGUCCUUUUGCUCUAGUGAUGUCAUGCUUAAGUAAGCCAUGUGAUCUUAUCCAUUUAAUGGGCUUUACUUUUCCAAAUGGGCUUAAAGCUUUUCUUAUGGCCCAAUAGACAUAAUCAGCCAAGCUUUCUUGCUGUGCAGACUUGUUCGCUUUUGAUGUACUGUUCCUUUUUCAUCGUUUUCGCCAGAACGUUCUCAUUUCAUUCUCAUGAAACAAAUUCUCACAAAAACGAAUUAGUAGAUAACAAGAUUAAAUAAAUAUAAUAUGUUUGUAAUCUUUAAAACAUCAAAUAAGGAUUUUGUCUCAACAAUCUCCCCCUUUUUGAUGAUGACAAACAUUUAUAAUUUAUUUUGAUUUUGAUUUUGAGUUUUUGAAAAAUUUGUUAAAAACUCCCCCUCAAUUUUAGCAACCAAAAUUUUGUGCCAUUUUGAGAGUUUUCCAGAAUUUGUUUAUGGACAAUUGAGUUUGAUAAUUUUAUCAAAGAACUCCCCCUCAAUUCAUGCAUUCAAGAUUUAAUAUGCAAAAUGAGAAUAUAGAACAUAAACAACAUAAUUCAUAAAUCAUGAAGAUCAUUACAAGGUAUCAAACCUAGCAUUUCAAAACAUCAAAAAGCAUUGUUCAUAUGCGCACAUACUAGCAGCAAUUUGAUCCUUAGUUAAUCAUGAUCAAAAGACAUAAACAGAGAAAUAAAAACAGAGUUUUUUUUAAACAUCAAAAUACUUAAACAUAAACAGCAGCAUAGUGAUCUAUUCUUCCCUAGAUCCUAACUGUUUUCCUGGUCCUCCUAACUCAUAAUCCCCUAAAUCAUCUCCCCCUUUGUCAUCAUGAAAAGGGGCAGCAGCAGCAGUAGGUGGAAUGGUUGGAGAAGAAGCAUCAGAUGAUGAAGAGAUAGUAGGCAUGAACAUGGGAUACAUAGGAACUGGGAAUGGGUUUUGUUCUGGUCUAGCAAACUCAUUCUUGUCACUUAUGGAGUCCUUCCACUCCUGACAGAGACUCUCACGCGUCUUUGUUCUUUUGCCUUUCCUUNNNNNNNNNNNNNNNNNNNNNNNNNNNNNNNNNNNNNNNNNNNNNNNNNNGAAGAGACUUAAGGGAAUCCAUUUGGACAGAUGAAUCAAAAGCUUGUGGAGCAAAUAAUUUGUCCACUGAAUCACAUUGAAACAAAGCAGAAUAAUCAUGCUUUUGAGGAGAGAUAAACAAUUUUGAAGGUUUUGUGAUUAUGGUUUUUUCAGUGAAACUUUGAAGAAUUUCUGAAGCUUUGACUUUUGACAGAGAAGCAUGAUUGCCAAAGUUUUCAAGCAGUUCCUGAUCUUCCUCCAUCACAGGAGAACGUUCUGAAGAACGUUCUGGAGGAUUGCAGUGUUCAUCAGAAGCAUUUUAUGGAACUGGAUUCUGCAGAUCAGGCCCAUCUUCCCUCUUUCUUUUGAGGUCAGAAGGAGGCUCAUCAACAGGUUCCUGCUUCAUGUGACUCAGAUUUUUUGGAGUAAAUUGAGAAUACUCAAAAACAGAUUUUUCACCUUCAAAAGGAAUAUGAUUCUUAAUGAAGAUUUUGGUAAGAGCCAUUCCAUAAGGAAGACAAGAUUUUUUGUUACGAGACUGAAUAACAUUGAUCAUGUUAUGAAUAAUGAUAUGAGGCAGACUCAAUUUUUCUUUCAUUAAGAGAUGAUACAUGACCAAGAGAUCAUUUGAACUAACAUGUUGAAAAUUACCAUUUCUAGGCAAGACACAAUGUUGGCUUAUGCCAUUCAGCAUUUUUGGGGUUGGCAGAAGGUUCGAAGAAACAAACUCAGUGACAUUUGGUUUGAAAAGGAGUUUGUAAACAUUUUCAGAAUUGACUUCAAGUUUUUCAAACCAAUCAUCACCAAAGACAGUUUGACCAGAAUUUGAGAUACCAAGAGUAUCAGAGAUUACCUGUGGAGUGAGACGUAUCUCAACAUCCUUAAUCCUAGACACUAUUAAGCUUUCCUCAGGGUAUGCUUCUGCCAUGAAAUAGAAAGCUUGGACAAGCUUUGGGUAGUGUCUCUCACGAAGCUGUAGAAAUUUGGUCCAGCCUUGCUCAUCAACAUACUCCUUAAGAACGACUUUGUCUUUUUCCAGCUUGACAAAAUCAUAAUACCUUCCAAUUCCAAUUGACCUAUUUCCCCAUUUUUCUUUGAAAUCCUUUUUCAGAGAAGGAUCAAACAGAGGUACUCUCUUUCCUGUAGAGAUAUGAAUGAUCUUCUGUUUUGAAGGAUUUUUGGGCUUUGGAGAACAUUCUGGAGAAUAAUCUGAAGAGAGUUCAUAGUCUUUAUCAGAAAGACUUUCUGAAGAACGUUCUGGAGAACGUUCUGGUUGAGCAGUUUGCUUCUGCUUUCCUUUGUCCUUCACAGUUGGUUUAGGCUUUGGUUUUGGUACAGAAACCUUGAUAGGAGGUUUAGAGACCUUUUUGUUACUCUUAGGUUUGGGCUUAAGAGGAGAAGGAGUUUUCUCAGCCAAAGGGGUAGUUGGUUCAGUUUCUUCAUCUGAAUCAGAGAUUUCAUGUACAGUUGUGUCUACACUGUUGGUUUUCUUUGUUCCAACUGCAGAACGAAGCCUUUGAGAUUUUCUAGGUCUUGGAUUAGGAGCAGAUUUAGCCUUCUUGGGAGGCAACUUCCUUUUGGUCAUGUUCCUGAGAUGAGGAGCCAUUUUGUUCAAGUUUGGAGGUUCCUGAGGAGCGGUUGGUUGAUCUUCAACACCUACUCUUGGUGUGUUGAGAUUUAGGUUGACCGAAGUUGGUUGUGGUUCAACGUAGAGUACCAUCGCGAGAGGAUGGAAGGAUUCAGGGUCAGGGAUGAAAGGAAGUUCUUCGUCGUUUUUCAAUGGAGUUUUUUCUGGUGUGGUUUCGGUGGUGAGAUAACCAUCUUGCAUGAUUGGUUCUGUGGAGUUAUUGAGCGGAGAUUGUGGUGGAGUUUCGAAUGGAGUGGUUUCCUUGGUUGGUGAUGGAGUUGAAUCGAACAGAGGAGGAGAUGACAGCGGUUUUGUCACCGGAGGAGAUGGUGGAGAAGGAGAACGGGUUGGUGAAGGUGAAGGAGAAGAGUCAUCUGGGUUAGUGUUUCCGGUUCCUUUGGUUCUAGCCAUUUUGUGAUGAAGAAAAUGGUGGUUGAGAGAAGAAGAAGAGACGGUUUGAAGAAGGAAGAAAGUGGGAGUUUAGAGAGAAAAAGUGAAAACCGGUUUUGGGAGAAGGAAAAAGGUAAGAAGUGACUAUUAGUGGUUUAAUGAUGAGAGAGAGGACAAGAGCAUUAAUGAGCUGUAAGAGAUUUCUUGGUAAUUAAAUUUCUACCUAGAGAUUAGCUUAAAUAGAACUAAGCUGAAAGGACAAGGUUGAGGCGUGACCCUCAAGCCAGUCUUUGGGAGACAUUUUUCAAAGAAUGUUUUCAGAACAUUCUGAUGAAGAGAGACUCUUCCUAUUUUAAUCCUUUGCAAGGAUUUUGAAUAAUAUGCAAUUUUUCUUUAAUGAAAUUAAAGUGAUCCUCAACUAAAGGUUUAGUAAAGAUAUCAGCUAAUUGAUUUUUUGUAUCAACAAAAAUCAAUUCAAUUUCCUUUUUAUUGACAUGAUCCCUAAUGAAAUGAUGUUUUAUUUCAAUAUGUUUUGAUCUUGAAUGUUGAAUGGGAUUCUUUGAUAAAUUUAUUGCACUUGUAUUGUCACAAAAUACUGGAAUAUUUGUGUACCUUAUUGAGAAAUCUUCAAGUUGAUUUUUAAUCCAGAGAACUUGAGAACAACAGUUGGCUGCUGACACAUAUUCUGCUUCUGUAGUUGACAGAGCUAUAGUGUUCUGCUUUCUGCAUGACCAACUUAUGAGUGCAUUCCCAAGAAACUGACAUGCUCCACUUGUACUUUUUCUUUCUAUUCUGUCUCCAGCAUAGUCAUCAUCACAGUAUGCUAUAAGAUCAAAACAAGACCCUUUGCUAUACCAAAGGCCAAGAUCAGUAGUACCUACUAGAUAUCUGAAAAUUCUUUUUACAGCAGUUAAAUGAGAUUCCCUUGGAGAGGUUUGAAAACGUGCACAUAAACCAACAGCAAAAACAAUAUCUGGUCUGCUAGCAGUUAAGUACAACAGAGAUCCAAUCAUACCUCUGUAUUCUUUUUCAGAAAUGGUUUUUCCAUUUUCAUCCUUAUCUAAAUUAGAUGUUGGAUGCAUGGGAGUUGCCAUUAUUUUGGCUUCAUUCAUUUUAUAUUUUUUAAGAAGAUCUCUUAUAUAUUUUUCUUGACAAAUAAAAAUGCCAUUUGAUUCUUGCUUAAUUUGCAAGCCAAGAAAGAAUCUUAAUUCUCCCAUCAUACUCAUUUCGAAUUCACUUUGCAUGAGAUUUGAAAAAUCAUCACACAUUUUUUCAUUUGUUGAACCGAAUAUGAUAUCAUCAACAUAAAUUUGAACAAUUAAAAAAUUUGUUUUGUCAUUUUUUCUAAAAAGGGUUGUAUCAAUUUUUCCUCUAGAAAAAUCAUUUUUGAUUAAGAAUGGACUUAACCUUUCAUACCAAGCUCGAGGAGCUUGUUUAAGACCAUAUAGUGCUUUUGUGAGUUUAAACACAUGAUUAGGUUUGUUUGUGUUCUCAAAACCAGGAGGUUGAUGAACAUAAACUUCCUCAUUUAAAAAUCCAUUUAAAAAGGCACUUUUGACAUCCAUUUGAAAUAAUUUAAUAUUUUUAUGAGAUGCAUAUGCAAGAAGAAUUCUAAUUGCUUCUAACCUGGCUACCGGAGCAAAGGUUUCAUCGUAAUCAAUACCUUCUUGUUGAUUGUACCCUUGAGCUACCAAUCUAGCUUUGUUUCUGAUAACUUUUCCUUCUUCAUUUAGUUUAUUUCUAAAUACCCAUCUUGUUCCAAUGAUGGAUUGAUUUUGAGGUUUAGGAACAAGAUUCCAUACUUCAUUCUUUUCAAAUUGAGAGCGUUCUUCUUCCAUGGCUUUUACCCAUGAUUCUUCACAUAUUGCUUCUUGUAUAUUUUUUGGUUCAAUGUGAGAAAUCAUUGCCAUGUUGACAUCAUUAUUCAUAAAUGAUCGUCUUGUUCUUAUUCCAUCAGAUGUGUCUCCAACGAUUUGUUCAGGAGGAUGAUCACCGACGGUUUUCCAGCUUUUUGGAAGAACUUGAGAAGAAUGUUCUUGAGAAUCAUUACUUUCUUUUUGAGGAAUUUCUUCUUCAUCUUCUUUGUUGAUUAUCAAGUCAUCAAACUCAUCAAAAAUAACAUGCAUGCUUAUUUCCAUGGUUUGAUUUUUCAAAUUAUAAAUUCUAUAUCCUUUGGAGUUUGUUGCAUAUCCUAAGAAUAUUCCUUUAUCUGAUUUUGAAUCAAAUUUUCCUAGAUUUUCUUUAUCAUUUAAAAUAUAACAAUAACAUCCAAAAAUAUGAAAAUAUGAGAUGUUAGGUUUUAUAUUUUUCCAGAGUUCGUAUGGGGUUUUGUUUAAAACUUUUCUAAUUGAAACCCUGUUUAUGAUAUAACAAGAAGUAUUUAUGGCUUCAGCCCAAAAGUAUUUUUCUACAUUUGAUUCAUUUAACAUUGUUCUUGCCAUUUCUUGGAGUGUUCUAUUUUUUCUUUCAACAACUCCAUUUUGUUGUGGAGUUCUUGCACAUGAAAAAUUAUGAGAAAUUCCUUUUUCAUCAAAGAAGUUUUUAAAGAAAGCAUUUUCAAAUUCUCCUCCAUGAUCACUUCUUACUGAAAUGAUUUUUGAUUCUUUUUCAUUUUGAACUAAUGUGCAAAAAGUUUUGAAUGCUUCACAAGCUUCAUCUUUAUGUUUUAAAAAUAGAACCCAUGUAUAUCUGGAAAAAUCAUCAACUAUAACAAACCCAUAUUGUUUUCCACUUAGACUGGCGGUUUUAACAGGACCAAAUAGAUCUAUGUGAAGUAGUUCAAGAGGUCUCUUAGUUGAAACAAAAUCAUUUGUUUUAAAACUGCUUUUAACUUGUUUACCUCUUGUACAAGCUUCGCAUAUUCUAUCUUUUUCAAAAUCAAUUUUUGGAAGUCCUCUUACAAGAUCCAGUUUGGCGAUUUUUGAAAUAGUUUUCAUACUUAUAUGUCCAGCUCUUUUGUGCCAAAUCCAUUUAUCUUUUUCAAGUGUCAUAAAACAUGUUUCUGCUGGAAUAUCAUCUAAGUAUAAAGCAUAUAGGUUUUUCUUUCUAGAAGCGGUAAAGAAAAUCUUACCUGAGGAUGUAUGUUUUACAAUACAUGUAUUAGGUUUGAAAAUAACUUCAAAGCCACUAUCACAUAAUUGACUUAUGCUUAGUAGAUUGUGUUUUAAACCUUCAACAUAUUGAACAUCCUCAAUUUUUGCAGAGUCUUUUUUACCAAUAAUACCUUUACCUUUAAUUUGUCCUUUGUCAUUAUUGCCAAAGGUUACUAGACCUCCUUCCUUUUUUGUGAAGGAGAUGAAGCAUUGUUUAUCCCCAGUCAUGUGUCUAGAACAACCACUGUCCAAGUACCAUGGCUUUGUUCUUGCAUCUUGUGAGGAUCCCUGCAUUUUGAGUUAGUGGUUCCUUAGGUACCCAUGAAGAUGUGGGUCCUUUGUGGUUAGUUUCUUUGGUCUCAAGAUGUUUAAUCUUGAGAAAACAGUUUAAUUCUAGAUGACCUAAUCUCUUACAAUAUGAGCAUUCUUUUCUUUUUAAUGAGAAAGAAUGUUCUGGAGAAUGUUCUGAGAUAGAUGGUUCUUCUUUAAUUUCUAGUUUUCUCUUUUUAUGAAAACAGACUGAUUCAUGAUGUCCCCUUUUAUUACAGAAAGAACAUUUUAGUUUUUGUGGUAUAAGAACCUUUUCAUAAAUUUGAUUAAAACCUAAACCAGUUUUGUCAAAUUCUGCCAUUUGUGAACCCACAAUUUUUUGAAAUGUUUCUGUUGAUUUUAUAAACUGUGAAAGAUCAUUUCUAAGUUCUUUGACUUCCUUUUUAAGAAUAACAUUUUCAUUUUUAGAAAUUUCAGGAAGUUUUGUUUUUCCAAAAGCUUUUAAUUUUUCAGCUGCUUGAAAAUAAGAAUCUUGUAGACUUUGAAUGAUUUUCUUUUGAUCAUUAUUCAAAGUUUGAAGUUUCUCUUUUUCUUCUUUUAACUCAGAAAUUUCUUUUUGUAAAGAGUGACAUUUGUUUGUUAAGAAAUUUGAGUCAAAUAAAAGACUAUCAAAUUUAUUUUCUAACUCUUUAUAUACUAGAGGUUGGUUGAUAAGAAUUACCUCUUCGUUUUCUGAAUCUGCCAUUAGAACCAUGUUGGCUUCAGUGUCUUCAUCUUUUGAUUCUUCAAGAUCAUCCCAUGUAAACAUUGAUUUUGAGUAGGGAGAUUUUUUCUGACUCUUUUUGUUUAAUGGACAUUCGUUUUUGUAAUGUCUUAAUUUGUUGCAUCCAAAGCAGGUUACUUGACUUUUGUCAACUUCUCCUUUUGAGUUAUCUUUCUUGUUAGGAAAGUAUUUCUUUAUUUGAUCUCUUCUUCUCAUCAUUCUUUGAAUCUUCUUUGUGAUGAGAGCUAGUUCGUCUUCUGCUUCACCUUGGAUGUUUUCUUCUUCAUUGGUUUCUUUAAUUUCUUCGCUUUGUGAAAAGACAUCUUCUUGUUCACUUUGAGAUGCUUUGAGAGCAACCAUCUUUCCUUUCCUUGAUGGUUUAUCAUCUUGCAGCAGCGUCUCAUGAGCUUUUAAUGACCCAAUGAGAUCUUCAAGAGCUAAAGAGUUUAAGUCUUUAGCUUGUGUGAUUGCAGUUACCAUGGGUCUCCAUGUGCUUGGAAGACAUCUUAAGAUUUUUCUUAUCCGAUCAUGAGUGGUAUAAGUUUUUCCAAGUGAUCUUAAUUCAUUCACAAUAGAUGUGAAUCUGGAGUACAUUUCAUCAAUGUUCUCAUCUUCGUUCAUUUCGAAGAUUUCAAAUUUUCUUACGCCAAUGUCUAUUCUUGUUUCUUUUACAUGGCUAGUUCCUUCAUGAUGAAUUUUUAGAGUGUCCCACACUUCUUUUGCAGUCACACAUUCAUCAACUCUUUCACUUUCUUCCAUGCUUAGUGCGCAUGAUAGAAAGAGUCGAGCUUUAGAGUUUAGAAGUACUUUUUCUUUAUCUUCUUUUGACCAUGAUGCUUCUGGUGUGAGUGUCUCCACCUUUGUUGUUGCAUCGGUUGUCAUAGGUAUGUGUUCUCCAUUUGUGAUUAUUUUCCACAUAUCCACAUCUUGGGAUCUAAGGAAUAGUUCCAUUUUUCCUUUCCAGAAAUAAUAGUUCUUUCCAUUGAAGAAUGGUGGUCUUGUGCAUGAUAGACCUUCUGGUAUAUACUUUUCUUUUGACAUUGCCUUCUUCCUGAAUCUUUUCCUCCAACACUUGUUAGGUGUUUUUGUAGAGCCCGAGCUCUGAUACCAAUUGAAGUAGCAAUAAACGUCACAAGAAAGGGGGGGGGGUUUGAAUUGUGACCCUUUUAAAAAUUAUUCCUGAAACUUAAUUUUAGAUUUAUAUACUCAAGAAUAAUCUUGGUGAAUGUUAGUUUAUCAAGAUUAGAGUAUAUAACAAUUAAUUGAAUUAGAAUAGAACGUUCUGAAGAAUGAUUAUAAACAGAAUGAGAAAAAUGAAGUUAAGUUAAAAGAUUAUUUUAGCAAGGACCAGAAUGUUCUGGAGAUUAAUAAAAUAAUGUGUGUGUGUUGUGUAACUUUAAAUAAAGAGAGAGAGAGAGAGAGAGAGAGAGAGAGAGAGAGAGAGAGAGAGAGAGAGAAAGAGAAAAAUAACACAGGAGAGUUAUCCUGGUUCACCAAACCCGGCUACUUCCAGUCCCCACACCUCGUGUGAGAUUAUCCACUAUAGUUUUCUUGCUAACAGAAACUUCUGACUAGCACUACAAUUUCUUGAUCACACCAGAUCAGUCCGUAACACCUGUAUUAUCAACCUCAGCAGGCUUAUACAAUUCUUUGCACACUAGCAAAAGAAAGGUUGGAAUUUUCUAUCUCAAAACUAUUAAGCCCAAUAGACUUUGAGAAAUACAACACACUUUGUAUGAAGAGAUUUGUUUGGAUAGAAUAAAUACUCAAAUCUUUGUUUGAGUUUUACAAGAGGCAAAUUCAAGAGAGAUGAUCCAAGAGAUAUAGUGAGAGAGCUUGGAAUUUGCUUUGUAUGUGAAGAGCUUUGUUUGUAGUGAUGAUUUUCACUUUGAGAGAUAUUAGCUUUCAAAACUCUUGCUUAUGACCUUCAAAGGCCCUUGUAUUUAUAGGUGAGGAGUGUCUUGGUGACCAAGGGAGAAAAUAGAGCUGUUGGACACGUUUUUGAUAGCUGUCCAAAGUCUCAUUUGAUUUCUCUUUUCUUCUUAAAAAUAGCCAGAACGUUCUCAGAAUGUUCUUUCUGAUUUGCCUGACUUUGAAAGCACUGUUGCUUUGCUUGCGCAUGAGAUAACCAGCUGUAAUGAGCUGUAUAACUUGCAGCCCACUUCUGAUGAUGUCAUGUCCUUUUGCUCUAGUGAUGUCAUGCUUAAGUAAGCCAUGUGAUCUUAUCCAUUUAAUGGGCUUUACUUUUCCAAAUGGGCUUAAAGCUUUUCUUAUGGCCCAAUAGACAUAAUCAGCCAAGCUUUCUUGCUGUGCAGACUUGUUCGCUUUUGAUGUACUGUUCCUUUUUCAUCGUUUUCGCCAGAACGUUCUCAUUUCAUUCUCAUGAAACAAAUUCUCACAAAAACGAAUUAGUAGAUAACAAGAUUAAAUAAAUAUAAUAUGUUUGUAAUCUUUAAAACAUCAAAUAAGGAUUUUGUCUCAACAAUCUCCCCCUUUUUGAUGAUGACAAACAUUUAUAAUUUAUUUUGAUUUUGAUUUUGAGUUUUUGAAAAAUUUGUUAAAAACUCCCCCUCAAGUUUAGCAACCAAAAUUUUGUGCCAUUUUGAGAGUUUUCCAGAAUUUGUUUAUGGACAAUUGAGUUUGAUAAUUUUAUCAAAGAACUCCCCCUCAAUUCAUGCAUUCAAGAUUUAAUAUGCAAAAUGAGAAUAUAGAACAUAAACAACAUAAUUCAUAAAUCAUGAAGAUCAUUACAAGGUAUCAAACCUAGCAUUUCAAAACAUCAAAAAGCAUUGUUCAUAUGCGCACAUACUAGCAGCAAUUUGAUCCUUAGUUAAUCAUGAUCAAAAGACAUAAACAGAGAAAUAAAAACAGAGUUUUUUUUAAACAUCAAAAUACUUAAACAUAAACAGCAGCAUAGUGAUCUAUUCUUCCCUAGAUCCUAACUGUUUUCCUGGUCCUCCUAACUCAUAAUCCCCUAAAUCAUCUCCCCCUUUGUCAUCAUGAAAAGGGGCAGCAGCAGCAGUAGGUGGAAUGGUUGGAGAAGAAGCAUCAGAUGAUGAAGAGAUAGUAGGCAUGAACAUGGGAUACAUAGGAACUGGGAAUGGGUUUUGUUCUGGUCUAGCAAACUCAUUCUUGUCACUUAUGGAGUCCUUCCACUUCCUUGACAGAGACAUUUCAAAAGUCAUCCAAGACAGAUAAUGCAAAAUUGCAUUGUUCCCUUCAAUUACCCUAGUCAAGUCACUGCGUGUCUUGCUGCAGUCUUUCUCAACCUUGGACCUUUUGGUUGGCCUUUCAUUGUGCUCAAAAAUCCUUUGCGCCAUUGAAGGAGAUUCAUUGAAUCUUGAAGGAAAGGAGAGAUUAGUUUGAAGAGACUUAAGGGAAUCCAUUUGGACAGAUGAAUCAAAAGCUUGUGGAGCAAAUAAUUUGUCCACUGAAUCACAUUGAAACAAAGCAGAAUAAUCAUGCUUUUGAGGAGAGAUAAACAAUUUUGAAGGUUUUGUGAUUAUGGUUUUUUCAGUGAAACUUUGAAGAAUUUCUGAAGCUUUGACUUUUGACAGAGAAGCAUGAUUGCCAAAGUUUUCAAGCAGUUCCUGAUCUUCCUCCAUCACAGGAGAACGUUCUGAAGAACGUUCUGGAGGAUUGCAGUGUUCAUCAGAAGCAUUUUAUGGAACUGGAUUCUGCAGAUCAGGCCCAUCUUCCCUCUUUCUUUUGAGGUCAGAAGGAGGCUCAUCAACAGGUUCCUGCUUCAUGUGACUCAGAUUUUUUGGAGUAAAUUGAGAAUACUCAAAAACAGAUUUUUCACCUUCAAAAGGAAUAUGAUUCUUAAUGAAGAUUUUGGUAAGAGCCAUUCCAUAAGGAAGACAAGAUUUUUUGUUACGAGACUGAAUAACAUUGAUCAUGUUAUGAAUAAUGAUAUGAGGCAGACUCAAUUUUUCUUUCAUUAAGAGAUGAUACAUGACCAAGAGAUCAUUUGAACUAACAUGUUGAAAAUUACCAUUUCUAGGCAAGACACAAUGUUGGCUUAUGCCAUUCAACAUUUUUGGGGUUGGCAGAAGGUUCGAAGACACAAACUCAGUGACAUUUGGUUUGAAAAGGAGUUUGUAAACAUUUUCAGAAUUGACUUCAAGUUUUUCAAACCAAUCAUCACCAAAGACAGUUUGACCAUAAUUUGAGAUACCAAGAGUAUCAGAGAUUACCUGUGGAGUGAGACGUAUCUCAACAUCCUUAAUCCUAGACACUAUUAAGCUUUCCUCAGGGUAUGCUUCUGCCAUGAAAUAGAAAGCUUGGACAAGCUUUGGGUAGUGUCUCUCACGAAGCUGUAGAAAUUUGGUCCAGCCUUGCUCAUCAACAUACUCCUUAAGAACGACUUUGUCUUUUUCCAGCUUGACAAAAUCAUAAUACCUUCCAAUUCCAAUUGACCUAUUUCCCCAUUUUUCUUUGAAAUCCUUUUUCAGAGAAGGAUCAAACAGAGGUACUCUCUUUCCUGUAGAGAUAUGAAUGAUCUUCUGUUUUGAAGGAUUUUUGGGCUUUGGAGAACAUUCUGGAGAAUAAUCUGAAGAGAGUUCAUAGUCUUUAUCAGAAAGACUUUCUGAAGAACGUUCUGGAGAACGUUCUGGUUGAGCAGUUUGCUUCUGCUUUCCUUUGUCCUUCACAGUUGGUUUAGGCUUUGGUUUUGGUACAGAAACCUUGAUAGGAGGUUUAGAGACCUUUUUGUUACUCUUAGGUUUGGGCUUAAGAGGAGAAGGAGUUUUCUCAGCCAAAGGGGUAGUUGGUUCAGUUUCUUCAUCUGAAUCAGAGAUUUCAUGUACAGUUGUGUCUACACUGUUGGUUUUCUUUGUUCCAACUGCAGAANNNNNNNNNNNNNNNNNNNNNNNNNNNNNNNNNNNNNNNNNNNNNNNNNNAAAUAAUAUAAAUCAAGUAGGGGAGGGGGUGGGUGGUGUGGGGUUAGAAGAAAAGAAUAUUUUUUUUUUUUUUUGUUUUUUUUUGAAAAAUUUUUGCCCCAUUAUAAAAAAACCCCUUGUUUUGUCUUUGAUUUGUUCUUUAUUUUUUUUUUUUUUUUUUUAAAAAGAAUUCUCCCCAUGAUAAAAAAAUGUUUUUUGGAGUGGAGGGAGGUUUUUUUUUAGAGUUUUUUUUUUUUUAAAGGACACUUUGGUUUUUGUUAAAGUUUUUAAAUUUUUGGGCAUCCCAAAACCAGGGUAACUUGACCUUUUUUCAAAUUUUUUCCUUUUGGAGUUUUUUUUUUUUUUUUAGGGAAAAGUAUUUUUUUUAUUUUGAUUUUUUUUUUUUCCAUCAAUUUUUGAAAUCUUUUUUUGGGAGAAGAGCUAUGUUCUUUUUUUGGCUUCCCCUUGGAUGUUUUUCUUUUUCAUUGGUUUCUUUAUUUCUUCGCUUUGUGAAAAGACAUCUUCUUGUUCACUUUGAGAUGCUUUGAGAGCAACCAUCUUUCCUUUCCUUGAUGGUUUAUCAUCUUGCAGCAGCGUCUCAUGAGCUUUUAAUGACCCAAUGAGAUCUUCAAGAGCUAAAGAGUUUAAGUCUUUAGCUUGUGUGAUUGCAGUUACCAUGGGUCUCCAUGUGCUUGGAAGACAUCUUAAGAUUUUUCUUAUCCGAUCAUGAGUGGUAUAAGUUUUUCCAAGUGAUCUUAAUUCAUUCACAAUAGAUGUGAAUCUGGAGUACAUUUCAUCAAUGUUCUCAUCUUCGUUCAUUUCGAAGAUUUCAAAUUUUCUUACGCCAAUGUCUAUUCUUGUUUCUUUUACAUGGCUAGUUCCUUCAUGAUGAAUUUUUAGAGUGUCCCACACUUCUUUUGCAGUCACACAUUCAUCAACUCUUUCACUUUCUUCCAUGCUUAGUGCGCAUGAUAGAAAGAGUCGAGCUUUAGAGUUUAGAAGUACUUUUUCUUUAUCUUCUUUUGACCAUGAUGCUUCUGGUGUGAGUGUCUCCACCUUUGUUGUUGCAUCGGUUGUCAUAGGUAUGUGUUCUCCAUUUGUGAUUAUUUUCCACAUAUCCACAUCUUGGGAUCUGAGGAAUAGUUCCAUUUUUCCUUUCCAGAAAUAAUAGUUCUUUCCAUUGAAGAAUGGUGGUCUUGUGCAUGAUAGACCUUCUGGUAUAUACUUUUCUUUUGACAUUGCCUUCUUCCUGAAUCUUUUCCUCCAACACUUGUUAGGUGUUUUUGUAGAGCCCGGGCUCUGAUACCAAUUGAAGUAGCAAUAAACGUCACAAGAAAGGGGGGGGGGUUUGAAUUGUGACCCUUUUAAAAAUUAUUCCUGAAACUUAAUUUUAGAUUUAUAUACUCAAGAAUAAUCUUGGUGAAUGUUAGUUUAUCAAGAUUAGAGUAUAUAACAAUUAAUUGAAUUAGAACAGAACGUUCUGAAGAAUGAUUAUAAACAGAAUGAGAAAAAUGAAGUUAAGUUAAAAGAUUAUUUUAGCAAGGACCAGAAUGUUCUGGAGAUUAAUAAAAUAAUGUGUGUGUGUUGUGUAACUUUAAAUAAAGAGAGAGAGAGAGAGAGAGAGAGAGAGAGAGAGAGAGAAAAAUAACACAGGAGAGUUAUCCUGGUUCACCAAACCCGGCUACUUCCAGUCCCCACACCUCGUGUGAGAUUAUCCACUAUAGUUUUCUUGCUAACAGAAACUUCUGACUAGCACUACAAUUUCUUGAUCACACCAGAUCAGUCCGUAACACCUGUAUUAUCAACCUCGGCAGGCUUAUACAAUUCUUUGCACACUAGCAAAAGAAAGGUUGGAAUUUUCUAUCUCAAAACUAUUAAGCCCAAUAGACUUUGAGAAAUACAACACACUUUGUAUGAAGAGAUUUGUUUGGAUAGAAUAAAUACUCAAAUCUUUGUUUGAGUUUUACAAGAGGCAAAUUCAAGAGAGAUGAUCCAAGAGAUAUAGUGAGAGAGCUUGGAAUUUGCUUUGUAUGUGAAGAGCUUUGUUUGUAGUGAUGAUUUUCACUUUGAGAGAUAUUAGCUUUCAAAACUCUUGCUUAUGACCUUCAAAGGCCCUUGUAUUUAUAGGUGAGGAGUGUCUUGGUGACCAAGGGAGAAAAUAGAGCUGUUGGACACGUUUUUGAUAGCUGUCCAAAGUCUCAUUUGAUUUCUCUUUUCUUCUUAAAAAUAGCCAGAACGUUCUCAGAAUGUUCUUUCUGAUUUGCCUGACUUUGAAAGCACUGUUGCUUUGCUUGCGCAUGAGAUAACCAGCUGUAAUGAGCUGUAUAACUUGCAGCCCACUUCUGAUGAUGUCAUGUCCUUUUGCUCUAGUGAUGUCAUGCUUAAGUAAGCCAUGUGAUCUUAUCCAUUUAAUGGGCUUUACUUUUCCAAAUGGGCUUAAAGCUUUUCUUAUGGCCCAAUAGACAUAAUCAGCCAAGCUUUCUUGCUGUGCAGACUUGUUCGCUUUUGAUGUACUGUUCCUUUUUCAUCGUUUUCGCCAGAACGUUCUCAUUUCAUUCUCAUGAAACAAAUUCUCACAAAAACGAAUUAGUAGAUAACAAGAUUAAAUAAAUAUAAUAUGUUUGUAAUCUUUAAAACAUCAAAUAAGGAUUUUGUCUCAACAAUUAUAACAUUACGAAUGAGGUUACAUUUUAAGAUGCAAGAUUGCCGUAAUUUAACAAUCCAAAGUGAGUAAUCAAACAGACACGCGAGACUAAUUAUCACAUUAUGAACGACGAUCAGAUUUUAAGAUGCAAGUAUCGCAUGUCUGUUUCAUUACUCACUACUUUUCCUUAUGUGUAAACUUUUCAAGGCUACGGUGACACCGCAAUUCAAAAUAUGCAAGAAGUACUGAAAUUUGGUCGAAACGAUAUAUUUUAAUAUGCAGCAAUGAUCUCAUUAAAAAAACCAAGACGAGCUUUGAAAACAAACAUGUGAUAGAUAUUAUAACAUUACGAAUGAGGAUACAUUUUAAGAUGCAAGAUUGCUGCAAUUUAACAAUCAAAAGUGAGUAAUGAAACAGACACGCGAGACUACUUAUCACAUUAUGAACGACGAUCAGAUUUUUUGAAUGCAGCAAUGCCGCUUUUUGAAAAAUCUGAUACACUACUUUUCCUUAUGUGUAAACUUAUAAAGGCUACGGUGACACCGCGAUUCAAAAUAUGCAAGAAGUACUGAAUAUUGGUUGAAACGAAAUAUUUUAUUAUGCAGCAAUGUGAAAUUUAAAAAAACCAAGAUGCAGCAAUGCCGCUUUCAAAAAACUCUAAUUGUGUUUUGAAACAAACACGUGAUAAUAUAUUCGACAGUAUAAUACAUUCCGUUGUAUUGAAACAUCUGGUGUAAAAUAAUAUCUACUAUGAUAAUAUAUAUUUUCAACGACUGACAACACAUUAUAUUAUGUAUAAAAGAAAUAACCUUUAAACAUACACGGAUACACGUUAAAGUAAAAGUAUGAAGGUUCCUCUGACACCGCAAUUCAAAAUAUUCGCACAGCAAAGAAAUUAGAUUCCGUCAACAAUGACAAAGUUGUGAGCAUUUAAGUAAGAAACUCAACAAAAAGUGAAAUGCAGCAAUGCUGCUUUCAAAAAACUCUAAUUGUGUUUUUCAUAGAAUCAUACUCCCUUAAAAUAGGUUUCAACGAAAGGUCAGACAUACCAGAUAAACUGUGCAAAGCUUUGCGAGUAUUCUCUGCAACAUCAUUAUCCAUUCUGUUUCGUUUGAUCCACCUUGACUACUAAUUAGCCGUAACAAUAAGUUUUUUUGCAGAGAGAACAGAUGUGUAAGUAUGAGCCUCCAAAUGAUAUGUAAACCAAUGAAUUACCGCAUAAAUAGACAUUAAUGCGAUUUGGGUAACAACAAUUCUGAAUUAAUGACAUGACUUUGAAGCUGAACAGACACGUCCAAACAUUGAAUCAAAAAGAUCGUGAAACAAAGCAUGGGAAAACACUAUAUGAAUCUCUUCCAUAAUGCAAUCAAAGAGAAGUAUAUGACAAUUAAUACUAAUCAUAUAUCUUAUCUGUAACAUCAGCAGAAAUGAUGUUUUUUUUUGUAUAUCUGAGCAUCUUGAUAACUAAAAACGCACAUCUGACCGCAAUAAACCUACCCAAUUAUCAUACUGCUGAUGGAUUAGCAAUUUAAGGAAACACAUCAAUCUAAAAAUAUAAUGAGAUCAUCUGAUUAUAAAGGUUGUUACAAUUUUAUUAGGUGCAUUUGACUAAUAUCAUUGCCGAUUCCAUCAUUAUUAUUUAUCUAUCAAGAAAACGCCGUUGCUACAAAGCAAUAUAUUAAUAACAACAACGCCGCGUGUAGCAUUGUAUUCGUCUGUACACAAUAGGAGGUGAAUACUGCAUCUUAAUUUGUUUAUUCAAUAAAGAAGUUGUGCCAUUACAGGGAUUAAAAAAGAAAAAAGCACCAUUGCAUUAUCGGAAUAACCCACACCUUUUGAAUUACAUAAGACUGAUUUUCUAUUUUGCCUACCAGAACUUGCAAUACUAAAAAUGCAAAAUUUAAAAGAAUCUAAUAUAGAGCAUUAUUCACUUCUAAACAUCACACCCUUCUUAAUGAAAAAAAGAAAAAAAAAAUGAUGCAUUCAAACAAAAUAUGAAGCAUAAGUCUGCCACGCCACCACUAAAACUCAUCCAAACGUUGCACAUUGUUAAGAAGAUCAGUUGCGAAUCACACGAAGGUAGAGAGUUGUGUUGCUUCCAGCCAUUGGAGCACCAAGAACUAAUCGGGAACCUUGGCGAAGCCUGCGUGCCAUAACCAAUCUCUUCCAGCCACCUCCGAUUAUGAAAUGAGGUCCGCCAUCAGUAGCAAACAUCAAAGUACAGCCCCACACAUUGCCAUUGUCAUCAAAGUAAAGCGAAUAAAGUAAGUUUGUUUACUGUCAAAUGCAUAUAAAUAUAAUUACUCACGUUAAUAAAGUUAAGCUCGACUGUGUAAGUUCUAUACUUGAUACGAAGAUCAUUGACAAUCCUUUCCAAUUCAGAAUUCGGAUUAGGGUUCAGAGGUGCUGUUAUAAAAAAACAACAAAAAAGAAACAUAAGUGAGUUGUACAAAACUGGAAAUAACAACAUCAAAUGAUGGAAACUUAUACCUAUCAAAGCAUGGUAGGAAAGCAGUGCCUGGAUUCCAUUAUUUGCCAUGGGAUUCGAUUGAACUUGAAAAAGAAUGAGAUGUGAUUUUUUUGAUUCCAUGGUAUGGUAUAUAUACACGUUCAGAUUCAUUCACUAUGAUAAGGAGGUUAUGAUACCUAUACAUUGUUAUCAUAUCAAAGGCUUUGGAAUCAAUAACAACAUUAAAUGCAAUCAUGGAAUGGGGGAAGCCACAACCAAAAGCGUUAAAUGUAAUUAGCAUGGGGAAACUGAAAGUGCCAAGUCAAAUGAGAUCAAAGGAUGAGAUGAAUGCUUAGCUAGCUCAUUUGAUCAAACGGCUCUCCUUAAUUGGCGCCCAAAAUGGCUAGGUUUAGGGUUUUGCAAGGUAAUUAGCAUUGUUAACAAAGAUUAGAUAUAAGUAUGAUAAGAUAAGAUAAGAUAUAUUGAAUUUUAAUAAAUUUUUAAUUUUUAAAAUAAGAGAGGGCCUAAGCCCAAGAAAAAAACUACACUAAAAGUACAUAAAAUUGCUUUUCUUACUGCAAAAACUUUCUAAUAACACAUGAAAGUUACUAAAUUGUCCAUAGAAGUAGUUAACUACCAUUGGCAAGUCCGACAUCAGUUAAUUACCACUGACUCCCAACUGCAGUUAACUACCGCUGGCUCAUCUGCACUUAAGUUCGGUUCCUAGCAGAGCAUCAAUUGUGAUUAUGCGCGUUUCGGUCGAAAAAAAUAAAAAAAUCGAGACUUAUUUGGAAUGUUACGGAACAUUCCACAUCCUCUAUAUGUAUUUUUACAGAGGUGUCUAUAAAUUUGGUAACAUUCCGACUAAGUCUCGAUAUAUUUUGAUUUUUUGACCGAACCGUGCAAAAUCACAAUUUUUUUCAAGUUCGAGUCCGGAAAAGUGACCUAGACGUUGAAUUUUUUCAUGAUUUUUUGCACUCAUGUUUAGGACAAAAAAGAACAUCUCCCACAAAAAUUUUGAACUUUUUCGACAAUGGACGAAUCCUUUAUAUCUAAUCCUAGCAAACAUGCAAACCCUAAUUCCACAAUCCUAAACCUAAAAAAUUGGCUCCCAAAUUUGAAAUUUGAAUUUCAUAUUGGAAAACCAAUGCACACUACUCAAUACAUAUCUUAAGGGCUAGGAUUAAAUGCGACUAAUACCUCAAAUUCGUCCUUGAAUUUUAAAAAAUCGGUCAAAUUCGUCCCUGAAUUUUGCGAAAUAUCUAUUUAGUCCCUGAAUUUACAAAAUAUCAAUCAAAUCAGUCCCUCUGUUAAGUUGGUCUGUUUACGGAGGUGACGUGUAACGUUAACCUCUUACAAGGCUUACCAUGUCAGAUGUCACGCAAGCAGGGACCAAAUUGAUUGAUUUACAGAAAAUUGUCAAGGACCAAAUUGAUGGAUUUUCAGAAAAUUGCCAACGUUUCCAAGGACCAAAUUGAUGGAUUUUCAGAAAAUUCCCAACGACUCUUUCUCCCGUUUCUCAUUAAAGAAUCUUUCUCCUCUUCCUCAUUAACGGCUCUUUCUUCCCCAAAUAUAUAAAUUUGGAACCCUAAUGUUAUAAUUUGUUACCUAGAGUUCAAAAUCCCCCAAAUUUCUUCCAUGACUUGAUGUCAAUGUUCUUCCCAAUUAAAUAAACUUAACACCCUAAUUUUUUUGAUUCAAUUCGAAAUUCAAAAACCAAUGGUCAUUGUUGAAGAUUCGGUGUUCAGAAAUGAUGGGUAGUGGGCGUAUGGGCAAAAAAAACUACAAUAGUCAGUCUUCAUCUUCAAGCUCUAUGUACAAUGAUAAGGUGAGAGAGCUUCAAUGUUGCUGACCUAGAAUUUGUGUUGUAAGAGAAGCCAACACUGUCAAUAACCAAGGAAGGCCUUUCUAUAUCUUCCCUCUGCCAAAGGUUUGUUUAACAAUGGUUAUGUGAUGUGUAAAUGGUUUGUUUAAGAUAUUCAUAGGAGUAUUUUGUUUGAUUGAGUUGUUUAAAAUGAUAUUGUAUUGUGCCAAGUCCAUGUAAUGUUGUAAUGAAAAGAGGUUGUCAAUGAAUGAAUCAAACCCUUCUGUCAAAAAAUUUCAAUCAAAUUGGUCCUUGAAUUAUAUGCAUAUCCAUCAUAUCGAUCCUAAAAUUAGUGAUAAUACCAUCAAAUAGGUCCUUGAAUUUUCACAACAGAUAUCACUGUGAUCCUUGGUGCAUAUAUUUGCUGAACAAAGUAAAAAGUAAAAGACAUGCACUUUGACUAUAAAAAGACAGACAUUUGCAUACCAUCAUAAGUCAUAUAUUUGAUGUUCAUAAGUCAUUACAUAGCCAAAAAAAUAACAUUACAUAGCCAUAAAGUCAUCAAAUCGUUUGAUGUUCUUAAGUGAUUACAUAUCUGUUAUCACGAUUUUGGGGUAUCAAGUCAUUAAUUAGGCUUGAACCUUUCAAUCUUUGAUAUUCUCUAUUUUUUCUUGGGAAGGGAAAAAUUGAGAAAACCCUUAGAAAUUCUAAGUUCGGGGGUCGUUUUCGUUACGGGAAGGUGUUAGGAACCCGCAAUGACUAUAGUACUCUAUAGGAACCGUUUUCUUAGUUUUAUGUCUACGCUUUAUUUUUAAUGCUAUUUAUUGAAAAAAGAAGUUGUUUAUUUAGGUUAAGAAUGGAGGGAGAAAAUGUUUGGGAUUUUAUUUAUUGGACUUGGAGAGGUUUUGACCUCUUGCCUACAUACCCUUUUAAGGGAUCAAAAUUCCAUGUAGUUCUCUUUAAAAAAUGUUUUUGUGUGUUUGAUUGAUUUUAAGUUUUGGAAAAUGGUUUUGAAGAAGAGAAAGAGGCCGUAAAGGCAUGAGAGAAAAAAAUGGUGAAAGGUUGGUUCAAUUAUUAUUAAAAAAGGUCUAAGUUGGAAUUAGAGUUCAUUUGAGUUUGAUUAAGAAAAUAAAGGGAAAAUUCAAUGGAGUUUUGACUCCAAGGUUUAUUUGGAAAUUUUUUUCAAGUGAUGGAAUUUGCUUAUUUUGGAAAAUUGAUAUUUUUCUAAGUAUCGCGUUUCCUAAGCAUACAUCUAAAGCGGUAAACAUACAACGUGUGUGCGUGUCGGUGCUUGUGUCGGUGUACAUCAUUAGAGAGUCCAUUGUCCGUUACAUUGGCCCUAGUUUACAUUCUAUGGUCUUGCAAGAAAUUAAAAGGAAAUUUAAACUACCUAAAAUAUUAUAUGACAUUUUAACAUAGAAAUUAAAAGGUAAAAAUGCCUAAACUAUGAGAAAUUGAGAUGAAAAAGGUAGAAUGCUUAUGAGGUGAAUGAAACAAGAAAUAAAAUGGUUAGUAAAAUAAGGUGUAAAAUGAUAGGAAACAAGCAAGGAAACAUUGAAUGGAAUAGCAAAAAAGAGAGUAAUAAAGUGGUAAAAUAUGCCCAAAACUUGUCAUAAUACCUAAACAUGUACACGACCUAUAAUUCUCUCAUCAUAGCAAUUUAAAAGGGGGUUUAUUUUAUACCAUAAUGUGAGAAUGACAAGAACACAUUCAAGCCAAGAAUUAUGACAUAUUUCUAGAGAUACUUUGCACUUUAUUUCUUGACAAAAACACACAUUACUUGCAAAACAAGAAAAAAAGAAAAAUUCACAUCCACAAACAGUAAAACACACAUAUGAUCAGAGACAUAUUCAUCAUGAAAUUGCAUAUUAACCACUCAUAUCAUGUCAAGACCUCAUGAACGAAUUAUGGCAAGAAAAUUCACAAGUUUAAUAAAAAAAAAUGAACAUAUCAACAAGAAAAUGUUACAUAUAUUUUUUUAUCAUUUUUUAACAUGUAAAAGCAUCACAAAAGUAUUAAAAAUACCUCAAGAAACAUAUAGGAAUUUUUAGGAAUUUUUUGCACGAAAAUUGGACGAGCAGGGGGUUCAGAUAGCAAGAAACAGGGUGCAAAUAGCAAGAAAUAAGAAAAAAAAAGCAGAAACAAACAAACUGGAAGCCCAAGCCCAAAACCCAUGGAUCCGGAUGCACAAGGAGCGUUGGAUUGAUCCAGGAAGAGAAACCCUAGAUCUAAAGGCUCAGAAUGAAGGGGAAGAACCGGGAAUAAACCCGACCGGUUCAGUUGUUUAUAAAAAGGCUUGGGGACCGGUUUUUUUCAUUUCUUCCUCUCCUUUCUCUCUCUUCUCUCAUUCUAGUGAGAGAAGCUCUCACUUCUCUCCUUUCUGAUGAAUUAGGUUCUGGAAAAGUUAGGGUUUUCUGAAUGUUCUUGGUAAUUUUCUGUUUUGAUCUAACUAAAUGGAGAGAGAAAAUGUGAUUCUGUUUUUGGUGAUGUGACUGAUUCUGUGGAUCCUUUCUGAUUUGUGCAGUGAAUGCACCUUUUAUAGGCUGCCAUGUGUGAUUCUGAACCAAUGGAAGAGGAACACCUGUUUUGGACUUAGGGACUUUCCUGCAAAAAUAAGAAAAUUGGAGGACUGGACUGCAAAUAAGAAAAAGGACCUAAAAAUGCAAUUUUAAAAAGUAUUGGACUAAAAUGUAAUUUGGAAAAAACGUAAAGUGAAACCAAAAAUAAAAUCAACAAAAGGACUAAAAUGAACCAGUUACAAAAAAUGAGGUAUUUUAAAAUACCUCUCUGUCGAAAUUUUGACAGGAAAAGACCAAAAAUACCCCUAGGGACUAAACUGACUCAAACUGACUCAGAUGCAAUUUUUGAAAUGGUUUUUAAACAGAGAUUCAACAAUGAUUUGUACAGACAAGUUGAAAAGACUCAGAGGCAAACACAGGGACUAAAAUGGGUUCCAAUGCGGGAAAUGACCAAAAUACCCUUUUUGUAUGAUUUUUUGAAAUAAAAUGCAAGAAAAGCAAUGCAAUGAUUCAGAGAGUUUUCAAAUGACUUGUAAUGCAAGAAAGACACUUUGGGUAGUUUUAUUCAAGAAAAUCAUGAUUGAACAUACUUCGAGACAGAGACAGUAAAAUAUGCAGAUGAAAAGAGAGUAAAGGUUCGGAGUAAAAUAAUAGUAAAUUGACAAAUAUCAGUGUUGAAAAAGAAAUUUGAAUGAGUAUUUUUAGGUCCAAAAUCAGGGUAUAACAAUAUCCAAAAAAGCAUAAACUAAACAAGUCCAAAAAGCAUAAUUUAAACAAGCAUCAAUGCUUUGGAAAUCCUGAAGUUGGGUAUAAACUCCAUGUAUUGGGGUUGAGUAGAAGCGGAUGACCCGUAAUUUGGAUUUGGAACUCUAAUAACUCUAGGAGUAGUUAGAUUUUGUGGAGCAAGACCCCUCAAUGAUGUUUGUUUAUGCAUGUCAUUUGAAAUCACAGGUCAUCUCAUGCCAUAUCUUCUUGUACUCAUUCUCUGCAAAUAAAAUCAAUCAUAUCCGUCCUUAAAUUAUAACAAAAUCCAUCAAAUUAGUCCUCAAAUUAUGUCAGUAAGUCUCAAAUCGAUCCUUAUGUAAUAGCGGGGUAUAAUUGGAACACAUGAAAAAUUACACUGAAAAGUUAAAUCUCAAAUUUUUACCAUUUCCAUCAAAUUAGUCCUUGUACACGUGGUUGCCUUGUUGACACGUGUACAUGACAACACAACAUGCAAGAGGACACGUCAUCACCACUAACGGAGCUUUUGGACGGAGGGACCAUUUUGAUGGACGUCUGUAAAAUUCAAGGACUAAAUAGAUAUUUCGCAAAAUUGAGAGACGAAUUUGACCAAUUUUUUAAAAUUCAAGGACGAAAUUGAGGUAUCAGUCCAUUCAAUGUUAUACAAAAGUCUGAAAAAUAAAACACACAACACACGCGUUCCUUUUUCCCAGUGUUUUCUUCUUCUUCUUCCUCUUAUCAUCAUCACCACCGCCAACCCUCUCCCUCAAUCCACCGACGUUCUACCCCGUAUGUUCCAUGUCUUUUCUACUUUAACCGUCAUAUUUCUCCUCUCAUACUUCGCCGUCGUCGAUUCCACUGCCACUUUCUUUCCAUCGCCACGGGAAUAAUGAGAUUAAGCGCGAGAGUGAUCGACCUAAACUUAUUCCCUCUCUCCAGGUACUCAAUCUGUUAACUUUGAUGUUAGUUCAUACAAAUUUGCAUGUAACAAAUUUGUAUAAGAACAGGCAUAGACUUCUUAACCAAUCAAAUAAACUGCUCAAUCAAAGCUUACUCAAUUUUAUUGUAAAAGAAGAAAUAGAAAAUUUAGGUGGUUUGAAAUGUAAGAUCCAACAUAUGUUAGAUAUGAAAUUACUGUUGUGCUUUGAUGAUUUUUUCUCCUGAUUCCAAAAAUAUAGUUUUAAGCCAAUUUAUGGCAUUGAGUGAUUUGAUUUUCUGUUUCUUUUUUGUCUCAUUGGUUCUAAGUUGGAUGAGAAAUUAGUGGCCACAGAAAGAAGAAUGAAAUAUAAGUUAAUUAACAUUUUUUCAAUAACUUUGAAUUUUUGCUGAUUUUUCUUUAACUAUUGUUUUCUAAUACCAUUUGAAGUAGUCGUUUUUAUUAGAUUAUGUCAUUGCUACAAAAUUUUCUCUAUAUGGGUUCAUGUUGAUUUUGAAAUGAUUGCAAAUUUGUGUAUAAGCAUCUGUAUGCAAACCUCUCUUUUAAGAGCACUAUUUUUUGUUCCGGCUUUGUGUUUUUUGCGGAUGUGCUUAUGAUUUGUGCAGCUACAGGUUUGUUACUUACAGAGCUUUCCAAAUGUGGUAUGUUGCUUUGUUCAUUUAGUGGUUGAGAAUGAAAUUAGUUUGCACUCCCUGAGAAAAUAGCUCUCUAAACUGAAGUUCCCAUAAUCUCUUAUGAUCAUUGUACACACCAAAUCUCUUACCCUAAGUCAAAUUUACUGUACUGAGUAGAAAUUAUCUAUUCUUUCAUUAAUAUUGAAAAAUCUUUCAUCCCUUCAACAUUGUUUCUGAGUAUGAUGUUACCAGUGAAUUUUUGGUAUGUUCCUUACCAAUUCACAUUUUUUAUUGUUACUUUUAUUGGACAAAAUUACUUCUUGCGUCUAUUCUUCCCUGAUUCAUAGAAGUUGUUCUACAAUGGUUUUUGUGAAUUUGCAUUGGAUAAGAGGACCACGGCCAUGGUGGUCAUAGCACAAUUGCGACAACAAGUGGAAUUGCACUCUUAUUUUUGGAUCUAUGUCAUACAAUCAUAAUUGGUGGUGGUGAGUGGAAGAGCAUGAUUGAGUGCAGAAUUUUUGAAGGUGUACGUUUCAAGCUGGGUGAUCAGAUGGUCGGCAAAAGUGAAAUUGUUUACCUUCAUGUCUAUCGAGAUUUCAGUUUUUAAGCUGGGGUCUUCAUAUGAAUUUCCAUUUUGAAUAUUGUUUCUAUUGUAAUCUGCCAAUUAUCAGAAUUGUGUUAGAUAAGUUUGAGUCUAAUGUGUUCAGCUCCACUGUGUAAUCUGUUUCUGUAUUUCAUUUUCAAUAGAAUCCAAUUAAAACAACUUAUUCUGCUUGCUUAAUUAUCAUCUCCAAUCUGCACAAGUAAUACUAUAAACAGGGUCAUAUUAUUCUAUUGAAAUUGAAAUACGGAAACAUAUUACAAAGAAAAUGACUAAAGGCGGUGUAUAAAGAAGUUUUUCGCAAUUUAUGAAUUGUUCGGUGCUGAUGAAAUAAAGGUGUUGCCGUUUUGUUAGUCUGCCAUCGAUGUAAGUAUGUACUGUAUUUAUAUUAGUCGUUAAUAAAUGUCUUAAUAAUGGUCGUCAAACCUAACCCAUCAGUGUGUUGCUUAAUUUGUUUUUACAGAUUUGUUUGACCUGACUGUAGCAUUUGCCAUCAUAUCUGAAACGCAUAAAUUCAUGUUUUACUGUAUACUCGGUGAUCAAUCCUUCUGUCUAUAUGAAAAGGCUUGAUGUAUACUGGUACGGUGAUUAAAUUUUCGCAUAAAUCAGUUCUUCUCAUAUUAUAAAUAACUUAUAAUAAGGAUUGCAGCAACUAAUGCUUCAAUUUUAUGCUGUCUUUGUUUUUCUUCGCAGGUUGAGCACAAUUAAGGCAUUGCAUUUUUGGAGAUCGUUAUCAUUGUUAUACCAUUAUUAUCUUUGCUAAUAUAUGCUCCUAAUUGUUUAAGAAUUUCAUCUCUGGUCCAUACUGACGGUUUAUUACUGAUAUCAAUGGCACCAAUCUCAAUUGAUACUAUGUAUCACAUUAUCACCAACAAAGGUGUAACUUGGUUAUCAUUAUGAUCCAUUUCUGAUUCCGUAAUUAUACUAUAUCCAAGUUCGUUGUUAACUUAUUACAAAUAAUUUGUCGUUUAGAAGAAUAUUAACCACAAAUUACUCAUAGUGAUUUAUCGUUAUGAAAAUACAUAUAGAGAAUAUGAAAAUUUACGUAGUAUAUUGACUGAGCCUCAAUUUAUUUUGAAUUUUUCACCGAAACACAUAAAAUCACAAUAUUUUUGCAACUUCACAUCCGAAAAAGUUAUAUAGACGUUGAAUUUUUUCGUUAUUUUUUGCACAUAUGUUAAGGACAUAAAAAAACAUUUCCCACAAAAAAUUAGAAUUUUCCGACAACGGAUGGAUUAAUUAUGAAUUUUUAAUGCGCCAAAAACUCAAGAAACUAAAACAUCAAAAGAUCGACUUAGAAAUUGAAUUUUGAGUUGGUUUUUUGCACACAACUCUAUAAAAAUACAUAUAGAGGGUCUGUAAAUUUUCAUGGAAUUCCAAAUAAGCUUCAAUUUAUUUUGAUUUUUCGACCGAAACGCGUAAAAUCACAAUUGAUUCUCUUCCAGAAACUGCACUUAAGUGCAACAAAAUCAGCUGUAGUUAACUGCAACUGAAGCCAGCGGUAGUUAACUACAGCUGAGAGUCAGCAGUAGUUAACUACCGUUGGGGGAAAUUUCAUAACUUAAAUGUGUUUUUAGGAAUUUUUUGAUGUGAGAAAAACAAUUUUCAAAAGUAUAUGUUUUUUAAAAUAAAAGAGGGCAUAAGACCAUAAAAGGCACUGAUACGAUGACCUUUAACACCAGUUUGAUCAACUAAGACCAACCACAAUGGUGAGGUCUUAACAAUUUAAGAUCCGGUACCUAUUAGGUACCUCCAUUGUGGGAAAAAUAUUUGGGGGUCUCUUAAGACCCUCAUUUUUAAGUGGACCCCACACAACUUUUUAAUAAAAUAAUCAUUGUUUAGUUACUUUUGUUUAAAUGUAAAUGAUAAAGAGUUAUUGGUGGGUCCCAUUUAGACCUUUUGUUAGAGCGUCUCUGUUGGAGUGGUUGAGUACCUAUUAGGUACUAUCAUUAAAAAAUUAUAAAAAAAUGAUUUGUCAAUGUGGAAUCCGUUUAAGACCUCAAGAUUGAGGAUCUCCAUUGUAGAUCACAUGCAUGUCUAUUGCAUGAGUGCAUCUUCCAAAGAUUCAAAGUCUUCAUUUACAUGAAAUUUUCAUUCAGCUUUCAACAUUCAUAAGCACUUAAUGAAUUAACGACCAAUAUAUUGGAUGCAUGUUGUUUUGAAUAUGCCCUUAAUAAAGAUGAAAAGGAGAAAGAUGAACUUGAACUCAUCAUUUUUACAGCCGUUAAAAUAGCAUACAUGAUUUGCUUUUGCUACUUGUCUAAAUUUUAUCUAAACACCUAAUUAUGAUGGUUGCCAAACACAUUCAAACAUUUAUGUUAGUAACAAUUUUAUAAGCAUGGCAUUUUUAGGGUUGUAUGGCCCAAAAGUCCUAAACCAAAUGGCUUUCACCAUUUCUCAUGCGUCCUCCUAAAUUUCAAAACUGCCCUCAGAUUUUCGGAUUAUACAAUAUGCUACUCUUAUUUUCAACUCUUCCUUUGAGGUCCAACUCGAUUAGUCUCUUCAGUGGUUCAGUUGUGAUUUUUCCUCUUAAGUCCAACUAGAUUAGUCUCUUUAGCGGUCCAGUUAUAAAGUCGAUUUGUGACAAUACCUUAUAUGCAUCUAUGUUAGGAUUGAUACGAGCUGUUAGUAGGUUCUGAUACCAUGUUGGAUGGAGGAAUGUUUUACAUAUUGAGCUUUAGUUGUUUCAAGGGGCACUCAACAUGGAAAGGAUAUUGAAGCUUUGCAGAAAAGUUUGGACAAUGCUGAGUAAGGUUCAUAUACAAACAUGUCUAAUUUUCUAACAUAAUUACAUUUUAAGAGUGAUUUUCAAAUCAACUAAUAUUUAACAUUAUGGUUCUAAAGUUGGUGAACUAUGACAUAAAACUUUAACAUUGUUUGUGGUUUCUAGAAGAAUCAAUUUGGUUACAUAACAUGAAAAAUGGUUACCAUAAGACAAGGAGAAAGAAUAAGCAUGUAUCUUUACACUCGCAACAAAGAAACACACCAACUUUGGCCAUUGCAGAAGAUUAUGGUUAGACUCAGACAGUCAAAUAUAGGUUUGACGCCAUCGAAGUAAUCGGCAUUUCAACCUUAGGUUGUGUUUCAGAGUUUUGAAGAGAUUAUCAGAAUUCUAUUCACUUUGUUUUCUUGUCAAAUCUUAAUUGUUAGUGCUAAUUGAUGGUCUUAUCAUGAAAAUUAUAAAUCAAACCUAAAUAAAAACGAAUAAUAAGAACAUGUUCAUGUACCGAACUGAUAAGUAGCAAGAAAGUGAAAUAAAGAAAACACAAUGAUCUAAACUUAUCAUUGAAAAACAUCACAGAAAACACAAUGUUUGUUUCUUCAUUUUAAUUCUAACGAAUGUCUAAUUUUGGAAUGUGUGCUAUCUUAUCCCAGUCCACCCUUGUUCCCUCCUUGCAUCGCUCAUCUAAUCCUCCAGAAAAACAUAAUUAAUCAGCAAGAGUAUCAUGCAAAACCCCAAAACAGUUAAAAAGGUGCACAUGCACUUAACAAACUCAUCAUCAUUUUCUCUUCCAUAAUUCCCUUCCUUGUUUGUACCACUUUGUCCUUGAAAGAAUUCACAAUUACCUUUGCUAACUGAAUUAUUGCUUAUUGUGAAAAACAAAAAUAUCUCAAAGUUAUCUUAUGUGAACCAAAUACAAAACCAGUAAUUAAUAAUAUCAUAACAACAACAAAUUACAAAUUUGAUGUAUCAUUUUAAACUGAGUGAAAAACAUGAAAAAACAAAAGUCAUUGAAAGAGACAGAAAAUUUAUAUGCUAAAAGGGCAUUAUAAGGCUCUAAGACAGAUUUUAGAUGUCUGUUUUUCUCUCCCAUUGCUGCUCCAACUCUCUGCAGAAGUAUAUUACUGGAAGACAGAAGACAAACUAACAUGUGCUGCAAAACCACCAUAGUGAAGAGACAAGAGUGUCAUAUCCUGCAAACACAGUACAAAAUAUUGUUACUAUACUAUAAGAAACAAAAUCAAAAAAGGGUGAUGGUGGAAGAGAGAGCCUACCAAAUGUGAUAGAAAUUGGAAGCAUAUAUGUGUGUGCUUUUUCAUUCAAUCAACAUGUAAUUUUGGAAUGUGCGCUAUCUUGUCCCAGUCCUCACCGGUUCCUUUCUUCAAUCGCUCCUUUAAUGUUGGGCAACCUCGAAUUUUCAAAAACUCAAGUGAAGUGAGGUGUUGAAUAGAUUCGGGAAAGGAUCUCAAUCCUCCACAAUAACCAAUAUCAAUAGUUCGAAGAGAUCGAAGACCUUCCCAUGUUUGUUCCGGUAUAGACUCAAGCUCACCACAAGAAGAGAUACUCAGACACUCCAACACUAGGUUGAAGGGUUCAUUUGGUAGUUUCUUCAAUUUUGGGAAAUUAGAAAUUUUCAAACUUCGAAGACAAGUCAAGUUUCUUAACAAACCGUCAGGAAAGCAAAUCACGUCUUCACCGUUAAGAAGGUGAAGGGUGGUAAGACUACAGAAAUUGGAGAUUGAUCUCAGUAACUCAUUGUUACAUCCAAAUACAAUGAGGUCUUUAAGGGAUGGAAGGCAUGGCAACACAAGUUUAGGGCAAUCAAUAAUGGUCAAAUUAGAAAGAAGAAGGAACAUAUCUCUUAUUUGCACUUUCAACAAACGCUCUAAGUUUCGUAGUCCUGCUAGUAACAAUUUUUCCAAGGAUGGAAAAGCCCUCACCUCUACACCAUCAUGAUAUUCAGCAUCAUCCAUGUAUUGCAUAUUAUUCAUACCCCAUAAUUCAAGCUUUUUUAGAGAUGGUAGUUUACCUAGUGAUGAAAGAACACAAUUAUUGCAAUACUGAAGUUGAAGAUCAACUAAACUAUUAAGAAAUCCAAUCCAUUUUGGCAAGCAUAAUCCGUCAUAGUAAAGUAUUUUCAACCUCUUGAGAUUUGAGUGAGGUUGAAGCAUUUCAAGUACUUGCUCAGCAGUAGUAGUUGGUGUCUCAGUUUCACCAUUAUUCCUCCAUGACAAGGAUAAUUCUUGGAGGUCCUUUUUACCCAUCAAAUUGGCAUGUCGAGCUUCAAAUAAGCUACCAACAUUUCCCAGACCUUGUAUGCUCAGUUUUCCUCCAAGUGAUAGAUCAUGUAGCUCUCCCAAGCCAUACCCCCUCUCUGACUGAACAAUGUAUACACUUAAUGUUCUUAGGAAAUACAAUUUUCCAAUAUAAGGAAACACACAAGACAAUGAAUUACAAUCUUCAAUGACAAGAUGCCUGAGAUUCUGUAAACAAGUCAAGUGUUUUGGUAGAAAAGUCAGUUUUCGAAAAUAUUUCAAUUUCAAGAUUUCCAAUUUCUGCAAGCGAUAAAUUGAGUCAGGAAGGGUUUCUACGUCAAGAUCACGAAGCUCCAAAUACCUCAAAUGAAUUAAGUUCCCAAGUGACGAUAACUUGAAAGUGUUUGUGCUUAAAACUCGAAGGGAGCGAUUUGUUGGGAAGUAAUCGUAUUCUUUUUCGCUGUAAAACUCUAGUUGAUACAACGUUCGCAAGGAUUCAACUUUUUUGAAGGCCUCAUUGAAGGAAAACAAGUUAAUAUCAGAGUAAAAGCUAGUAUGGUGUGUGCUUCUUAACAAGUUAGUGUUAGUAUUCUCCAAAAUCAUACACUCUGACCCCAUAACUGAUUGAGCAAGAUCAUGCACUAGGUCAUGCAUCUUGAAAGUAAUGUCUCCUGAAUAAUCAUCUAUCUUGAUGUCUUGGAAGAAUGAUUUUUGGCACAGUUCCUUCCAAAUCAUAUUGCCAAAAAAUUCUACAUCCAAAUUAGCCUUUGAGAAAAUAAAUCCAUUGCCCAUCCAUAGAUGAAUCAAAUCUUCCUUUACAAUUUCCAUAUCUUUGGGAAAUAUCGCACAAAAAGCAAAACACCGCUUUAAGGUCGGUGUUAAAUGAAAGUAGCUUAACCUCAAGGCUGGCAAAAUGGAAUUCUCAUAUGGUAAGGUCCAGAGAUUACUGUCUUUAAUUUCAAGCCAUUCAUUUUCAUCACUCCUUGAGCGCAUUAGACCUCCCAAUGCUUGUGCUGCAAGAGGCAAUCCUCCACACUUCUUUACUAUCGCCUUACCUAUUGCUACAAGCUCUUCCCGUUCUUCUCCAGCACAUCCAAAUGCAUAUUGUCUAAACAACAACCAACAUUCGUUUUCAGAGAGACCAGAUAAAUGAUGAGCUAAACAUGUUCCCAUGAUUUCUGCAACAUCCUUAUCACGAGUGGAAACUAAAAUGGAAGAUCCUUUGGAUCCACAUGACAACGCAGAUUUCAACUUGUUCCAUUUGUCUUGGCUUAAUCCUAGUUCCAAUCCUUGAUUUCUGCUCCAUACAUCAUCCAAAACCAGCAAAAAUCUUUUACCUUGCAAUAGUUCUCGUGCUUUUCUUUGUAUUACAUCUAAAUCCAAGGCAUCAAACUUGUCUUUUGUGAUAGAUUCUAUAAUGGAACACAAAAUCCUUUUGACAGAGAAAGUCUCCGAAACACAAAUCCAAACUUUUGUAUUAAAAUUGCUACUUACCCUAUGAUCAUUGUAGACCAUUUGAGCAAGUGUUGUUUUACCAACACCACCUAGGCCAACAAUAGGAUAGAUGGAUAGGAAGUCAGAUACUUGCGCUUGGGUGAGAAGAAACUCGACAAUCCUCUCUCUAUCAUCUACUCGUCCAAACACUUUGGGUUCAGCAAUAAUGGAGCUUGUUUGGCGCCAUUCAGCAACUUCAUUUGGCCUUUCCCUAACAACGACACCCUCUCGUAAAAGAAACUUGUCUUUACUUUCAGCAAUUUGAUCGAAUCUCCUUGUAAUUUCUUUCAACCUUUUGCCGAUGUCACGGCGAAACACAAUGUUCUUUAGGUUGAAACAGGACGAGGCUUUAAGUCUACUAGAUUCAAUGGAACAUUCAUCAAGAAUAUCAUCAAGCACAUAUACAGCAUCUUUGAGUUGUUGGAGCCAUACCUUAAUAGAGCGGUCUGUGACCUGUUUCUGCUCAGCAUCUUCAAGAACAGCCUUGAUCAGAUCCAAGGUGGUUGACAACUUUUCAGCCUUUGAUGUGAUUCCAGAAAUGGUUGCAAAUUCAUUUUGAACAAGAGAUAACAAAUUCUCAAAUACAACUCCUAGCAAGGCCUCUGCCAUUUUUAGUUAGUACUAGGAAUAUCGGCUGUUAGGUGAUCAGUUGGAAAUUAUGAAGGAAAAUAAAACAAAAUGCAGAUUUGAUUCAAUUUAGAGCAACAUCCACUAAGCACUGGGGUGAUAGUGCUAGGACCCACACUUUAAAUUUAAUGUCAUUAUUAUGGAUCCAUUGUUGACUUUUGUUUCUUUUUUUUUUUCCUACCAUUUCAUACAGAAAUAAAAAACAGUCAUAUAAUCUAUCUUGGCUAUUUCUCAAAACGUAAAGUUCUUACUUGCCCUUUGAAAGAACAAGCAAGCCAAAUCUCCAUAUAAAAGUCUAUAAAUAAAUUUGAUUCCAAUGAAGAAAAGUUCUGAAGGGUUAAAAAAGAAAAAUAUAAAAUUAUCUACAAAAACAGAUACACUAUUUGAAGGAAAUUUUCAUAUUUUUAGUCAAUAGGAAUCGAACUCGGUACCAAGUGGUUUAUAACAGUCAAUAGCGUGCAUGACAUAUCAAUGAGUUUUUCAUCAGAGCAUAAUUUUUAGCUAUGAAGAAUAUUACAAUAACAUGAAAACAUUUUGACUGCAACGAUACCUUGCUUAUGUGAUACUCUAUUAUCAUAGGCAUAAAAGAAUUAACUUCGAAAAAUUUUCUUAAAUUUCAUUAAACUGGCUUUCAUGUAUUUGGCCUUUAGGAAACAUAAUUAAAUUUGGUAUUAACCCUACACAAGAGAAGUGUAACCAUAUAUAUUUGUUGAGUUUUACAAGUUAAUGUAUGUGUUUAAAUGAAUGUUAAUUGGACGGAAAUACAGCGCACGAGUAUCAUGUAUAAUUAAGUACAACAUUGGUUCUCAAAUUUUGCUUGCAAUCUGGAAUUUUUACCAGAUAAUUGAAGCGAAAAAUAAAGUAAAAGAACAGAAUAAUAUGCACAAAAAAGUACUGUUUUUUUUACUUCAAUUAAAAAUUAAUUAUAAUGUGCAAAAAACUUAAAUCAGUUUAGAGAGGGGAAAUUAGAGAGGUUGGUAUGGUAACAUAGAAAGCGUAAAACUAGACCUAAUCAUGUUAAUUAAAUAAAAAAUUAAAUAAAAAAUCUUCUGCUGCUUAAGUAAAAAAUUAAGCAAGACUGGAGUAUCAUAUAAAACCCAAAACAAGAACAUUGUAUGACCAAUGUUUCUACUUUCCUUGUACUAGACAAGUCCAAUGAACUUUGUUUAUUGUUUUUGGUAAGACUUGCUGAACUUUGUUGAUUUCAUGAUGAUUAUGAUUGGCAUCUGGCAAAUAAGACUUCUGAUUUUAACUAGUUGCAAAGCUUCAUACUCAUUCUGAUAGAUUGUUUCCUGAAAUUUGUUUCUGGUCUGAUAGCUAUCCGUCAAUAUUUACCUCCAACCUGGGAACGAAUCUACCACAUUGUCUUUAAUUUGAAAGAGCUAUGCUAAUUGAACUAUUGUGAAGAAUAAAUAUAUAAAGGCAUAAUAAGGCUCUAAGAAAGAUUCUGAAGUCUGCCUCCUAUCCACAAGCUACUACAACUCACAGCAGAAGUGUCACUAUUUACAUCACUGCAUUACCUUUUUGAUUGAUUUUAAUAUUACAACAGACGACUGAGAUGAUUUAAGUUAGCAUAGCUCUCAAGAUGAGAAAAACCACAAAAAUUGUGCAUAACCAUGUAUUCUUUGGUACAAUCGUUCAAUUAAUAAGUAUUUCAGAGAUUUGAGAGAUUGAGAAUUCUAUUAACUUUGUUUUAUGUCAGAUCCUAAUUAUUGUCAUGAAUUAUUCAUAGCAAGUUCAUUUACUGAACAGAUAAGAAACAAGAAUUUGAAAUAAAAUAAGGAUGAGUUCUUAAAUAUAUUUGGUAAAAACUAAAUUGUGAAGGUAAUCAAUAUUAUAAAUCCUUAAGAUGAAGUCCUUUCUUAAGGAUCAUUCAUGUGUGCUGAUGAUAAUGAACUCAAGUUGGCUGAGACUUCAUCUGUUGCUUUUUUUUUCGGACAACUGUUGCACCGGACUAUUCAUUACUCCUCAAGUCCUCUGUGGUGUGUUUGUGUUGCUUAGUGGGUGGUUACAUAUAUGGUAUAUAUUUCUCUACCCCCUUCCAUUUACUAUAUUUUGCUACCCCAAGUUAUUCACAUCAUUGAUAAUUUGUGCCUUGUUUAUUGAAUUCUUUGUGUGGUUACAUUUCUGUUGACAAGUGAAUUUUAUAAAUGACAAAAAUCACGUAGUCACUGAUUUUAGCUUCCAUAAGGCAAUAAUUUGAUCAAGUAUGAAUUCAAAAAAGCAUUUAUCCCUUUUAAAUAAAUAAUGUAUGUACACUGUUUGGAAUAACCAAGACACAAAAUGUCUGAUUAUAAGCUCACUAACAAAAAACUACACUAGAGAAAUGGGAAAGAGAUUAAUAUAAAGAAUCACUUAUGUUAGCAACAUUAGUACUAGUAGAUAUUGUAAAAUCAAGGACAACCUCCUAAGGCUUAGGAGAAGCUAUAUAUAACUCUUUCAACAUCUGUUAUUAGUUGGAAUUAAGUUCGGCUCAUGUGUUGGAUCACCGCUGUCAACAUCCUCUCGUUUCAUGCCAACCAUAUCAAUUUUUCUCAUUAUUUGUGAUUUCCAUUGCUUCAUUUGAUGGACUAAUAGAUUUUUCACUGCUUUCUUUGGAGAUUGAUUUUUCAGGCCAAAAUACAUUCAAUCCAUUACCUGUAUGUAUGACCAAAAUACAUUCAAUUCCUUUAUCAAAUCUUACCAUACAUCUAAAUAUGUUUGGUGAAAAAAAUGAUGUGUGAAGGUAAUUAGUAUUAUAAAGUCCUGAAGCAUGCAAUAAAAAGAAAGCCGACUGAAGUUUCUAUAUGUUAAAAUCAAACUGAAAGUUUCUAUAUGUGUGUUAAAAUCAAUCAAUUUGAUAAGGCAGAAAAUGCAUAUUAAAGUAUUCGCUAAGAUAUGAACUAUGUUUACCUGGAAACCAACGAUAACCAGUAAAGAGAUAUCAGUUAAAGGAAAUUGAAAUCUUCAGCAGCAAACAUCACUCCUAAAAUAUGCUCAACAACGUCGCCAAUUCUGGCUAUUGGUGUUUCCCCUGAUCGAACUUGAAACUCCAACUUUCCAUAAAUAUUUCAUACAUGAAGGGACUAUUUCAUAAAUGAAGGAUCAUAACCUGCAUAUUUUCAUGAACACGUGAAAUUAAAUUGAAAUCUAGUAGUAUAUGGAGUUGAACAUCUUAAUACUAUAGGAAUUGAAGAUCUAUACCAUAUCAAUACUAUGAAGGAUCAUAAGGAAGUGGAGACGCCAUAACGAUAAUCUGACCCAUUAGGUUGACAUCUUUAAUUGAUUUCGUCUCAGACAAAAAUCACAAGUUUCACAUAAAUGAAUUCAAAGAUGUCUUCUUCAUUCCAAUAAACAAUUUUUGGAAUAUGUGGUAUCCUGUCACAUUCCUCUCCUGCUCUCUCCUUACACUCCUUUAAUUUUAGGCAACCACGGAUACUCAUAAACUCAAGUGAAGUGAGGUGUCAAAUACCUUCUGGAAAGGAUCUCAAUCCUCGCAUUCAACAAUAUCCAUAGUUCAAAGAGAAAUAAAUGGCUCCUGUUCAGUUUCACAGGAGAUGCUCUCUGUAAGUGAUAUGACUAAUGCUAAUCUACUAAAAUAUAUGGAGUUAAAAGAUGCAAAAUUCACUUUGUUAUCAAAUAAAACAUUUGAUUUCUCAUUCAUAUCAUCCGAAAUUAUCACCUCUUAUAGUUUCUGUGGUUCAGCUGAAGCAUCCUCUUGCUUUCAGGAAAAGCAGUGGUCCGACACAAAUAUGGUUGGGAUUCAGCAGCAUUCCACAACAUAUCUGACACAAACAUAAUGAAAUAACAUGAGUGACUCGACUAGAAUCAUGAAUUACAAUGUCACCUUCCUAAUAAAGAGCUGUAUACACACCUGCAGAUUUUCUGUCUUUGGUUGGUAACAAUGACAGACACAUGGCAUCAUUUCUCACAAUAUUUACCAACACACGAGAAUUAUAAUAUGCAUUGGUUGUGACAAAAUGCUCUAGAUUGUUAUUGAUGUCGAUGAUAGUUUUACCCGGAGUAUUAUACACAUGUUGAUCUUGGCUUCCCUCACUCAAAAGAUGUUUUAACAACUAUGUAACAAGUGGUUCCUGCACAUAGAAAUUAAACUAAGACAAUAAUAUUGUUAUAAUGAUGUAAAAGAGACAAAGAAGCUUUAAAAAAUUGUUCCGACUAGAAAUUACACUCAGCCAUCAAAUUGAAACAUGCAAUUAUAGAUUUCAAUACCACAAAUAAAAAAAGGGAUAUUCAGAAACGUCAAAUAAGGAAACCAUAGUCAAGAGACAUGAGAGGCAUAUCCUGCAAAUAGAGUACCAAGAGAUUGUUAUGAAACACAGUCAAAAGAAAUAAAGAUGGAGGCAGAAACACCAACAUCUCUGUUUUUUGAUUCCUGUUGAAAUCAGUAGCAGAAACAUCACCUGCCAAAGAGUGAGCCAAACAAUAUAUAUUAUUCAAAUAAACAAUCUAAAACAAAUAAAUAAGAAUGACCAAUAAAAACUUAAGAAUAAAAAUCGAGAAAACCUUGACACCGAUCAGACUUUGCUAAUGGGUACGGAGCUCUGACCCAUUGUCACUUCCUCCACUCCAAAAGACUGCGUCUUCGUCAUUGGGUAUGUUUGUUCCAUUAAUCCCGUUAUUUGUCUUGUGUGUCGACGCCAAUCCUAACCAUUCAAUUAAAUCCCCACAAAAUCAGUAAAAUUAAAAAAAAAAAUCCAAAAUUCAAAUUAAAAAAAAUUAAACUAUGAUGAAGAAAAUGACCUGAAUUAGAACAUUUGUAACUUUAGUUGAGCAGUGAAAUAUCUUUCAUGUAGUCUGGAUCUCUUCCUGCGGAAUGGGUUCCAAAUAAGUCAACAACGAGAAUAAAAAUAAAGAUUUUUGAGCAGUUGAAAUCCAAACAUAAGAAGGGGAAAUUGAGAUCUUACCAGUAAAAUUGAUUUUUGCGAUGUUGAUUGUGGCAGAUAAGGGUAAACGUCUCUGCUUCUUAAUCCUCGGUAAACUGUAUUUUUGGAAUAUGAGCUAUCUUGUCCCAAUCCUCCCAUGUUCCCUCUUUGCAUCGUUCCUCUAAUGUUGGGCAUUCCCAAAUUGUCAGAACCUCAAGAGAAGUGAGGUGUCGAAUACCCUCCGGCAAGCAUCGCAAUCCUUUACAGCUAUAAAUCUGUAGAUUUCGAAGGGAAGUGAGGUGUCGAAUACCCUCCGGCAAGCAUCUCAAUCCUCUACAACUCGAAAUGUGUAGAGCUCGAAGGGAUUGAAGACCUUCCCAAUUUUGCUCUGGUAAGGACUCCAAUUGUGGGAACCAAUCUACUUCCAGAUAUUGAAGACAAGUAAGGUUUUUGAACAUCCCCUCUGGGAAGGAUGUUAUUCCUUCACCCUCCAUUAGGGUAAGCUGAGUAAGACCACGGAAGGUAGAGAUUGACCUCAGUAACUCAUUGUUACAUCCAUCCACAUAGAGGCCUUCAAGAGAUGGAAGAGAUGGCAGUCCAAGUUUAUGGCAAUAUGAGAUUUCCAAGUAAGAAAGACAAGGAAACAUCUCCCCUCUUUCCACUUUCAAUAACCCCUCUAUGUUUCGUAGGUAUCGUAAAUGGAGAUCCAUCAGAGAUCGGAAAACCAUCACCUCCACACCAUCCUGAGAUUCAUCAUCAUCCAAGUAUUUCAGAUUAUCCAUAUAAGAUAAUUCCAGUUUUUUUAGAGAUGGUAGUUUACCAAGUAACGGAAGCCGCACAAUUUUGUUGCAAUUCCGAAGUUCAAGAGAAAUUAAAUUACUAAGAAGGCUUAUCCAACUUGGUAACGAUAACCCUUCAUUGUAAUUUAUUGUCAAGCAUUUGAGAUUUGAGUGAGGUUGAAGCUCUUCAAGUACUUGCUCAGCACUAAUUAUAGAUUCCUGUUGGGAUAUCCAUGACAAGCAUAAUUCAUGAAGGUCUUUUUUACCCAUCAAAUUAGCCGCUUCAGCUUCAGAUAACCUGCCAACAUUGUUUAAUCCUUGGAUAUGCAGUUUUCCACCGAGGUUUAGAUCACGUAACUCUGUCAAGCUAUUCCCUUUCUCUACACUAACAAUGUACACACUUAAUGUUCUUAGACAAGUUAAUUUUCCAAUGUUAGGAAACAUUUGAGACAAAGACCGACAUUCUUCAAUGACUAUAUGCCUAAGAUUUUGUAAGCAAGCCAAGCGUUUUGGGAGACAACUCAGAUUACGACAGUCUUUUAUUUUCAAGAUUUCCAGUUUUUGUAAGUUGUAAAUUGAGUUAGGCAACUUUUCUAUGUCAAGAUAAAUAAGUUCCAAAUACCUUAAAUGAAUUAAACUCCAUAUUGGGAUCUGCAGAGAAAAUGUUCUUAAAACACGGAGAGAACUGCUUAAUGGGAAGUGAUCAUAUUUUGUUGUAAUAAAAUAAUAUUUCUUCAAGUCAAACAAUGUUCGCAAGGAUUCAACUUUUUUGAAAGCAUUUUCAUCGAAGGAUAAAAAUUUCUUGCUGUUAAAACCAAUGUGGUGUGUGCUUUUUGACAAAUUAGUCGUGUUUUUAUUCUCCAAACACGUACAUUCUUGCCCCAUUACUGAUUGAGCGAGAUCAUGGACAAGAUCAUGCAUCUUGAAAGAAAUGUCUCCAGAAUAUUCAUCCAUCUUGCUAUCUUGAAAGAACGAUUUUCUGUACAAUUCCUUCCAAACCAUGUUUCCAACAUCUUCAACCUCUAAAUUCCUCUUUGCAAUAAAUCCAUUAGCCAUCCAAAGCUGAAUCAAUUCUUCCUUCAGGAUUUCUCUAUCUUUGGGAAAUAUAGCACAAAAGGAGAAACAUUGCUUUAGGGUUGGUGUUAAAUAAAAGUAACUCAACCUCAAAGCAGGUAAAAUAGAUUUUUCAUGUGGUAAAUCCCAAAGCUCACUGUCUUUAAUAUCAAGCCAUUCCUUUUCUUCAUUCAUUGAGACCAUUAAACCCCCCAAUGCUUUUGCUGCAAGAGGCAAUCCAUUACAUUUCUUUACUAUCUCCUUUCCAAUCUCCACAAGCUUUGUAUGCUCUUCUUUGUUACGUCUAAAUGCAUGUUGUUUGAACAACAACCAACAAUCACUAUCUGAGAGACCAGAUAAACGGUGACUUUCCCAUGUCCCCAUGAUUGUUGCAACAUCCUCAUCACGAGUGGACACUAAAAUGGAACUACCUUUUGAUCCACACGACAAAACAGAUUUCAAACGAUUCCAUCUAUCUUGUGUUAACCCAGAUUCCAAUUGUUCAUUUUGAUUCCACACAUCAUCCAAAAUCAGCAAAUAUAUUUUCCGUUGCAACAAUCCUUGCACCUUUCUUUCCAAGACAUCUAACUCAAAGUCAUGACACUUCUCUAAUGUAAUAGAUUCUAUAAUACAACACAAAAUCCUCUUGACCGAGAAAGUCUCAGAAACACAAACCCAAAUUUUUUUAUCAAAAUUGCGACUCACCCUAACAUCAUUGUAGAUCAAUUGAACAAGAGUUGUUUUUCCAAUACCACCUAAACCAACAAUGGGAUAGACAGAAAUGAAGUUAGAGUCCUUCGCAUAGGUGAGAAGAAACUCGACAAUCUUUUCUUUAUCAUCGUCUCUUCCUAAUGCUUUUGAUUCAAGAGGGGUGGAGCUGGUUUGGCGCCCUUCAGCUACUUGAUCUGGGAUUACCCUAAGAGUUUCACCCGUCUGUAGAGAAAACUUGUUCUUUCUUUCAGCAAUAUCAUCUAACCUCCUUGUAAUCUCUUUCAACCUGUUACCAAUCUCAUGGCGAAACAUGAUGUUCUUUGGUUUGAAAGAGGUAAAUCCUCUGAGUCGACAAGACUCGAUCGAGUACUCAUCAAGGAUAUCAUCGAGCACAUAAACAGCAUCUUUGAGGUCUUGUAACCAUAGCUUAAUAGAGAGUUCUUUGAAUUGUUUCUUCUCAGCAUCUUCAAGAACAGCUUUGAUGUGAACUAAGUUGUCUGAUAGCUUUUGAGCCUUUGACUUGAUUCCAGAAAUGGUUGAAAAUUCAUUUUGAAGGAGAGAUGUCAAAUUUUCGAACACAACUCCAAGCAAAGCGCAAGCCAUUUUUUUGUGAAAACAAAUUAAAGAGUUGAAAAGAUAAGAAGACGAGAAAUUUGUUUAGAUAGAAUGAGUGUUGAACCAAGCUGGAGGACCUUUGAAAAUAAAUGCAAUGAAAGUAGAAAGUCAGCAUGUAGGUGCUCACAAACAGAAUAACGAUCUUCAGAAAAUGUUUAUGAAUCUAGUGCCUGCAUUUUUUUAUUUACGUUCCAUAUAAAAUUUCAUUCAAGUUGGUGUAACGUCAUUCACUUAUAUUUAAUCUUUAAAAUUUCAUGCCACUAGUGUUUAAAUUUAGUACUCUGGGUCAGGGGUGGAUCUGGUUUCACAAUAUUAAUGGGGCAAUUUUUUUUUUUGUCAAACAAUUAAAUAAUAUUAAAUUUGAUAAGAAGAUAUAUUAAAAAUAGUUGUUGCAACCAAAAUUACAAAGAAAAGUAUCUAUUUUUCAUUUGUUGAAUAUAAACUAAAAUUAUAUAAUUACUAAUUGUUCUAAGAACAUCCCUUUCUAUAUAGAUUACAAGAGAUGAAUCAAAUGCUCUAAGAGGAUACCCAUGCAUAUGGAUGGGUGAGCGUGUUGCGCUUUUUUUGAAAGUAAUUCACAAUUGUGUAGAAAUUAUAUAUAUAUAUAUAUAUAUAUAUAUAUAUAUAUAUAUAUAUCAUUGUAUUGAUUUUUUUGAGAGCAUAUUGAUAUAUGAAUAAAAAUAUAGAUAUAUGUAUAAACUGUACAAAAAAAUUAUUUAUUUAUAAAAUAUGAGUACAAAUACAGACACAUUUAUAAAUAAAUAAAUAGGUUCUCUAAUUAAUAUAUGAAUAACAAAAACCCAUUUGGGGUUGGCCCAGCGGUUGGCUUGGGAUCUUGGAGUUUGCUCCUUCAGAGGUCUCAGGUUCGAUUCACUCUGGUGUCAAUUUCGGUGGGCUAAGUCCAUACAGAGCUUGCUCUGGCUUUAAACGAUGCCCCCGCAAGUGGGCGGUGGGAUUGGUCCCCUCGGAUUAGUCAAUUCUUGGAUCGGAUACCGAGUUUUCAAAAUAUAUAUAUAUAUAUAUAUAUAUAUAGGGGUUUGCUAGAACACACCCACUAGUUUUUAUGUGGGAGUGUUUUAGCAAAGCUACACCUUAAGGUGUAUUUAACCACUUUUUAGUUAUUCAAUUGCUAAAAUACUCAUUCUAAAAACUAAGUGGAUGUAUCCUAGCAAAUGCCUAAAUAAAAAUAUAGACAUCUGUAUAAAUUAAAAAAUAACAUAUAACACCAUCUUAAUAUAUGAAUGAAUAUAUAGAUACAUGUAUAACAUAAAAAAAAAAAAAAAAUAGUUGUUUAUAUUAAUAUAUCUUGGAGUUUGCUUCUCCAGAGAUUUUAAGUUCGAUUCUUGGAUCGGAUACCGAGUUUUAAAAAUAUAAAAAAAAAAAAAAAAAACACCUUGUCAAGAAAAAAAAAGAACACCCUUUUUUUUUUGGUACAAAAAGAACACCUUUUUAUUUAUUUAAUUAAAUAUAAGUUUCAAUACGAUUAUGGUUAAGGAGGUCAUUCAGUGAUACCUCUAUCUACUAUAAAUAAAUAAAUUUAGGAAAACAAGUUGACCAACAAAUUUAUUAUUCGAAAAAUAGUUGACCCACAAAUUCAUAAUAGUAACCGUAUGCUUGUGUUUUUUGACAACUGUUUUUUUUGCAAACAAAAAUCUUUUAUUUUUUUAAAAAAAGAAAAACUUUUACACAUUUUCAUUCAUUAUAAAAAGUGAUAUAUUGUUAUUUGUCAACUUUAUCUUAUUUCUAUAUGCCACUUUAUUGUUAUGAGAUUAUUUUGUGGAAUUUUUUUUUUCUGACCCUAUUGGCCAAAAAUAUAUAUAUACAUUUGAACUAGGCGCAUAUGGGUCAUUGUCAUUCAGUGUUAUCACUAAACCAAUGUAUAUUUGAUGUUAAUUUUGCGCAUCCAAUAAUAUAUAUACCAUUUUUUAAAUCAGUUUCACACACCAUGAGGCAUGAACCAUCCAAUUUUUCAUUUUUGUUCCCUCAAAAAAAAAAAUCAUUUUUGUUUUUUUAAUAUAAGUCUUAUAAAAAAAAUAAAUAUAGGGUCCCCAUGAGCUUAGAUUUUAAGGUAAAUUUCUCUAGCUACUAGGCUAUUUGACAAAAAAAAAAUAAAUAGGAGAUUUUAUAAUUUUAAUUGGAUUCUAUAUUUUAUUUUGAAAAAUUACUUGAAUAUGAACAAAAUCUAGAUUUUAUUUUGAAUAUAUAUAUAUCUUGAAAUAAUAUAUAUGUCAUUUCGUCGGAUAAUUAUCGGUGAAAAAUAUAUAUUUCGUCGGAUAAUAAUAAUAUAUAUAUAUAUAUAAUUUAUCGGUGAAAAAAAUUAUUUCGUCGGAUAAUUUUUCACAGAUAAAUUAUAUAUAUAUUCGUCGGAGAUCCUAAAUUAUCCAAUUAAAAAAACAAAAAUGAAAAACUGGAUGGUUUGUGGUGUGUGAAACUGAUUUAAAAAAUGGUAUAUAUAUUAUUGGAUGCGAAAAAUUAACAUCAAAUGUACAUUGGCUUAGUGGUAACACUGAAUGGCAAUGACCUAUAUGCGCCUGAUUCAAUUCCUCCUGAGUGAAAAAUUUUAAUUUUUUCUCAAAUAAAUAAAAAAAAGCAAAAAACGAAAAAAAAAUAAAAAAAAUUGAUUUUUUUUAAAGGGGGUCAGAGCUGAAAUUUUUUUGGCCAAUAGGGUCAGAAAAAAAAAAAUUCCUAUUUUGUGCUGAUGAGUCACUACAUAGUAGAGUCGACGGUUGUUGUCAAUUAUUUGAAUAUAAUUUUUGCAUCUUCUAAUAAAAAUGAGAAUAACUAUAAUAUUCUAAUUAUAUAAAUGUGAAUAACUAUAAUAUUCAGGAUUUAUACGGGGACAAACAUGAUUUUCCAAAUUUUAGAUUCACUUAAUUUCUUUUUUUGAUGUUAUUUAUUAGGGUUUUGGCUUAAUCCCUCUUUUACAUAAUUUUUCCUUUUUUAAUAAAAUUUCAGAGUAAAUGAUAGAAAAUAGGAGCAGCUUACCAACCUAGUUGAGAUGUCUAUAAUUUCUUCUUUAGUUUACCUUUCUUGCUCUCUUGAUUAAAAAAUAAAUAAAGAAUCUACUUUUACAUCAAAGUUCAUGAAUCUAGUCCUAGUGGCCUGUAUAAUUGCUAGGAAGAGUUUGAUUGAUCCACUUUAACCAUUAAUACGUGGCCGACAAAAUAAUGAAAUAACUUUGCUUUAUGAAAACUUUGAUUUGGCAUUUUAAUUUCGUACCCUAGCUAAGGAGUAAGGACGAUAACCGGUUGUUGAUGGGUCCAACUCUCUAAUAUCAUUCUUGUAUUGCAUUUACAAUGUUUGUUCAUACACAUAAUUAGGACAUGAAACUCUCAAGUCUCAAAUGAAAGAAAAAUCAAUUUUACAGUUAUUUCAUUAGUUUUUUUUUUUUUUUUUUCUACCAAUCAUUUUUAAAUGCCCAAGCAAUUCAUCUUGCACAAAAUAUUGAAAACCAUCUAACCGUCAAAACUCAAGUUUCAAUUUCAUCUUGGGAUGACAAUGGGUAUCCAAUGGAUAGAAUACUAUAGUAUCCAUCCUCAUACCAUUAUUUAUAAAAAAUAUCCGUACCCGAAUCCGUAUCCUCAAUGGGAAAAGGGUGUAUUUAUAGUAUUAGAUAAAACAAAACAAAAAAAAGAAAGAAAAAAAAAACAGAGAAGUGCUAUUUUCCACAAAGAUUUUUCCAACAAAUACCAAGAAUGUAUUGCUUUUCUGUUUUAUAGAGAUGGAGGAAAACUAUUAAUUCCGGAUUUAAUGGAAAUCAUGGCCAUGUGUUUAUGAAAAUGGAUGGCGGAUAUCAAGUCGUGGUUUUCGUGGAUAACAGAUUCGUAGGAACAAGCAUUUUCCAAAAAAAAACUCAAUGGCAUGCUCGCCAUUUUAAACAUAGAGCACAAAAAUGUCAUCGUGAGCUUAGUUCAGUUGAUAUGAACAAUGCAUAAUAUAUACAAGGUUUGGGGUUCAAACUCCGACCAACAAACAAAACAUAGAGCAUAAAAAUAAAAAUAAAAAACCUAAAGAAAAUGGCUAGUUCGCCAUUUCAUAUCAAGAACAGGAAAUUAAAUACUAAAAAAAUAUUAUUCCGUUUCAAAAUAUAAGCAAAUUUUAUUUUUUAGGUUCAUUUAAUUAAUUAUGUAUAUAGUUCAUAAUAUAGACCACAUAUAUCAUUAAUUGAAUGAAUUUAAAAAAUAAAAUUUGCUUAUAUUUUGGAACUGAUGGAGUAUAAUGCUCGGCAACUGAAAUGUAGAGUGCUGAGAAGUUCAGGAAAAAACCUGCGGUUUCACAGAAAAUGUUGAAAAAACUGGCAUGGUCGCCAACAUAUCAAUUUUUUUCUUUACAGGGACAGAAGAAAAAAAAAAUCAGAUUAUUUUGUGCUGAUGAGUCACUACAAAGUAGAGUCGACGGUUGUUGUGAUUAGUCAAUUAUAUUUAUAAUUUUUGUAUCUUCUAGAAAAAAUGAGAAUAACUUUAAUAUUCUAAUCAUAUGAAUGUGAAUAACUAUAAUAUUCAGGAUUUAUACAAGGACAAGCAUGGUUUUCCAAAUUUUAGAUUCACUUAAUUUCUUUUUUGUUUUUGUUAUUUAUUAGGGUUUUGGUUUAGUCCCCCUCUUAUAUAGUUUUUCCUUUUUUAAUAAAAUUUCAGAGUAGACGAUAGAAGAUGGGAGCAGCUUACCAACUUAGUUGAGAUGUCUAGUUUAUUCUUUAAUUUACCUUUUUCUCUCUUAAUUCAGUAUCGUUCAUUCCCAAAGUAAAAGUCGAAAAUGCCCCUACGCAUGUUAACAUGCUCUAGUGCAGAUUAUAACGUAACUUAAAAUAAGUAGCGUGACUUAACAUGCGCUAGUGUUAUUUGUGAGUUAUUUGUUGAAUGCUUAGCGCAAGUUAACAUGCGCUAGUGUAUUGUGAAACGUGAGUUAACUCACGUUGCCAUUUGCACUAGCGUGAGUUAACUCACGUUCAUAGCAGACAACAGAAACUGCAAUAAAUGCAGUGCAGUAACAGAACUGGAACUUGAAAAGUGUAAAAUGACCCGUAAUCACGCCACAUUCAUAACUUAACCGAAUUACGCCAGUUUAACAAGAGUAUCGGAUAAUACGACAUAAUCAAUCCAAAUUACUCAAAAACAUCGUUUUUCUCACAAUCACGUAAUCACACAUAAACGAUCCAAACGGUCCAAAUUUCCCGAAAAUACACAAGAUAUAAGCAGACUUAAUGACACGUAAACAAUCCAAAACAAUUCAUUUCAUAUAUUUAUAUAAUAUUAGUUACAUAUUGGCCAUAAAUAUCAAAAUUACACAACCGGCCACCAAAAAAAUAUUUCGGGGUGUAAUACCAACAAAAAAAAUGACGAACACCGACCGACCCAGAAGUGUCAUAACAUAUCUAACUAGACUAGUGAUAGUGCAUAUUCUUCGUAUUCAUCCAUGACUUCGAUCUCUUGCUUUGGCUUUUCCGGAGUGUCCAAAUUAAUAGGAUUGUGCUCAUUUGUUGGUUUCUUUGGCGGCAUCGGAUCCUUAGACAUGAGCUCAUCGAAGGCGGCUUGUCUAUCCAAAAACUGAAAAAGCCAUUGCUUCGCCACACUUUCUUUGUUUUUUUCCUUCAAAUCCGUGAGAAUAUUCCUAGGCUUUGCCAAGCUCUUUGUCAUGUCGAUAACUCUUUGCUUAUCCUUCCCUCUUAGUCGACCCGCAAGAAGGUGGCCGAAUAAAUUUGGCGCCAAGUCAUGGUUGUGAACUCCACAAAGCAUUGUAAUCCACCAUUCUUAUUUUUUUUUUCAAAGAAACAUUUCAACCUAAACGGACAGUUACACUUCCUUGAGCCCGUGCCUUCAAGCUUCGGUUUCUUCCUCGUCUUAUGUGGCUUGUAUUCACCACUCCUCUCACAUUGCGUCGUCACGUAUGGCACUAUAGUACUAGAUUUAUCUAUAGAAAUAGUAAAUCCCUCCCUACCCACUUGUCGAUAAACCCAACCAAGUAAUUCUUCUCGAUCUUUCCAUCUUUCAUUUGUUGUAAAAAUGACCCGGUGUUUACUUGAAUAACACGAACACCGGUAGGUACCAGUUUAGGCUUCUCUUCAAAGUUACCAGUAGGUACCGGUUUUGUUUGGCUGUGAACUAUGUGAGCUUCAACUUGAAAAGGAAUUUUCACUUUAAACUUCACAUCAUUGGUUGGUUUGCGUACGCCGGAAGCUUUGUUUAUGCCCGUUUCGGCUCAACGCCAUCCUCCGCCACAUUUUCAACCAUGCCACUCAAUGUCUACUCAAUAAAAAAAAAUAAAGAAAAAAUAAAUAAGUGACUUGUGCGGCAAGCAAAGGAAAUAAAAAAGUGGCGCAAAAUUUCAAAUUCUGGGCUACUGUUAGUAGCGUGAGUUAACUCACGCAAGUGCUAUCUACCUACGCAACUUAAGUCACGUUGCCCUUACAACUAGCGUGAGUUAACUCACGUUGAGCCCAACGCUUACUGCAAUGAAAAACGAAACUACCAGCAAACCCAGCAAAAAGGAAAAAGUUUUGAUUGUACAUUACCUGUUCUUUGAUGCUUGAUGAGCGUAGAAACUUGUCUCCUGACGAUUUGCAAUGAUUUGGAAUGAAGAUUUUGACUCAAAAUUUCGCACUUUUGGGGGUUUUUGGAGGUGGAGGGAAAGAAAAAAUGGAGCUUUGUGGUUGCCUGCUGGGUUUUGAACGAAAAUAGUACUUGACGCAAGUUAACAUGCGCUACGUGACUUAACUCACUCUGCGUGACUUAAGUUAAGUUCUCCUUAUAACUAGCGCAUGUUAACUCACACUACGCAAGUUAACAUGCGUAGGGACAUUUUCGACUUUUACUUUGGGAAUGAGCGAAUUCAUUUGGGUAAUGAGCAGAGAUCCAUAAAAAAAAAAAAAAAAGGUUUAAAUAUGUCUUUAGUCCUUGCACUUUUAUCAGAUUUUUGCAUUGGUCCCUACACUUUUUUUUUUUUGUUUAGAAUUGAUCUCUGCACUUUGUAAAAAUAUUGGUAUUGGUUCCUCUAUUAACUUUCUGUUAAAAAAAACACAAAACUAUUGAUAUUGGUCCCUGCACUUUGUAAAAAUAUUGAUAUUGGUGCCACGUGGCGUGAAAUGAUUGAGCCACGUGGCACUCCGUUGGUUUUGUUUUUUUUUUUUUUUAACAUAAAGUUAACAGAGGGACCAAUACCAAUAUUUUUACAAAGUGUAGGGACCAAUGCCAAAAUCUGAUAAAAGUGUAUGGCUCAAUGACACAUUUAAACCAAAUAAAGAAUAUAUAUGAAUCUAGUCCUAGGGGCCUGUAUAAAUCUAGUCCUAGUGGCCUGUAUAAUUGCUAGGAAGAGUUUGAUUGAUCCACUUUAACCAUUAAUACGUGGCCGACAAAAUAAUGAAAUAACUUUUCUUUAUGAAAACUUUGAUUUGGCUUUUGUGACAGGUUAUAAUGCUAUGUUAUAACUUUACACUUUACUUAUUUAAUUUCAUAUAAAAUUUCAUUCAAGUUCUGGUGUAACAUCCAUCAUUCAAUGAUAUUUAGUCUUUGAAAUUUCAUGCCACACUGGCAUUUUAAUAUCGUACCCUAGCUAAGGAGUAAGGACGAUAACAUUAACCGGUUGUUGAUGGGUCCAACUCUCUAAUAUCAUUCUUGUAUUGCAUUCAAUGAUAUUAAUGUUUGUACGUACCCAUAAUUAGGACAUUCUCUAGUCUCAAAUGAAUAAUCAAUUAAACAGUUAUUUCAUUAGCUUUUUUUUUUCUACCAAUCAUUUUUAAAUGCCCAAACAAUUCACCUUGCACAACAUAUUGAAAACCAUCUAACCGUCAAAACUCAAGUUUCAAUUUAAUCAUUUAACUCAUUACAUAUCAACAUGUACAAAACUUUGUUUCCCAUAUCACAUGCUCUACCUCAUUAAUUUGUCCAAUUUUGGAAGCUUCUUCAACGUACUUGAAGUGACUAUUAAGUCCUCUCAACAAUGCAAAAUCGAAAGUUACUAAAACGAACUAGAAAUACUAUAGCUAAAAUAUGCACUUAAGAAAAAGUUUAAUUCUUCAUAUCCUUCCAGUUGUGGUUAAAGAGUUCAAUGGAUGCAUCAACAACUUGCUACUCAGAAUAUUCCUUAGUAGUCAGCAGAUUUUGUAGCAGUAAAAUUCUUUAGUAAAAAACCCAGAAAAAUAUUUAUCUUAGGAAAAAAGAAAAGGCUUAUAUAAUGUUAACAACAUACUACAUUACCUGCACAAUUAUUUGAAAACUACCGCAAAGGUUGAUCGAUAAAAUAUCUCUUGUGUACACUCUAGUGCUGAUUCUUCGAAACGUGUUAAAACCAAUUCAACCAAAGCCUGAAAAUCACUCCAUAUGGAGCAUAUAUAACAAUGUUUUGAAUGAAAAUUAAGUAAAUUAAGCACUUGAUGAAAUCCAAACAUGUGAUUCAAUGACUUUUGAUCUCAUCACAUGUGUAUUCACAAUGGCAUAUUUGAUAUCAGACAACUCAGCAGAACGAUGUACAAGAGACAAACAAGAAGCUUUAAAAAAUUGUUCGGACUAAAGAUUGUAGUCAAUCAUCGAAAUGAAGCCAUGAACAUGAAGAGCCCUAAUGGCAGCAAGCCUAUGAAAGAGGGAUAUUUACUGAACUGAUAACAAAUAAGAAAAGAGGGAUAUUCCAUUAGACCCACGUUUAUUUGAAAUAUUGAAUCAUGAUAUGUAAAUGAAAAGCUAAAUAGCACAUAGAAAACAAAAAUAAAACCUAAAGGGGGUGUUUGUUUCAAGGUUAAGAAUGACAUUCCCGGGAAUACAUGGCUAGGGAAUGAUUAUACCCAUGUUUGUUAUGAGGUUGAGAAAAAAAUAUUCCUGGGUAUAAAGAUUCCUGGGAAUGGAGUAACUUCCCAUAACUUCCAUUAUUCCCAUGUAAAGAGAUGGGAAUGUGCAUUCCCAUGAUAUUAUGCAUAGAUUUAAAAAAAAAAAAUUGUAACUUCCAAUUUUUCCAGGAAUGUCAAGUUAUUUGCCAAACACUUUUUUUAACAAAUACCCAAUAAUCAAAUUUUCAUAUUUUCAUUCCCGGGUAUAUUAUUCCUGGGAAUAAUUUGUGUUUUCCAAAAACAAACGCUCGUAUGCACAAAAGUUCAACCAUACUCAACAGGCACACAUUGCAAAAAUUCAAUUAGUUUAGAAAUUAUGGUAGGCAAAAGCCAUAUGUAAUACAUGAAUUUCUGAUACUAAUCGAAUGGCAUUAUUGUGUACCAAAACAUUUGAUUUUGUCAAUGUAAGCUCCCAUUUAUUUAUCCAUCAACUAAGCCAACAGUCACUAUAUCCUUCCUCCACAUACUUCCUGCAAUUGAUGAGCUGCAAGGUUCUGAUUCAUUCAUUUGACGCACAUCCAUCUGAAAUAUUGAAUCACGAUAUAUAAAUGAAAAGUUAAAUAGAACAUGGCAAAAAGAAAUUACUCAACAGGCACACUCUGCGAAAAUUCAAUUAGUUUAUAAUCCAUGGUAGGAAAAAUCCAUAUGUAAUAUGUACAUAAUUUCAGAUACUAAUGAAAUAGAAUUAUCCAACAAAAGACAAAUGCUAGGAAAGACCCGAAAUGAAUUUAUAGAGUGGCACCCCUCCUUACAUGUUGGUUUUGUAGGGUUGAGUUAGACCCAGUGUACAAUAUAAUAUGGCAUUAGAGCCUAUGGAUUCAGACCACCUACCAUUUAUAUCCACGCACCAAGUCCAAUAGUGUUGGGCAUGAGGAGGUGUAUUGGGAAAAACACAAGCCCGACAUAGGAUAAAGAUAAGACAUGAAAAAUUUAUAAAUAGUGGCACCUCUCUCCUUACAAAUCGGUUUUAUAGGUUUGAGUUUGGUCCAAUAUAGAAAUCUACUACAUUGUAUGGUAGAAUGUUAGAAAACAACCCAAAGUGAAAGAAUAAAAGGAAAUAAAUACGGUUAUUUAUUAUUUGCAUAUACCUGUUGAUGAAGGAAUCGGUGUGCGACCUUGUAUUCCCUCUGGAGGAUGAUGUGCUGAACAGAACAAUCUGAACGCCCACGGUGAAGAAUAUUGUUGCAGCCCUGGUGAAGAACAAUGCUGUAGUGCAGAACAGAACAAUCUGAACGCUCCUGGUGAAAAAUAUUCGAUACGAAAUGCUCGAUGCUCUGAAAUAAAAAUCUGAACUUGCUUCGAAUUUGAACAGAAAUUCUUGAUGCCGGUGGAAUCUGGAGAGAGGCCAUGAAAGGUGGAAGAAAUUUUGGAAUUAGGAUUCUAUUUAAAUUUGCUUGUUUUGAGAGUAUUUGGGCAUCCAAUUGACACCUCUAGUCUACACAGUGAACCACCACAUUAUGCAAACGUGCACCUUAGGUAUAGACAAUAACAAAACAAUAUAGAAUGAAUUCUUAUAAGUUAGUUCAUGAAAACAAAAUAUUUCCAUUUUGAUAUCAGAAAUGGUCAACUCAGACGUAUGCACCCUUCACUCUUAGUGGUAAUGGACAGUCUUAUCAUGUAUUACAGAUUUCGAUUCCCCAAACAAAAAUGGAUAUCUAAUACAUGUUCUCUCACUGAACCGAUUAGAAGUUUUCUACUGGAAUAGGUAGCAACUGAACAUAGAUCCAUUUUCUAAAGAUCAUUGAAAAUAUUUGUCGGGUCGAUUGAAAAGUCAAGUAAAUGAUAAAAUCUGGAUUUUAUUUAUAAAAAGAAUCGAAAAAUCCAGAAAAAAAAAGUACCUGUUGGGCAAUAAUGUUCUUUCUCUCCUUUUCUUUAACUUUCUUCUCAUUUUCUGCUUCAACUUUGUCUUUUAUAAGCUCAUCUACCUUGCUCGUAUAUUCCCGAAUAGACUAGAGAAAAAUAAAAAAUGAUUAUUAACAAAAGAAAAAAAUGUUUGUCCUUAAUAAUAAUUGUAAUGAAAGAGACCCUUGUAAAAAACAUACCUGUAAGAGAUAAGGGAAGGAAAAAUCCAUCAUAUUGUUCUUCCAAGCUAGCUCUAAUGCAACAUCUGGCCGUAUUAGAUCAUAACAAGUAGAGAGGCACGAUGCAAAACACUCUUUCUUCCCCUGAAAAACAAAGACAGAAAGAAAUCUUGACCAAGUAAGCAGUAAUGAAGUGUAGAAAGAAUGAAUAUAAUUCAUAACGAUGAAGAGGUCACACCGCAGAAUGUGACAGGGCCUAAUCUGGCAAGGAUCUAAUAAAUGUACACCUGCUCACUAAAAUAAACAAGCAAAUCCUCUGAGAGUUUCUGGUCACCAGAUUGAUAGCAAGUUUCCAUGCAGUCCUUGUAAAGUUUGUCUUUCUUUAACAUACAAAUGGACUGUUUCCAUCUUCCAGCUUUCUUGUAAAUAUAAGCAGCAACACGUCUCAUCUCAAGGAGCUCGUGCUUCUCAAUCUGAUCAUGUGUAUUGUUGAAACCAAUCAAUAAUCAUUCAAGAUUUAGAAGUUUGCGAAAAGGAUGUAGAACUCAAUUUGGCCAAAUAAGUAAGAUAAGGAAAAUCCACCUUCUGUGCAAGACCUAUCUGAUUGAAGUUGUCAUACAGAUCUAUCGAUUUACGAAGUCUAUCGUAGUCCACCUCGUCAACAUAAAUUUCAUGCAAAGCUUCAUUAAUAGAAAACACAUUGCUGCUUUGAACUUCAACCAUGUACGGCUUUAUCAAUCGGAUAUGGCCUGCCUAAAAAUCAGAAAAUUCGAGCAACAAGUAUAAUUAUUGCAUUAAUCAUUUGCAACUAAUUAUUUACAUAACCUAAUAAGAUUAAAAUUACAGAUAUUAGGCAAUAGAGUACAAGAAAUAUAGACCUUCUGCGCUAUUUCUACAAUACGGGCAUGUUCCACAUGACGGGCAAGCACAUUAAGAAGAUCAUUUAUAAUAUCAGGAUGUUCUUGCAAGUAGAAAUGAACAGCCUUAUAAUAUAGUUCUACACGACCAACAUUUACUAUAAUAUGUUUGAAUUGCAUGUGGUCCCAUGCUUCUCGAGAGUGAUUCAUUACAGUGAUUGCAGCAUUAUUAAACUCUUCAAAUUGCACAUAUAGGUAUGUGAGUUCUUUCCAGAGUUGAUGUUCAUCACACGCCUGAAAAAGCUUGAGACUGUUGAGGUUGGUUGAGAACAACUUAAUGUGCUCCAUUAACAUCUCAGGACGAUAUCUUGCGUAAAGAACUCCCAACUCAGUAAAGAUACUCUCAUGAGCACACUCCAGUUCUAUCCCUUUCUCCAUUAGAGAGAUGAGUUCAUUGAAGCGUCUUCUGUUCUGAUAAUACUUGCAAACUUCUUCCAGAUCGUCCGCCUUCAUAAAAAUGAUGAGUGAUUAGCCAUAAAAACGGAAAAUAACAAACAAAUCAACAGUUUAUCUGCUACUUAUUGUGUAUACUAAUAACUAGAUGUUCUAUACUUCACCGGAACACAUCCCAUUAACUUGCAUGCAAUGAAAUUGAAAUAUGAGCGGAAAACCUGGAUACUGAAAAUUGGAGACAUAGGGACAGGGGUGGUAUUACUGUCAGAAAAAAUAAACGAAAGUUUAAGCUAGAAAUCGUGCCACCUGAACAAUAACAUUGAGACCACAAAUCUGAGCUAAGGAGGAUUCCCCAGCAUCAAUGCAGGAAAAACAAACAUCCUUCCAUGUUUUCAAACUGUUUGCUUUCUUAGCAGCAUCAACAGCAUCUUGGAAUUGUUGAAGCUUCACCAAUGUCACUGCUAACUUAGCCCAGUCAGGGAUAAAAGCAAAUAUAAUUUUUGCAGCCUCAUAAAGCGCCUCAGCAUACAAGCGGUCUCCAACAUUUGGCAAAUUAGAAACAUUUGGCAUCAAAAUAAACUCUUCAAUUUCUCCAAGCCGACCAAUCUUUGCAUACGCAUAAAUGAGCUCACUGUCCACCUUGGGCUCUUUGGUCUUCUGCCUAACCAUGAGAAGGUACUUUACUAGGUCAUGGUAUACAUUUGCAACUUCAGCAGCCUUUAUAACCUCUAAAAACUGAGUGGCAUCAUCUGCACGGAUGAACAACUCAAUUGCAUCACUUACUAAGCCUUUUCUUAGUUUCGCCUUAGCCACCUGGCUCCAUACAGAAUCUUCUUCAACGCAGAAUGCAAACUCCAUAGCUCGAUCAAUGGUCUUAAGGUUAUCUAGCAGAACAUUAACAGCCUUAACAUUCAGAUUAAAUUUCUUGAAAACGGCAAAAGCUUCUUCAUAUAAGCGUGCUUCCACUGCCGCCUUCCCGACAGCAGAGCCAUCAAAGUUGUCCAGCCUAUUUAUGUAACCCAUGACUCUUAAAGGAUCUGCUUUUAUUGCAGCAAGGAUCAGUAAGCUUUUUAGAGUGAAGUUUGCACUAAAAGCAGAAUUAUGUAGCACAAUCUUGUCGAGAAGGUCAAUCACUUCAUGGGUAAGAUUGGCAGUCAUAAAAGCUUUCACUGCAGCUGAAACUUGGUCAGGACUCUUGCAUUUAGGCAAAGCAGUAGACACCACUUGAUCAAUCAACUGUCUUCUAAACACGUUCCCAGGAUUUAGAACCUCUUUCCAGAGGCCACCAUCCAUCCGUUCCAUAACAUAUCUGACACAAACAAUAUCAUAAAUAAGACGAGUGUCCCAGACUAGCAUUUUGAAAUACAAUAGCACAAUAUUAAUGAAGAAUUGUAUACACACCUGGCUUGGAGUUUGAACAAGGAAUUUUUAUUGGUCACAUUAACAAGCUCAUAAUCACAUUUCCCCCUUGUGUAAGCAACAACGGCAAGUGUUGGGUCCCUUUGCUCACAAUAUUUACCAAUAACACGAGAAUCAUAAUAUAGGUUGGUUGUGAGAAAAUGUACUGGAUUGCUAUUGCUGUCAAUGAUGAUUCUCCCAAGAGCAUUAUGCACAUGUACAUCUCGGCUCCCCUCCCACACAAGAUCCUCCAAGAUCUGAGUAAGCAAACGAAGACGAUUCCUGCAUAUAGAAAGUAAAAUGAGAAAAUAAUAUGGUAAUGUGGAGAUGCAGGGCAGAGAGAAAAAUAGCAUACCUCUUUACAAAUUCUUCAACUAAAGGCUCAACUGGGAAAGGAGAACGAAUCGAAAGUACAAGACCUUUAAUGAAAUUUUCAGGGCAUCGAUCAUCUAACAACUGCCCUACAACUAGAGGAAUCUUUUGAGGAUUGACCUAUAGGUAAGAAAUAUAAUGUUAGAAAUUCACGUUUAAGAUUAGCAUAGAAAGAUUCAAAAUUAAAUGCAAUCACAAAAAAAAAGUUACCCUUUGAACAUAUUCUUCAACAUAAUGAAGCAUGUUUUGACUAUAGAGAUAAUGUAUGAGAUGAGGAACAAAACCAAAACGAUCACACACAUUAAUCAGUGGCCGUGCAUUUGGAAGGUUGGUCUUCAUUAGAAAGUUCUUUGUCUUCUCAGCAUCAUAAUAGCAUGAUUCCCGGGUUACACGCUCUACCUCCGUAAUAUGUCCCGUUUUAACAGCUACUUCAAUGUACUUGAAGUGAAUGUCAGGAUUCUUACUGUACAAUACAGAAUCAAAAGCCAAAAUUAUUAAAGUAAUUACUACCAAAAGCAAAAUAUAGUCUGUCUGGAAAAUCAAUGCCAUUUUCAUUCUUCAUUUAGAAAUACCUAGAUCUCAAAUGUGCACCCAAGAAAAGGUAUAAUCCUUCAUCAGAAUUGAAUUUCUCAAAGAGUUUGAUGCAUGCAUCAACACCCAGCUGUUUCGAAUAUUCCUUGGAAGUCUGCAGAUUAGGUACUAGUAAGAUUAUUUUAUACAGAAACUAUAAUAACAAGAAAAAAUAUCCAUGUUACAGUACCUGCACAAUUAUUUUAAGAUUUCCCCCAAGGUUGACAAGUAAAAGUUGUUCCAUACACUCCAGUGCCCAUUUUCGAGGAAGGGUUCCAAAAAACUUAACAAGAGCCUGAAAAUCACUUCAUAAUAAGAAGACAACAUAUAAAAGACUAAGUAGAUACAGUCACUCUAGCACCUGAAAUCCAAACCUGAUGUUCAAUGGCAUCAGUUUUCACAAUGAUGCGUUUGAUGUCAGGCAACUCAGUAUAAUGCUGCACAAGAGACAGACACGAAACUUCAAGAAAUUACUGACAACAAAUUACAGUCAGUCAUUGGUAUGAAAAGCCAAGAACCUGAAGAGCCCGGAUGAAAAGGCCGGCCUUUUCACAAAGUUUAGCAAUACGUGGACGAUCAUAAUGACUAAACACGCCUUUUGCCAAUAUAGAAUCAGCAACAUUUGGAAAGGUCUUAAGAUUGAUUUCCAGCAGCUAAAAAUGAUUAGAGCAAAUUUUCAUAAAAUCACAAAAAAAAUAUUGUAUGACUCCAUCAACUCGUAGAUAAAGAUUAAGGCAAAGAAAAUAAAGGAACCUUUGUUUGAAGAUGUCCAUGUUCAGGUAGGUCUGGCUUCAGCAGUUCCAACAAAAAGGUAGUUGCCUCACGGAUCAUAUUCCUCUAAAAAGUAACAGUAGAAACAUACAAACAAAAUUAAGGGUUGACGACUUGAUGUUUCCAGCACAUAAAUAAAAAACAAAAGGAAAUGAUUGGCUCUUUAUUUAACAAAUAGUUCUCGGUACUCAAAUUAAAGGAAAACAUACACGGGAUGGUUAAAAACCACUAUCAAUGCGAGUUUUCGGAAAGAGAAGGUCUGAUUCCAUUAGAUUUUUCAUUUUUCCAUUAAGUAGAAAAUAACUUUUCUGAAAUGCAAAAACGCAUUAUUCACUCUGCCACUUAAAACAUUACAUAAAGAUUUCAUAAAAGUCGAAGUAGAACAGGCUCAAGUAAUCAAGUAUUAUAGGUUCUAAAAAGGAAAAUGAAGAAUGAAAUGGAGACAGAAAUUGUGUACAUGAUACUUCCUUUUCUAAGUUAGGUCAAAUUACAAGUUACGCUUGAUAUGGGAGAACAAUGAAACCUACAUCAAUAAAACAAAAGAUAAAAUUAAAUAGACCUGAAGAAACAGAUCGGCUAUUUUGUUGUAGUCAACAGGGCAACCCCCCUCCAUUCGCAACAUCAUCAGAGCAAAAUCUAGAGCACCCUACAAUGGAACAUGUUCUGAGUAAAUGAAUAAACAAAAAGUAAACUCACAAGAUAACAGAUAUUCUAGAAAGAUAAACAUCAUAAGUAGCACAGAUGAGGUGAUAUCAUUUUAUGAUGUUUGGAUGUUUGGACUUCGGAUGCAUUCAACCAUCAUGCAUGAGGUGCUAUAAUUUUAUGGGAAAUGUUAACGAGUGCCCCCCGGGGCACUUGUUAAGCACUUUAAAUAGUAAGUUUUAAAUGAAAAGUUGUGUAUUGAAUGUAUUGGAAAUUGUAAUAAUUGACUUUUUAAAAGAAUAAUUACUAAAUUUGGGAUGCUUAAAGAGUGCCCUGGGGGCACUCGUUAACAAGACCUAAUUUUAUAAGUGCACCACAAUGAUCAGAACUGAAAUAAGUUUACCAAUAAAGUAUUUCCAUAAGGCAAAACUUGAUCAUUUCAAAUCGAACUACACUAACCUGGGCAUCUGUUUGCAAUAUUGUUUGCAGAAGGAAUAUGUAAUCAAGAGUGUAUCCAACCUGCAGUAAAUAAAAGGAGAAAAAUACAUCAUGCACUGCAAAAAUAAUAAUAAUUAACUAUGUAAUAAAACAAAAGUAUAACAUUCAUUUAACAGUCCAAUAUUACCACUAUUUUCAUGAUUUUGUAAAGUCUAAUAAAACAAAUGUUUCAUUACCUGCUUUGAGUAUGUCAAAAUCUUAUCAUAUUCCCUCCUCUCAGCAAAAGCUGCAAUAACCUUUGGUGUGGCACUUGCUUUAGUAUAUAUUUUCAAUGCCAGGUCUUUAUCCACUUUCUGCAUUAGAUGUGUGUCUUAUAAGAUUGAAUAGACAAACGAAAGGAAUAUAUAGCAAACUAAAUAUGGUUAUUGAAUCGAGAUUCAAAUAGUGAAUCAGAAGAACUAUUUUCUAAAUUGAGAAUUGGAUCUUAUCACAAAUCGUAAGAUACAUUAUCAAAUAGUUAAGAGUACUAGAAUCGAGAAUCGAGAUACAACUAGCACCUAGCAUCGAGAAUCGAGAUACAACUUGCAUGUAUCUUAGGAUAUUGAUAACCAUAAGUAUAUUCAACUGAUAAAGAAACUAAGAAUCAAUUAUAGAUUUGUAUGAGAACAGAACCUUCACAAGGUCACCAAGCUCUUCAGUGCAUUCAAGUUUAUCCUCUGCUAGCCAUUUUCCUAAAAGUUUCUGUUUGUUUCGACUUACGGCUAGCCGUGACAUUUUCAAUGACUCAAAAGCAUCCAGUUUUCCACUAGAAAACAGAUGGUCAAAGUAUUGUAAGCAUGAUGGUGCAUCUUCCAAAGGUACGUUCUGAAAAAUAAUUUACAGAAGAUAAUUAACAAAAGAAAUGAACAACUUAAUGAAAUCGUCAUGUUAUUACUCUUCCAUCCCAUUAACAAAAAAAUAAAUGUAACAUCAUGAAGCACGAACAAUCCUUGGAUUAGGCAUGUCCCAGUGUCGGACAUGUGUCGUGUCCGACACCGACACAUAUAAUUACACUGAAUUAAGUGAUUUUCUCAAAUUAUUAGCGGUGUUUGGGUUUCAGCGUAUGUGACGUGUCCGGUGUCCGUGUUUGUAUCCGUGCUUCACUAUUUUAUUCCAACUCUACUUUCAAAAUAAUACAAUAUACAUCACUCUUAUGUCAAUUAUACUUCACCAUACAUUUAUGGCGAUACUUAACACUCUCAAUAAUUAAUAACUCUAGUUACGACAUUCCAGCUUGAAGGUGUGUGACGAGUAUCUAGUAUCUAACCGUUGUGUUUGACUGCUAUCAAUGUCACUGUCGUAUUUAGUGUCUGCCUCAAUGCUUCGUAGAUUAAUAAUCAUCCUUAUGUAAAAUUGUUGCACACUUUUAUUUAUUUACAAAUUUUCUUAAUUUAUAUAAAAAUACCUAAAAAUGAAAAUUAAACAAUCCGAGUAAUAAGCACAGUUAAUAACCGGAAACAGCCGUUAAGACCUAGCUCAACUAACAAUGUCGAUAUUGUUAGGCUAAACAACUUUAUUAGGCUAAACCGGACAUUGCAAUUGCGUGUGAGUUUCAGGUGUUGGUGUUUUGACAAGAAAAAAAAUAGGAAACAGACACACACUCUCGCGCAGAUGAAUGAAAAUUGUUAACAAGAUUGCAAAAGCAGAGUGCAAAAACCAUUAAUAUAACAGAAAAUAGGGUUUGAUCGAUAUUUGGAAUGGGAAUGUGAGAAAUUACUAACCGUUGAGGAUUCUUUCAUGGAGUUAGGAGUGUUAUCACCCGCCAUGACGAUCGAAACAGAGUUUUAGAGAGAGAGAGUUGAAAUUUUGAAGAAGAAAGUUUGCGAGUAAGAGAUUGGAACACAGUGACAGUGAGAGCGAGAGUGAGCGAGUGGAAUGAAGAGAAUAGAGGAAAAACUGUUUUAUUAUAAGAGCUACGUGUGCUACAAGCAAGCAUAAGCAUUUAUAUUUUUUUAAAAAUCAAGGGCAAGAUUGCAUAACCAUAUCUUAUAAACAAGAGUAAGACAAUUUUUUUACCUUUAUGUGUACCGUUUGGCUAGGUUUUUUUUUUGUCUAAAAGCUACUUUAAAACAAAGUUAAAAUAAAACUCUUUAAGAAAAAAGUUAAAGUUGUUUGGUUUCUUUAAUUUUUUUUUAGUUCUAAAGUUAUUUUUAAGUUAAAAAUUAUUUAGCAAAAUAUUGUACAAAAUUUUAAAUUUAUUAUUUUUUUGGUGGUGUUUGGGGUUCGAACUCGCGACCUUGCAUAUAUAUAAGUACCGUUUGGCCAUGCUUUUUUUCGGUCUAAAAGCAACUUUAAAACAAAGUUAAAAUAAAGCUCUUUAAGAAAAAAGUUAAAGCUGAUUGGUUUCUUUAUUUUUUUUUUAGUUCUAAAGUUAUUUUUAAGUUAAAAGUUGUUUGGCAAAAUUUUGAUUUUUUUUUUUUGUGGUGUCCAGGGUUCGAACCCGCGACCUUGCAUAUAUUUAUACAUUGUCAAUAUCAACUGAGUUAAGCUAGAGAAUAAUUUGUUUUUUCUUUUCCAAUUAUAUUGUAUAACAAAUUUUGUUAUAAGAAUAUCAUAUUUUUGGUGUCAUUUAAAAAAAAUAAGAAUUUAUAUUAUAUGAUAUUAUAUUUGUUACAUUGUUGGAGUCAUUGACAAAGAUAUGUUUAGUUUUUUUAAUAAGAAAAAAAUAUGCAUAGUUUGUUACAAUAUAAAUGUGUAAAAUAUAUAUAAGUAUAAUUUUUUUAAGCAUCUAUACUAGUACUUUUAAUUAAAAUCAAAAUUUUAUAAAAAUAAUAAUUGUUACAAUAUAAAUGUGAGGAUGAGAGCGAGAGUCUGUGAGGAUGAACGGACAGUCCGACUGCGGCCACAACGCAGGGAGGACGUCCGGUGUUCUUCUUCGCCGGCGGAGAGAUCCAAUUGGGGGGGAAGGGAGCCAAGCUGGGUGCCACUUAAAGGGGGGGUUGGGGGAGAUUGGCUUGUUGUGAGUCCUAGAAUGGGGAAAGCGCGGCGACAAGGAGAUCGAGGUCGGGAUCGGCAGCGGAAGGUCAAGCGGUUCCGUGAUUGGGACGAGGCAGGCAAGAGACAAUCUAGAACUAGGGAUUCACGCAGGUUCGGUUACGGCAGCGAUGCGGAUUUCUACCAAGACAGGCUUGCUGAGCGGUCUGAUGAGGAAUUGAGGAAGGACUGGUUGCGGUUUGAGAAUAGGAAUCGCGCUAGUGGUCACAGCUCUGGGGUUGCUGGUUAUGCGCGUCGGAUUCCGGCGCUGGACAGGCUUGGUGAGGGCGGUAGGAAGCAGGACACGCGCGACAUCAGCGGAGCCACCAAGGCCUUGACGAAUGCGGCUCUUUUUCGACGGUAUGUCACGUUUUAUUUUACUAAUUUUCCACCGUUCUUAUCGAAUUUUUAUUUACGAAAAGGGUUUGAGGUUUGUGGCAUGCUGGACGAGGUUGUGGUACCCCGUAGGUGCAAUGUUAACGGAGAACGGUACGGUUUUGUGAGAUACUCGAAUGUCCGGGAUGUUAGUAAGUUGUUGAAAGCCGUGAAUACUGUUUGCUUUGGUAAUUUCCAAAUUAAGGCAAAAGUUGCUAAUUUUGACAAGGCGGCAGCUAGAGUGGUUGAGAAUUUGGUGGUUGGCGCGGGUGCGAAGGAUACCGCGGGAGGAGGUGUUAAGGUCGGUAAGGGAGUUAAAUCAGUUGUUGAGGGUGAUGUGAUGGAAGCUGGAUCGAAAGCUGUUGAAGGCCAAUCGGAUGGACUAGAGGGACGGGUGCCACAAGCCAGAGUGGGUGCGUUGGAUAACGUUCAGGUUGGUGACGUGACGGUGAGCUUGGGUAAGGGGCAUAGUAAGGAGCAACAGGGCGGUAGCGGGAAAAGUAAGUUCGUUAAGUUUGAUGUUCGUCAUACAGGGGGGCGACCUUCAAUCCAAAAUUUGGUCCGGAUGUAUCGUUCAAGUGUGGAAGAUCUUCAGUGGGCCCGUUCAGGUGUGACUGCUACGGUGACUAAUGGUGAGAGUAUCAGGGGCGUUCAAGAUAGAAUUGCGGAUGCGGGUAUAUCAGAAAUUGACAUCAUUCCAUUAGGCGCUGACAAAGUUUUCAUUCGUAGUAUGUCCGAGGUUAGUGUUACAACUAUUUUGAACGAUGCUAAGGAUUUCUUUGCUUAUUUUUUCACCAAUAUUGUGAGAUGGGAUAAGAAUUUGGUGCCGUUCCAAAGGGGGGCCUGGUUGAGGUUGUAUGGUAUUCCGCUGCACGCUUGGAAUGAAAGCUUUUUCAAAUUAUGUAUUCUUGACGUGGGAAGGCUUUUACGUAUGGACACAUGCACUGUGGAAAAAGAAAGAUUUGAUUAUGCUAGGAUUCUGGUGGCUACAAAUUCUUUAGAGAUUAUAAAUUGUUCGGAGAAGCUUUUGAUAGAUGGUGUUUUGGUCACUGUGAAAGUGGUAGAGGAGUGGGGUUUUAAUAUUGGCGAUGAUGCUUGCCUUUACGAAGAGGAGGAGAAUGGGUCAAUUGAGGGUCAGGCUGACCCAGAAGAUGUGCAUAUUGAUCACGAACAUGAGGUUAACGCAGAUUUUUUGGUUGAUAAAAUAGUCCAAGAUUUUUUUGAUUCGGAGAGUAACGGAAGAAUUUUUGAAGAUAAGGUGGAGAAGGCGGUCUCAAAGACGGUUAAGCUUAAAGCGGUAGGUGGUCAAUCGAAAGUGGGUAGGUGUAGUGAAGCCUUGCUCGAGGGGGAUUUACAACCUUUACGGUUAGAGCCCUUUGUGGAUCAAUUGAUGGGUAGUGCGUCACCUGAGUGUAAGGUUGAUGGGCAUGGCAGUGCCGACGUUCCUGUGGAUAGAAGUGUUGAUGCUGAUGAGUGUCCAAGUGAUGGGGGGUCAGUUACUGUUAGGAAGCUUCGAACUCGUCGAAUGGUUUCAUGCCCUCCCAGAGCUGAUCGUUCAGUGGUAUCUGGUCCGUGGAGUCUGGAUUGGAUAAAUGAUCAACAUCUUAGUGACGUAGGGGUUGUGUCUUCUUCUCGGAAAUUUGACGCUAAGGGUAAGAGGCUCAAGGCUUGUCGUAAUAUUCAAGAGGAUGUUGUUGUUAAGCGAAAGAAGGUGAAGGGGUUAUUGCGUCAUUCAGUUCUUAGCUUGAAAAAAGUGGCACGGCUUCCUACUAAAGACCGGAAAGUGGUUAUGAAAAUUCUAAAGAAAAAUGAUCGGAAGUUUAAAGGAUCCAAUUCAAUCAGAAAGACGGCUAGGAUGAUUUCUAAAGACCUAUCCGAGAAUUCAUCAUCUUCUAGCUCUAUUAAUAAUAGUGACUGGAAGCAUUGGGUGGUACUUCAUGGGAGUGACAAGGUGGUGGCGGAGGAUGUGAAGACCCUAGGGGAAUCUAUUGGUGUGAAUCUUAGUGGGUACAACAAUAGAUUUGGGGUGUUAGCAAGAAAAGGGAUGGGGAAAAAGAAGAAGUUAGCUUUUGGUGAUGGUGGUUCAGGAGGGGCGGUUGAGGGUGUUGUGUAGGCGUGGUAGCGGUGGCUGGGAGGGUGUGGGAGAUGAAGUUGUUAUCUUGGAAUGUAAGGGGGUUGGGUGGUUACGAGAAGAGAAAGGAUGUUCGAGCUCUGGUGAGGGAUAAGCAGCCGUUGAUUUUAUGUCUGCAAGAAACGAAGUUGCAAAUGUGUGAUGUUAAUGUGUGUUCGUCGGUUUGGGAUAGGCAGUCGACGGAGUUCUCUUUUCGCCCGUCCCAAGGGGCGUCAGGGGGAUUGCUGACCGUUUGGGAUGCCUCGGAGGUUGAGGUGUGGUCGUCAGGCUGCUUUGAUCAUGUUUUGAGUAUUCAUGGCCGGUUCAUUUCUUCAGAUGAAGAAUUUCACUUAUUCAAUGUGUACGCUCCUUGUGAUGGAGGAGCUCGACAGAUAUUAUGGGUUGCUUUAACGACUCGUCUUCAGGCUCUUAGGGGUAAAAAGGUGUGCGUUUGCGGUGAUUUUAAUGCGGUCCGGAGUCGGGAAGAACGUAGGUCGGCGACGGUUUAUGGCGGUGUGUCGGAGUAUGGUCCUUUUAAUCAAUUCAUAGAGGAAAAUGGUUUGCUUGAUUUACCGUUGUGUGGGCGUAAUUUUACUUGGUUUAAAGGGGAUCGUCGUUCAAUGAGUCGACUUGACCGGUUUUUGGUUUCUGAAGAGUGGAGUUUGGUUUGGCCCAAUUGUAUUCAGGUUGCGCAUUUGAGAGGUUUAUCUGACCAUUGCCUGUUGAUUUUGUCUGUUGAUGAGGAAAAUUGGGGGCCUCGACCGUCGCGGUUCUUGAAAUGUUGGUCAGACACCCCGUGUUAUAAGCAGUUUGUUACUGAUAAGUGGAAAGCUUUACAGGUGGAAGGUUGGGGUGGAUAUGUUUUAAAAGAAAAAUUCAAAUUAAUCAAAUUGGCGCUGAAAGAGUGGCACAUAUCUCAUUCGCAGAACGUAGCAGUGAAAAUUGAUUCUCUUAAGGUCAGGUUGGCCGAGUUAGAUGGUAAAGGGGAGGUCGAGGAGUUAUCUGACGCAGAAUGUGUUGAGUUGCAUGGUGUGUCAGAAAAUAUUCAUUUGUUAUCCAGGCUUCACAAUAGUAUCUGUUGGCAGCAAUCGAGGAACCAGUGGCUGCGUGAAGGUGAUGCGAACUCUAAGUUUUUCCAUUCCAUUAUGUCCUCUCGUCACCGUCAUAAUUCUAUAAGUUCAAUUUUGGUUGAUGGUACUUUGGUUGAGGGCAUUGACCCUGUUAGGAAGGCGGUGUUUACCCAUUUUGCGACUCACUUUCAAUCGUAGAGUGUGGAGCGACCAAGUGCGUCGAAUCUCCAGUUCCGCAACUUAUCUUUGGUUGAGGGAGGGGGCCUGAUUAGACCUUUUUCGGUAGAUGAAGUUAAGGCUGUUGUGUGGGAUUGUGAUAGUUUUAAGAGCCCGGGUCCGGAUGGAGUAAAUUUUGGAUUCAUAAAGGAGUUUUGGGUUGAACUGAAAGAUGAUAUCAUGAGGUUUGUCACUGAGUUUCAUCGAAACGGGAAGUUGGUAAAAGGUAUUAAUACUACUUUUAUUGUUCUUAUCCCAAAAGUUGAUAAUCCGCAGAGGCUUAAUGAAUUUAGACCUAUCUCUUUGGUAGGAAGUAUGUACAAAAUUAUAGCUAAGUUGUUAGCUAACAGAUUAAGGUUGGUGAUUGGUAGUGUGAUUUCUGAAACUCAGUCUGCUUUUAUUAAGAAUAGACAGAUUCUUGAUGGUAUUCUUAUAGCCAAUGAGGUGGUGGAUGAAGCUAAAAAGUUUAAGAAAGAUCUUAUGUUGUUUAAGGUGGAUUUCGAAAAAGCGUACGACUCUGUUGAGUGGGAUUACUUGGAUUCGGUUAUGGAAAGAAUGUCGUUUCCUGUCUUAUGGAGGAAAUGGAUUAGAGAAUGUGUGGGUACUGCUACAGCUUCUGUUCUUGUUAAUGGUAGUCCUACUGAUGAAUUUCAACUGCAUAGUGGCUUGCGUUAGGGGGAUCCCUUGUCCCCUUUUUUGUUCCUGAUUGCGGCUGAGGGUCUUCACACGUUGAUGAAAGCGAUGGUUGACAAUCAGUUGUUUACGGGGUACUCGGUUGGGGUGGCAAACCCGGUUGUUGUUUCUCAUCUGCAAUUUGCGGACGACACUUUGCUGCUUGGCCAUAAAAGUUGGGCUAAUGUUCGGGCUCUUCGUGCGACUCUUGCCAUUUUUGAGUUGAUGUCCGGUUUGAAAGUGAAUUUCAAUAAAAGCUUGUUGAUGGGUAUUAAUAUCUCUGAUUCUUGGUUGAGUGAGGCUGCUUCGGUGUUGAGCUGUAAAGUAGGUAAGAUUCCUUUUUUGUAUCUAGGUUUGCCUAUUGGGGGUAAUCCGCGGAGACUUUCGUUUUGGGAUCCUGUCGUGAAUCGUAUUAAAUCUAGAUUGUCGGGGUGGAAUAGCCGGUUUCUCUCUUUUGGUGGUCGCUUGAUCCUUCUGAAAGCCGUGUUGACUUCUCUGCCUGUCUAUGCUCUUUCCUUCUUUAAAGCUCCAACAGGUAUAAUCUCUUCCAUUGAUUCUUUGUUUAAUAAUUUUUUUUUUUUUUUUUUUUUGGGGGGGGGGGGGGGGGGGAGUGAGGACCGUAGGAAAAUUACUUGGAUAGAUUGGAAUACUGUUUGUUCUAAAAAGGAGUUAGGAGGGUUGGGGGUUAGGAAGUUGAAGGAAUUUAAUGUAGCUUUGCUAGGGAAAUGGUGUUGGAGGUUGUUAGUAGAUAGAGAUGGCUUGUGGUAUCAGGUUUUAGUCGCCCGUUAUGGCGAGAUCGGUGGGAGAUUGGAGGUGGGGGGCCGGAGUUGUUCUUCUUGGUGGCGGGAGGUAGGGAGGAUCUGUGAGGGUGGGGGCGGUGUAGGGGGUGAUUGGUUCGGCAGUAGUGUGAUUAGGAAGGUGGGGGAUGGUGCUGAUACGUUGUUCUGGUCUCAUAGGUGGUGUGGUGAUCGUCCUUUUAGUGAGCGGUUUGGCAGGUUGUUUGACUUAGCUGAGAACAAAGCCAUUUCAGUGGCUUCUAUGUUCUCUCUUGGCGUGGUGCAGGGGGGGAGGGUGGAGUUGGAGGCGAAGAUUGUGGGCUUGGGAGGAAUUUUUAUUAGAGGAGCUUAGGGCUUUACUGCUUGAUGUUUCUUUGUUGCCUAAUGUUUCAGAUAGAUGGUUGUGGCUACCUGACCCUGUGGGGGGUUAUACUGUUCGAGGAGCUUAUGUUAUAUUAAUAGAGGGCGCUCAUCCUCUUUUGACCGAAGCAAUGGAUCUAGUUUGGCAUCGUCAGGUCCCCUUAAAGGUCUCGAUUUUUGCUUGGAGACUUCUCCGGGAUCGGUUACCUUCAAAAGCAAAUUUGGCAGCUCGUGGUGUUCUCAGUUCUGAGGCGACUCUUUGUGUUAUGGGCUGUGGUCAUGUUGAAACGGCCGAACAUUUAUUUUUAUUUUGCCCAAAUACUGUUUUGUUGUGGCAGCAGGUGCGCAAUUGGCUAGGUUCUAUGGGGGCGGAUCCGAAUAAUCUUCAUGAUCACUUAGUGCAGUUUACUUACUCGACAGGUGUUGGUAAAGCUAAACGUUCUUUUCUGCAGCUAAUUUGGAUUCUGUGUACUUGGAUUGUGUGGAUCGAACGUAAUAACCGCUUGUUUGGUAAUGUUGUAACGGAUGUCCCAAGGUUAUUGGAUAAGGUUAAAUUGUUAUCAUUACGGUGGCUGAAAGCAAAAAAAAAACGUGUUUGUUUAUGGUACUCAUAUGUGGUGGUCUAGUCCUUUGUUAUGUUUAGGCAUUGGUUAAUUCCUGUUUUUUGUUCUUUGUGUUGGACUCUGUAACAUUUUGUAUCUUGUAGCAGAAUUCUAGGCACAUCUUGUGCUUGGAAUAUGCUAUGUUUGUGUUAAUAUAAUUCCAUUUUGAUGUGUUCAAAAAAAUAAUUGUACGCAUUGCGCAACACUGAAAAAAAUAUACGCAUUAGUGUAACAAAAAAAAAAAGACAUACAGACAUAAAAUAUUACUCUAAACGCUAAUGUGUGUGUGUAUAUUUGUGAGGUUGAAGAAAGGGAAUAAAAAUAUUUGGUGUCAUUCAAUGACUGCAUAAAUAAAAAUAUUUGUGAGGUUGUGAUAAUUAAACGAUAUUAAAAUUAAAUAUAUAAGUGAUUAAUAGAUAAUAAAAUUCCUUCAAAAAUAGAUAAUAAAAUUAAAUUGAUCCUCCUUUAAAAAAAUUAUAUGGACCGGUUCAAAAAAAAAUUAAAUGGAAGAAAAAAACAAAUCAAAAUAUAAUAUUAAAAAAUAAAAUAUAAGGUUGCCUGUGUGAGUUGAAGAGAAGUGCUUGUGAAAUAAAUUACAGAGAAGUAGUUUUUUGAAGUAGCAUUCAACAACUUUUAAAGCUCAUUCCAUUCAAUUUUAUGAAUUCUAAAAAAAAUACAUUUUUUCGAAGGUACUUUAUUGAUAUUGUGUUUCGCCUAGCUUCUCUUUAAAAAUGUAGAGAAGUUGGAAAAAAAGUCGAGUCAAACGGUACCUUAUAAGCUUAUUUGAUUAAAAUAGAUUUGUUUCGUAAUUUUCACUUUCUCACAGGUUUAUAUCUUAUUUUCACUAAUUUAUGGUUUUUUUUUUUUUAAACACCACUGAAAUUCACGCACACAACAAAGUCUCAGGUUUAGACUCGGAUAGAGGUGUCCAACCUAACCAUUGACAGAUGAGUUAGGCUUUCCAGACAAUUUAUGACAGUUUUUUAUAAGCUAAUUCAAUUACCUUGUAGUUUAAAGUUUAUAAAGUAUCAUUAUUUAUCUCAACAAUUUUACCCUUCAAUCUUAAUUGAAAAAAAGUAAAUAUUAAUUAAAUAUAUCAUUUCAUAUUUAUAAGUUAGUUCAACCGCUAAUUAUUUAAAACAUUACAAAUCCAACUAGCUAGUUUACUUGCUAUCAACUAUAAGAAGGCCGAUAAGUUAUCAUCUAUAAUUUCAUGACUGUUGCUUUUCUGACAUCUAAUAUGUCUUGGAAACACAAGUAAAUGACUAAAAAAUUCAACAUAGUUAACUGCUGUCGAUUUUCUAGUUAUAAGCCAGCAGUAGUUAACUACUGUUAGAGAUAUUUUAAUAUUUUACUUGUGUUUUUAGGAAGUUUAUGAUGUUAAAAAAACAAUCGUCUAAUUUCAUAUGAUAUAAGGUUUAUCGGUUCAGUAUUUGCUAUUUUACCAAACAAAAUCAAUAUAUGAAAUUGGAAGGGAUGAUAGCUUUAUUAAGUUGGAAAGUUUAGGUGAGAUAGACUCGAGAGUUAUCCAAAAUCAAGGUAUACCUUGAGACUUAACAAAUUCAUUUUUAACUAGUAUAACUUGUCCCGUGUGUAAUAUUUAUUUUUACAAUUUGUCUCGUGUUUAAUAAUUACUUUGGCUUUUUAUCAAUGACAAAUCUUCUAGAUGUAUGAUAACUAUUUUAAAGGUUUCAUCCUCAAAAUAAAAAUAAAGUUAAAAGGUUUUAUUUUAUAAAGGGUAAAUAUCUCUUUUCGUCCCUGUAAUAUUAGUGAAUUUUGGUUUUAGUCCCUGUAAAAAAAGGAUUUAGAUUUGGUCCCUGUAAUUUCAGAUUUUUCCACUUUUGGUCCCUCAUUCCACCACGUAAGCAGAAUCUGCAUACAUGGCACGUAAAAAUGAGGGACGAAAAGAGGUAUUUACCCUUUUAUAAAGCAAACUAUCGUUAUUUAUUUAGGAAAAGAAAUUUUUUUGACUGUUUUCCUUAAGUUUGUUGUCGUUUUCUUCUAAAAAAAAAAUAUUUUGUUAAAAAUCGAGAUGUUACAAUUUUUUUUUGUUUUGUAACACAGACUUUAGGACUAUCGGAAUGUACUCCCUCCGUCUCUAAAUUAUAGUCGUAUAAAGUUUAUGCACGAUUAUUAAGGAAAUGAUUAAUUGUAUUGAUUUCAAUGGUAAAAUUAACAUCAUUUACUAAGAUACUCUUAUUAACAUGUAGUUAGUGAAAUAGUUAAGUUGGAUGAAAUUUAAUAAAUAAGGAUAUAAUGAUGGAAAAAAUAAAUGAAUGUUGCAUUAGUAUUUGUAAAGCGACAAUUAUUUUGAUAAAAAGAAAAAAUGCGAGAUUAUUAUUGUGAGACGGAGGGAGUAAUCUGUAGCAUAUAAUUUAUGACACAAUUCACUUCAAAAUUACAUAAAUAUACGAGCGAUCAGUUUAGAGUUUAGUAGUAAGAGUUCGAUCAUCUAUAUAACUUUUAGACAAUUGUAAAGCAACGAUUAAUGUCACUUAAUAAAUUUUAGAAAUUACAUAUAAAUAGAAGAACAUAUACAUGUUUGUAAACUCUGCUACUGAUGUGUGAACAGAAAAUAAUAAUUAUUUCAUCAAAAAAGAAAAUAAUAAUUAUGACAAAAACAUUAAUUUAUGUUAAGAUACAUGUUUGUGACAAACUUUAACAUGUUUGAGAGGAUUGAUGAUGAGGUUACUAUUGCUUGGUACAGCACAACCAACUUUCUUCAAUUCUAGAAAAGUUUGUGUAGUGUCAGGAUCAAAGCCACCUGCAAACUGAAUGUCUUGAUGGGUGAUGAGUUGGAUAAAAAAGUAAAUGUCAAAUUCAGAAAGUUCUGAGGAAUGUUAUUGUACCUGAUGUACUCUGAAUGCAAACUUAACUCCUUGUAAUAAGAGGUUAUUAUUAUCUUCAUGCAAAGCUUCAUGAGAUUUUAUUUCUUUAGUUAUUCGUUUCAUGAAUUCCUUUGCUAGCCUCAGUGAACAUAGCUUUAUCUGCAAGUUAUUAACAUGAUAAAGCCUUUCAAUAGGUUUUUAUGGUAAAUAAUAAGAUACCCUUUUGAAACAUGUAUAUCAUAAAAGGUAUAGAUGAUUCUGAUGUUAUUGUAGUGAUACUAUCUAUAUUAUGUGACAUGCAUCAAACAAAAUCAUUCAAUUGUGUCAUGAACUAUGAUUAAUUUCAUUUUAUGGAUUGUUGGUUCAAUUGUAUACAAUAAAGAAUACAAUAAUAUUGGAAAAUGUAAGACCUCUAGACAAUUGCUUUUUUAACAUCUGAAACUUCCUAAAAACACAUAAAAUACUAAAAUGUCCUCAGCAGUAGUUAACUACCGCUGACUUAUAACUAGAAAACUGACGGUAGUUAACUACCGCUGGGCUUUUUAGUCUUUUUCAUGUGUUUCUAGAAAAUAUUCAAUGUCAGAACAACAGCCAUCAGACCUCUAACCUCAUCUAAAAAUUUAUAGUAUGAGAGUCUAUUCAUUUGGGUUAUCCACCAAUUUAUCCAUGCACCUAGCCCAAUAGUACUAGGUGUGAUGGAGUGUGUUGAAAAAAACCAAGUCACGCAUUGAAAAUAGAUAAACCAUUUAUUUGUUUUCGUGUUUGUACAUCAAUAUCCAUAUGUUUUUUGUGAAGCUACUACUCUCAACAGCUUCGUAAAAAUCAUGUCAAAUGGUCAAUGGGACGUGAUAAUUUUGGUCCAACUGCCAAACCAAACAACCACAAAGUUUUUAAGAGUGUCACUUCUCACCUUAUUAAUCAUAGAGAUGAGUUGGACCCAAUAGAAAAAAAAAAAAAUCAUAUUUUGUGAUUUCACAUAAGCUUGAGUUUAAGCAAAAUUAACCAAUUCAAAAUAUUUUUCUUCAUAAUCUUUAGGACACUAGACACAUAUAAAUGCAAGCAUUUUUUUUAAUGUUUUAUAGUGAUCUAUAAUGCAUAAACAAGGUAUGAAUUUCUUACCUGACCAACAAGGCCAGUGUCCAUCAUCCACUCCCAAGGGAUAUGAAAAUUCCUAUAUUUCUUACUUGAACUCUCCCUUAUCCUCUCUUUACUACUUACACUUCCCUCCAACCUGCAAAAUUUUAAAAGCAAAACUUUCAAUUAAUUCUAAGUAUUGCUCAAAAACUUUAGUUAAACUCAACUCUACAAUUUUUGUACAUGCUCGCCUGUCUUGUAAUGCUUGUAUCCUUUUCAGGGCCAUAGAAAUUGGCUCUUUUGGAUUAUCCUCAUAUGAUGAAACUUCUGAUUCAAGAUUCUUUAGUUCUCUAUAGUUACAAGCAGCUUCUCUUAAUGCAUCUACUUUUUGUUCUGGCCAUUGUGGAAAAUGCUUUAAGACUGAUCUUUCAUCUACCAGUGUUGAUAAUUCUCCAUCAAGCCAUUUGAUGAAUGUUUCCACCUCAGAUAUAUCUGCAUAUGAAGCUGAUUCUACUUGUUUGAUUAAGAAACUGAUGAAUUCUUUUUGGCUUUGAACUUCUGAUUUUAUCUGUCAAAAAAAUGUAUCAAGUAUCAAUAAAAGAGUGUUCAUUGUUUUAUAGUUAAAGCCUUGCUUGGAUUGGUUUCUUUGAGCUUAUCUAUUGGAAUAAGUACUUGUGAGAUUAUUUCGGAGAGCUUAUGGAAACAUCUUAUUACAUGUCCAUAAGUUAAUGGAUUUAAAUUGUUUUAUAUGAUUAAUACUUAUGCUAUAAGCAUUAGUUUAAACUGUUUAUCCAAACAGGCCUAAAGAUUUAACAUUAGAAAAUUUUGAAGCUAAAUAUGAGAAGUUUGGAACUAAACUUACAGCUGAAAGAUGUUUUGACCGAUUUUCGAUUUCCUCAAUCAUGUUUCUGGUGAAUGCUACUGCAGGAAUUCCAUUGUGAUGAGUUUUGUUUUCAAUGUUGGCAUCUUUUCGUGUAAGCGAACGAUACAAUUCGAUUACUUCUGGCACACGACGAACUGUUUUCAAACCGAUAGACGAUUUUGAUGGUGUUGGAGGUGGUGGAGGUGCUGCUGUUGGCUGCAUUUUCAUUCCCUUCUCAUUUUUAUGUGAAGGUGAAAAAAGAGUAGAAGCAGGUUUUGGAGGAGGAGUUGGUGGCAAAACUAUUGAUGACUUUUCCUUUCUAGGUGAAGUUGAUGAGUCUUGAAAAUCUUGAUUUUCUGAACUCUUUUCACACAUGAUUGCUUGAAGUGCAGGUUUAAGUGUAUGGUGUGAAUCUGAAUUGUUAUCAUCUAUGGAUUUUUGUAUCUUUUUCCAUAGUAUGGUUUUUCUCUCCAUAUUGUGUGCUUUGAGUGAAAUUAUCUGUGAUUUUAAACGAGAUACUUCUUCUUUAAGUUCUUGGUUUUCUUUCUGUAGUAACUCAUUUCUAGCCAUGUGAAUUUCAAGUCUUUUUUUGAAAGAUGUUGUGAUCUCAGACUCAUUCUCUACCUGCAACAUUUUCUCUCCUUUUUUCACUCUAUAACAUGGUUAUCAAUUUGAUAUCUUGUACACUGAUUUUUGUUAUAUAUUUGGUCUUGUUUUUGAAGUAAGGUUGGUAUGUCUUGGAGUUAAAUAUCCAAGAAUGCCCUCUAUGGUACUAAUAAAGGUAAAUCAUCAUUUAGAUUCUUAAAUAUGUGAGAUGCUUUUAUAAUUGUCUCUGAAUGUAUAUUUUGUUGGUUAGUUUAGUACUCGAAUAUGUCUUUUGUUAUUUGAUCCAUUAAAAUACUGAUAAAAAAUAUGUUUAGGGAUGUUUUAGUAAUUUUGAUAUAUUCAAAAAUAAUAGUGAUAGGGUCUCACAUAUUUCUAAAAAUGAAUGUUUACACUAUUAAUAGUGACCUUAUGGGCCUAUUGGGAACAAUGGUAUUGAUAGAGUAAUUUGGACAUUUCACAUAAAUUUAAUGCUAUUUGACAUGAAGAUUAAUUAUGAUGCCUUUGUAAGAAAAUUUAUAAGUGAUUGAAGAUUACUUUGGUUUGCUGGCAGCAAUAGUAUGUGAAAGCUGCCUUUAGAGUGUCAUGUUAGGUACAACAUUAAAUAUGUUGGUCAAAUUUAAUGCUAUUGUUUCUAGAUUAAUCUAUGUGAGGUGAGAGAUUUCUUGCUCUCUAAUUUGUUAUUAUGUCAAAACUUUUUUAGGUUAGUGGUACAUCUAUAGUGUAGAAGUUGUUUAAGUGAGGUUUUAGUUAGUAUAUAUGCUUGUCUCAUUUCUACUUUGAAUCUUGUUCCCUUUUCUUCAAUUGAAUUUGAUUUAGAAUUCAUAAGUUAUAGUACAUGUGAUGUGGUCCAAAAAAACUAGUCGGUAUACUGAAUGGUUGAAAGUCCUAACUUACCUAGAUGGAACUCUUUUUCAAUGUGUUUGGUUUCAAUGUGGAAAGUAUUAACAAUGACUUUAUUUUCCCCUUAUGUCAAACAUCAUUGUAGUUUUGUGUAAGGAUGAAAAUCAAUUCUUAGACAAGUUGAGAUAUUGCACAUGUGUUAUUUUUUUUAGAUUGAUUCUGAUAAAGCAUAUGUUUGUUUUCGCAGUAGAAAAUUGAUUGAGGUGUGUUAUCUUUUAAACUAGGGUUUGUAGCUUCAACGUAUAAUUUUUUUAUCUCACUUUAAAUAUCAUAACCAAACACAAAUAAUUUUUUUUUCAUAUUAUGAAAAUCAAUUCUAACACAAAGAAACUUAUUUUUUGAGUAAAAAGAAUUAAAUAUAAACUAAUUUGUUGCUCCUUCAAACACAAUAUAGCUUCAUUGUGAUAGUUGUCUUUCAUUUCACACUGAUUACACUUCUUGUAGUUGAGUGGCAUUUGGCUUAUUCUUUGCUUGUGAAACAAUGAAAAGAGUGGUAGGAAAAAUGUGUCUCAUUCAGUGAUGUUUAUUGAAGAGUAAAUAUUUUCAUAAUGACUACUACGUCAUACCAAACCAGAUUCUUAUGAUAUUUACAUUUUUAUAUUUUUUUUGUUUUAUUUUUUAAUUUAAUAUGUUGUUUCAAAGCCUCUUCUAAACUCUUUUAUUUUUCUUUCAUCCUACUCCUUCUAUAGUUGAACAUUACCACCCCUACACACCGAAAGUGUGAAUUUGAUGUAGAUUGGUUUUCUGUGACAUGUUGAGGCCUACUAUACUUUAGGUGAAGAACGUGACUAAAUUUUUCAAGUUUAAAGUGUUGUUCAAACUUUCAUAACAAAUCAUUUUUUCAUCUCUUGAAUCUUGAUUAAAUCUUGGUAUCCGACCUAAUAGUUGAUUAACUCGAAAGGUCUAAUCUAAUUGUUCAUUUGUGGAGGCCAUUUAAACACACACAAAAUUGAGAGGUUCUUAUAAUAUUUUAGACAUUCAUUCAAAAUUUCUAAUGAUACACAUGAAUCGACUUAAAAGCAGAGACCAAAAGUAGCAAUGUAAAACUUUUGGAGAACCAAAACUCUAAAAAAAAAAUUAAAGGGACUAAAAAGAAAAGAUAGAAUAUUAGUAGGGACCAAAAAAUGUUUAGCCCAAAAAUAAAAUAAUGUUAAUUGAAAGACAUUUUAAGAAUAACAUUGUUAAAUAAAGUAAAACUAACAUAACAAUUUAUAUACCAACAAUUGGUAUUUAAAAAAAUAUUAAGUAAAAAUAAUUAGUUUUCAACCUUUUUCAGAUGUAAUUUUAUUUUAGCAAUUUCUUUUUCCACACUACUUUAUUAUCACGCGUCCUACUGAAUUCUGAAAAUACCUCCGUUCGGAUUAUAUAGUCUGAAUGAUUUUUUGAAGGUUUUCAUAUUAUAAAAUUUGAAACCUCUAAAAAUCCAGAAAAAAUACAGAAUUUUGCACUGAUUCAUCCAAAACGUGUAAAUGUACAGUUUGAAAAAUACUAUCUGAAAACUCUAAUAAUAUUUCAUAUUACAUAUUCAGAAUUGUGUCAAACUCCCAAAAGACCAUUUCAAAGAUAAAUUACAGUGUAUGAUAAUGAAAUUUAACCAACAGGUUAACAAAAUCGCAAUGAGAAGACACAAAGCAGAAUUGAAUCAAAGAAAUUGAGAUGGAGGAAAGACCCAAUCCAAGAAGAAGACAGCAAAGAAAAUUGAAUGUAUUUUCUAUAGAAAGUGAAUAGAGAGAAAGAAAAAAAAAAAAAAAAAAAAAAAAGCUAGAAUGCAAAAGAAAGGGGAAAAAGAGAAAAUUGGAUUUUCUCAAGAAAAUGCAGCGGAAAAUAUCUUUUAAGGUGGAUACCAGAUUAGCUCUUAUACCAUGUUAUAAAACAUGAUAUACAUAGAAGGAACAAGAGAAAACUCAAAAAAUCUUUCUAUUUAUGAUAAAUGUAAAUGUUACAAAUGAUAAGAGAGACAUCUCAAAAAAGAGAAUAGAUGGACUAGUGAGUAAAUGAAAUAAUAGCAUAGUGGAUAUUUUUCCUUAAAAAAAAGCAUAGUGGAUAUUUUCUUAUUAAUCAAAGUUUUCCUUAAUCUGAACUUUGUUUUAGGAGACCUUAAUUUGUACUUAUAAAACUAUUUUGAAAGACAUGUAUUUUGAAGAGAGGGAGUAGGUGAUAAUGUAAGCAUUGAAUGCAGUUUGAACAAGUCAAAGACAAAGUGUGUUUGGUGGGGAAUGUAAUGUUAUGAGGGAAUUCAAAUAUUUUGCGGUGAAUUUUAUGUUUGGAUAAUAAUUUGAAGAAUUUUCAAAAUGAUGGGAAUUUAUGAAGUAUUUUGUUCAAGUUCAAUUUAAAGAAUUUCAAAUGACACCUCAAUUUAGGUGAAUUUCAAAUGAUUGAAAUUUGACCUCAAUUUUUUCAAAAUUUUCAAUUUGACCUCAAUAAAUUUCCAAAAAAUUAUAAAUUGACCCCUUAAAUUUUUCAAAAAUUAUAAUUUGACCCCUCAAAAAUUUUUAAAUUUACAAAUUGACCCCUAAUUUUAAUUUUCAAAUUUGGCCCAAAAUUUAUAAAAUUUAUAGAAAUUUUUUAUUACUCCACCCAAACAAAAGUAUUGAAAAAUGAAAGAAAUUUAAUCGAAUCAUUUAAAUUGCCUAAAAUUUAAAUUCUUUAAAAUUGUAUAAAAAUACUUGUACAAAUAUAAUUUCUUUAGACGUUAUUGAGGUUCACAUUAUUCAUCUAUGUAGCAACCAAUUUUGAUGUCUUUGAGACAAUUACAUAACAUGAGUACCAUUGAAACUCUCUUUUAAACUCUCUCUAACACUCACUAUUUUAUUUAAUGAGAUCGAUAUGUGUUCUACACUUUAAAAAUAGGUCAUACCUAAAUGGCGAAAAAAACUCGUGAGUUUCACAAAAUAAAAGAGUGAAUGUUGAAAAGAUAGUGUUCCAAAAACUUCUCAUUAAAUAACACCUUACAAAAUCUAAAUCAAAGUUAUUAUAGAGGCUCAAUCAAAACUCAUCCCAACAAUUGUACAAUCCAGUAGUAUCUAAUAAAUGUGUGAUGUAAAACUAGAUUGUUUAUUGGUGUUCAAGUAUGAAAACAAAGAAAAUGAGACAAAGAAAGUCAAUAAUGGACCCACAAUGAUAAAUUUGUGAUUGAAAAUCUGUGUCCUACAAACAUCCCAAUCUCCUAAUCCUAAUGGAACCUUGCAAGUUGCAUCAAUUAUUGAAUUUUGUAUAUACCAAUUACAUUUUUUCUCACCGUUCUUCUUUUUACUACAACACUUCUCAUAUUUUCAACUCUUUCUUUUCUGAAAAAAAAAUGGCUGAAGCUUUACUUGGUGUUGUGUUUGAAAAUCUACUAUCUCUUGUUCAAAAUGAAUUUGCAACCAUUUCUGGAAUCAAGUCCAAGGCUCUAAAGCUAUCAACCACCUUAGAUUUGAUCAAGGCCGUUCUUGAAGAUGCUGAGAAGAAACAAAUAACAGACCGCUCUAUAAAGGUAUGGCUUCAACAACUCAAAGAUGCAAUCUACAUACUAGAUGAUAUUCUUGAUGAGUGUUCCAUUCAAUCCACUCGACAAAAGGGCAUAUCUUCUUUUACAUUAAAGAAUAUCAUGUUUCGCCAUAAAAUUGGCACUAGGUUUAAAGAAAUUACAAACAGAUUCGAUGAUAUUGCUGAAAGUAAAAACAAGUUUCUUCUACAAGAAUGUGUUGCUGUUAGGGAAAGGUCAAUCAAUGUGGCUGAAUGGCGUCAAACUAGCUCUAUUAUUGCUGAACCAAAAGUAUAUGGUCGAGAAGAUGAUAAAGAGAAGAUUGUCGAGUUUCUUCUCACCCAAGCAAAGGGCUCUGACCUCCUUUCCAUCUAUCCAAUUGUUGGCUUAGGUGGUAUUGGGAAAACAACUCUUGCUCAAUUAGUUUAUAAUGAUCACCGGGUGAGUGACAAUUUUGAUACAAAAAUUUGGGUUUGUGUUUCUGAGGCUUUCUCUGUUAACAAAAUUUUGUGUACUAUUAUAGAAUCUUUUUCAAGAGAAAAGUGUGAUGCCUUAGAUUUAGAUGUUAUACAACGACAAGUGCAAGAAUUGUUGGAAGGUAAAAGAUAUUUGCUUGUUUUGGAUGAUGUGUGGAACAGAAAUCAAGAACUGGAAUUUGGAUUAAGCCAAGAGAAAUGGAAUAAGUUGAAAUCCGUGUUGUCAACUGGAUCCAAAGGUUCAUCCAUUUUAGUCUCCACUCGUGAUAAGGAUGUUGCUGAGAUCAUGGGAACAUGCCAAGCUCAUCAUUUGUCUGGUCUAUCUGAAUAUGAAUGUUGGUUGUUGUUCAAACAAUAUGCAUUUCGACAUGAUAGAGAGCAGCAGACUGAGCUUGUCACAAUAGGAAAAGAGAUAGUAAAGAAGUGUGGGGGAUUGCCUCUUGCAGCACAAGCAUUGGGAGGCCUAAUGUGCUCAAGGAGUGGAGAAAAAGAAUGGCUUGAAAUUAAAGAUAGCAGGAUUUGGUCUUUACCGAAUGAGAAUUCUAUUUUGCCUGCUUUAAGGUUGAGCUACUUUCAUUUAAACCCAACCUUAAAACAAUGUUUCACUUUUUGUGCCAUGUUUCCCAAAGAUAUAGAAAUCAUGAAGGGAGAUUUAAUUCAUCUCUGGAUCGCCAACGGAUUUAUAUCAUCAAGGGAAAAUUUAGAGGUAGAAGAUGUUGGAAAUAUGAUUUGGAAUGAAUUGUGCCAAAAGUCAUUUUUCCAAGAAAUCAAGAUGGUCGAUGAUUCAGGAGGCAUUUCUUUCAAGUUGCAUGAUCUUGUCCAUGAUCUUGCUCAAUCAAUUAUAGGAUCGGAGUGUUUGAUUUUGGACAAUACAAACAUAACUGACCUGUCAAGAAGCACACACCAUAUUGGUUUAGUAUCUGCAACACCGUCAUUAUUUGACAAGGGUGCUUUCACAAAAGUUGAAUCGUUGCGAACAUUGUUUCAGAUAGGUUUUUACACCACAAGAUUUUAUGAUUACUUCCCAACCUCUAUACGGGUUUUACGCACAAACUCUUCCAAUUUAUCAUCGCUAAGUAAUUUAAUUCAUUUGAGGUACUUGGAGCUGUUCGAUUUCCAUGACAUAAAAACCCUACCUGACUCAAUUUAUAGCUUGCGUAAUUUGGAAAUCUUGAAACUGAAACAUUUUUCUAAACUUCGUUGUCUACCGGAACACUUGACUUGCUUACAAAAUCUCAGACAUCUUGUUAUUGAAAAUUGUGAUGCAUUGUCCCGUGUGUUCCCUAACAUUGGUAAAUUAUCUUCCCUAAGAACAUUAAGUAAACACAUUGUCCGUUUAGAGAUUGGAUACAGCUUGGCAGAAUUACAUGAUCUAAAGCUAGGGGGAAAACUAAGCAUUACUUGCCUAGAAAAUGUUGGAAGUUUGUCUGAAGCUCGAGAAGCCAAUCUGAUAGAUAAAAAAGAACUUCAGGAAAUAUGCUUCUCAUGGAACAACAGGCGUAAAACCAAGACACCUGCUACUAGCACCGAGGAAAUACUUGAAGUGCUUCAACCUCACUCAAAUCUCAAGAUCUUGAAAAUACAUGGCUAUGACGGAUUGCACCUCCCAUGUUGGAUCCAAAUUCAAAGUAGUUUAGCUGUUCUUAGACUUUCUUAUUGCAAAAACUGUGUGCGGCUUCCAUCACUUGCUAAAUUACCAUCUCUCAAAAAACUCCAAUUAUGGUAUAUGGAUAAUGUGCAGUAUGUGGAUGAUGAAGAAUCAAGCGAUGGUGUGGAGGUUAGGGGUUUCCCAUCUCUGGAGGAGCUGCUUUUAGGUAAUUUACCUAACUUGGAACGGUUGUUGAAAGUGGAAACAGGGGAGAUUUUUCCCCGCCUUUCUAAGUUGGCCAUCGUUGGUUGCCCUAAACUUGGGUUGCCACACCUUUCAUCGUUUAAAGAACUCAUUGUAGAUGGAUGUAACAAUGAGUUGCUGGAGUCAAUCUCUAGUUUCUACGGCCUAACUACCCUUGAGAUUAAUAGAGGUGAAGAUGUGACAUAUUUUCCAAAAGGGAUGUUGAAAAACCUGACCUGUCUUCGAACUUUGGAAAUAUCUGAUUUCCCAAAAGUGAAAGCAUUGCCAAGUGAAGCCUUCAACCUAGCUUUGGAGCAUCUUGGUAUCCAUCACUGUUGUGAGCUUGACUCAUUACCAGAACAACUUUUUGAAGGUCUACGAUCCCUUCGAACCAUGGAGAUUGCUUUCUGUGAAAGAUUGAGAUGCUUGCCAGAAGGUAUUCGCCACCUCACAUCACUUGAGGUUCUGACAGUUUAUGGUUGCCCAGCUGUAGCAGAGCGAUGUAAGGAAGAAAUAGGAGAGGACUGGGACAUGAUAGAACACAUUCCAAAAUUAUCUAUUAAUUAGAUUGAAGAAGAAGAAACUUUUGACCAACAUUGAUUCCAUUACAAUAUGCCAAAUAAUAUAGAAUCAUUUGUAUAUUAAGACCAUGUAUAUUCCAAUCACUGCAAUAUUCCAAAUAAUAUAGUUGAUGGCUACUUUGGGAGUGCGACAAGUUUUUAAAAUGACAAUUGGUUUUCUUUUUCAAACAUUAUCGUUAUUAAUUACCUUAUUUGCUAAUUCUGAACUAUAGUUUCUAUAAUGUCAGGUGCUGGUUAUGUUAGACAUUAGUAAGGGAACAUUAAGUUCACUAUAAAUACAAUUUUUAUACAACAAGAUCAGAUGAAAUUUUCAUGAAAGGGUUAACUUGAGAAUAACCGUACAAUCUAAUUACAUCAUAAAUAUAUACAUGAAAAUAGAGAAUAUUUACAUUUACAUAGAAGAAAAUAAAGGAAAUAACAUCUCAAUAAAUAUAAAUGAAGUAUUUUAAUGAUUGUGUCAUAUCUCAGUAGCUACAUUUCAACAAAAGUACAAGUAUAUAUAUUCUACUUUUUGAAACACUUUUUGAAUUACAUUCUUAGAUACAGAAUCAAAGACUCUUUAGAGAUCAAUGAUGAAAAACCUAGAACCUAAUGAUCUUGAUCAUUGGCUAGUAGAAGUCAUUGUUAAUGUUUAUGACCAACAUUUACAAACUAAAUCUAUUCUUUUCUAUGCAAAUAUCUCAGUAUAAGGUUAGAGUUAUACAUGGUAAACCAUACCGACUUCUAGCAAAGAAGUAUGAACUACUUCCAACAUAAUAUCAGGUUCUCUGCAAUUUUUGCUUAGAAAAGCAUAAACAACAUCUAUUCCAAAUUUCUUUAAAAUGGAAGAUGAUUUUUUUGCCUCUGCAUAGGAAUGCCCAACUAUAUAAGUAAUACCUGAUUCUUUGGCUUUUAAAAUCUGCAAUGACUCGACUUUAUAGGACUCGUCUUGAAGUUGUUGGCCGUCACAUGAAAAUGCUAAAGAAUUCUUUUCAGAAUGUGACCAAUUCAAUUUCAAAGUGUGUUGUGAAGCACCAAGAUCUUCCGCAUUUAAGUUUCUUCCAUCAUCUAUAGUCAAUUCAUUUGUUUGUUCUUGAACACAGUCUUCUGAUUCUAUAAACUGUAUUAUUGCAGAUACCAAUUUAUUAUCAAAAUUGUAAUUCUCUUGUUGUAUGUCUUUGUAACCGUAUCGGACAAUGCACCGAAACAUGUAGAACUCCUUCGGACCAAUCCUGCUGAUGACUAAUCUUUCACUUUCACUGACAUAAGGAACUUGAACUGAUUUAGCACAUACAAAAACUAACACCUGAUGGAAUGCUGGUAAAUUUGUAAUAAAAUGACCAAAAAUAGCCGGGAUACCGGAAGCAAGAUUAGUGAAAAUGAGACCGAUUCCUGGGACACGGACCAUGCCUAAACAAGGUCCUAAUGAUAACAUCUUGCUCAUCGAGACCUUGUUUUCAACAUCAAAUUUGUGUUUCUUCAUUGUUCCAUAAUUCCAUGUGAACAUUAUGGCCAUAAAAAUGAAAGAGAGCGAAAUUGGGAUCCAUCCUCCUUCAGGGAUUUUGCAGACAGAAGCUGAGAUGUAAAGAAGUUCAAUAGAUCCAAACAAUAGGAAACAUGUAAGUGCUUUUAUUAUCCCUUGUUUCCAAACAAUUAUAAUUAUUAGCGUCAUCAAACAUGUUGUCACAAACAUAACAGUGGUGAUAGCCAACCCUGGAAACCAAGAAAAAUAGUUUAAAUUUAGUUUUCAAUACUUCAAGUAUCAUAUAAUAAGUAAACUUAAGAGUAAACAGUCAUUUUCCCUAAAUGUAUGAAGCUUAAUCACAAUAGCAACGAUUGUAUCCGAAUUACAAAAUUAUCCCUAAAGCGUCUUUUGUCUGUAAUUUUAUGGACCAAAUUGACUACUUGAUGAUAGAUUCUAGAACUAUACUAAUUAAUGGAAGAUACAUUUGAUGAUGAAACGGACUAAUGAAAGACAAGUUUAUGUAGUUUUUUAUUUUAUUUUUAUAAUUUGAUACAUUAGAGACUAUUGUGACAUCGCCUCACAUAUUUUAGGAUAAAAAUGAUUGAUUAAUCUAAACACAAUGGAAAAGGAUAUCAUACCAUAUGCAUGACCCAUCAUGUUUGUAUCCCUAAGGCCAAUUGUGACAGCUAAACAAAGGCACAUUAAUAUCCAAUUGACUUCUGGAACAUAAAUCUGUCCAUAUAUUUUGCUAGAAGUAUGAACAAUCUUGACUCGAGGAAAACAAUUUAAUGCACAGCAUUGGCUUAUGAUGGAAAAAGUUGCAGAAAUCACUGCUUGACUUCCUACAACAGCAGCAAAAGUGGCCACUAUAAAAACUGGCCAAAAUACAGCUUCUGCAGAAAAAUAGUAGCACUGUUACCCUAGAGUUAUCAUAAAUAAUAUCGAUAUAUUUGUGGUUUAUUAAAGUGAAUUCUUGCCUGGUAUGGCUUUGUAGAAACUUCUCUCAAUGUCAUAAUGGUGCUUAGAGAGAAAUGCAGCCUCACCCAUAUAUGCCAAAAUCAGGCAGGGAUAUACUAAACAUGUGAAAGCUAUCUGAGAUUUACGUGUAACUGUUAAAUCAGAUUUCAUUUUUGUAUGCUAAACUAAUAUACUUGUGAUCAAUAUUGUUAAUUAUUGUAUACUUUUAAUUUACCUUUAUUGAGAGUGCAGAAAAAUGACCCAUGUCAGCAUACAUUGUCUCCACACCUGCGACAGUAUCACGUAGGAAAAUUAAUCUCAUAGCUCUUUAGCUGCAAGAGAAAUGAUAUUUUGUACAACCAAAUUUAGACAAUUUUUGUGACUUUUUUUAAGUGUUCAAAUAGGUGAUUAAUUACGUUUAGUAUAUGAUUAAUAGAUAUAUCAGGUGUCAAAACUUAUUAACCACCAACAUAACUUCAUCAACCACAAAUUUGGAAGUGGUUAGCCAUAAUUUUCAGUUAAGUACAUACAAAUUUAUGGUUAAUGCUGUUACAUUGAUAGUCAAUGAGUUUUCACAUAUAGUAUAUCCAUGAACCACCUACUGAACGCAAUUAACCACUUAUUUGAAGUGUGUUAACCACUUAAAAAGUUGUUGCGAAAAUUGUCUGAAUUUGGUUGUUCAAAUAACACAAGCUAGACAACUGUAAUAAAAUUGACUAACUUAUAUUACCUGUUAUCGAAAGCACAACUCCACUUAAUGACAACCAUCCUUCGAUGCCAGUGGUUUUGAGAAACCUAAACAUAUAGACUGGAGAAAGUGCACGAUAUACUUGUCGGUUCCAUUGGAAAAUAUUGUAUAUACCAAUACCACUGAUACACAAAAGCCAUGCUGCAACAACUGGGGCAAACAUGAAGGCAACUCUAUGUGUUCCAUGAUGCUGAAUGGAGAAAAGGCCAACUAAAAUGAUACAUGAGACUAUAACAACAUAAUCUGCGCAAUACAUAGUGUAGAGUUUCAAAAUUAUGCAUUGAAUAGACAUAAUGGUAAUGAUCGAAGUUCGGUUGGCUUACUGUCAUGGAGUUGGUUGAUCUUAACUUGAACUCCUGAAACUGCUGAAAAUACUGAAAUGAGACAUGAGAAGGAUGGUCAUAGAUCGAAAAGGAUAAACAGUACAAUUAUUUAUUCUCUGUAAACACCGAAAUACUAUAAUGAUCAACUCUUGAAUCAGUAUAUUCUCUGUAAACAGUACAGUUAUUUAUUCUGAAAUGUACUUUUGUCUAAUCACAUUAAUGAUGAAUAAUGAAUUCUAGCAAUUAGUAAUCAGCUAAAGCUAUAAUUUAAGGAAUGCAUGUGUGUAUCUGUGACAUUGCCAAUGUUGUAUAACAUAGUUCAUUUUGGUUCAAAUAUUAUGUUUAGUCCCUGCAAAAUCAAAUGUUGUCAGUUCAAAUAUUAUGUUUAAAAAAGCUGAUGUUGUGGACCGAGGUACACACCAUCAUUUCCAUGUAGAUGACAAUGCCACAUGUCAACACCACAUUGGAUGAUAGUGACAUAUAGCAUGGCCACACGAAGCUGAUAUGCCAUGUCUAACUCCUCGUUUUUACUGACGUGUUCUAUUAGUGUUUGAUGUGUGUCACUAUUAUCCAAUGUGGUGUUGAAACAUGACAUAGUCAUCCUACAUGGGAAGGAUGUCAUUUAGUCGUAUUUGCCACAUCAGAUAUUUUAAAUAGAAAGUUGACACUACGGACAAAAAACAAAUACAUGAUUCUGUAAGGAUGAAAAGAAAGAGAAAGAAAAAAAAAAGGUAUUUAUAGGGACUAAAACCAAAAUUUGCUCUAUUUAUGGGGACAGAACACAUAUUCAAACCAUUCUGUUUUUUAUAAGACCAAACUCCCUUUUACUUGUACAACAAGUAACCCAUAGAUUAACAGAAGGGAUGCUCCUGAUCAAAGUACCUGAUAUUGCAGGAGUAAUCACACCAUCACCAAUUGUCAUGCAAGUUCCCAACAAAACAAAGAUUAACAGUCCUUUCUGGAAUCUAGGAUGCUUUUCAAAGAACAGCUUCAAAAGAGAAGAUUGCCAUGUAUCGGCAGAAUCUUCUGUUGAAUAAGCAGAUAAAGUCUCAUCUGUUGGUUGCUGAUUAGGCAAAAUGCUUAGUCUUGCAUGUCUGCAGAGAAGUGAGUAUAAUGCAAAUGUGCCUCCUGCAGUAAAAUAAGGAACAUAAGAAAGAAAUUCUUAGAUGCUCAUGAACCAAAGAGAUUGAUCUUGAUUUCUACCAAUGGUUUCUUAUAUAACAAAAUUAUAACAAUGUGUUCCCUUUUUAUUUUUUGUUUUAAAAUAGUCCCUUAUUUUACAAAUGUUACAUUAAAUUUAUCCAUUUUAAAUUUUAAAACUAUCCAUUAUUGUCCCAUAAGUCCUAGCUCAACCGGUGAAAAUGCCGAAAUUGUUAGGCCGGACAUCAUGAUCGAGAUUCGAACCCCGGCACCUCCACUUUGUGUGUGUGAGUUUACGAUGGCUUUACCAUUUCUUCUAUCUACCAAAAAAAAAACUACUCAUUAUUUUGUAAAAGCUAUACCAAGGUGGUCCUCUCUGUAAAACAAAGAACAAUUUCAUUACCAAAAAUACCAAAAGAAAAUUGAAAUCUAAAAUAAAGAUAAGGAACCAAAAUUAUUUAGUCUAAAAUUAAUCUUCAAAUAUUUAUCUGUUAAUUAAGUAAUCAUAGUAGACAUCAUGACAGAGAAGGAAAAUUAUGGCUCAAAAUAAUUAUAUAAAGUCAAAAAGAACAAAUAACAGAAUAUACAAUGCUUCUGAGUUCUGUCAUCAUUUUAUUCAUUUGGUAAAGCCAAAAAAACAUCCAAAUAUCCUUUAUGGGAGUUUUGGCUGAAUAAUAAUGUGAUUAUAAAAAUAAUUGAGUUGACUUAAUCAACUUAAAAGCCAAAGGAACUGAAAAGAUACACACCAAAAGUACCAACAUCAAUGAUUGAAGAUUGUACCUUCUCCAUUAUCAUCAGCAGACAUGACAAUGAAAACAUAUUUGAAGAGAGCAAUAAUAGUAAAUGUCCAAAAGAUAAAUGAAAGCACUCCAAAAAUUUCUUCAUCAUCUUCUUUAAGGCUCAAUUUCCCUGAGAAUGAGGUCUUGUAUACAUAAAGAGGAGAAGUACUUAGGUCACCAUAAACUACUCCAAGACUUUGGUAUGCUAGAGUCAGCACAUUUAAACAAGAUGUCCUCUUUAAAUUCUGAUACAUGAAAUGAAACCAAGCAUAAGCUUNNNNNNNNNNNNNNNNNNNNNNNNNNNNNNNNNNNNNNNNNNNNNNNNNNNNNNNNNNNNNNNNNNNNNNNNNNNNNNNNNNNNNNNNNNNNNNNNNNNNNNNNNNNNNNNNNNNNNNNNNNNNNNNNNNNNNNNNNNNNNNNNNNNNNNNNNNNNNNNNNNNNNNNNNNNNNNNNNNNNNNNNNNNNNNNNNNNNNNNNNNNNNNNNNNNNNNNNNNNNNNNNNNNNNNNNNNNNNNNNNNNNNNNNNNNNNNNNNNNNNNNNNNNNNNNNNNNNNNNNNNNNNNNNNNNNNNNNNNNNNNNNNNNNNNNNNNNNNNNNNNNNNNNNNNNNNNNNNNNNNNNNNNNNNNNNNNNNNNNNNNNNNNNNNNNNNNNNNNNNNNNNNNNNNNNNNNNNNNNNNNNNNNNNNNNNNNNNNNNNNNNNNNNNNNNNNNNNNNNNNNNNNNNNNNNNNNNNNNNNNNNNNNNNNNNNNNNNNNNNNNNNNNNNNNNNNNNNNNNNNNNNNNNNNNNNNNNNNNNNNNNNNNNNNNNNNNNNNNNNNNNNNNNNNNNNNNNNNNNNNNNNNNNNNNNNNNNNNNNNNNNNNNNNNNNNNNNNNNNNNNNNNNNNNNNNNNNNNNNNNNNNNNNNNNNNNNNNNNNNNNNNNNNNNNNNNNNNNNNNNNNNNNNNNNNNNNNNNNNNNNNNNNNNNNNNNNNNNNNNNNNNNNNNNNNNNNNNNNNNNNNNNNNNNNNNNNNNNNNNNNNNNNNNNNNNNNNNNNNNNNNNNNNNNNNNNNNNNNNNNNNNNNNNNNNNNNNNNNNNNNNNNNNNNNNNNNNNNNNNNNNNNNNNNNNNNNNNNNNNNNNNNNNNNNNNNNNNNNNNNNNNNNNNNNNNNNNNNNNNNNNNNNNNNNNNNNNNNNNNNNNNNNNNNNNNNNNNNNNNNNNNNNNNNNNNNNNNNNNNNNNNNNNNNNNNNNNNNNNNNNNNNNNNNNNNNNNNNNNNNNNNNNNNNNNNNNNNNNNNNNNNNNNNNNNNNNNNNNNNNNNNNNNNNNNNNNNNNNNNNNNNNNNNNNNNNNNNNNNNNNNNNNNNNNNNNNNNNNNNNNNNNNNNNNNNNNNNNNNNNNNNNNNNNNNNNNNNNNNNNNNNNNNNNNNNNNNNNNNNNNNNNNNNNNNNNNNNNNNNNNNNNNNNNNNNNNNNNNNNNNNNNNNNNNNNNNNNNNNNNNNNNNNNNNNNNNNNNNNNNNNNNNNNNNNNNNNNNNNNNNNNNNNNNNNNNNNNNNNNNNNNNNNNNNNNNNNNNNNNNNNNNNNNNNNNNNNNNNNNNNNNNNNNNNNNNNNNNNNNNNNNNNNNNNNNNNNNNNNNNNNNNNNNNNNNNNNNNNNNNNNNNNNNNNNNNNNNNNNNNNNNNNNNNNNNNNNNNNNNNNNNNNNNNNNNNNNNNNNNNNNNNNNNNNNNNNNNNNNNNNNNNNNNNNNNNNNNNNNNNNNNNNNNNNNNNNNNNNNNNNNNNNNNNNNNNNNNNNNNNNNNNNNNNNNNNNNNNNNNNNNNNNNNNNNNNNNNNNNNNNNNNNNNNNNNNNNNNNNNNNNNNNNNNNNNNNNNNNNNNNNNNNNNNNNNNNNNNNNNNNNNNNNNNNNNNNNNNNNNNNNNNNNNNNNNNNNNNNNNNNNNNNNNNNNNNNNNNNNNNNNNNNNNNNNNNNNNNNNNNNNNNNNNNNNNNNNNNNNNNNNNNNNNNNNNNNNNNNNNNNNNNNNNNNNNNNNNNNNNNNNNNNNNNNNNNNNNNNNNNNNNNNNNNNNNNNNNNNNNNNNNNNNNNNNNNNNNNNNNNNNNNNNNNNNNNNNNNNNNNNNNNNNNNNNNNNNNNNNNNNNNNNNNNNNNNNNNNNNNNNNNNNNNNNNNNNNNNNNNNNNNNNNNNNNNNNNNNNNNNNNNNNNNNNNNNNNNNNNNNNNNNNNNNNNNNNNNNNNNNNNNNNNNNNNNNNNNNNNNNNNNNNNNNNNNNNNNNNNNNNNNNNNNNNNNNNNNNNNNNNNNNNNNNNNNNNNNNNNNNNNNNNNNNNNNNNNNNNNNNNNNNNNNNNNNNNNNNNNNNNNNNNNNNNNNNNNNNNNNNNNNNNNNNNNNNNNNNNNNNNNNNNNNNNNNNNNNNNNNNNNNNNNNNNNNNNNNNNNNNNNNNNNNNNNNNNNNNNNNNNNNNNNNNNNNNNNNNNNNNNNNNNNNNNNNNNNNNNNNNNNNNNNNNNNNNNNNNNNNNNNNNNNNNNNNNNNNNNNNNNNNNNNNNNNNNNNNNNNNNNNNNNNNNNNNNNNNNNNNNNNNNNNNNNNNNNNNNNNNNNNNNNNNNNNNNNNNNNNNNNNNNNNNNNNNNNNNNNNNNNNNNNNNNNNNNNNNNNNNNNNNNNNNNNNNNNNNNNNNNNNNNNNNNNNNNNNNNNNNNNNNNNNNNNNNNNNNNNNNNNNNNNNNNNNNNNNNNNNNNNNNNNNNNNNNNNNNNNNNNNNNNNNNNNNNNNNNNNNNNNNNNNNNNNNNNNNNNNNNNNNNNNNNNNNNNNNNNNNNNNNNNNNNNNNNNNNNNNNNNNNNNNNNNNNNNNNNNNNNNNNNNNNNNNNNNNNNNNNNNNNNNNNNNNNNNNNNNNNNNNNNNNNNNNNNNNNNNNNNNNNNNNNNNNNNNNNNNNNNNNNNNNNNNNNNNNNNNNNNNNNNNNNNNNNNNNNNNNNNNNNNNNNNNNNNNNNNNNNNNNNNNNNNNNNNNNNNNNNNNNNNNNNNNNNNNNNNNNNNNNNNNNNNNNNNNNNNNNNNNNNNNNNNNNNNNNNNNNNNNNNNNNNNNNNNNNNNNNNNNNNNNNNNNNNNNNNNNNNNNNNNNNNNNNNNNNNNNNNNNNNNNNNNNNNNNNNNNNNNNNNNNNNNNNNNNNNNNNNNNNNNNNNNNNNNNNNNNNNNNNNNNNNNNNNNNNNNNNNNNNNNNNNNNNNNNNNNNNNNNNNNNNNNNNNNNNNNNNNNNNNNNNNNNNNNNNNNNNNNNNNNNNNNNNNNNNNNNNNNNNNNNNNNNNNNNNNNNNNNNNNNNNNNNNNNNNNNNNNNNNNNNNNNNNNNNNNNNNNNNNNNNNNNNNNNNNNNNNNNNNNNNNNNNNNNNNNNNNNNNNNNNNNNNNNNNNNNNNNNNNNNNNNNNNNNNNNNNNNNNNNNNNNNNNNNNNNNNNNNNNNNNNNNNNNNNNNNNNNNNNNNNNNNNNNNNNNNNNNNNNNNNNNNNNNNNNNNNNNNNNNNNNNNNNNNNNNNNNNNNNNNNNNNNNNNNNNNNNNNNNNNNNNNNNNNNNNNNNNNNNNNNNNNNNNNNNNNNNNNNNNNNNNNNNNNNNNNNNNNNNNNNNNNNNNNNNNNNNNNNNNNNNNNNNNNNNNNNNNNNNNNNNNNNNNNNNNNNNNNNNNNNNNNNNNNNNNNNNNNNNNNNNNNNNNNNNNNNNNNNNNNNNNNNNNNNNNNNNNNNNNNNNNNNNNNNNNNNNNNNNNNNNNNNNNNNNNNNNNNNNNNNNNNNNNNNNNNNNNNNNNNNNNNNNNNNNNNNNNNNNNNNNNNNNNNNNNNNNNNNNNNNNNNNNNNNNNNNNNNNNNNNNNNNNNNNNNNNNNNNNNNNNNNNNNNNNNNNNNNNNNNNNNNNNNNNNNNNNNNNNNNNNNNNNNNNNNNNNNNNNNNNNNNNNNNNNNNNNNNNNNNNNNNNNNNNNNNNNNNNNNNNNNNNNNNNNNNNNNNNNNNNNNNNNNNNNNNNNNNNNNNNNNNNNNNNNNNNNNNNNNNNNNNNNNNNNNNNNNNNNNNNNNNNNNNNNNNNNNNNNNNNNNNNNNNNNNNNNNNNNNNNNNNNNNNNNNNNNNNNNNNNNNNNNNNNNNNNNNNNNNNNNNNNNNNNNNNNNNNNNNNNNNNNNNNNNNNNNNNNNNNNNNNNNNNNNNNNNNNNNNNNNNNNNNNNNNNNNNNNNNNNNNNNNNNNNNNNNNNNNNNNNNNNNNNNNNNNNNNNNNNNNNNNNNNNNNNNNNNNNNNNNNNNNNNNNNNNNNNNNNNNNNNNNNNNNNNNNNNNNNNNNNNNNNNNNNNNNNNNNNNNNNNNNNNNNNNNNNNNNNNNNNNNNNNNNNNNNNNNNNNNNNNNNNNNNNNNNNNNNNNNNNNNNNNNNNNNNNNNNNNNNNNNNNNNNNNNNNNNNNNNNNNNNNNNNNNNNNNNNNNNNNNNNNNNNNNNNNNNNNNNNNNNNNNNNNNNNNNNNNNNNNNNNNNNNNNNNNNNNNNNNNNNNNNNNNNNNNNNNNNNNNNNNNNNNNNNNNNNNNNNNNNNNNNNNNNNNNNNNNNNNNNNNNNNNNNNNNNNNNNNNNNNNNNNNNNNNNNNNNNNNNNNNNNNNNNNNNNNNNNNNNNNNNNNNNNNNNNNNNNNNNNNNNNNNNNNNNNNNNNNNNNNNNNNNNNNNNNNNNNNNNNNNNNNNNNNNNNNNNNNNNNNNNNNNNNNNNNNNNNNNNNNNNNNNNNNNNNNNNNNNNNNNNNNNNNNNNNNNNNNNNNNNNNNNNNNNNNNNNNNNNNNNNNNNNNNNNNNNNNNNNNNNNNNNNNNNNNNNNNNNNNNNNNNNNNNNNNNNNNNNNNNNNNNNNNNNNNNNNNNNNNNNNNNNNNNNNNNNNNNNNNNNNNNNNNNNNNNNNNNNNNNNNNNNNNNNNNNNNNNNNNNNNNNNNNNNNNNNNNNNNNNNNNNNNNNNNNNNNNNNNNNNNNNNNNNNNNNNNNNNNNNNNNNNNNNNNNNNNNNNNNNNNNNNNNNNNNNNNNNNNNNNNNNNNNNNNNNNNNNNNNNNNNNNNNNNNNNNNNNNNNNNNNNNNNNNNNNNNNNNNNNNNNNNNNNNNNNNNNNNNNNNNNNNNNNNNNNNNNNNNNNNNNNNNNNNNNNNNNNNNNNNNNNNNNNNNNNNNNNNNNNNNNNNNNNNNNNNNNNNNNNNNNNNNNNNNNNNNNNNNNNNNNNNNNNNNNNNNNNNNNNNNNNNNNNNNNNNNNNNNNNNNNNNNNNNNNNNNNNNNNNNNNNNNNNNNNAAGCUUUAAAAAAUUGUUCGGACUAAAGAUUGUAGUCAAUCAUCGAAAUGAAGCCAUGAACAUGAAGAGCCCUAAUGGCAGCAAGCCUAUGAAAGAGGGAUAUUUACUGAACUGAUAACAAAUAAGAAAAGAGGGAUAUUCCAUUAGACCCACGUUUAUUUGAAAUAUUGAAUCAUGAUAUGUAAAUGAAAAGCUAAAUAGCACAUAGAAAACAAAAAUAAAACCUAAAGGGGGUGUUUGUUUCAAGGUUAAGAAUGACAUUCCCGGGAAUACAUGGCUAGGGAAUGAUUAUACCCAUGUUUGUUAUGAGGUUGAGAAAAAAAUAUUCCUGGGUAUAAAGAUUCCUGGGAAUGGAGUAACUUCCCAUAACUUCCAUUAUUCCCAUGUAAAGAGAUGGGAAUGUGCAUUCCCAUGAUAUUAUGCAUAGAUUUAAAAAAAAAAAAUUGUAACUUCCAAUUUUUCCAGGAAUGUCAAGUUAUUUGCCAAACACUUUUUUUAACAAAUACCCAAUAAUCAAAUUUUCAUAUUUUCAUUCCCGGGUAUAUUAUUCCUGGGAAUAAUUUGUGUUUUCCAAAAACAAACGCUCGUAUGCACAAAAGUUCAACCAUACUCAACAGGCACACAUUGCAAAAAUUCAAUUAGUUUAGAAAUUAUGGUAGGCAAAAGCCAUAUGUAAUACAUGAAUUUCUGAUACUAAUCGAAUGGCAUUAUUGUGUACCAAAACAUUUGAUUUUGUCAAUGUAAGCUCCCAUUUAUUUAUCCAUCAACUAAGCCAACAGUCACUAUAUCCUUCCUCCACAUACUUCCUGCAAUUGAUGAGCUGCAAGGUUCUGAUUCAUUCAUUUGACGCACAUCCAUCUGAAAUAUUGAAUCACGAUAUAUAAAUGAAAAGUUAAAUAGAACAUGGCAAAAAGAAAUUACUCAACAGGCACACUCUGCGAAAAUUCAAUUAGUUUAUAAUCCAUGGUAGGAAAAAUCCAUAUGUAAUAUGUACAUAAUUUCAGAUACUAAUGAAAUAGAAUUAUCCAACAAAAGACAAAUGCUAGGAAAGACCCGAAAUGAAUUUAUAGAGUGGCACCCCUCCUUACAUGUUGGUUUUGUAGGGUUGAGUUAGACCCAGUGUACAAUAUAAUAUGGCAUUAGAGCCUAUGGAUUCAGACCACCUACCAUUUAUAUCCACGCACCAAGUCCAAUAGUGUUGGGCAUGAGGAGGUGUAUUGGGAAAAACACAAGCCCGACAUAGGAUAAAGAUAAGACAUGAAAAAUUUAUAAAUAGUGGCACCUCUCUCCUUACAAAUCGGUUUUAUAGGUUUGAGUUUGGUCCAAUAUAGAAAUCUACUACAUUGUAUGGUAGAAUGUUAGAAAACAACCCAAAGUGAAAGAAUAAAAGGAAAUAAAUACGGUUAUUUAUUAUUUGCAUAUACCUGUUGAUGAAGGAAUCGGUGUGCGACCUUGUAUUCCCUCUGGAGGAUGAUGUGCUGAACAGAACAAUCUGAACGCCCACGGUGAAGAAUAUUGUUGCAGCCCUGGUGAAGAACAAUGCUGUAGUGCAGAACAGAACAAUCUGAACGCUCCUGGUGAAAAAUAUUCGAUACGAAAUGCUCGAUGCUCUGAAAUAAAAAUCUGAACUUGCUUCGAAUUUGAACAGAAAUUCUUGAUGCCGGUGGAAUCUGGAGAGAGGCCAUGAAAGGUGGAAGAAAUUUUGGAAUUAGGAUUCUAUUUAAAUUUGCUUGUUUUGAGAGUAUUUGGGCAUCCAAUUGACACCUCUAGUCUACACAGUGAACCACCACAUUAUGCAAACGUGCACCUUAGGUAUAGACAAUAACAAAACAAUAUAGAAUGAAUUCUUAUAAGUUAGUUCAUGAAAACAAAAUAUUUCCAUUUUGAUAUCAGAAAUGGUCAACUCAGACGUAUGCACCCUUCACUCUUAGUGGUAAUGGACAGUCUUAUCAUGUAUUACAGAUUUCGAUUCCCCAAACAAAAAUGGAUAUCUAAUACAUGUUCUCUCACUGAACCGAUUAGAAGUUUUCUACUGGAAUAGGUAGCAACUGAACAUAGAUCCAUUUUCUAAAGAUCAUUGAAAAUAUUUGUCGGGUCGAUUGAAAAGUCAAGUAAAUGAUAAAAUCUGGAUUUUAUUUAUAAAAAGAAUCGAAAAAUCCAGAAAAAAAAAGUACCUGUUGGGCAAUAAUGUUCUUUCUCUCCUUUUCUUUAACUUUCUUCUCAUUUUCUGCUUCAACUUUGUCUUUUAUAAGCUCAUCUACCUUGCUCGUAUAUUCCCGAAUAGACUAGAGAAAAAUAAAAAAUGAUUAUUAACAAAAGAAAAAAAUGUUUGUCCUUAAUAAUAAUUGUAAUGAAAGAGACCCUUGUAAAAAACAUACCUGUAAGAGAUAAGGGAAGGAAAAAUCCAUCAUAUUGUUCUUCCAAGCUAGCUCUAAUGCAACAUCUGGCCGUAUUAGAUCAUAACAAGUAGAGAGGCACGAUGCAAAACACUCUUUCUUCCCCUGAAAAACAAAGACAGAAAGAAAUCUUGACCAAGUAAGCAGUAAUGAAGUGUAGAAAGAAUGAAUAUAAUUCAUAACGAUGAAGAGGUCACACCGCAGAAUGUGACAGGGCCUAAUCUGGCAAGGAUCUAAUAAAUGUACACCUGCUCACUAAAAUAAACAAGCAAAUCCUCUGAGAGUUUCUGGUCACCAGAUUGAUAGCAAGUUUCCAUGCAGUCCUUGUAAAGUUUGUCUUUCUUUAACAUACAAAUGGACUGUUUCCAUCUUCCAGCUUUCUUGUAAAUAUAAGCAGCAACACGUCUCAUCUCAAGGAGCUCGUGCUUCUCAAUCUGAUCAUGUGUAUUGUUGAAACCAAUCAAUAAUCAUUCAAGAUUUAGAAGUUUGCGAAAAGGAUGUAGAACUCAAUUUGGCCAAAUAAGUAAGAUAAGGAAAAUCCACCUUCUGUGCAAGACCUAUCUGAUUGAAGUUGUCAUACAGAUCUAUCGAUUUACGAAGUCUAUCGUAGUCCACCUCGUCAACAUAAAUUUCAUGCAAAGCUUCAUUAAUAGAAAACACAUUGCUGCUUUGAACUUCAACCAUGUACGGCUUUAUCAAUCGGAUAUGGCCUGCCUAAAAAUCAGAAAAUUCGAGCAACAAGUAUAAUUAUUGCAUUAAUCAUUUGCAACUAAUUAUUUACAUAACCUAAUAAGAUUAAAAUUACAGAUAUUAGGCAAUAGAGUACAAGAAAUAUAGACCUUCUGCGCUAUUUCUACAAUACGGGCAUGUUCCACAUGACGGGCAAGCACAUUAAGAAGAUCAUUUAUAAUAUCAGGAUGUUCUUGCAAGUAGAAAUGAACAGCCUUAUAAUAUAGUUCUACACGACCAACAUUUACUAUAAUAUGUUUGAAUUGCAUGUGGUCCCAUGCUUCUCGAGAGUGAUUCAUUACAGUGAUUGCAGCAUUAUUAAACUCUUCAAAUUGCACAUAUAGGUAUGUGAGUUCUUUCCAGAGUUGAUGUUCAUCACACGCCUGAAAAAGCUUGAGACUGUUGAGGUUGGUUGAGAACAACUUAAUGUGCUCCAUUAACAUCUCAGGACGAUAUCUUGCGUAAAGAACUCCCAACUCAGUAAAGAUACUCUCAUGAGCACACUCCAGUUCUAUCCCUUUCUCCAUUAGAGAGAUGAGUUCAUUGAAGCGUCUUCUGUUCUGAUAAUACUUGCAAACUUCUUCCAGAUCGUCCGCCUUCAUAAAAAUGAUGAGUGAUUAGCCAUAAAAACGGAAAAUAACAAACAAAUCAACAGUUUAUCUGCUACUUAUUGUGUAUACUAAUAACUAGAUGUUCUAUACUUCACCGGAACACAUCCCAUUAACUUGCAUGCAAUGAAAUUGAAAUAUGAGCGGAAAACCUGGAUACUGAAAAUUGGAGACAUAGGGACAGGGGUGGUAUUACUGUCAGAAAAAAUAAACGAAAGUUUAAGCUAGAAAUCGUGCCACCUGAACAAUAACAUUGAGACCACAAAUCUGAGCUAAGGAGGAUUCCCCAGCAUCAAUGCAGGAAAAACAAACAUCCUUCCAUGUUUUCAAACUGUUUGCUUUCUUAGCAGCAUCAACAGCAUCUUGGAAUUGUUGAAGCUUCACCAAUGUCACUGCUAACUUAGCCCAGUCAGGGAUAAAAGCAAAUAUAAUUUUUGCAGCCUCAUAAAGCGCCUCAGCAUACAAGCGGUCUCCAACAUUUGGCAAAUUAGAAACAUUUGGCAUCAAAAUAAACUCUUCAAUUUCUCCAAGCCGACCAAUCUUUGCAUACGCAUAAAUGAGCUCACUGUCCACCUUGGGCUCUUUGGUCUUCUGCCUAACCAUGAGAAGGUACUUUACUAGGUCAUGGUAUACAUUUGCAACUUCAGCAGCCUUUAUAACCUCUAAAAACUGAGUGGCAUCAUCUGCACGGAUGAACAACUCAAUUGCAUCACUUACUAAGCCUUUUCUUAGUUUCGCCUUAGCCACCUGGCUCCAUACAGAAUCUUCUUCAACGCAGAAUGCAAACUCCAUAGCUCGAUCAAUGGUCUUAAGGUUAUCUAGCAGAACAUUAACAGCCUUAACAUUCAGAUUAAAUUUCUUGAAAACGGCAAAAGCUUCUUCAUAUAAGCGUGCUUCCACUGCCGCCUUCCCGACAGCAGAGCCAUCAAAGUUGUCCAGCCUAUUUAUGUAACCCAUGACUCUUAAAGGAUCUGCUUUUAUUGCAGCAAGGAUCAGUAAGCUUUUUAGAGUGAAGUUUGCACUAAAAGCAGAAUUAUGUAGCACAAUCUUGUCGAGAAGGUCAAUCACUUCAUGGGUAAGAUUGGCAGUCAUAAAAGCUUUCACUGCAGCUGAAACUUGGUCAGGACUCUUGCAUUUAGGCAAAGCAGUAGACACCACUUGAUCAAUCAACUGUCUUCUAAACACGUUCCCAGGAUUUAGAACCUCUUUCCAGAGGCCACCAUCCAUCCGUUCCAUAACAUAUCUGACACAAACAAUAUCAUAAAUAAGACGAGUGUCCCAGACUAGCAUUUUGAAAUACAAUAGCACAAUAUUAAUGAAGAAUUGUAUACACACCUGGCUUGGAGUUUGAACAAGGAAUUUUUAUUGGUCACAUUAACAAGCUCAUAAUCACAUUUCCCCCUUGUGUAAGCAACAACGGCAAGUGUUGGGUCCCUUUGCUCACAAUAUUUACCAAUAACACGAGAAUCAUAAUAUAGGUUGGUUGUGAGAAAAUGUACUGGAUUGCUAUUGCUGUCAAUGAUGAUUCUCCCAAGAGCAUUAUGCACAUGUACAUCUCGGCUCCCCUCCCACACAAGAUCCUCCAAGAUCUGAGUAAGCAAACGAAGACGAUUCCUGCAUAUAGAAAGUAAAAUGAGAAAAUAAUAUGGUAAUGUGGAGAUGCAGGGCAGAGAGAAAAAUAGCAUACCUCUUUACAAAUUCUUCAACUAAAGGCUCAACUGGGAAAGGAGAACGAAUCGAAAGUACAAGACCUUUAAUGAAAUUUUCAGGGCAUCGAUCAUCUAACAACUGCCCUACAACUAGAGGAAUCUUUUGAGGAUUGACCUAUAGGUAAGAAAUAUAAUGUUAGAAAUUCACGUUUAAGAUUAGCAUAGAAAGAUUCAAAAUUAAAUGCAAUCACAAAAAAAAAGUUACCCUUUGAACAUAUUCUUCAACAUAAUGAAGCAUGUUUUGACUAUAGAGAUAAUGUAUGAGAUGAGGAACAAAACCAAAACGAUCACACACAUUAAUCAGUGGCCGUGCAUUUGGAAGGUUGGUCUUCAUUAGAAAGUUCUUUGUCUUCUCAGCAUCAUAAUAGCAUGAUUCCCGGGUUACACGCUCUACCUCCGUAAUAUGUCCCGUUUUAACAGCUACUUCAAUGUACUUGAAGUGAAUGUCAGGAUUCUUACUGUACAAUACAGAAUCAAAAGCCAAAAUUAUUAAAGUAAUUACUACCAAAAGCAAAAUAUAGUCUGUCUGGAAAAUCAAUGCCAUUUUCAUUCUUCAUUUAGAAAUACCUAGAUCUCAAAUGUGCACCCAAGAAAAGGUAUAAUCCUUCAUCAGAAUUGAAUUUCUCAAAGAGUUUGAUGCAUGCAUCAACACCCAGCUGUUUCGAAUAUUCCUUGGAAGUCUGCAGAUUAGGUACUAGUAAGAUUAUUUUAUACAGAAACUAUAAUAACAAGAAAAAAUAUCCAUGUUACAGUACCUGCACAAUUAUUUUAAGAUUUCCCCCAAGGUUGACAAGUAAAAGUUGUUCCAUACACUCCAGUGCCCAUUUUCGAGGAAGGGUUCCAAAAAACUUAACAAGAGCCUGAAAAUCACUUCAUAAUAAGAAGACAACAUAUAAAAGACUAAGUAGAUACAGUCACUCUAGCACCUGAAAUCCAAACCUGAUGUUCAAUGGCAUCAGUUUUCACAAUGAUGCGUUUGAUGUCAGGCAACUCAGUAUAAUGCUGCACAAGAGACAGACACGAAACUUCAAGAAAUUACUGACAACAAAUUACAGUCAGUCAUUGGUAUGAAAAGCCAAGAACCUGAAGAGCCCGGAUGAAAAGGCCGGCCUUUUCACAAAGUUUAGCAAUACGUGGACGAUCAUAAUGACUAAACACGCCUUUUGCCAAUAUAGAAUCAGCAACAUUUGGAAAGGUCUUAAGAUUGAUUUCCAGCAGCUAAAAAUGAUUAGAGCAAAUUUUCAUAAAAUCACAAAAAAAAUAUUGUAUGACUCCAUCAACUCGUAGAUAAAGAUUAAGGCAAAGAAAAUAAAGGAACCUUUGUUUGAAGAUGUCCAUGUUCAGGUAGGUCUGGCUUCAGCAGUUCCAACAAAAAGGUAGUUGCCUCACGGAUCAUAUUCCUCUAAAAAGUAACAGUAGAAACAUACAAACAAAAUUAAGGGUUGACGACUUGAUGUUUCCAGCACAUAAAUAAAAAACAAAAGGAAAUGAUUGGCUCUUUAUUUAACAAAUAGUUCUCGGUACUCAAAUUAAAGGAAAACAUACACGGGAUGGUUAAAAACCACUAUCAAUGCGAGUUUUCGGAAAGAGAAGGUCUGAUUCCAUUAGAUUUUUCAUUUUUCCAUUAAGUAGAAAAUAACUUUUCUGAAAUGCAAAAACGCAUUAUUCACUCUGCCACUUAAAACAUUACAUAAAGAUUUCAUAAAAGUCGAAGUAGAACAGGCUCAAGUAAUCAAGUAUUAUAGGUUCUAAAAAGGAAAAUGAAGAAUGAAAUGGAGACAGAAAUUGUGUACAUGAUACUUCCUUUUCUAAGUUAGGUCAAAUUACAAGUUACGCUUGAUAUGGGAGAACAAUGAAACCUACAUCAAUAAAACAAAAGAUAAAAUUAAAUAGACCUGAAGAAACAGAUCGGCUAUUUUGUUGUAGUCAACAGGGCAACCCCCCUCCAUUCGCAACAUCAUCAGAGCAAAAUCUAGAGCACCCUACAAUGGAACAUGUUCUGAGUAAAUGAAUAAACAAAAAGUAAACUCACAAGAUAACAGAUAUUCUAGAAAGAUAAACAUCAUAAGUAGCACAGAUGAGGUGAUAUCAUUUUAUGAUGUUUGGAUGUUUGGACUUCGGAUGCAUUCAACCAUCAUGCAUGAGGUGCUAUAAUUUUAUGGGAAAUGUUAACGAGUGCCCCCCGGGGCACUUGUUAAGCACUUUAAAUAGUAAGUUUUAAAUGAAAAGUUGUGUAUUGAAUGUAUUGGAAAUUGUAAUAAUUGACUUUUUAAAAGAAUAAUUACUAAAUUUGGGAUGCUUAAAGAGUGCCCUGGGGGCACUCGUUAACAAGACCUAAUUUUAUAAGUGCACCACAAUGAUCAGAACUGAAAUAAGUUUACCAAUAAAGUAUUUCCAUAAGGCAAAACUUGAUCAUUUCAAAUCGAACUACACUAACCUGGGCAUCUGUUUGCAAUAUUGUUUGCAGAAGGAAUAUGUAAUCAAGAGUGUAUCCAACCUGCAGUAAAUAAAAGGAGAAAAAUACAUCAUGCACUGCAAAAAUAAUAAUAAUUAACUAUGUAAUAAAACAAAAGUAUAACAUUCAUUUAACAGUCCAAUAUUACCACUAUUUUCAUGAUUUUGUAAAGUCUAAUAAAACAAAUGUUUCAUUACCUGCUUUGAGUAUGUCAAAAUCUUAUCAUAUUCCCUCCUCUCAGCAAAAGCUGCAAUAACCUUUGGUGUGGCACUUGCUUUAGUAUAUAUUUUCAAUGCCAGGUCUUUAUCCACUUUCUGCAUUAGAUGUGUGUCUUAUAAGAUUGAAUAGACAAACGAAAGGAAUAUAUAGCAAACUAAAUAUGGUUAUUGAAUCGAGAUUCAAAUAGUGAAUCAGAAGAACUAUUUUCUAAAUUGAGAAUUGGAUCUUAUCACAAAUCGUAAGAUACAUUAUCAAAUAGUUAAGAGUACUAGAAUCGAGAAUCGAGAUACAACUAGCACCUAGCAUCGAGAAUCGAGAUACAACUUGCAUGUAUCUUAGGAUAUUGAUAACCAUAAGUAUAUUCAACUGAUAAAGAAACUAAGAAUCAAUUAUAGAUUUGUAUGAGAACAGAACCUUCACAAGGUCACCAAGCUCUUCAGUGCAUUCAAGUUUAUCCUCUGCUAGCCAUUUUCCUAAAAGUUUCUGUUUGUUUCGACUUACGGCUAGCCGUGACAUUUUCAAUGACUCAAAAGCAUCCAGUUUUCCACUAGAAAACAGAUGGUCAAAGUAUUGUAAGCAUGAUGGUGCAUCUUCCAAAGGUACGUUCUGAAAAAUAAUUUACAGAAGAUAAUUAACAAAAGAAAUGAACAACUUAAUGAAAUCGUCAUGUUAUUACUCUUCCAUCCCAUUAACAAAAAAAUAAAUGUAACAUCAUGAAGCACGAACAAUCCUUGGAUUAGGCAUGUCCCAGUGUCGGACAUGUGUCGUGUCCGACACCGACACAUAUAAUUACACUGAAUUAAGUGAUUUUCUCAAAUUAUUAGCGGUGUUUGGGUUUCAGCGUAUGUGACGUGUCCGGUGUCCGUGUUUGUAUCCGUGCUUCACUAUUUUAUUCCAACUCUACUUUCAAAAUAAUACAAUAUACAUCACUCUUAUGUCAAUUAUACUUCACCAUACAUUUAUGGCGAUACUUAACACUCUCAAUAAUUAAUAACUCUAGUUACGACAUUCCAGCUUGAAGGUGUGUGACGAGUAUCUAGUAUCUAACCGUUGUGUUUGACUGCUAUCAAUGUCACUGUCGUAUUUAGUGUCUGCCUCAAUGCUUCGUAGAUUAAUAAUCAUCCUUAUGUAAAAUUGUUGCACACUUUUAUUUAUUUACAAAUUUUCUUAAUUUAUAUAAAAAUACCUAAAAAUGAAAAUUAAACAAUCCGAGUAAUAAGCACAGUUAAUAACCGGAAACAGCCGUUAAGACCUAGCUCAACUAACAAUGUCGAUAUUGUUAGGCUAAACAACUUUAUUAGGCUAAACCGGACAUUGCAAUUGCGUGUGAGUUUCAGGUGUUGGUGUUUUGACAAGAAAAAAAAUAGGAAACAGACACACACUCUCGCGCAGAUGAAUGAAAAUUGUUAACAAGAUUGCAAAAGCAGAGUGCAAAAACCAUUAAUAUAACAGAAAAUAGGGUUUGAUCGAUAUUUGGAAUGGGAAUGUGAGAAAUUACUAACCGUUGAGGAUUCUUUCAUGGAGUUAGGAGUGUUAUCACCCGCCAUGACGAUCGAAACAGAGUUUUAGAGAGAGAGAGUUGAAAUUUUGAAGAAGAAAGUUUGCGAGUAAGAGAUUGGAACACAGUGACAGUGAGAGCGAGAGUGAGCGAGUGGAAUGAAGAGAAUAGAGGAAAAACUGUUUUAUUAUAAGAGCUACGUGUGCUACAAGCAAGCAUAAGCAUUUAUAUUUUUUUAAAAAUCAAGGGCAAGAUUGCAUAACCAUAUCUUAUAAACAAGAGUAAGACAAUUUUUUUACCUUUAUGUGUACCGUUUGGCUAGGUUUUUUUUUUGUCUAAAAGCUACUUUAAAACAAAGUUAAAAUAAAACUCUUUAAGAAAAAAGUUAAAGUUGUUUGGUUUCUUUAAUUUUUUUUUAGUUCUAAAGUUAUUUUUAAGUUAAAAAUUAUUUAGCAAAAUAUUGUACAAAAUUUUAAAUUUAUUAUUUUUUUGGUGGUGUUUGGGGUUCGAACUCGCGACCUUGCAUAUAUAUAAGUACCGUUUGGCCAUGCUUUUUUUCGGUCUAAAAGCAACUUUAAAACAAAGUUAAAAUAAAGCUCUUUAAGAAAAAAGUUAAAGCUGAUUGGUUUCUUUAUUUUUUUUUUAGUUCUAAAGUUAUUUUUAAGUUAAAAGUUGUUUGGCAAAAUUUUGAUUUUUUUUUUUUGUGGUGUCCAGGGUUCGAACCCGCGACCUUGCAUAUAUUUAUACAUUGUCAAUAUCAACUGAGUUAAGCUAGAGAAUAAUUUGUUUUUUCUUUUCCAAUUAUAUUGUAUAACAAAUUUUGUUAUAAGAAUAUCAUAUUUUUGGUGUCAUUUAAAAAAAAUAAGAAUUUAUAUUAUAUGAUAUUAUAUUUGUUACAUUGUUGGAGUCAUUGACAAAGAUAUGUUUAGUUUUUUUAAUAAGAAAAAAAUAUGCAUAGUUUGUUACAAUAUAAAUGUGUAAAAUAUAUAUAAGUAUAAUUUUUUUAAGCAUCUAUACUAGUACUUUUAAUUAAAAUCAAAAUUUUAUAAAAAUAAUAAUUGUUACAAUAUAAAUGUGAGGAUGAGAGCGAGAGUCUGUGAGGAUGAACGGACAGUCCGACUGCGGCCACAACGCAGGGAGGACGUCCGGUGUUCUUCUUCGCCGGCGGAGAGAUCCAAUUGGGGGGGAAGGGAGCCAAGCUGGGUGCCACUUAAAGGGGGGGUUGGGGGAGAUUGGCUUGUUGUGAGUCCUAGAAUGGGGAAAGCGCGGCGACAAGGAGAUCGAGGUCGGGAUCGGCAGCGGAAGGUCAAGCGGUUCCGUGAUUGGGACGAGGCAGGCAAGAGACAAUCUAGAACUAGGGAUUCACGCAGGUUCGGUUACGGCAGCGAUGCGGAUUUCUACCAAGACAGGCUUGCUGAGCGGUCUGAUGAGGAAUUGAGGAAGGACUGGUUGCGGUUUGAGAAUAGGAAUCGCGCUAGUGGUCACAGCUCUGGGGUUGCUGGUUAUGCGCGUCGGAUUCCGGCGCUGGACAGGCUUGGUGAGGGCGGUAGGAAGCAGGACACGCGCGACAUCAGCGGAGCCACCAAGGCCUUGACGAAUGCGGCUCUUUUUCGACGGUAUGUCACGUUUUAUUUUACUAAUUUUCCACCGUUCUUAUCGAAUUUUUAUUUACGAAAAGGGUUUGAGGUUUGUGGCAUGCUGGACGAGGUUGUGGUACCCCGUAGGUGCAAUGUUAACGGAGAACGGUACGGUUUUGUGAGAUACUCGAAUGUCCGGGAUGUUAGUAAGUUGUUGAAAGCCGUGAAUACUGUUUGCUUUGGUAAUUUCCAAAUUAAGGCAAAAGUUGCUAAUUUUGACAAGGCGGCAGCUAGAGUGGUUGAGAAUUUGGUGGUUGGCGCGGGUGCGAAGGAUACCGCGGGAGGAGGUGUUAAGGUCGGUAAGGGAGUUAAAUCAGUUGUUGAGGGUGAUGUGAUGGAAGCUGGAUCGAAAGCUGUUGAAGGCCAAUCGGAUGGACUAGAGGGACGGGUGCCACAAGCCAGAGUGGGUGCGUUGGAUAACGUUCAGGUUGGUGACGUGACGGUGAGCUUGGGUAAGGGGCAUAGUAAGGAGCAACAGGGCGGUAGCGGGAAAAGUAAGUUCGUUAAGUUUGAUGUUCGUCAUACAGGGGGGCGACCUUCAAUCCAAAAUUUGGUCCGGAUGUAUCGUUCAAGUGUGGAAGAUCUUCAGUGGGCCCGUUCAGGUGUGACUGCUACGGUGACUAAUGGUGAGAGUAUCAGGGGCGUUCAAGAUAGAAUUGCGGAUGCGGGUAUAUCAGAAAUUGACAUCAUUCCAUUAGGCGCUGACAAAGUUUUCAUUCGUAGUAUGUCCGAGGUUAGUGUUACAACUAUUUUGAACGAUGCUAAGGAUUUCUUUGCUUAUUUUUUCACCAAUAUUGUGAGAUGGGAUAAGAAUUUGGUGCCGUUCCAAAGGGGGGCCUGGUUGAGGUUGUAUGGUAUUCCGCUGCACGCUUGGAAUGAAAGCUUUUUCAAAUUAUGUAUUCUUGACGUGGGAAGGCUUUUACGUAUGGACACAUGCACUGUGGAAAAAGAAAGAUUUGAUUAUGCUAGGAUUCUGGUGGCUACAAAUUCUUUAGAGAUUAUAAAUUGUUCGGAGAAGCUUUUGAUAGAUGGUGUUUUGGUCACUGUGAAAGUGGUAGAGGAGUGGGGUUUUAAUAUUGGCGAUGAUGCUUGCCUUUACGAAGAGGAGGAGAAUGGGUCAAUUGAGGGUCAGGCUGACCCAGAAGAUGUGCAUAUUGAUCACGAACAUGAGGUUAACGCAGAUUUUUUGGUUGAUAAAAUAGUCCAAGAUUUUUUUGAUUCGGAGAGUAACGGAAGAAUUUUUGAAGAUAAGGUGGAGAAGGCGGUCUCAAAGACGGUUAAGCUUAAAGCGGUAGGUGGUCAAUCGAAAGUGGGUAGGUGUAGUGAAGCCUUGCUCGAGGGGGAUUUACAACCUUUACGGUUAGAGCCCUUUGUGGAUCAAUUGAUGGGUAGUGCGUCACCUGAGUGUAAGGUUGAUGGGCAUGGCAGUGCCGACGUUCCUGUGGAUAGAAGUGUUGAUGCUGAUGAGUGUCCAAGUGAUGGGGGGUCAGUUACUGUUAGGAAGCUUCGAACUCGUCGAAUGGUUUCAUGCCCUCCCAGAGCUGAUCGUUCAGUGGUAUCUGGUCCGUGGAGUCUGGAUUGGAUAAAUGAUCAACAUCUUAGUGACGUAGGGGUUGUGUCUUCUUCUCGGAAAUUUGACGCUAAGGGUAAGAGGCUCAAGGCUUGUCGUAAUAUUCAAGAGGAUGUUGUUGUUAAGCGAAAGAAGGUGAAGGGGUUAUUGCGUCAUUCAGUUCUUAGCUUGAAAAAAGUGGCACGGCUUCCUACUAAAGACCGGAAAGUGGUUAUGAAAAUUCUAAAGAAAAAUGAUCGGAAGUUUAAAGGAUCCAAUUCAAUCAGAAAGACGGCUAGGAUGAUUUCUAAAGACCUAUCCGAGAAUUCAUCAUCUUCUAGCUCUAUUAAUAAUAGUGACUGGAAGCAUUGGGUGGUACUUCAUGGGAGUGACAAGGUGGUGGCGGAGGAUGUGAAGACCCUAGGGGAAUCUAUUGGUGUGAAUCUUAGUGGGUACAACAAUAGAUUUGGGGUGUUAGCAAGAAAAGGGAUGGGGAAAAAGAAGAAGUUAGCUUUUGGUGAUGGUGGUUCAGGAGGGGCGGUUGAGGGUGUUGUGUAGGCGUGGUAGCGGUGGCUGGGAGGGUGUGGGAGAUGAAGUUGUUAUCUUGGAAUGUAAGGGGGUUGGGUGGUUACGAGAAGAGAAAGGAUGUUCGAGCUCUGGUGAGGGAUAAGCAGCCGUUGAUUUUAUGUCUGCAAGAAACGAAGUUGCAAAUGUGUGAUGUUAAUGUGUGUUCGUCGGUUUGGGAUAGGCAGUCGACGGAGUUCUCUUUUCGCCCGUCCCAAGGGGCGUCAGGGGGAUUGCUGACCGUUUGGGAUGCCUCGGAGGUUGAGGUGUGGUCGUCAGGCUGCUUUGAUCAUGUUUUGAGUAUUCAUGGCCGGUUCAUUUCUUCAGAUGAAGAAUUUCACUUAUUCAAUGUGUACGCUCCUUGUGAUGGAGGAGCUCGACAGAUAUUAUGGGUUGCUUUAACGACUCGUCUUCAGGCUCUUAGGGGUAAAAAGGUGUGCGUUUGCGGUGAUUUUAAUGCGGUCCGGAGUCGGGAAGAACGUAGGUCGGCGACGGUUUAUGGCGGUGUGUCGGAGUAUGGUCCUUUUAAUCAAUUCAUAGAGGAAAAUGGUUUGCUUGAUUUACCGUUGUGUGGGCGUAAUUUUACUUGGUUUAAAGGGGAUCGUCGUUCAAUGAGUCGACUUGACCGGUUUUUGGUUUCUGAAGAGUGGAGUUUGGUUUGGCCCAAUUGUAUUCAGGUUGCGCAUUUGAGAGGUUUAUCUGACCAUUGCCUGUUGAUUUUGUCUGUUGAUGAGGAAAAUUGGGGGCCUCGACCGUCGCGGUUCUUGAAAUGUUGGUCAGACACCCCGUGUUAUAAGCAGUUUGUUACUGAUAAGUGGAAAGCUUUACAGGUGGAAGGUUGGGGUGGAUAUGUUUUAAAAGAAAAAUUCAAAUUAAUCAAAUUGGCGCUGAAAGAGUGGCACAUAUCUCAUUCGCAGAACGUAGCAGUGAAAAUUGAUUCUCUUAAGGUCAGGUUGGCCGAGUUAGAUGGUAAAGGGGAGGUCGAGGAGUUAUCUGACGCAGAAUGUGUUGAGUUGCAUGGUGUGUCAGAAAAUAUUCAUUUGUUAUCCAGGCUUCACAAUAGUAUCUGUUGGCAGCAAUCGAGGAACCAGUGGCUGCGUGAAGGUGAUGCGAACUCUAAGUUUUUCCAUUCCAUUAUGUCCUCUCGUCACCGUCAUAAUUCUAUAAGUUCAAUUUUGGUUGAUGGUACUUUGGUUGAGGGCAUUGACCCUGUUAGGAAGGCGGUGUUUACCCAUUUUGCGACUCACUUUCAAUCGUAGAGUGUGGAGCGACCAAGUGCGUCGAAUCUCCAGUUCCGCAACUUAUCUUUGGUUGAGGGAGGGGGCCUGAUUAGACCUUUUUCGGUAGAUGAAGUUAAGGCUGUUGUGUGGGAUUGUGAUAGUUUUAAGAGCCCGGGUCCGGAUGGAGUAAAUUUUGGAUUCAUAAAGGAGUUUUGGGUUGAACUGAAAGAUGAUAUCAUGAGGUUUGUCACUGAGUUUCAUCGAAACGGGAAGUUGGUAAAAGGUAUUAAUACUACUUUUAUUGUUCUUAUCCCAAAAGUUGAUAAUCCGCAGAGGCUUAAUGAAUUUAGACCUAUCUCUUUGGUAGGAAGUAUGUACAAAAUUAUAGCUAAGUUGUUAGCUAACAGAUUAAGGUUGGUGAUUGGUAGUGUGAUUUCUGAAACUCAGUCUGCUUUUAUUAAGAAUAGACAGAUUCUUGAUGGUAUUCUUAUAGCCAAUGAGGUGGUGGAUGAAGCUAAAAAGUUUAAGAAAGAUCUUAUGUUGUUUAAGGUGGAUUUCGAAAAAGCGUACGACUCUGUUGAGUGGGAUUACUUGGAUUCGGUUAUGGAAAGAAUGUCGUUUCCUGUCUUAUGGAGGAAAUGGAUUAGAGAAUGUGUGGGUACUGCUACAGCUUCUGUUCUUGUUAAUGGUAGUCCUACUGAUGAAUUUCAACUGCAUAGUGGCUUGCGUUAGGGGGAUCCCUUGUCCCCUUUUUUGUUCCUGAUUGCGGCUGAGGGUCUUCACACGUUGAUGAAAGCGAUGGUUGACAAUCAGUUGUUUACGGGGUACUCGGUUGGGGUGGCAAACCCGGUUGUUGUUUCUCAUCUGCAAUUUGCGGACGACACUUUGCUGCUUGGCCAUAAAAGUUGGGCUAAUGUUCGGGCUCUUCGUGCGACUCUUGCCAUUUUUGAGUUGAUGUCCGGUUUGAAAGUGAAUUUCAAUAAAAGCUUGUUGAUGGGUAUUAAUAUCUCUGAUUCUUGGUUGAGUGAGGCUGCUUCGGUGUUGAGCUGUAAAGUAGGUAAGAUUCCUUUUUUGUAUCUAGGUUUGCCUAUUGGGGGUAAUCCGCGGAGACUUUCGUUUUGGGAUCCUGUCGUGAAUCGUAUUAAAUCUAGAUUGUCGGGGUGGAAUAGCCGGUUUCUCUCUUUUGGUGGUCGCUUGAUCCUUCUGAAAGCCGUGUUGACUUCUCUGCCUGUCUAUGCUCUUUCCUUCUUUAAAGCUCCAACAGGUAUAAUCUCUUCCAUUGAUUCUUUGUUUAAUAAUUUUUUUUUUUUGGGGGGGGGGGGGGGGGGGGGGGGGAGUGAGGACCGUAGGAAAAUUACUUGGAUAGAUUGGAAUACUGUUUGUUCUAAAAAGGAGUUAGGAGGGUUGGGGGUUAGGAAGUUGAAGGAAUUUAAUGUAGCUUUGCUAGGGAAAUGGUGUUGGAGGUUGUUAGUAGAUAGAGAUGGCUUGUGGUAUCAGGUUUUAGUCGCCCGUUAUGGCGAGAUCGGUGGGAGAUUGGAGGUGGGGGGCCGGAGUUGUUCUUCUUGGUGGCGGGAGGUAGGGAGGAUCUGUGAGGGUGGGGGCGGUGUAGGGGGUGAUUGGUUCGGCAGUAGUGUGAUUAGGAAGGUGGGGGAUGGUGCUGAUACGUUGUUCUGGUCUCAUAGGUGGUGUGGUGAUCGUCCUUUUAGUGAGCGGUUUGGCAGGUUGUUUGACUUAGCUGAGAACAAAGCCAUUUCAGUGGCUUCUAUGUUCUCUCUUGGCGUGGUGCAGGGGGGGAGGGUGGAGUUGGAGGCGAAGAUUGUGGGCUUGGGAGGAAUUUUUAUUAGAGGAGCUUAGGGCUUUACUGCUUGAUGUUUCUUUGUUGCCUAAUGUUUCAGAUAGAUGGUUGUGGCUACCUGACCCUGUGGGGGGUUAUACUGUUCGAGGAGCUUAUGUUAUAUUAAUAGAGGGCGCUCAUCCUCUUUUGACCGAAGCAAUGGAUCUAGUUUGGCAUCGUCAGGUCCCCUUAAAGGUCUCGAUUUUUGCUUGGAGACUUCUCCGGGAUCGGUUACCUUCAAAAGCAAAUUUGGCAGCUCGUGGUGUUCUCAGUUCUGAGGCGACUCUUUGUGUUAUGGGCUGUGGUCAUGUUGAAACGGCCGAACAUUUAUUUUUAUUUUGCCCAAAUACUGUUUUGUUGUGGCAGCAGGUGCGCAAUUGGCUAGGUUCUAUGGGGGCGGAUCCGAAUAAUCUUCAUGAUCACUUAGUGCAGUUUACUUACUCGACAGGUGUUGGUAAAGCUAAACGUUCUUUUCUGCAGCUAAUUUGGAUUCUGUGUACUUGGAUUGUGUGGAUCGAACGUAAUAACCGCUUGUUUGGUAAUGUUGUAACGGAUGUCCCAAGGUUAUUGGAUAAGGUUAAAUUGUUAUCAUUACGGUGGCUGAAAGCAAAAAAAAAACGUGUUUGUUUAUGGUACUCAUAUGUGGUGGUCUAGUCCUUUGUUAUGUUUAGGCAUUGGUUAAUUCCUGUUUUUUGUUCUUUGUGUUGGACUCUGUAACAUUUUGUAUCUUGUAGCAGAAUUCUAGGCACAUCUUGUGCUUGGAAUAUGCUAUGUUUGUGUUAAUAUAAUUCCAUUUUGAUGUGUUCAAAAAAAUAAUUGUACGCAUUGCGCAACACUGAAAAAAAUAUACGCAUUAGUGUAACAAAAAAAAAAAGACAUACAGACAUAAAAUAUUACUCUAAACGCUAAUGUGUGUGUGUAUAUUUGUGAGGUUGAAGAAAGGGAAUAAAAAUAUUUGGUGUCAUUCAAUGACUGCAUAAAUAAAAAUAUUUGUGAGGUUGUGAUAAUUAAACGAUAUUAAAAUUAAAUAUAUAAGUGAUUAAUAGAUAAUAAAAUUCCUUCAAAAAUAGAUAAUAAAAUUAAAUUGAUCCUCCUUUAAAAAAAUUAUAUGGACCGGUUCAAAAAAAAAUUAAAUGGAAGAAAAAAACAAAUCAAAAUAUAAUAUUAAAAAAUAAAAUAUAAGGUUGCCUGUGUGAGUUGAAGAGAAGUGCUUGUGAAAUAAAUUACAGAGAAGUAGUUUUUUGAAGUAGCAUUCAACAACUUUUAAAGCUCAUUCCAUUCAAUUUUAUGAAUUCUAAAAAAAAUACAUUUUUUCGAAGGUACUUUAUUGAUAUUGUGUUUCGCCUAGCUUCUCUUUAAAAAUGUAGAGAAGUUGGAAAAAAAGUCGAGUCAAACGGUACCUUAUAAGCUUAUUUGAUUAAAAUAGAUUUGUUUCGUAAUUUUCACUUUCUCACAGGUUUAUAUCUUAUUUUCACUAAUUUAUGGUUUUUUUUUUUUUAAACACCACUGAAAUUCACGCACACAACAAAGUCUCAGGUUUAGACUCGGAUAGAGGUGUCCAACCUAACCAUUGACAGAUGAGUUAGGCUUUCCAGACAAUUUAUGACAGUUUUUUAUAAGCUAAUUCAAUUACCUUGUAGUUUAAAGUUUAUAAAGUAUCAUUAUUUAUCUCAACAAUUUUACCCUUCAAUCUUAAUUGAAAAAAAGUAAAUAUUAAUUAAAUAUAUCAUUUCAUAUUUAUAAGUUAGUUCAACCGCUAAUUAUUUAAAACAUUACAAAUCCAACUAGCUAGUUUACUUGCUAUCAACUAUAAGAAGGCCGAUAAGUUAUCAUCUAUAAUUUCAUGACUGUUGCUUUUCUGACAUCUAAUAUGUCUUGGAAACACAAGUAAAUGACUAAAAAAUUCAACAUAGUUAACUGCUGUCGAUUUUCUAGUUAUAAGCCAGCAGUAGUUAACUACUGUUAGAGAUAUUUUAAUAUUUUACUUGUGUUUUUAGGAAGUUUAUGAUGUUAAAAAAACAAUCGUCUAAUUUCAUAUGAUAUAAGGUUUAUCGGUUCAGUAUUUGCUAUUUUACCAAACAAAAUCAAUAUAUGAAAUUGGAAGGGAUGAUAGCUUUAUUAAGUUGGAAAGUUUAGGUGAGAUAGACUCGAGAGUUAUCCAAAAUCAAGGUAUACCUUGAGACUUAACAAAUUCAUUUUUAACUAGUAUAACUUGUCCCGUGUGUAAUAUUUAUUUUUACAAUUUGUCUCGUGUUUAAUAAUUACUUUGGCUUUUUAUCAAUGACAAAUCUUCUAGAUGUAUGAUAACUAUUUUAAAGGUUUCAUCCUCAAAAUAAAAAUAAAGUUAAAAGGUUUUAUUUUAUAAAGGGUAAAUAUCUCUUUUCGUCCCUGUAAUAUUAGUGAAUUUUGGUUUUAGUCCCUGUAAAAAAAGGAUUUAGAUUUGGUCCCUGUAAUUUCAGAUUUUUCCACUUUUGGUCCCUCAUUCCACCACGUAAGCAGAAUCUGCAUACAUGGCACGUAAAAAUGAGGGACGAAAAGAGGUAUUUACCCUUUUAUAAAGCAAACUAUCGUUAUUUAUUUAGGAAAAGAAAUUUUUUUGACUGUUUUCCUUAAGUUUGUUGUCGUUUUCUUCUAAAAAAAAAAUAUUUUGUUAAAAAUCGAGAUGUUACAAUUUUUUUUUGUUUUGUAACACAGACUUUAGGACUAUCGGAAUGUACUCCCUCCGUCUCUAAAUUAUAGUCGUAUAAAGUUUAUGCACGAUUAUUAAGGAAAUGAUUAAUUGUAUUGAUUUCAAUGGUAAAAUUAACAUCAUUUACUAAGAUACUCUUAUUAACAUGUAGUUAGUGAAAUAGUUAAGUUGGAUGAAAUUUAAUAAAUAAGGAUAUAAUGAUGGAAAAAAUAAAUGAAUGUUGCAUUAGUAUUUGUAAAGCGACAAUUAUUUUGAUAAAAAGAAAAAAUGCGAGAUUAUUAUUGUGAGACGGAGGGAGUAAUCUGUAGCAUAUAAUUUAUGACACAAUUCACUUCAAAAUUACAUAAAUAUACGAGCGAUCAGUUUAGAGUUUAGUAGUAAGAGUUCGAUCAUCUAUAUAACUUUUAGACAAUUGUAAAGCAACGAUUAAUGUCACUUAAUAAAUUUUAGAAAUUACAUAUAAAUAGAAGAACAUAUACAUGUUUGUAAACUCUGCUACUGAUGUGUGAACAGAAAAUAAUAAUUAUUUCAUCAAAAAAGAAAAUAAUAAUUAUGACAAAAACAUUAAUUUAUGUUAAGAUACAUGUUUGUGACAAACUUUAACAUGUUUGAGAGGAUUGAUGAUGAGGUUACUAUUGCUUGGUACAGCACAACCAACUUUCUUCAAUUCUAGAAAAGUUUGUGUAGUGUCAGGAUCAAAGCCACCUGCAAACUGAAUGUCUUGAUGGGUGAUGAGUUGGAUAAAAAAGUAAAUGUCAAAUUCAGAAAGUUCUGAGGAAUGUUAUUGUACCUGAUGUACUCUGAAUGCAAACUUAACUCCUUGUAAUAAGAGGUUAUUAUUAUCUUCAUGCAAAGCUUCAUGAGAUUUUAUUUCUUUAGUUAUUCGUUUCAUGAAUUCCUUUGCUAGCCUCAGUGAACAUAGCUUUAUCUGCAAGUUAUUAACAUGAUAAAGCCUUUCAAUAGGUUUUUAUGGUAAAUAAUAAGAUACCCUUUUGAAACAUGUAUAUCAUAAAAGGUAUAGAUGAUUCUGAUGUUAUUGUAGUGAUACUAUCUAUAUUAUGUGACAUGCAUCAAACAAAAUCAUUCAAUUGUGUCAUGAACUAUGAUUAAUUUCAUUUUAUGGAUUGUUGGUUCAAUUGUAUACAAUAAAGAAUACAAUAAUAUUGGAAAAUGUAAGACCUCUAGACAAUUGCUUUUUUAACAUCUGAAACUUCCUAAAAACACAUAAAAUACUAAAAUGUCCUCAGCAGUAGUUAACUACCGCUGACUUAUAACUAGAAAACUGACGGUAGUUAACUACCGCUGGGCUUUUUAGUCUUUUUCAUGUGUUUCUAGAAAAUAUUCAAUGUCAGAACAACAGCCAUCAGACCUCUAACCUCAUCUAAAAAUUUAUAGUAUGAGAGUCUAUUCAUUUGGGUUAUCCACCAAUUUAUCCAUGCACCUAGCCCAAUAGUACUAGGUGUGAUGGAGUGUGUUGAAAAAAACCAAGUCACGCAUUGAAAAUAGAUAAACCAUUUAUUUGUUUUCGUGUUUGUACAUCAAUAUCCAUAUGUUUUUUGUGAAGCUACUACUCUCAACAGCUUCGUAAAAAUCAUGUCAAAUGGUCAAUGGGACGUGAUAAUUUUGGUCCAACUGCCAAACCAAACAACCACAAAGUUUUUAAGAGUGUCACUUCUCACCUUAUUAAUCAUAGAGAUGAGUUGGACCCAAUAGAAAAAAAAAAAAAUCAUAUUUUGUGAUUUCACAUAAGCUUGAGUUUAAGCAAAAUUAACCAAUUCAAAAUAUUUUUCUUCAUAAUCUUUAGGACACUAGACACAUAUAAAUGCAAGCAUUUUUUUUAAUGUUUUAUAGUGAUCUAUAAUGCAUAAACAAGGUAUGAAUUUCUUACCUGACCAACAAGGCCAGUGUCCAUCAUCCACUCCCAAGGGAUAUGAAAAUUCCUAUAUUUCUUACUUGAACUCUCCCUUAUCCUCUCUUUACUACUUACACUUCCCUCCAACCUGCAAAAUUUUAAAAGCAAAACUUUCAAUUAAUUCUAAGUAUUGCUCAAAAACUUUAGUUAAACUCAACUCUACAAUUUUUGUACAUGCUCGCCUGUCUUGUAAUGCUUGUAUCCUUUUCAGGGCCAUAGAAAUUGGCUCUUUUGGAUUAUCCUCAUAUGAUGAAACUUCUGAUUCAAGAUUCUUUAGUUCUCUAUAGUUACAAGCAGCUUCUCUUAAUGCAUCUACUUUUUGUUCUGGCCAUUGUGGAAAAUGCUUUAAGACUGAUCUUUCAUCUACCAGUGUUGAUAAUUCUCCAUCAAGCCAUUUGAUGAAUGUUUCCACCUCAGAUAUAUCUGCAUAUGAAGCUGAUUCUACUUGUUUGAUUAAGAAACUGAUGAAUUCUUUUUGGCUUUGAACUUCUGAUUUUAUCUGUCAAAAAAAUGUAUCAAGUAUCAAUAAAAGAGUGUUCAUUGUUUUAUAGUUAAAGCCUUGCUUGGAUUGGUUUCUUUGAGCUUAUCUAUUGGAAUAAGUACUUGUGAGAUUAUUUCGGAGAGCUUAUGGAAACAUCUUAUUACAUGUCCAUAAGUUAAUGGAUUUAAAUUGUUUUAUAUGAUUAAUACUUAUGCUAUAAGCAUUAGUUUAAACUGUUUAUCCAAACAGGCCUAAAGAUUUAACAUUAGAAAAUUUUGAAGCUAAAUAUGAGAAGUUUGGAACUAAACUUACAGCUGAAAGAUGUUUUGACCGAUUUUCGAUUUCCUCAAUCAUGUUUCUGGUGAAUGCUACUGCAGGAAUUCCAUUGUGAUGAGUUUUGUUUUCAAUGUUGGCAUCUUUUCGUGUAAGCGAACGAUACAAUUCGAUUACUUCUGGCACACGACGAACUGUUUUCAAACCGAUAGACGAUUUUGAUGGUGUUGGAGGUGGUGGAGGUGCUGCUGUUGGCUGCAUUUUCAUUCCCUUCUCAUUUUUAUGUGAAGGUGAAAAAAGAGUAGAAGCAGGUUUUGGAGGAGGAGUUGGUGGCAAAACUAUUGAUGACUUUUCCUUUCUAGGUGAAGUUGAUGAGUCUUGAAAAUCUUGAUUUUCUGAACUCUUUUCACACAUGAUUGCUUGAAGUGCAGGUUUAAGUGUAUGGUGUGAAUCUGAAUUGUUAUCAUCUAUGGAUUUUUGUAUCUUUUUCCAUAGUAUGGUUUUUCUCUCCAUAUUGUGUGCUUUGAGUGAAAUUAUCUGUGAUUUUAAACGAGAUACUUCUUCUUUAAGUUCUUGGUUUUCUUUCUGUAGUAACUCAUUUCUAGCCAUGUGAAUUUCAAGUCUUUUUUUGAAAGAUGUUGUGAUCUCAGACUCAUUCUCUACCUGCAACAUUUUCUCUCCUUUUUUCACUCUAUAACAUGGUUAUCAAUUUGAUAUCUUGUACACUGAUUUUUGUUAUAUAUUUGGUCUUGUUUUUGAAGUAAGGUUGGUAUGUCUUGGAGUUAAAUAUCCAAGAAUGCCCUCUAUGGUACUAAUAAAGGUAAAUCAUCAUUUAGAUUCUUAAAUAUGUGAGAUGCUUUUAUAAUUGUCUCUGAAUGUAUAUUUUGUUGGUUAGUUUAGUACUCGAAUAUGUCUUUUGUUAUUUGAUCCAUUAAAAUACUGAUAAAAAAUAUGUUUAGGGAUGUUUUAGUAAUUUUGAUAUAUUCAAAAAUAAUAGUGAUAGGGUCUCACAUAUUUCUAAAAAUGAAUGUUUACACUAUUAAUAGUGACCUUAUGGGCCUAUUGGGAACAAUGGUAUUGAUAGAGUAAUUUGGACAUUUCACAUAAAUUUAAUGCUAUUUGACAUGAAGAUUAAUUAUGAUGCCUUUGUAAGAAAAUUUAUAAGUGAUUGAAGAUUACUUUGGUUUGCUGGCAGCAAUAGUAUGUGAAAGCUGCCUUUAGAGUGUCAUGUUAGGUACAACAUUAAAUAUGUUGGUCAAAUUUAAUGCUAUUGUUUCUAGAUUAAUCUAUGUGAGGUGAGAGAUUUCUUGCUCUCUAAUUUGUUAUUAUGUCAAAACUUUUUUAGGUUAGUGGUACAUCUAUAGUGUAGAAGUUGUUUAAGUGAGGUUUUAGUUAGUAUAUAUGCUUGUCUCAUUUCUACUUUGAAUCUUGUUCCCUUUUCUUCAAUUGAAUUUGAUUUAGAAUUCAUAAGUUAUAGUACAUGUGAUGUGGUCCAAAAAAACUAGUCGGUAUACUGAAUGGUUGAAAGUCCUAACUUACCUAGAUGGAACUCUUUUUCAAUGUGUUUGGUUUCAAUGUGGAAAGUAUUAACAAUGACUUUAUUUUCCCCUUAUGUCAAACAUCAUUGUAGUUUUGUGUAAGGAUGAAAAUCAAUUCUUAGACAAGUUGAGAUAUUGCACAUGUGUUAUUUUUUUUAGAUUGAUUCUGAUAAAGCAUAUGUUUGUUUUCGCAGUAGAAAAUUGAUUGAGGUGUGUUAUCUUUUAAACUAGGGUUUGUAGCUUCAACGUAUAAUUUUUUUAUCUCACUUUAAAUAUCAUAACCAAACACAAAUAAUUUUUUUUUCAUAUUAUGAAAAUCAAUUCUAACACAAAGAAACUUAUUUUUUGAGUAAAAAGAAUUAAAUAUAAACUAAUUUGUUGCUCCUUCAAACACAAUAUAGCUUCAUUGUGAUAGUUGUCUUUCAUUUCACACUGAUUACACUUCUUGUAGUUGAGUGGCAUUUGGCUUAUUCUUUGCUUGUGAAACAAUGAAAAGAGUGGUAGGAAAAAUGUGUCUCAUUCAGUGAUGUUUAUUGAAGAGUAAAUAUUUUCAUAAUGACUACUACGUCAUACCAAACCAGAUUCUUAUGAUAUUUACAUUUUUAUAUUUUUUUUGUUUUAUUUUUUAAUUUAAUAUGUUGUUUCAAAGCCUCUUCUAAACUCUUUUAUUUUUCUUUCAUCCUACUCCUUCUAUAGUUGAACAUUACCACCCCUACACACCGAAAGUGUGAAUUUGAUGUAGAUUGGUUUUCUGUGACAUGUUGAGGCCUACUAUACUUUAGGUGAAGAACGUGACUAAAUUUUUCAAGUUUAAAGUGUUGUUCAAACUUUCAUAACAAAUCAUUUUUUCAUCUCUUGAAUCUUGAUUAAAUCUUGGUAUCCGACCUAAUAGUUGAUUAACUCGAAAGGUCUAAUCUAAUUGUUCAUUUGUGGAGGCCAUUUAAACACACACAAAAUUGAGAGGUUCUUAUAAUAUUUUAGACAUUCAUUCAAAAUUUCUAAUGAUACACAUGAAUCGACUUAAAAGCAGAGACCAAAAGUAGCAAUGUAAAACUUUUGGAGAACCAAAACUCUAAAAAAAAAAUUAAAGGGACUAAAAAGAAAAGAUAGAAUAUUAGUAGGGACCAAAAAAUGUUUAGCCCAAAAAUAAAAUAAUGUUAAUUGAAAGACAUUUUAAGAAUAACAUUGUUAAAUAAAGUAAAACUAACAUAACAAUUUAUAUACCAACAAUUGGUAUUUAAAAAAAUAUUAAGUAAAAAUAAUUAGUUUUCAACCUUUUUCAGAUGUAAUUUUAUUUUAGCAAUUUCUUUUUCCACACUACUUUAUUAUCACGCGUCCUACUGAAUUCUGAAAAUACCUCCGUUCGGAUUAUAUAGUCUGAAUGAUUUUUUGAAGGUUUUCAUAUUAUAAAAUUUGAAACCUCUAAAAAUCCAGAAAAAAUACAGAAUUUUGCACUGAUUCAUCCAAAACGUGUAAAUGUACAGUUUGAAAAAUACUAUCUGAAAACUCUAAUAAUAUUUCAUAUUACAUAUUCAGAAUUGUGUCAAACUCCCAAAAGACCAUUUCAAAGAUAAAUUACAGUGUAUGAUAAUGAAAUUUAACCAACAGGUUAACAAAAUCGCAAUGAGAAGACACAAAGCAGAAUUGAAUCAAAGAAAUUGAGAUGGAGGAAAGACCCAAUCCAAGAAGAAGACAGCAAAGAAAAUUGAAUGUAUUUUCUAUAGAAAGUGAAUAGAGAGAAAGAAAAAAAAAAAAAAAAAAAAAAAAGCUAGAAUGCAAAAGAAAGGGGAAAAAGAGAAAAUUGGAUUUUCUCAAGAAAAUGCAGCGGAAAAUAUCUUUUAAGGUGGAUACCAGAUUAGCUCUUAUACCAUGUUAUAAAACAUGAUAUACAUAGAAGGAACAAGAGAAAACUCAAAAAAUCUUUCUAUUUAUGAUAAAUGUAAAUGUUACAAAUGAUAAGAGAGACAUCUCAAAAAAGAGAAUAGAUGGACUAGUGAGUAAAUGAAAUAAUAGCAUAGUGGAUAUUUUUCCUUAAAAAAAAGCAUAGUGGAUAUUUUCUUAUUAAUCAAAGUUUUCCUUAAUCUGAACUUUGUUUUAGGAGACCUUAAUUUGUACUUAUAAAACUAUUUUGAAAGACAUGUAUUUUGAAGAGAGGGAGUAGGUGAUAAUGUAAGCAUUGAAUGCAGUUUGAACAAGUCAAAGACAAAGUGUGUUUGGUGGGGAAUGUAAUGUUAUGAGGGAAUUCAAAUAUUUUGCGGUGAAUUUUAUGUUUGGAUAAUAAUUUGAAGAAUUUUCAAAAUGAUGGGAAUUUAUGAAGUAUUUUGUUCAAGUUCAAUUUAAAGAAUUUCAAAUGACACCUCAAUUUAGGUGAAUUUCAAAUGAUUGAAAUUUGACCUCAAUUUUUUCAAAAUUUUCAAUUUGACCUCAAUAAAUUUCCAAAAAAUUAUAAAUUGACCCCUUAAAUUUUUCAAAAAUUAUAAUUUGACCCCUCAAAAAUUUUUAAAUUUACAAAUUGACCCCUAAUUUUAAUUUUCAAAUUUGGCCCAAAAUUUAUAAAAUUUAUAGAAAUUUUUUAUUACUCCACCCAAACAAAAGUAUUGAAAAAUGAAAGAAAUUUAAUCGAAUCAUUUAAAUUGCCUAAAAUUUAAAUUCUUUAAAAUUGUAUAAAAAUACUUGUACAAAUAUAAUUUCUUUAGACGUUAUUGAGGUUCACAUUAUUCAUCUAUGUAGCAACCAAUUUUGAUGUCUUUGAGACAAUUACAUAACAUGAGUACCAUUGAAACUCUCUUUUAAACUCUCUCUAACACUCACUAUUUUAUUUAAUGAGAUCGAUAUGUGUUCUACACUUUAAAAAUAGGUCAUACCUAAAUGGCGAAAAAAACUCGUGAGUUUCACAAAAUAAAAGAGUGAAUGUUGAAAAGAUAGUGUUCCAAAAACUUCUCAUUAAAUAACACCUUACAAAAUCUAAAUCAAAGUUAUUAUAGAGGCUCAAUCAAAACUCAUCCCAACAAUUGUACAAUCCAGUAGUAUCUAAUAAAUGUGUGAUGUAAAACUAGAUUGUUUAUUGGUGUUCAAGUAUGAAAACAAAGAAAAUGAGACAAAGAAAGUCAAUAAUGGACCCACAAUGAUAAAUUUGUGAUUGAAAAUCUGUGUCCUACAAACAUCCCAAUCUCCUAAUCCUAAUGGAACCUUGCAAGUUGCAUCAAUUAUUGAAUUUUGUAUAUACCAAUUACAUUUUUUCUCACCGUUCUUCUUUUUACUACAACACUUCUCAUAUUUUCAACUCUUUCUUUUCUGAAAAAAAAAUGGCUGAAGCUUUACUUGGUGUUGUGUUUGAAAAUCUACUAUCUCUUGUUCAAAAUGAAUUUGCAACCAUUUCUGGAAUCAAGUCCAAGGCUCUAAAGCUAUCAACCACCUUAGAUUUGAUCAAGGCCGUUCUUGAAGAUGCUGAGAAGAAACAAAUAACAGACCGCUCUAUAAAGGUAUGGCUUCAACAACUCAAAGAUGCAAUCUACAUACUAGAUGAUAUUCUUGAUGAGUGUUCCAUUCAAUCCACUCGACAAAAGGGCAUAUCUUCUUUUACAUUAAAGAAUAUCAUGUUUCGCCAUAAAAUUGGCACUAGGUUUAAAGAAAUUACAAACAGAUUCGAUGAUAUUGCUGAAAGUAAAAACAAGUUUCUUCUACAAGAAUGUGUUGCUGUUAGGGAAAGGUCAAUCAAUGUGGCUGAAUGGCGUCAAACUAGCUCUAUUAUUGCUGAACCAAAAGUAUAUGGUCGAGAAGAUGAUAAAGAGAAGAUUGUCGAGUUUCUUCUCACCCAAGCAAAGGGCUCUGACCUCCUUUCCAUCUAUCCAAUUGUUGGCUUAGGUGGUAUUGGGAAAACAACUCUUGCUCAAUUAGUUUAUAAUGAUCACCGGGUGAGUGACAAUUUUGAUACAAAAAUUUGGGUUUGUGUUUCUGAGGCUUUCUCUGUUAACAAAAUUUUGUGUACUAUUAUAGAAUCUUUUUCAAGAGAAAAGUGUGAUGCCUUAGAUUUAGAUGUUAUACAACGACAAGUGCAAGAAUUGUUGGAAGGUAAAAGAUAUUUGCUUGUUUUGGAUGAUGUGUGGAACAGAAAUCAAGAACUGGAAUUUGGAUUAAGCCAAGAGAAAUGGAAUAAGUUGAAAUCCGUGUUGUCAACUGGAUCCAAAGGUUCAUCCAUUUUAGUCUCCACUCGUGAUAAGGAUGUUGCUGAGAUCAUGGGAACAUGCCAAGCUCAUCAUUUGUCUGGUCUAUCUGAAUAUGAAUGUUGGUUGUUGUUCAAACAAUAUGCAUUUCGACAUGAUAGAGAGCAGCAGACUGAGCUUGUCACAAUAGGAAAAGAGAUAGUAAAGAAGUGUGGGGGAUUGCCUCUUGCAGCACAAGCAUUGGGAGGCCUAAUGUGCUCAAGGAGUGGAGAAAAAGAAUGGCUUGAAAUUAAAGAUAGCAGGAUUUGGUCUUUACCGAAUGAGAAUUCUAUUUUGCCUGCUUUAAGGUUGAGCUACUUUCAUUUAAACCCAACCUUAAAACAAUGUUUCACUUUUUGUGCCAUGUUUCCCAAAGAUAUAGAAAUCAUGAAGGGAGAUUUAAUUCAUCUCUGGAUCGCCAACGGAUUUAUAUCAUCAAGGGAAAAUUUAGAGGUAGAAGAUGUUGGAAAUAUGAUUUGGAAUGAAUUGUGCCAAAAGUCAUUUUUCCAAGAAAUCAAGAUGGUCGAUGAUUCAGGAGGCAUUUCUUUCAAGUUGCAUGAUCUUGUCCAUGAUCUUGCUCAAUCAAUUAUAGGAUCGGAGUGUUUGAUUUUGGACAAUACAAACAUAACUGACCUGUCAAGAAGCACACACCAUAUUGGUUUAGUAUCUGCAACACCGUCAUUAUUUGACAAGGGUGCUUUCACAAAAGUUGAAUCGUUGCGAACAUUGUUUCAGAUAGGUUUUUACACCACAAGAUUUUAUGAUUACUUCCCAACCUCUAUACGGGUUUUACGCACAAACUCUUCCAAUUUAUCAUCGCUAAGUAAUUUAAUUCAUUUGAGGUACUUGGAGCUGUUCGAUUUCCAUGACAUAAAAACCCUACCUGACUCAAUUUAUAGCUUGCGUAAUUUGGAAAUCUUGAAACUGAAACAUUUUUCUAAACUUCGUUGUCUACCGGAACACUUGACUUGCUUACAAAAUCUCAGACAUCUUGUUAUUGAAAAUUGUGAUGCAUUGUCCCGUGUGUUCCCUAACAUUGGUAAAUUAUCUUCCCUAAGAACAUUAAGUAAACACAUUGUCCGUUUAGAGAUUGGAUACAGCUUGGCAGAAUUACAUGAUCUAAAGCUAGGGGGAAAACUAAGCAUUACUUGCCUAGAAAAUGUUGGAAGUUUGUCUGAAGCUCGAGAAGCCAAUCUGAUAGAUAAAAAAGAACUUCAGGAAAUAUGCUUCUCAUGGAACAACAGGCGUAAAACCAAGACACCUGCUACUAGCACCGAGGAAAUACUUGAAGUGCUUCAACCUCACUCAAAUCUCAAGAUCUUGAAAAUACAUGGCUAUGACGGAUUGCACCUCCCAUGUUGGAUCCAAAUUCAAAGUAGUUUAGCUGUUCUUAGACUUUCUUAUUGCAAAAACUGUGUGCGGCUUCCAUCACUUGCUAAAUUACCAUCUCUCAAAAAACUCCAAUUAUGGUAUAUGGAUAAUGUGCAGUAUGUGGAUGAUGAAGAAUCAAGCGAUGGUGUGGAGGUUAGGGGUUUCCCAUCUCUGGAGGAGCUGCUUUUAGGUAAUUUACCUAACUUGGAACGGUUGUUGAAAGUGGAAACAGGGGAGAUUUUUCCCCGCCUUUCUAAGUUGGCCAUCGUUGGUUGCCCUAAACUUGGGUUGCCACACCUUUCAUCGUUUAAAGAACUCAUUGUAGAUGGAUGUAACAAUGAGUUGCUGGAGUCAAUCUCUAGUUUCUACGGCCUAACUACCCUUGAGAUUAAUAGAGGUGAAGAUGUGACAUAUUUUCCAAAAGGGAUGUUGAAAAACCUGACCUGUCUUCGAACUUUGGAAAUAUCUGAUUUCCCAAAAGUGAAAGCAUUGCCAAGUGAAGCCUUCAACCUAGCUUUGGAGCAUCUUGGUAUCCAUCACUGUUGUGAGCUUGACUCAUUACCAGAACAACUUUUUGAAGGUCUACGAUCCCUUCGAACCAUGGAGAUUGCUUUCUGUGAAAGAUUGAGAUGCUUGCCAGAAGGUAUUCGCCACCUCACAUCACUUGAGGUUCUGACAGUUUAUGGUUGCCCAGCUGUAGCAGAGCGAUGUAAGGAAGAAAUAGGAGAGGACUGGGACAUGAUAGAACACAUUCCAAAAUUAUCUAUUAAUUAGAUUGAAGAAGAAGAAACUUUUGACCAACAUUGAUUCCAUUACAAUAUGCCAAAUAAUAUAGAAUCAUUUGUAUAUUAAGACCAUGUAUAUUCCAAUCACUGCAAUAUUCCAAAUAAUAUAGUUGAUGGCUACUUUGGGAGUGCGACAAGUUUUUAAAAUGACAAUUGGUUUUCUUUUUCAAACAUUAUCGUUAUUAAUUACCUUAUUUGCUAAUUCUGAACUAUAGUUUCUAUAAUGUCAGGUGCUGGUUAUGUUAGACAUUAGUAAGGGAACAUUAAGUUCACUAUAAAUACAAUUUUUAUACAACAAGAUCAGAUGAAAUUUUCAUGAAAGGGUUAACUUGAGAAUAACCGUACAAUCUAAUUACAUCAUAAAUAUAUACAUGAAAAUAGAGAAUAUUUACAUUUACAUAGAAGAAAAUAAAGGAAAUAACAUCUCAAUAAAUAUAAAUGAAGUAUUUUAAUGAUUGUGUCAUAUCUCAGUAGCUACAUUUCAACAAAAGUACAAGUAUAUAUAUUCUACUUUUUGAAACACUUUUUGAAUUACAUUCUUAGAUACAGAAUCAAAGACUCUUUAGAGAUCAAUGAUGAAAAACCUAGAACCUAAUGAUCUUGAUCAUUGGCUAGUAGAAGUCAUUGUUAAUGUUUAUGACCAACAUUUACAAACUAAAUCUAUUCUUUUCUAUGCAAAUAUCUCAGUAUAAGGUUAGAGUUAUACAUGGUAAACCAUACCGACUUCUAGCAAAGAAGUAUGAACUACUUCCAACAUAAUAUCAGGUUCUCUGCAAUUUUUGCUUAGAAAAGCAUAAACAACAUCUAUUCCAAAUUUCUUUAAAAUGGAAGAUGAUUUUUUUGCCUCUGCAUAGGAAUGCCCAACUAUAUAAGUAAUACCUGAUUCUUUGGCUUUUAAAAUCUGCAAUGACUCGACUUUAUAGGACUCGUCUUGAAGUUGUUGGCCGUCACAUGAAAAUGCUAAAGAAUUCUUUUCAGAAUGUGACCAAUUCAAUUUCAAAGUGUGUUGUGAAGCACCAAGAUCUUCCGCAUUUAAGUUUCUUCCAUCAUCUAUAGUCAAUUCAUUUGUUUGUUCUUGAACACAGUCUUCUGAUUCUAUAAACUGUAUUAUUGCAGAUACCAAUUUAUUAUCAAAAUUGUAAUUCUCUUGUUGUAUGUCUUUGUAACCGUAUCGGACAAUGCACCGAAACAUGUAGAACUCCUUCGGACCAAUCCUGCUGAUGACUAAUCUUUCACUUUCACUGACAUAAGGAACUUGAACUGAUUUAGCACAUACAAAAACUAACACCUGAUGGAAUGCUGGUAAAUUUGUAAUAAAAUGACCAAAAAUAGCCGGGAUACCGGAAGCAAGAUUAGUGAAAAUGAGACCGAUUCCUGGGACACGGACCAUGCCUAAACAAGGUCCUAAUGAUAACAUCUUGCUCAUCGAGACCUUGUUUUCAACAUCAAAUUUGUGUUUCUUCAUUGUUCCAUAAUUCCAUGUGAACAUUAUGGCCAUAAAAAUGAAAGAGAGCGAAAUUGGGAUCCAUCCUCCUUCAGGGAUUUUGCAGACAGAAGCUGAGAUGUAAAGAAGUUCAAUAGAUCCAAACAAUAGGAAACAUGUAAGUGCUUUUAUUAUCCCUUGUUUCCAAACAAUUAUAAUUAUUAGCGUCAUCAAACAUGUUGUCACAAACAUAACAGUGGUGAUAGCCAACCCUGGAAACCAAGAAAAAUAGUUUAAAUUUAGUUUUCAAUACUUCAAGUAUCAUAUAAUAAGUAAACUUAAGAGUAAACAGUCAUUUUCCCUAAAUGUAUGAAGCUUAAUCACAAUAGCAACGAUUGUAUCCGAAUUACAAAAUUAUCCCUAAAGCGUCUUUUGUCUGUAAUUUUAUGGACCAAAUUGACUACUUGAUGAUAGAUUCUAGAACUAUACUAAUUAAUGGAAGAUACAUUUGAUGAUGAAACGGACUAAUGAAAGACAAGUUUAUGUAGUUUUUUAUUUUAUUUUUAUAAUUUGAUACAUUAGAGACUAUUGUGACAUCGCCUCACAUAUUUUAGGAUAAAAAUGAUUGAUUAAUCUAAACACAAUGGAAAAGGAUAUCAUACCAUAUGCAUGACCCAUCAUGUUUGUAUCCCUAAGGCCAAUUGUGACAGCUAAACAAAGGCACAUUAAUAUCCAAUUGACUUCUGGAACAUAAAUCUGUCCAUAUAUUUUGCUAGAAGUAUGAACAAUCUUGACUCGAGGAAAACAAUUUAAUGCACAGCAUUGGCUUAUGAUGGAAAAAGUUGCAGAAAUCACUGCUUGACUUCCUACAACAGCAGCAAAAGUGGCCACUAUAAAAACUGGCCAAAAUACAGCUUCUGCAGAAAAAUAGUAGCACUGUUACCCUAGAGUUAUCAUAAAUAAUAUCGAUAUAUUUGUGGUUUAUUAAAGUGAAUUCUUGCCUGGUAUGGCUUUGUAGAAACUUCUCUCAAUGUCAUAAUGGUGCUUAGAGAGAAAUGCAGCCUCACCCAUAUAUGCCAAAAUCAGGCAGGGAUAUACUAAACAUGUGAAAGCUAUCUGAGAUUUACGUGUAACUGUUAAAUCAGAUUUCAUUUUUGUAUGCUAAACUAAUAUACUUGUGAUCAAUAUUGUUAAUUAUUGUAUACUUUUAAUUUACCUUUAUUGAGAGUGCAGAAAAAUGACCCAUGUCAGCAUACAUUGUCUCCACACCUGCGACAGUAUCACGUAGGAAAAUUAAUCUCAUAGCUCUUUAGCUGCAAGAGAAAUGAUAUUUUGUACAACCAAAUUUAGACAAUUUUUGUGACUUUUUUUAAGUGUUCAAAUAGGUGAUUAAUUACGUUUAGUAUAUGAUUAAUAGAUAUAUCAGGUGUCAAAACUUAUUAACCACCAACAUAACUUCAUCAACCACAAAUUUGGAAGUGGUUAGCCAUAAUUUUCAGUUAAGUACAUACAAAUUUAUGGUUAAUGCUGUUACAUUGAUAGUCAAUGAGUUUUCACAUAUAGUAUAUCCAUGAACCACCUACUGAACGCAAUUAACCACUUAUUUGAAGUGUGUUAACCACUUAAAAAGUUGUUGCGAAAAUUGUCUGAAUUUGGUUGUUCAAAUAACACAAGCUAGACAACUGUAAUAAAAUUGACUAACUUAUAUUACCUGUUAUCGAAAGCACAACUCCACUUAAUGACAACCAUCCUUCGAUGCCAGUGGUUUUGAGAAACCUAAACAUAUAGACUGGAGAAAGUGCACGAUAUACUUGUCGGUUCCAUUGGAAAAUAUUGUAUAUACCAAUACCACUGAUACACAAAAGCCAUGCUGCAACAACUGGGGCAAACAUGAAGGCAACUCUAUGUGUUCCAUGAUGCUGAAUGGAGAAAAGGCCAACUAAAAUGAUACAUGAGACUAUAACAACAUAAUCUGCGCAAUACAUAGUGUAGAGUUUCAAAAUUAUGCAUUGAAUAGACAUAAUGGUAAUGAUCGAAGUUCGGUUGGCUUACUGUCAUGGAGUUGGUUGAUCUUAACUUGAACUCCUGAAACUGCUGAAAAUACUGAAAUGAGACAUGAGAAGGAUGGUCAUAGAUCGAAAAGGAUAAACAGUACAAUUAUUUAUUCUCUGUAAACACCGAAAUACUAUAAUGAUCAACUCUUGAAUCAGUAUAUUCUCUGUAAACAGUACAGUUAUUUAUUCUGAAAUGUACUUUUGUCUAAUCACAUUAAUGAUGAAUAAUGAAUUCUAGCAAUUAGUAAUCAGCUAAAGCUAUAAUUUAAGGAAUGCAUGUGUGUAUCUGUGACAUUGCCAAUGUUGUAUAACAUAGUUCAUUUUGGUUCAAAUAUUAUGUUUAGUCCCUGCAAAAUCAAAUGUUGUCAGUUCAAAUAUUAUGUUUAAAAAAGCUGAUGUUGUGGACCGAGGUACACACCAUCAUUUCCAUGUAGAUGACAAUGCCACAUGUCAACACCACAUUGGAUGAUAGUGACAUAUAGCAUGGCCACACGAAGCUGAUAUGCCAUGUCUAACUCCUCGUUUUUACUGACGUGUUCUAUUAGUGUUUGAUGUGUGUCACUAUUAUCCAAUGUGGUGUUGAAACAUGACAUAGUCAUCCUACAUGGGAAGGAUGUCAUUUAGUCGUAUUUGCCACAUCAGAUAUUUUAAAUAGAAAGUUGACACUACGGACAAAAAACAAAUACAUGAUUCUGUAAGGAUGAAAAGAAAGAGAAAGAAAAAAAAAAGGUAUUUAUAGGGACUAAAACCAAAAUUUGCUCUAUUUAUGGGGACAGAACACAUAUUCAAACCAUUCUGUUUUUUAUAAGACCAAACUCCCUUUUACUUGUACAACAAGUAACCCAUAGAUUAACAGAAGGGAUGCUCCUGAUCAAAGUACCUGAUAUUGCAGGAGUAAUCACACCAUCACCAAUUGUCAUGCAAGUUCCCAACAAAACAAAGAUUAACAGUCCUUUCUGGAAUCUAGGAUGCUUUUCAAAGAACAGCUUCAAAAGAGAAGAUUGCCAUGUAUCGGCAGAAUCUUCUGUUGAAUAAGCAGAUAAAGUCUCAUCUGUUGGUUGCUGAUUAGGCAAAAUGCUUAGUCUUGCAUGUCUGCAGAGAAGUGAGUAUAAUGCAAAUGUGCCUCCUGCAGUAAAAUAAGGAACAUAAGAAAGAAAUUCUUAGAUGCUCAUGAACCAAAGAGAUUGAUCUUGAUUUCUACCAAUGGUUUCUUAUAUAACAAAAUUAUAACAAUGUGUUCCCUUUUUAUUUUUUGUUUUAAAAUAGUCCCUUAUUUUACAAAUGUUACAUUAAAUUUAUCCAUUUUAAAUUUUAAAACUAUCCAUUAUUGUCCCAUAAGUCCUAGCUCAACCGGUGAAAAUGCCGAAAUUGUUAGGCCGGACAUCAUGAUCGAGAUUCGAACCCCGGCACCUCCACUUUGUGUGUGUGAGUUUACGAUGGCUUUACCAUUUCUUCUAUCUACCAAAAAAAAAACUACUCAUUAUUUUGUAAAAGCUAUACCAAGGUGGUCCUCUCUGUAAAACAAAGAACAAUUUCAUUACCAAAAAUACCAAAAGAAAAUUGAAAUCUAAAAUAAAGAUAAGGAACCAAAAUUAUUUAGUCUAAAAUUAAUCUUCAAAUAUUUAUCUGUUAAUUAAGUAAUCAUAGUAGACAUCAUGACAGAGAAGGAAAAUUAUGGCUCAAAAUAAUUAUAUAAAGUCAAAAAGAACAAAUAACAGAAUAUACAAUGCUUCUGAGUUCUGUCAUCAUUUUAUUCAUUUGGUAAAGCCAAAAAAACAUCCAAAUAUCCUUUAUGGGAGUUUUGGCUGAAUAAUAAUGUGAUUAUAAAAAUAAUUGAGUUGACUUAAUCAACUUAAAAGCCAAAGGAACUGAAAAGAUACACACCAAAAGUACCAACAUCAAUGAUUGAAGAUUGUACCUUCUCCAUUAUCAUCAGCAGACAUGACAAUGAAAACAUAUUUGAAGAGAGCAAUAAUAGUAAAUGUCCAAAAGAUAAAUGAAAGCACUCCAAAAAUUUCUUCAUCAUCUUCUUUAAGGCUCAAUUUCCCUGAGAAUGAGGUCUUGUAUACAUAAAGAGGAGAAGUACUUAGGUCACCAUAAACUACUCCAAGACUUUGGUAUGCUAGAGUCAGCACAUUUAAACAAGAUGUCCUCUUUAAAUUCUGAUACAUGAAAUGAAACCAAGCAUAAGCUUUUAUAUGACAAAUUUCAUAUAUGAAAUGCAAAAAAAUGAGUACCUGGUGAGAUAUUCCUUGUUCUACAAUUUGCUCAGAAGGAUUCAUUGUUGAAACAUAUAUAGAAAAUGAGGUAAGUUAUGAAGAGAAUGAUGAGAUAGAGAAAUAUAUAGAAAAUGAGUAAUGGAAGAAGUGAAGUAGUAACAAGGCAAGUGGUGUGUGUGUCCAAAGAAGUUAUAAAAUGCAUUCAAUGCUCUUUUAACUUUCUUUUGUUGGACUUCAUUAACCAACCUAACACCUUCCCCUUACUAGUGGUAAACAACUUUUUCUUAACUAUUUCUUUCUGUUCAAAUAGUAUUUUUUCAAAACUAAUGUACAGUGUUGAAUUGAAUUUGGAUAAAGUAGAUGUUACUGAUUUCAAUUAUAAGUAACUUAUUGUCAUAUGAGUAGAGAUAUAAACGAUGAUUUAUAUAUUUUCAGAUUUUAAGUUUUUAAAAAAUAAAACUGUUUUUCCCUUUAUGUCCUUUGUGCAUAAGAUUGAUUUUUCUAUUUUUGUUUCAAUUUUCGAGUUUUACAUGGAAAGUAGUCGGAAUUAGGUCAAAAACUAAAUAAAGUCGGACUAAAAAUUAUUCCCGCUAACAAUUGAACUCGAAUUCUCUUAAUUCAUCCUUAACUAAAACUCAUUUAAUACUUGAACCAAAUUCCCAGGACUUUAAACAAUGGAUUGGAAGUCAACAAUGGGCCAUGUUGUUUGGUACUCAUUUAUAUUGUGUGAUUUGGUAAAUACCUCUUUCCUUAUUCAUGUGUCAAGUAAUUAGUCUCUAAAAGCAAACCGUUCCUUAAAAUGGUCACUGAAACAGGAUUGGAAAAAAGUUUUCAUAAAAAAUUGCAAACAUAAAAAGAAAAUCCGAGCAUAAAGGGCUAGGAUUCUAACCCUGAAAAUGAUGUGAAUUUGUCUCCUUGUCGUCUAACAAUACAAAUUUCAAACCCCCACGGUACAUUUGUAAAAUAGUUGUAAAAUAAUUAUUAAUGUCACUUUAAUUAAUAAAAAUAUACAUUUCUCAAUUUUUUUAAAUGUCUUAAAUUGAAAUAUUAUGUUAAAAUUUAAUACGAUGCACUAAAAAAUUUCAUAAAAAUGAAAAUAUUAAAUAAUAUCGAACAUUUUUUUUCCUCAAACAUGAUUGAUCACCAUCUUAUUAUAUUACAAAAGUGGGACAUAUUGGUAGCUAAAUAUAAACAUUGCACUAUAUGAAUGUCUGGUUUUCAUUGACCUUUAUUACAUCCAAUUGAGGAAAGAACCAAAUUUUCCACCAAACAAAGGUAUGUGAUUGAAGCCUUUUUUCUUUCUUUAAUUUCAUAAUCCUAUGCAAAGUUCCUUCCACAAUGGAAAUUCACUUAGGGCACCAUGUUUUAUUUAAAGAACAAAGUAUGGUGAACCUGAAUUAGGCACCCAUAGUAUGGUGUUAAUUAAUAAAUUACCAAACAAUAAAGAUACUAUGAAGACUUCAUAGUAUUACAUUACUUUGUCUUGCAAAUUGUAUACUUCUUUUUAGGUAGUUGAUGUUCCCAUCUUUGUGUGGGUUAAUUAUAAUAUUGACGGUUCAACAAUAAUAAAAAUAAUUAAAUAUGUAAUCCACUAUACAACCAAACUGCGGGUGAGUUAAAAAUAGUUUUUAGAAGAUCAAAUAUCACUUAUGUUAAUCUUUCUCUCACUCACGUGCAAUUCACAUGCUACUUAAUCUAAUCCCAAUCCAUGAUACACUUUAUUAUAUAUUUACUUCAGAUGUGUUAUGAAGUCGUAAUAGGAUAAUGUUUGUAUUCGAUUAAUACUUUUACACUAUGUUUAUUUUUAAGAAAAGAUCAUGAGGAGGAGAGAAAGUUGAGGGAAAGAAGCGGUUUUUAUUAUUUGGAAAACUCUGAAAAGGUUAAGGAAAGAAAGAAUUAGCUUAUUAAAAAGUUUUCCUCACAAAAAUGGAUAGAAAGGUUGAAAAACAUCCUCAUAGCUCAGUUGGUAGGGAUAUUGCAUAUUAUAUGCAGGGGUCGGGAUUUCAACCUCAGACACUUCACUUCUCCACGAUUAAAUUGUGUAAGCUCUAGCCGCUAGGUUACUUGACAAAAAAAAAAAAAAAAAGUUGAGAAACACUCAUAUUUAUUUUUUAUUUUUCAAUUUACCAUCUUAUUUUUUAUUGUCUCACAAUUGCAUUGCUCCAAUGCUCACUACUACACUUUCUUUUUCCAUGGAUAUUGUAUGUAGACAGAAAAGUAUGCUUAUAUUGUUAUAAUAUUUAUUUAUUUGUGUGUGUAUAUAUAUGAAUAACUUUUCAGGUAUUUAUGUCAAUUAUUAAAUAUAGAUUUUUCUUUCCUCUAACACUUUCUCUUCUUAUACUAAACAACUAAAAUAAUUCCUUACUUUCUACUCUUUUUCUUUCUUCAUGUAAUCUUUCCUUUCACUUUCAUUCUCCAACCAAAUAAAGCCUUAGUUUUUUAGUUUUAAAUUGAUUUUUUAUCUGUAAAAAUGUGCACCACGUUAAAUUGGUUUUUAGUUUUAAGUCAUAAAAUAUAUGCAUCAUUGCGUUAUUUCCAUCAAAUCAAGUUAAAAAACUGCAUACGUUGUGCUUAUUGUUGAGUUGGUGUAUUCAAAUGUGAGUAGUCAAUACAUGUGUUCAAAUACAAGGAGGCUCAUUAAUCUCUAAUCCUCGUCGAAGGCGCACCACAUCAUACCUCAUGCACGCCUCACCGCACAGGUGUGUUGGAUCAAUCUCUAACGACUUCAUAACAUGCCAGGUUUAUAAGAGACAACUACAACAUCCCCAAUUAUAUAAGUGUGGCUUCACGCCACACCGAAGCUGCAUUCAUAUUUUUACCAUAUUUCUACUCAUUUUUUCUUUCUUAGUCACAUAGUGACUUAGCGUCGGAGUAUUAACAUGUUUUAUAAGUUCCGUUCACUUCAUCAAAGAAUCCCCUGCAUCAUAUCGAAGAACAUCUUUUAUCUCAUCGAAAAUUGUCUUGUACAAGCACAAACACCAAUUACUUGCACAAUCUUUUCGUUGUGGAAAAAAUUAUAGUUCUUGUGAAUAAUUUUGAAACCUAGUGAUUCAUAAGGUUAUCCACUCUCAAUCAAGUCUCAACAACCAAAUUAUUGAUUUUCUCCUUUUAAAUGUAAGUCUAACCGUACAUCAAUUAUGGCUCGUACAUUGCAUGUUUGAAGAGUAAGAGAUGAGAUUUUUUUUUUUUUAUUUGGAAUGUGAGAGUUUCAACUUUCAAUUAUGAAAUUCCAUAAUUUAAAAUUUUGAGAAAAAAAAAUCAAAAAAUAGAAUAAGAGUAUCUAAGUGAUUUGACACAAUUGAUUGUGUUUUACCUAAGAUGGAAGUAUUCAGAGUGAUAAUUGAAACAAUUCUUAACCCUUUUUACGUACUCUCUAACCGAAAUUCAAAUUAAUCAAGUCUUAGCUUUUCAAUAGAAAUUGAAGGAUUACAACAAAAAAAUGAAAAUUAGAAAAGAUAAUUUUAAGAAAAAAACUUAUAACCCUUCGAAAAAUAAAAACUAUAAACUCAUAAGUGUUUGAUUUCUUGCUCAUGCAAACAUAACCAUAUAGGAUAAACAAAUAGAAAUGGUAAAUAUCUAAUGGUAACAUUUUUCUUUCCGGCAACUACACUGAGAGCAUCAAUAUCAAGACUUUAGCACAUAAGAAGCAUCCAACUCAAAAGAUUCGUCUAAUCAUCCAUAAUGCGAGAGUCUUUUAACUUAAGUAUCACAUUAAAUAUUUUUAUUUACUCAAUAUAAAACUCCUAUUAUAUUUAUGUUCGGAAAUAAUUUGAUGCAAACGGUAUUAAAUUGAAUGAAAAAGAACGAUGAUCGACGCCGACGAACCACUCACCAAUGGAACCGGCUAUGCCCCUGACUUUUCUCAAGAAACGAAUUAAAUGAAGGAACAAGUAAAAUUUGAACUCAAUGAAAUAGAAUUUUAAUUCAAUAAAAUAACAUUUUAAUUCUCCAUAGAAUCCUAAGGAAAAAUGAUGCACAUGUAUAAAUUUUGUGUAAAAAUAAAAUUAUUAAUUCUUCAUUUAAUGACAAAUUUACAGUAACUUUUCUUUGAAGGAAAAUUUACAGUAACUUAAAAUGUAGGAUAUAAUAUAAUGCAUAGCCAACUUCAAUAAAUGUAUCUCUCAAAAAAAAAAAACUUCAAUAAAUGUAUCAUCAUCCAUAGUUAAAUACAUAUUUGUUCCUUUUUUUUGAAUGAAUUGUUCCUAUGAGUAUGACCAAGAUUAAAAUGGACCAUCCUUUUUCUAGACCAUCCUUUUUCUAGAGAUGAUAUGAGGUCCUCCUUUUUUUUUAACCAAAACAAAGUUAACUAUUAUCAUUAAUCAAUCAAUGUUCAAUAUAAGAAGGAUAAGAAUAAAAAAUACGGUGACUAACCCAAAAACAGACCGCCUUAGCUAAAAUAUGAACAACCAUGUUCGCUUGUCUUCUAACAAAUUUCACCUCAAAAUUAAAAUAUAAAGAUAACUGAUAAAUAAUACUAAAAACAAUAGCAUCAUACGAGGUCCUCCUAAGUUGGCAAAAAUUGUGAAAUGAAAAGGGAUAUAGGUAGAAACAAUUGUUGGGUCAACAAAUGUUAGAGACAACUGUAUGGAAGGUAUGCUUUCUACAUCACACAUUAAUGAUUGGUCCCUCCUUCAAUUCCUUUCAUUCAAUCAGCUCUAUAUACCUUCAAAAAUCAAAAGAUGGUGCACGAGUGAAGUUGACUAGACCUUUCAACUUUAUCCAAAAGAAGAGACAAUAGUCAUGCUUUUGAUGCAGCCUUCUGCCCAUAAAACCAUACCAUAUUUCCUACUCACUAUAUAGAUUCAAGUUGAAGUAUUUUUUCAAUAAUCAAAUCUCUAACCGUUAGAAAGAUAAUUCUCAUAAUAUUUGGAUGGAUAUUUUUCAUAAAAGUUGGAUAUGCACGUGUUAAAGGAACUAAAAAUAGUAAUUUAUAUUAAAAAAGAACAAUUAUUUAUUAAAAAGUUUCAGAGUAUUUAAUAUAAAAUGCACAAGUUCCGAUACAAUCUUACUAUUUUAAACUUUUUAACAUGUGCAAAUAGAAAAACCCAUUUUAAAAGAGCAAUGAUAUUUGUACAUCCAUUCCAUGACAAUUUUAGUGACAACUUUGUUUUUCUCUCUUCUUAUUGGUCAAAAACAAUGGAGAGAGAAAAAGGAAGAGAGAUGAUAAGACCAUCAUGUGAGUAUGAGAGAGAAAGUUGUACAAAAGUUGUCACAAAUUGGUUGUACAAAUAUCAUUUCUCAUUUUAAAAUAACUAUGACACAUGGAAAGAGUUGUCGUUAGUAAAAAAUCCAACAAUAUUUAUUAGGGUUAAUUAAGUUUUUGGUCCCUAUAAAUAUUUGAAGUUUCGUUUUUAGUCCCUAUAAAAAUAAAUCACAUUUUUUAGUCCCUACAAAAUUUUAUGUUAUAGCAUGGGAGAAAAUAAUUAUAAAACAUGGGAGAAGUUGUCCAUGGUUAAAAUUUUAAAAUAUUUAUUAUAAACGGGAAAAGUUGUCGCUGAUAGAAAUUUCAAAAUAGCUAUUAUAUAGAUAGGAUAAAAUGUCAUUGAUACAAAUUUUAAAAUAAAUGUCAUACACCAAAGAAGUGUUCAUUAUAAAAAUAUUAUUAUACAUAAGACAAGUUAUCGCUGAGUUAUCUUGAAAUAAUUAUUAUGCAUCGGAUAAGAUAUGGCUGAUACUAAUAUUCAUUGAAUUAACAUUUAUUUUUCACAACUUUUAUAUAUAUAUUGCAUGAGAAUGAGUAACUUAUGUGAGAAUGGUGAGAAUAAAUUGCAGUCAUCGGAUUAGAAGCAAUGGAUUAGAUUAAAACAUCACUUAAGUGACUCAUGUGCCAAGCAUGCGACCAUUCUCUUCCUCUUUUCCAUCAUUCACGCGUCCCUUAUUUUUCUUCUCCCUCUCUCCUGGGUUUGCGGUUCCAAAUUCCUUGACAUCUUUUGAUUAUUUCAUUUUUUUUUAACCUUGAAUUGUUAAAAAGAUGAACCUUAAAAAGAUUAAGGGAACAAGAACACAUGAAGGAACUCUUACUCUCCCAAAUUGAUAUUAUUAUUUUAAUUGAUAAAAUUUCACGAUUAUUUUUUCUAAUUAACCAAUUCACCUUCAUUCAUAUAUAAUAUGAUUUGUAACUCCAGUAUUACAGAUUUUAGAAGGGUUUUCUAUUGAAUUUGAGUCUGAAUCCAGAAACUUCAAUAACAUAUACGAUGCUCUCCUUGUGCCUGAACUGGUGGGGACGCUGCAAACGUGGUGGACAGUGAAGGCUGCGGGUUUCGUGUUAAUGAGGAUUGGCGUUGCCGGAAAAGAUGGUUGAAGUUGAAGAUGAAGGGAAGAAGAAAUUGUUGCAGCGUAUAAAGGAAGAAGAAGGGUUAACCAAAAAGUUGGAACGCAUGAGUGAAACUAAUGAGAAUGGCACAUGCUUGGCACAUGGGUCACUUAAGUGGUGUUUUAAUUUAAUCUAUUGCUUUUAAUCCGAUGGCUGCAAUUUAUUCUCAUCAUUCUCACAUAAGUUACACAUUUUCAUGUGAUAUGUCCCCUAUAAUAUAUAUAUAUAUAUAUAUUAUAGAUUGUUUGAGAAAGUUACACAUUCUUGAAGGAUUGUUUGAGAAAGUUACUGCUGAUGAUGUUGUUAAGAUCAAUCUUGGUUAUUGUUCUGUGGGAAACCGAAUUGGAAAAGAGUCUUAUGGAGAAACUUGAUAGGAAGAACAAAAGGAGAUGGAAGAGUGAGAGUCAUAGACUCAUAUAUAGUUAUUAACGUGGGAGAGAGAAUGAAAGAGAGUCACGUGCUAUGUAUUAAAUUAAAAUCUAAUCAAAACCGUAUAUUUAAUCUAAAGGCUGAUGUUUCAUCCUCUCACCCUCUCAUUUAAAAACUCCUCUCAACACCCUAUAUAUAUAUAUAUAAACUGAAAUAAAUCAUCUCCACCAAAGGUUGCUGCACGGGUAUCUUACUAGUUUUAAGGAUAAAACCUUUAACGUAACGACUAGAAAAGUUGCGGAAAAAUUCAACCAUAAAUAAACAACUGAAUUUUGAUAUACAAAGUGGAAUUUCUCAAAACAAUAGUGCUAUAAAUCGUGACAACCAUUCUUGCGAAUAUAUCACGAGCAACCAUUUCAUAUAAUUUUUUUUAAAGUCUUAGUUUUCUUUUUUAACCUUCUCUGCAGUAUAAGAUGGACUUGAAUCGGUACAUCAAAAUGUUGUUGUUUCAAAUACAGACGCCAUGAUUUAUGAAAUUAUAGAAAUUCUAACUCCAAACUGAAAUUUUGAAAAUUUGGAUGAUAAUUUGUCUAUAGAAGAAACAAAAAAAAAGGAUCAAAUGACAUAUAGAGGAAACAAUGUUAGCAUUUCAUGUAUUUUGUAAAUUUUGAUGUUUAAUUCAAUCUGCCCUGAAUUGGUUCAUCUUUUUUUUUUUUUUUUUGAAGGAUGGUUCAUCUUUAUUAUUUGAUAUUUGAGUAUGUCAUAUAUUUUGUAAAUUAUAGGAAGAAGAAGUAGAAAUCAUAGAUGAAAUGUAACGAUGCGACAAAGUUAGCUUAAAUGCAAUGACUAUAUUCCGGUAUAAAUGAUCCUAAAAUUUAUACCACUAAAGUAGUCUCACAUGACUAACACCCACAAAUAAAUCCUUUGGAUCCGUGGUUUCAACAUUGUGGAUCACCACUUGUGAUUCCAACAUUAUGAAAGUCACCUCGAUAUGCAUUCGUGAACAUAUAUUUUCAACCAAAACAUACAUGUAAAUCCAAAGAAUUUAACAUGAUAUCCAACAAUCAAUAAUUUUAUAACCGAGAAUAAGUAAGACAGAUAAUUUCACAACGCACAUGUCAAUUGACAAUACAUCCAUCUUGUACAUCCAUCCUUUGGUCUGCAGCGUUGAGCCUCUCCUUGGCUAAUUUUGCAGGUAGUAUGUGAGUUUCCCUCGUUGACGAGAUCGUGGUGGCCCACAUUCAGCUUUGAGUCUCCUUCACAACAUGAUUUGUUGACACGAUCUUUGAUGCGCAGCUCCACUGGAUACUUGUUUCUUCUCUUGUCCUUCUUUGUGGUUAAAUGGCACUACAAACACGAAACAAGGGUAUUAAUCAUCAUUGUCCAUUUCCACUUAGUCUUGACUCAAUCUGCGAUCCUUGCGACCACAUACUCGGUUAGUGGGCUCGAGAAAGAAUUAGCUUCCUUUGCACGGUUUUUCCAGAAUUCUCCUAACCUUUAGUCGGUUGGCGUUUCCAUCAACUAAAGUUUUUGGGUGAUAAAAUCUUAACCUCAAGUUACCACAUCAAAUUAUCAAAAAAAUUGGGUGAUGAAAUCUUUGACUCGAGUUACCACAUUAAAUUAUCAAAGUUUUUGGGUGAUAAAAUCUCUUACACAAUUGACAAAAUUUAAGGGACAUUUUGGCCACUCCACAUUUUUAAAGAAGAUGGAAUUUUUCUUUCGCAACAAUUACUCACACACACACACUAAAGAUUCAUCAUUAAGAAGUAUGAAAUGCAGCAAAAUAUCCCCUAGCCCUAUAAUUCAGCCAAAUCAAAAAGAAAAGAGGAAUAAAAAUGUUACCACUUCUUGAGCUCAAAACCAUCACAAGUCCAAGAGCUAACUUACUCUAUCAAAUGAUCUUAGACACACAAAAACCAAAUAAUGUUCUCAUUUGAAUCUACGAUUCUUAAAGGGUGACGUGUUUGAAUUUUGCAUAAAAGUUAAUAAUAUUAAAAUAAUCUCUAAAAAAAAUAGAAUUUUUAACAAAAUAUGAUUUUUUUUUAUAUUUUUAGCGGUUAAAAAUUCAUAUUUAUCCGUAUUUUGUUAAAAAAGAAGAAGAUAUUUUUACAAUAUUCUACACAUUUUUGUUUAAUUUCGUUAAAAAUACAAAAACUACAUAUUAGUUGACUUAAAAAUAGAGAUAAAAAAUGGUGAUUGAAAAUUGUAUAUGGAUUAACAGCUGAAGAAAUUUUUUAGAGGGAUUAAAGCAAAAAAUUGAUAUAUUUAUAUGAAAAAAAUAUAUAUUUAACCUUAUUUAAAAUGUAGUGUGUUUUAAUCAUUUUCAGGUUUCAUUUUUCUUCAACCAAUUCAAAAUAAGGGAAUUCUAAUUUGACUUUAGCACUAGUGUGAUUUGGCUUGUAGAUUAACUUCUACUAUAUGGUAAAAAGAGUUUACUAUAUGACUUUCCAUCAAUCCAAGCAUGCAUCAUCAUCAAUCAUGAACUUUUCUUCCUCUCUUAAGCUAAAUCAAAUGAACUUUUCUUCCUCUCUUGAGCUAAUAUUGAUGAAUUUGGCAUCCAACAAAUAUUGUACCUAUAGACUUUCUAUAGCCUAGAGGUUAUAUAGUCCUGGGUAACACCAAGAGCUAAUACACCUUGUCAUGUUGUUUACUUACAUGACACCAAAUUACAUACAUGAAUAUCAACAAAAUUUAAUGAUUAAUUACAAAACAUUAGUAUUUAAGUGGUUAAGUAUUACUGUAUUUUUUAAAUCAUUCGAAAUUCUAAAAUGUGAAUAAAAAAAUAUUAUAAUAAUCACUUUAUCAAAUUCAAUAUGAAUAAAAUGAUCAUUUAUGUGAAAUUGUUCUGAGAAGUUAAAAUUUCAAGUUGUUUAUAGAGAUGCACAAAGGAAAAUUUAUAUUGUCACUAGAUCACUUGUUUUAUUAUAUAUGAGUGUAUUCAAACGUCAACAUUUGAUGUAUUUUUUUCAUUACUCCAAAGAGUGCUCGUAAAUAAAUGACUUUGAAUAUCAAUUAUUAAGUUAUUUCUUUUAACGUUCAUUAUUUUUUAAUAAAAUAUAAGUUUGUUUUUUAAUAAAAGAUUUUUUUUUUUGAAACUCACUUAAAACUGAAAUCUAUUAAAACAGGGUUCCAUAAUAUAUAUGAAUCACUUCAAAAACAAUUUUGGUUUACAUUCAAUGUCAAAUUAUUUAGUAAAUCAAUAGGAAUUAUACAAUUAAUAUGAAUGAUAAUGUAGAAUAAUGAUAAGUGCUAGAAAGUAGUGAUUCAAUGUAUAUUUAAAGCACUUUUGUAAUUUGUUUCACAAGUUAUUUAGGGAAAAGCCGAGAGAAAAGUGAAUAAUUGCCCUAUUACGUUUUAUGUAUCUUACUUUAUUCAUUUGUGCAGGAAUUGAAUGUCAAGACACCAAGCAAAGAAGAAAAUCAAAGAAAAUGUACAUAGGUCAACUCACCAUGGCGAGUCAAGGGCGAGCCCAAGGCAAGCAGAGGCAGAGAGUUCCAGAGACCACUCGCCCCCAACUUGCAACGGCGAGUGGAAGGCGAGAAACCUCGCAAUGGCGAGCCCAGGGCGAGGAGGAACAGAGAGCAAAGGUUCAAAGUUCGCCAUGGCGAAUAAUAUACUCGCGAGGCGAGUUAAGGCGGCCAAAACUCCUCAGAGCUGACGUGGCAGAAACCCACUGGUGAAGAAACAUCAACUCGCCAUGGCGAGCAUAGACUCGCGAGGCGAGUUGAAUCAAAACAGGAAAAGUAUAAAAACCCAUUCAGUCAUUUCAGUUAUGAGAUUAUUACUUCCUUAGAGAGAGAAUAGGGUGAAAAUUCACCGUUUUCAUAGAGCAAGAGUGAGUGAGUGUGGAUUCAUCAAGAUUUGUUGAGAAAUCAAUCUCUUAUCAUUGAUCUUCAUAUUUCCUACCACUUUUGUAAUGUUCUCAAGACAAUGAUGAAUUAAAUCUCCUUAGUUUGGAUUAGAGGUACUUUAUUAAGUUGAUAAUGUAAUCUUUUGAUCUUGCAAAUAUAUGAUUCUAGCAAUUUACAUGAUAUUGAUGAUAUUCUUGUAUUUCAUUCCUUAUCUUUGAUUUAGAUGCUAUUUAGAAAUACUUUUGAAUCUGGGUUUAGAAUAUUUAUCUAUCAAAACAAUGAUUCUAGACAUAGGAUUGAUGUUUUGAUAAUCACACAAAGUAUCGAAACUUAAAGCUUUCAUAUCAUUUAAUAGAUUGAGAAAUCAUCGAUUAAACGAUACGAUCAAAUAUUGGAUUGUUUAAUAGUUUGGGAAAUCAACGAUUAAAAAACACAAUUGAACUUACAAGAUCAUUUGGACACGAAUGAUGUCGUCGACCGAUACGUGAUAAUAUCGAUAAAACGCUAGAAUCCAUAUAUGUGAUUAUUAGGUUAUGUUUGACGCUUAAUCAACGAACUCUAAUUCCAACGCUUUUACACCUUAUUAAUCUUCGUUUUUAUCUUCGUAUUUUAGUUAUCAUAGUUUUAAACAAACAACCAAAUUACUCUUGAACUUAAAAUGAUAAUCGAUGUUGAACGGUUUGCGAUAUCGCACUAAUCCCUGAAAAGACGAUACAUAAAUACUUACUUUUGAUUGGUAGAAAAAUACUACAUCAAAUAAAUCAUUCAGUUACAAAGCAUUCUUUUUAAUUAGAUGAUUUCAAUAAAAUAAAAUAAAAUAGAUCAUACAAUAUGUUCUAGUUGUGCAUAAACAAGUUCUCAUUUCAAUGAUGCUUUAUUCAAACAAAUAACUUUACCAAUAAAAAUUUCCGUUUACUAUCAUGAAAGGUUAAAAUAGUUGUGAAAAUUUAGUUAAAAAGAUUUGUUCUUAUGAGUAGCAAUUUUUUUAUGUUACCUCCUUGCUAUGUAUGUUAAUGGGAUAAACGUAGCACACGGUUAUACUUAAGAGAUAUUUUAUAACGAUUAUUAUUUUAUGAAAUGUUUUUACAGUUUUGUAAAAGUGCUAGAAACUAUUUAAUUAUUUAAAGGGGGUAAUGAACUUUAUACACUAUAAAAAGAUCAUAUAAUUAUACUUUUUACAUGCAAAAUGCAAAAAAUAUGACUGAAAUUCUUAAGUUUGUUUAUGUUAUGUUUCUAUUUAUUUCCAUGUUUAUUGUCACAACAGAAGUUGGUGGUAAGUCAUUUUUUCAUCCUUUUCAAUUUUCCUUCUUUAGUUUGUAUUUUGUACCCAACCUUUUUAUCAUGUUUUAGUAAUAUUGUUAUAUUAUCUUUUUCUUUACGACAGGUGAAUGUAUAAAUGAUAUUGAUUGUCCACAAACUGGGAACUUGUUUUAUGUUUUUAUUUGCAAAAAUCGCAUAUGUGAAUUGAUUAACAAAUACCCUCAAAAUCUAUGAGUACUAGUUCCAAGAGAGUAAAAAAACUUCUUACAAAGGAGAUAUGUAACCAUAUGAUAGAAUAUUCUAUGAGAUAUCAUUUGUUAUUGUACUAGCAUCUACUAAUUUUAUAUUUCUUAUCCUAUUAACAUGAACUUUGUAUUUUUGAUUUUGUACUCUAAGAUAAUGGUAAGACAAAAAGGAGAAUUAUAUAGAUUGUCUUCUCCUCUCUUAAUUUUGGAGGUAUUAUCAUGACAUCCGGUUCAAUCAUAUUACAUCUUAUUUUUUAGUCCACCACCUAUAAGAAUAAUUGUAAUAGUUAUAUUGAAAGAUAACUCUAUCUUACUUCAAAACCUAUACUUUUGUUUUAAUGUUAUAAUGUUAUUACACUUGUCACUUUCAAACACUUAUUUAUAUUUGUUUUACUUUUUUAUGAGAUCUAAUAGUCUUGGAUACCUUUUUUAUUUUAGAAGAUGUGGAAAACUAGAAUGUCACUGCAAAACAAUAAUUAGCUACUAAAAUAACAGUAAAGAAGUUAAUUAAUUGUAUAUUUUGUUGUGUCAACAACAGUUUUUUAAAUUGUUGUAUAACUAUAUGAACUAAGCUUAAUAGUGCAUGUGUUAUAUAUUGACGUAAAUUUAAAAUAUUUUUGUCAUAAUAUUGUUGUUGUUGAUUUUUAUAUUAAUGAAUACCUAUCAAUAAUUACCAAUAAACAUAUUUAAUGUGUGUUCUUUUUUUUACCAAAUUUAUGUGGGUUCUUGACAAGUUGAAAUCUAAGGAGGGUGUAUUGAAUUAGAAUUUAAAAGACAAUUUUUGUAUGAAAAAGUCUUGUGGAUUUUAAAAGACUAUACAUAAUUUUAGUGAUUUUUAAGACUUUAAAAGACUAUUAAAAUUUGUAAUUUGGAUUUCAAAGAAUUUAUACGAUAAGAUUUCAUGGGAUUUGAAAUGACUUUAUAGGUUUAUAAGAUUUCAAUGUGCUUUUAAAGAAUCAUUAAAGAAAAAUGAUAAUAACACUCUUUAUGAUGAUAAUUUCAAUACACACCUUUUCAUUUUUUUUUUUUUUUUAAGGAAACACUUUUUCAUUUGUUAAAAUUCAAAUUAUUCCAUUAAAAAAUAUAUUGUUUUUGGUGUAUUAUUUUGUGUAAAUUAUUGUUCUUGCAUAUCCAUGUUUGUCUUUUAGAAUUUUGAUUCACGUCUGUGAAGUGGGGUUCAAAUGAAGAAAUUAUUGAUACCCCAGAUUUAUGGAUUAAGAUUUAUAUAUAAAAAAAAAUAACAAUGUUUUAUAAAAAAUCUAAGGUCCGAACUCAGUUCUUGUUACUCCUCUCUUGGAUGGAUCCAACUAUCUCGCAUGGAGUCAUUCAAUGAUUCGUGCUUUUGGCGUGAAAAACAAAUUGAAAUUUAUUGAUGGUUCGAUGGAGAUUCCUGAUGAAAAUGAUCUGAAUCGUAGUGCGUGGGAACGAUACAAUCAUCUAAUUCAGUCCUGGAUCAUCAAUUCAGUUUCAUCUCAAAUUGCUCAAACACUGGUUUUUCAUGAAUCCGCCAUUGAUGCUUGGUUAGAUCUCAAAAAGUGUUUUUCUAAAGUUGAUAGAAUACGCAUUGCUACACUUCGAUCCACAAUCAACAACUUGAAACAAGGUUCAAAAUAUGUUUUAGAUUACUUUAUUGAGAUGCAUACUCUAUGGGAGGAGUUGAAUUCUCAUAGACCUAUGCCUCACUGCGCUUGUCCCCACCCUUGCCGUUGCGCCUCCGUGAGAGAAGCUCGCAAUUUUAGACUUGAGAAUCAGGUCAUUCAAUUUCUUACUAGAUUGAAUGAUCAAUUCACAGUUAUUAAAACUCAAGUUUUCAUGAUGGAUCCUCUUCCAUCAAUCAACAAAGUUUAUUCCUUAGUGAUUCAGGAAAAAAGCAAUAAUCACUAUGUAGAUUCUUCCGUUGAUGAUCAUGUUUCUUUGGUGAAUGCUUCUGAUUCACGCAAUAAGCCUCAAGAGAGAGGAACAAGAUAUUCUACUGGACCUAAACCUCCAAGACAUUGUAGUUUUUGUGGAAGAAAUAAUCACACAGUUGAUUAUUGUUAUGCUAAGCAUGGCCACCCUAAUUUUCAGAAGCAAGCUCCCUCUAUCAAUACUUCAAGCAGUAAUGAAACAUAUGAAGCUACACCAGGAAGUUGCAAUGAUGCAUCUUUACCUAGUUCUAGUAUUUCACAAGAGAAGUAUGACCAGCUUGUUAUCUUGCUUCAACAAGUGAAUCUGCUUCCUUCAUCAUCAACACCUCCUGCUAGUGCCAAUCACAUCAAUUCACCUUCUAUGUGAGGUAUAUCAUCCAUUUUCUCUUGUUCCAUUUCAUCUAAAUCUGAUAUUUGGAUUUUAGACUCAUGAGCUAAUGAGCACACUGUUUCCUCCACACAUUGGUUAACUUCUUAUCAUAAAUCAACCCUAAACCUGUGAAUUUACCUAAUGGUACUUCUGUUCUUGUUCAAUAUAUGUCGACACCAUUCAAUUUUCACCUUGGAAAUGUCCUAUAUUCUCCAUUAUUCAACUUGAACUUGAUUUCUAUUUCCAAGCUUUUUCAGUCUUUACAUUGUCAUGUCAUUUUUCAUGAUAAUAAAUAUUUCUUAAAGGAUCUUCACUCCUAGAAGAAGAUUGGUUUGGGUGAUCAGAUUGAAGGUCUUUAUAGAUUAGCUUUAGAUUCCUUUAAUCUUCCUCUAUGCAAUAAUUUUUCUGUCAAUCAUAUUUCCACCAAUACAAAUUUAACCAUCCCUUCUUCUACAUUAUUGCAUUUCAGGUUAGGACAUGUAUCUCAUAUGAGAUUAUCUCAUAUGUCUCAACUAUAUCCUAGUCUUACUUUUGAUCAUAAUACUACUUGUGACAUAUUAACAAAUAACUAAAUAUGGUCUUUCAAUAAAAUAAAAAAUAACCUAAUAGUCAAUAGAUCUCGCAUGGAAAAGAGACAGGGGCCUAUCUAACACCCAUCCCUUAGAAGUCAAAACUAGCAAUGUCCAUGAUAUGCUUUAAUGACGUGAACAAGUUAAACAUAGGAGUAAUUUUGUUGUUUUUCUUUACAUACCUUAAAACUUCUAAAAUGUUGAUAAAUAUAGUUAAACAAGAGUGCUAUUUGGUACGAUAGAUUCAACGACGAAACGCAGCAAAUGGAUACGUGCAAAGAUUGGAACAAGUAUUACUCCACAUUUGGGGCAAAACAUGUUGUUUAGUGCGGUGAUUAAGCUUGUUAACACCUUUCGUUAGUUCUCGUUGAUGCAUUGCUCGUAACAAUGAGCAUUACACAUAGUUAAAUUAUCUAUUAAUGAGAUCAUGUUCUUGAUAGAAAAAGUUAAAUUUUCGUUCUUACAAAAUAUGAACUAACUCGUGAAGACAACAUGUUAUUGAUUUUUGUUUUAAUCGAUUUUUUAUUUUUUAUUUUUAAAUAAAGGAGUCGAUUUUUAUAUUAAAAAUCAAAUUGAGUUGUGUUUUAGGUCAAAUCUUAUCCAACAAGAUUUUUUUUUUGGUAUAAUUAUUUCUUCAUAAAAUUAAAGUAGAUUAUUAUUAUAUUAAAAAAUGUGUAAAAUUAAUAAAUAAAAAAAAUUGUCUAUCCUUUUGUUUAUCUUUCUCCCCAUCACACACAUACAUAUCUUAAGAAACAAACAAAAAAAGUGAAAAUCUCAUACAAUGACACAUUAGUCGUUAAUCAACACUCUUCUCACACUUCUCAUUUUCUUCACAUUGCUUCUAGCGACGGUAACUAACCGUGGCUAAAACAAAAUGGCAACAAUUAGCGACGAAGAACGCGACGGUAACGGAAUUAAUCAAACACCGUUACGAAUCCCUGAAUUGCUCUAUGUUUCUGUGAAGAUGGAGAAUCCAAUCCGCGCUCUCGCUGGAAAUCUUUUUCCUCAUGUUUUUUGUUCUUCUGCAUUGCUUGGGGAUUGUUUGGAUUCUUCGAAAGCUGUAAUUUUGAUUCGUACCCUUUUUACUGUUUUAUUUGUAGUUUAAUGGGCGAUUCUGUUUUUUUUCUUAUUGUUGUUGUUUUUGGUUUAGAUUUUGAUGGAACGUGAAUCUGCGUCAAUGUGGGAGUUGAGCUUUGUUGUUCCACAAAAUCACGGUAAUAAUGUUUUUAAGUUAAUAUUUGGAUAAACAACUUAAUUAAUUGCUUAUAGCAUAAGUUGUUAUUAUAUGAGUAUCAAAGCCCGUUUGCAUUGACUUGAGCUUAUCCACCGGCAUUAGCACUUGUGAGACAAUUUAGGAGAACUUAUGACAUGUUCUUAAGCUGUUUUCAGCUUAUGAAAAAAAAUAUAGAUUAUACCAAAACAAUUUAACUUUAUUUUAUCUUUUGUUAUAAUUUAUUAAAGUAGCUUGUACAUGAUGAUAAACACUUAUACUAUAAUUUGCAAAUUAAGUUGUUUAUCCAAACAGGGACUUUAUGUAUUCUAUAACAAAAUAUAAAAUAAAUUCAAUCUGUUUUCAUAUAAGCUAUUCUAGAGAACUUGUGGAGAUAAGUUGAAGAGAGUUCACGGACAUGUCUUAACCGGUUUCCAUGAACUCUCCCAACGAGUCUGACAAGUGCUUAUGUUAGUAGAUAAGCACAAAUAACCAAAUCCAAUCAGGCCCUAUGAAACGAGAGAAACUCUUCUCAUAAAUUCUUUAAGUAAGCACUAAGUGGUCAUUUGGUUUUAAAUGUGUAAGGUCAUGUCACUAGUAUCCAUAUAGUCCCUGAAUGUGUUGAAAUUACGAAAAUAUCUCUGAAUGUGUCUUCUGUGAGUAAUUUCAUUGACCAAACUGACCAACGAAAGACAUGUUAGAGCCCCAAAUGACAAACAACAUCUACAUUUAUGGAUGUUUUUGCAAUAUUGAUAUAUUCAACGACUGUAGCGAUUGUGUCUAUCCUUCCGAGCAUGUGAAAAUAAGAUGACAUUAUUUUUGUACUCUUUCAACCUUUUUCUUAUGUUGUAAAAUAAAUUCAAAUAAGCUCUUCCAAGCAUUAUUUCGCCGGUGCAUAAACAGAAAAUAAUUGACUUUUCUAAUAACGCAGAUAAUAACUGUAUUGGCAUCAUCAUAAGAAGAAGCUUUAAUGUCAGGACUUCAUUUUGUAACCUGACGUGUUGACUUUGUUUGAGAAUUUCAGAAGCUUUGGAUUUCAAAUUCCUCCUAAAGCCAAAAGACGACAAUUCACCUUGUUUUCUUGAGGAGGGUCCGAAUCGUGUACUUGUAGCGGGAGCAUUGCAAGAUGGUGCUAGGCUUGCUUCAUUUAAGCUUGAUAAUGAUCAUGCUGUUGAGUAUAAAGUAUUUGUUCAAGCAAGCAAAGUUUCUUCCUUUGAUCUGGCAGCUAGUUGGAGGGCUUAUAAGGAGAAUUUUCAUCCUUCGGCUGUACGCGGGAUACCUGACGUCAGCAUAAAUUCAGAAGUUCAGACAGAAAGCGAGGUAAGACUCCAACUGCCAGUUUGCUUCAUCUUGUUUACUUUUUCCCCUUGGUUCAAGGUUCACCACAUUGUUUUUCUUCUGGUAGCUGUAGAACAAAGACUUACUCUGGCUGCAAGUCUUUAGAUGAUUGUGCUAAAAAGCCUCAUGUGAAUGUGCAGGAUGUCUUAUACUUUGUUUUUGCUGUAAAAUAAGUGUACUGUUAAACGUGGUUUAGUUAAGUAUUAGAUAUGCUAAUUUGUCUCAUACUAUGUUAUUUUGUGGUUAUAAUGGUAAAUAGUUGCAUUAUAUAGUUAGUAGACAGCUGCAUCGAAUUGAAAGAUGUUUCGUUUUCAUUCUUUAAAAUAAAAUAACAUGAAUCAGCCUAACAGGUGACUUGCAUUUCAUAUCCUGUUUUUUUUUUUCCUUUACUUUUUCAUGUUUUCUACAGUUUUAAUUAUGUGUUGUAAUCAAUAUUCUUAUAUUAGUGCAGUCAUCACUGUGAUAGUCCAAUUACUUUUUUGUUGAUGCGCAACUCUAAUUAUUUUCCCAUGAAAUUGUAUCGGCGCACUAGUCAUGCCUCAGGACUCUUCUUUAUUAACCGCCAAUUUUAAUUUUAAUCUCUUCGUGGAACUGUAGUUUGUCAUUAAAUGUUUUUCUAAUCUGAUAGUGCAAAAUGGUUAUUAUUAAGGUUCAAGUGAUUAAUCUAGCACAUAAAAAGUUUAUAGUUGAAUUACAUGUCUUUCUCAUACAUUGCCAUUUCAUCCACCACAACUUGUAGUCCAAUCAUGCAUCUUAACUGGUGGCCUUGAUAUGUUCUACUUUUCUUUUUCUUUCUAAUUCCAACUUAUGAAGUUAUGAUAAAUAUGUUUUUUUGUGAACCAUUUCUAUGGACCUCAUGGCUCACACUUUAUUUUUCUAUUUUUUUUUUUAGAAUGUCUCUUCUGCGAGUUUGGAACUUGAUCUUGAGCAUUAUGUUGUCCCAGCUCCCUCAAGUUCUCCAAAUUCAUCUGCUGUAUAUGCAGCUGACAUGACAGAGAAUCCCAGAUCACGGAAUAGUGGGUAUGGCAGCAAUUCAUAUUCCGCCGGAGAUGACAGUGGUUAUGUUGAUCAACCUGAAACUGUAAAUAUUUAACUUUCAAAUUCAUAUUUAAAAUUUAUGAUUGACUUUUAGAUUUUAUAUUGGGCCUAACAGACUCAUCCUUACAUGACCAGUUUGUAUAAUGCGGGUCACCCAUGCUUUAUACACACUACACAUGCCAUAUCUCUGAGCAAUGUGGGACUAAAUCCACCCUUUUAAGCCCAACACAUUGAAGGUGUUGAAGGUUGCAAUUGCAACUAAGGCAACUCAAAUGCCGCAUGUUGGAAAUUCUGCCUUUAUUGCGAUCCACCCCUAGUCGCCCAAUUGCGACAUUUGAGUUUCCUCAUGUUGCCUUGCCUUGUAUUGGCUUUGAGGGGGUGGAUUUAGUCCCACAUCGGUUAGAUAGAACUCUUGAUAAGAGUUUAUAAAGAGGAGGCACUCCCUUACAAGCCUGUUUUGUAAGGAUGAGUUAGGCCCCAAAUUUCUACAUGGUAUUUGUAAGGAUGAGUUAGGCCCCAAAUUUCUACACCGCAAUUAGCCGGCAAGGGGCGGACCGCAAUUAAGGCGGAAUUUCCAACAUUGACGUUAAAUUUUAAAAGAGAAUAUUUUGUCAAACAACUGUAAGAUCGACGAUGUUGUACGGAACAGGGUGUUGGGUGGUAAAACACCAACACGAGAAUAAAAUAAGCAUAGUGGAGACAAGGAUGUUGCGUGGGAUGUGUGGUAAGAUCAAAUGAGAUAUGAUUAGAAAUGACAAUAUUAGAGAGUUAGAGUAACAUGUAUAAUAGAAAAGAUGGUGGAAAAUAGGUUUAAGUGGUUUGGGCAUAUUCGGAGAAGACUUGUAGAUUCUGUAGUAAGGAGAGUAGAUAAUGGAGGAUAGUCAGGUCACGAGAGACAUAGGAAGACCUAGAAAAACUAUAAGAGAAAUUGUUAAGAAAGAUCUAGAGAUGAAUGAGUUGGAUCGAAAUAUGGUUUAUAAUAGAACAUUAUGACGUGAUAUGAUCCAUGUAGCCGACUCCACUUAGUGGGAUAACGUCUGGUUGUUUAACUUUCUCAGAGAUUUUUAAUAAAUACUCAUGCACAGUCAUGUAAACCGUAAAGUACUGACCCUUAUUUUAAUAUUAAAACUAAUCUCCGAAUUCUAAUUAAAAAGGAAAGUAAAUGAUGAAUAUCUAUCUUAGAAUUUGUGGUUGGGCCUUACACAACCCAACAAAACCGGCUUAUAAACACUUGCUCAGGCAAUAUCACUUCCAAUGUGGGACUCUUAACACACACCCCUCACGCCUAGAACUAGACAUCUGGAGCGUGACCCGAGUGGUCCGAUAGCGGAAACUUGAUAGCGGUGGUCCAACAGAUCUUGGAUAGGCUAUGAUACCAACUUAAAUGUUUUUAAAAUGAAUGGCUUGUACAUAUCUUGCAAUGAGAUAUUCAAAUUCUAACUUAUAUACAAGAAAGAAUCUCUCAAGAAAAAGAAAACAAUGAAAUUAAAUCAAUCAUAGUAAAUAGAGAAUAAUCAACAUUCUAAAAUACUGUAAAGUGGAAUAAUGAUAUAGUGAAAUAUUUUUUAGAUUUUUCAACACUCACUGUCAAGCUAAAACUUACCAAGAUUUUAGUUAGUUACAACUUUACAAGUAUGUGUAGCAAAUAGUUGUGUAUUUGAUGUUUUUAAAAUGCAAAAUACCAGUACUUGAGGUUAAGAGGAAAAAAAGAAAGUAAGCUAGUAGGUUAUAUUAAUUAUUGAUUGUGCAAUGUAUCAUAUCUAAUUGGCUAUGUUGAUGUUCCAACUAGGAGAUGGAGGUCAAUACCCUGGUCCCAUCUAGGGUGUAUGAAUGUCGCAAACUUGUUAAAUCUCUGUCAGUGGGAACAAUGUCAACACUGCGAAAGGAAGAUGGUCAGAGGGGACCUUUUGUUGAUAGGGGUGUUGGAUUUCCAAGAAUUGUAAAAUCUUCUAGUUUAAAGUCAUUUACUGUUGAUCUUAGUUUGGACACUGAUACCGAGGUUUGUAUAAUUGAUUUUCACUUUUGUUUUAUUAUUCAACUUUAAUUUUUGGUGGACUGAUUUAUAUUGCUUUUAACCGUUAAUUGUGGUUGUUUACAACAUUUGCUUCUGCCCCUCCUUUUUUCGGAUAGAAUUCAUUUCCAGCAGCAGCUGGAGCUGUUGCAGCUGGUGCCGUUGCUGAUCAGAUGCUGGGUCCCAAGGAGGAUAAACAUUUGGCGAUUGUCAUGGUAUUAUUCUUGCUUGUGAAAUAACUAGUUAUGAAGUUGUUUUAGCAACUUUUCUGAUAAUAUUUAUUUUUGGCUGUAAAUUGAGACUCAAAAAUAAAGGAACAUACCGUGAAAUGUUUGAAUUUGGAAGUACAUGGUGAAAAUGUCACAUUCCCUUUUGUAUUUAAUCUAAUUUAGUGAAUUAAAGUAUUUCGAAUUGAAUAAUUCAAACUACUUUUACUUAGGUGAGUCUGCCAGCUCGAGGUAAAACUUUCACUGCAGCUAAACUUACAAGAUAUCUUCGCUGGUUGGGUCAUAAUACAAAACACUUCAACGUUGGUAAGGUUGUUCACAUUCUUGACUUGAUUCUUCUUUGUAAUGAAGGUUAUGUCUGGAUAUCUAAUGGAGCGUAGUGGAAUGAAAUGAGAUUAAAUGAAGAGUGGAAUAGAACAUAAUGAAAUAGACUUACCAUUCCUUUCUUUGCAUAUUUUAAUCAUGCAAUGGAGAAACGGGCUUGUUUCAUUCUAUUCCACCCAAAAUGGAGGGGAAAAGUGGGAUAUUGGAUGGAAUGGAACCCAUUUCAUUCCAUCUUAUUUUAAAUAAUUCCAAACAACGGAACCUUCAAUGAUUUCAUUCCAUUUACUUCCAUUAAUCCCAAUCUAGCCCAAUAGUCUUGCACCUAGUGGAAGAUUGGAAAUAUAUCAAGUAUGAAGUUAACAUUCUCACAUUUUGAUGUCACAGUAUCGUCGCCUUAAGCACGGAGCUAGUCAGGUAAACUUAAUGGAAAUGAAUCAAUAGGAUAGUUUAUUUCUUAUUUAUUUAUUUAUUUAUUUAUUUAUUAUGUGCUUCUAUAUAUAGAUUCCAUUCCUAUCCGUCAGAUUUGCACCAUUUAUAAAUAUGUGACAUGGGGCUUUGAUUUGUUAACAUGUUUCAUCACCCAACACAAGAGUACUAACCUUCUGCAGCACCUAGAUUUGACAUAUUUUACAACCAAAUGGAAUAUGGUGUAGUUCUGUGACUAAAAUGGGUUCGUAGCACACACUCUUUUAACAAAAUUAAGCUGAAGGUUGGUAGAUUAAAAUUACGGAUUAAAGGAGAAUGAUAAGAAGAAAUAUGACGUUAGUGAAGUAUGAUUUGAUACAAAUUUGACGAUACUAGUUUGAUAGUGACUUGAUACCAAGGACUUAAAACUAAUCCUUAUUUGUAGUAUACGAGACUCCUAAUCCUAAAUAAAUAGGAAACUCAGAAAACAAUCAUGGUAAUAGUGAUAUAACAUGGAAUCUAAUUCUAGGAGAUAAUUUAAGACACUCUAAGAUUAUAAAUGGAACCAAGAAGAUAAAUAUAAUAUCAAAAACAUUAUGAGAUGUUUCAUGUAUGUUCUAAUAAUCUAUUAUACAACGAGUUUUUACAACAAUCAUGAUUCAUAGAAUCAUGGAUGAGCUGCUUGACCUACAAAUUUAAGCAAUCAAGUGUUGCGACCACAAGUUUUAACCUGAAAAAUUUAGAAUGAAUGAUUUGCAUUACACAACGGUGCAGAACAAAAUAUAUAUACUAGAGUAGAGAGUAUCACUUUAAAUAAGGAAAAGUAGAGUUGAGAACAAGGUUUUCUGGUGCUGAAUAACUUAAGAGAUUAGCUCUCAACCUUUUGUAUUUAUAAUAAGAAUAUAUACAAAGUAAAUCCCAUGAUCAUAGGGAGUAAAUCUGUCCUAAUUAUAUAAGAGAUAUUUACAAGGAAAUAAAGAUAAUAUAAAUAAGGAGAUAAUAUAUCAGUCAAUGAUACUAUUAUUACGCAUAUCUCAACACUCCCCUUCAAGCUGGAGCAUACAAAUCAUAUGCAUCAAGCUUGUCACAUAUGCAAGUGAUCCUUGGUCCUCGAAGAGACUUUGUGAAGAUAUCGGCUAGUUGAUCAUUACUAUUAGAACCAACAAAAGAAGUAGCAAUUUCACCAGACAUAAUUUUCUCACGAAUAAAAUGACAAUCGAUCUCAAUAUGCUUAGUUCGCUCAUGAAAGACUGGAUUAGAGGCAAUGUGUAGGGCUGCUUGAUUGUCACAAAUGAUACUCAUAGUGCCUAUUUUACUGAAGUGAAGCUCUUGGAGAAGAUGCUUGAGCCAUAUGAGCUCACAUGUAGUAAGUGCCAUAGCUCUAUAUUCUGCCUCUGCACUUGAUCUAGCAACGACAUUUUGCUUCUUACUUUUCCAUGAAAUCAAAUUGCCUCCAAUGAGAACAUAAUAUCCAGAUGUGGACCUUCUGUCAGACGGACUUCCAGCCCAAUCUGCUUCUGUAUACGCAACAAUAUCUGAAUGACCUCUGUCUGCAUAAACAAGAUCUUUUCCAGGGGCUCUCUUGAUAUAUCUUAGAAUUCUAACCACAACAAUCCAAUGAAUAUCACAAGGGGAAUUCAAGAAUUGACUAACAACACUGACUGCAUAUGAAAUAUCAGGUCUUGUCAUGGUCAAAUAAUUCAGCUUCCCAACUAACCUCCGGUACCUUCCUGGAUCUGAAAAGGUCUCCCCUUGUCAUGGGCGUGAGAGAGGUGUAUUGGGAAAAUCCAAGUCUCACAUCGGAUAGAUAAGACUCUUGAGAAAAGUAUAUAAAGAGGAGCAAUCCUCACCUUACAAGCCGGUUUUUUGAGGAUGAGUUAGGCCCUAAAAUUUUAACAAGUAGUAAAUUAAGGAUUACCACUCAAGAGAGUAUCACACUACAUCAAUUGAUCACUAUGGGGACUCACUGUAUUAAAUAUUUGUUUUAUUCUUGGAAUCAUGAUUUUAAAGUUGGCUGUCGUGCUUUGUUGGAAAGUUUUUAAUUUAUGUCAUUCUUUUAUGUAGUCUGCUGAUUUCUUUCGAGCUGACAAUCCUGAAGGCAUAGAGGCACGUAAUGAGGUAACUUCUGGCCAGUAAAUUAAUUCAAACAAGUAAUAUAUGAGAGUAAAGUUUAUUGAUUUCUGACAUAACUUGGUUAUAACUAAAAUUAUCAAGAUGUUGCUUCUAAAUUUUUUUCAAUUUUAUUAAAAGAAAUAAACUACUUAUCUUUAAAGGCCUUUAACAAAAUUCCUUUUUUUUUUGGUUUGCUUUAGUUGUCAAUUGUUCACUUGCGUUUAAAUCAAUUAAUGACUAAAGAUCUGAAUAUAUUGAAAACAAAUCAUUUCGGGAGCUGAUUCUAAAGUGUUGCAUUAAAGAAAAUCAACACCAAUUGAUGUUAUAAUACAAAAUGAGUUUACUUAUAUCAUUUAUUGAAUGGCAACACCAUUUACGACCCAUUUUUGUAGAAUAAAAAUCAGAAAAUAAACGCAUAUUGACAAAUACCAGAAUUUACGACUACUUGCUCUUAUUCAAAUGCUCUAUUUCUAACAUUGGUUUAUCUUGAAUGAUCUUGUUGGUGUUGACAUCCAGCAAUUGUAGAAGACCCAAUCAAAAUAUUCAUUUUGAUUACCUUUUUAAGACUGAUAUAAUGUUACUUUUAGUUUUUGGUAUUCAUUUUGUUAUGAAUGAUUCUGAUAACGUUAACACCAUGUUGACCUUUCUCUGUGUACAUGAUUUUAAUAUCAUCCAAAUCCUGUACACCCAGGUAGCAAAAUUGGCAUUUGAAGAUAUGAUAACUUGGAUGCAAGAAGGUGGUCAGGUAAAUUCAUUCUUGCUGGGAACCUUUUUUCUUUUUUGUUUUCCUUUAAGUUCUCUGCAUAAAUUUUUAAGUUCAAUUUAGGUUGGGAUAUUUGAUGCCACAAACAGUAGCAAGCAGCGAAGAAACAUGCUGAUGAAAUUGGCUGAAGGAAGAUGCAAGGUAUUUUAAUCACAGAUAGCUACUGUUAUUUAGGUAAUAUAAAAAUGGCGUAUGUAGUUUUAAGGUAUUUUUACACUCUUCUGAUGCACCUUUGUAUUUUUAUUGCAGAUUAUCUUUCUGGAGACAAUAUGCAAUGAUGUAGACAUGAUUGAAAGGAAUAUUCGUUUUAAAAUUCAGCAAAGUCCUGACUAUGCAGAAGUGUAUGUUUGCUUUAAAACCUGUGACAUCUUGUCUCAAUCACUUUGUAGAAACGUGCACAAUUAGCUUUUCUUUUGCAGGCCAGAUUUUGAGGCUGGGCUACGAGACUUCAAAACUCGUGUAGCCAAUUAUGAGAAGGCAAUUCUUUCAUAUAUACUUUUAAUAACUUUUCUCGGUGAGCUUUUGCUUUAAAUAAUGCUGAUUUCAUCAUAUUACUAGGUUUAUGAGACGGUAGAAGAGGGAUCUUACAUAAAAAUGAUUGACAUGGCCAGUGGACGUGGUGGGCAAAUACAAGUAAGUUUUACCUGCAAUUAUGUGAUUUGUGUGUGUUGUAAAUUGCCGUCUACUUGGCUCAUUGUUUUGUUAGCCAGUAACAAUAUCACAAGUUAUAUAUGCAUGUCUGUUGACCAUACUCUAGUUGUUUUUUAGAUGAGUAAAAGUUUAUUUUUGUAGAUACACUUGAAAGUUUGAUUAAUAUGAAUAUUAUUGAUUGAUUGGUAAGUUACAAAUUACAGGCUCUAAUAAUAUUAUAUAGACAAUUAAACAUGAGUCUUAAUAAAUGAUAGCCAAGAAAAAGGAAAUAAAGUUUAUCUUGAUAAUUAUACAUUGUUAUGGACCUUAUGGUGAUAUGUACAACACAAAAGGUUGCCUCCAAAAAUUAUACAAUGACCAAAAGUGGAUCUUCUACCAAUAGGAGAGCCUGCCUUAUCUGCAUUUGAAUAUCAUACAACUUAAGUUGGGCCCUUGUUUUCAUAGAUCAGACCUUUUCAUCGGGCUUCUUUAAUACACUUCAAGAUGUGAGUUACGCCGAGAUGUGAAUUAUAGCAUCCCAAUGUCCUUUACAAGGUAAGUUAAGAAAUCAACUUUCCAUAUUAACAACAAAGGAGAUCUUUGGAAGAGCAAAUUGGGAUAAUUUUGCUUGGUCACUAGUCUUCUGUAUCUCUUUGGGUUUGAUAGUCUUCACCAUGGAGGAAUACAUUCUUCAUAUCAACUUGGAGAGACUUGACACCAUUCUUUUGUAACAUUUCAAGACUUGGAUGACCUAGUUGAGCAUGUACUAGAUGAGGGUAAUCUUUGGUGGUGCAUAUUCGGGAGUGGUUAGGGAGAUGAUAGAGGCCAAGUAUUAGGGUGGUGGACAUCCGGGAAUGGUCAUUGGUUAAAAUAGGUGACAGCUGACAACGGAAAAUUGGCAAUAGCAGUCGCUAUGGGUGAUUCUAAGUGGCAGCGCUAAAAAAUAUGCAUUGUAGGUGUUGGCAGUUGCUAGGUAGGCAGCACAGGGUGGCUACGAUUUUGACGUAGAAGUAAAGUCUCCUAAAUCGAGACUGUUGAUAUCAACUUGAAAGGGUCUCUUAGUAAUCUGAAUAUUAUUGAUUAAUAAAUUACAAAUGACAUGCUCUAAAAUAUAUACUAUUGAACAUAUUUCCUAAUGAUAGUCGGAAAAUCUAUCUUAAUAAUUAAAGAACAUUAUAGUCAUGUAUGUUCAGAAGAAUAAAAGGAAAUAAUUAUUUAUUUUAUCCUAAAAUAGCCCCGCUUAUAACUAUUCUAAUAAUUAGUUUAGAUGUAAAACCCUGGUUUAGCCGUUUAGGUGGAAAUUCAAAUGACAUAGUUUCACUUGCUCUUCUAAUUUUAAAUAACUUAUGACAGCAUAAAUUUGAGUUUGCUUUGUGCCUACCUUAAUAAUUAUUUCAUUUUCAUGGUUCACUGGAAGCAUAGAAUUGAAAGCGUGUUUUAUAAUUUUGUUCUGCACACGCAAAAUUUAUGAUGAAACUUGUACAAAUAUUCUGAAAUUUUUGUGUCUCCAUGAUUUUCUCUAGCCAUAAGAAAUAAGGUCUAUAGUAUGACAUUGAUUUAUUAAUUAUUCACGAUUUAUCUCUUUUGGUUUAGGUGAACAAUAUCAGUGGCUACCUACCUGGCAGAAUUGUCUUUUUCUUGGUAAGCUUCUUCAAAGAUUGUAGUUAAUUACAUUCAAAGUCUUGCAUUAUUAAAACUCAGGCAGGAAAAUAAUUGAUUUAACAUUAUUAAAACUCAAGAAGUGAAAGGGAAAAUUAGAGAGAAUCACUGAUUCUAUUUCAGCUAAAUGAUUUCAUUCAUCUGAUUUUGAUUGAGAUACGUCACUGGUAUGUAUAGAGGUUAGAGUGGGCUUACUGACCCAGAUACAACUAUGAAAACCAAACUGUGAUUGAUUCAACCCACAGCUAUGAACGAAGCUGUCAAAUGACUAACCAAAGCCACCUGCUACCGACACUAGUCAUAAUCGAAUGUUAAUUACAAUAUAACAACAUAGUGGGCUACUAUUGAGAAAUUUCAUGAACCAACCUUAACCUUAAUCAAGAGUCCUUUGGGCUUAAAAUGUUAUAGGUUCAUCUUCCUUAUGCUAAAAUCAAACUAUUAGGUAAUGGUACAUGAAUCAAAGUCUUUACCAUUUGUGUUAGAGGCAUUGAAACCAUUUCAUAAACCAACUACCCAAAAUUUUUGAAACUAUUAGGUAAUGGCACAUGAAUCAUUUUAUAUCACUAAUUAGAAAAUUAGUGAAACUUUUCUGUCACUAUAACCUUUUCAAAUUGAGAUAUUCGCUAAUUUGGAAUAGGUUUUAGCUUAUUGCAGUUUCUCAAAUGAGAUGAAUAUCUAGCUCCUAACUUACCAAAAGGCCCUUAUAAGUUUAUAAGUUCUUAUGGACAAGCAAGAUGGGAAAGCUUCUUAAAAAGUUGAGGGUAGUUUCUUUCGUAACAAAUAGCAAUCCUCUUUUGCCUAACUUCCCAAGAUAGUGUUUUUUAGAAGUCUAUUAUACACACUCUCCAAAUGCUACUCCAUGUUAUUUGAAGUUUCUCAAGAGUAUCUGGUUAUUUUCUUCAUGUCUUGCAGAUGAAUACGCAUCUUACACCACGCCCAAUAUUACUCACUCGGCAUGGAGAAAGUCAGGAUAAUGUGAGAGGCAGAAUUGGAGGAGAUCCUGCAUUAAGGUAUAUUCUCAUAUUUUCUUGGUGUAUAAUUGCCGAGGACACAUGCCGACAAAGGUACUUGUAUGAAUGAAAACGAAAUUCCUGUUUUUUGCCUUAAAGAACUGGUAUCAAAAUAAAUUGUGGUACGGGUAUCGUAAGACUUCAUAUGUUACUGGCUUCUGAUUGUACUAGUUGUAUUUCAUUCGUACUUGACCUAGAAUAAUGGUUUAAGUAGGAGUUUUAGGUCCUUUUUUUAUAACAUUUAAUUAUUUGAAGCAUAUUAAUGGUGAUGAAAAACUGAACGAUAGUAUCACUGGUUGAUUAGGAACAAUAACGGAUACUAAAGGUAGUUGUGAUAAGUCACGAAUGAGAUGAUUAAAAAGAAGUGCUAUGAAGGCACUGUGACUAUAUGAAGUGGAAAAUCUGAAUCGUAUUUCUCUUAUUGUUAGAUAUUACUUUCUUUUCUUCCACCUUGCUCGUGAUUUCUCUUUUUACUACUUUACUUGGGUGUACCCUCGUAGCUGAGAAGCAAAAUAAGGCUAGCAGCUCAUUGUUGUAGCCUUAUUGGUUUAAAGGGCCGUGUUUUGUAAAGAGAAGUGGCAAAGUAGAAGUAGGGCUUAAUUGGUUUGAAGGGAUGUGUUUUUUAAAGUGAAGUGGCAAAGUAGUUAUGGUUUCUCUAUCUUUGACUUAUUUUUUAAUGUGAUACCUGAUUUCUUUAACAGUUGCUGUAAAUUUUAAGCUGACUAACUUAACCAAAUUGUUUCAACAGUGAGGCUGGAGAACUUUAUAAACAGAAGCUUGCCAAAUUUGUUGGAAAACGUCUCAAAUCAGAACGAGCUGCUUCUGUAAGCUUUUCCAAUAGUAUGGAUUAAAUUCUGGCAUUCAUUUUUUCUUCAAAUAAAUCAUAUGAUUACAAGAAAUUAAUGCUAGUAUGCCAUGUGCCUUCUAGCAAUACUCCUUUGUUUGCUAUAGCAACAUAUAUCAUUUAUCUUGAGUUGUAUUCUAGUAUCAAUGACAAUGAUGAAGAUUAUUUUUCACUUAAUCAUGCAGCAAACGGUUAUAGUGUUAGUGAUUGGCAAUGUAUUGUCAGUAACUUAUUCCUUAAUCGGAUUAAGUAUAGGGAAAGGAGGCGCAGACCUUCAAAGAUCUACAGCACUAGUUAGAAAAGAUUCCUUGGACAAGAAAUGAUACAUGAACUAGAAUUACAAAUUUUCAUUAUAAUAUUGCCUUUUCAUCAUUUUGCACAUCUGACACUACCAAAUACAAAGCAUUCUUUUCACAUAUAGGAUUUUGUAGAAGUUAUAUAAAACAAUGAUGAAUGGGUUAUUUCCAUGUCAGUUAAGCGCAUGCAUGAACGUACUGAAAUGAUGAAUAGUUUGUGAUAUUUGUCACCUCUGUCUAGAUAUGGACCAGUACACUACAGCGAACAAUUCUGACAGCAGGCCCCAUUGUUGGAUUUCCUAAGGUUAGUGUCAUCCUUAAGUCAGAAAAUAUGGAUUGACAUAAUUGCACAUUGAUUGUGUUCCUGCAUCGACUUUCUAUACAUUUUAGAUACAAUGGCGUGCACUUGAUGAGAUAGAUGCCGGGGUGUGUGAUGGAAUGACAUACCAAGAAAUCAAGAAGAACAUGCCAGAGGAGUAUGAGUAUGUCUCAAACUUGUAAUCUCACUUAUUUGAAAGCUGAAUGAACUAGUAUUAUUAGAUAAAAAAUCAAGUGUUUAAAAGUAGCAUAAUGCCAAUUAAAAUGUUUAAGUGUAUUUAGUUAUUUUAUUUAUAUUUUGGUUAUUUCCAUUGCAGAUCCCGCAAAAAGGACAAACUUAGGUAUCGUUAUCCUCGUGGGGAGUCUUAUUUGGACGUUAUUCAAAGGUUGAUACAUUGCAUCUUUAACACUAUUUAGAUCCUAGCUACUACUUGUUUGACAUAAAUAACUUAAGUUUUCAUGAUAUUUCAGGUUAGAGCCUGUAAUUAUUGAGCUUGAGCGGCAACGAGCACCUGUUGUUGUGGUAUCUCACCAGGUAUUGCAUAUAUGAUGUUAAAAAGUAAACUUGCAUUUAUGUAUCUUUCACUGGUUUUAAUUCUUGACAUUUUUGCCAAUACUUCUUCAUUGCAGGCAGUUUUGAGGGCAUUGUAUGCUUAUUUUACGGACAGGCCUUUGAAAGAAAUUCCACAUAUGGAGGUAAUAUAUGAGUUAAUAUUUAUCUGAAUGCAAUGUUCUUACUGUCAUAUAUGGAGUUGAUGCAAAAACCUGAUUGUGUUUUUGGCAAAUAUUUUAACUUUGAUAUGAAAAUGUUAGUAUAUUGGUUGUUAUGUUCGUAUUUUCUCCUUCACUGAGAGUUGAACCCUGAUUCUUUUACGCUUUCAACUCAUUUAACCUUUGGCAAUUAUUUAAGCACAUCUUUUGGUUAUUUUCAUUAAAAAAUAUUUAUGUGGUUCACCCACCAAAAUUUCAGAAACAUUUUAAUGGAUCAAGAAUUUGAACAAGAUAUCUAAUGUGAGGUUUGCUCAUUUGCAGGUGCCACUUCAUACUAUAAUAGAGAUAGAGUUGGGAGUUACAGGUGUCCAAGAGAAAAGAUACAAACUAAUGGACUGAUGUGAGUAUAGAAGAAGAGAAGAAAAGGGAUGUUAACAAAAGAUUUGAAGUAAACUUUUUUUUUUUUUUUUGUAAUGAGGAAAAAAUGAUGAAUUAUCAUGUAAAUUGUGAUCCUCUUAAAAGUUAUUUAUUCAUAUUGAUGAGCAUAUCUUAGUUCCUUAUUUGAAGAAUUUUAAAGUUCAAAACAAAAGUAGCACAAGUUUUUACUCAGCAAACUCAAAGUUCCCAUCCUUUUCAGUUCACUCCCUUUUUUGCAAAUCCAUUAAAUGCUGAUAGAAUUAGUUAAAAACAACUUAAAGAAGUAGGUAUGGACCAACAUGAACAAUUUUUGGUCCUCUCCUGAGAGACUACGAGUAGCAGGUUUGCAGGUCUCAGCAUUUGUAGGCCAACUCAGACCAAUGAAAAACAACCACAAAUAAUUUUCCAAUUUUUAUGUCUAUAUUACCAACAUUUCUCAUAGAAAACUUUCAAAUGGCGUUAAUUUAUAGAGGUCAUUAAUGAAUUUUAUGAAAAUUCACCUUAAUGAAUUAUAUAAACACCUAUUGGAAGGGACCAAGACAUUCUGCAUUUUGCCGCAUUCAUGUAGUCACGAUAUCCAUGAUUUGAUAUCGGACGUUUUUUAAGAUCAGUAUAUUUUCUCAAAAGAAUCUGACGAUCUCGAUUUAACGAUCACACAUAUUGUGGCCGCAUGAAGAUGGCCACUGCCAACAGCAUGCAAUCCAAUUUUCUAUUGGAUGAUGUUUUCCAAGAAGCUUUGAAGAAGUAGAUACCAUCAGCAUGCUGCAUGCCUACUCUAUAAAAAGUAAAAACUAGAAAAAGGAAAGAAAGAAAUAAAAAGUAGUGAUAGAUGCAUCACCGGAAACAUGUAUGAAAAUAUGGCAUUGGCAUGGAAUCUAUGCAAAGAUCUCUUACUGCAGUCAGCCGUGGACUGAGGGUGACUAUAGUACUACUACUACUAGGGUGGUCAAAAUAAAUGGAAAGACGAAAAAGUCCUUCAUUUAUAGUAUAGGUUUCCAUUCACAUGGGACCCCUGAAUUCUCACAUUCAUCCAUCUUGAUAUCUUUAAAACAUGAAUUAGGAGGGUCCCAUUUUCUGCCUCACUAGCUAAACAAAUACAACAGCCACUCUAACAUUGACAACUGAAAUAUUGUUGGCGUAGAACUGAAAUAUUGUUGGUAUAUGCAUAAGUUUGUUUAUUGAUCAACCAAUAGAAAUAAAUUUGUUCAUAAUAUAAUAGCUAUUUCAUUUAUGCACCAUAAAAAUAACUAUACAAGACUUAAUUAUAGAACCCUUCUUUACCAUCAUUCAAUCUUUAUACGCAGACGAUUUGUUAAUGAUUAUAUGAAAUUCACACACACAACUAUGAAAUCUCAUAUUCGUAUUUAAGUGAAAAUUUCAGUUUAGUAAUAUGAUAUGCAUAUGUAUUGCAAAUUUUUAAUUGUUUUUCUAAAUAUAUUCAACAAACUAAUGUUAGGAGUGGAGAAACUAGUAUUUGACUUACUCACUCUAACACUCUCUUAAACCUUCUCAAAAUUGUACAAUAUCUCAUUUAUUAGUCAUAAGUCAUAAGACCUUUUGCUACACCAAAAUAAACUAAUUAAAACUAAAUAUAAAUAAAUUCACACUCAAACCCUCCACAUGAAUCUAAUAAAACUCACCUACCUACCACCUUCCACUGCCAUUGCCUUCACGGGUGUUCAUUUCUCCCCCCUCCUUUUUCUCUUCAACCUCCCCUCAUCCCAUCCUCACAUUCAUCACUCCCUUGGAUACAAGGACUCUUCUCCUUUCACAAAACCAUACUACACUUCAUAAUUUCUCAAUUCCCUUCAAACAUAUCCACAUACACAACAACAAACCAUAACAAAACAAGAAUCUUCUACAUUGUACACACAAAUAUGGUAUUAUUAAGGUUCUCUUUGAACAUAUAAAAAAAUCUUCUUCACAAACCACUUCAAGUUCAAUCUUUUCCUAAAAAACCAUUCCAAAUCUAUUUCACCUAUUAGACCAAAUUUCACUUCUCAACUCACGCUGAAAGUACCGAGUGUAACUUAAGUCAGAGAUGCUAAACCAACCCAACUCAGAAAACUCAUCCACCAAUCCAUUGAAUCAACUAGCACAAAACAUGUCCUCCGACAACUACAUCAUGCUUGCAGCAAUCAUUUCUCUCCUCCUAGUAAUCAUCUUUGUCCUCCUUCUUCACCUCUACGCCAAAUGGUUCCUAGCUCAAUCCAAUCCUCGCAGUCCGGUGAACCUCUCCGACAUUCCAAUAUCUCCCAACUUCCACCACCAUUUCAACAUCCAAUCCCCACCAUUUAAAGGACUCAACUCAACAACACUUUCAACCAUUCCCACGUUUGUGUCUGAAGAAAAAACACAAGAACUAGAAUGUGUGAUUUGUUUGAGUUACAUUGAAGAAGGAGAGAUUGGAAGAAAGUUACCAAAAUGUGGACAUGCUUUUCAUGUUGAAUGUAUUGAUAUGUGGCUGAAUUCACAUUGUAACUGUCCCAUUUGUAGAGGUUUGAUUGUUGAGGAAGAUUCUCAUGGUGGUAAUGUUGUUGAGAUUGUGAUUGAUACUCCAAGUUAUAGUGAGAGUGGUUCUGUUUCUGUUUCAGAAACUAGUUCUUUAUCUUUGUUUGGAUUUUCUUUCAAGAGAAUUCUUAGCAAAGUUUUUCUUUCUUCACAUGUAAAUGAAUUAGAUAAUGGUUCACAAUGAUAUUAUUUAUUUUUUGUUCUAUUGUUUAUAACUAUAUAUUAUAUAUACAACCAUGAGAAGUUAAUCGCUAUGAUUAGACAAUUUUUGUUUGUUUCAGCUUGUUUAUGUAUAUCCUAUUAUUGUUAAAUUGUUUGGUUUCUUUUGGAUAUGUAAUUUUCAUUUUUAAUUUCUUAAUUGGUUUAAGACUUGAGAGAAUUAAAUUAAAUCAUACACACUCAAGAACUAAUAUAUCAACCUAAUCACUUCUACAACAAAGCGAUUGUGAACGAGACUACAUCAACCAUAUUUAACCGCGAUUUUUUUCUUUUCAAUAUUAGAGAUUGUGUGCGUGUUUGAAUUAAUUGUAAUUUUGACGAAAUCACGAUGAUGCUGUAAUUUUUUAGAAGAUUCAAAGUAAAACUUUUAUCAAAAUCGUAGUAAUAAAAUGGGAUUUUACUAAACUCACACUAUAAGUCUCUUUACUAAUUUUAAUGACAUUUCACAUGCAAGCAAUGUCAUGCAAAUAUCUUCUACAUCUAAUUAAUAAUAUAGAAUAUAAACAAAUUAUGUGAAUAAAUAAACAAGACAACAAAAACACUUGACUAAUAUUGUUAUGUUUCUAUGUGAAGGAAAGAAGUGUGGCAAGACCAAGAGAGUGUCUUCCUCAAAGUCAAACGGAAAGAAAAGACAAGAGGAAGUACUUAUUUGGCAACAAGUGUCUGCCAUCAUCUGUCAUGACUUAUGACACUUUUUUGCAGCAAUUCAUUGUUCUGAAAGUCUAGGCUUUCUUUUGUUUCUAUUGUGAUUAAAUAGUCAAGCAAGGAAGGACAAAAUGAUGGGCCAUGAGGAAAGAUAGAAAUGCUAGAAAACACAGUCUUAUUAUUGAAUGAAAUUGGUGUGAGUCUCAUUGGUUUAUCUAAGAUUUAUUUCUAAAGUACGAGACUCAGGUGAAUUUUAUACAAUAAAAGAGUGGUUGUCAGACAAAGUGUUAGAAAAAGAGUGUUUUAAGAUGGAUCAAAAUAUAGGAUAUAUAAUAUAUUAAUGGAUCGACUCAUUUCACAUUUCACACUAUAGUUUCGGGCGUUAACUAUUAGUUAAGUAUAUGAAAUUGUAAACCAUUAUUAAUUUAAUAGAUGGAUUACACUUAAAUUUACAAAAUUUCAAUCACAUAAUUAGAUGAAAAAAAAUUGUCCCCGAAAAUUUAGUUAUGUUGGUAAGGACAAUAAAUAUAUGCAAGAUCUGGGAUUCAAACCUCGCACACCAUUAAAAGAUGAGAGAAAAAAUUGGUUAAGAAAAUUAAAAGAGAGAGACAAAGGCAAUAAAGAUAGAUAAUUCUUUUCGAAUGAAACACGUAUUUUAACACAUAAAAGACAACACCACAAUAUGUCGAAGAAGUGUCAUGUCCGAUAUACAUGUUCCAUGCCCUGACACGAUGCGGAUUGAGAUCAUCUCCAAUAUGCAUCCCUCUUCGACAAAGAAAAUGAGUGUGGAAGGUGAGAGAAAAAGGGGAAAACGAUAAAAAGAUUAAGAAAUAAAAAUAUUAGAGAGAUAGAUAGAGAAAAAGGCUUAAUAACAGUUUUCGCCCCUUAAGAAAAAAAAUUACAAAACUGCCCCCUAAGUUUUGCAACUGUAGCAGUUUUGGCCCCCCAAGGAAAAAAAAAGGGUUAAAUAUGUUUUUGGUCCCUAUAAAUAUACCAACUUUUUCGUUUUAAUCCCCCUAAAAUUUUCCUUCAACUUUUAGUCCCUAAAAAAAUUUUCAUCUUCACUUUUGGUCACUCUUUUAAAGUAAACUCAUAUGUAGAAUUCAUAUUUUUGAAUAAAAAUUUGCAGAAAAAUUCUUAAUAUUAUAAGAAUCUUACCCCAAAAAGUUUAGAAUUUUUUAACAAAACAUAAAUUUAAUAUGAAUUUUUAUAUUUUUUAUGGUUAAAAAAUUCUAAUUUCUUUUUGUAAUUUUUUUUACAAUAUUCUACACAUUUGUGUACAAUUUCAUUGAAAUAUACUAAAAUUAACUUUAAAUUAGGGAUCAAAAGCAGUGACUGAAAAUUUUAUAGAGACUAAAAGUUGAAGGAAAAUUUUAGAGGGACUAAAACAAAAAGUUGGUAUAUUUAUAGGGAGCAAAAACAUAUUUAACCAAAAAAAAAAAAAAAUAACACUGGGCACCUCACUUAGGGUGCCACGUCAGCGUAGACAGAGUCAAAAUUGGCCUACAGGUGCAAAACUGCCACAGGUGCAAAACUUAGGGGGCGGUUUUGUAGUAAUUUUUUCUUAGGGGCUAAAAUCGCAACUUUGAGAAAAUUAGGUGGCUGAAACUGCUAUUAAGGCAAAGAAAAAUAUAGGAGAGAAAUAGGGAAAAUAAGGAAAAAUAUAGGAGAGAAAUGGAAUAGAUGAAGUACAUGAUUUUUAAUUUUAAAGAAUAAAUUCACAACUCUAUAAUUUUAUGAAUUAAAUUUGUGAUUCAAUUUAUUUUUAAAACAAAAGUUUAUGUCCUCUGGGAGUGGGACCUGGUCAAUGUUUUAUGAAGAAGCUCUUCUGCAUGAGCCCAGCUAUGUAAAUACGGUCAAUGAAACUGCUACAAGUGAGGCCAUUUAUAGUGACCUUUGCUUUGUAAUAUUUAUUAUUUAGUACACAACUUGGCCCUAUAUAGUCUAACUUAGCUAAAUAUCAUGCAUGCAGCUUUUGUUUUUUGACUCAUCUAAUGAUGCAGCUGAAACUAUAAAACAUUGAUGAUCUAGAACCAGAAUGCUACACUACAUAGCUUCACACAUGGAAAUAUUCUUGGCCGAAAAUACAGUUUUGUGCAUGGAACUAAUAUCCAAAAUAGUUGGAUAUUAAUAAGUGAGCACUAAAACAAAUAUUCUUGUUUGUGUUGUUGGAUAUCAUCUCACUUUUAUUUUUUUGUUGGAUAUUUGUAUUGACUGCAUUGUGUUGUUGGAAUCAAUGUUCCAACGUAUCUCUGUAAGAUGUUGGAUACGAUGUUCCAACAUCCUGGCACGGUUCAGUGUGCCUGAGUUCAUGCUUAUUUGUACGGGCGCCCUUUAUUGUUUAAGGAAACAAUAUUUCCUUAUCUUAUUGAUCAAGCAACGCGCAUAUCUUUACAGAAUCAGUUGUGGAAUAUUCCUAAAGUUGUGUUUAUAUUUUAGGAAAUAUUUGAAGUUGUUUUGUGACGAUCCUAAAGAUGUUCCGACAUUAUAGGACUUUCCAUAUUUGUUUCUAAUUCUUGUUUUGCAGAUCAGUUGGACGAUCUGUUUUGUUCUGAAGCCCAACAAGUUUAUUUGACUUGAGUUGCUUCAGUAUAUAAGGGAGACUUCAAGACCUAAUGAACUAUUCAAGCCGUAAUUCUAAAAAGUUUAGAUUUUUAGGGUUUUGAGUAUACAUGUGUUCUACUCUUGUAUCAUGUUGAUGCAAGUUUAGUACCUUUAUUGUGAGCCUUUCUUGUGUCGUUUGUGAUACAUGUUAAGGACUGUGUGUUAAGUUGUAUUCACUUGUGUACUACACCAAAGCUUGUAAGCAAGGUGUUAGUUGUAUGUUUGAAGGUAACUUCACCGUUAGUUUGUGUUUUAGGUCUGAUAGGUCACAUGGGUUGUGAUUGACCAUAGGAUAGUGAGAUGAGAUCUCAGAUCUAGGAGUUCCUAGAUUGAAAUCAAUAUGGGUAGGUCCUAGGUCUUUAGUGUAAACGAGGAGUUUGCUGAGAGCUAUAGAAUAAGGACUGCACUAGUGGAUUUCCUUCCUGGAUUGGUAGCCCCCAGAGUAGGUGUGUUUGUCACCGAACUGGGUCAACAAACUCACUGUGUUCUUUACUUUCUUGUCUUUUAUUUCUUGUUUUUUAUCUCUGUUUAUUUCGUAAUGUUGGAACAUUGAACGGAACAUUAACGUUGAAACAUCUUACAGAACAUAUUAAAACAAGUGCGUUAGAAUUUCAUUUUUGCAUACCCUUAGUGACAGUUAACUGUUACUCCCUCCCUAACAGUCUUUGCCGAGCAAUAAUUAACUCUUAUUGGGGGUAAUAAUUAAAGUGAGAUGAGUAAAAUUCUACUAUUUUUUGCCGUCGAUUCUUGGAGAUAUGAGCUCUUAUAAUCAAAGUAUAGCAAGGUAAAUAAAGCAAAAAAAAAAAAAAAAAACAACAAAAGCAUCAAUCGAUAACAAAGUAUAGGUUUUGUAAAAUCAUCUGCUAAAAAAAAAAAGGUUUUGUGAAAUCAUAAUGGGUAAGUGUGAUUCCAAUAAAAUUUAUUGUGAUACAAAACAUUAGAAUAAAAUUGAUUUCUGCCAUUCCUCUAAGAUUUUGAUGAUAAAGUAUUGAAAAACAAUUGGAUAUACUAAUAAAAUCUAUUCAACGGAGUAUAAUAAAUGUGCAUGACCAUUGAUGAAGGAUUUUUACCUCUCAUAAAACUAUUUACACGUAAGUAUAAUAGGAUCGUGUCCACAGGGAGUUGCGUAUUUCAUAAGCAUUUUCACAAUAUUUGUCACAUUAAGUGUUAGGGUAUAAAUUGUUUGUUUGUGUAAAACUAUUUUCCUAAUCGACAUAAAAGUAAAACGAGAAGAGAUAGGGCUAUUCCGCUUGCGGUCAGAGACAUCAACCAAGCGUAACAGCUGCAAUCUCUCGAUCGAUUAACGGAUUCUAGCUUUUUAAACUAUAUUAUCACAAUCACUCGACAAUAUCAUUCGUGUCCAAAUGAUAUCGUUAUUUCUAAGAGAUCGUUUAAAUAUCGAUUUCCCAAACAUUUAAACGAUCACAAAGUCGUUUGGGUAGUUUAAUCGACGAUUUCCCAACCGAUUAAAUUACCCAAAAACAUUAAGUUCUAGAUUAAAAGUGAUUAUCAAAUAUUAACAUCCAUGUCUAGAGUGAUAACUUAAGAUAGAUUAUUAUUCUAUUUCUAGAUUCAAAAGUAUGUGUCCAUAUCAUUUUGAAUCUCAAUAAAACAAUAAAAACAAGAAUAACAACAAUAUUGAAUAAAUAAGCUAGAACCAUAUAUUAAAAGAUCAAAAGAUUACAUAAUAGCUUGUUUGAAUACCUCAAAACUACAAGAGUAGAUGUAGCUACAUAUGUCUAUGAUAGCUUUGCAAAGGAUGAAGAAAGGGUGAAGAUUCCAUGACAAGAUCCAUGAUGUCUCAACAAAUAUUGGCUUGAAUCUACUCCUAACUACCUUGCUUUGUGUUUCUCUCUCUAGAAAAGCCCUAGUCUCUCUCUAAAACCAGAAAAAUAUGAAUAAAAAUGUAAUAGAAUAUUUUGGAAAGAGAAGAGAAAACUAUUUAUAUGGGCUGACUGCGUGCCAGUUCGCUUAAGCGAAUCAUAGUUCGCUUAAGCGAACAUCCAGGAAAUCUAAUGUUGACCAUUGAGGAGCUGCCACGUGGUCCUUAUCUUCUGAAGUUGGAUGAACUUCGCUUAAGCGACACGCAAGCGAACGUGUGAGCGAACUUUCUUGGAGCUCUCUGUAACUAGUUCGCUUAAGCGAACCGUAGGUCGCUUAAGCGAAAUGACCUUUUCUUCAUGAGCGAACUGGAAGCGUGCUAGUAAGCGAAGAAUCCUGGUGCUCUCUGGAACUUGUUCGCUUAAGCGAACCAUAGGUCGCUUAAGCGAACUGAGCUUUAUCAUGAGCGAACUGAAGGCGUGCUUGUAAGCGAAUAGAACGGUUGCUCUCUGUAACUGGUUCGCUUAAGCGAACAGGGGUUCGCUUAAGCGAACAGACCUUGGUUCAGGAGCUUCCUUCUUUUGGUCCUUGCUUGUCAUUUCCUGCAUAAAUUGGGUAGAAUCAGGCAUGUAAAGCAUAAAUGGUAAUAUUACACUCAAAUGGUAGCUUUUCCUUAGAUAACUUGCAAAACAAGUCACUAAUUUGCCUAAGUUAACACAUGAAAUAUGUUACUUUUGAGCACUUAUCAACCAUAUAAUAAAAUCUAUUGAUGAAUUGAACAUGUAUUAUAGCAUGAGAAGCACUAGAGAAGCUUAAAAGACUAUAGUAGAAGAUAUGAAGAAAGGUCAACCAGAAGUCAACAUCUAGGAUCAGAAGAAAGGAUGCUCAUCAGACUCUGAAGGAUGCUACUCAGACUCUGAAGGAUCAUCUGACUCAGAAGGCAACGUGAGACUUGGAAGACCCCCAGCUCAGAAGAUCUUGAGGGACCCAGACUCCACGUCAGUUUUGUCAUCAUAUGUAGUUAUCUCUAUCAAGGAUCUGAGUACAGUUUUGUUUUCUUCUGACAACAUGUAGAAAUGGACAAAGAACUUCAUGGACAAAGAGAAUGAACGGAUAAUUUGAGUUUAAGCUAAGCAAAGGAAUUUCAAAUGAAUAUUCAACGGAAUUAUCCAUAUCAGGAAAUGGUCCAACGUCCUUGAUUUGAAACUUCUCAACAACUCUUAAUGCGAUGACACUCUUCUCCAUCGUCUCUCAAAUCCCUGCCUAUAAAAUGAGCUGAAGACCUGAAGAAGAUCAACAAGACUCUGCUAUUUUUACCGUGUCAUUACUAUGUCAAAAUCAAAUAGAGAAAAAACACUUAGAAUUUCUUAUAUAAGUUUAUAUCUUAGAAAUUCUAAAGUCUUAAGAAUAUGUUCAAUAUUUUUCUGUUUAUACCUCUGAUUCUAUAUCAAGUGUAAGAACAAAUUUGUUUACUUGUAAACAAAUAGAAAUCUCUUGCUUGUGAAGUUUGAGCACUAGAAGUCUCUCUCUCUCUCUCUCUCUCUCUCUCUCUCUCUCUCUCCCUCUCCCUCUCCCUCUCUCGCUCUCCCUCUCCCUCUCUCUAUAUAUAUAUCAGAUUCUGACCAAUGUUUAAAACUUAAAAAAAGAAUCAAACACAAUUUAACCCCAUUCUUAUGUUUUUCUCACCUUCAAAACAUGCACUAACUCAAUAUACAAAGUUAUAUAUAUGGAGAUCAAUUUACUGAAAUAGUAAACCUUUUAAAGUUGCUCUAAAUAAAAAAUAUAUAUAUUUUUAUAGUUACAUCCCGGUUACAUACAUAAGAAGAAAAAAAAGCUCUUACAAUGAUUAUGAAAUACAGUAAAGUGUAGUCAAUUUUCUAGAUUUUGUAUAAAGCAUAUAAGUUAAAGUGACUACAAAUAAUACCUAAGAAUAUAAUUAAUGAUUUGAAAAAUCCUCUCAACGUCUUUGAGUCAUGUCUGAGCUCCGUCAAGAUCAUAUCUGCCCUUAAAGUUAGGCGGAUGGUUCCUCAGAAAAGUCUCUAACAUACGAACUCCAUCAUUACCUCCAACAUUAGGCUGUUGCCCUACAGCUUGAGCCACAACUUCCAACACAGCAGCAAUAGCAGCAUCCUUCCUUCCAGCCAUCUCGGUUCACUAUACAACAAACAUUAAUUAGGAAACACAACGACAGUAUUCAACUGUCACACGACACCAACGACUCAACUACUUGGUCGAACGGACCGACUUGCUCUGAUACCAAUUGUAACACCCUGUUUUUCCAAUAUAUAAAUAAUAUAAAAAAGAUCAGAGUUCAUCACAAACAGGAUGUCACAUUUCGUUCUUCAAAAUAAUAUUUAACACAAAUAGAGUUAAAAUCCACUCUUUAUUUAAAUCAUCUGCUAACAACAAUUUUCAACAACGUCGCAAAAUAUUUAUUCUUUCAACAAAAUGGCACUAAGGCCUCAACAUAAACAACGUCAAUAAACAACAAAGUCCCCAUCCUGUUAUGUAUCAUAGCGACUCCUAAGACGACACGGGGAAUAACUCACAUCAGCGGUUACUUCUGGUUAUCUGCACGUUACCCACGUAGAGGCAACAUUCAAACAGAGGGGUGAGAUUUCACAUUCAAUAAUAAUAAGCAUAUAAUUCUAUAAAAGAAUUUAACAACACAAAAUAGCAUCAAUUCAUCAUUAACGAUAUUAAUAAACAAUAAUUCAUGUGAGAGAAUUUAACAACAUAAAACAACAUCAAUUCAUCAUUAACAAUAAUUCAUGUGAGAGAGUUUAACAACUCGAAACAACGGCAAUUCAUCUUCAACAAUGCUUCACAUAAUUCCAAUCAACAAUUCAUCAAUUAUCUUCACUUCAACAAUGCAAUAAUAACAACAACAACAAUACAACAACAACAACAAUUCGACAAUGCAACAACAACAACUCAACAAAUGCUAAUAUGCAUGUGGUACCAUCAGAGCAUCAAGCUCCUUACAACAGAGCAUCAAGCUCCCUUUUAUUAUAUAACAGAGCAUCAAACUCCCAUCGAUUAAAUAACAGAGCUUCAAGCUCCAUUUGCUUAAAAUUAACAGAGCAUCAAGCCCUCUUCGCUUAAAAUGAUUAUGUAUUAGAAAGAACUCGAUUAGUACUUUUAAUGGCAUUUUAAGCAAAAAUUAGCAAGCGAUGUUUAGAUAAACUGAUCAGAUAAAGAAACCACAUAAGAUUGAACUCAACCUUCCUUCAAAACAAAAAAGAAAAAUAUUGAACCCAACCUCUCUCUCUCUCACUCUUCUUCGGAACACCGUGACCUUCAGAAAGUUUCGGUUUUCAUCUUUGUUAACCAGACGCAACCUCACAUCACGUUUAUCGACCGUUCUCUCUUCAACUUUCCAGAUUCGACAUAUCUCCAACAACACUACUUCAUGGAUCGACGAACCGCAUCGUAAGACCUGGAUCGCGGGACUCAUGGACACUCAAUCAACGAGUCCUGAGUUAUGAGAUCUCUUAUAUGCCUGUGACAUGGAAAGGUAUAGAAAAACCAAAAGCCGUAAUAGUCAUAACAUGUCAAGAAUCAAAUACAAAAUAAGGUCCGAGUACCAAAUUGAUCCAUGUCAAAUAGUGUACACGUACCUGAGAUUGAAAGACGUGAAGCUAAUGUAAUGAGAGAGAGUUUAUUAUCUUAUGUUUGUUUUGGAUCUGAUAUGAUUUGUUUAUUUCGGAUCUGAUUUGCUUUGUUUCUUUCUUCUGGAAAAGAAUAUGAUAUGCUUUGUUUAUUAUUAUGGGGUAAUAUUAAAUUCAACAACAGUAAAUCAUUGAUGGUAAGUUUGAUAAGUUAUUUUUAAUUAAUACAUGAUGAGGACAUUUAUUCAAUCAUUGAUUUUAUCAAAAAUAAAAUAAAAUAAAAUAAUAUCUACCAUUGAUUUGUUAAUUUAACCUAUUCAAAGUGAUUUCUGUACUUUAGAGUGUGAAAUGAAUAAGAGAAUUGUUGUUCACACAUUUGAUAAGGCUGAGAAACACGAGUAAAAUUCGUUUUUGCCCCCUUGGCAGUUAACUACCGAGCAAUUCAUCAUCAACAAUGCUUAACAUAAUUCCAAUCAACAAUUCAUCAAUUAUCUUCACUUCAACAAUGCAAUAAUAACAACAACAAAGCAUAUCAUAUAACCUCAUAUCAUCAACAUAUACAUUCAUAUAAUAAUUCAUCAAUCAUGAGCAACAUCAUAUAACCUCAUAUCAUCAACAUAUACACUCAUAUAAUAAUUCAUUAAUCAUGAACAAUAUCAUAUAUAUUCAUAUAAUAAUUCAUCAAUCAUGAACAACAUCAUAUACAUUCGUAUUUAUCAACAUAUACACUCAUAUAAUAAUUCAUUAAUCAUGAACAACAUCAUAUACAUUCAUAUAAUAAUUCAUCAAUUACGAACAACAUCAUAUAUAUUCAUAUAAUAAUUCAUCAAUUAUGAAAAACAUCAUAUACAUUCAUAUUCAUCAACAUAUACACUUAUAUAAUAAUUCUUUAAUCAUUAACAUCAUAUAACCUCUUAUUCAUCAACAUAUACACUCAUAUAAUAAUUCAUUAAUCAUGAACAACAUCAUAUACAUUCAUUCAAUCAUGAACAACAUCAUAUAUAUUUAUUAAAUAAUUCAUCAAUCAUGAACAACCUCAUAUAUACUCAUAUAAUAAUUCAUCGAUCAUUAACAACAUCAUAUUCAUCAACAUAUACAUUCAUAUAGAUAUUAAAUCAUCCAACAAAGAUAUUCACGUCACACCAAGUUAGAUCCAUCACAACAUAGGUUAAAUACUCUUAAACACCUUAAUUCAACUCAUAGUACACAAGUUUUGAAUUUUGGAGACAAUCCAUAAAUUUUGGGUUGACUUACAAAUAGUUAUGCGGAAUUUUUAUAAAAUUUCACUAAGAUUGAACUCAACCUUCCUUCAAAACAAAAAAGAAAAAGAUUGAACCCAACCUCUCUCUCUCUGUCACUCUUCUUCGGAACACCGUGACCUUCAGAAUGUUUCGGUUUUCAUCUUUGUUAACCAAACGCAACCUCACAUCACGUUUAUCGACCGUUCUCUCUUCAACUUUUCAGAUCCGACACAUCUCCAACAACGCUACUCCAUGCAUCGACGAGCCGCGGUGUAAGAUCUGGAUCGCGGGACUCAUGGGCACUGAAUCAACGAGUCCUGAGUUACGAGAUCUCUUCUAUGCCUGUGACAUGGAAGGGUAUAGAAAAACCAAAAGUCGUAAUAGCCAUAACAUGUCAAGAAUCAGAUACAAAAUAAGGUCCGAGUACCAAAUUGAUCCAUGUCAAAUAGUGUACACGUACCUGAGAUUGAAAGGCAUGAAGGUAAUGUAAUGAGAGAGUUUAUUAUAUUAUGUUUGUUUUGGAUCUGAUAUGAUUUGUUUAUUUCGGAUCUGAUUUGCUUUGUUUCUUUCUUUUGAAAAAGAAUAUGAUAUGCUUUGUUUAUUUUGGAUCUGAUUUGCUUUGUUUUUUUCUUUUUGGAAAAGAAUAUGAUAUGCUUUGUUUAUUAUUGUGGGUUAAUAUUAAAUUCAAUAACAGUAAAUCAUUAAUGGUGCGUUUGAUAAGUUAUUUUUAAUUAAUUCAUGGUGGGAACAUUUAUUCAAUCAUUGAUUUUAUCAAAAAUAAAAUAAUAUCUACCAUUGAUUUGUUAAUUUAACCUAUUCAAAGUGUGAAAUGAAUAAGAGAAUUGUUGUUCACACAUUUGAUAAGGCCGAGAAACACGAGUAAAAUACGUUUUUGCCCCCUUGGCAGUCAGUUAACUGCCGAGCAAUUCAUCAUCAACAAUGUUUCACGUAAUUCCAAUCAACAAUUCAUCAAUUAUCUUCACUUCAACAAUGCAAUAAUAACAACAACAACAACAAUGCAACAACAACAACAACAAUUCGACAAUGCAACAACAACAACUCAACAAAUGCUAAUAUGCAUGUGGUACCAUCAGAGCAUCAAGCGCCCUUCGAUUAAAUAACAGAGCAUCAAACUCCAUUUGCUUAAAAUUAACAGAGCAUCAAGCCCUCUUCGCUUAAAAUGAUUAUGUAUUGACACAACCAAUGCAACAACAACAACAACAACAACCACGACAACUUUGCAUUAUGACUUCAUAAUUCAUCAAUCAUAAACAACAUCAUAUACAUUCAUAUUCAUCAACAGAUACAUUCAUAUAAUAAUUCAUUAAUCAUGAACAACAUCAUAUAACAUCAUAUCAUCAAGAUAUACACUCAUAUAAUAAUUCAUUAAUCAUGAACAACAUUAUAUAUAUUCAUAUAAUAAUUCAUCAGUCAUGAACAACAUCAUAUAACGUCAUAUUCAUCAACAUAUACACUCAAAUAAUAAUUCAUUAAUCAUGAACAACAUCAUAUACAUUCAUAUAAUAAUUCAUCAAUUACGAACAACAUCAUAUAUAUUCAUAUAAUAAUUCAUCAAUCAUGAAAAACAUCAUAUACAUUCAUAUUCAUCAACAUAUACACUCAUAUAAUAAUUCAUCAAUCAUUAACAACAUCAUAUAACCUCAUAUUCAUCAACAUAUACACUCAUAUAAUAAUUCAUUAAUCAUGAACAACAUGAUAUAUAUUUAUUAAAUAAUUCAUCAAUCAUGAGCAACCUCAUAUAUAUUCAUAUAAUAAUCCAUCAAUCAUUAACAACAUCAUAUUCAUCAACAUAUACAUUCAUAUAGAUAUUAAAUCAUCCAACAAAGAUAUUCACGUCACACCAAGUUAGAUUCAUCACAACAUAGGUUAAAUACUCUUAAACACCUUAAUUCAACUCAUAGUACACAAGCUUUGAAUUUUAAAGACAAUCCAUAAGUUUUGGGUUGACUUAGAAAUAGUUAUGCGGAAUUUUCAUAAAAUUUCACUAAGAUUGAACUCAACCUUCCUUCAAAACAAAAAAGAAAAAGAUUGAACCCAACCUCUCUCUCUCACUCUUCUUUGGAACACCGUGACCUUCAAAAUGUUUCGGUUUUCAUCUUUGUUAACCAAACGCAACCUCACAUCACGUUUAUCGGCCGUUCUCUCUUCAACUUUCCAGAUCCGACACAUCUCCAACAACACUACUCCAUGCAUCGACGAGCCGCGGUGUAAGAUCUGGAUCGCGGGACUCAUGGGCACUGAAUCAACGAGUCCUGAGUUACGAGAUCUCUUCUACGCCUGUGACAUGGAAGGUUAUAGAAAAACCAAAAGCGGUAAUAGCCAUAACAUGUCAAGAAUUAGAUACAAAAUAAGGUCCGAGUACCAAAUUGAUCCAUGUCAAAUAGUGUACAUGUACCUGAGAUUGAAAGGCGUGAAGGUAAUGUAAUGAGAGAGAGUUUAUUAUAUUAUGUUUGUUUUGGAUCUGAUAUGAUUUGUUUAUUUCGGAUCUGAUUUGCUUUGUUUCUUUCUUUUGAAAAAGAAUAUGAUAUGCUUUGUUUAUUACAGAUCUGAUUUGCUUUGUUUCUUUCUUUUUGGAAAAGAAUAUGAUAUGCUUUGUUUAUUAUUAUGGGAUAAUAUUAAAUUCAACAACAGUAAAGCAUUAUUGCUGCGUUUGAUAAGUUAUUUUUAAUUAAUUCAUGGUGGGGACAUUUGUUCAAUCAUUGAUUUUAUCAAAAAUAAAAUAAAAUAAAAUAAUAUCUACCAUUGAUUUGUUAAUUUAACCUAUUCAAAGUGAUUUCUUUACUUUAGAGUGUAAAAUGCAUAAGAGAAUUGUUGUUCAGCAUUAGCACCAGCACCAGCAUUAGGCUGUUGCCCCACAACUUGAGCCACAACUUUCAAUGCAGCAGCAAUAGCAGCGUCGUUUCUUCCAGCCAUCUUUGUUCUAUACACAACAAACAUCAAUCAAAACAGCAUAAAGACAGUAAUACAACUGUUACUCGACACUACUCGACUCAACUACUUAGCCGGAUGGACCGACCUGCUCUGAUACCAAUUAUAACACCCCGUUUUUCCAACAUAAAAAUUUCAUUUAAAUAAUCAGAUUUUUCCACAUAAACGGAAUGCUACACUUCUUAAAUCAUAAACGAAAAUAAAUAACAAUUUAUUCUUCAAAAAUCCAACAACAUAUCUAAUACUUCGCAGCGGAUUAAAUUCAACAUCUAAAAUAGUCUUGACACAAAGGCCUCAUCAAACAUCUUAUAAAAUUCAAUUUAACAACUUAAUCAUGUAUAUUCAUAAGCAAUACGUAAGGAAUAGAAAAUAGCCACAAAGUUCUCAUCCCGUUAUGUAUCAGAGCACCUAAAGACACACGUGAGAGAUAGUCCACUCACGACAGCAACUUAUUCUCGAUCACCUGCAAGUUACUCAUACGAAGGGCAACAUUUCCAAGCAGAAGGGGUGAGAUUUCACAUUCAAUAUAAUAAGCAUAUAAUUCAUCAAAAGCAUUUAACAACUUAUAUUUCAUCAAUUAAUAACAUUACUCUUAUUAUAAUGCUUCAUUAAUAACUCAAUCAACUUCUAAUCAUUAUUAACUUCAUAUUCAUCGCAUUAUUAACAACUUAGACAUCUCAUACGACUCCAAUAAUUUGGAUCAACAUCUUACAACUUAACAACUUAUACAUCUUAAUGGUAUUAAUUCAUCGCAACAGCAAGACAUCAUCGUUUAAACAUAUGCAGCAAGUCACCAUCAUUAAUAAUCAUCAAUUAUAACAAUUACAACUUCAUAUCAACGUCUUUCACAAUAUAUAAUAUUUUCACAUUUAAUCAUAAAAGUAAAUUAUCAAUAUUAAUCAUCUUAUUCAUCCUCUCUGAACCUCAUUAUAAUCCUUAACAACUUCAUUCCUACCCCAUGGGUCGACUCAUAACAUCACGUGCGACAAAAGAUCGCAAGAAACCUAAACAAGAUUGUCUGCCACAAGGUUACUCGCGAGGCGAGGCUCUCUACUCGCUAUGGCGAGUUCAGAAAAAUGGUGCACUCGCUAUGGCGAACUCACUACUCGCCAUGGCGAACUGAAAAAGGGUGCUCUCGGGAGUUUUGACAUUUUUCACUCAAAAACCUCAUUCCUGACUUCUCUACGUCCAAUCUUGAUCUAAAAACUUGCCCAAUCAUUCCUAAACAGGUUAAGGCACUCAAAACCAUCUAAAACUUGACCUCUAACAUCAACUCACAAAAUCAUGUUUCCUUCACUGGUCAACUCGCUAUGGCGAGCAAAUUCUGGGCUUACUCGCGAGGCGAGAGGGUUUACUCGCUAGGCGAGCGAUGAACUUCGUCACUCGCGAGGCGACUACUCAUACUCUCCAGGGCGAGCGAUGAAUGUUAACUCACUCUUGGUUCUAACAUCAAAACUGAUUCUAAACAUUGUUCUAUGAAUAUUAUAAGGUCUGGACACUAUCUCUACAUCAAUCUAACCGAUUAUUCAUCUUAAUUAAUCAAUUCUCCAUCUUUUAACCUAAUUCUCAAACUCUCAAAAUCAUCUCCCUCUACUUGUUAAAUCCAUUUUCAGAAUCAUACAACUUAGAAUUAGAGAAAGUCAGUCCCACCCUUACCAUAAUAUUGAUGAUCGGCGGUCUCUCUCCCUCUUGGUUCUCCUCUUCUCUUGUUUUCUCCCUUUUUCUCCAAAAAGCAGUUUCACGUAAAAGCUUUGCUAAACUUAGUUUCCUCCUUAUAUCUCUCCUCCAUCCACUUUAUCUUAUUUCCUCUAUUUCCACAAAACUCUUCUAAAUUCCAAAACAGCGCCACAUCUCAAUAUUUAUUUUAUUUUCAAAUCUUAUUCUAGUAAAUAAUAAAAUAAGUCUUUAAAUAACACAUCACAUAAAUCAUCAAAGUGGAUUCUAAACUCUAUAAAAUAAUUAAAUAAUUAAAGAGGGCGUUACAUCAGAGACUCCAAUAUCAAAUGUAGUCAUCUCCACCACCGGCCUAUUGUAACAAGAUGCAACGAUGUGUCCCAUAUCCGGCAAUGUCAACCAUUUGUCGGGAGUUGCAAAGCUACUAGUAUUUUUGGGAGGAUGCAAUCCAUCCAAAAUGUACUUGUAACAGUCCGCGCUCAUAUAUACCUCGAUGUAUUUGUUCCUAUGCUCUUUCAACUCUUUAAUAAGUGCUCUCCGCACCAUAACAUGACUUUCUUCCGUCAAACCCACGCGUUUGGCAAUAGUCCUAAACCCACAAUGUUUGUCACCAAUAACAUCCACAAUUCCGUCAAUGUAUUGUCGUCCUCCAUUAAUCUUCCGGCAAGAAGGUGCCCUGCUACAUACCGCACCAUCUCAUGGUUGUGAACGCCAUUAAGAAUAGCCAAUUUCCAAGCAUUGUUUUCCCUCACGACAUAUCCACGCACCUUGAACAAACACCCACAUUUUCUUGAUCUCGUUGCCUCAUGCUUCACUUUUGUCUUCGGUAAUUUGUGCUCGCCGAACCAACUCCAACAUAGUAUUUCUACCUUCACAAGAUCUUCUAAUGAUAAUCGUAAAUCCAGCCCUAUUUGCUUGUCGACGGACCCAACCGAGCAAUUCGUUUUUAUCUUUCCAUGUGUCUCGGGUCGAAAAUAAAUGAGUCGUGUCCACUUCGUUGUCACGAAGUUUCCACACAUCGGAAUUGACGCUUGAAGCCUCAACUUUAAUGGAAGCUUCGACCUUAGCGGGAGCUUCAACCUUAAUGGAAUCGACAACUCUAGGUUUUUGAUCACCCGAAUCAUCACCCGCAUUCUCAACCUUAUCUAUAAAUAAACAACAUACAAUUACUAAACUAAUUAAUAAACUUUUAUCUAAUAUCAUAUAAUAACAUAAACAAAAAAAAAAAAAAAAGGGAAAAAAAUUGGGCAGUAGCUACUGCCAUUUGAAAAUUUUUAAAAUUUUCUAAGUUACCGCCGACAGUUAACAACCGCUCACACCCAGCGGUAGUUAACUGCCGCUAAAGGUCGUGACAAUACAAAAAAAAACCAGAAAAUUCAAUAAAAUGUAAUGGAUUUUAACGUUGUAAUACCUGUUCUUUGAUGCAUAUUAUGUGUAGAAACAUCCUAGCAAUCGAUCAACAAUGAUUUGGAAGCAAGAUUUUGACACAAAAAUUUUGAAAUGAGGAUUUUUUGGGUAUGGUAUUGGUGAUCUAAGGUGAUGAAUGAAUAGGAGAUGUAGGGGUUUUCUGGUUUUGGGGGGAAAACCAACGGCAAUUAACGACCGCUGGAACCAGGCACGUCAGUUUGAAUGGGUCAACCUUUACUCUAAAUGGCUGAGAUGCGGAGAGCGCAUGGUGAGAUAUCUGCCGGAGAGGGUGCUUCGUUAGUUUGGGUGGGUUCAGACCAUACCAAGACAUCCUGUUCAGAGUGCACCUGUUGAUGUUAACUUGGCGGAGAUCACAAACCGCUUUCAUCGUACACUUGAUUAUACGCUGACACCUCAGGAGUUGGGAGAGAUUGCAGUUCAUGGUGUGGAUGCAGAAGAAGGAUACAUCGAGUGGUUUUACCAGGUGUCUUAUCCACGCACGAUUCUUCCCGACAUGCCGGUACGUGUUCCGAGGCCACCGGAGCGUGAGAUCCUUGAUGCGUGAGCUACUAAGGAGGAUGAAGAUCUUGCGUACUUACAACUUAGCGGAAGGAUGAGCCGCAUCAGAGACCACAUCUAUGUUGUGAUGAGAAAUUGUCUGGUGCCGAAAGGGACUGAGGAAUGGCAGCAUUUGGGGGAUGCAUUGAGAGAGGUGCAUGAUGGGAAAGUUUACCGUCGUCGGGGAGCUACUUAGGGUGGCAGGGGUGGUGGCAGAGGUGGCGGUGGUACGGGUGUAGUUAUUAGGGGCUGAUAGUAUUGUAUUUUAUGUUUAUGUUUGAACAUUUUGAAUGCUUUUGAAUUAUGUAACACCUGGAUAAUUUUUAAUGUUAUGUAAUCUUGGAUAAUUUUUAAUUAUAAUUGAUUAAUGUUUUGUUCGAAAAUUAUGUUGUGUUGAUUAUUUUAAUGUUUAUAAGUUCGAUUUACUGUUAGAACAUGUUAGCGGUAUGAUAUGUCUGUUUGGAAGCAAGCAAAAUGCGCCAAAACAGAGGCUCAGCCAAAACAGAUGGCUUCUGCCUCUGUCCUGAUGCAGUCCAGAUUAUAUAAUCCUGACAGGUUUAGCACAUUCGGAUUAUGUAAAUCAUCGUUCACCCUCCCCCCCUUUGUUGACUUUCAAUGGGGUCAUUUACACGUUUCGGAUUAUAUAAUCCGGAAGCUAUCUAACUUUUUCGGAAUAUAUAAUCCGUAACAAUAUAUUCAUAAAUGGCAUCAUCAUCCAUCAGGGUGGAUGAAGUGCCAAAAUACACGAAUAAAUCCGGAAUGAGUUCGGAUUAUAUAAUUCAGACUAGGGGUAUUAUGGAAAAAAUAUAGGGCGCGCGAGGAAAGGCAUAGGGUGGGAAAAACAACACUCUAAAUCAUAAUGCUUCGAUCUGCACUAUAUAUACCACAAGUCUCACUCUGUUUUUAUUGUGUUUUCUUUUAAAGCUAUAUCUUUUGAUUUUGCAACCCAACCUAGACCACAUUGACUAGAAAGUGCAUUCAACGUAGAGACGUGUACGGUUUUUCCUUCAUGUUAUUUUUUUUUUUCUGCAACAUCUUUGUUCAACUCUUUAUUGAAUGGAAUAUUCGAUUUAUUUAACUAAAGCUUUAAAUAGUUUCCCCAAUAACAAGAUGAAUGGUUGGUUAUAUAAGGAAAUGGAAGAAAAUAAAAAUUAAACUUUAUAUGCAAGAUAAAGACCUAUGCCACUAGGAAUCAAAAUUAUAGGAUCCCAUAAUUAGUUCCACCAAUUUGUCUUUUAAAAAACAACACUUAGUGGAAUCUGUGUAUAUAUACUUUUACCAAAAGUUCAAGAAGCACAUUUUCUUAUGAAAAUAAAGAGAUUUUAACAAGACAAGAAAGUGAUACUUUAGAUUACGUUGGUUUAGUGGCAUUGUAGCACCCUCAUUGCUCCAUUCUCCACUAUGUUUUGCAUUAGCAUGCAUUUAGCUUUGUCAAUAUUAUUUUUAGGUAGCUUUACGCAUUUUUCUUUGGACAUUUUUAUUUUGGAUUCAAUUAAUAUAAAAAAUGUAAAGAUUUUUUAUAUUGUCAAUUAGCAUUUUUUUUCCUAACCUGCCGUAAUUAGAAUCUUUGAUUCUGAAAGAGGUAUUCUCAUAAUUUAGAUUCAUUUGAAUAUGUUAUGAGACUAAUAUUCAAGUUAAUGGACAUUUAUUUAUUUUUUAUUAGAAUUGAACUACCUUCUAUCUCUCAAAUGGACGUCACACAUGUUGUUUUCUUAAAAAAAAUUAUAUUAAAAAAAUUAUAUUAUCAACUCUCUCAAUACCCUCUUUAGUAAAUUGACUUUUAUGAACAUUAAAAGUCACACAUAUGAGAUAAUUUAUUAUGCUUGUAAUAUACUAGUGUCAAACUAAAAUCUUCAAGUCUUUAUUUUACGGUAAGUUUAAACUUCAACAAAGUAAAUAAUUACUUAUAUAUAGAACAUUCCUUAAUUUUAAGGAUAUGAGUGUUACCUUAAUAAACUCGCAAUAUAGUAGGAAAAAAACAUUUCAAGGAAGGAUACGUACAAAGUCCUGUUUAAGAUAACUGGAUAAGUAAAACUUGUUCAAUAUAAUUCAAUUUUAGAUAUAAGUCUUGACUAUACCGGUCUUUAGAUCAGAUAUCGAGUUUUCAAAAAAAAAUAAAAUAGAAUACAAGGAGAACACAAAUUUAAUCGAUCUAAUUCAUAAUUAGCGAUAUAAAAUUGACGAAGUUAAGUAUAUCAAAUUCUAGAUAAGUUUGAUAUAUAUUGGAAGAUGAUGAAUGAACAAACGCGGUCAGCCUUAGGUUAUUUAUUGAUAAAAAAUUAUCCAUCUUUAUCAUUUUUUCUCUUUUAAUCUAAAUAAAUUAUUUUUACAUUGAUUUAAAUUUUUCUUCUGUGAUUCCGUUUUUCAGUUGAUUAUUGUUUUGUUUGUUGUCAAUUGAUAAAGUGAGGCAUUACUUGUUUGAUAAGUUACAUAUAUCAAACUUUUUUUUUGUCAAAUAGUCUAAUGACUAUAGAAUUCACCUUUAACACGAAUUAGUGGGGUGUUGGAGUUUGAAAUCCGACCCUUGCAUAUUUCAAUGCAUUGUCCCUAUCAAUUUAGUUGUGCUCACGGAGAUAAAAUAUAUUAAAUUUUAUAAAUUUGAUGAUAUAAUUCACAUAUAAAAACUUCUAAUUAAUCCCUUCAAAAAAACUUCUAAUUAAUGUAAUAAAACAAUUCUAAUUACUUUCUUUUUGUUUAUUGUUUCAUUCAUAAUAUUAUUAUGUAUGUACAAUACGAUCGAUGCAUGCUAGAACCCUCACAUGACCUUUCAUUUUCUUUCCAUUUCGAUCAUUGUUUACACUUUCAAAUGGCAAUUUUAUGGAUGAUAACAAAACACAUUUGAGCACAAUUAAGGUACAAAAAAUGUUCAAGCCCAAAGGGCAAGAAUAGACAUAGAAGCAGAACCCAUAGUUAAUGCAACAAAAGAAGCCUUUUUCAAACGUGGAUCAGAAUUCAUAAGCUUGUUGUGAAAGAAAUCAGCUGCUAUGAGAUCAACAAGUGCCAUAUAAAUUAGAAUUCCUGAAGAAAUUGAACCUAGUAACCCUUCAAUUAUUAAGGCAUUAGGGUUACUAUCAUCAUAACCAGUCAAUGAGAAUAAUAUCAUCCCUAAAAUUAUCCCCAUUGGGGUUGUUACUGAAAACAUGAAGCACAUGUAUGCCACUGUUCCAUAGCUAAAUCCUGCCUGCAAUUAUUAAUGGUAAGAUAUGUAUUAGCAUAACACCAUGUAACAUAUUUAAGAUUUAAAAGGUUAUUUCUUUUUAUUAUUUCUAUUCUUUGUUGUCCAUUGUAUUUGAACCUAAUGAUAAGAUUUUGACAUUUGGAAAUUCAAAUCUCAUAUGUUAUAAUCUUAAGAUGGUCAAUAGUGACACUAAUUGAUAAUAAUUUCCCAAUCCUCAAUAUUACUAUUAUUUUCUUAUAUAUAUUUGACCAUCUAGACCAUUAGAAUGGGUUUGUGUGACUAGAAGAAGAAAAUUGUUUUAUCCACGUAAGAAGUUGUUUAAAAACACAUAAAAAUGACAAAAAAAACUUCAAUGGUAGUUAACUAAAACUCGUUUUUCUUGCUUGAAGCGAGCUGCAAUUAAAUACCGUUGCGGUUUUUAGUUAUUUUCAUAUGUUUUUUGGUCAAGUAAUAUAUUGGCUAGAAUUCACCUCAUAAGGUGAAUAAGUGGAGUAUCCGAAGUUCAAAUCCCAAUCACUACAUAUAACAAUACAUUAUCUUUGUCUACUGAGAUAUGCUCCCAGUGAUAAUUUCAUGUGUUUUUAAGCAACUUCUUACAUGAAAAAGAAAUUUUCCAAAAAUAUAAUUAUGGGUAAAGGUGUAAAAACAUUAUACUAUUUGACCAUUUAAACCACCAUCUUUCUAUUAUUAAAAUAUUUGUCACUGACUUUGGUCAACAUGUUAAUUUUUGACCAUUUAAACCAUCAUCUUUCUAUCAUUUUCCAAAUGACUUUAUGACUUUGGUCAACAUGCUAAUUUUUUUUGAGUGGUGAUACAUGUACACCCCCAUGUGGCAAUACACCUCUUACACCCACACAAAAUUUUGACAUGUGGCAAGGAAAAGAGAGAGGAGAUGAAAGAGAAAGUAUGGUUGUGAGAUAAAUUUACCAAAAUAUCCUUAAUGCAUGGGCUUACAAUAGGGUGUAUGAUUAAAGGAUGUUCAUGUAACAUUUUCCUUUUUUUUCUAACAAAACUAUGUGUUUGUCACUGAAAUACAAUACAAGUACAUAUAUUGUUGUUUUCCUGGACAGAGUGGACAACAUGUUGAGUUGUCAAGAAAAUGAAAGAGUACGAGUAGCUAAAAUCAAGUUCUGUCAUGAAGCAACAAUAAAAACAAAACAAUAGAUUUGGAGAUAAGAAUCUCCAAGUCCCCAACAAAUCAACAAUAAUGAAAAUCAAUAAAAUCAUCUUCAACAUCAUUACACGUUUAAACAAAAUCAUGUAGCCACUGGGCUAGGAAUUCAAAAAUUGAGGUUCGAACUCUGACUUCUGCAUGUAUGUUAGACUUAUAUAGUAACAAUAUCACUGUAAUUCUAGUAUCAAUCAUAACAUCCAAUUAACUUUUUAUCUUUCAUAAAUCCUCUCUCUAAUAAAUAUUUCUCAGCAAUGAUAAUAAUCAAAGUAGAGCAAGAGAAAGAAAGAAUUAAGAAACUAACCUGAGCAACACAACCACCAAGACCCAUCCCUUCAAAAAUCUGAUGAAAAGCCAAAGCAGCAACUAAAGGCCUUAUAGUACAAACAUUUUGAGACAUACCCAUAGUCACACCAAUUAUAACUGAAUGAAAUAUUAUCCCAAUCUCCAAUACUUGUGAAACCAAUCUUUGUUUCAAUUUAAUUAACUCUUCCCCUCUUUCACAAUCUCCUUCACCACCUUCCAACUCCAUCUCUUUCUCACCCACCGGCGCAUACUGUCCGUGCUCCACGUGGGAACUCGCUACGAGGUCCACGAAGAGCGCGAGAAUUGCGCCGAUGAGAGUUACUAGUCCUGAGAAGGGAAAAUCCUUCCAAGGAUGACGGGAUGCCACGUGGCAGUCAGCGAGUGCUGCGUAGGCGUCUGGGAGGACGUGGACUAGGGAAGUGGAGAGUAUCACGCCUGCCGCGAAACAUUUUAUUAAUACUAAUGCUCUAUCGUAUAACGGUUUUCCUUGGAAGACACGAGCUAAAAGUACUGGCGCCGUCAUACCGACGGCGCUGGUGAUGAAUAUGACAAAGAGGGAGAUUAUUUUUAGAUGUGAUGCCGCGGCGCCGUCGCGGCAUGAGGUUUCUCGAGCUAUGUCUUGUGAACAUGAUGUUGCCAUGUGAGAGAGAAGUGUUGGGAGAGAGUGAAUGUGUUUGAAGUUGAAGAUGACGAGGAAGGUUGUUUUGAAGAGGGAAAAGAAAGUGAGUGAUAAAUGAUGUGGACCAGUUUCUGUUUUUGUUGUAGAUUAUGCACCAUGUGGGGUAUCCUAUAGAUGUUGUUUUCCAUUGUUACGUGUUGGAAUCUUGAAUUAUUCUUACACUCAUUUGUCAUUUCUCUUUUCUUUCUUUUUUAGAUUUCUAAGAAAAUAAAUUUUGAAAACAAGUGAUAAUGAUAACAACACUUACUCUAACUUUUAUUUUGUUGUCAAAAAUAAAUCGACAAAUAUCAUUAAAACUCACAUAUAUAACUGUUCAAUAACGAGUUUAAAAUCGGAUGAACGAAGAUGUACGUCAUAAAUUUUGACAAAGACAACAAAGGUAGGGUUUGUCAAAAAAUAAAACAGAGGCUGGUCUUACAUACAAUCCUAUUUUUAUUGCUAGCUUAUUGAUGAAACAUGUUUUAAUGGAGCUACUUGUAUUUUAUUUAAUAAAAGAAUCGAUAUUACAAAAGAGAGUUAUAGUAUAUGUUACUUACAAAAUAUAUAUAAUUGAAUAAAGUAUUGAGAUUUUUUUUUUGGUUGAUGUUGAUAUUAGUAAGUUUACACAUGACCUGCCUAACACGUAUUAAGAUUUAUUACGAAAUUUGAAAACUUAGUCACGGUUGUAAUAUGGAAGAGAUAACAUAAAUUUUAGUUUUUUACAAAUUUUUUACGAGGACAAUAUAAUUUUUUUUUGACAAAGACAAAUAUAAAAAAUAAAAUCUAUUUUUAAACUUCAAUACAUUAAAUUUAAAGAUCAUGCAAACUUGUGUCUUAAGGACACAUGUUAAAGAACUAUAAAUAAUAAUUAUUGAUUUUAUCUAUGGUACAUUAAUAAAUAGGGAGCUUCUAUGAAGAAGUCGAGAAAUUGACUUUUUUAGUGAAGUCGUUUAAUUCAACCAAUCAGAUUUCAAGUCAUGACACGUCAGAUGUUGGGAUAAAUUUUAAUAUGGAUCACUUGCUUCAUAUGUUCCACCAUAGACAAGUUUAUUUCAAAAUUUUAACGGUUAGAUUUGUUUGGUCUCUAUGUUAUUGUGGUACACCCUCUACACAUGAUUUUUCUUAUUUUUCCAAUUCUCUUUCCUCUUUAUCACUCAUUCAUCUCUCUCAUAUUUCUUUCUCUUUCUUUAUUUAUCCAUAUUCCCUUUCUUCCAGAUUUUUAUCAAAUCACUAUGUCACUCUUCAACAUCUUCAUCAUACAUUCAUCGUCUUCAUCAUCUUCAUGUGAAAAAAAAUCGGAAAAAAAAGAAGAAAAAGAAAUUACAAAAUUAAAAAAAAAAACAUAAUAAGUAAUUACAAUUGCAUAGAAACAACAACAACGACGUAAAAAUGCAGAUGAAGCUAUAGAUCCAUCACAAUAAACCUACCAUAGAUUCCAAAACGUCAACAACAAUUUUUGGUAUUUUUUCUUGAAAUUAAAUUUAUUUAUUUCAAUUUGAUUGCUUAAAGUUACAAAACAUUGUUUGAAAUCGCAAAAAAAUGUUACUUUGUUCAUGAAUGUCUUAAAGUUAUGUUGUUUUGGUUUUGGAUCGCAUGGGUUUUAACCGGGUCAUUAUGACCCGUCUGGAGGUAGAAGAUGAAGUAUUAAAAAAAAUUAAAAAAAACAUCUUUCAACAUUAUGGGAAUCGAACUUGUGACCAACCAUUUAAAAAUGUUUGCCUUAACCAACCAACUAACCACUAUGUUUUGGAAAAUUAGGCGUUUUGAUUUUAUUUAAUGGGUUUUAAAUUAUAUUGAAUGAACAUAUAAUUAUCAUUAAUUUCAUGCUUUAGAAAUUUCAAUACUACUCCUUUUUAUAAGAUACAAAUGUAGAAAAAUUCACCGACCAAGAAAAUCAAUUUUUCUACUGUACUACCGGAAAUUAUAUAAAAAACAAUUAUAUUGAUAAUUUUUUUUUGUUGAUAAUAUUAUUAAACUUUUAAAGAUAUCAAAGAAAAAUCAUAAGCAAUAAUUUAAUGUUUUUACUAAUAAAAAUUCUUUUAUGUGUAAAUAAUAUAUAUUGUUUUUCUUAUUAUUUAUGUCAUAAUAUAUUGUUUUUCUUAUAAUUAAUAGGAAAUUGACCAUAAAGUCUAUCAAAACAGUGACACUAAGAGCACGACUGAAGACAAUUUUGAAAAAUUUAUGAUACAUAAAAAUUCAAAAUAAAAUCACUUCUCUAACCGUACCCACUAAAGUAAAGUCAUAGCCCUUAUGUUUUAAAAAUUGGACAUGUCAUUAACACAGCAAGGGUAUUGAACUAAAUUAAAUCAAUUGACUUAGUUGAAUAGUUGGUCUCUAUAAAAAAAUUGUAGGUUCUUGUUAAUCGAUGUCUUUAGGGUAAUAGUUAAAGAAUUUACAAAUAAAUUUUUUUCUUAAAAAUAUUUAAUAAAAAACAUUUAUUAAUGUUGAUAUUUUGAAAGAGUCAUGAGUUUUCAAAAUAAAUAAAUUUCUUUUGGAGAUAUUUUAAAAAUAAUAAUGAAAUAUUAAAGUUUUAUCUUCGAUGUAAGUUGAUCUGACAAACUAUCACAUUUGAAACCUAGUCAACAUGGAAGGACAUUGAUUUGACGAUCAAAACGAACCAAAUCGACUAACGAUAUCAAAUAUAAUCAAUCAGACCGUUGAGUAUGACCUUAUUAGAAUAAGAACGAAGUAGGAACUGGGAUUUUGAAAAUCAGAAUCUUCGGUGUAAGUCGGUCUUACAAACUAUCACAUUUGAAACCUAGUCAACAUGGAAGGACAUUGCUCCAACGAUCAAAACGGACCAAAUCGACUUAACGAUGUCAAAUAUAAUCAAUCAGACCGUUGAAUAUGACCUUAUUGAAAUAAGAACGAAGCACGAACUGAAAUUUUGGAAAUCAGAAUCUUUGAUGUAAAUCAAUAUGACCAACUAUCACAUUAGAAACCUAGUCAACUAGGAAGUACGCUUGUCCGAUGACUGAAAAGAGUCUAGGUCACAAACGAAAAACAAAUAUAAUCAAUCAGACAUUUGAAUAUGACCUUAAUAGAGUAAGAAGGAAGUAGGAAUUUGAAAUUUGCAGAUCGAAAUCUAAUUGGUAAGUCGAUCUGACAAACUAUCUCUUUAGAAACCUAGUCAAUCGAGAAGUACACUUGUCCAACGACUGAAAAGGGUCUAGGUCACAAACAGAAACAAAUAUAAUUAACCAGACCGUUUAAUUAGAUUAACUUUUUUCUAUAAAGAUAUAGGAGUACAAAUAAAUAUCAGAUCGACAAAAUAUUUUAUUUAAUCUUUUUAUUAACCAGACUGUUUAAUAAUUUUUAUUUUUAAAAUCAAUAUUUUAUUUCAAAUAAAUAUCUCAACAAACUAUUGAUCUUAUCCAUAGUAAUAUCUCAACCAGACCGUUUAUGUAAUACUUUCAAUCCUAUCCAUUAAAUAUUUCACUCCAUUUGUUUAAUAAUUUUUGGUUUAAUGAAUGAACGGUUACUUCAAUUUUAACAUUAUUUGUUUCAAUAAAUUUAGUUUUAUAUUUAUUUUUGAAUUUAGAAAUUUUCAAUAAGUAGUAGUAUAAAUAUAUAAUAUAUUUCACCCAAUUAAUAUAACAAGUACUUGAUAUAGUGGUUAGUUUUUCAAGGAUUUACUUUUAAGUACACGGUUCGAAACCUUGAGCCUUCAAUAUUUUCAAAUUUUGAGUAUUUUUUUUCUAUAAAAGUCAAAGAUGUUCCAAAGUAAUUGCGCAUUUAUUUUGGUAUUUACUAUUAUCAAUAGGCAUACCAAAUCUAAUAAAUGCUUAAUUAUGUCUAUAAUGAAAGAAAUCCACAUGUUAACUUUUUUAUCAUGAUUUUUUCUUAGCUUUCCUUAAAAAAAUUUGCUACCGUAUUAAUUGGAAAGGAAUUGGAAAACAUGUCAAUUGCAAAACAAAAAUAAAAAUAAAGAGAGCAGGGAUCGAGUCCGCGACCAAAAUGUUUUGAAAAUUUGCUAAACCACUACAAUGCAUACAAUCCAUUUGUUCCUUUUUUCGCUCGUUUCUAUUUGUAAUAAAAAGUCCGAUUAAAAAAAAAGUGGAAGUCGUCUUCAACCUCCAACCGGGUCGUCUGAACCCGAUUCAGACCAUUGGCAUCCGAAAUUGAACCCGAUGAUUUGUACUUAUUUUCAAGGUCGAAAAUGAUGAUUAUAAUUCGUUUUCAAUACUCUUCUAAUUCUCCUCUUCCUUCCUAUCUAUUUAAAUCACAAAAUCAGGUGUUUGGAAAAAAUGUUGUGUUGUUCAAACAACAUUUAAACCAUCGUCGGAUUACUGCUGUUAUCGUCGCGUUCAUCCUAUCUUUGCGGCCUAUGUUGCUGAAUAUUACGACAUAGAUCUGGAAACUUUAAUAACACAAAUCAUGACAUUUUAAUUUUUGGAGGUGAAUUUGAGUAGCUAUUUUGUUUUUUGUUCAAUAAAGAAGAUGAUGAAGGUAUGAACAUGGUGAUGAUGUUCAUAAUCUUCCUGGGUUUAUUUAUUUUUAAUAAUGAAAUAUUUUUUUAUAAAAAGGAUUAUCUUAAAAAGGUUUAUUUAAAUAUUUUUUGAAAUAGAAGGAAGAAAAAUUCAAAAAGGAGAAAAGAAAUAAAUAUAGUGUGAAAGGCAACACAAUAAUACUAGUGAAAUGCUUAAUCUGAUGAUUUAAAAAAUCUAAAGGCUAAAAUACAAUUAAAUUUGACUGAAGGUACACAAUACAUACCAUGCAUCCGCCAGUAUAACAUGGCAUAACUAACACACGUGGCGUGUUCUUAUUAGCUGUAGGGUUACUUCACCGAAAAAGUCAUUUUGACAACUUCACCGUAGAAUUUCCCUAAUAAAUAAGUACUCUAAGAACACAUGUUACCACUUUUCUAAAUUUAAUAAUAAAAAUAACAAAAAUAAUACUUAUAUAUUGUAAGUAAAAGCAUAACUUAAACAUAAAUAAAAAUAGAUGAUAAAUAUUUUAAAAGUUUGAACUUGAUGAAACUUUAAGUAGUCAAAUUUAUUCAUAAUUGACUAUAUACUAAAAUAUUCUAGCAUUUUUUUCAACGCGAACCACUAAAUUAUUUGCAAGAAAAAAUCAUCGACUUUGUACCAAAGUCUUCUUGCCUUGACAAUUUUUAUUACCAGAAAUAUCUCUCUUUCUCUCUAUAGUUCUUGUUAUAUCUCUUUCGAUCAACGAACUUGUUUGGAUAGAUAAAUGUAUUUUGAAGGUAGCUAAAUUUAUUAAAAAUGUAUAUAUACUUUUUUUUGUUAGGAAGUAUAUAUACUUUUGGGUAGUCAAAGAUACCUCGUGAUUAUUAAAGGCUACAACCUUGAUUGUAAUUGAGCAAAACAAUGGUCACUCAGAAAAGUGAAUGCUUUAUAUAAAUGAUGGUACGACAAAUAUUGCGGUUAUGUGGCCAUGAUGUUGUAGAGAUUAUGUCAUUAUCUAAGUGAUCAUAUGCGAAUAUAUUUUAUAUAGAUAGCAAGGCAGUGAAAGAGAGAAUUGUGUUACAUGUGAAGUGAUUUUUCCUAUCUUAGAACUCUAUUUGGAAUAAGUGUAUCUUUGUAUUCAACUUCUAGUUUGAAGGUGCUUAUGAGUUUAUGCUUUCUUCCGAUUUUGUGUUGUAUAUUAAACAUUUUAAUUUUAUGAUAUGGUUAUAAUGUAGAUUAGGGACCAACUUGUGAUUGGUUUGAGAUUUGAGUGGUAAGGAACUCGAGUACUUUAAACAAGUGGUCAGAAGUUUGAUUUACGACUCUUGUAUUUGAAGAAAAUCUAAUUGGAAGAGAAGAAUUUACCUUGUAUGUUCAAUAGGCUUUGCGGCGAGAUCAAUCAUGACUAAGCGGCAAUGAAUAUAUCAUAUCUAUAACAUGAAUAUAAAAAAAAAAAUAUAAAUCCGAGAUCAUAUAUUUGGGAAAAUAGUUAACUUUCAUUGAAUGACAAUAUAAAACUUGUAAUAAAAUAAUAACAAUUGCUCUUUUCAAAAUAAUAAUAAUAAUAAAAAUAAAAAUAAUAACAAAACCAUAAAAAAAUUCUAAAAUGUGUGAAAUCAGGAUUUGAGCAGGAAAAUUUUAAAUUUUUUACAAAAUUAAAUUUAACAUAUUGUUUUGGUGAAUUUAAAUAAAAAGAAUAGUAAAAAGGUGGCACUUUGAUUUUUUAAAUAAAUAGAACAGUGAAAAAAACUUUACUGUAACAAAUAUAUUAAAGUCAAUCAAAACUUUAAAGGAUUUUUUUCUCAAACAAAAAAUUAAAGGAAUCAAACAUAUAACCAAUAAAAAGAAAGAUAGUAAUAGAGUAAAAAGUGUAAAAAAAAAGCCUAUUUUUCCAUAUAUAGACCUUGUUGGAAAGUUAAAAGAACAAAAAAAGCCUAGGAGAAUUAAUGGUUUAGACUAACGAAUGGGUUAUGGUCGGGUCUAAACAUGACCCCUAAUUCUGGGUUCUAGAAAUAUGGCCUCUAAUAGUAAGUAUUUUAAAUCAAUAAAUACCAAGAAAUAAUAGAUUGUUUAUUAUUUAUUGGUAUUGGUAUUUAUCAAUAAAUACCAAUAUAAAUAAUAGUAAGUAUACUGUUUUUUGAGUACACAAUUAAAAAUCAAUAAAUAAUAGAUUAUUGGAAUACCUCAUACUAUUAAAAAGAAUAAGUGAGUUUAACUCUUAGAAAAAGUGCUAAAAUCUAAGGUUAUGGGACCUUGAUUAAUGACUUGUGUAAAAUAUGACGUACAAGAGAUGCCUUUCGGCUGCUACGAAAAAUGGAAUGGCAAGUGGUUCCUAACAUCGUAAUCUAUAACAUGAUCAUUGAUAGUUCAUUUAAAGACGGACUUCUAAUUCAGGCACGACGUUUAAAUUCCAAGAUUGUUGUCUCUUUGAUGAAAUGCAUGUAAAAAUCAGCUUUCUAAUAUUGUAACUUAUAGUUCUCUUAUCAAUGGUUUGUGCAAAUCUGGGAGGAUCUCUUGUGCAUAGGAACUUUUUGGUACAAUCAGUGAUGACGGUCCAACACAAUGUUAUCACUUACAAUAGAUAAAUGCUUUCUGCAAAAUCCUAAAUAUUGACAUGGGAAUUUCCUUAUUUGUACUAAUGUUUGAAAGGGGAUUGACUCGUACAGUUUUGACUUGUAACAUCUUGAUUAAAUAGGUAUUGCAAGAGUUAAGAGGAUUGAUGAAGCCAUUAACCUCUUAAGUGAAAUGUAUAGCAAAAAUUGGGUUCCUGAUUCUGUAACUUAUAAUUCUCUUAUUGAUGGCUUGUCUAAAUCUAGGAUUAUAAGUUACAAUAUGUGUUCCUGUUGUGAAUCCCAAUUAAAACUCACACAAAUGAAAUAAACAAUGAUGUGUGGAGCAAGAGAUAGUGGUAAUCUAUGAGAACAAAUGGUUUUCAAGCAACAACAACAAAACAGCCCUAGACUAGUGUAUAGCAAAAUCACAUAUAUAGAUAACAAAGCAUAAACAAGAUAAGUAAGAAAGGAAGAACAAAACACCAAGAAGAUUGUUGACUCAGUUCAGCCAAUGUGGCCUAAUCUGGGGGAGAGAGCAGCUCUCCAAUCCAAUAUGAGAAAGUGUUACAAAGGGUUACAAGAAACUCUAGCCUUCAAGCUUUACACAUGAACAAACCAUAGAUUCUACCCUUUGGUGUUUCCCCACUCUCACAAUAUGAACCCUAAAGAGAAGUCACUAGAGGAAGCUUUAGAUCCUUCCAACUAAUGAACUCCUCCACUACCCAAGGUGAUUACAAUGUUUUUCCCAACCCAAGAGACACUCUCAACAAAGACACUCAACCCAUUGGUUCCCUCCUUUGUUAUCCAAGUUCUCUUAGACACGAUUUGCAUCUGACCCAAGAUUGACCAGUCCUUAUCAGAGAUACUUAACGAGCAAGUUUCUGAAUCGUGUCACGAUUUCCCAAAAUCGUGUCACGAUUUGGCGUCCUGCAAACUGGCUCACGGCACCUCGAAAUCGUGUCACGAUGCCAAAAUCGUGUCACGAUUUCUCUGUUCUUCCAGACCACAAAUUUGAAGCCAAUAUCAACAGUUCCUGAUGUGCUGCUUAUCAAUUGAUUCUAGGUUUUCUUAUGUAGUGAGUGAGUGAAUGGAGUUGACUCAUACUCUACAAUGACGUGAGUUUAAUUUUCAUUGUCGAUGUUAGGAUUUUGUUGAUGAAUAAUAUGUAAGUAAGAAAUUGACUCAUACUUUAUAAUGGUGUGAGUUUAACUUUCAUUGUGAAUGUUAAUAUUUUCUUGAUAAGUUGAUAGUAUGCAAGUACAUUUUGAAGGAAAAAAAUUACUAAUAUUAGUGUAACAUCUAAAUUUCAGUAAUUUUUUUUACGAAAGGCAUCAUUGAAUUUAAUUUGCUAAAUGAUAAUGAAAGAUCCAGGCAAAUAAAUUAUAAUGAUGGAUAAUGGCCCUAUUUAUCCCCUAACAAUUUUUUUUUUCUUUCAAAAAAGCCAAAUAUUUUAUUAAAAUAUGAGUCUAACACACACCUAAGAACUUAUUGCUUUUCUGAUAAAUUGCUUAGCCUCCUUUGCUGAUAAACCUUGGGUGAAUGAAUAGGAGGGUGAAUAUUUUUUGGAAGUUACUUUUUCCAUCUUUUGAGUUUCUCGUUUGCCCUAUUCGGAUUUUAAAAUCCAAAAUAUUUUAACGUAUUUUGGAGAAUUUUAUAAAGUGUUUAUGCUCAGAACUACAUAGAAAACGAAAAACUGAAUAAGAUGAGAAAAGAAGGUCUCAUAGUUUUUAGACAUUUCACUGAUAAACUAUAGAUGAAUACAAACCACUUAACCACAUCGUGCAAUUAAGUAAAAAUAAUAAACCCUAUAAUGUGCCUUAAGAAUGGUUAAGGAGUACAAUUUAAUAAUACAUUUUUCAGAGAUUAAUUUCCUUUUGGUGUAUAAUAUAGUUUUGAAUUGAUGCAGGAAGAUAACCCAAUUUUACAGAGAUUAAGAAAAUCUAUAUAUGGAGUUAAACUCACAAUGAAAGUUAAUCUUUGAAGAAAAUGUAAAAUUAAACUCCAUAAAAUUGGUCACUGAAUCUAUAUAUGGAGUUUUGACCAAUUUUGGAGAAGGAUUACAAAAUUCAAUCCAAGCAGUUAGUUUUUACAAAAAUGGAUUCAAAAACAUCAAAUAAUAUAUGGAGUUUACAUUAGAUCACUACUUAAAAAUGAUUAGUAUUGUUACUUUGUUCAAAUGAUUUCUACUAAUAUGGAGUUUUUACAUUAUUAGUGAAAUACAUUCUGAACAAUACAAUAUGGAGUUUUUACAUUAUUUGAUGUUUUUGAAUCCAUUUUUGUAAAUAUGGAGUAGUGAUUAAAAUGAUCACUACUCCAUAUUAGCAGUUAGUUUUUUUGAACCAUAAAUAUUAGUAUUGUUCAGAGUGUAUUUCAUAUGGAAAUCAAACCCUCCACCUCCUCAUCUCUUCAGUCCUUUAACUACCCACCCCACAUUGCCAACCUUAUUGAACAAUUAACUAGUAAAUAAUUUUUUGAUAAAACAAAUGAACAGUUUAGUAUUUAACACUUCUAACAUGCAAAGAGUACCGGAAAAAAUAUCCGAAUGAAUUCAUAAGCAAUUCCCCAACUCACAAUUAGAAACUUAAAUCCUUAUUCUAUCACUUAACACGUAUCAACGAGCAACACGCAAAAAAAUAGUGUUACCCUAAGCUAGCCCAUACAAUAUUACAUUACAUAAAAGGUUACAAUCUACAAAACUAAUGCAGCAACCCUUUUCAAUGAUUCAGAUGCCUUGUGAACAUCGGACUCUGAAUGCCCUGCAGAAACAAACAAUCUUAUUCCUACAGGCAAACGGCACUUGUCUAAUGUUGAUCUUCGAGAAGUCGCCACAAAUACAGAAUCUUCUUUCAAAACCUGUGAAUACAGAACAAUAAAUACCAGCAAAACCGAAAGUAAGAAAUAAACAUUGUCACAACAAUUCUUACACGUUCGGCAAUAUUUUCAAGCAGGCGUAGGUCAUCAUUCAAAGAACCCGUUGACUUCUUUAUUCUCAAAUAAACAAUUGGUGACUCUGGAUGACUCACAAUCGUGAAGCCUGGUAUUUCCAACAACCCUGCAGUAGCCAAUGCAUCUCAUAUAAAAGUUCUCAACAAAACAAUAAAAUGAAAUAAUAGACACUACAAUACAAUUCCAUUUAUGAAAGUAGCAGCGGUGAUAUCAAAGCCUACCUUUCCAUAACACAGCAAUGUUGUUCUUCAACUUUGUUAAUAUAUUGGGAUUUUCGUCAAGGACAUCAAUAGCUGUAAUUGCAGCGCUUGCAAGAUAUGGAGGCAAAGAAGCAGAAAAGACGUAGCCAGAGCUGCUCAAUCGCUGUAAGAGUUGAAAACACAGACAUUAGCGGAGGGAAAAUGAACGAGAAAUAAUAGCAUGAUCAACCAAUCACUUCGCCUUGAAAAUAAAUUCUUAAUUUCAGUACACUUGGAAAUCUAAGUUGGUUUAUGAAUCAGUAUUACAAAUGACACUACCAUACCUGGUGAUCUAUAACUCUUGCACUUCCGGUGCAGAAUCCUCCUUCUGUGGCCAAUGCAUGUCCCAUAGCAGCAGUUAUAAGAUCUAACUUCUCAACCUGCAGCACACGACCACAAUCACCAACAGCAGUAGAAAUUUGAAUGCAUUAACGGUGAAUCUGGUGGGACUGUAUGCACCCACACCCAAACGGAGAUUUUCGGUACAUACUGGAACUCCGUAGUGUUCAGUGAGACCUCUUCCAGAACUUCCAAGCACACCAAAUGAGUUGCUCUCAUCCAGUAAAAUACGAAACCGAUAUUUUUCCUUCAAUUUAAUGAUAUCAUCUAAGGGUGCUAUUUGACCAGAAUUCUGAAAUUUUUAAAAGUAAACAUAUGUUAACAAAUAAUGAUCAAGCAAUUUUAGUUUUCACUUAAAUGCUAGUAUGAAAACUAGUGAAAGAAUAUCUACUAUAAGUCAGAAUAGUUGACAAAACCAGAGCAAAUAGCAAUAGUGUUUUAAAGAACGACAUUGCAAUAGGCACCAGUCUAACAGCAACACCAUAUGCUCACAAUUUGUGUUUUUAAUACUUCGUUUAUAUCUUCAAUUUGCAUCUGUUUAUUAAUUACCAUACUAUCUCACUAGAAAUAGUAGUUCAUAUAACAACUUGCCAAUACUUCAAAUUGCAAGAAACGGGUAAUUCAUUCAACUGAAGGCUGUGAGCACUCCACUCGAAACACGAUAUAGAAGUGCAAAGCUAAUAAAAAUACGCUUCAACAAAAAUAAAAAUAUAACGCUAAUAUAGAAGUGCAAAGCUAAUAAAAAUAUAGAAGUGCACGGCUAAUAUACACAACAUCUACCUGGUAGAGAGCUUCGACAACAAUAUAACGCCUCAAAUUCUUGGUGUGCUUAUACUUAGAAGUAAGCUUCUCUAAAGUUUCUUCUAAAGAAUCCAUGUCAUUGUGCUUAAAAUACACGACAGUGCUUCUAGAAAGAUAAAGGCCAUUCUGUAUUCCCCAGUGGACUCCUUCAUCCCUGUUAAAAAAUACAAAAUUAUAUAUGAAACUAGAGCCUACUUGAAAUAUCACAGUUAUAUAAAGUGGAUGAAAAAAGAAUUAAGUUCAUUCUUCACACCAUUGUAAUAAAAAAAGUAAAGAUGGUAAUAAAACCAUCCAAAUAGUUCUAUAUAUGUGGUGUAUGGUUAUCAAUGCCCAAUAUAAAUGUCAUCAGACAAAAAAAUUGAACAAAAAUGGAUAGUAGAUGCUUAAAGUUAUGCAUACUUACGCCACAAUUAUAUCUCCUUUUUUAGAAAAAGCAGGAAUAGCACUGAACAUGGUGGAAAGUCCAUAAGAGUAUAGAAUUGAAUCAGGCGUUCCUAAAAAUUUUGCUAUUCUUGCUUCACAGUCAAGAUGUACAUCUGCACAGGGAAAAGUAUCAUAAGAGAACAUGCAUUUCCUCAAAAACAAACUUUAAUAUUAAAGCCUUACCAAUUGUUCCAUAAAAUCCACGGGGGCCACAUGAACCAACACCAUAUUUCUCUAAAGCAGAAGUGCAUGAGUCCUACAAUAUAAAGUAAAUAUAGAUUCAGUGUACUGAAGCACUGGUCAAGAAAAAGAAUUUAUUGAUAUGGGAUCAUGUCCUUACAAGUAACUUUUGAUGACCUAUAAGCCCAAGAUAGUUUGCUGAAGCAAAAUUGAUAACUUCUUUACCAUUAACUAUGGUAUGUGGGCCAGCAGCACUGCAUAAGAAAUUUAUCGCAAUCAGUAUUUUAAAAAAUGGAUAAUUGGCUGUUUUUUCACAAUACUGUUUAACUUACAUAUUAUGAGCUUAUCAUGUCAUUUAUCUGUCUAGAGUGCAAACUGUAAUCCUAAUGUCUCAUUUAUGUAUCAAUUAAGAUCAUUACAAAAACUUGUCAAGAGAAUAUACUUCAACCAAAACUACUUCUAGUGAACUAUACCAGUCUCUCUCUAUUAUCACAAUCUUACAUGAACCUUCCUAAUUUUAACUUCAAUAAAACGAACAGCUUCCCUAUAUGCUAUGAUAAAAGUUAGCAAUGAGGAAAAUGUAUGACAUACAAGGGAGACAUCUGAAAACGUAUGAAAUCACAUGAGAACUUUUAAUCUACACUAAUUUUCUUUAUCGCAAGAUAAGAAGAAAAAUGAUUUAGAAUCUAAAGGGUGGUCUUGUCCAGUGCAUAAGACUGCCACUGUAGUGGGGUCCAAGUAGGGUCUGAACUGACAACCUUAACCUUGCUACUAUGACUACCAUGUCACAAGGUGGAAAACCUACCAAUAUGCUAGGGCUUAUCCUAAAAAAAGUUCAUGAGUUUAAGUCAAAUAAAUGUAACCAUGGCAGUGAUGUUGACAAGUGCAAAACAUAAGAUUAUUUCAGGGAAGGAACGCAGACAAUAAAGCACACAAGUAACAAAUUUGAAAGUGUGCAAAACAUUUAAAAUGAUAAUAGAUGAGGAUGCUACCACAAAAGUAAAUGUAAUCACCUCUCCAGCACUGGUGGUUCAUAGUGCAUAUCUUUAUCAAGAGAAGGAAUAAGCGAUUGUGGAACCCAUUCAUCACAUAACUCGUCAAUUUCCUGCAGAAAUUAAGAAUAAAUUUAGAACAUGUCAAAAUAUAACACAAUGAAUCUCGAAUUAGAUUGUACAACACUACAACUAACAUGGAACACUAUGGUUAGAGUUCCACAUUAAUUUAAAACCAAAAAAGUUAGACGACAACCAACUGUUUUGAUCAUGAAUGAUGGGUCGACAGACAAAGGCAUUCGUUCUACUACUUUUUGGUGAACAAGCGACUGUAAGGGAACAAUUUUCCUAUUUUCAUUGGACACUUCUGACUUCUAAAAAAAAAAAAUAUGUAUUUGAAGAUGCUAGAUGAUGAAAUCAAAUUUGUAUCUGAGGAGUAUCAAGUAUGCAGUCGACAUGGUUAUGAAUACUGCUGAAAAUUUCAAGGUAGCAAGGGAAAUGUAAUCAUAAAGGGAAAUGUAAUCAUAUGCUGAAAUAUCUAAAAAGACUAACGGUUCAUCAAGUUACCGUAAAGGGGGGAAGAAGGAUAACCACGGACAUAUACUCUAGAACAAUGCUUAUUACCAUGUUGAAGAAGUCCAAAUAUGGGAGGAAUUUGACCAGACCUAUUAUGACUAGAUUUGUUACUACUAAUUUGGUUAUAGUUUGUAUCAGUGAUCUAAAAGCAUCAUUGAGAAGUAUGUUUAGGUCAAGGUCAAAUGAGUGAAAAUCAAGUAGGUUCGGAUCUUGGCAAGAGGGAAGAAAAGUAGCAAACAUUGUUUUAGAAGGUUUGAUUCGGAAGAAUGUAAUCAUAUCAUAUGCCUCAAGUUAGCUGUAGUUUCAUGGAUGUUAUAUUCUCCAUGAUAAUGGAGAUGAUCUUCUUGUAGGAUUGGACAUUUGAAUGACGAAUGAAUCAGCUCUAGUUUUUAUUUUGAAAUUUUUUAACAUUAGGAAUUCAUGUAUGAUUUGGUAUUUAUGUUGUUUGAUCUGGUGUUAUCAUUGGAGCGCUACAACGCUGAAGCGGGGCAUAGCAGCCAAUGAACAUCACUGCACCUUCCAUAUUGUUGUGGUUGUGUGCAUCAAUAAUAGCAGGAAAUGCCACCACCCCAUGAGUACCCAGGAAAAAUAUCCACAGAACAGUCGGAAAUUAAUUUGGGCUUUUGUGGGGGUAUUUUAGGGAUAUUGAGUUAAAACACUCAAGAGCAUGAGUUGCAUUAAAGUUAAGGCUUUGUUCCCAGUCUCUUUUGUCAAAACCUGAAAACAUCAAAAUGUUAGGGCAUUUUUCCCGAUUACUCCAGAAAUUUUAUGCGUCUCUCUCCGGCGAUUCUCUUUCUAGUUAUGUCCUCUCUCUGUAGAUUCUCUCUUGAACUUCUCUUUGCAUCUCCAGUGAUUCUGUCUCACGUGCAUUUGAGUAUAUUUUAGUGCUUCUGUCUCUCUGCAUCUCUGAAGAUUACUGGCAAGAACUGCUGCCUGUGUCAUUCCUAGGCAAGAAACUUUUAUUUGAAUUUUAAUGUUUAGACAAUUUAGUUACUUUAACCCUUAGAGGAUUAAACUUCUUGGUUAGUGAUUAGUGGUUACCACAAUUUUUGGUAUUUUCUAUGACUUUUUUACUGUUAAAUAUGAAUUUCAAGUAAUUUUUAUCAUUUUUUAGAAUCACUAUUUUGAGUAACUUUUUUUACAAGUCUAGGGGUUGAGUCUACAGAGGCUUCACAAAUUACCUAAAUUCUUGAAUAAUACAACCUUGGUAUAGAUUAUAGACAAUCACCCAAAAGGCAAGUCCCAAAUGCAUCAUGAAGAUAGAUGCUAUUAAGUCACCGACCAUGAAGCGACAGUGAUUACUUUCAAACUUCACAAAUUGAAAUGCUUCAUUUAUUGAUUCUUAAAACUUCAAGGCAAAAGCAUACAAAAUAUAAAUGCAAGAGUUUGUUCCUAUUUCCAAGUAAGCAACAGAAAAAAUGCAUAUGUUCAGUAAUAAAAGCAUGGCAAAGUCCACAAGUGAGGAGCAUAUUUCCAUCCAUCGAAAAGCUAAUGAUUAAUCAGAUUUGUAAGUUCUAAAACCUCAGAAAGAAUAUUUAGAAAUGCCCCAUGUUAGAUCCAUAGAAUUACUAAAAACUAUAACAGAUAAGCGUAUAUCACUCUAUUUAGAUAUAAGUGUUUGGAUAAAUUCUAAAACCUAAACAUUAAUAGAAACCACUUUUGAACUGCACAACAUACUCAUACAAACUCCACACACACAAAUAAAUUAGAGACAAAUCCUAUUAGCAUUUCAAUGACAUAAUAAACCAAUAAAGUCACUUUACCUUUAAAAAUAAAAUCCUAUUAAUAUACCAAAUGCCAACUUUAUUUUCAAAUUAUAAAUUUUAGACAGCUCUACAUAGCUAACACACAUUCAUAAAAUAACUAAAAAAAUCUAAUACAUAAUAACAACAACCAAGUCUUAUCCCACUAAGUAGGGUUGACUACAUGGAUCAAACGAUGCCACAAUGUUUUGUCAUAAAUCAUAUCUCUGUCCAACUCAUAUAUCUCUAAGUCUUCCUUUGCCUCUUGCGACUUAACUACCCUCCAUCUGAUCUAUAUUACAGUAUAGUGAAAAAACUAGAGUUAGAUGAUAGGUUAACUAGAGUUAACAAGUUGGUUAGGUAAUUAGGGAGUUAGUUACUCCAACUCACUCCCAUAUAUAACUCACUCUGUUGUAUUCAUUCUCUUUUAUCAAUCUAUUCAUUCCACUAUGGAUCUCUAUGAUUAUCUCCCACGUGAAUACUCUUAUACUAGCUUUUUUGCUACUCACUAUGAUCUUUAUCCCUAUGAAUCCAUGAUUCAUAACAAUCUACUCUACAGCAACAACUACCAAUCCUUAUCCCACUAAAUGGGGUCGGCUACAUGGAUCAAAUUACACCACAAUGUUCUAUUGCAACUCUCUAAUGUUUUCAUUCAUUCAUAACCAUAUCUCGUCUAGUCUUACCAAAAAUUGUGCAUAGACGAGAAAUCAAAAUAUAUACACACACGCUCAAAAAGAUAGCAUCAUACCUUGUUUGUCAAGGGUCUUUUAGGAGGCUUGUAACUUUUCUGAGAAAGCAAGAAAAGUAUGACCACCAAGAGAAAAACUUCAAUAAAUAAAUGUCCUGCAAACAUAAGAUAAAAAAAAAAUCAAAUUAAUUAAUCAAUUAAUCAUCCAUCUAUAAAGUAAAAAGUAAAAGAUAAUUAAGUCCAUAACAAGAAAUAUUACCACCAAAAUUAUAUCCAAAAACUAUAGCUCUUGCAGAAGGUGCAUCUAAAGCAUAUGUAACCCAAUUUAAUGUAGUGUUCACGAAAUUAACAGCAGCUGAAGCCAUCAUUAGCUUAAUAUAUCAAUCAAAAUAUCAAUGAAUCCUUCAAUUUCACUCAUGCAUGUGAGUUUUCCACUAUUGAAAUUCUUAAAUCAUGAAAAGUUUAAAUCCUGCAAAGUAUAAGAAAAUCAAAUAUAAGCAUUCCAAUUAACAAAUGGAAUCGAAAAAUUUGAUUUUGAAUAAGAAUCUAAGGAAUUGAAUUGAUGAAUCGAAACGACGUGACCUACCUUAUGAUUGAGAGUGAAACGACGAGAGCUUGAUUCCAUGGGAGAUUCAGAAAUGAUAGGAAGAGAAAAAGAAGAGAAAAGAAGAGAAAGAGAAAACAAAUAUUUUAUUUUAACGGUUAUGAUGGUGCCACGUCAGAUCUCGUUAGCGCUAACUAAACAGUUGUCAUUAGGCCUGUGCAAAAUAACCGGUUUGAGUAGUAAAUCCAUAACCAUACCCGUAACCAUUCUAAAAUAACAACAAAUUUUUAACCAAAUAUCAACCAAACCCAUUUAAAAUGGAUCGGUUAUAAACCAUUGUUAACCAGUUAUCCCUAAAAAGAAAAAGCCCAACCAGUACCAAUUUUUCUGCUUUCCAAUAGAGAAAUGAUAUUUGAACAUCCAUUUUGUGACAACUUUUGUUACAACUUUCUCUCUCAUAUUUACAUUAUUUUUUACUUUAUCUCUCUAUUGCUUUGAUUUUCGUACAAAUACCUAUUCUUUCUUUAUAAAUUAUGGUUGUCCCCAUAAGUUGUCAAUUAAAGGAUGUUCAAAUAACACUCCUCUUUCCAAUAAUACACCAGUAGAAAACGCUUUCAACUCACUCCGAUGACGUGUGCACGGCGGUUCCAUAGACGGAGAUGAAAACGCAAGAGGAGGAAGAGAAAAUCUAGAUGCAGAUCUAGCCAAUACAACUUGUCAUGAUGCGGCAUCUGUCUUUCUAUCUGGAUUCACUUCUGCUUGGCUGCUUGUUUCUUUUCCUUAUUUGCUUUCAUUUUAGGUGAGUUAUUGCAUGGUCCAAUUGUAAAAUUUUCCUAUGUUAGGCUCAUAUAUCUUUACCGGCUGGAACCUGUAAUUUCCUUAUUUAGUGGUAUCUAACUAGUUAUGUACAUCAAUGUUUUUUUUUUACACAAAUAUCAACAAAUAAAAAAUGGAACAAAAUUGCUCUUUUAGAAGGAAAAUAUAGCGUCAGUUUUCAAACUAAAUAAUUCUUUGUCAAUAAUAUAUAUUUAUAUAAACUGAAAAAAAAAUUACUUUUUUUUUUCUCGCUAAGACAUAAAAUCCACAUAAAUUAAACACCAUGAGUUUAGUUCAGUUGGUAGGGAUAUUGCAUUUUAUACCAGGGGUCGGGGGGGUUCGAACCCCGGACACUCUAUUUCUCCACAAUUAAAUUGUGUGAGCUCUAGCCAUUAGGCUACUUGACAAAAAAAAAAUCCACAUAAAUUAGUUAUACAUCCCUAAAAAUAUAGUGAAUUUUAAUUUCUAAAAGACAACAAAAUAUUUUUAUCCUAACAAAAAGUUUUUUGUUUUGUUUUUAGUUCAAUUUAUGUUCAUAUUAAUGUCAAGAUUAUCACUCUUUUAUGUUCAAGAUGUAUCCACGUAUGUCUAUUUAUUAUGUUCAACAUUUGUAUGUCCGUAUUAUGCUAAAGAAAUGUCAAACACGUGUCAAGAUUAUAUUUAUGAAGGACAAAUAAACAAAACGAUUUUUUUUUUAGAAUGAAAAUAUUUUGUUUUAUUUUUUUAGAAUAGAAUCAAAAUUGCUUAUAUUUUUAGAGACAAAAAACUUAUUUAACCCUUAAUAAUAUUUAUGAAAGACACCUAGAAAAAUAUUUAUGAAAGAUACAACAAACAAUAUUUUUUGUGUUAGCCCUUCAGUUCUUGGGGAAAGAGGGCUCUAAUAAUCCGAAGUUUAGACAAAUAUAAGUAAAGUCUGAUCUAAAAUUGUUGAUAUACGCAGAAAUCAAAUUUAAAUUCUUUUAUUAUUAUAAAUAAAAGAAUAACCACAAAUUCAAUUUACUUGAUUUUUGAGCCAAAAUGUGUUUUGAAAUUAAGGGCUCUAAACUUACUUGAUUUACUUGAUUCUAAAUGUGUUUUACUUGAUUUAGUCUUAUCUAAAUGUGUUUUACAAGAUUGCUCCUCUUCUCACAUUUAUAAUUGAAUAUAUGGUUAUUGAAAUGUGUUUUUGAGCCCUUGAGAGAAAAAAUCAAGUAAUUGAACUCAAGUGGUUAUAGCCCUAAUAAUCAAACUCAAGUAUUGGAAAAGUCAAAACACAUUUCAAACCACAAAUUCAAAUUGUUGAUAUACUUGAGUUCAAUUAUUUGGUUUUUUCUUUCAACCCAAAAUAAUAAAUAAAAGCUAACAGUGUUAGUAUUGGAAAAGUCAAAACACAUUUCAAUAACCACAAAUUCAAUUAUAAAUGUGCGAUUUCAAUUUUAUAUUUUUAAAUCCAUAUAAAGUGUGCGUUAAAACAAAUGCAUAUAAAUUUAGGUCGCUUAAUAUUUAAACCUUUCAAGUUACCUCUUUCAAAAACAACAACAAAAAAACCUUACAAGUUACCGGUCAACAAGACAAAGCAAUCCUAGCCAUCCCUAUUAAUUUAUAUUAAAUCAGUGGUUGAGUUUAGAUGAGCCUAAGAUGGGGAAAUUUUACAAUUUCCCCAUGCUAAACGUCGCCUUAUUUUUAACUUUCAAACAAACUUUGACUUUUCUUCUUUUGGAGUUGUUUCAUUUUGACAAUUCUUUUCAAGUUUUGAAAAACACAAGAAGUGAGUGUUAAUGAUCUUCUAGUUCUAGUAGAAUAGAUGAUCCUUCUAAAUUUGUCAUGCAAUUACUAAUUAUUUAUGUGGCACAUAAUCAGUGACAUAGCGAUGAUAGGGAAGAACAUGAUUGGAAAAGAAUAUGGAUACUCCACAAAUUUUAAAUAAAAUGACCAUUUUGCCCUUAAAAAAACUAGACAAGACUAUAAUACUUUUUCUUCUUAUUCCUUCUCCAAAACCAGUAUCUUUGUUCAUUUUCUUCGGCAAUCGCUGUUGUUUAAAGGAGGGGUAACAAUGGUACAAUCUAACAAACAAAUCAAAAUUCUUUCAAAAUUGAACCAACCCAUUUCUGAAUGUAAAAUAUACUCAAAAUGAAAGCAUAUCCAAUUCUGAAAACAAACAAACAAGUCUAAUCAAAAUUCUUGCAAGCGUCGAUGACAGAUCAUAGAAUGAUAUGGUGGGUUGUUGUUUUUUAAAAUGAUCGAAGCUUUAAUAGUUUCUUUCUAUUUCAUGUGAAGCUUUCAUGGUUAGGGCCACGUCACCGGAGGUGUUGCCUGUUGAUAGUUUGCGUUUUUGUUUCAUGUAAAGCUUCCAUGGUUAGGGACACGCAACUGGAGGUGUUCGUUGAAAGUUGUCGAAAAUGUGGAUAUGUGAUGAAGGCAACAACAAACAAUGAGUAAAGAGUAUAAUGAUGACUAGUGAGUUCAAAACGAAUUUCAAAGAGGAAACACACAUGGAGUACGAAAUUGAACUCAGAGGAGGAUGCGAUGGUUGUUUUGACAGGGAGACAGAAGUGGUUGUUGAUGGUGGAGACAAGUGAAGGCGGUAGUAUUUUAGUAAUUUUGCAUGUGUCUUGGAUCAUUAAGGGUAAAAUGGGCCCUACUUGCAUGGUCGUAUAUGAGGCAGGGCGAGGAGGGAGACCAUCCUAAUCCUCAAAAAAUACAAAUUUCAUAAACUAAAGAUAUACUUAGUAUGCUUGCAAAUCAUUUUUUCAAAGUAUCCGAAGAAAAUUCAUUAGUAUACCAUCUUGUAUCCAAUAUACACCGAUUAUUAGGAGCGAAUCAAACCUAAAGUUGGUGUAGAAACAUAUGCAUUGGAGUUCUAAACACAGCCUUCAUUGUUCAAGUGUUGUAGCAUUUUUCCCCAACAACAGUUUUUUAAACCAUGCAAUUGGGUAUUUGUUCUUAUUCUUUGAUAACCACUUUUCUAAUGAUGAACUUUUAUUUGAUUGAGAUUUUUUUUUAAUUCAAUUGUAAUGUUCGCUUAUUUUAAAAAAAAAUUAAACAAUUAAAAUAAGAGCUUAAUUCAAAGAUGAACAUGGGUUACAGUGACAUUCUAUAUUCUAAAAAUAAAAGAAAUGAUAUUUAUAUAACUAUUUUAGACUAUGUUCAAUAGGUUGUUGAAUGCAAACUUAAACAUGUUGAGACCAUUGAAGAUGGGUGUUGAAAGUGAGUGGAAAGUUGAUGUGGAUGAAAGAGGUGAUGAAUGCAUUAAACAUGUUGAACUCUCUCCCGUCAGGCCACGUGGCGCAAUCCGGUUCGUUCAAAAUGGCGCGUGAGAUGCACGCGUCGAGAGGGCGCGUGGGGAAGUUGUGCACGCGGAGAGAGAGAAAGAGAAAUGGAUAAGGGCAGAACACGUGGCGUGUUUCGAUUGGCUGGUUGAAUUUUUAUCAUCUUAAUAUUUUGGACUCAAUUAUUUCAUUGCAAAUAAUUUUUUUUUUUAUACCAAACUUCGUGAUUUUUUUCUCUAUAAAUUGAGACUUGGAUCAUUUGAUUUGGACACAGAAAAAAAAAACCAAGUUUUUCACUCUUUUAAUCUUAUUAUUAGCUUUCUAUUAGCUUUUCUUUUGAAGUUUUAGUCUCUAUUUAGGGAAAUGGAUCCCAAUACCAAUCAAUUCAACACCCAAAAUUCUUCUAAUUACCCAUUUAGCUACCAAAAUUCCAACAAUUAUCAACACCCAAAUCAAUUUUGGCUUAAAUGCUCUUUUGGUCCCUUAAAUAUUUAUUUGGUAUCGCUAUGGUCCCUUAACUAAAAAAAAGAUUGUUUGAGUACUUUAAUUUAAUUUUCGUUACAUUUUUUGGUCCCUUCUAUUAGGUUUCUGUUAGGUUUAAUAAAAAACGUUAAGUGUGGUACACGUGUCGUUUUGGCAUUGGCUCUGGAAACAUUAAGGGACCAAAAUGAUACCAAAUAAAUACUUAAGGGACGAAAAGAGCAUUUAAGCUUUUUUUUAUCAUCUUCAUCAAAACCUUCAUCAUAUUCAUCAAUUAAAUUCAGAAAAAAAGGAAAUAAUCGAAAAAAACUAAAAAAAAUAAAUAUCCACCGAUUCAUCUUGCAAGACAUUGAUGCAUCUUCAACCCAAAUCCAUAACCCCUCUUUUAUUUAACCAUGCCCAAAUUCAUCUUGCAGGACAUUGAUUCAUUUUCGAGUUCAAUAACUCAUCAUCAACAGUCAUCGUCGCCGUUUCUGGGAGGAUCUACUAUCCACUGUCGUUUUUCUAGAUUCAAGGUUUUUGUGAGAGAGAAAAAUGGAAAUGGUUUUAGGAAACUAUGAAGAAUAAGAUUGAAGAAAUGGUGGAUUUUGGGUUCUAAAUUGGUAAAUAUUGAAAAAGAUUUUUUUUCUGGGUUGGUGUGUUGUUGAUGAUGAAGAUCAUGAAGAAGAAGAUGGAAGGAGAAGGAAGAAGAGGAAUAGUACAAACCCUAACGUUUUUUUGAUUUUUUUUUAACAGAAGGGACCAAAACAGGUAACAGAGAUAAAGAUAAAGUACUCAAACAAUCUUUUUUUUAGUUAAGGGACCAAAGCGAUACCAAAUAAAUACUUAAGGGACCAAAAGAGCAUUUAAGCCAUCAAUUUUUCAACCAACAUCCUCAAAACCCAAAUCAAUCCCCCAACCAACAUCCUCAAAACAGGUCUAAUUUUGGUUUUGCCUCAAAUUUCAAUCACCCAUAUUAUAGAUCUAUGAUGUGAUAUCCAUCUCAAACACCCCCAUUUAAUGGUUAUAUGCCAAUGGUGAAUGAAAAUUUUCAGAGUGUUGGUGAAUAUCCUGAAUUUUCAUCAUAAAUAAAUCGUGGUGGAAUGACAAGAGCUAAUGAAGUCACUCCAAUUCCAGAGGAUACAACUCCUAAGAGCAAGAAAAACCAGCAACCAUCAUGGAACACCGAACAAAAUUUGGUGUUAAUUAGUGGGUGGAUAAAAUAUGGAACAUGCAGUGUUGUCGGGAGAAACCAGACAAGUGAAGCAUAUUGGGGUAAAAUUGCUGAGUAUUGUAAUGAGCAUUGCUCAUUCGAUUCUCCGCUCGAUGUAGUUGCAUGCCGAAACUGUUUUAAUUAUAUGAGCAAAUGAAUAAAUAAAUGGGUUGGUGCUUAUGAUGGCGCUAAGCGUUUGCAAGGAAGCGGUUGGUCGGAAGAUGAUGUUUUCGCAAAAGCGCAGGAAUUAUAUGUAUGUGGGAAGAAUGUUCAAUUUACUUUAAAGGAAGAAUGACACGCUCUCUGUGAUCAACCACGUUAUGGUAGUCAAGUAGGAGGAAAUGUUGACUCAGGAAGUAGUGGAUCUAAGAGAUCUCACAAGGACUCUGUAGGAUCUAGUGCUCGUCCAAUGGGUAGGGAGGCAGCUAAAAAAAAAGGUAAAAAGAAAAGCAAGGACGAGACCUUGGAGAAGGUGGAAAAGGAGUGGGUUCAAUUCAAAGAAUUAAAGGAGCAAGAGAUUGAACAAUUGAAAGAGUUAACCUUGGUGAAACAACAUAAAAACAAGUUGCUGCAAGAAAAGACUGAAGCUAAGAAAAUGAAAUGUAUCUAAAGUUAAGUUAUGAAGAGCAUCUCGAUGACCGAAUGAAAGAGCUGUUGGAAAAGUUGGAGCGUGAGCUGUUUGAAAAUUAAUUUUAAUCAAAUAUUUGUUUGUAUUCAGUCAAAAUUAUCAGUGUUGUCUAGUCACGAGUGUUUGCUUUAAUAUUUGUCAGUGUUGUCUAGUCCCUAGUGUUUGCUUUACCAAUUAUCCGUGACUUUUAUUUCAAACACUAUUUGAAGGUCUUCCUCCAUUUGUUGAAAUGUGUGCCUACUGUUUAAUAAAAUGAUACUAUGACGAUGCAAUGUUUCGUCGUCGGUACCGGAUGCAAAAGCACGUUUUCAUUCGAAUCGUUGUAGACCUUUCAAUUAGUGAUAACUACUUCACCCAAUGAGUUGAUGCUGCCAACAAAGAAGGUAUAUCACCGCUAGCAAAAUUUACCACAGCAAUGCGAAUGUUAGCAUAUGGUGUGGCAACAGAUGCGGUCGAUGAAUACAUCAAAAUAGGAGGUACUACAACAUUGGAGUGCUUACGUUCUAGACCGGUUUGAUGAUGUGGAACAGGGAAAGGCUCCAACGGUGAAUUACUUUGUGAAUCAACGUCUCUAUAAUAUGACAUACUAUCUAGCUGAUGGUAUCUACCCUUCUUAUCCAACUUUCGUCAAAUCAAUUAGACUUCCUCAAAGUGAACCCGAUAAGUUAUUUGCAAAACAUCAGGAGAGCUGUCGGAAGGACAUCGAACGUGCUUUUGGAGUGCUUCAAGCUCGAUUUAAAAUCAUCUGUGAACCAACUCGCUUGUGGGACAUAGCCGAUUUGGGUAUCAUCAUGAGUUCAUGCAUCAUAUUACAUAAUAUGAUUGUUGAGGAUGAACGAGAUACAUAUGCUCAACGUUGGAUUGAUUUUGAGCAAUCUGAGGGAAGUGGAUCCAGUACACCGCAACCAUACUCGACCGAGGUGUUACCCACUUUUGCAAAUCAUGUGCGUGCUAGAUCCGAGUUGCGUGAUCCAAAUGUUCAUCACGAAUUGCAAGCAGAUCUAGUGAAGCACAUAUGGACAAAGUUUGGAAUGUUUCGUGAUUGAAGAUGAUUUGUAUCGUACUAAAUAAAUUACUUGUGUGUUGUGUGCUUGUUUGUUAUCUUGCAUUUUAAGCUAUUUGUGUGCUGUGUGCUUAGUUUAUUGUAUUGCAUCUUAAGUUAGAAAAUAAAAAUAAAUUAUUUAAAUAAAUUGUGUUUUUACAAAAAAAAAAAUUGUUAAGUGUUUCUUUAUUUUUAUUUAAUUAUAAUCGAUAAUUGUAAUUUUAUGUAAUUAUCAAAACAAAAUAUAAAAUUAAAUAAGAAUAAGAAAUAAAAUUAGGUGGUGGGGUAGAGUGUUGAAUGAAAAAACCAUUGGAGAGGUAAAAAUUGAAUGAGUGUUGAAUUAAGAGAGAUAAAAUGGUGUGGAGUGUAGGGAAUUGAAAAAGUGGGUGUUGAGGGUUGUUGAAUGUUUGUGACCAUUGUAAAUGGUCUUAGAACAACUUUUGGAUCUCUUUCAUAAUCUUCUUGUGUUCUUACUCUCUCUCUCUCUCUUGUUUUUUUACCAAUAAAAAAGAAGAAGAAAGUUGCCAAUAAAAUGGUUGUACGCAUAUUAUUACUCAAAAAUAAAUUUAGAAACAUUCUUUUGUUGUUUAUUCUUAAAUUGAAGACAAUGUAACCAACCAUCUCACGAUCCACACAAAUGGAAGUAUUAAGUUUCGUUGAACAUAGUUCACUUGACUUGAGGCUUAAAUAAUACUACUUUUAGGUGGCAAAAACAAUCAAGGUAAUGGUUUCACUGAAUUAGAAAUUCUAGUGGCCAAAACAAUCAUGGUCACAAAUUCAAAUCAGCAUAACAUUUUACGAAACAUACCACAUCAAGUGCAGCUUAGCUUAGAAUCUUAUCAUGUAUGCAUUCAAAAGUUUUAUAAUACAAUGCCAAUAUUAGCUUCUACCAAUAAACCUGACCUUGUAUGUACUAAUGUACACACCACUAAAAGUCAUACAAAUGCUUUCUCCAAUGUUUUAACCACAUAAACCAUAGUGUAAAUAAUCAUUUUCUUCACCUGUCACCAAAGAAGCAGCAAUUAGGAACAAACUUUAUAGAAAAUACCAUAAAGAAUCGAUUGAUAGCGAUAAUGGCUUGGGUAACCUGUAAGAAAUUGUAAGUUUAAAAAUGCAGUCUUCAAAAAGAACUUAGAUGCACUCAAACCGGUUUGAGUUACGACUAACCUAAAUACUAAGAUAUCAGAGGCUAUGCUAUAUAAAUUGGGCGACAAUUGUCAUGCAACUCGAGUAACGAUCUAAACAUCUAAGAUUGAAGUAUUUGAUGCAAUAUAUGAAAAUGAGCCAUUUAUAUUUAUUUUUCUAUCUAACAUAAACAUCUCAACAAAUAAUUUAUAUCUAUUUGAUUUUAUCGUCCAAAUAUUUUAUUUUUUGUUUUUAUUACUUUCUAAUUUAUUUUAAUAUAAAAUUAGAAAGGUAUGAAUAUCCAUAUAGUAAAGUAUUUAUAAAUAUUUGCAAGUUAAAUAUCAACGUGUAAAUGAUUUUUUAUACAAAAAAUAAAUGAUUAUAAAAUAAUUGAAAUUAUGUAGAAUUUAUUCCUUAAAAUGUAUUAUUAAUAAUUGUGGUAUUAAUGGUCAUUUUACAAUUGUUCGGUGUGAGAUUUGAACAAUGUCUCUUAAAGAUAAAAGGCAUAUAUAUAUUCAACCCAAUAUAUUAUACCACACACUUUCACAACAAAUUACAAAUCAAAGAAAAACCAUUAAUUAGAAAAUCGAGUUAUAUUUUAUUUCAUGACAAGAAAUUUUUUAUUUAAGUACUAUGACAAUUGUAUAGUUUUACUAAUUUAAUAACGGGUACGGAUUUCUCCGAGUCUAGAUACUUAAAAAAAUAUUUUAUUUUAUUCUAUAUGUGUUAAUGAUUUUACAUUUGUACUAAACUCGGUUAUUUUCAUCCUCAUGUGCAUCUAUUAAUUUAUAGGUACUUAAAGUAUGAUUUGCUUUAUUGUAUUCGUGUAUACCCAUUAAGAUAUUUGUAGUGUACCGUUUCGUGGUAAAUUUUAUUUACGGACACCAUACAUUCAUAAUUUUGGUCAUCCUUAAUUAUAUGUCUAACCCGAAAAAUGCCGGAUAAAUACACUAGUAUUACCUAAAAUUAAGGUAAUAUAAGAGAAGAAUUGUCUAAUUUUACCUAAAAUAUUUUAUCAACAUUUUUAAUCCCCGUCACAAGUUUUGGUCCUUAGAAAGCUAGAGAAAAAAAGUUAUAGGAACUAAAAAAAGUAAUUUUAUUUUGUAUGAACUAAAAACAAAACGCUAAUAUUCAUAAAGGCCAUUUGUAAAAAAAAUAUUCAUAAAGCUCAAUUACUUAAUUAACCCUUAUUAUUAUCAGCGUUGUUAUGAUCAUCAUUGUGGUUGUCGUCUUCGUCAUAUUGUUCCUUCUCGUUUUUCUCUUGUUUUCAAGAUGAUGGUUAAUUUAGUGAUCUUAUUUUUGAGGGCUUUUUUGGGUAGAUAAAUAUAGAAGUAUAGAUAUAAAAAAAAAGAUUUAACAAUUAUAUUUGCGUAGAUUCUGAAACAAUAAAACGAGUAAAACUAUGGAGCUAAAAAUAGUUCAAUUGAAGUUAAGGAUUUAAAAAAUUCACCGUUAAGAAAUUAGGGUUAAAAACAGAAGACUUGCUUCUCAAUUAAGUAUUCUUUGUCAAAUAUUGCUCCCCUACAAGUCAUACUGAACCCCCCCACUCCCUUCUCCUUUUCGUUGCCUUCCGUAAUCUUUCCUCCCCCUUCGGAAUUAGCAAUCCUCGUAUUGAACCCAUCAUUCAUCCAUCCUCUUCAUAUCGACGACAAUGUGUUGGUAAGUCAGUUCGAUAUAUCUCUCUGCCUUCUCCGUUUUGCUUUGCUUUCUCGGUGCACUAUGGCCAAACCAUUAGGUGAAAAAAAAGGUUAGUAACCACAUACCGGAAGAUCUUGCAUUAUUCAUUCUAUCAAAACUUCCUUUAAAAUCUUUAAAACGUUUUGGAUGUGUAAAGAAAACAUGGUCUCUCUUAUUUGAAAAUUCUUAUUUCAUCACCAUGUUCCGCACUAAUUUCAUAUCUAUUCCUCACUCUUACUAUGAUGAUACAACACUCAUCCUACAAGAGAUUGUAGAGACACCUCUUAAAUGUUAUAUCCAUUCACUUUCUGGUGAGAGGUUUGAGAAUAGACUCAAAUUCCAUAUGCCAAAUCCAUUUCAAGUGGAGGACCCUCUCCUCUAUAUUUUAGAGUCUGGAUCUACUAACGGAACUCUUUGUCUCUACGGAGGACCCGAUGAACUUGUAUUGUGGAAUCCAAGUACCGAUGAAUUGAACGUCGUUCCUUCCAGUUCUAUGGUCUCUAUGCCACCUUAUCGGGAUCCUUACACUACUCUUCAUGGAUUUGGUUAUGACCAUGUUAGAGAUGACUAUAAGAUUAUUAGGUGUAUACAUUUUUUUCUACUAGAAGGCGAAGAUCUUUUUCGUCUCAACCUGUCGAAGGAAGAUGUGCAACGGGAUGAAAUAUCUUAUGCACGUGUAUGGGAGAUUUAUAGUUUAAGAUGUAACACUUGGGAAUAACUUCAUGUCGAUAUACCUCCAUAUUGUUUUUCAGGUUUAUUGUACACAGAUGGAAUAUGGCAUUGGUUGUCUAGAAAUAAUGCUCAACAUUACAUGGUGUCAUUUGACCUAAGCAAUCAUGUGCUUUUUAAAACAUUAACGCCCUUAGCAAUACCGAUAGACAUAGAUCCCAAUUUUGAUUUUGAGAAUGUGAGUAAAGAAUUGGUGAUGUUAAAUGGUUCCAUUGCUUUGAUCUCUUGGUAUGAAGAUACGACCACCUUUCACAUAUCAGUUUUAGGUGAACUUGGUGUGAGUGAAUCAUGGACUAAACUCUUUAUUAUUGGACCUUUGUCCGACCUUUUUACGUAUCCUAUUGGAGCAGGGAGUAAUGGUGAUAUAUUCUUCAAAGCAGGAGAUGGAAAACUAGUCUUUGAUUUAAGAACACAGAUGAUUGAGAAACUUGACGGUGUGGAAAAAGCAUAUUCCAAAAUAAUAAUCUAUAAGAAAAAUGGAGGAAUAAAUCAUUAGUUAGUUUUUGUUCUCAAUUAUUAGGAUCAUUUUAUCUUAAAUAAUAAAAAGUGGUUUAUCAAUCACCCAUUAUCAUAUUUAUGAUUACGAAGCAUAUGAUAAAUUAAUAAACCAUCUUGUAAUUAUGAAUGUUGCAGCUUUGACAAAUUUAUAUUGAAAGUAUUUGUACUAUCUUUCUAUUUGUUUAAUUAUAGUUCUAUUUGCAAGAUGAUAUGAUUUCUCUUUCUAUUGUAUUGAAUGGUCUCUGGUUUUUUGGUAGCUAAUGGUUUUAUUAUGACCUUGUUAUGAGUUAUUAUGAGUUUAUAAGUUAUUUUUUCAUUGUACACAUGAAUUAUUACAAGUUUAUUAAUUAUUUCAACACUAAAAGUUUAUGUCAAAGUCAUAUUCCUAAGUUUUUUAGUUUUGUUUCCCUUUGUCGAUGAUUUAUGUUAGUAUCAUGUUGAUGAGUUUUUCUUCCUUUUUUGAUCAGUUUAGAGUGUUCUCUAUUUCUUGCAAUGGUUGUCCACAGACAAGUAGGUUGCAAGUAAAUUCAAUUUUCUCUAUUUAUUGAUUUAGUAUCAUGUUUGCAGAUUAGUAAUCAAUGAUUUAUGGAAUUUUUUUACAGAUUGAGCUCAAUUUUUUUGACCCGAGGAGUUCAUCAACAUCAUCGUUAAUAUCUUGAGACAAAAGGUGCAAUAGUGGAAUACAAUUAUCAGAUGCAACCUGUUCCAGUCAGACCAAGCAGUGCUCUUACACUUUCCAGUAUGGAGAUGGUAGCGGAACCUCAGGCUAUUACGUGUCCGAUACGAUGCAUUUGGAUACUAUUUUUGAGGGAUCUGACUACAAAUUCUUCAGCUCAUGUAGUUUUUUGGGUGAGCUUUCAUGAGCCUGAAAUGGUUGAUAUUUGAUAGCAUAUCUCUUGUUUUCUUUCUUCGUGUUAAUUAGUUUAAUCUAAUCUCGGAAACCGCUACUUUGUGAAUUGAGCAGUUGUAGUAACGAGCAGAGUGGAGACUUGACAAAAUCUGACAGAGCAGUUGAUGGUAUAUUUGGAUUUUGGCAACAACAAAUGUCUGUGAUCUCACAGCUCUCAUCACAAGGGAUUGCUUCUGGAGUAUUCUCUCAUUGUCUUAGAGGAGAUAGCUCUGGUGGAGGAAUUCCGGUUCUUGGUGAGAUUGUGGAGCCUAACAUAGUUUAUACUCCAAUUGUUCCAUCACGGUAAGUUUUUAGCUAACUGCACCCUUCGCAAAUAUUUCAGGCUCAUUACAAUUUAAACUUACAGAGCAUAUCUGUUAACGGCCAGGCACUUCAAGUCGAUCCAUCAGUUUGUGCAACAUAUCAAGCAACAGAGGCACCAUUGUUGAUUAUGGAAAAAAAAUCAUAUUCCUAAGUUUUAUAAACAUGAAGGCUCGAGUAAAGGUUAAAAUUUCAUCUUAUUUGCGUCAUGUUUCUAUUCUAAUUUUUCAACAUCUAACAAAGUAAUUAUGUUAGACAGAUUUGAACUUAUACAUGUCUUUCGGUUUUUACAUGUAAAAGAGAAAAAAUAAAUUAUACUUCCAUUUCCCCAUCUUUUCAUGACAUGUUCAUAAAAGCUGUUUUCAGCUUAUUUCCAUAAGCUGUCUAGAAAAGCUUAUGAAAAUAGCUACAUAAAGCUUUAAAGAGUUUUGUCUCCUGAGGUGAAAUUUCUACAUAAAGCUUUAAAGAGUUUUGUCUCCUGAGGUGAAAUUUCUACAUAAAGCUUUAAAGAGUUUUGUCUCUCCAGGUCAGUCUACGUAAAGCUUUAUCUAUCCACCUUCUAUGCUCUUAAUGUGACAUGACACUACAAACAUUUCUACAUAUCUUGUAUUUAAAAGUUGGUUAAUAUAUUACUCAUUCCCAUGCUGGAAAUGCUGCCACACGUAUGUAACCAUGAAAUUAUAUUUUAGUUUAGUUUUAUUGAGUUAUGGAAAAUGUUAAAUUGAUAACUAUGAGCCUUGCAUAAUCGAUAAUUUAUAGCUGAAUUGAAUUGAUUACCAUGAAAUGCUGCCACACGUGUAACUGUAAAUAAAUAUUAUGUACUAUAGGUUUAUGGAUAUUUUCCAAAAUUAUUUGGUUGUCAAAUCCAUUCCUAAUUCCAAAAAUCAGUCCAUCUUUCCUCUAUUUAAUUUUGCAUUUUUUAGUUUAGUUUAAAAAAUUGAUUAUGAUCUUUGGAAAAUGAAAUUAGAGGCACUGCUAAAUUGAGCUUGAUGUGUUGUUGUAUUAAGUGUUAGAUCAUUAGACUUUGAAGCUGAUGGCUUGUUGGGAGUCUAUGCUGAGAUUUUCGAUACAAUUCUGUCUAGUUUUUCUGCCUCUGCUGCGCAAUCUCGACUACGCAAUCGCAACAUAGCUUUUGGCAUGUUGCACUCUUUUCUUAGUUGCCUCCAAAUGUGAUUAGAUGCCUACAGUUUUGGGGUUUGAUGUUGUUGUUUAGCUAGCGUGCGUUACUGUUUUGAACUCAAUUCAGUUGAAGUUCUGACUUCUAAUUCUAUCUAAUUUUUCCUUAACAGGUCUAGUUUAUGUUGUUAUGGGGUAUUUUUGAUAUAUGGUGAUGAACUGCUGGUGGGUGGUGUUUGGUCCUGCAAUGAUGGUUCUGUUCAAGGACGAGUUACCACUAUUGUCGUGUUUUCUCGACUACGAGCAUGAAUUUGUUUUUUUGGUUGGGUCUAUGAUGGUUCUCAUCUUCCGAAACUGCCAUGUUUUUGACUGUUUUUCUUUAGUUUACUGCUGCUAUAUUUCUGUGUUUUUUCCCUGCUUUGGCGAGGAGUUAUCCCCGAUUACAUAUAGAUCAGGGAUUAGUUUUGUUGCCUAACACUACUCGAUGUCAAACCUUUGGACAAAUUUUCGUUUCCUUGUUACAUAUUGGCAUCCCCACUGACUCAAAUUUUGUCUAACUUUGUCGCUUGUAGAAUGCAUUCCAAAGUGACCUGUUCAAUAUAUACACGCUGCUGGGAAUAGUUUGCACUUAUGGUUGCUGCAAGCUCAGGGGAGAUGAGCUUUUCUAGAGGGCUUGGCUGGUCCGAUAUUCAACAUAGUUGACAAACGAUGCGCAUUUGAAUUAAACUUGUUUGAUUUGCUUAAAUUAGGGUGGUAGCUAUUCGAUUUAUAUUACCAAUGAUAUACAAUUUUUUUUUGAAGAGAUAUAUAAUGUAUUUGUUCUUUUCAUUAUCAAUCAAUUUCAGCUUGUUGAAAUCUUUGAAGUCAAAUAUAUAAAUAUUUUACUGAUUGAUCUACCUAGUCUUGACUAUUCAGUAACAUUUAUGUAACAAAACUAUAGAUUGGCAACAAAUUAGCUACAAAUUACCUACAAAAUAAGUAACAUUUUUUAAGUGUUACAAGUAAUACUUUCAAGUGUUACUGAAAUCAUUUAGUAACACCGGCUUUACCUAACAUUUAUCAAAUGUUACAAGAUCUAAAUAGUAACAUUUGUUUUUGAUUUAGUUACAAUUUUGAAGUGUUACUAAAUCUCAUAUAUGUUGUAGUGUGAUAGGAAAGAAGUGCAUUUUUGCAUAUAAAUGUUAGAAAAUGGUGUAAGUUCUGAAUGAUGGGUGAAUAUUGAUGUUUGGAGUAGUGAGUGUUGUGAAUUAUACACUUGAAUGAGGAUGACCGGAAAUUUUACUAAUAUAUAAUGUUGUUUAAAUGUACCAUAUAUAUUUUUAAUGAAUGUAUUCUCACCACUGCUUUGUUGUUUUGUGUUUGUGGUGUCUGUACUCGUGGGAGGACAUAUACUUAGGUUAAGGAGUUUUAGCUGCGAGGUAUUGGGAUGGUGGCGUUGGAAGUUUUAUUCCAUCUGAUUUAUUUAUGAAAAACUGUAUAGGCAAUUACGUUGUUUUGAUUCGAUAACACUAGGGUUAAGGUGUUUUCAUCGUUUUGUUAAGUUUCUUGGAGAUGAUUUUUGAAACUAUGAUUUUAUUAUGCUAUAGUGUAGAGACCUUAAAUUAUUUUAAUUGAAGUUGAUGAACUAUUUCGCUGCUUUAAUUAUGAUAUUUGAUUUAUGGAAAGGUAGAUUGUCGAAUAUGUGUAGCACCUAUUUAAAUAAAUAUACUUUUUAUGUUACAAUUAUAGUUUACACUUGAGUGAUUUUGAGGCUCCGAUGAUUGCCAUUUCGGUGUUGAACAUUGGGAUAUGGUCGACUGGGUCAUUCCUUCCAUUGAAAGUGGACUGUGAGGGUGGUUUGAAAAUUUUGAGAACUGGCACAUUCCAGAUCUCCGCCAAAAGGGUUGGGGAUCCAAUUCCUCCGUCUCCUCAUUGUUAUGGUGGAGCUCGUCCUGUUGUUGUUGGAUCAUGUUGAUUGAAGCUUGUAGGGCUUCGUUUUAUUGUUGCAGCUUCUGUAACUGGAUUUGCAUUGCUACAACGAUGUUUGGAUUGGCGUCUCCCCCAACCACCGAUUUUGUCUAGAGCGUUAUUGCUUUGAGAAUAUUGAUGGUGGCCUAGGAUAGUUUUACCGAAGCCCCAUAGUGAACACUAACUAUACUUGAAAUAAGCACAAUGAUAACACUCGACUCAGGAGAAAGCUAAGUGAUCAAGUUCUAGGUCUGUAUAUUUAUGGUUCUCUGAGUGUGACCCCAGGGUGCUAUUUAUAGCUCCCCCUACUUUAUGGCGGCAGACUCUAAUCUUUAUUAUGAUUCUUUAUUACAUACAACUACAUUUUUUUUAAAUCAGAUAUCACUAUUUUGAAAAAAUCUAUUUAACACACAUUAUUCUAUUAAGUCCAAAAAUUUGUUGUCAACAAAACAAAAUAUCUAGUUCAUUAACUUCUUUACUGCUAUUGUAGUAGCCAAUUAUAAUUUUGUAGUGACAUUUUAGUUUUUCAUAUCUUGUAAAACACAUCAAGGCAUAAGGCUAUUAAGACUACUAAUUAAAAGCUAAAAGAAAUAUAAAUUGUAAGUGUUUCAACCAAUUAUUAAAGGUAUUCUUAUAAGUGGCGAGGAUUUAUUUAAAAAAAAUUGAGAAUAUGACAUUUUUAUUAAUUAAAGUGAUAUUAAUGACUAUUUUACUACUACUACUACGGAGGGGAUUCAAACUCAACACUUUAAAGUUACAAGGUUAAACUCUUUUCGAUGAGAUAGACCAUAAAAUUAUAGGCGGUAGGAUGGAAAAAAAAAAAAAAAAAAGGUGUGAUAUGACCGAAUUGGAUUCCAAUGCGAUACUUCUAAAAUAAGAGAGAGAAGAUCAAUCUAAAUAAACUCUUUAAUUCCUUACUAUCAUUUUAGAGUAUAAAAUAGUAACUACAAGGUCUAUGAAAUUAAGGAAAAAAAUAUUGUGUGGCAGUACAAUAACUAAAUGAGAGCUCAUGAAAAAUGUAUCAUAAUGAAUAUUGCACAUUUCUUUUACUAGCACAAUAAUCCAUUCUCAUAUGUAAGGUGUUUCUGCACUCUUUUGGGUUUGGUACUCAUAUAAUCGGCGAAGCUUUUUAGUCAAUUCACAUUUGUGAUCAACACAUUUGACAACAUAAAACCAGUCUGUAAUUUGUGGACAAUCGGCAUCAGUUUCACAAUAAAUAUCUACUGUAAUGAAAAAGGAAAAGAAAAGAAAAUAAUGUUAACUAAAACAUGAUAAAAGAUUGUGUACGAACUGCAAAGUAAAUAGAAAAAAUUGAAAAGAAUGAGAAAUGACUUACCACCAUCAACUUCCGUUAUGACAAGAAAUAAGGGAAGAAAUAGAAUCAUAGCAUAAACAAAUUCGAGAAUUUCCACCAUAUGUUUUCCUCUUUGCAUGUCAAAAAUAGAAUAUGAUUUGAUCACCUUUUAGCGUAUAAAGUUCAUGCUCUCCUAAAAUUAAAUAAUUUUUUUUAUCACUUCUAAAAUUGUAAAAUCCUUUUAUAAAAUUAUAAUCAUUAUUAAAUAUUUCUUAAGUAUUUGUUGUGUUUGUCUCUUCAACACACCUAGUAGGCGGUUAAAUAACAAACGUUCUAAUCAUUAAAAUUUAUUCUGUUUUAAUUAACUUUUCAUUACUUUUUGAACCUUUCACGAUAGUAAAAGAUUUUUUUUCUUUGUGAACCAUGAUAAAGUUAUUUUUUGGAAUAAUACACCAAUAUUAUUAUUUUUUGGACAAGAAUGAUGCACCAAUAUUAGAGUGAGAACAUGUAUAUACAUAGUGGCGGAGUAUUACAAGGGCAUAGGUGUGCCCACGACCCACCCUCCCCCUGUAUUACAAGGGCAUAGGUGUGCCACGACCCACCCUCCUCCCUCCCUCCAAAAAAAAAAGUAUAUUUUUGUUCUAUUAGUAAAAUGAUAAAAUAUCCAUGACUUUCUUUCUGACUCCGCCACUAUUUAUACACAAGUAAAAUGUAUGGUAGGAUCAAUUCAUGUUGCUGAUAAAGUCAUUGAAAAAAAAUGAAUGUGUAUUUAAUUUUGUAAUUGCAUGAUUUAUUAUACAUUUUCUUUUUUUUUUGAAGGAAGGAAUCUGUUUUUUUAUUUAUUAUAUACAUUAUCAUUCAAAUCAAUUAUAUAAUUCAUAUUGAUUUAAAAAAUAAUUUGGUACUGAAUUGAAUGUAAACUAAAAUUGAUUUUAAAAUUGAUUCAUAUAAUAAUGAAUUGAAAUAUGUUCUCAGGAGGAAUGCAAUAUACUUGAUUUCAUGUAUAUUUGCAUUCCUCCUGUUUCAUUUUCCAACGUGCCUCUCCUUGUCCAUUUUAUCGUGUUCCAUCGUGGUGUGCCUUUUUCUUGGGCUGAAGAGCACAUCUUAGUAUCUAUGUACUUGAAGGAUCCGAUUGAUUUUUCAUGGCUCCUUUACCACCAUCUCAUGUUGUUGAUAUCAAUGUUAACAGAGAAGAGGUAGUGCUACUCCAUCUAGUUAGUGCUUCAAAUGAUUACACUAUCAGUAGUGCUUAUAGUUUCCUUCAACAAUCAGCAAAUCAAAAUAUCCUUGCAGAUGACAACCAUGUAUUUUGACAUAAAGAUGUUCCUUUGAAAGUCAAUUUUUUUAUGUGGCGUCUUCUUUUCAACCGCCUUCCAACGAAUGCUAAUUUAUGAGAGGAGUGAUUCCGGCUACUUGAAGGGUGUGGUAAUUUAGAGGAUAAACAAUGCCCGUGUUGUCAAAAAGAUCGGACUAAAGCAAUGAGAGAAUAAUACCAAAUCAGCUCAACCAUGCAAAAUCAACUCAUUUUGGUCUUGAAAAACACAACAUGGCAUUACAAUUCAAGAAUAAAAAAUAAAAUAAAAAUAGUUUUUGCUUUCGUAGAGAACAACAAACUAUUAAAACUUCAAACAAAGAAAAUAAAAUAUUGCAAAAGAAAUAAAUGAAGAGGAUAGUCAGCUAAUUAACCCAUGUAUUUUUUUUGUUACAAAGGCUAAAGAGCAAGGAAAACAAAAGAAACAAACAGAUAACUAAAGUCUCAAGUAAAAGGUUCCAGCAGCAUGAGAGGCAAAAGCUCCGCUGGAGGAGAGUCGUGGCGGAUGAGCUAAUUGUCAUGGCGGAUGAGCUAAUUAACUCAUGUAUAAAACAAAAUACAUUAUUCAUACAACUGAAAAAUUAGUUAAUUUCUAGAGUUCAAGAAAUACCAGCAGAACACAAAUAACAGCCCAAACAUUUUAUAACUUUGCUAGUUAUCUUCUAUUAUUCUUACCCCAAGAUCAGUAAUUAGUAAUAAUUCACUUCAUUGAAGAUUCACAAUCUGAGUUCAAAUAUAGAGUUUUCAAAAAUGACAAUGUUUUUUUAAAAGAGAGAGAUACAUAGUCAUACUCAUAUGACAUGCCCCCAUGAAGAAAAACAUGGACCAAUGUCUUACUUUGACAUCAUUUUCAACUAGAGUUUUGAUUUCUUCGUCUACCUUCUUUUGCAUUUCUUUGCCUAGCCCUAAAAUUAAACCCAAGAACUUGCAAAAAAAUAUAUGAACUAAGAAUCAAAUCAAUAAAGUGAUACAAAGUAGUGAAGGAAAAUGGUUAGGGUUUCAAAAAAAAUGGGACUUUUUAUCUUUGUUGAAGUCUUAGCAAGAUAAUGAAGGAAGGUCACUUUCCAUCGAAGAAGAAGGACACAAUUACUUUUAAAAUGACACUGUAGGGAUGAAACAAAAAUGAAAUAAUUAGAGUAUAGCACAUGCUACAGUGACCGGAAAGUUGGUCGCUAAUUUUUUAAUAGAAUGGGUAAACAAAUAUCAGAGAUUGAAUUUUCUGUCACUAAACACCGGGUUCUACUUUAGUCUCCAAACUACAUUUGGAGACGCAAAAACUUAUUGUUAAAAAAUAUUUUAGAACUUUAUGAUGAUUGAAAACUUAUUGUCAAAAUCCUUCGCUAUAAUCCCGAUUUCUAGUAGUGUUUAUGAUUGAACACUCAUGAUAUUUUGUAAGGUUUGAACAUAACUGUGUCUUGUGGCAAUAAAUCAAGCGCAGUUGUGUAAACCUUCCUAAAAUUAUUGUAGGCUAUUUUUGGAAGAAAAGAGUAAAGUAACUUGCACAAAAUUGAGAAUGAACAGUAAAUUUUUAUCACACCUCUCUCAUCGAAAUUUAGUUGUUCCAGCCGCAUAGAACAUUGUAAGCCACCAACAACCACCAUUCCAUCUUCAUUCUUCAUUGUUUUAGCCAUGAAUCCGUUCCUUAUUACAUGACAUUGUCUUAAUCUUCAUCCUAAAGAAGCUAGUGAAGCAAUCAAAUCACCUUUUAUCCAAAUAUCAUUCGCGCAAGUUGUUAAAAAUGUUUGUGAUAUACCUUUGAGACAACAAUUCCUCAACUUAGUGUUAAAGGUGACUGGAUUGCUAUAGUAAUUCCUUAAUAUGAAUACAAAGAUGGAAUCAAAACUUGUAAGGACAACUUGUACAAACGAAUUAUCUGGAAAAGCGUGCAACACAGUUGAAGUUUGGUGCCUUGCGAGCCAAGCUAUCGCCAAUAUGGAAAUCCCUAAGUAAUGGCGAAUGACCUCUCUGGGUAAGGGUUAAUUUCUGAGUCCUCCUUUACAUCUCUAGAGGAUGUUCAAAGUGUGAGAUCGAUAGGAUCUUGAAUCUCAAGAGCAUUGGAGACCUAAAGUACUCUUUGAUAUAAGCCAAUAUUUGAUGUAGACUUUGACUAUUUUGUUUGAGUCUUGGUUGAUAUGGACCUUAAAUAUCAACCCAAGUACGACGCUCUUGUUGAGAGAACAUGGUUUCAUUUUUGUGGAGAUGAGAAUAUUUUUUGUGAAUCGAACCAACUCGAAUUUAGUUUAAAACUCGAUUCGAUAAUUGAUUUAUUGAACUUAGUUCAUGAACUAAAUGAGCUGAAUUUAAGUUGAAAAUUAAGUUUGUUAAUUAUAUGAGUCGAACAUGAACUAUAUAUAGUUCGACUCGUUUGGUUCAUGAACUGACUCGAUUAUAUAUAUAUAUAGGACAUAUCUAAUGAGAAUAGCUUUGUUAUGUGAGAAUAAUGAGAACGCAUAUGGAUCCUUAGAUUAAAAAUAAAUGGUUAUGAUUAAAAGUCCUCUUUUAAACAACACAUGUUCUUUCUACAGUGUAUCAUGUUUCUAUGUUCAACCCAUCUUCAAUCCAAACAACACCAUUCCAGUAUUGCUUUCAUCUAUGCCACCCGCCGGUGACACGACAACUCCGGCAAUUUUUCGAUUGAUGGAGGAACAAUUUCCGAAAGGUUUCUGUAACUUAAAUUGAUUGUUCUGAGAUUGCAAAGCUGACUAAUCCCUGUCGGAAUCUCGUCGGAGAUGAAAUUCCAGCUGAUGCCGAAAAACUUACUGACGUGAAACAUUUAGAUCGACGAGAGUUGAGAGCUUACCGACGACGGUGUCUAUUUUUCCGGUGAGGCCAGGAUAACCGGAUCUAGAUUCGCCGAGAUUUAGAUCAACGACUUAAUGGACGGAAAAUUAAACUCUGACAAGGUUGCAGGGAUGGUCGGUGAUGGCCACAAAGUCACAUCACCCAAAGACGAUGAAGGAACCAAAACGUUUUAGAAAAUUGGGAAUGAAGAGGAAAAAAUUGAAUUAAUUUGGUUUUUCAUCUCUCGUAUUAAUUUGGAUCUAGAUUCAAUUUUAUCAUUUUUCAUCCUGUAUGUGUUUUUCAUAAGAUUGAUUUUGAACCAAUUAUGAGAGAGAAGGGAUACGACGGAUUGGGCGUGAGGAAGAAUGCAGGAUGGAAGGUGUGUUGUUGAGAAAUUUUUUUUUUUCUGCCCUUAUUUUUGCCAAAAAACACAAAACUACCCUACUUUUUCGAAAAAUUGCAAAAAUACCCUACUUUUUCUGAUACCCCUGGCACCACACAACCCCAAGUUGCGGGGUACCCUCAAAGUUGACGAAAUUUUUGUCCUUAUUAUACCCCACAACUCCAAGUUGCGGGGUACUUUCCCUAUUUUUUUUUUUUAAUUUUAAACUACCAAGCAAGAUGGACUUGCGAGGUAGUUUAUAAUUUUUUUUUUUUAAAAAUUAAAUACCCCACAACUUGGGGUUGCAAGGUAUUUUUCUAUUUUUUUUUUAAUUUUAUAAUUAAUUAAAAUAUAUUAUUUCAUCUACUAUAAAUACUUUCUUUCAUCUUUCAAUUUAUCACACCAUUUCAUUUUUUGAUAAUUAGUUGCAUUAUUUUGGUCAGGAUAUUAAUAAUGUUAAUUUAGGCAUUAAUAAUAAAGUAAUUAUAAUAAUAAUCAUUAUCUACGAAAAAUAAUAAUAAUAAUAAUAAUCAUAAUAUAUAUAAAAUAAAAAACUUACGAAAUAAAAUAAAUAUGCAAUAAAGACUAGAUUUCUACUGAUGUCUAAUAUUAGUGCAAUCUUUGCGGGAAUGAUCAGGCAUCCUACAAACGCCGCAUCUUCUCUCAGUUUCCACAUCGUCCAUCUCGGUCCUAAUGCGAGUAAUUGGUGGACGACCUUUCUUUGCCCUACGCAUCGACUUGUUGGGAACCACCUUCAGUCCUUCAUAAUCAGGCCAAUAUGACUGGUGGUGAACCACGUCGAAGUGGAUGUUGUAUACGGCGUACACACACUCAUUCGUGAAUUUGUUAUCGACAAAAGUCUUGUAGUCGUGAGAAAAGCUAGAACAUGCGGCAAUUACAUGUGAGCAUGGUAGGUGUAACGCUCUGAACCGUCCACAGUCACACCAUUUAUUUUGCAGGUCCACCUUGUAUUCUCCCUUUGGUAAUCCUUCUUUAUGGUCGAUGGUUUCACAGACAGAAAAGGUAUAUCGAUCCCGGUCAAACUGAGUGACAUGAUGACUGUUGGAUUUAAUAACCUCAUUCCUGAGAUAUUUCAUGAUGUUUUCUGAGAAUGGCUCACCAGAAUUUACCCUUGCCGCUGCUUCAUGUCCUCUUUUAGCAAACAAGGCCGCCAACCUGUAAUAGGAUGCUUUCACAAUUGCUGUGAUCGGGAGUCCUCGAAUUCCCUUAUACACGUUGUUUUGUGACUCUACCAAGUUACUUGUCAUGUGGCCCCAUCGUCGACCAUCAUCAUGUGAUUGAGUCCACUUUUCUUUGGGAAUGUUGUCGACCCAUGCUAAAGCCUUCCGGUCCGCGACAGCGAUUUCAGAGCGGUAGUAUUCGAAUGUUGGGAUGUUCAUGGCGUAACCUGCAUUGUUUUGAAAAAAUUUAGAUGUGUCUUCUUUAAACAAAUAAUAUGUCGAAAUUACAAGGAUAGAGAUAUAAUUUUUACCCAUGCCUUCAACUUUCUUCUUAAGUUCUCCAUCCUUGAACGAUCGCAUAAAGUUUUGUGCAAUGUGUCGGACACAAAACACAUGGCUUGUCGGAGCAUCAUGCCAUCCAUUCUGUGGAUCAUCAUAUGCGCUCUUUAUCGACACAUGUCUAUCAGAAAUGAGACAUAUGUUCGCCUGUGGGGUGACAUGCUGCCUUAGAUUUUUCAAAAAGAAACUCCAUGCCUCCUUGGUCUCCCCUUCCACGAUUGCGAAAGCAAUGGGAAAUAUCUUGUUGUUCCCAUCUUGCGCAACAGCUAACAACAAUGUUCCUUUGUAUUUACCAUACAACCAAGUUGCGUCAAUCUGGACAAUUGGUUUGCAGAAUUCGAAGCCCAAGAUGCACGGACGAAAGGCCCAAAAGAGACGCUUGAAGACGAUCUCAUUGACCACUUCUGUUGAUGGGUCUGUUUGAAAAUCAAUAAUUGUUCCUGGCAAAUCUUUUUCCAUGACCAUCAACCACUGUGGUAGUUCUUUAUAAGAAUCCUCCCAGUUACCAUAAAUUGAUUCAAUCGCCUUAUUUUUUGCUCUCCAUGCCUUUCUAUAAGAAAUUGUAUAAUUAAACUUCUCUCGGAUGUGUGCAAUUAUAACUUUCACCGUAAUUGAAGCAUCCAUAUGUAGUAGUGAUUUAACACUUUCACAUAUGACAUUGUAACUAAGUUUGCAAUGAUCUUGCGUCAAUUCUGUUGAGACACAUGUAUGAGGAUCCUUCAUUUUUCCAAUCUCCCAUCUAUCAGAUUUUUUCCUCCACGAGGCCCGCAAUUUGAAACCACAAGUAGUAUCUUUACAUUUGAUGACAUACCUUUCAUGAUCCGAUUGCUUCACAAAAUAAUCCCAUGAAUUUUUUAUGUGAUAAUAUCUAAUUGCGAGAAUGCAAUCAUUCUUGUUAUGAAAUUGCAUCCCCGGAGAAAUACCUUCAUCGACUGGAAGAGUCAUUGACUGAUAAAGCUCAGUUGAGUGGUCAUCAAUGACGUUGCGCAUAGACCUUGGUGGGUUGUAAGAAGCUCUGAUCGGUGAAAUUGGUAGUUGUGGCACAAUGUCUUCUUCGUCUUCUUCGUUCUCAUCACCGCUUUGUGCAGCAAGGAGUUCUUCAUCAUCAUCGUCAUCAUCAUCUUGAACUUCAUCAUUUGAGUGGUCCUGGAUUUGGGAGGUGAAUAUAUUUAUUUCAUCGUUUAAAGUUUGAGAUUGUGUUUGAGAGGGAUCAACUUGAGUUAAUCUUUGUGAUGGUUCGUACUGAUUUUGUGACCAUUGUGAAUGAAAAGAUUUUGAUGAUGAUGGAUUGUAGUGCGGUUGUGAUGAUGAUGGAUUGUAGAAUUGACUAGAACUUGAUGGGUAAUUUAACUCAAGAUUAGAUGUUGGAUUCUUCAUCUCAAACGUAACAUAAAGCUCUAUGUAGGACAAAGAACUGUGACUCUUAUGUACGUCAAACAUAAACUCGACAUCGUCGUUAUCGGUUAGUCUUAACGCCUGGUAGUGAAUUGUGCUAGCUCCAUGAAGAGGGUGCACCACUAAGCACUCGUACACGACAACACAUACAACCAAGUCCAUUUAUUGAGGAUUAUCUACGUCAAGCUGGAUUUUAUGAGGUUACGCAAAUAGGGCAUUAUAAAAUUGACAGACAUAUCGUAACCGCUCUUGUAGAAAGAUGGCGAUCCGAGACACAUACUUUUCAUUUUCGAACAGGUGAAUGUACAAUCACGCUGGAAGAUGUAUAUAUGUUACUUGGCAUACCUUUUGGAGGACAAAUUGUUACGGGUCCUCCACAUCUUUCAUGGGAUAUUUGUUUUCAACUCUUGGGAAUAGCUGCUCCAGAACGCAAAACUGAUGGUUUUACUCUCUCAUUGGCGUGGUUAAAGGAAAAUAUGGUCGAUCCAAACUUCAAUCAACAAUCACCUCCAGAAGUCAAAAUACAACACACUAGGAGGUACAUACUAUACCUCAUUGGGGGUUUCUUGUUUCCAAAUACAACUGGAUUAUAUGUGCACAACUCUUGGUUGUAUUUGUUAAUGGAUUUUAAUGAAACAAGAAAAUAUAGUUGGGGAUCGGCAGUUUUAUCUUACCUUUAUCGUGGCUUGUGUGAGGCAUCCCACCCAAACAUAAAAGUUAUAGCUGGAUGUCAUUUUCUCUUACAAGUUUGGGGAUAUUGUCGAUUGACUCAUAUCGCUCCGAGAAAUUCAAAACCACUCCAGUGGCCGUUAGGAUUAAAGUAAGCAUGGUCAACACCCUUUUUUUUUAUUUUUUAUUAAUUCCCGCACAUAUUCUCGCCUAUUACUAUUUUUAUUUUUUUAGUAAAUCUAAUUUUUUUAAUUUAAUUUGUUAGAUGGACAGGAGUAGGUUCAAGGUACUACGACAAUCCAAGCCAUGACACUAUAUCUUACAGAAAACAGUUUGAUGACAUACUACAGCAUGAUGUAAUAUAUCCUUCAUUUUUGAAUUAUUCCUUCAUAUAUAUAUGUAUAACAAAAUUAUUAACAAUACACUAUAUAUUCUCUUUUGUCCCAGUUUAAGUGGAGACCAUACAAGAGAGUUCCACACGAUUUGCCUGCUGACUAUUGGGAUUGUACUGCGACAACUUACCUUAUAUGUUUUGAUAAGGUUGAAUGGCAUCCAACUGAUAGGGUCAAGCUUCAAUUUGGUUUGUCACAAGAAAUACCAGGGGCCCCAAUAAACAUGCAGCAAUUCCAUAAGUUGGACAAACGGUACAAGGCGUGGUAUGAAUCAAGAGGUUUUCGCUUUCCACAAGAGAGCGAACAUUGGGACAAUCGACGCCUUUAUACAUUACCACAAAUGCGGCCAAAAUCUCUCACCCCAACUCAUUCGUAUAUUGAUUGGUUGACAACCACUUGCAAUCCACGUCUGAGGAUUUCAAUUGACAGAAUGCCAAUAAAUUCAGAUCCAGAAGAGGAAGAAGAGCCGGAGAUAGAACCAGAGCAUGAAGCUGAAAUUCACAACAACCAACCACCAAUUCAUGAUGAUUUUUGGGAUGAAGACUUUCUUAACCGACUAGAUGAUCCUCAAUCCCAACCACCUACAACACAAAACACUCAAGGUUCUAUAAUGUAUGAUUUUCUUGACACCCCACAACAAAAUAUCAUCCAACCACCACCAUAUACCACCCCAAGAAAUGCAUAUAACCGUAAUUAUCAGUCAACUUACCAACUGAAUUCAAUGUCAAAUUUUGGUUACAAUGACCCAAACCAAGCUGGACCAUCCACCGGUAACUACUUCUCCUAUAAUGACCCAAGCCAAGCUGGACCGUCCAACACCAAUUACCCCCCCCCCCCCCUACAACGACCCCCAAUACUCAAUGUACACCAACCAAAACUACAACCAACCAACACCAACAAACCUACUAUCUCACUUCUCUCCGGAUGCGAUGAACUCCAAUGAACAAUUUCUGGAUAUGGGUUGGCCAACAAGGGAACACGAUGUGUCGUUGUCGUUGGGUUAUGGCAGUCAGACACAAUCAACUGCAGAUAAUAAUGACGAAACCCAACAUGACGCUCAAGUAAAUCGUCAAAGAAAUCGUCGUAGACGAGGGUGUGGGACAGGAGGGCAUUUGUAAUAAUUGUAUAUUUGUUAUUAGUUUAUAAAAAUUAAGUUUUUUCUAUUUUUUUUGUUAUUGGCGCGGAACCCCAAGUUGAGUACCUUGCAACCCCAAGUUGUGGGGUAUUUAAUUUUUUAAAAAAAAAAUUAUAAACUACCUCGCAAGUCCAUCUUGCUUGGUAGUUUAAAAUUAAAAAAAAAAAAUAGGGAAAGUACCCCGCAACUUGGAGUUGUGGGGUAUAAUAAGGACAAAAAUUUCGUCAACUUUGAGGGUACCCCGCAACUUGGGGUUGUGUGGUGCCAGGGGUAUCAGAAAAAGUAGGGUAUUUUUGCAAUUUUUCGAAAAAGUAUGGUAGUUUUGUGUUUUUUGAAAAAAAGAAGGGCAGAAAAAAAAAAUUCGUGUUGUUGAAUGGGUUCUUGAAAAAUGAUAGAAUAAGGAGUGGAACAGGUGUUAUUUUAAAUGUCUUUUUUAAUCUCAAUCAUCCAUUUUUGAUCUAAUGGUUAAUAAACAUUCUCACCAUUCUCAUAUAAAAUAUUCAUUCUCAUAUGAUAUGUCCUAUAUAUAUAUAGAGAGAGAGAGAGAGAGAGAGAUUUGUUAGAACACACCCAUUAGUUUUUAUGUGGGAGUGUUUUAGCAAGUUAUGACUAAAAAGUUAAUAAAUACACCAUAAGAUGUAUGUUGCUAUAACACACCUUCUAAAAAAAAAGUGAGUGUGUUCUAGCAAAUUCUAUAGGCAUUUGCUAGAAUACACACAUAUUUUUUAGAAUGAGUAUUUUAGCAAGUGAAAAAUUAAAAAGUGAUUAAAUACACUUUAACGUGUAGCUUUGCUAAAACACUCCUACAUAAAAACUAGUGGGUGUGUUCCAGCAAACCCUAUAUAUAUAUAUAUAUAUAUAUAUAUAUAUAUAUAUAUAUAUAGGGUUUGCUACAAUAGACCCACCUUUUUUCAUGAAGGUAUAUUUUAGCAAGGUGCACCUUUUACUUUAGACAUAAUAACCCAUAUAUUUUAGCAAGGUAUAUUUCAUGAAGGUAUAUUUAAUAAAAUAAAAAAUAAUCUGAAAAUUUUAAUAAAAAUGAAAAAGAAUCCGGUAAAAUGAAAAAAAUUUGGAAAAAUUAAUAAAAAGUUCUAGAAAAUUUUAAAAAAUAAUAAAAAAUCUGGAAAAAUUUAAAAAUAUGAGAAAAAAUUUAUAUUUCUGGAAAAUUCAGGAACUUCUUAUAUUUCGAAAUUCAUGAAUAUAAUAAGAAAAUACAUUUUAUUUUUUUAAAAAAAAAGUUCAGAUUUUUCUUUCGAAAUUAAAAAGUUUGUUUUUUUUUAUUUUUUAUACAAAAAAUAAAAAUAUUGAAAAAUAUUUCAAUAAUUAAAAACACAUAACAUUAGAUCAUGAAGAAUAGAAUUAAGGGCUUCUUAUUCAAUAGUAUAACAUGACUUAUAUACUGAUGUUAAUCAAAAUCCAUUGUAUCUUGUUAUUCAUCUAGAUUAUAUUUUCGAAUAAAAUAAAAUUCUAGCAAUAAAUUUUCAUAAUUAAAAUAACUAUAUAAUAUUAUAUUGUCGAUUUUUUUUAUAAUUUUAAUUUAAUUCAGAAUGUUUUUAUAUUUUUUGAAAAAUUUGAUAUAUAUAAAUUUUUUCCAUAAUUUUUUAUUUUUUUUAACUUUUUCCAGAUUUUUUUUUAUUUUCGUGAUUUUUUUUCUUAAAUUUUCUAUAUUUUUUCAUAAUUGUUUUUUCAUUAUUUUUUAUUUUUAAUAAUUUUUCCAGAAUUUAUUUUUUAUUUUUAUUUUAAAAAAGAAAUACAAAUGCCACGUGUACCAUUUAAAAAAAAUAAAAAAUAAUAAUAAUGCAGUCAUCACGCCACAUAAUCAGAUAUGCACAGUAAGCAUGCCACAUCAUCUCGCCACGUCAGCAAUUAUGCACAGUCACAUAGAUCAGGGGCUAAAAUCAAAGAAUCUUAUUUUACAUGGUUGGAAACUUUUUUUUUACUGGAAGGUAAACCGGAACUCGCCUAAAUUACAGGGAUAAAUACAUAUUAACCCUUAAUGUUUUUUACUUUAUUUUUUCUUCUCUCUCUCAUUCUAUCUCUUUCGGUUCCCUUUGUUCUUCCUCUUUUUUUUCUAUUCCCUCAUUGGUAAUUCUUAGACAGUCACGAAUCAAGCACAUGAAAUUGAAGAAGAACCUUAAGCUCUCAAUGUUGCUCAAUAGCUUCUUUGUUAAAGGCACAAACGUUUGUUUUGCUUCAAAGAAUUUGGUAAAAUGAAGUAGUUUCUUGAUCUCUUCAUUCAUUCUUCAACAACAAUCACCAUUAUAACACUUAGAUCCCUGGAUUCAAAAUACUACGAGUUUGAUUCAAAAAAUUAUGAAUGGAAAGACCAUCUUAUUUUCCCUUGUUUUUAUACAUACCAGUUUGAUUCAAAAAAUUGAAUCAAGGACCGGUAAUGUUUUGAAAUUAUUGUUGUGGAUUCAACUGAGUUUCAAGGAUAAAAUUAUGUUGAAGGUGGCGAUGGUGAUUGGAAUGUCCAUGAAAGAAGAAUGGUAGAAGAAUAGAAAAAGGGAAACCCGACAUAAGAGAAUGAAAGAGAGAAAUGAAGAAAACUAAGGAAAUAAAAAACAUUAACACUGUGUUUCGUAGAGGAGAAAAAGGAGAGAGAGAAGUUGAAGAGAGAGAAAUAGGAGAGAAGUCCUUCACUUCUGUUGUUUGGUUGUGGUGAGAAACAGAGAAGGGAGAGUUAAAACCUGUGGGACCCACUGCUUUUUGAAUCUUCUCAUGGAUGAGGAGAAACAGGCGAGAGAGUUGCAAUUUUUGCAAUUUUCCAAUUAUGCCCUUCCAUUGCAUGAAGAAAAGACAAAAUCUUAAGUAUAUAAUUGAAUGGUUGUGUUCGUAUGUGAAGUUUAUUGCACUUUUAAUUAAUUUCAUAGUAAAAAAUCCUCAAAGUAAAUUAACUUAGCAACUAAAAUAAUAUGAACCACACUUCACUAUAAAAAAAUUAACUUAUUAACCACACUUCCGUACUAUAACUUAAUGAAAAUUAUUCAUUUUUUAAUUAAUUCAAAUAAAGAUUUUAGUUAACGUUGUUAAAAAAAAUGUAUUGCAGGUAAUAUAAAUUAUUUUUUUCACUUAUUCAAAAAAAAAAAAAAAUUCACAAAAAUGAACAUAAAUUAUGUUUUUCUACUCCAAAUAAUUCAAAUAAAGAUUUUAGUUAACGUUGAUAAAAAAAAGUAUUGCAGGUAAUAUAAAUUUAUUUUUUCACAAAAGGAAACAUAAAUUAUGUUUUUCUACUCCAAACAAUUAUUUAGUUUCUUUUUAUUUUGUUUAAGGGUAUUAUUGUCCUUUAAAAGCAAUUACAUUAUUCUUUCUCUUCUAUCUCUCUUAUCUUUCUCUUCUACCAAACAUUACAUCAAAUUUACUCAAUCUCUCACCUUUUUCUCUCUUCUCAAACUCUCUCUUAGGGUGUGUUUGGUUGUCAGAAGAAAGUGUAAAGAGAGAAAGAGGUGAGAGAGAGUUAGAAAAGAGAGAAGUUGAUGAGAAAUAGAGUAGAUUUGAGAUAUUGUUUGGUAUAAGAGAGAAAGAAGAGAAAUAGAAGAGAAAGAAGUGUGUUCAUUUUUUAAAAGACUUAAAUACCCCUAUACUAAAAAAGUUAAUAUAUGAUAUUGUUAUAUUUGAAUUUAAUUUCAUAUAAACAUUAAUGUACUUUUUUAUAUUAAUUUAAUUAAGAAUAAUUAAACCACAUUUUUACAGAGAAAUUGAGUAAAUUAUUUACUUAAUUAAUUAUUCAAGAUAUUUGAAUUUAAUCGAUUAAAUUAAUUCUUUUUUACGUAGUCAUUUAGAUUAAAUUAAUUCAUUAGUUAACUAAUCAGUAAAUUCCAAUAGUUUAAUCCUGUUUUACAAGAGAGAUCAAAUAAGGAGAAGCAUAUAGUUGCUUAGUUUCCUUCGCAACUUUUGUUCUCGACCUGCUACAACAAUAAAAGAAAAAUACUAGAAAACAAAAUGAUAAAUAAUACUAGUAGCCACUAGGGGUUCAGAACCGAACCGAUCCAAAAAAAAAACCGUCAACCGAUCCAAAAAACCGAAAACCGCAAAAAACCGAUUUUUUUUGGAUGUGUUUGGGCCAUAAAAAUUAAAACCGACCGGUUCGGUUCGGUUUUCGGUUUAUAACUUAAGAACCGGACCGAACCAAACCGAACCACACUUAUUAUACUGUUACUAGACUAUUCUAUUACUUAGGCCGGUUUUGUCAGCUGAAACCCUUCAGAUCGCUCUCAUCAGUUACCAAAGCAAACUAGCCAACUAUCAAAGUACCAAGUACCAAGAGCGUGUUUAAUUCUUUCUUACUCCCAAUGAUGACUUUUGCUAUUAAACUGAAGGAAUCAAAUGGUUCAUUCACUAAUCUACCAACACUCCAAACACUAAUCUCCUCUCUUCUCUCCCUUUGCAAUGCGUCGCUCAGGUAACAUUUUUGUGCAUACUCACUACUACUCUGAUAGUCUUUUCCUUCUCUUCAAUAGCUGAAUCAGAUGGAUUAGAAAGAAUGGGUUUUUUUUGGUCCUAUUUGUGAAAUCCAUGAUCAAAGGGCGCUAUUGAUAAUGUAAUUUGGGUUUCUUAUAAUUUUGAAUGCUACUGGUAGCUUAUAUUUUUUGCAUUAUAAGGAAGGGAUGCGUCCCUGUAGAGUUUGGUAGCUAGCUUUUCUUAAAUAAAAUUAGCUUGUGAAAAUCCAUCCGGAAGAAUAUAUUAGAAAGGAUGGGUUCUAAUUAAAUAAAAUUAGAUUAGAAAUUUAUCUUAGAAAAAUUAGCUUGGGUUUCUUUAAGUAUUUUACUUAAAUAAAAUUUAUCAAUUUGUCAAAAUCCAUGAUCAAUAGUUGAAUGAAAUAGAUUAGAAAGAUCAAGUUCUUUGAUUCACUUGCUUCUUUGUGUAUAAAAAAUGUUGAUUGAUUUUUUUUUUUAUCACUUACUUCUUUAGUAUAAUUUCUUCUUGUAUAAAAAAUGUUUGGAACAACAAUUGUUGAUUUGUUUUUUUCCACGUAAGAAUGUAUGUUUGUUUAAGGAAAAAAAUAAAAUUCAAAACAAUCAAAAUUUAUGUUUGAAAUCUUCUUUGUUAUAGAAUUAUUUGUUAAUUCGUAUGUGUAUACUUUGCAGGCUGAAAACACUCAAACUAAUAAGAGUAGAAUAGCUGAAAAUGUUGAAUCUAUUGCUGAACAUGAACUACUUGCAACACUACCAUGGAUAGCAUUUGUUUAUAUUGUUUCAGGCUACAAAAGUUUCUUUAUAAUUGCAUGCUACAAAAGUUUGCGGCAACUUAUAUGUAUCCGGUAUACUUAUCCUACAAAUUAUAGAAUUAGGAAAGAAUUUUCUACAACAUAAUAUAUUAAAUAUAAAAGAGAUACUAUAAGUCAUAACUUUAUAGGUGUAGAAUAAGGAAAAAGCUUCUCUCAAAAUAAUUUUUAAUAAGAAUAUUACUAUCACUUUUUUACAAUUUGGAUAACCGAAAACCGAUCCAAAUUAAAUCGCGAUAAUUUGGAUCGGAUCGGUUCGGAUUUUUUUUCUACCACCAAUUGAACCGAGCCGAACCGCAUAUGUUUUAUUUUUUGGAUCGGUUCACUUUUUGCCUCAUAACCGAGCCGAACCGCACCGCAAACACCCCCAGUAGCCACUGUAUAUAUCACUGAAACAAGGGAGAAAUGUGGAAAAUAGAAAAAAGUUUGUGUCCAUUUCUCCGCACAUAUGGAGAGAAGUGAAAUAGGCAUGGGUCCCACAAUAUUUUGUCUCUCUUCUCAACCAAACACAAGAGAUUGCCCAUCUCUCUCCAACUUCUCUCUCCCUUCUUUCUCUCUUUUGUAUUUCUCUCCUACCAAACACAUCGUUACUUAUUUCUCUAGAUCUUCACAAUUUCUCUUCGUAACCAAACACACCCUAAUGAUUUCAGUCAAACAAAAUAAAAUCAUUUAUGACUAAACUAAAAUUACACGUAUGUCGCUUUGUCAAAAAGCAAAAAUAUGGAUAUUAAUGUCUAAAAUAAAAGGUACACCUUGUUAAAAUAGACCUUCAUAAAAAAAUAUGAGUCUAUUAUAGCAAACCUCAUUUAUAUAUAUUAUAGUUACUCUCAUUUUUAUUUAGAAGAUAUAAAAAUUAUAUUCAAAUAAUUCACUAAUAACAACAACCGUCGACCCUAUCAAUUGUAUCUUCGAACGACAUUUUGCAGUAACUAGUCUGCACAAAAUAAUCUCAUAACAAUAAUGUGGCAUGCGGAAAUAAAGUAUAGUUUUUUAUUUGACAAAAGAAAUAAAAUAUUGUUGAGAAAUAACAAUUUAUCAGUUUUUAUAAUGAAUGAAAAUGUGUAAAAGUUUUUAUUUUUAAAAGAAAAGGAUUUUUGUUUAGAAAAAAAAAAGGCUUAAUUGAUCCUCUCGUCUCUUAACUUAAUUCUUUUUUUUGAAUUGGUCCUGUAACUCUUAAAAGUCUCAAAUUGGUCCUUUAUAUGUGUUUCCGUCGGUCAAUUUAAUCCUAUUUCGUCAAUUUUAAUCUUCUAAAAAGGGAGACCGUUGGAUAAAGGAGGUUUGUGAGAUUUAACCAUGUAUCACCAACACCUAAUUUAUUUCACUUUUCAUCAUCUUCUUCCCUCAUCUUCAUCUUCAUACAAGCUUCAUCAAUCUUCAUAAAAAAAAACCUAUUUUUUUCUUUAAAAAAUUAAACCAUUUAAUUUCAACAAAUACUACAUAAUCAAACCCUUAAAUCUAGAAUUAACAUCACCACCAUAUUAAUAUAAACCUAGAAGAUCAACAACAAAUAACCCAGAAAACAAAACAAAACUCAUCAUUUUAACUCCUCACCUCAUCAUUAACAAAAUAAAAUCCAUUUCUUAAAACCCAUUUGAAAUUUGAAACCCGUCAUCACUUCAAAACUCAUCAGCAACAGUAAAUAUCUCUAUAACGACAGAUUCAAUGAAAGGAAAAGAGAAUCUUAAAACCCAAUGCUUGAUUAAAUAAAUGUCCCAACCCAUUUCUCACAAACCCAUUAAGCAUCAAAAUUCUCAUACUUGCAAUUGAUUGCUUUCCAAAUAUGAUUCCAACGGAGAUUUGAUUUUGUGUAUGUGGUUGUGAUUCUGAAAAGGACCGUGAGAUGGAGAUUUGAUUUUGGUGCAGGUUCAAGAACACAUGCAUGUUCUAGCGUUUCUGUUGAAAUGGUGUUGGUGUUGAGAUUCUGGUGAUGGUGUUAUUGUGGUAAUUCUGAUUUAGGAGAAGAGAAGAGAAGAAUAGGAGGAGGAAGGAAGAAUAUUAAUAUUUAUGGGUAAUUUUGAUUUUGUGGGUAGUUCAGAUUUGCUGGGUUUAUUUUUGGUUUAAUUGCUCAAUAUUUAUGAAGUUAAUGAAGAGGAAGAUGAAGAAAAAGUAUGAAAACCUUUAUCUUGAUAAGAUCCACAGUUUACUCAACCCUUUGCGGAGAACAAGUAUGAAAAUUUGACAAAUUCUAUUAUUAGAAAAUUUGAUUAAAUUGAAUGUUAUACUAACCCUUGAAUUAUUCAAACAAAUCAGCACCUAAUAACAAUAUGAUACAUUGAGCUGGAAAUUAAUGGAAUUCAAUGCGGCUAUAACAUAUGGGGUGCACCAUGUGCGAAGGUGAUUAUGAUGAUAAUGUUGGAUUUGGGUAUGAGAACAGUGUGAUCUUGGGAAGCAAUGAUAAUGCUAGAAUCGGGUAUGAUAUUUGAAGUUGGUAGGAUGGAUUUUUGAAAGAAAAAAAGAAAUGUAUUUUUUUACGAAGAUGAUGAAGAUUGUUGAAUGUUGGAUGAAGAUGAAGAUGAAGAUGAGGGAAGAAGAGGAAGGAAAGUGAAAUAAAUUAGGUGUUGGUGAUACAUGGUUAGAUCUUACAGACCUCCUUUAUUCAACGGUCUCCUUUUUUAGGAGAUUAAAAUUGACAAAAUAGGACUAAAUUGAUCGACAAAAAUACAUAUAAAGGAUCAACUUGAGACUUUUAAGAGUUAUGAGACCAAUUUAAAAAAAAAAUUAAUUUAAGGGCUGAAGGAUCAAUUAAGGCAAAAAAAAAAAAAACAGUUGUCAAAAACACAAGUACGUUACUAUUAUAAAUUUCUUUCUAUACACAAGAAUGGUGUUCUUUCUGUUAAGCAGUGAAUUUCUGCAUAUUAUAUUUUAUCGAAAAAUUGGUAAAAUAGAUAAACUUGUUCAAGAUGUUCAAUACAUUGAAUUAAAGUGGAUGCAUAAGACAAAUAUCAGUAAAUGACACACACCGGAACUAAUUACUCCAAAGAUCAUUAUUCUGUCGGCCACGUUUUAAAGGUUAAAGUGGAUCAAUCAUACUAUUCCUAACAAUUAUACAAUAAUGGACUAGAUUCAUAAACAUUGAUGUACUUUUCAUUUGUGUUCAACUCGGAAAACAAAGAGACAAAUAAUAUACCAAUAAAAGGAGUGAUAUUUGUACAAUUCUUGUGACAAUUACAUUUCUCUUCUUUUUAUUGAACAAAAAUAAAGGAGAGAAAAAAAGAAAAGAGAGAAUAAAAACACAUGUAAAUAUGAGAAAAAAUGAUUAUUUUAAAAGUUGUUUAAAUGGAGAUGUACACUUUCUCUAUCAAUUUGAUCCCGAUAACAAAUUUGUGAUUGAAAAUGUGUGUCCUAGAAACACCCAAUCAAUAAUGGAACCUUGCAAGCAAGUUGCAUAAACUUGUGGUUGAAAAUGUGCGUCCCACGUGAACGUUUGCUCACAAUUAUUGACCACCCUACUUUGCUGACUUUCUACUUUCAUUGCAUUUAUUCUCAAAGGUCUCCUUCAUAAUAGUUCAGCAUUCAUUAUAUCUAAACAAAUUUCUAAUCUUCUUAUCUUUUCAACUCUUUCUUUCUUUUCACAAAAAAAAAUGGCUGACGCUUUGCUUGGAGUUGUGUUUGAAAAUUUGACGUCUCUCCUUCAAAAUGAAUUUUCAACCAUUUCUGGAAUCAAGUCAAAGGUUCAAAAGCUAUCAAACAACUUAGUUCACAUCAAGGCUGUUCUUGAAGAUGCUGAGAAGAAACAAUUCAAAGAACUCUCUAUUAAGCUAUGGUUACAAGACCUCAAAGAUGCUGUUUAUGUGCUCGAUGAUAUCCUUGAUGAGUAUUCAAUCAAGUCUGGUCAACUUAGAGGAUCAUCCUCUCUCAAACCAAAGAACAUCAUGUUUCGCAGUGAGAUCGGCAACAGGUUAAAAGAGAUUACAAGGAGGUUAGAUGAUAUUGCUGAAAGUAAGAACAAGUUUUCUCUACAGAUGGGUGGAACUCUUAGGGAAAUCCCAGAUCAAGUAGCUGAAGGGCGCCAAACCGGCUCAAUUAUUGCUGAAUCAAAAGUGUUUGGACGAGAAGUUGAUCAAGAAAAGAUUGUCGAGUUUCUUCUCACCCAUGCGAAGGACUCUGACUUCAUUUCUGUCUAUCCCAUUUUUGGUUUAGGUGGUAUUGGAAAAACAACUCUUGUUCAAUUGAUCUUCAAUGAUGUUAGGGUGAGUGGCCAUUUUGAUAAAAAAGUUUGGGUUUGUGUUUCUGAGACUUUCUCGGUCAAGAGGAUUUUGUGUUCUAUUUUCGAAUCUAUCACAUUAGAGAAGUGUCCUGACUUUGAGUAUGCUGUAAUGGAAGGAAAGGUGCAAGGAUUGUUGCAAGGGAAAAGAUAUUUGCUGGUUUUGGAUGAUGUGUGGAAUCAAAAUGAACAAUUGGAAUCUGGGUUAACACAAGAUAGAUGGAAUCGUUUGAAAUCUGUUUUGUCGUGUGGAUCUAAAGGUAGUUCCAUUUUAGUGUCCACUCGUGAUGAGGAUGUUGCAUCAAUCAUGGGGACAUGGGAAAGUCACCGUUUGUCUAGUCUCUCUGAUAGUGAUUGUUGGUUGUUGUUCAAACAACAUGCAUUUAAACGUAACAAAGAAGAGGAUACAAAGCUUGUGGAAAUUGGAAAGGAGAUAGUAAAGAAAUGUAAUGGAUUGCCUCUUGCAGCAAAAGCAUUGGGGGGUUUGAUGAGCUCAAGGAAUGAAGAGAAGGAAUGGCUUGAUAUUAAAGACAGUGAGCUUUGGGCUUUACCACAAAAAAAUUCUAUUUUGCCUAAUGGAUUUAUUUCAUCUAUGGGUAAUUUGGACGUUGAUGAUGUUGGAAACACGGUUUGGAAGGAAUUGUACCAAAAAUCAUUCUUUCAAGAUAGAAAGAUGGAUGAAUAUUCUGGAGACAUUUCUUUUAAGAUGCAUGAUCUUGUCCAUGAUCUCGCUCAAUUAGUAAUGGGGCCAGAAUGUAUGUAUUUGGAGAAAAAAAACAUGACCAGUUUGUCAAAAAGCACACACCACAUUGGUUUUGACCUCAAAGACUUGUUAUCCUUUGAUAAGAAUGCUUUCAAAAAAGUUGAAUCCUUGAGAACAUUGUUUCAGUUGAGUUAUUAUUCCAAAAAAAAACAUGAUUUCUUCCCAACAUACCUUUCUCUUCGGGUUUUAUGCACAUCCUUUAUCCGGAUGCCAUCACUAGGGAGUUUAAUUCAUUUAAGGUAUUUGGAACUUCGUUCUCUUGACAUAAAUAUGUUGCCUGACUCAAUUUACAACCUAAAAAAGCUGGAAAUCUUGAAAAUAAAACACUGUGAUAAACUUAGCUGGCUUCCAAAACGCUUGGCUUGUUUACAAAAUCUUAGACAUAUAGUCAUUGAAUAUUGUGAAUCUUUGUCUCGUAUGUUUCCUAACAUUAGAAAAUUAACUUGUUUAAGAACAUUAAGUGUGUACAUUGUUAGUUUAGAGAAAGGGAAUAGCUUGACAGAGUUACGUGAUCUAAACCUCAGUGGAAAACUGAGUAUCAAAGGAUUAAACAAUGUUGCUAGUUUAUCUGAAGCUGAAGCGGCUAAAUUGAUGGAUAAAAAAGACCUUCAUGAAUUAUGCUUGUCAUGGGGAUACAAGGAGGAAUCUACGGUUAGUGCUGAGCAAGUACUUGAAGUGCUUAAACCUCACUCAAAUCUCAAAUGCUUGACAAUAAAUUACUAUGAAAGAUUAUCGUUACCAAGUUGGAUAAUUAUUCUUAGUAAUUUAAUUUCUCUUGAACUUGAGGAAUGCAACAAAAUUGUGCGGCUUCCGUUACGUGGUAAACUACCAUCUCUAAAAAGACUGAGAUUAUCUCGUAUGAAUAAUCUGAAAUACUUGGAUGAUGAUGAAUCUGAGGAUGGUAUGAAGGUGAGGGUUUUCCCAUCUCUGGAGAAACUCUUAUUAGAUUCUCUACCAAACAUAGAGGGGUUAUUGAAAGUGGAAAGAGGGGAGAUGUUUCCUUGUCUUUCUAGGUUGGAUAUCUGGAAUUGCCCUAAACUGCUUGGACUGCCAUGUCUUCCAUCUCUUAAAGAACUCGAGAUAUGGGGAUGUAACAAUGAGUUACUGAGGUCAAUCUCUACCUUCCGUGGUCUUACUCAGCUUUCCCUAUAUAACGGUUUCGGAAUAACAUCCUUCCCAGAGGGGAUGUUCAAAAACCUUACUUCUCUUCAAUCUCUGUCUGUAAAUGGUUUCCCAAAACUGAAGGAGUUACCAAAUGAACCCUUUAACCCAGCUUUGACGCAUCUGUGUAUCACUUAUUGUAAUGAGUUGGAGUCCUUACCAGAGCAAAAUUGGGAAGGUCUUCAAUCCCUUCGAACUCUAAAGAUUCGUAAUUGUGAAGGAUUGCGAUGCUUGCCGGAGGGUAUUCGACACCUCACAUCUCUUGAAUAUUUAUAAAUGUCCAACAUUUGUGAGAAGGGUGCAAAGAGGGAAUGGGGGAGGAUUGGGACAAGAUAGCUCAUAUUCCAAAAAUACAGUUUAAGUUUGAAUGGGAGGAUUAAGAAGCAGAGACGUUUACCCUUUAUCUGCCUUAAUCACCAUCGCAAAAAUAUAUUUUACUGGUAGGAUCUCAAUUUCCCCUUCUUAUGUUUGGAUUUCAACUGCUCAAAAAUCUUUAUUUUUAUUUUUAUUUUUGAUAAAAAAAUCUUUAUUUUUAUUCUCGUAGUUAACUUCUUUGGAACCCAUUCCACAGAAACAGUUCCUGAGUACGUACAUGAAAGAUAUUUUACUGCUCAACCUACGGACAAUUGUUCUAAUUCUGGUAAUUUUCUUCAUCAUACUUUUAUUUUUUUAAUUUUAUUUUUUGAUUUUUUUUUUAUAAUUUUGCUGAUUUUGUGGAGAUUGAAUUGAAUGGUUAGGAUUUCCUUUGAUACACAAGGGUGGGGUCGACAAAUAAAGGGAGGGAUUAACAGGAACAAACGUACCUAAUGAUGAAGAUGACAUGGUUCGGGUCGGAGCUCAGUGCACAGUAGAAAGUCUGAUCAUCAAGGUUUUCUCCAUUUUUAUUCUUAAGUUUUUGUUGGUCUUUUUUAUUUAUUUGUUUUAGACUGUUUAUUUGAAUGAUAUAUUGUUUGGCUUCCUCUAUGAUAGCUUGUAAAAUAGCAGCAAUGGUUCCUGAUAGAGUUCUCUCCUUGGCUUUGCUAAAUGCAACAGGUGGAGAUUUUCAAUGUUUGCCAGAGGUAUAUGUCCCUUUUAUAAUUCUUUGAACAAUUUGAUUUAUUUUUACGGCACUGUGAUUAGAGCAUUGACGACGCUAUUUUUGUAAGACGUUAACUACAUCAAUGAUUGCUAGCCACACUUUUUAAUUACAAACUUAGUUCAGGACGACUGGACUUGCAUACAUAAUAAGUAUAAUUUGUUGGUACUGAUUUUAGGUGAUCCUUUAGGACAAAUUUAGUUGAGAAUUUAUCUUUCUAUGGCUUUGAGUCAGAAUUUUGUUAAGAAUUUCGUAGUACUAAAAUCGUCUUGGUACGUUAUUUGCAGAUUUUUAAAGAAUAUUGACGGUUGUCGAUGCAUGCACUAAACUCUGACCAACCUGUGAAGUAUUUCUCAAGACAGUUAUCUGGAAGAAGAUGUAUGCUAGUUUUAUCUCUUCCCUGCAUCUUCUUAUCCCCAAAUUACUUUCUAAUUUAAAUUUCUAUAUGCAGGAAUCACUUGCUUUCUCUGUUUUUGUAUGGAAUAUGUCUACGAGUAAAAUUAUUGUGAGAAUUGGGCCAUAUCUUUAGAAUUGACGCUGAGCUUGUUAAUGCAACAAAUCAAAAUUCUUGGUUCAAGCUAUUAGCCAGGUGUGUAUACAGCUCUUCAUUAGGAAGGUGUGUAUUUAGCUAUUUCAUGAUUCUAGUCGAGUCACUCAUGUUAUUUCAUUAUGUUUGUGUCAGAUAUGUUGUGGAAUGCUGCUGAAUCGCAGCCAUGUUUGUGUCGGACAAUGUUAUUGAUCAAGUUGUGUUGUGUCCACUGCUUUUGCUGAAAGCAAGAGGAUACUUCAGCUGAACCACAGAAACUAUAAGAGGUGAUGAUUUUGGAUGAUAUCAAUGAGAAAUCAACCGUUUAAUUUGAUAACAAAGUGAAUUUUACAUCUUUUAACUCUUUAUAUUUUAGUAUAUUAGCAUUAGUCAUAUCACUUACAGAGAGCAUCUCCUGUGAAACUGAACAGGUGACACUUAUUUCGCUUCGAACUAUGGAUAUUGUUGAAUGUGAGGAAUUCAGAUCCCUGCCAUAAGGUAUUUGGCACCUCACUUCACUUGAGUUUUUGAAUAUUCGUGGUUACCCAAAAUUUGUUUAGUGGAAUGAAGACAUUUUUUAAGAGACUUUAUUCAUGUGAACCUUGUGAUUUUGUCUCAGACGAAAUCGAUUAAAAUUGUCAACCUUAUGGGUCAGAUUAUCGUUAUCGCAUCUCCACUUCCGUUGAUGCUGGUAUUGAUAUGGUAUAGAUCUUCAUUCCUAUAGUAUUAAUUUUAACAUAUAUUACUUGAUUUCAAUUUAAAUACAUGUAUCCAUGAAAAUAUGCAGGUGAUGGUCCUUCAUUUAUGAAAUAGCCCUUUCAUGUAUAAUAUAUUUAUGAAAGAGUCGGAGUUUCAUGUUCGAUCAGGGGAAACACCAAUAGCCGGAAUUGGCGACGUUGUUAAGAAAUAUUAGGAAUGAAGUUUGCUGCUGAAGAUUUCAAUUUCCUUUAACUGAUAGCUCUUUGCUGGUUAUGGUUAAUUUCAAGGUAAGGCAUAGUUCAUAUCUUAGUGAAUACUUUAACAUGAAUUUUCUGCCUCGUCAAACUAAUUUAUUUUAACAUACAUAUUAAAACCUUAGUCGGCUUUCUUUUUAUGGCAUGCUUCAACAAAGUAAUACUCUUUCCACCUCCUUGUGGUUGGAGUUGGUUUUCAGGACUUUAUAAUGCUAAUUACCUUCACAUAUCAUUUUUUCACCAAACAUAUUUAAAAUUCCAUCCUUAUAGCAAAAGAAAAACAAUAGUAUAUUUUAGAUGUAUGGUAAGAUUUGAUAAAGGAAUUGAAUGUAUUUUUUUCAUACAUACAGGCAAGGGACUGAACGUAUUUUGGCCUGAAAAAUCAAUCUCCAAAGAAGGCAGUGAACAAUGGUGAUCCAACACAUGAGCCAAACUCAAUUCCAACUAAUAACAGAUGUUGAAAAGAGUUAUAUAUAGCUUCUCCUAAGCCUCAGGAGGUUGUCCUUGAUUUUACAAUAUCUACUAAAUGGAAGGGGGUAGAGAAGUAUAUACCAUUGAUGUAACCAUCCACUAAGCAAUACACACAACCACAAAGGAUUUGAGGAGUUAAUGAAUAGUCCGGUGCAACAGUCGUGCGAAAAAAAGCAACAGAUGAAGUCUCAACAAACUUGAGUUCAUUAUCAUCAGCACACAUGAAUGAUCCUUAAGAAGGGACUUCAGCUUGAGGAUAUAUAAUAUUGAUUAACUUCGCAAAUUAGCUUCCACUGAAUAUAUUUAAGAACUCAUCCUUAUUUUAUUUCAAAUUCUUGUUUCUUAUCUGUUCAGUAAGUGAACUUGUUAUAAAUAUCCCUGUGUCUGGGAAGUUUGUUUAUAAUAAUUCGUGAUAAGAACUAGGAUUCGACAUAAAACAAAGUCAAUAGAAUUCUCGAUCUCUCAAACUCUGAAAUGCUUAUUAUUUUAAUGAUUCUAGCUAGAGCAAAGUGGUUGAUUUACUGCUUGCAGACGUUGCACAAAUGAAGGGUGGUUGUGCCUGAGUCGAACACAUCUGAUGUGAAAAUUGGAAAUAUUAGUGAAUAUACACUAUCAGCGUAAAAUUGUUUUGCAUUAACGUUCAGAUAGAGCUCAUUGUUUCCAUGUUUUGCCAAGCUAUGUUUUCAUCUCUACAAUGCAAUUGUAUAAUUCUUCUUUUCCGCCAUGCCUCCCUCGGCCUCAUCAUCGAACUUAGUUGAUUCUCCAAAUUAUUAAAAUCAAACCACCAGAGAAUGCCAAUAUAUUUAGCAAGGUUCCCUAAUUAUCCUGGUUAUGCACAAUUUAUCUGGCGCCAAUAUUUGUUUGUGCACUCUCCUUCUCUUUUUCUUUUUUAAACUGUGUGAUUACUUGUAAUAUUAGAUAGCUUGCGCAGCAAGUUACUCUGCCAUUCCAUAGAUCUUUACUGUGUACUAGCAUCAUAUGAUUCUAAUCCUAGAUAAUAGUUUGUUAGAGUUAGUUAGGAUCAUAUAGAGCUUUAUAUUAGCUUUGUUGUAACCAAUUUCAGAUCAAUUCAAUGAAAUCUAGAAUUUUCUCUAAUUUGUUAGAGUUACCUUUUCUCUUUUUCCUAAAAAAAAAUAAAAAUAUACAGCUUUAUAUAGCUUUCUUGUAACCAAUUUCAGAUCAAUUCAAUGAAUCUAGAAUUUUCUCUAAUUUUCUCUCUUUCUUCUUCAUUGAACUUCUGCAUUUUCUCUGAUUCCACCAUGGAUAUGGUGAAGUUUAAGAGAAUUAAUAGAAUAAAACCUAAAUAGGAUUAGAAGAAAACCUUUGUGUAAUCUAAAGACAAUAUACACAAAUAAUAAUAUUGUAGUUGUUGUGAAUACGGACUCAAAACUCACACCAAUACAAACUAUGAUGUGUGGAGCAAAGGAAAGUAGUAACCAAUAUCAAAGUGAACACAAGCAAUAAUCAACAAUAACAACACCUAGAUCUAAUCUAGGAAUCAAAGUGAAAAGCACAAAUUCACAAGCAAAAGAUAAAAGGAGAGAAGAGAGGAACAAACACACCAAAGAUUGUUGACCAGUUCGGUCCAACUUGACCUAAUCUGGGGGAGAGAUUGAUCUCUCCAAUCCACUAUCAAUGAGUAUUCUUACAAAGAAAUACAAAAGGGUUACAAGAAAUUAGCUUCAACAAGUUCACAAAGAACCCUAAUUUCUACCCUUUUUCCCAAUCUCACAAAUGAACAAGACACUCAAUGAUUUUCACUCACCAAGGUGUUUACAAUGUUUCGCAACCCAAGAGAACUCUAAUCAAAGACCCUCAACCCUAAAAUUACCUCCUCUGAUUUCCCAAGUUUCUCUCUCUUCAAGCUCUCCUUCAAAAUCUGCAAAGAACACUUAUAUAGCAGUUUUCAGCGUCAAAAUCGUGUCACGUUUUCCCAAAAUUGUGUCACGAUUGAUGCGUACGACCAACCUUAUCCUGAAAACUUGCCUAGCAAGUCGAAAAUCGUGUCACGUUUUCCCAAAAUUGUGUCACGAUUGGACACUCUGAAAACAUCUCUCGACAUUACCAAAAUCGUGACACGCUUGUCAAAUUGUGUCACGAUUUCUCUGUUUUCUAACUUUGCAAUUUGAAGACAUACACACCAGGAGUUGUGAACCUAAAGGAUACAAAUAGAAAAGGAAAAAAAAAAGAGCUGAAAUGGUUGAUAACAACACUUUGAAUAAUUUUGGCAAUGUUAAUGACAUGUCUUAGGGUAGUGGAACAACUAACUUGGAACAUAGUAUUGAUGCUAACACUAUUCAUGAUCACUAACUUAGUCAAUUAAAACAUCAACCAGAUUCUCACCAUGCUCCCUAGCAAUGUUGAAAUCUUUAAUGCCGUCCAUUCUCUUAACAAGGAUAAUACUCCUGGCCCUAAUGGAUUUGGAGCAUUUUCCUUUCAAACUUAUUGGAAAUUAUUAAACUGGAGGUUAUAAAUGUUGUUAUGCAAUUCCUCUCAAAUGGACGGCUUCUUCCUAAUUUUAAUCCAAAAACUAUUGUUUUGACCCCAAAGGUCCCUAAUGCUGAUAAUGUGAAUCAAUUUAGGUCUAGAGCGUUAGCCAACUUCAAGUUCAAAUUAAUUACAAAAAUCAAUGCUAGAAGAUUAACUUAGAUCAUGCCAUUAUAAAAAAUAUGUUUGAAUUACAAAGCUAUAGAUUUGUCAAUGUUUGAAAGGUCUUGGCCUAAUCUCCCUUUCUGUUUGUUUUCUUUCCUUUCUUUGAAAACAACGUAACUAUGUGAUACACUUAGAGCAUCACCAUUUACAAAAAAAAAAAAAAACAAUUGGCAUUUGCCAAAUAUUUUGAUACUUUAGACUGGCACUUUUCUAAUAAGGGUUUUCAAAGCUUUUGAUUUAAACUGUACUUUUUGCAAUUGGAUAAAUUGUAGUCUCAAAUCAACAAUGCUUUUUAUGUUGUGAAUGGCAAACAAGAAGUCUACUUUUCUUUUAAGAUACGAGAUAGACAGAGAGACCCCAUCUCCCAUUUACUUUUAUGUCGUAAUAAAGAAGUCAAUAGUGUAACAUCUCAUACUGUUUUUAGGAUUGACGAUUGACCCCACAAAUCAAUAUGAGUCUUUUUAGUAUAUUUUGUCCUUACUCGCACGCUUUUCGAGAAACUUUUCAGAAGGUCACCCAUCCCAAAAUUGCUCCAAGUUGAGCACGCUUAACUGUGGAGUUCUUAUGGUUUGACCUACCGAAAAGAAGAUGCAUCUUGUUUUUAUAGAUAGUACCAAACAAUUCAUAUAAGCCUCCCUUCAACAAUGAUGUUCCAUACUUGCACAACCUCAGGAUCCCCCUCAUUCCGAUGUGAUUUGGUUUUGCCUAUAAGCAUGCCAGGAGUCGGACCACUACCUGCCCUUGUCAGUCUCGGACGUUACAUGACCACCAAGCAGAGGCAUUACAUUCUCAACUGCUUCCGCUUGGUUCGUCCCCGAACCACAUCGUACUGGAGAGGUCUACUUUGAUACCACGUGUAACAUCUCAAACUGCUUUCAAGAUUGCCGAUUGACCCCACAAACCAACACGAGUCUUUUCAGCGUGUUUUGUCCUCGCUUGCACGCUUUUCGGAAAACUUUCAAGAAAGUCAUCCAUCUCAAAAUUGUUCCAAGUCAAGCACACUUAACCGUAGAGUUCUUAUUGUUUAGGCUAAAACAAUUUAUAUCUUGUUUUUAUAGGUAGUAUAAAACAAUUUAUAUAAAAACGACACACAUAAAAAAUAUUAAUUUUACUUCUUAUUGUAGUACAAUGGUAUUAUUUUAUAGUUAUAUUCUAGUUUUUCUUAUCUUCUAAAAUCCAACAAGACAUGGAGGCUAUUAAAACUAAUUAAAAUGUAAGAGUAAUAUAAAUUUUGAAGUGUUUCUCAUAUCUUCUAAAACCCAACAAGACAUCUAAAUUAUUUAUUAUGAUAUCAAAAUAAAAAUAAAGACUAUGAAGUAAGGUAAAAUUUAUUUAUCAACCUAACUAUUAAAGUUAUUCUUAUAAGGCUGAUAUGCCUAAAUUGUAUAACAUGAUGAUACCUCCAAAAUUAAUGGAGAAGAGGACAAUCAAAAUAAUAAUCUUUAUUAACUUAAAGUAAGUUUUUUUGGUACAAUAAAGCAAGCUUAUUACAGUAGAACACUAUAACUGCAAGUUUCAUCAAAUUAAAAAAAUAAAGGAAAAUGUUAACUUGUGCUCUUAAGACAUAAACUAAUGAAACAAAUAUAGAAAUAGUUUAUUGAAAUAUGUGCAUUACAUUUAAUUUUUAGUUUUUUAAUGAAUUGAAUGCACAAAAUUUUAUAAAAUAUUUCUUCUUUUAAAUUUCUUAACAUGAAAUCUAAGGACAUAACUUAACACUACCCAAAAAUAAAAUACUAAAAUUAUUGAAUGUCAUCCAUGGUCCGAAACUAAUAUAAUCAUAAGUGCGCUGCUACCAAUUCACAUUUGUGAUUAAUACAUCUACUUACUAAGUCCUUAGUAUUUUACCAUUUUGCCCCUUUGAGGGGCAUUUUAGUAAUUUUAUAUUGAUGGGGUGUGGUUAAUGCACCCUCAUCAUUUUAGGUGCAUUUCUCAUUUUGCUCUUCACCAUUUUUUUAAUUAUUUUAUAAUUUUUAUAUUUUUAAUAACUUUUACAAUUUUUAUUUUUUUAACUAUUAUUCAAUUUGUUCAUCCAAAUUCAGUUGCUUCUGAAUUGUCGUUGUGGGAGAGUAAGGUAUCGCUUGAUCCGGCAUUUUUCCAACUUCUCUACAUUUUUAAGGAGAAGUUAGAUCAAACACACUAUCAAUUAUUUUAAUUUCAAUAUUGUUUAAUCAUCACAACCUCACAAAUAAUUUUAUUCACACUGUCAUUUAAUGAUACCAAAUACUAUUAUUUCCUUUCUUCAACCUCGCAAAUAUUUACACACACAUUAAUGUUUAGAGUAAUAUUUUAUGUCCGUCUGUCUGUGUUUUUGUUAAGCUGAUGCAUAUAAUUUUUUUUAGUGUUGCUUGGUUGAGUGCUACUUCACCGAUUUGUUUUAACUAUUUUCCAAUUUUUAUAUUUUUAAAUACUUUUAACUAUUUUCCAAUUUUUCCUCCCAAAUUAAGUUGUUUCUACAUUGCCAUUGCGGGAGAUUAAGAUACCGUUUGACCCGGUUUUUUUUUUACUUCUCAACAUUUUUAAAAAGAAGUUAGGUCAAACACAAUAUCAAUUAAGUACUUACUAGAAAGGAAACAUUUUUUAAUGCAUAAAAUUGAAUGGAAUGAGCUUUGGCCAAAAGUUGUUAAAUGCUACUUUAAAAAACUACUUCUCGACAAUAUAUUUCACAAACACCCCUUUUCAACUCACGCUGGAAACCUUUUCUUUUAUUUUUUAAUAUUAUAUUUCAAUAUAUUUUCUUUUCAUUUAACUUUUUUUUUUUUUGAACAAUUCCAUUUAAUUUUAUUAUCUUUUUUUCAAAAGAUUUUUAUUAUCUUUUUAUCACUUAUAUAUUUAAUUUCAAUAUUGUUUAAUCAUCACAACCUCACAAAUAUUUUUAUUCACGCUGUCAUUUAAUGAUACCAAAUAUUUUUAUUUCCUUUCUUCAACCUCGCGAAUAUACACAUACACACAUUAACGUUUAAAGUAAUAUUAUAUGUCCGUCUGUCUGUUUUUUGUUACGCUAAUGCAUAUAAUUUUUUUUAGUAUUGCUUGGUUGAGUGCUACCUCACCGAUUUUUAUUAACUAUUUUCCAAUUUUCAUAUUUUUAAAAACUUCUGAUUAUUUUCCAAUUUUUUUAUUUUUAACUAUUUUCUAAUUUUUUUUCUCACAAAUUCAGUUGCUUCUACACUGCCGUUGUGGGAGAUUAAGAUAUCGUUUGACCCGUUUUUUUUUUCUCUUCAACUUCUCUACAUUUUUAAGAAGAAGUUAGGCCAAGUACAAUAUCAAUUAAGUACUUACUAAAAAAAUGUACUUUUUUUAAUGCAUAAAAUUGAAUGGAAUGAGCUUUGGCCAAAAGUUGUUGAAUGCUACUUCAAAAAACUAUUUGUCGACAAUUUAUUUCACAAUCAUCUCUCUUCAAUUCACGUUGGGAACCUUUUCUUUUAUUUUCAAAUAUUAUAUUUCAAUAUGUUUUUUUCUUCCAUUUAAUUUUUUUUUAGCCGUUCCAUUUAAUUUUUUAAAGGAGGUUCCAUUUAAUUUUAUUACCUUUUUUUCAAAGAAAUUUUAUUAUCUUUUUAUCACUUAUAUAUUUAAUUUAAAUAUCGUUUAAUUAUAACAACCUCACAAAUAUUUUUAUUUACGCUAUCAUUUAAUGAUACAGAAUAUUUUUAUUUUCUUUCUUCAACCUCGCAAAUAUACAGACACACACAUUAGCGUUUAGAGUAAUACUUUAUGUGUGUCUGUUUUUUUGUUACGCUAAUGCGUAUAAUUUUUAUAAAAUUUUGAUUUUAAUUAAAAGUAAAAUUGUAGAUGUCUUUUCUUCAAAAAAGGUAUAGAUGCCUAAAAAAAUUAUGCUUAUGUUAUAUAUAUAUAUAUAUAUGGGUUUGCUAGAACACACCCACUAAUUUUUAUGUGGGAGUGUUUUAGCAAGUUAUAACUAAAAAGUUAAUAAAUACACCUUAAGGUGUAUGUUGCUAUAACACACCUUCUAGAAAAAGCAAGUGGGUGUGUUCUAGCAAAUCCUAUAGGCAUUUGCUAGAAUACACCCACUUAUUUUUUAGAAGGAGUAUUUUAGCAAGUGAAUAACUAAAAAGUGGUUAAAUACACCUUAAGGUGUAGCUUUGCUAAAACACUCCCACAUAAAAACUAGUUGGUGUGUUCUAGCAAAUGCCCAAAUAUAUGUAACAAUUGGUCAGGUUCGAGGUUGCUCAUCAACCUACAUCAUCCGGUUGUUGAGAAGUUUAAGACUUAGUAAGUUUGCAUUAUGAUUUCACAAUACAGUGUUAGAGUAACUUAUUAUUUCACAAUCCGAUUUGAUUGAUUUUUGACCAUGUUUCUUGAAUUGUUGUCAUGACUUUAACACUUCUCAAGCUCAUAGUCAAACUUCAGUUAAAACUUAAGUCAGAGUUCGACUUCUUCUCAACGUACUUCAUACAACGAUUUUUCCAAACUGUCACAUGUUAGGCCAAUUGCUGAAUUUAUAAACUUAGUCAAUGUCUGCUUUUUUUAUGCACAAACAUGCUUUAAGUUUUUUUACGCACAAAUUAAAAAUACAUAUUGCAUUAUUCUUUAUUUCAUGUGCAUAAUUUGUGUUAGGAAACAUAUUGCAUCACUAUUUAGAAAACAACUAAAUUCAAUCAUAACCAGUUUGGAUUGUAUUAUGAGAGCUGCACCAAAUGUUCGAAGACAUCAAUGUCAGAUGGUGCUGGCUAUAUAUGCACAUGUGGAAGUGAUGCUUAAUUUCCAUUUGUUUCAACAAUGUUAAUUGGUCAACGGGGUGCAUAUAAUGUACAUGCAUGCAUUUAUCUAGAAUUUAUAGGAAGAUAAUAGGAUGAUAAAGUAGAAGUCAAGUUACAUUUUCUUUAGCUUAAAAUCAGUUAUGCUACCUUUAUUUUAUAAAUUAUAUGUAACUAUAUUCGCAUACAUCUUAUCCAUAUGCAUUAGACUAAUAUUGCAGUUAUUUUCCUGUUUAGCAUUUCCCAAACGAGGUGUCAAGAACAAUUCUGAAAGGAAAGCGCAAAACAAUCACUCUUAUUGAUGACCAGACACAGAGACAGUACAACUGUCAUCUCAUUACCGCCGAUAGAGCAAGCUAUGAAAAUUACUUGGGUGGUCAGUGGUUCAAUUUCUGCAGAUAACGAGUGAUGGAAGAAGGUGGUAAACUCAUCUUUGAUCUCGAAAAGUCACAGAAGAAAGUGCAAAUUCGAGUUGUUCCAAAGUAGAUAUUUGUUGUUGAACUAUUUUAACUUCUACUAUUUUGAUGUAUCGCUUUGGACUGAAGUCGUAAACUAUCUUGAUUUUGGGAUGUCAUUUGUUCUUUUCAUUUUGUCUGAUGUAAGUAUUGGCAAAAAUUCCUUUUUGGUUAGUCUAUGAAACUUGCAAUCUCUUUUAUAAACCUAACUAUUAUGUAACGUUAAUCUGUACAUUGUUGGUUCCUUCAUUGGUUCCAAUUAGUAUCAUAUUAAUUGUAAUGUUGUUUUUCUAAUCUCUUGAGAAAAAUAAAACAUGUUAUUUUCCUACAGUAAAUCUUUACAAUGCUUUGGUAAAUGUUUUAGAAAUGUGCAUAUAUAUAUAACUUCUAAUUAACACUGCAAUUUGUUUUGUACCUAGCACUUGUCAAAUGAGAUAUCAAUGACAUUUUUAAAAGGAACACAGAAAACAAUCACACUCAUCGACAAACAAGCUCAAAAAAGGUAUAAGUGUCGCUUGAUAACGGCAGAGAGAGCAAGUUACAAAAAAUACUUAGGCGACCAAUGGUUCAAAUUUUGCCGAGAACGUAUGUUAGAGGUAGGUGAUAAGUUAAUUUUUUUUAUCUAGAGAAGCCACCUAAAAAUAUGCACGUUCAAGUCGUUUCCAAAUAAAGAUUUGGUGUUCAUGAUCCACACUUUCAACAUAUCACCUUAACUUUAAUUCUAGACUAGAUUAUUUUCACUCACUGAUGCUACUUCUUUGCUUGAUUUCAUUUGAUGUAAAUAUGGGUAUUACAACAAAACUCUUUUUUUUUUUUUUUUUUUUUUUAUAAUUUUGGAUAAUAUGUAAAUUCACACAUCAUUGAUUCCUUUAUUGGUUCCAAUAGUUUUCAUCCUAAAUAUUAUGUCAAUUCCUAAUCUCAUAAACUGAUUAUAUGCUCUCUUAAUCAGUCCAUACAUAUUUUAUGAUGAAUCACGAUGUUCCUUCGUUUUAACAUCUCUUCUUUCAAAGAAUUUUUUUAUCAAAUAUGUUAUUGAACCCGUGCUUCUAACUAGUUUAUAAAUAUAAAACAAGUUCCCACUUUUUGGACAAUCAGCAUCAAUUUGACAUUUAUCACGUGCUGUAAUAAGAAAAGAAAAAAAGUCAAGAAAAUAAUGCUACUAUUAAAUGAUUGUGUACGAGCUACAAAGUAAAGAAAGAAAUUUGAAAAGAAUAAAAGGAAUGGCUUACCAACACCAAAUUUCGUUGCGAUGAGAAAUAAGGAAAUAAAUAGAAUCAUGACACAAACAAACUUAAGAAUUUGAACCAUAUUUUAUCUUGUUUGAGUGUAAAAAAUAGAAAAUGAUUUGGUCUAUUUAUAAUUUUCCUGCUCUCUAAAAUAAUGAAAUAUUUUUAGCACUUACAAAGUUGAAACCGUCGUUCAUAAUAUUAUGAUCAUUAUUAAAUAUUUAUUAAGUAUAUCAAUGUGUUGUGUUUGUUCUUUUAGCACACUUAAGGUGGGUCAAAUAACAAAAUUACUAAUCAUUAAAAUUCAUUCUUUAUAUCUAACUUUUAUUUACUUUUUUUAAAGUUAAAAGUUUUCUUUUAGACCAUCGUAAUAUUAUUAUUUUGGAAUAAUAUACAUAAUUGGAGAUGAGAAAUAAGUAGAGUGUAUUGUAGGAUCAACUUUUAUUGUUGAUAAAAUCGUUGAAUUAAAAAAAACACCUUUCCUUGAUUUAAAAAAUUGAUGUGUAUUUUAUAGAACUUUUUUUAUUCAAUAAUAUUUAAGGUUCAAAAACUCAACCUAAAAGUAGUGGUUUAGGGACAACCUAAAUGCAGAUGACAUUUAUCUAUAAGAACAAUUAAAAGUAAUAAAAUUUCAGCGUCUAAAAACAUCAUAUAUAUAUAUAUAUAUAUAUAUAUAUAUAUAUAUAUAUAUAUAUAUAUAUAUAUAUAUAUAUGAGUUUUGCUAGAAGAUAACUUUUAUCAGUGGCGGAACUAGGAAAAAAGUAUAGGGUGGGCUAUAAAUAGUGAUGGAGCUUAAUUUUCUUACAGGUACAUUUUAUCAUUGGUUAGUUUCAAUGACUACAAAUUUGUUAUUUGUUGAAUAUAAUUCAAACCGGUAUUUUAAAAUCCGAACCGUUUAUCAACCUUGAUAAACUACAAGAUAAUUGAUCGAACAACUAGGUCAUUAAACCUAACGACUGAAUUAAAUGACUCAACUUCAAUAAACAGAUGUAUAGGUAUUAAAUCGAAUUGAAUCAAACGACCGAGUAAAAAAAAAAACUCAUGACAUAUAUAUAUAUAUAUAUAUAUAUAUAUAUAUAUAUAUAUAUUAAUGUAAAAAAGAUCAUUACAUAAGAAAAUAUACUUAUAAUCAAGUACAAUAAUGAAAUCAUAUUGUACUUGCCUCAAUUAUUUUUAUGAUUUCUAACAAAUUCUAUUUUAUUUUAUUUAUGAUUUCUAAAAAUUAUUUUUAUUUUUUAGAAAAUAGGAAUGAAUCAUAUUUAAACUAAGAUCAAUAUGAUAUCUGAAGUAAGAAAUGAUGUUAGUGAUUGGCCCUUGCCUCAAGUCACUAACGUUGAUGAAUGGGUUCCUUUUGAAGGGCAACUAUUUGAAGAUAAUGAAUAUGUAAAUUCUUUAACAUUUCAAGAGCUACAACAUGAACCCUUGCCUCAAGUCAACAACAUUGAUGAGGGGGUUCCUUUUGAAGGGCAAGUAUUUGAAAGUGAUAAUGUUGCUUAUGAAUUUUAUUGUUUAUUUGCAAAACAAAAUGGAUUUUCUAUUAGGCGUGAUCACAUUUAUAAAUCUAGUAAAAAUGUGUCUGAAGAGAAUCCAUCUGGUGUUUAUAAGAGGGAAUUUAUUUGUCAUGGUGGUGGUAUUGUUAAACCACGCAAAACUGUUGAAGUGGAAAAUCAAAGGAAACGAAAAUCUUCAAGAUGUGAUUAUGGUGCAAAGAUGGUAGUUAAUAAGAGAACAAUUGGCUUUGAGAAAAAAUGGGUGGUUAAAUAUUUCAACAAUUCUCACAACCACGAGUUAUUGGAUAACAAAGAGGUUCGAUUUCUUCCUGCUUAUCGUAACAUUCCAAUUGUUGAUCAAGAUCACAUACUAUUAUUAUCUAAAGUUGGUUGCUCUGUAAGUAUUAUAAUGAGAGUGCUUGAGUUAGAGAAAAGAACGGGCACAGGAAAUUUACCAUUCUUAGAAAAAGAUAUUAGAAAUUUUAUUCAGUCAUAUAGUGGUAUUGGUAAAGAAAGUGAUGCUGCAGAUGUUCUCAGAUUGUGCAAAAGUUUGAAAGAUCGAGAGGAGGCCUUCCAAGUUGAAUUCACAAUUGAUGAAAGUAACAAAUUGGAGCAUAUUGUUUGGGCAUUUGGUGAUUCAAUUCGCGCAUACGAAGCUUUUGGAGAUGUUGUAGUUUUUGAUACCACAUAUAGAAUAAACCGUUAUGGGAUGCCUCUUGGAAUAUGGGUUGGUGUUGAUAAUCAUGGAAAUUCAAUUUUUUUUUGGUUGCGUUCUAUUGCAAAAUGAGAAGAUUUCUUCCUUCGAAUGGGCUAUAAAGGUAAAUUUCUAUUUACUCAAAGUUGUUAUCACUGUUAAAUUUUUAAAUUUGAAACUUUAUUAAAUUAAUUUAGAUUUAUGUUACAAUUUUCAGAGUUUCCUAGCUUUUGUGAAAGGAAAAUAUCCAAAAAUAAUUCUUACCGAUCAAGAUCUUUCAAUUAAAGAAGCCAUUGCAACGGAAUUGCCAAACACAAAACAUGCAUUUUGUAUAUGGCAUAUUGUCGCAAAGCUGUCAAGUUGGUUUUCUUUUCCACUAGGUUCGAGAUAUGAUGACUUUAAACAUGAGUUUCAUAAGGUAUAUCAUUUAGAAUGUGCAGAUGAUUUUGAACGAGAAUGGAAAAUAAUGGUCUCACAGUUUGGUUUGGGCGUGGAUAAGCAUAUUGACUUGCUCUUUUCCCAUCGUAAAUUUUGGGCCUGAGCUUAUUUGAAGGACUUUUUUUUUGCUGGAAUGACAACAACAGGACGCUCAGAAUCGAUAAAUUCAUAUAUAAAAAGAUUCUUAGAUGCUAACAACAGGACGCUCAGAAUCGAUAAAUUGUUAUAUUUUUGUGUAGGUUGGUGUUGCUGUCAAAAUUAGAAAUCAAGCUGGAGAAGAGGCACGAAUGCGUCAAAAGUAUCAUAAUCCUCAUAUUACAACACAUUUUCCUAUUGAAGAACAUGCCUCGUCUAUACUCACACCUUAUGCCUUUAAGUUGCUUCAAUAUGAGAUCGAAUUAUCCGCAAAGUAUGAAGCAAUUGAAGCUGACAAUGGCUCUUAUGUUGUGCAACAUCAUACCAAAGUUGAUGGUGGUCGUAUAGUAAGUUUGAUAACAGAAGAAGAGUCAAUUCAUUGUUCUUGUAAAGAGUUUCAAUUUUCAGGAAUACUAUGUAGACAUGCAAUUCGAGUGCUAAUGUUUAAAAAUUGUUUUGUUCUUCCAUCAAAAUAUCUUCCUUUUCGAUGGAGACGAGAAAGAUCAUUGAUCCCAAAAUCUAGUCAUGUGAUUAACUGCAAUGAUGUAUCCUCUGCCAAAUUUCAGUCUCUAAUUCGAUGUUUGGAAGUCGAAUCAUUAAAGACAAGUGAACGAGAACAGGUUGCUACAAGAGAGUUAGAAAAUAUCAUCAUAAAGAUAAAAAGGCAUGCCUGAAACUCAAGAACAUGUGAUUGAUUUGGAAGCGGAUGUUUCCAACAAUGACGACUACGACGUUGAAAAUCCUGUUGUUUCAAAAACAAAAGGUCGGCCAAAAGGAUCAAGACCAAAAGGAGGGGUUGAAGCUGCCAAGAAGCCUCGUCGUUGUCAUGUUCCAGAUUGUGGUGGAACUAAUCAUGACUCACGAAACUGUCCAAACAAAAAGAGAAAAAUGGAAGUAUUGCCUUCUCAAUCUCCUAAUAAGUAAGUUUUAAUUGGUGUGUCUUGUUCUACUCAUGACUAAUAUAUUAAAUUAAUGUUGACUGAAUUUUUAUGGUGCUUUGAUAGGAUCAUGAAGGGUUGGAAGUAGUCAUCUUGAAAUAGUGAAUUUGACAGAUGAAGCAGCCAAAUAGUUUAGAUCAAACCGUGUAAUUAGUGAAUUUUGUGGCUGCAAUCUGUAAGAUCAAACUAGCAGUAUAUUUUGUAGGAUUAUUAUGAUCAAAUUGUAUAAUUACUAGUAUAUUUUGUACCAGUAUAUAGCCUGUGUUUUGUUCCAGUUCGCCCAAUCUUUCUCUUCUUGAGAGGUCCUGUUUGGCUUAAUAUAUUAUUGCACAUUAUUAUGAUUAUGUGAAAUGUUGAUGUUAAUUAUUGAACAUCAAAUUGGUUAUUAAAAGUCAAAGAGUCUAAAAAAAAAAAAAGUAAAAGAUCAAACUAGCAAUAUAUUUCUGUGAAAUAUAUUAUUGCAUAUUAUUGCACCUCUUAAAAAAGAAGUAAAAGAUCCAAUGAAAAAAUGUGUUCUCUUUUUGACAAACACAUUGGUUGUAGGAAGAGAGAGAAAAUGAUGAUUUCUAGGUGAAUGGGAAAUGACUUUAAAGGACAUGUAUUAUAUCAUUAUUGAAGAACAAUCUAAAUUUCCUUUGAAUUAAUUUGAUUUACAUGAUUGUGAAUUAAUUUGUAUUAGGAGAAGUGAAUCAAUCUAAAUUUAAUCAUUUGUAUUAUAUCAUUACGGGGGAGUAACUAGUGGUUUAAUGACAAUCUAAAUUUCCUUUGAACAACCCCACAAACAACUUGAACCUUUUUUUUUUUUUUUUUUUGUCAAUUAACAACUUGAAAAUUUUAUUUCUUAAAAUACUCACAUUGAAAUAAUUAUUUUAUCCACGUUGGGUUUUGAUAAGGUAUAUAAUACAAUGAUAAGGUAAUUAUUUUAUUCAUAUUAAAUAAAAUAUUACCUCAAGAAAGAAAAAAAAGUUCAUGAUUGGUAAAUAUGUAUGUUUGGAUUGAUGAAAAUGCAAGUAGUAAAAUCUAAAGAUUCUCUACCCUAUGGUAUAAGUUACUCUAUAAGGCAAACUAUACUUCUCUCAAAAAAAUAAAAAAGGCAAACUAUACUAGCGAUAAAUUUACGUUAAAAUGACCCUCUUUUAAUUCAUCAUAUAUAGGAAAAUGAAUUGAAUUUUUUUUUCGCGGACAACGGUGGUAUUUUUGUUAGUUUGUUUUAAUUCAAGUUUAGUUUAGUGAUAAUCACAAUCAGUGGUUAAUCACAUUUUGUUUUAGUUUGUUAUGAAGUUUGUUACAAGUUUGUUAGAGGUUAGUAUAUAAGAUCUAGAGUUUGUUACAUUGCUUGUGCUUCAAGCAACUUAGCUAGAUAUUGUAUAUAAGCUACCUCCUUUGUACAUUUUCGUAUGUAGAAUCAAUAAAGAUCAAUUACAAUUUCAUCAUAAUUUUUCUUCUCUCUCAAUUCUCUCUCUAAUUCACAAAACCUUAGAAUAAGAAACUACUUCUGAAACUGCUUCUGAACUAGCUUCUGAACAAGCUUCCGCUUCUGGUUUUUCUGCGCUAUCAAAUUGGCAUCAAGAGCCUUUGGUUUCAUUCUAAGGGGUAAUCAAGAUCUUCAAUCACGCAAUUUGUAGGAAGAAACGCUGAAGGAAACACCAUGAAUGGUAGCAGCAGUUUCAACACACAUCUUCCAAUUCUUGAAGCACGCAAUUGGGAAAGAUGGAGUGCAGUGAUGAAGAAUCUGUUUGGAGCACAAGAUUUGCUUGAAAUUGUGCAGAAUAGUGUAGGUGAAUUAGCUGCGAAUGCCACUGAAGUGCAAAGGAACGCACACAAGGAAUUGAAGAAGAAAGAUUGCAAGGCUCUGUUCUUGAUUCAACAAAGUCUUGAUGAAGGAAACUUUGAAAGAAUCUCAAAAUCACUAAGUUCAAAGGAAGCAUGGGACAUUCUUUCAAAGUACCAUGAAGGUGAUGAUAAAGUGAAGUUGAUUAAGCUUCAAUCACUGAGAAGGAAAUUUGAGCUGAUGCAAAUGGAAGAUGAUCAGAAGAUUUCUGAGUACAUCUCUAAACUCAUCAAUCUUGUGAAUCAGAUGAAGGCUUGUAGUGAAGCAAUCACUGAUCAACAGAUAGUUGAAAAGAUUAUGAGGACCCUAUCUUCAAGGUUUGAUUUCAUUGUGGUGGCAAUUCAGGAAUCAAAAGAUGUUAAGACAUUGAAGAUUGAGGAGCCGCAGAGUUCAUUAGAAGCUCAUGAAUUGAUGGUUUCAGAAAGAAGCAAUGAAAGAUCAAUUCGACAAGCCCUGCAAGUUCAAACUAUCAAGAAGGAUGAUUAUGAUAGGAAGAACUUCAAGAAAGGGAAGAAAAACUCUAAGGGAAGAAACUGGUCUAAAGGCAAGAACAAUGGAUCUGAUAAAGGUGAAUCUUCAAAGGAAGGAAAUUCUAAUCAAAAGAAGAAAGUUGAUAAGAAGAAGAUUCAGUGUUUCAAAUGUGAGAAAUUUGGACACUAUGCCUCUGAAUGUUGGUCUGGUAAAGGAAAGCAAUCAAAUAAUGAUGAAGAGGAAGCCAAAAUUGCACAAGAUGAUUCAGAUUCUGAGUCAUUAUUCAUGAUGGUUACAACAAUUAGUAAUGAGAGCUGCAAUUCAGAAAGUUGGUUCUUAGAUACUGGUUAAUCUAAUCAUAUGACUGGAACCAAGACAUGGUUAAGAGAAGUGGAUUUUGGAAGAAACACAAAGGUGAAACUUGCAGAUCAUAGAGUAUUAGUUGCAGAAGGAAUGGGGAAUAUUGCUAUUGAAGGAAAGAAUGGGAAAGUGGCAAUAAUUGAAUAAGUUCUCUAUGUUCCUGGAAUGCAGUGCAAUUUGCUGAGUGUAGGUCAAUUCAUUCAGAAAGGAUACUCAGUUACUAUGAAGGACAACACCUUUAAGUUGUUUGAUAAUCAUCAAAGGUUAGUUUUGAAAACUCCUCUUGCAAAGAAUAUAACCUUUCAGACCAAUAUGAAAGCUGUAGAAUUGAACUGUUUAUCUGCUAUGGUAAAAGAUGAAGAUAGCUGGUUAUGGCACUAUAGAUUUGGUCAUCUCAAUUUUAGAGGUCUUAAUCAAUUGGUUGAUAAAGAAAUGAUUCUGGGAGUGCCUAAAAUUGAGAUACCUAACACAGUUUGUGAUACUUGCUUGUUGGGAAAGCAACCUAGAAGUGCAUUCAGUUCAAGUUCAGCAAGUAGAUCAAAGGAGCUGCUUAAUGUUGUAUAUUCAGAUGUGUGUGGUCCUUUAGAGGUUCCUUCAUUAGGAGGAAACAAAUAUUUCAUCAGUUUUGUUGAUGAGUUUAGCAGAAAACUCUGGUUAUAUUUGAUUAAGGCCAAAAGUGAAGCAUUUGAUAUGUUCUAGAAGUUUAAAAUCUUAGUUGAAAAACAAAGUGGUAAAUCCAUUAAGAUUUUAAGAACUGAUGGUGGUGGUGAGUAUACCUCAAAGGUGUUUGAGAAGUUUUGUGAAGACAAUGGCAUUGUGCAUGAAGUCACUGCUCCUUAUACUCCACAACACAAUGGUUUGGCUGAAAGAAGGAAUAGUAGCCUGCUUGACAUGACCAGAAGUAUGCUAAAGAUGAAGAAGAUGCCUAAUACAUUUUGGGGAGAAGCAGUAAGAACUGCAGCAUACAUCUUAAACAGAUGCCCCACUAAGAAACUUAAUCAAAUUCCUGAAGAAAUUUGGUUAGGAUGCAAGCAGUCAGCAAAACACUUGAGAAUUUUUGGUUCAUUGUGCUAUAUGCAUAUCCCUGAUGCAAAGAGAAGGAAGUUGGGGGACAAGAGUGAGCCUAUGAUACUGGUUGGCUAUCAUGAAACAGGUGCAUACAGAUUGUAUCAUCCUCUAAAUCACUCUAUAGUGAUUAGGCUACCUGACCCAAAAAAAAAUUCUACAAGCCACUUUUCUCACGUUGUUUUCGCUAUUUUCUUAUAUCUUGACCCUUACUUAUUGAUGUUGUUGAAACCAAGUUGGUCCACUAAUAACAAUAUCAUUUUAUGUUUUGAUGAUUAAAAAAAAUAUCUAAAUGGUUUUUCAAUUCGCAUUUAACUUAAUUUCUUAUUACUUUGAAAUCUUUCAACAAACUAUAUUCAUUUUAAAUUUUGCAAAUUUAUUUAUGUUAGUUCUAACAUUUAUCCCGCCAUUGCACGGGUCAUGAGCUAGUAAGUGUUAUUGGUACAUGGAGCCUUAAUCUUCUUGCACAAAUACCCACUUAAAAGUUUCAAUUGAAUGGGGUGGGGUAGCUCAACUGGUUUGAGUUAAGGGAAUUUUUUCUAGAGGUACUGAGUUUGACACGGACAAAGGAGAAAAGAGAAAAACUAAUUUCUAACAUACAUUAAAAAAAAAAAAAUAUCUUCUUAAAGCACCAACCCAAUUCAUAUUUUUUAUUUAUGUACUAAAAUGAUAGAUCAGUAUAUUUUUUAUUCAGUACAAAUUUGAAUAUCUGUUUAAACUGUACAUUUUUUAUUGGGUUAAAUAUGUUUUUGGUCCCUAUAAAAUUGGAAACUUCUAAGUUUAGUCCUUACUUAAUUUUAAUAACAUUUUUAGUCCCUACAAAAAUAAAAUUACAUGUAAUUUUAGUCCUUCUAAAAACUAAAUUUGUUUAAUUAUUCUUGAAUUCUUAAAUUUUUGAACGAUUUUUUGGAGACAUGUUUAGAACAUUAUAAAAUGUUCAUUUACUAAAAAAUAUAAUUUUUUAACAGGAGAAGAAUUAAAUAUGAAUUUUUUAAACGACAAAAAUUCAAGAAAAGAGUAGUAAAAAUCUGAACGUAGAAAUCAAAUUUUGAGUUAAUAUUUUGUAGAGGGACUUUCCGUAAUGUUCUUAAUAGGUGUACAAAAGAUUGUUUAAAAAUUCAAGAAUUUAAGCAUAAUUAAACAAAUUUGGAUUAAGAAUGGACUAAAACUAAAUGCAAAAUGAUUUUUUAGGGAUUAAAAAAGCUAUUAAAAUUAAGUAAGGAUUAAAUUUAAAAGGCUCCAAUUUUAUAAGGAUAUAAAACAUAUUUAACCCUUUUUAUUUGAUGUCAAAAGGAAAAGUUCAAUCAAUAAAUUUGUUUUUGUUGUAAAAUUUUGGAUAGUCGGGCAUGAGUGAUAUGCAAAACUAAAACAAAAAAAAAUACAACAAAUGUUACAUGAAGGAUUUUGAUUGAUGAAACAAAACUACCUUGACAAAAAAAAAAGAAUUAAAAGAAAGAAAUUGAAUAAGUUAUUAAGAUUAAUAAAAUUUUCUUGAAACAUCACCGAAGGGUUGUCUUUGAAUAAAGAUUUUAGGAAAUUGUAUAUUUUUGUAUAUAGAAGUUAUAGUUUUUAAAUGAUUGUAUAUUUACUAGAUAAAUGCUUCCUUAUCUCCAAUCCCCAUUACAACUCUGACUAAGUCUUAGGCUUUGUUUGGAUUGAUGGCAUGUGGUGGAAUGGAAUGGGAUGGAGUGGUAUAUAAUAGAGUUCCAUUGUUUGGAUAUUUAAAAAAUGAGUGGAAUGGAGUGGUAUAUGAUGGAAUCCAUUCCAUCCCAUUCCAUCAUCUUCCUUUAUUUUCAUUCCUCCCAAUUUGGGGUGUAUAGAAUGGAAUGAGGUCUAUUAAUUUGACAAUUACCUUUUUAACCUAGUUUUUUUUUUUAUUUCCAAUUGGUAGCCACGAAUUUCCGAUUGAACCCAGUUUUUUAUUUAAUUACACACGUUACCUCUAUACCCAACAACAUCAAACUCUACAACACUGUUCUACAUAGCACUAGACAGUCCAAUACAUCAAAAUCCUUUCUACAAAGCCAAACUACUCAUGAAAAUCAAUGAAAGUUCAUUAUAAUUAAAUAAAAAAAAUGUAAAAAAUGCAACGAAUGGAGAUGGUGGGGGUAACGUGAUGGACAAAUUUUUCAAACAAAAUUAAAACUUUUUUGCUACUAUUAUUUUUGUUACUAUUUUAUUAUAACUAUACAAUUCUAUAUAUGAUAGUAUUUUUAAAUAAGGGUAAAAAUGAAAUAAACAAGUUUGUUCCGUUCCGUCGUAAAAUGAGUUCUAUAAAAUACCCAAACAAUGGAAUGGAAACUCUAUCCCGCUCCGUUCCAUUCCAUCCCGCUCCAUUCCAUUCGUUUUAAAAUAUCCAAACAUAGCCUAGUGUUCCAUGCCUGAUAGUAGCUGGUUAUAUGUAAAUUCUAUUUUCUUAUAUUGAUAUUUCAAUUCCGUUCUUAAUUUUUUUUUUUUUUUUUUUUUUUUUUUUUUUUUUUUAUGCGAAAUACAAAAAUGAUAUUUGACUUAGAAAGUUGUAGACAUAGGCUUUCUCCGUAAGAGAGAGAUAUGGGUAGGAGCAUUUGUAGAUGUUAGUUACCAGGUAUUAGUCUCUGUUUGCAAUCAUACACAUUGUAUGAUCUUAAUGUCGUUACUAAAAAUAAUGAAUCUCAUAUCGUUUGUCAGAUAUGGAAACAUGCGAUCAAUGAAGUAAAUUAAACGAUUAAUUAAUGAAUCCCAACAAUAUUAUCUCUUUGUUCUUGUUUCAUUUUUUUUUAAGAAGUUAAACUAACCCCUUUCAAUUGACACCAGAGAUAAUUGAACCUGAGACCUUAAGAAGGAGCACUCUCAGGUUACAAGUCAAUACGACUAGGCCAACCUAAGUGGGUUUUUCUUAUUUCAUUAUUUAAUUGCAAAGACAAAUAUAUGUACAAAUAAUCCAUCGUUAUGUACUAAAAACAAUAUUCGUAUUUCAAAAAUAUUGCACGAAUUCCUAUGGAUACGGUAACCAUAAAUAUUUAUUUUGGGAAAUGAUAGGUGCAGUGACAAAAUUUAUCAAAAAAAUUUUAAGACAGUGUAUUUGCUAACACCUUUUCUUAAUUACACAACAUUACCUCCCUUAAUUUUCGUCAAAUAACAAAUUUAAUUGAUUGAGACAUUUUCUUAAUAUAUUUUUGAUAAAAACUCUAGAUAAAUAGAAAUGCUCAUUUAUUUUUUUAUACAGCUAUAAAAGCAGCUGAUCACUAAGUAACUAUUUUUUUUAUCUCAAUCUGUUUGCAAUAUUUCAAAAAUUAUUAGAUAAUUUUAUAAAUUAUUACCCCAAAAAUAAAAUUACCAUGUGUGUCACAUGGGAUAAAGAUCUAGUUUACCCUAAAUUUAAAGUAGUUGGAUUAAACCUUCAAAAAAUUGUAUUAAAGUGUUUGCAACUACUUUUAUAUCGACUAAAAUCCUACAAAUAUAAAUUAAAGUGUUUGCAAAUUGAAUUGUUUUUCAUAUCUUUUAAAGCUCAACAAGACAUCUAAUGUAUUUAUUUUGACAUGCAUAAAUUAAAAAGGCUUUGAAGUAAGGUAAAAUUUAUUGAUAUACCUAACUAUUCUAUUAAAGUUAUUUUUAAAAGGUGUGAUACCUCCAAAAUUAUGAGAGAAGAGGACAAUGAAAAAAAAAAAUCUUUACUACCUUAAAACUAUCUUAGAGUAACACACCAUAACUACAAGGUUCAUGAGAUUAGAGAAAUUAAAUUAAAUUAUAUCAUAGAGUGCCAACAUAAUAACCAAACGACAACUCAUGAAAUAUUCUAUCAUAUUUUAAGUUGUUUUCUUUGACAUUAUAACCCAUUCUCCUUUGUAGUAUGUUUUUGCACUCUCCAUGGUUUGAAACUCAUAGAAUCAUGCAUGUGCUUCUACCAAUUCACAUCUUUUAUCAAUGCACUUAAAAACAUAUAACAAGUCCCUAUACUUUGGACAAUAAUCAUCGGUUUCACAUUCUUCAUAAACUAUAAUGAAAAAACGAUAAUAAAAUAAUGUUACUAAAUAUGUUAAAAGAUUGUGCACAAACUAUAAAGUAAAGAAGGAAAUUUUGAAAAGAAUGAAAAAAAUGACUUACUGUCACUCAGUUGUGUUCUGAUGAGAAAUACUAUGGAAAUGAAUAGAAUCAUAGCAUAAACAAACUUUAGAAGUUGAAUCAUAUUUUUUCUUGUUUGCAUGUAAAAAAUUCGAAUAUGAUUUGUUCUAUUUAUAAUGUUCAUGCUCUCUUAAAAAUGAUUUUUAUAGUUUUGGCACUUAUGAAGUUGUAAAAACCCUUCAUAAAAUUAUAAUCAUCAUUAAUUAUCUCUUAAAUAUAUCAAAGUGUUGUAAACAUAAAGAGGUCAAAUGAAAAACUUACUAAUAAUAAAGAUUUAUUCCUUUUGACUAUAAUAUUCAUAUGUAAUUGAGCUUAAGUGGUUAAUGAACUUCACCAAAGAACGAAUCGUUCCGGAGAACCCGAGUUUGUUUCUGAUUUUAUCCAAAUGCAUUUUGGUAUUAUGCCUACCCAACUUGAAAUAGAUUGACGGAAACCAUUGAUGAUGAGGCAUUCUCUAGAUGGAUUUCAUAGUUCUCACCUUGAGAACAAAUUGUAUAGUCAGAGGUCUUUUUGACUUUGGAAUAAGUUCAAAUAGAACUCCUUCACAACUCCCUACAUUUUAAGCUAUAACUAUAAUAAGUCAUUACGAAUCAUGUGUCUUCAUUGUGUUAUGAUAAUGUGAGGAUGGGAGAAUAUUUGUAGAGUUUUAAUUAUGAUAAAUAAUACUGGAAUGAGGAUAUUAUUUCAGUUUUUCAUCAACUUUUUGUGAUGGAAUAUAGGAUAUGCAUUAAUUGCACUAUGACUGCUACACUCAAGCUAUUCGUAUUUCUACCUAUUUAACAUUUGGCUUGAAGUUGAUUAUUUAAAUGAAAAAUGAGUGAAUUUAAUAUCGAAUAUACUGUCACAAUAUAUUCUAUUUUUACUUUCAUUGAUUAGAACUCAACUAUUAUCAAAUGAAAUCAGUGCAGAUAAUUAGACAUUCAAGAUUUUGAGCUGGGAGAUUAGAAUGCAUUGAAGGAAUUGUUUGCCAAACACAUUGGGAAACUUUGAUGAAGGAGCUUGCUUUCACAUAACUCAGGAGAAAAAGACCUGUUCAAACACAGAUUAUCCUUGCAAGUACAAAAAAAAAAAAUGAAAACAAUUGUGUAGAACUAAUGUUAAUGAACCAUUUUUUUUGGACAAACAGAAAAUGUUGAUUCUUAUGUUAAUGAUAGGAUUAGAACCAUGUAAAGAGGAUGCAAGUAUUGGUGGCUCUUCAUUGCUGCUGGUUCCUCUAGUCCCUCAUUUGGCUUUGGGGACCUAUAGAAUAGAGACAAAGAUGAUGCAAGAAAUUGUAUGUAUAUAAAUUUUGAACUUAUCAAAAGGAGAAGGAACAACAACUCAUGAAGGAAAAACAAUCAAAAUUUCUCUUACCAAGCAGAAUAUGAUGUAUUUAGCACCUGAAGAUAGUGUGAAGGAUUCAGCAAUGUGGCAAAUGAAACUGUCGUUCAGCUUUUUUGUCUCUCUUUUUUACUUUAUUUUCUCUUUUUUUACUUUCUCCAACCUUUCUCUCAUGCUGACAGUGGCUUUUGUGGGAUCUUUUACUUUAUUUUCUCUGUUUUUUUUUUUUAAAAACUUUUUUUUAACAUUUCUACCAUUUUCAACUUUACAUGUAAAUAUUACUCCAGCUGCAACUAUUGUUGUUGUCUUUUAGUGCAAUAUAAGAAAUAAGAAAUAUGCCAGUGUCGGCAUGAAAAAAGGAAAAGAUUCCACAAAGUGCAGAGCAUUCAAUUUGCCCCUCUUUCAUUUUCUGAAUAAUCAAUAACCAAUGAAACUUUUUUAUACAUCUUCCUAUAAAAUUUAUUUCAAAGAUAACACAAAAAAUUAUGUUGUAAACUACUAUGUUUUAGUUUUGUUAAUAAGUAUGAUUUUUUUUUUGCUUAUAAUAUGGGACGGAGGGAGUACAUACCUACACCGCUUUGUUAUUCUCACUAUAUGCUUCUCAAUUCAUUCGUCGCCAUCUUCGAUCCAUUAUUGAAAGGAGAAUUAAUACAACUAAUAUUUUUAAUCUAUUAUUGAUGAUCCCAAAUCAUUCGAAUCACAUUGAGUAUUAUUUUAAUUUUUUAACAUGUGUAGUUUAAUUUUUUUAUGAUUAAUUUUGUGCUUAAUGUUUAUUAGUACAAUAUAAUUUUUUUGACCCAUCCGAGAUUUUCUUUCUGAUUCCGCCACUAUUUAUACCCAAGUAAGUGUAUGGUAGAAUCAAUUUAUGUUGUUGAUAAAAUCAUUGGAAAAAAAAUGUGACUGUGUAUUUAAUUUUGUAAUUGCAUGAUUUAUUUUACAUUAUCAUUCAAAUCAAUUAUAUAAUUCAUAUCGAUUUAAAAAAUAAUUUGGUAUUGAAUGUAAACUGCUUUUAAAAAUUAUUCGUAUAUCUAAUAAUUAAUUGAAAUAUGUUCUUAGGGCAGCUUUGUAUGUACACCUUUUUGUACCACUCUGUAAAAUUUCAGUUAAUCAAAUAUAUGGUCUCCGUGACUACGUUUAUUUAGUUGCGUGAUCACUAUUUAUUUGGUUAACUAAGUGGAAAAAUAGUGGUCACGCGCAUUUUAGUUGUGCGACCACAUUUUUUCAGCUUUUAAAUGCUGGAAAAAUAAUGGUCAUUGGUCACGCUGAAAUUUUUCAAAGUGAUAUAAAGAAGUGUACACAUUAAGGGUGUCUACCUACCUAUCUUUAUUCUUCCUCCUGUUUUAUUUUUCGACGUGCCUCUCCUUUGUCCAUUUUAUCGUGUUCCAUCGUGGUAUGCCUUUUUCUUGCGUGAAGAGCACAUCUUAAUAUCUAUAUACUUGAAGGAUCCGAUUGAUUUUUCAUGGCUCCUUUACCACCAGCUCAUGUUGUUGAUAUCAUUGUCAGCAGAGAAGAGGUAGUGCUAUUUCAUGUAGUUAGUUCUUCAAUUCAGCGACAACUUACUGUUGAUGUUAAUGACAGGUGGCGGUGGAAUUUGCACUCUUCAAAUAAUUACAUUGUUUGUAUUGCUUAUAAUUUCAUUCAACAAUCACCAAAUCAACAUAUCCUUGCAGAUGACAACCAUGUAUUUUGGCAUAAAGUUGUUUCUCUGAAAGUCAAUCUUUUUGUGUGCGUCUUCUUCUCAACCGCCUUCCAACAAAUGACAAUUUAUUUAUGAGAGGAGUGAUUCCGGCUACUUAUGGGAGGGUGUGGUAAUUUAGAGGAUAAACAAGAGAAUUGUUGUUUACACAUUUCAUAAGGCUGUGCCACACGAGUCAUUUACGUAAAUGCCCUUCAGCAGUUAACUGCCGAAGUUUUUAGUAAACCGGCGGCAGUUAACUACCGAGGAUUUCCUCGGCAGUUAACUACCGAUGCGAACUGAACAUAACAGAAGCAGAAACUCAAUUUUCUGAGUAUUGAUUCAUUGUUCAAAAAUUCUCCAAACCAUCCAACUUCUCCAAUUUCGAUUUGUCAGCAAAAUCAAAUGCAUCAUCUCCAUUUAAUCACAAGUAAGUAUCUUGACUCAUUUUUAAUCAUAAUGUUAAUUUGGGUAGGUUUUUUUUAUAAAAAAAAUGGUAGUUUUUAUGUGGUUAGGGUUGAUGUAGGAAUUGAAUUUUUUAUGAGUGCAUGUAGUUUAUAAUUGAAUGUAGUUGCUUUAAUUGAUGAUUGAAUGAUGUUAGGGUAUAAUGUGGUUUUCAAUGGUGGCAAAAGAACACAUUUUUAGUAUGUUUGAUAUUUUGCACACAAAGUGUUUGAUAAAAUGUGUCAAUGACAAUUUUAUUGAUUAUUUAGUUAGUUUAGGUAUUGGAUAUGAUUUUGAUUGUAAUUCGAAAAAGUGUAUAUUGAAUUAGGUUGAAUGUGUAUAUUGAAUUAUGUUUAGUUUAGGUUGAAUGUGUAUGACAAUGCAUUUGAUUAUUUACGUUUGAAUGUUAAUGAUAAUGUGUAUGAUAAUGUUUAGGUUCAAUCAAUGUCUUUAUUUUGGUAAAGUGGUUUAAUGUGAAAGUGGUUAUGUUUAGGUUGAAUGUGAAAGUUUAGGUUUUGUUUAGGUUUAGUGUUUUUGAUAAAGUGGUUGAAUGAUAUUAAUUUUAUUAUUUUUUUUGUAGAUAUGGCCGAUCAGGACCCCAUUGAUCCAUCGAAGAUGAUUGGUGGUAGGCGUGCGAUGACUCAGAGCCACCGCAGGAAGAGGCAGAGCAGCCACUUCCCAAAGAGGGGUAGAGGUCGGAGGGGAGAUGGCUCAGGAAGCUCUCAGGCUACACAGCCUGAGGAGUCACAGGUUGUUGACCCGUCACAGCCUGUUGACCAGACUGGGGUGGAGUACCUGAACUAUCAGGAUCAGGUACAGCAUGAUGUGACGGAUGGUGGAUAUGACCAGGAUCAUAUACCACAGCAGCAGGAUGCAGGAGACGAGGAUGACAUUGCAGCAGCUGCUGCACCGGAGGUGUUACCUAUGGAGCCUCCAUUUCCUGGUGGACCGGCUGACUUGUCAUUGCUCCACUCUUAUGCCGAUCAUGUGGCGUUGCCACUCUGGUAUAAUUCAAAUAAUGUAACUGUAUUUUUUUUAAAUAUUUUUUCUUUAUGUUAAAAUAUUUUCUUUAAUUUAAAUGUGUAUUUGUUUAAUUAUUAUAUCCAGUUUUAUAUGUGUUUUUUUUAAUUAUAUUUUGUAUGUUUAAUUGUUUUCUUUAAAUGUGUGUUUGUUUAAUUAUUAUAUCCACUUUUAUAUGUGUAUUUUUUAAUUCUAUUUUGUAUGUUUAAUUCUUUUCUUUAAAUGUGUGUUUGUUUAAUUAUUAUAUACAUUGUUUUAUGUUUAUUUUUUUAAUUCUAUUUUUUAUGUUUAAUUGUUCUCUUUAUAUGUGUUUUUGUUUAAACCAUAUUUAUUUUUCUAUUAUUUCAGGUUCGUAAGCUCCACGUGCUUAAACCGAUUAAUCAUGGGGCCAAGAUUCUCACUCUCGGACGCCCUAACGGGAAUGAGAAUUGGUUUUGGGAUCCGCUUAAGCAGAGCGGGCUACAUGAUUUGGUUUACUUGGGGUACUCCACCGUGCCUCAUCCGGAGACCAGCACCUUUCACAUGCCCAUGGGGGAGAUGACUGUGACAUUGGAUGAUGUCGCAUGUCUCACGCAUCUUCCUAUUGAGGGGCGGAUGUUGGAUCAUGGGAAGAAGAUGCCCAAGCAUGAGGGAGCGGCACUGCUGAUGAGGUAUCUGGGUGUGUCCCAGCAUGAGGCUGAAAAGAUCUGCAACCAGGAGUACGGUGGGUACAUUAGCUACCCGAGGCUGAGGGACUUCUAUACCACGUACCUUGGUAAGGCCAACUUAUUGGCGGGUACGGAGGAUCCUGAGGAGCUUGAGGAGCUGGCGAGGGUUAGGACAUACUGCGUCCGGUGUUACCUUCUGUACUUGGUCGGAUGCUUGUUGUUUGGCGAUAGAAGCAACAAGCGCAUCGAGCUGAUAUAUUUGACGACCAUGGAGGACGGCUACGCAGGGAUGCAUAAUUAUUCCUGGGGAGGUAUGACCCUCGCCUACCUAUACGGCGAGUUGGCUGAUGCAUGUAGGCCUGGACACAGAGCUCUUGGGGGGAGCGUGACACUGCUCACUGUAAGAAAACUUAAAUUUUAUAUUUAUGUUAACUUUAUUUUUUUGUUAACUUUUAUUUUUUUGUUAUAUUUUUCCGUGCGUAAUGAUUUAUAAAUGUUAUUUGUUUGGUUUGUGCAAGCAUGGUUUUUGGUGCAUUUUCCAGGGUUUUACAGUGUUGAUCCCAACACUGACUACGUGGAAAACUAUCCAGUUGCAGCGAGGUGGAAGCUCCAGAAGGGUCAUGGGGGGAGAUCACGUAUCGGUCACUGCUUGAUCGUAUACAAUUAGAUGAUGUAUGUUGGAGGCCGUACGAGGAGCACAGAGAGAUCCAGGACUUCGAGGAGGUUUUCUGGUAUUAUGGGUGGAUUAUGUGUGGUGUCCGUAGGGUGUACCGUCACUUGCCCGAGAGGGUUUUGAGGCAGUACGGAUACGUGCAGACCAUCCCCAGACAUCCGACUGCUGUUAGGGACCUCCCACCGUCUUCCAUUAUGCAGGUGUUCGUUGACUUCCGCACUCACACGAUUAAGGCGGACGAUCGGGGUGAGCAGGCAGGAGAGGAUACAUGGCGGGUGGCGGAUGGCUAUGUCAUAUGGUACACUAGGGUGUCUCACCCUCAGAUCUUGCCACCUAUUCCAGGAGAUCUUCCGAGGCCUGCAAAUAAAGAGCAGAUCAUUGCAGACCAGUGGGAGCGGUAUGAGGCGAGAAGCUCGCCUGACACCUAUGACAUGGUUAGUGGCGCUGUUGCCUAUGCUGAUGCGCAGUUAGGCCAGGAGGAGGUCAUGAGCAUGACCCCUCAGCAGUGGUUUGAGGCCAUGACCCAUAUGAGGGAGCAGAUCGCGCCGAUUUUGACCAGGAGGAGAGCCCAGAGGCCGAGGAGGAGGCACUAUCUGCAGGAUCAGGACCAGUAGUACUAUUUUCCUUUUUUAGGACUUAGUUUUUAGUUUUAGUCUUUUGAUGACAUUGAGUUAUGUAUAUUUGUAUAUUUGUAUAUUUAUAUUUUUAUGACAUUAUUUUUAAUUUCAUGGGCUCGUUUUACUUUGUUUAAUGUACAAAAAUGUUGGUUUAAUUAAAUUGUGCAUUUGCACCAAUAUUUUUUUGUUAUUUGAACCGUUAUGAUGAAUUUUAACCGUUUGUGUAAAAAUCCGGCUUUCAAAAUAAUUUAGAAUGAUAUUGAAAUGCUUUUUAGAAUUAUGAAGAUUUCCUCGGCAUGAAAAUUAAAGUUUGUUCUUGUAACUUCAUGUAUUGAUAAUAAGCAAUUUUCAAUGAGACGUGAUCGUUACCUUUUUUCUAGAGUGUAGUAGUAGUAUUUUAUUACUAAUGACAAAGUUUUAGUUGUCUAGUCAAACCUGAACACUACUAUAUAAUAUAAGUGUGCCGUUGAUUUGCCUCCAAUUCGUGAAAGAAGAUUUGGCGAAGAUUGGAGAGAAAUUGAGAAUUUUGUAAAGUUUUGGAUGUUCAGUUUUCCUCGGCAGUUAACUAUCGAGGUUUUCUUCGGCAGUUAACUGCCGAAAUUUUGAAAAAUCCGGCUGCAGUUAACUGCCGAGGGAAACCUCGGGAGUUAACUGCCGAGGAUCUUAUGCGCUACAAAAUCUGGCAGAAUCUCCUCUCAUCCAUUAUUGAUCUUAUCUUCCAAAUAAUUUCUUCAAAUUUCUCUCAAAAUCUCUCUAAAAAACACAACCAAAUCCAACCAACUUUAUUCAACAAAAUCACAAGUAAGUAAUUAUAAUGCUAUUAACUUACAUUUUAGUUGUUAUAAAUGUUAUUAUUUUUUAGUUUUUGAGUACAUUUAUUAUUUUUUAGUAGAUUUACAUGUUAUAAUUAAUUUUUAGGGUAUAUGUUAGUUGAUUAAUGUUGUUAAAAUAUUUGCAUGAUGUUUAUGUUAUAUGAUUAAUUUUUUUAUUUUAGUAAGAGUAUAUGAUUUAUAAUUUUAGGAUUAUUUUUAUGAAUUUUAGAGUCUAUGUAUAAUGUGCACAUCAAGUGUUCGAUGAAAUGUUUGAAUGAGUUUUUGAUUGAUUGUUUUUAGUUUCUUAUUGUGUAGAUUUAAAACAAUGGCCAGGUGGAUCGACGUUCAUGCGCAAUUCAACGGCGGAGAACCUCAGAGGUUGAAGGUUCGGUGCCUUGGUGUAACGUUAAGAGGUCUCAAGGAUAAACUGACUGAAUUCAACCAAGGAGUCAACCCCAAAGAUACAAGGAUGGUGGAACACGUUUGGUAUAAACGUCCAACGCUCGACGAGGGGAGAGUAUCAUUCACUUGGGUGGAAUUAACGAAUGACGAAAACGUGACGACCAUGUUUUGGGAGCACAGCAUGUUCCAGUGGAUCGAUAUGCGGGUGAAGUUGGUUAGAUCAACUGAAGAUAUCAUCAAAAGUUUGAUUCCGCCGGAAGAUCGUCAUUAGUUAGGGUAAGGUGCAUUCCAACUACAACAAUUGUCUUCCUUUGAAUGAGAUCAAUUCAAACCUGCCAAACAACAGGACUCGAGCAUUUCGCUCGGCAUUCAUUUUUUUCCUUUGAAAAGAUUAAAUUCUUGUUAGGCUGAUUUAGAUGAAGGUAUUAAGUGUCAAGGAAUGAACCUCAUUUCGUUGGCACUUGAAUACCAUCAUCUAAAGCACGCCUAACAAAAAUUUAUUCUUUUCAAAGGAAAACAUGAAUGCCGGGUGAAAUGCUUGAGUCCUGUUGUUUUGCAGGUUUGAAUUUAUCCCAUUCAAAGGUAACAUAAUUGUUGGAGUUGGAAUGCACAUUCCAACUGCAACAAUUGUCUUACCCUGGAUGGGGCAAUUCAAACUUGCUAAUCGGCAGGACUCCAGUAUUCGAUGAGCAUCUUGAACAAUGGUAUUCAAGUGUCAAGGAAUGCACCUCAUUCUGUUGACACUUGAAUACCAGCGUUCAAGAUGCUAAUCGAAUACUGGUGUCAUGCUGCUUGGCAAGUUUGAAUUUGCCCCAUUCAGUGGUAAGAUGAUUGUUGCAGUUGGAAGGUAAAUUUCGGAAUGUAAUGUAAUAUGUAAUACAAUGUAAUGUGAUAACAUAUAUUUUGUUUUGAAUGGAACAAUAAUUAUCUUAUUUUGUUUUCAAAUUUAUUUAUUCCAAAUGCAAUUUUAUUAUAAGCACCAUAAUGUCAAACAAAAUGUGCGCGACACAAAAAUUAAACAUAAAAAAAUCCAAAACAAUUAGGCAUUAAAAGUCAUUACAUUUAUUCUUCCUCGUCACACAAAUCAAUUGGCUUGUCCGCUACAGUCCCUGCAGUACCUUGUUUUGGUCGAGGACCGAAAUAACAUGUCCUCUCGCUCCUCCUCAACCUCGAGUGAUUGUACACUGGCACCUUCGAACCCUUCUUUUUUUCAGAACCAUUGCAAACAAUUCCAUGCCACGUCAUAGGUGAUUUUUCUUUUUUCUUCUCAUCAUCGUGAACGUUACCCUGAUUCUGAUUCUGAGAUAUAUCUACAUUAAAAAAAAAAAUGGCGAUCAAUUCAACCUAUACUAACCUAAACUAUCCUAACAAUUCUAACCAUUCUAACCUAAACUAUCCUAACAUAUCAUAAAAUCAACAAAUCAAUAUAAUCGAAAUUUAACAAAAAAUAACAUACAAUUCGACCACAAAGCAACAAUACAAUAGAAUUCAAAAAACUUACUUGUUUUUGUUAUUAAAAUUGGCUUGUAAUGGCUUCAAAUGACUCAAAAUCGCACCUUGGAUAAUUAAAACGCAAACUUGGAGUUUUGGAAACUCCUAUGCAGUUCUGUUCUUAUAACAUUUUCCUCGGUAGUUAAAUGUCGAGGUUUUCCUCGGCAGUUAACUGCCGCCGACUUCCUAAAAACUUCGGCAGUUAACUGCCGAGGAGCAUUUGCGUAAUUUACUUGUGUGGCAUAGCCAAACUAAAUGUGAGAAAAGCAAUUCUCGAUAAACAAUGCCUAUGUUGUCAAAAAUAUCGGAUUAAAGCAAUGAGAGAAUACCAAAUCAGCUCAACCAUGCAAAAUCAACUCAUUUUGGACUUGAAAUACACAACAUGACAUUACAAUUCAAGAAUAAAAAAAAAGAAGUCUUUGCUUUGGUAGAGUAACAACAACAAACUAUUAAAACUUCAAACAAAGAAAAUAAAUAUUGUAAAAGAAAUAAAUGAGGAUAAUCAGAUAGUUUUUUUUUUUUUGGUUACGGAUAAUCAUAUAGUUAACUCAUCCAUAAAACAAAAUACUAGUAUUCAUACAAUUUAAAAAUUAGUUAAUUUCUAUAGUUCAAGAAAUAGAAUCUUAAAAAAUGACAAUGUUUUAUUAAAAGACAGAGACACAUGGUCAUAUGACCUGCCCCAUGAAGAAAAACAUGGACCUAUGCCUUACUUUGACAAUGUUUUAUUCUGUCGGCCACGUGAACGUUUGCUCACAAUUAUUGACCACCUACUUUUCUGACUUUCUACUUUCAUUGCAUUUAUUUUCAAAGGUCUCCAGCUUGGUUCAGCACUCAUUCUAUCUAAACUAAUUUCUCAUCUUCUUAUCUUUUCAACUCUUUAAUUUGUUUUCACAAAAACAAUGGCUGACGCUUUGCUUGGAUUUGUUUUUGAAAACUUGACGUCUCUCCUUCAAAAUGAAUUUUCUACCAUUUCUGGAAUCAAAUCAAAGGUUCAAAAGCUAUCAGACAACUUAGUUCACAUCAAGGCUGUUCUUGAAGAUGCUGAGAAGAAACAAUUCAAAGAACUCUCUAUUAAGCUAUGGUUACAAGACCUCAAAGAUGCUGUUUAUGUGCUCGAUGAUAUCCUUGAUGAGUACUCGAUCGAGUCUUUUCGACUGAGAGGAUUUACCUCUUUCAAACUAAAGAACAUCAUGUUUCGCCAUGAGAUUGGUAACAGGUUCAAAGAGAUUACAAGGAGGUUAGAUGAUAUUGCUGAAAGUAAGAACAAGUUUUCUCUACAGAUGGGUGGAACUCUUAGGGAAAUCCCAGAUCAAGUAGCUGAAGGGCGCCAAACCAGCUCCACCCCUCUUGAAUCAAAAGCGCUGGGAAGAGACAAUGAUAAAGAAAAGAUUGUCGAGUUUCUUCUCACCCAUGCGAAGGACUCUGACUUCAUUUCUGUCUAUCCCAUUGUUGGUUUAGGUGGUAUUGGAAAAACAACUCUUGUUCAAUUGAUCUACAAUGAUGUUAGGGUGAGUCGCAAUUUUGAUAAAAAAUUUUGGGUUUGUGUUUCUGAGACUUUCUCGGUCAAGAGGAUUUUGUGUUGUAUUAUAGAAUCUAUUACAUUAGAGAAGUGUCCUGACUUUGAGUUAGAUGUCUUGGAAAGAAAGCUGCAAGGAUUGUUGCAAGGGAAAAUAUAUUUGCUGAUUUUGGAUGAUGUGUGGAAUCAAAAUGAACAAUUGGAAUCUGGGUUAACACAAGAUAGAUGGGAUCGUUUAAAAUCUGUUUUGUCGUGUGGAUCAAAAGGUAGUUCCAUUUUAUUGUCCACCCGUGAUGAGGUUGUUGCAACUAUCAUGGGAACAUGGGAAACUCACCGUUUGUCUGGUCUCUCUGAUAGUGACUGUUGGUUGUUGUUCAAACAACAUGCAUUUAGACGUUACAAAGAGCAUACAAAGUUUGUGGAAAUAGGAAAGGAGAUAGCAAAGAAAUGUAAUGGAUUGCCACUUGCAGCAAAAGCAUUGGGGGGUUUGAUGAGCUCAAGGAAUGAAGAAAAUGAAUGGCUUGAUAUUAAAGACAGUGAGCUUUGGGCUUUACCACAAGAAAAUUCUAUUUUGCCUGCUUUGAGGCUGAGUUACUUUUAUUUAUCACCAACCCUAAAGCAAUGUUUCUCUUUUUGUGCUAUAUUUCCCAAGGAUAGAGAAAUCCUAAAAGAAGAAUUGAUUCGACUUUGGAUGGCUAAUGGAUUUAUUUCAUCUAUGGGUAAUUUGGACGUUGAAGAUGUUGGAAACAUGGUUUGGAAGGAAUUGUACCAAAAAUCAUUCUUCCAAGAUUGCAAGAUGGAUGAAUAUUCUGGAAACAUUUCUUUUAAAAUGCAUGAUCUUGUCCAUGAUCUCGCUCAAUCAGUAACGGGGAAAGAAUGUGUGUAUUUGGAGAAUGCAAACAUGACUAAUUUGACAAAAAACACACACCACAUAAGUUUUCACUCUGAAAAAUUGUUAUCAUUCGAUGAGGGUGCCUUCAAAAAAGUUGAAUCCUUACGAACAUUGUUUGACUUGGAGAAUUAUAUUGCAAAAAAACAUGAUCACUUCCCAUUAAACAGCUCUCUUCGAGUUUUAAGCACAUCCUUUCUACAGGUCCCAGUAUGGAGUUUAAUUCAUUUAAGGUAUUUGGAAAUUCAUUCUCUUGGCAUAAAAAAGUUGCCUGACUCAAUUUACAACUUACAAAAACUGGAAAUCUUGAAAAUAAAACACUGUAAUAAACUUAGUUGCCUUCCGAAACGCUUGGCUUGUUUACAAAAUCUUAGACAUAUAGUCAUUGAAGAAUGUCGAUCUUUGUCUCGAAUGUUUCCUAACAUUGGAAAAUUAACUUGUCUAAGAACAUUAAGUGUGUACAUUGUUAGUUUAGAGAAAGGGAAUAGCUUGACAGAGUUACGUGAUCUAAACCUCGGUGGAAAACUGAGUAUCAAAGGAUUAAACAAUGUUGGCAGUUUAUUUGAAGCUGAAGCGGCUAAUUUGAUGGGUAAAAAAGACCUUCAUGAAUUAUACUUGUCAUGGAAAGACAAACAAGGAAUUCCAAAGACCCCUGUUGUUAGUGCUGAGCAAGUACUCGAAGAGCUUCAACCUCACUCAAAUCUCAAAUGCUUGACAAUAAAUUACUAUGAAGGAUUAUCAUUACCAAGUUGGAUAAUUAUUCUUAGUAAUUUAGUUUCUCUUGUACUUCUCCAUUGCAAGAAAAUUGUGCGGCUUCCGUUACUUGGUAAACUACCAUCUCUAAAAAAACUGAGAUUAUAUGGUAUCAAUAAUCUGAAAUACUUGGAUGAUGAUGAAUCUGAGGAUGGUAUGGAGGUGAGGGUUUUCCCCUCUCUGGAGAUACUCGAAUUAUCUUGUCUACGAAACAUAGUGGGGUUAUUGAAAGUGGAAAGAGGGGAGAUGUUUCCUUCUCUUUCUAAAUUGGUAAUCGAUUGUUGCCCUAAACUUGGACUGCCAUGUCUUCCAUCUCUUAAAGACCUCUAUGUUUACCCUUAUUUGCCUCAUAUUCCAAAAAUAGAGUUAUAAGAAGCAGAGACGUUUACCCUUAUCUGCCUCAUUAGCCAUCACAAAAAUCAAUUUUACUGGUAGGAUCUCUAUUUACCCUUCUUAUGUUUGCAUUUCAACUGCUCAAAAAUCUUUAUUUUUAUUCUCGUUGUUGACUUCUUUGGAACGCAUCCCGCAGAAAGAGUACAUGAAAGAUAUUUUACUACUCAACCAACCUAAGGACAAUUGUUCUAAUUCAGGUAAUUUUCUUCAUCAUAAUUUUAUUUUUUUAAUUUUAUUUUUUGAACUUUUUUUAAAUUUUGCUGAUUUUGUGGAGAUUGAACUGAAUGGUUAGGAUUUCCUUUGACACACAAGGGUGGGGUCGACAAAUAAAGGGAUUAAUAGGUUCCUAAUGAUGAAGAUGACAUCGUUCGGAGUGGAGGAUGUGACAAUGAGUCCGGUGGUGGUAGAGGUUUUCGCUUUUGAUCAUUGGGGCGUGGGUCGGAGCUCUGUGCACAAUAGAAAGUCUGAUCAUCAAGGUUUUUAUUGGUCUUUACUCUUUUGUAUUUAUUUGCUUUAGAUUGUUUAUUUGAAUGAUAUAUUGUUUGAUAAUAAUUUGAAGAAAUGAAAGUUUUUGAAUGUAAUUAUAUGGGUUGGUGUCAUAUCAGUAUCUAAACAUCAGACAUGUCAUCAAUAUGAAGUGUUGGUGCUACAUUAAUUUGAAUAAUUUACAAACAGUGAAAUGGAAAUUUGAAUAUUGGUGAAUGAUUAUUGGGUGCAGAACAGUGAUCAUGGCAAAGGAUGCAAUUACUUUGUUGGGUCAUUUAGGUUGGAAAAAGGCUCAUGUUUUUGGGCAAUUAGCGGGUUAUUAUUUUGUGUGUGUGUUUCUCUGUCUUUGAUUUGAUUAGGUUGAGUUUAUUUGUGUGUUUAUUUUUAAAUAGUUUGCCUAUUGAAACAGGAUCUAUGAUAGCUUGUAAAAUAGCAGCAAUGGUUCCUGAUAGAGUUCUCUCCCUGACAGGAGAUUUUCAAUGUUUUCCAGAGGUAUAUCUCCCUUUUAUAAUUCUUUGAACAUUUUGAUUUAUUUUUACGGCACUGUGAUUAGAGCAUUGACGACGCAAUAUUUGUAAGACGUUAACUACAUCAAUGAUUGCUAGCCACACUUUUUAAUUACAAACUUAGCUCAUGACGAGUGGACCUGCAUACGUAAUAAGUAUAAUUUGUUGGUACAGAUUUUAGGUGAUCCUUUAGGACAAUUUUAGUUGAGAAUUUAUCUUUCUAUGGUUUUGAGUCAGAAUUUUGUUGAGAAUUUCAUAGUACUAAAAUUGUCUUGGUAUGUUAUUUGCUAAUUUUUAAAGAAUAUUGACGGCUGUUGAUUCAGACACUAAACUCUGUUGAUUCAUGCAUAUUUGAUUUCUAAGUAUUUCUCAAGACAGUUAUCUGGAAGAAGAUGUAUGCUAGUUUUAUCUCUUCCCUGCAUCUUCUUAUCCCCAAACUACUUUCUAAUUUAAAUUUCUAUAUGCAGGAAUCACUUACUUUCUCUGUUUUUGUAUGGAAUAUGUCUACGAGUAAAAUUAUUGUGAGAAUUGGGCCAUAUCUUUAGAAUUGACGCUGAGCUUGUUAAUGCAACAAAUCAAAAUUCUUGGUUCAAGCUAUUAGCCAGGUGUGUAUACAGCUCUUCAUUAGGAAGGUGUGUAUUUAGCUAUUUCAUGAUUCUAGUCGAGUCACUCAUGUUAUUUCAUUAUGUUUGUGUCAGAUAUGUUGUGGAAUGCUGCUGACUUGCAGCCAUGUUUGUGUCGGACAAUUUUAUUUAUCAAGUUGUGUUGUGUCCACUGCUUUUCCUGAAAGCAAGAGGAUGCUUCAGCUGAACCACAGAAUCUAUAAGAGGUGAUGAUUUUGGAUGAUAUGAAUGAGAAAUCAACCGUUUAAUUUGAUAACAAAGUGAAUUUUACAUCUUUUAACUCUUUAUAUUUUAGUAUAUUAGCAUUAGUCAUAUCACUUACAGAGAGCAUCUCCUGUGAAACUGAACAGGUGACACUUAUUUCGCUUUGAACUAUGGAUAUUGUUGAAUGUGAGGAAUUGAGAUCCCUGCCAUAAGGUAUUUGACACCUCACUUCACUUGAGUUUUUGAAUAUUCGUGGUUACCCAUAAGGAAUUGAAGACAUUUUUUAAGAGACUUGAUUUAUGUGAACCUUGUGAUUUUGUCUGAGACGAAAUCGAUUAAAAUUGUCAACCUUAUGGGUCAGAUUAUCGUUAUCGCGUUUCCACUUCCAUUGAUGCUGGUAUUGAUAAGAUAUAGAUCUUCAUUCCUAUAGUAUUAAUUUUAACAUAUACUACUAGAUUUCAAUUUGAUUUCAUGUAUUCAUGAAAAUAUGCAGGUGAUGGUCCUUCAUUUAUGAAAUAGCCCUUUCAUGUAUAAUAUAUUUAUGAAAGAGUCGGAGUUUCAUGUUCGAUCACGGGAAACACCAAUAUUAGGAAUGAAGUUUGCUGCUGAAGAUUUCAAUUUCCUUUAACUGAUAGCUCUUUGCUGGUUAUGGUUAAUUUCAAGGUAAGGCAUAGUUCAUAUCUUAGUGAAUACUUUAACAUGAAUUUUCUGCCUCGUCAAACUAAUUUAUUUUAACAUACAUGUCGAAACUUUAGUUGGCUUUCUUUUUAUUGCAUGCUUCAACAAAGUAAUACUCUUUCCACCUCCUUGUGGUUAGAGUUGGUUUUCAGGACUUUAUAAUGCUAAUUACCUUCACAUAUCAUUUUUUAACCAAACAUAUUUAAAAUUCCAUCCUUAUAGCAAAGAAAAAAAUAGUAUAUUGUAUAUGUAUGGUAAGAUUUUAUAAAGGAAUUGAGUGUAUUUUGGUCAUACAUACAGGCAAGGGACUGAAUGUAUUUUGGCCUGAAAAAUCAAUCUCCAAAGAAGGCAGUGAACAAUGGUGAUCCAACACAAUAGCCGAACUUAAUUCCAACUAAUAACAGAUGUUGAAAGAGUUAUAUAUAGCUUCGCCUAAGCCUCAGGAGGCUGUCCUUGAUUUUACGAUAUCUACUAGUAGUAAUGUUGCUGAAAUAAGGGAUUCUUUGUAUUAAUCUCUUUCCCAUUCCUCUAGUGUAGUUUUUUGUUGGUGAGCUUAUAAUCAGACAUUUUGUGCCUUGGUUGUACCAAACAAUGUACAUACAUUUUUUAUUUAAAAGGGACAAAUACUUUUUUGAAUUCAUACUUAAUCAAGUAACUACGAGAUAUUUUUGUCAUUUAUAAAAUUCACUUGUCAACAGAAAUGUAACCAGACAAAGAAUUCAAUAAACAUGGCACAAGUUAUCAUCAGCACACAUGAAUGAUCCUUAAGAAGGGACUUCAGCUUGAGGAUAUGUAAUAUAAUAAUAUUGAUUUCCUUCACAAAUUAGCUUCCACUGAAUAUAUUUAAGAACUCAUCCUUGUUUUAUUUCAAAUUCUUGUUUCUUAUCUGUUCAGUAAGUGAACUUGUUAUAAAUAUCCGUGUCUGGGGAGUUUGUUUAUAAUAUUUCAUGAUAAGAACUAGGAUUCGACAUAAAACAAAGUCAAUAGAAUUCUCGAUCUCUCAAACUCUGAAAUGCUUAUUAUUUUAAUGAUUCUAGCUAGAGCAAAGUGAUUGUGCCUGAGUCAAACACAUCUGAUGUGAAGGGUGGUUGUGCAUGAGUCGAACGCAUCUGAUGUGAAAAUGGGAAAUAUUAGUGAAUAUACACUAUCGGCGUAAAAUUGGUUUGCAUUAACGUUCAGAUAGAGCUCACUGUUUUCAUGUUUUGCCAAGCUAUGUUUUCAUCUCUACAAUGCAAUUGUAUAAUUCUUCUUUUCCGCCAUGCCCCCCUCGGCCUCAUCAUCGAACUUAGUUGAUUCUCCAAAUUAUUAAAAUCAAACCACCAUAGAAUACCAAUAUAUUAAGCAAGGUUCCCUAAUUAUCCUGGUUUAUGCACAAUUUAUCUGGCGCCGAUAUUUGUUGGUGCACUCUCCCUCUCUUUUUCUUCUUUGUUAAACUGUGUGAUUACUUGUAAUAUUAGAUAGCUUGCGCAGCAGGUUACUCUGCCAUUCCAUAGAUCUUUACUGUGUACUAGCAUCAUAUGAUUCUAAUCCUAGAUAAUAGUUUGUUAGAGUUAGUUAGGAUCAUAUACAGCUUUAUAUUAGCUUUGUUGUAACCAAUUUCAGAUCAAUUCAUAGAAUAAAACCUAAAUAGGAUUAGAAGAAAACCUUUGUAUAAUCUAAAGACAAUAUACACAAAUAAUAAUAUUGGAGUUGUGAACCUAAAGGAUACAAAUAGAAAAGGAAAAAAAAAGAGCUGAAAUGGUUGAUAACAACACUUAGAAUAAUUCUGGCAAUGUUAAUGACAUGUCUUAGGCUAGUGGAACAACUAACUUGGAACAUAGUAUCGAUGCUAACACUAUUCAUGAUCACUAACUUAGUCAAUUAAAACAUCAACCAGAUUCUCACCAUGCUCCCUAGCAAUGUUGAAAUCUUUAAUGCCGUCCAUUCUCUUAACAAGGGCUCUGAUGGAUUUGGAGCAUUUUCCUUUCAAACUUAUUGGAAAUUAUUAAACUGGAGGUUAUAAAUGUUGUUAUGCAAUUCCUCUCAAAUGGACGGCUUCUUCCUAAUUUUAAUCCAAAAACUAUUGUUUUGACCCCAAAGGUCCCUAAUGCUGAUAAUGUGAAUCAAUUUAGGUCUAGAGCAUUAGCCAACUUCAAGUUCAAAUUCAUUACAAAAAUCAAUGCUAGAAGAUUAACUUAGAUCAUGCCAUUAUAAAAAAUAUGUUUGAAUUACAAAGCUAUAUAUAGAUUUGUCAAUGUUUGAAAGGUCUUGGCCUAGUCUCCCUUUCUGUUUGUUUUCUUUCCUUUCUUUGAAUAUAACGUAACUAUGUGAUACACUUAGAGCAUCACCAUUUAUAAAAACAAAAAAAAUAUAUUGGCAUUUGCCAAAUAUUUUGAUACUUUAGACUGGCACUUUCUAAUAAGGAUUCUCAAAGCUUUUGAUUUAAACUGUACUUUUUGCAAUUGGAUAAAUUGUAGUCUCAAAUCAACAAUGCUUUCUAUGUUGUGAAUGGCAAACAAGAAGUCUACUUUUCUUUUAAGAUACGGGAUAGACAGAGAGACCCCAUCUCCCAUUUACUUUCAUGUCGUAAUAAAGAAGUCAUCAGUGUAACAUCUAAGACUGUUUUUAGGAUUGGCGAUUGACCCCACAAAUUAAUACGAGUCUUUUUAGUAUGUUUUGUUCUCUCUCGCACGCUUUUCAAGAAACUUUUUAGAAUGUCACCCGUCCCAAAAUUGCUCCAAGUUGAGCACGCUUAAUUGUGGAGUUCUUAUGGUUUGACCUACCGAAAAGAAGAUGCAUCUUGUUUUUAUAGGUAGUACCAAACAAUUCAUAUAAGCCUUCCUUCAACAAUGAUGUCCCAUACUUGCACAACCUCAGGAUCCCUCUCAUUCUGAUGUGAUUCGGUUUUGCCAAUAAGCGUGUCAGGAGUCGGACCACUACAUGCCCUUGUCAGUCUCGGACGUUACAUGCCCACCAAGUGGAGGCGUUACAUUCUCAACUGCUUCCGCUUGGUUCAUCCCCGAACCACAUCAAACUGGAGAGGUCUACUUUGAUACCACGUGUAACAUCCCAGACUGCUUUCAAGAUUGUCGAUUGACUCCACAAACCAACAGGAGUCUUUUCAGCGUGUUUUGUCCUCGCUCGCACGCUUUUCGGAAAGCUUUCAAGAAAGUCAUCCAUCCCAAAAUUGUUCCAAGUCAAGCACGAUUAACUGUAGAGUUCUUAUUGUUUAGGCUAAAACAAUUUAUAUCUUGUAUUUAUAGGUAGUAUAAAACAAUUUAUAGAAAAACGACACACAUAAAAAAUAUUAAUUUACUUCUUAUUGUAGUGCAUUAGUAUUAUUUUAUAGUGAUAUUCUAGUUUUUCUUAUCUUCUAAAAUCCAACAAGACGUGGAGGCUAUUAAAACUAAUUUUUUUAUUUUUUAAGCCAAAUAGGGAAUAUACUCCCUCCGUUUCAUAAUACUUGUCCAUUUUAGAGAAUAAUUUUGUUUCACAAUACUUGUCACUUUCAAGUUUCAAUGCAACAUUAGUUAUUGUCUUGUCAAUAAUACCCUUGCAUAUUUAUUGUAGAGAGAGAAAAAAAUAAAAUGAAAUAAUAGAUGAUUAAGGGUAUUAUAAAAAACACACACAUAUUUUCAUCAAAAAUAACAAAAUUUAUUUGGUUUCUUGGUUAGUGCAAUUUCUCCAAAAUGGACAUGUAUUUUGAAACGGAGGGAGUAAUAAAUAAAAAGGAAGACAUACAAAGACUGGGGCAUAGGACCUGACCCAGGGACAACCCAAACGGGGAUACAACAUGAUAAAUUAGUCUAGGAGGAUCAACUCUAAAUUAUCCUAACAUAAAUUCACUAAAUACGAGCGCUACCCAACGAAUCCGCGUACAGGUGCAAAACUAGGUUAAAAAAAGAAUGAAAAGUGAAAAUCCGCACAGGACAUCUAGAGAAUGAAAAAUAGGCUAUUAAAACUAAUUAAAAUGUAAGAGUAAUAUAAAAUUUGAAGUGUUUCUCAUAUCUUCUAAAACCCAACAAGACAUCUAAAUUAUUAUUUAUUAUGACAUCAAAAUAAAAAUAAAGACUAUGAAGUAAGGUAAAAUUUAUUUAUCAACCUAACUCUUAAAGUUAUUCUUAUAAGGCUGAUAUGCCUAAAUUGUAUAACAUGAUGAUACCUUCAAAAUUAAUGGAGAAGAGGACAAUCAAAAUAAUAAUCUUUAUUGACUUAAAGUAAGUUUUUUUUUUUUUUUUUUUUUUUUUUACAAUAAAGUAAGCUUAUUACAGUAGAACACUAUAACUACAAGUUUCAUCAAAUUAAAAAAAUAAAGGAAAAUGUUAACUUGUGUCUUUAAGGCACAAACUAAUGAAACAAAUAUAGAAAUAGUUUAUUGAAAUGUGUGCAUUACAUUUAAUUUUUAAUUUUUUAAUGAGUUGAAUGCACAAAAUUUUAUACUCCCUCCGUCCCUUAAUAAGUGACACAGUUGACCCAAUUACGCAUACCAAUGCGUAAAUUUGAGUUUAAAUAUCUUGAAUAAUAUAUUGGAAAAAAUUAUGAAAAUUUGAUAUUUUGAAAAUACUCAUCGAGACGAAUCUAACGACAUCUUAUAUGAUAUUAUUUAUCUUUGUAUAUUAAUAGAAAAAUAUGGUCAAAAUAAGUUAGGUCAAAAUUGCACAUUUUCAAAUAUGUCAUUUAUUGCGGGAUGGAGGGAGUAAAAUAUUUCUUUUUUAAAGUUUUAAUGGUCCGAAACUAAUAGAAUCGUAAGUGCGCUGCUACCAAUUCACAUUUGUGAUUAAUGCAUUUAUAAAUAUAAAACAAGUUCCCACUUUUUGGACAAUCAGCAUCAAUUUGACAUUCAUCACUUGCUGUAAUAAGAAGAAAAAAAGUCAAGAAAAUAAUGUUACUACAUGAUUGUGUACGAGCCACAAAGUAAAAAAAGAAAUUUGAAAAGAAUAAAAGGAAUGGCUUACCAACACCAAAUUUCGUUGCGAUGAGAAAUAAGGAAAUAAAUAGAAUCCUGACACAAACAAACUUAAGAAUUUGAACCAUAUUUUAUCUUGUUUGAGUGUAAAAAAUAGAAAAUGAUUUGGUCUAUUUAUAAUUUUCCUGCUCUCUAAAAUAAUGAAAUAUUUUUAGCACUUACAAAGUUGAAACCGUCGUUCAUAAUAUUAUGAUCAUUAUUAAAUAUUUAUUAAGUAUAUCAAUGUGUUGUGUUUGUUCUUUUAGCACACUUAAGGUGAGUCAAAUAACAAAAUUACUAAUCAUUAAAAUUCAUUCUUUAUAUUUAACUUUUAUUUACUUUUUUUAAAGUUAAAAGUUUUUUUUUUUUAAGAAGCUAAAAUGAAUUAUAUUACCACCUCAAAAGAGUCUUUCCUAGCACAAGACGUACUAAGGAAAAAACAACAAUGUCCUAUUACAAUCUCCAGUACAAAGCUAAAGAUAAAAGAGAAGAAACAUUAGCCUAUGCCCAUAAUAGUAAACGGGCUAAUCCACCACCCGUGGUAAUUGAGGGGAAGAGAGGAAUACUUCGCCUUCAACCACGUAAAGGCAAGCGACUUAAUAUUGUCUACCACCUGAUUAACCGAGCAUUCUUUGACAUUAAACAGCAUAUUGUUUCUUUCCUUCCAAAUUUCCCAAACAACUGCAUACCAAAUAACCUGAAGAAUAGAGCGAUGUGCCUUUGUGAAACCACCACCCAAACUAAACUGGUUAAAAUGAUCGGACACCUGAAAAGGGGAAGCCACGGACAAGCCUAACCACCUAUGAAUAAAGUGCCAUACAGAACCAAAAAAAUUACAAUGUAAGAACAAAUGAUUUGAAGUUUCCAGAGAGCCACAACCAGCGACACAAAGCCUGGAAGUUUGGUUAAUAACACCACGACGGAACAAAUUAUCUUUUGUGGGCAAUCUAUCUCGAAACAACCGCCACGCAAAGAGCACCACCUUCAACGGAAUGUCUCUAUGCCACAAAAAACAAGCAUCCACUGAAAGCACUAAAGGAGGUUGAAGAGUAAGAUAGUUAUAGGCACUUCGGACAGUGAAGACACCUGAAGAUUCUAACGUCCAAAGCCAUUUAUCAACCUUCGCAACCUGUAAAUUCACAUUCUGAAGCAAUAAUAUUAGAUCCCCGAAUAACCCUUCCUCCCAUACAAACAACCUCCGCCUCCAUGUCCACGCCUCACCGCCUACCCCCCAACCUAAAUGACACAUAUCAAACACCGAGUUCCCCUUAAACACCGAUAAUUCAUAUAGUCUAUUAAACCUGACCCUAAACUCCUCUCCACCACACCAAACGUCCGACCAAAAAAGAGUAUUCUCCCCAUUACCUACCGCCCUCCUGACGUGGUUAGUGAACCACUCCUCCCUAUAUAUUGCGUAAACAUCAUGCCACCACAACGAAGCCUCGCGGCCUCCUCCCAACAGCCUCCCUCCCUCCAACCCAUACCUCGCUACCAACACCCUAAACCACAAAUUGACAUUAUCCUCCAACAACCUCCAACACCAUUUCCCUAACAACGCUAAAUUAAACUCCCUAAUUCUCCUUACCCCCAAACCACCAACCUCCUUACCACGACAAAUAGUGUUCCAAUCCACCCAAGAUAUUUUCCUGUGGUCAUCACCCCCCCCCCCCCCCCCCCCCCCCCCCAAAAAAAAAAAAAAACAAUUUAAAAUAGAUUCGAAAGAGGAUACGAUACCUGACAAACAAAGUUUUCUUUUAGACCAUCGUAAUAUUAUUAUUUUGGAAUAAUAUACAUAAUUGGAGAUGAGAAAUAAGUAGAGUGUAUUGUAGGAUCAACUUUUAUUGUUGAUAAAAUCGUUGAAUUAAAAAAAACACCUUUCCUUGAUUUAAAAAAUUGAUGUGUAUUUUAUAGAACUUUUUUUAUUCAAUAAUAUUUAAGGUUCAAAAACUCAACCUAAAAGUAGUGGUUUAGGGACAACCUAAAUGCAGAUGACAUUUAUUUGUAAGAACAAUUAAAAGUAAUAAAAUUUCAGCGUCUAACAACAUCAUAUAUAUAUAUAUAUAUAUAUAUAUAUAUAUAUAUAUAUGGGUUUUGCUAGAAGACAACUUUUAUCAUCGGCGGAGCUAGGAAAAAAGUAUAGGAUGGGCUAUAAAUAGUGAUGGGGCUUAAUUUUCUUACAGGUACAUUUUAUCAUUGGUUAGUUUCAAUGACUACAAAUUUGUUAUUUGUUGAAUAUAAUUCAAACCGGUAUUUUAAAAUCUGAACCGUUUAUCAACCUUGAUAAAGUACAAGAUAAUUGAUCGAACAACUAGGUCAUUAAACCUAACGACUGAAUUAAAUGACUCAACUUCAAUAAACAGAUGUAUAGGUAUUAAAUCGAAUUGAAUCAAACGACUGAGUAAAAAGAAAAACUCAUGACAUAUGUAUAUUAAUGUAAAAAAGAUCAUUACAUAAGAAAAUAUACUUAUAAUCAAGUACAAUAAUGAAAUCAUAUUGUCCUUGCCUCAAUUAUUUUUAUGAUUUCUAACAAAUUCUAUUUUAUUUUAUUUAUGAUUUCUAAAAAUUAUUUUUAUUUUUUAGAAAAUAGGAAUGAAUCAUAUUUAAACUAAGAUCAAUAUGAUAUCUGAAGUAAGAAAUGAUGUUAGUGAUUGGCCCUUGCCUCAAGUCACUAACGUUGAUGAAUGGGUUCCUUUUGAAGGGCAACUAUUUGAAGAUAAUGAAUAUGUAAAUUCUUUAACAUUUCAAGAGCUACAACAUGAACCCUUGCCUCAAGUCAACAACAUUGAUGAGGGGGUUCCUUUUGAAGGGCAAGUAUUUGAAAGUGAUAAUGUUGCUUAUGAAUUUUAUUGUUUAUUUGCAAAACAAAAUGGAUUUUCUAUUAGGCGUGAUCACAUUUAUAAAUCUAGUAAAAAUGUGUCUGAAGAGAAUCCAUCGGGUGUUUAUAAGAGGGAAUUUGUUUGUCAUCGUGGUGGUAUUGUUAAACCACGCAAAACUGUUGAAGUGGAAAAUCAAAGGAAACGAAAAUCUUCAAGAUGUGAUUAUGGUGCAAAGAUGGUAGUUAAUAAGAGAACAAUUGUCUUUGAGAAAAAAUGGGUGGUUAAAUAUUUCAACAAUUCUCACAACCACGAGUUAUUGGAUAACAAAGAGGUUCGAUUUCUUCCUGCUUAUCGUAACAUUCCAAUUGUUGAUCAAGAUCACAUACUAUUAUUAUCUAAAGUUGGUUGCUCUGUAAGUAUUAUAAUGAGAGUGCUUGAGUUAGAGAAAAGAACGGGCACAGGAAAUUUACCAUUCUUAGAAAAAGAUAUUAGAAAUUUUAUUCAGUCAUAUAGUGGUAUUGGUAAAGAAAGUGAUGCUGCAGAUGUUCUCAGAUUGUGCAAAAGUUUGAAAGAUCGAGAGGAGGCCUUCCAAGUUGAAUUCACAAUUGAUGAAAGUAACAAAUUGGAGCAUAUUGUUUGGGCAUUUGGUGAUUCAAUUCGCGCAUACGAAGCUUUUGGAGAUGUUGUAGUUUUUGAUACCACAUAUAGAAUAAACCGUUAUGGGAUGCCUCUUGGAAUAUGGGUUGGUGUUGAUAAUCAUGGAAAUUCAAUUUUUUUUGGUUGCGUUCUAUUGCGAAAUGAGAAGAUUUCUUCCUUCGAAUGGGCUAUAAAGGUAAAUUUCUAUUUACUCAAAGUUGUUAUCACUGUUAAAUUUUUAAAUUUGAAACUUUAUUAAAUUAAUUUAGAUUUAUGUUACAAUUUUCAGAGUUUCCUAGCUUUUGUGAAAGGAAAAUAUCCAAAAACAAUUCUUACCGAUCAAGAUCUUUCAAUUAAAGAAGCCAUUGCAACGAAAUUGCCAAACACAAAACAUGCAUUUUGUAUAUGGCAUAUUGUCGCAAAGCUGUCAAGUUGGUUUUCUUUUCCACUAGGUUCGAGAUAUGAUGACUUUAAACAUGAGUUUCAUAAGGUAUAUCAUUUAGAAUGUGCAGAUGAUUUUGAACGAGAAUGGAAAAUAAUGGUCUCACAGUUUGGUUUGGGCGUGGAUAAGCAUAUUGACUUGCUCUUUUCCCAUCGUAAAUUUUGGGCCUUAGCUUAUUUGAAGGACUUUUUUUUUGCUGGAAUGACAACAACAGGACGCUCAGAAUCGAUAAAUUCAUAUAUAAAAAGAUUCUUAGAUGCCAACAACAGGACGCUCAGAAUCGAUAAAUUGUUAUAUUUUUGUGUAGGUUGGUGUUGCUGUCAAAAUUAGAAAUCAAGCUGGAGAAUAGGCACGAAUGCGUCAAAAGUAUCAUAAUCCUCAUAUUACAACACAUUUUCCUAUUGAAGAACAUGCCUCGUCUAUACUCACACCUUAUGCCUUUAAGUUGCUUCAAUAUGAGAUCGAAUUAUCCGCAAAGUAUGAAGCAAUUGAAGCUGACAAUGGCUCUUAUGUUGUGCAACAUCAUACCAAAGUUGAUGGUGGUCGUAUAGUAAGUUUGAUAACAGAAGAAGAGUCAAUUCAUUGUUCUUGUAAAGAGUUUCAAUUUUCAGGAAUACUAUGUAGACAUGCAAUUCGAGUGCUAAUGUUGAAAAAUUAUUUUGUUCUUCCAUCAACAUAUCUUCCUUUUUGACGGAGACGAGAAAGUUCAUUGAUCCCAAAAUCUAGUCAUGUGAUUAACUGCAAUGAUGUAUCCUCUGCCAAAUUUCAAUCUCUAAUUCGAUGUUUGGAAGUCGAAUCAUUAAAGACAAGUGAACGAGAACAGGUUUCUACAAGAGAGUUAGAAAAUAUCAUCAUAAAGAUAAAAGGCAUGCCUGAAACUCAAGAACAUGUGAUUGAUUUGGAAGCGGAUGUUUCCAACAAUGACGACUACGACGUUGAAAAUCCUGUUGUUUCAAAAACAAAAGGUCGGCCAAAAGGAUCAAGACCAAAAGGAGGGGUUGAAGCUGCCAAGAAGCCUCGUCGUUGUCAUGUUCCAGAUUGUGGUGGAACUAAUCAUGACUCACGAAACUGUCCAAACAAAAAGAGAAAAAUGGAAGUAUUGCCUUCUCAAUCUCCUAAUAAGUAAGUUUUAAUUGGUGUGUCUUGUUCUACUCAUGACUAAUAUAUUAAAUUAAUGUUGACUGAAUUUUUAUGGUGCUUUGAUAGGAUCAUGAAGGGUUGGAAGUAGUCAUCUUGAAAUAGUGAAUUUGACAGAUGAAGCAGCCAAAUAGUUUAGAUCAAACCGUGUAAUUAGUGAAUUUUGUGGCUGCAAUCUGUAAGAUCAAACUAGCAGUAUAUUUUGUAGGAUUAUUAUGAUCAAAUUGUAUAAUUACUAGUAUAUUUUGUACCAGUAUAUAGCCUGUGUUUUGUUCCAGUUCGCCCAAUCUUUCUCUUCUUGAGAGGUCCUGUUUGGCUUAAUAUAUUAUUGCACAUUAUUAUGAUUAUGUGAAAUGUUGAUGUUAAUUAUUGAACAUCAAAUUGGUUAUUAAAAGUCAAAGAGUCUAAAAAAAAAAAAAAAAGUAAAAGAUCAAACUAGCAAUAUAUUUCUGUGAAAUAUAUUAUUGCAUAUUAUUGCACCUCUUAAAAAAGAAGUAAAAGAUCCAAUGAAAAAAUGUGUUCUCUUUUUGACAAACACAUUGGUUGUAGGAAGAGAGAGAAAAUGAUGAUUUCUAGGUGAAUGGGAAAUGACUUUAAAGGACGUGUAUUAUAUCAUUAUUGAAGAACAAUCUAAAUUUCCUUUGAUUUACAUGAUUGUGAAUUAAUUUGUAUUAGGAGAAGUGAAUCAAUCUAAAUUAAAUCAUUUGUAUUAUAUCAUUACGGAGGGAGUAACUAGUGGUUUAAUGACAAUCUAAAUUUCCUUUGAACAACCCCACAAACAACUUGAACCGUUUUUUUUUUUUUUUUUUUUUUUUUUUUGUCAAUUAACAACUUCAAAAUUUUAUUUCUUAAAAUACUCACAUUGAAAUAAUUAUUUUAUCCACGUUGGGUUUUGAUAAGGUAUAUAAUACAAUGAUAAGGUAAUUAUUUUAUUCAUAUUAAAUAAAAUAUUACCUCAAGAAAGAAAAAAAAGUUCAUGAUUGGUAAAUAUAUAUGUUUGGAUUGAUGAAAAUGCAAGUAGUAAAAUCUAAAGAUUCUCUACCCUAUGGUAUAAGUUACUACUAUAUAAGGCAAACUAUACUUCUCUCAAAAAAAUUAAAAAGGCAAACUAUACUAGCGAUAAAUUUACGUUAAAAUGACCCUCUUUUAAUUCAUAUAUAGGAAAAUGAAUUGAAAUUUUUUUCGCGGACAACGGUGGUAUUUUUUCCAAUUUUGGUGAAAACACUCUACAUUUUUUUUUUAUUGAUAAACGAAAUAACAAGAACUAUUGAAAACUCACGUAAAUGGAGGAGUCUAGUUCAAACCUCGACCACCAUAUCCAACAUAACAAUUUUAGUAUUUUAGAACUAUGACUUAUGUACAAAACACUACAUUUUAAAUAGAGAUUACUUCUUUAAAACUCAUCUCAAACAUGUUUUAUUGGAGCGACCGAGCGUGGGUCACCUUCAGUUUAGGAAACUCUCCCUUUUUGAGAGGGGCGGGUUGGUUAAACCCUUUUCUGAGGAUGAGAUUAAGGCGGCUGUGUGGGAUUGUGAUAGUUUUAAGAGUCCGGACCCUGAUGGGAUCAACUUGGGUUUUUUUAAGUCCUUUUGGCCUGAGUUGAAAACAGAUCUUGUGCGCUUUGUGACCGAAAUCCAUAGGAAUGGGAAAUUAACGAAAGGCAUAAAUUCUACAUUCAUAACCCUUAUUCCUAAAGUUGCUAGCCCACAAUCUUUGAAUGAGUUCCGCCCUAUUUCUUUGGUGGGGAGCUUGUACAAAAUUUGGUUAAUGCAACCUCAUCAUUUUAGGUGCAUUUCCCAUUUUACCCUACACCAUUUUUUUAAUUAUUUUAUUAUUUUUAUAUUUUUAAUAACUUUUACAAUUUUUAUUUUUUUAACUAUUUUUCAAUUUGUUCACCCAAAUUCAGUUGCUUCUAAAUUGCCGUUGUGGGAGAGUAAGAUAUCGCUUGAUUCGGGUUUUUUCCAACUUCUCUACAUUUUUAAGGAGAAGUUAGAUCAAACACACUAUCAAUUAUUUUAAUUUCAAUAUUGUUUAAUCAUCACAACCUCACAAAUAUUUUUAUUCACACUGUCAUUUAAUGAUACCAAAUACUAUUAUUUCCUUUCUUCAACCUCACAAAUAUUUACACACACAUUAAUGUUUAGAGUAAUAUUUUAUGUCCGUCUGUGUUUUUGUUAAGCUAAUGCAUAUAAUUUUUUUUAGUGUUGCUUGGUUGAGUGCUACCUCACCGAUUUGUUUUAACUAUUUUCCAAUUUUUAUACUUUUAAAUACUUUUAACUAUUUUCCAAUUUUUCCUCCCAAAUCCAGUUGUUUCUACACUGCCAUUGUGGGAGAUUAAGAUAUCGUUUGACCCGGUUUUUUUUUUUACUUCUCAACAUUUUUAAAAAGAAGUAAGGUCAAACACAAUAUCAAUUAAGUACUUGAUGAGUCAUUUAUUGACUAUUUUAAUAUGCUUUUUAGUUUAGUUUUAUUUAGAUUUUAUAUAAUUUUAUAUUAGUAUUAUUUCCUUUUUACGAUAGUUUACUUUAAAUUGCAUUUUAUUAUAUUUCAGGAAAGAAUAUUGGAUGGAUUGAGUCUUGGAGCAAAAGAAAGAGACUUGGAGCCGAUUGGACACAAAAAAUAUGAAGAUUGAGAGACAAAAUAUGUCUCCCACAAGUCAGAAGCCUAGCACGGCCCAUGCUAGCCUUGGCACGGCCGUGCCACCCUCCAGAGUGCCUUUUGCUGCUUUUGCUUAGAUUUUAAGCUACUCUAUUUUUGGCCCAAAUGUAAUAGCUUAGAUUUUAAGUCGAUCAAAUGCUAUAAAUAGAGUAGCCAUCCAUCACAAAUAUUCAUCUUUUCUUAGAAUGCAAUAUGUGACAAUUGUCUUUCUAAUAAAAGUUCAUUUACUUUAUUGUUAUUUACUUUUAUGCUUUCUCUCUUCUUCUCCUUGUCUACGAUAAACAUUAGUGAGUAGACUUCUCUUGUCUUGGGAUUGUUGGAUAAGCCUAAUGACAUAAUCCUAAUCAAACAAAGCUUUAAACCUUAAUCUUAUGUAACCCUAAUUCCUUAUCUAAAUUCACCGCUUUAACAUGGAUCAACCAUUAUCAAACUGUGGAAACGAAAGUGGAGGGUUUGAUAAUUGUUUAUCCAUCAUCUUAAAUAUCAAUUCAUAAAACGAAAGUGGAGCUUUGAUAUUCGAACAAGUGAAUUCAGACAAGGAUUGCAAAGUCAGCGAAAUAGGCUUUGCAAUCUUUGAGACAUAUAGUUUCGAUCUUCAAGGGAACUGAUAAUAAUCAAGUCAGCGAAAUAGGCUUGGUUGUUAGAGGAACCAAAAUCUAAUAGUAAUCAAGUCAGCGAAAUAGGCUUGGUUGCUAGAGGAACAUAAGAGAAACUGUCUUGAGAAAUUAGGUCUAACAUAACAUUAUAAGCUUAUAGUUUUGGUUUGAGAAGGACUUGUCAUUUAGAGGAAACCAACGAUCCCAAGGCUCUUUUUAUUAUUAUUAUUUUCUUCCAAACGCUUGAAAACCCCCAACUUACAAUUCUCUCCUCUCUUCUAAUCAUCUCUAAAAAGUUAAUUGAAUUGAACUACUCCCUGUCGGAACGAUACUCUUUUAUACUACUUCGGUAAGACCGUGCACUUGCGGUUUUAUCUCAUCAAGUUUUUGGUGCCGCUGCCGGGGAGUAAACUAAUUUGAUUAACUCUUUCCUUGUGAUUAGAACUCUCUUCUCUUCCUUUUUUUUUCUUCUACUUCUUUUGGCGAAAAUUCUAGCAAACAAGUUGAGGCAGGUUAUUGGAAGUGUUGUGUCGGAAACUCAGUCUGCUUUUGUGAAGGAUAGACAAAUUCUUGAUGGUAUCUUGAUCGCGAAUGAGGUGGUUGAUGAGGCAAGGAAAACUAAGAAAGACCUUUUGUUGUUCAAAGUGGAUUUCGAGAAGGCGUAUGAUUUUGUAGAUUGGGGGUACCUUGAUGAGGUGAUGGGGAGUAUGUCGUUUCCGACGGUGUGGCGAAAUUGGAUUAAAGAAUGUGUUGGUACUGCUACUGCCUCAGUUCUUGUGAAUGGAAGUCCUACUGAUGAGUUUUUUCUUGAACCGGGAUUACGUCAAGGUGAUCCUAUAUCUCCUUUUUUAUUUUUAUUGGCAGCAAAAGGUUUGAAUGUGUUGAUGAAAGCGUUGGUAGACACAGAUCUAUUUACGGGGUAUAGAGUGGGGAGAGAGAAUUCAGUGGUUGUGUCACAUUUACAGUUUGCUGAUGAUACGCUUCUUAUUGGGAACAAAAGUUGGGCUAAUGUGCGGGCGUUGAGGGCUGGUCUCGUCUUGUUUGAAGCUAUGUCGGGAUUGAAAGUUAAUUUUCACAAGAGUUCACUGGUAGGGGUUAAUAUUAAUGAUUCGCGGCUGUCAGAAGCGGCUUCUGUGUUGGGGUGCAAAGUAGGUAAAAUCCCGUUUCUCUAUUUGGGGCUCUCGAUUGGGGGCGAUCCGCGUCGACUUUUGUUUUGGGAACCUGUGGUGGAUCGUAUUAAAUCUAGAUUGUCUGGUUGGAAAAGUCGGUUCCUAUCUUUCGGUGGUCGUUUGAUUCUACUAAAGUCCGUCCUGACUGCUCUACCUGUCUAUGCACUUUCCUUCUUCAAAGCUCCGACAGGUAUAAUCUCUUCCAUUGAAUCUUUGUUUAAUAAAUUUUUUUGGGGAGGGAGUGAGGAAAAAAGAAAAAUAUCUUGGGUUAGGUGGGAGACUUUGAGUAUGAGGAAGGAGUAUGGAGGGUUGGGAGUUAAGAGGUUGAGGGAGUUUAACAUUGCUUUGUUGGGUAAAUGGUGUUGGAGGUUGUUAUUGGAGAGGGAUGCUUUGUGGAGACAGGUAUUAGUGGCUAGGUAUGGUGUGGAGGAUGGCGGUUUGGAGGAUGGGGGCCGGAGUUGUUCUUCAUGGUGGAGGGAGAUUGUGAGGAUUAGAGAUGGGAUAGGUGAGGGUGGAGAGGGUUGGUUUGGGACAUGUGUUAGGAGGAGGGUGGGAGAUGGUGCAGAUACUGAUUUUUGGCGUGAUUGUUGGUGUGGAGAUGUUCCUCUGUGUGUCCGGUUUAGACGCCUUUUUGACUUGACUGCUCACAAAUCAAUCUCAGUUAGGAAUAUGUUCCUGCUGGGGGUGGAUGUGGGCGGGGAGGCGUUGAGGUGGCGUAGGCGGUUGUGGGCUUGGGAGGAGGAGUUGGUAGAGGAGUGUAGGGCUUUGUUACUAACAGUUUCUUUGCAGGAAUCAGUGAUAGACAGAUGGCUCUGGUUACCUAAUCAUGAUGAUGGGUAUUCUGUACGUGGAGUCUAUGACAUGCUGACAUCACAGGAGCAGCCCCAGUUACACCAUAAUAUGGACUUAAUUUGGCAUAAACAGGUUCCUCUCAAAGUAUCUAUCUUUGCUUGGCGACUUCUGAGGGAUCGGUUACCUACAAAACUUAAUUUGGCAAAUCGUGGCAUUCUAUCUGUGGAGGAGCGGUUAUGUGUUUCUGGAUGUGGGAUUGUCGAAGAUGUUUCUCAUUUGUUUUUGUCUUGUACAACUUUUGGUGCAUUAUAGCCGAUGGUGCGGGAUUGGUUAGGCGUGGUAGGUGUCGACUCUCGAUCAACUUCAGAUCAUUUUGAGCAAUUUAUUAAUUAUGCAGGUUGUUCGAGAGGGCGACGGUCUUUCUUCCACUUGAUUUGGUUGCUUUGUGUUUCGGUGUUGUGGAAUGAAAGGAAUGAUAGGCUUUUUAGAAAUAGACAAAGUAUUGUGCCACAAUUGCUAGAUAAAGUGAAAUCAACUUCGUUGUGGUGGUUAAAGACUAGUAAUGUUGUAUUUAGUUUUGGCACUCAUCAGUGGUGGUCGAGCCUGCUUUUAUGUCUGGGUAUUUGACUGAUUUGUUUGUAAUUUUGUGUGGACCUUGACAUUUUUGUGAUUGUUUGGCACAUCUUGUGCGGUAACAAUUACGGUGUCCGUAUUAAUAUAUCUCAUUUUUGCAUGUUCAAAAAAAAAACCGACUUAAAUAUGUUUUAGCACAUUUUAAAGAAUAAUCAAAUCAAAAGAUUACAUAUGUUUUAAAAACUCGUGAAUUUUUCUUUUCUUGAUAUUUUCUCUAUUUUAAAGUUCUACAAGUCACGUCCCUGUGAGUAUAGCUCAGUUGGCAGGGACAAUGUAUUAUUAUAUGCAGAGGUCAGGGUUCGAACUCCGGACACUCCACUUAUUCACUUGAAAAAUAAAUUUCUAGCCACUAGGCUACCUGACCCAAAAAAAAUUCUACAAGCCACUUUUCUCACGUUGUUUUCACUAUUUUCUUAUAUCUUGACCCUUACUUUUAUUGAUGUUGUUGAAACCAAGUUGGUCCACUAAUAACAAUAUCAUUUUAUGUUUUGAUGAUUAAAAAAUAUAUCUAAAUGGUUUUUUGAUUCGCAUUUAACUUAAUUUCUUAUUACUUUGAAAUCUUUCAACAAACUAUAUUCAUUUUAAAUUUUGCAAAUUUAUUUAUGUUAGUUCUAACAUAUAUCCCGCCAUCGCACGGGUCGUGAGCUAGUAAGUGUUAUUGGUACAUGGAGCUUUAAUCUUCUUGCACAGAUACCCACUUAAAAGUUUCAAUUGGAUGGGGAGGGGUAGCUCAACUGAUCUGAGUUAAGGGAAUUUUUUUUCUGGAGGUACUGUUUGAAACGGACCAAGGAGAAAAGAGAAAAAACUAAUUUCUAACAUGCAUUAAAAAAUAAAUAAAUAUCUUCUUAAAGCACCAACCCAAUUAAUAUUUUUUAUUUAUGCACUAAAAUGAUAGAUCAGUAUAUUUUUUAUUCAGUACAAAUUUGAAUAUCUUUUUAAACUGUACAUUUUUUAUUGGAUCAAAUAUGUUUUUGGUCCCUAUAAAAUUGGAAACUUCUAAGUUUAGUCGUUACUUAAUUUUAAUAACAUUUUUAGUCCUUCUAAAAACUAAAUUUGUUUAAUUACUCUUGAAUUCUUAAAUUUUUGAACAAUUUUUUGGAGACAUGUUUAGAACAUUAUAAAAUGUUCAUUUACUAAAAAAUAGAAUUUUUUAACAUGACAAGAAUUAAAUAUGAAUUUUUAAACGUCAAAAGUUCAAGAAAAGAGUAACAAAAAUCUGGACGUAGAAAUCAAAUUUUGAGUUAAUAUUUUGUAGAGGGACUAAAUGCAAAAUGAUUUUAUAGGGACUAAAAAAACUAUUAAAAUUAAGUCAGGACUAAAUUUAAAAGGCCCCAAUUUUAUAAGGAUAAAAAAACAUAUUGAACCAUUUUUAUUUGAUGUCAAAAGGAAAAGUUCAAUCAAUAAAUUUGUUUUUGUUGUAAAAAUUUAGAUAGUCAGGCAUGAGUGAUAUGCAAAACUAAAACAAAAAAAAUACAACAAAUGUCACAUGAAGGAUUUUGAUUGAUGAAACAAAACUACCUUGACAAAAAAAAAAAAAAAGAAUUAAAAGAAAGAAAUUGAAUAAGUUAUUAAGAUUAAUAAAAUUUUCUUGAAACAUCACCGAAGGGUUGUCUUUGAAUAAAGAUUUUAGGAAAUUGUAUAUUUUUGUAUAUAGAAGUUAUAGUUUUUAAAUGAUUGUACAUUUGUAAAUAGAAGAUAAAUGCUUCCUUAUCUUAGGCUUUUUGAAAUAUCUGAAAAUAAAAUGAUUCUUUGUAACCAAUCCCCAUUACAACUCUGAUUAAGUCUGUAGUGUUCCAUGCUUGAUAGUAGCUGGUUAUAUGUAAAUUCUAUUUUCUUAUAUUGAUAUUUCAAUUCCGUUCUUAAUGUUUUUUUUUUUUUAUGUGAAAUACAAAAAUGAUAUUUGACUUAGAAAGUUGUAGACAUAGACUUUCCCUGUAAGAGAGACAUGGGUAGGAGCAUUUGUAGAUGUUAGUUACGAGGUAUUAAUCUAUGUUUGCAAUCAUACACAUUGUAUGAUCUUAAUGUCGUUACUAAAAAUAAUGAAUCUCAUAUCGUUUGUCAGACAUGGAAACAUGCGAUCAAUGAAGUAAAUUAAACGAUUAAUUAAUGAAUCCCAACAAUAUUAUCUCUUUGUUCUUGUUUCAUUUUUUUUUUAAGAAGCUAAACUAACCCCCUCAAAUUGACAUCAGAGGUAAUCGAACUUGAGAUUUUGAGGAGGAGGAGCACACUCUCAGGUUACAAGUCAAUACGACUAGGUCAACCCAAGUGGGUUUUUCUUGUUUCAUUAUUUAAUUACAAAGACAAAUAUAUGUACAAAUAAUCCAUCGUUAUGUACUAAAAAUAUUCGUAUUUCAAAAAUAUUGCACGAAUUCAUAUGGAUACGAUAACCAUAAAUAUUUAUUUUGGAAAAUGAUAGGUACAGUGACAAAAUUUAUCAAGAAAAUUUCAAAACAGUGUAUUUGCUAACACUUUUUCUUAAUUACCCAGCAUUACCUCCCUUGAUUUCCGCCAAAUAACAAAUUUAAUUGAUUGAGACAUUUUCUUGAUAUAUUCUUAAUAAAAACUAUCUAGAUAAAUAGCAAUGCUCAUUUAUUUUUUAAACAGCUAUAAAAGCAGCUGAUCACUAAGUAACAAUAUUUUUUUAUCUCAAUCUGUUUGCAAUAUUUCAAAAAUUAUUAGAUAAUUUUAUAAAUUAUUACCCCAAAAAUAAAAUUACCAUGUGUGUCACAUGGGAUAAAGAUCUAGUUUACCCUAAAUUUAAAGCAGUUGGAUUAAAUCUUCAAAAAAUUUAUAGUCACUAGCAGAGAGACAUGUCCGUCUUUCCGCUCCUUUUAUAGCACUAACAUUUAAAAAUUAUAAACAAUGUUUUUUUUUAUGAAAUUUUAAUUUUGAUUAAAAGUAAAAAUAUAAAUGUUUUUUGUUUUCAAAUUAUAACGAAUCAAACUAACUAUGAUUAUCUAUUUCAAUGAAACUAACACUAUAAAAAAAAAAAAAAUCUAAAUUCAAUUUUUUAAUGACACCAACAACGAUAUUUAUAAUAGAAAAAGUUGUUGUAUAAGAGUAUAAUUGGGAUAAUGAAAAAGUAAGUAUAGAUACACUCUUCUAGUUUGUUACACUUUUUAAAUGAUAAAGAAAAAAAUUGGAAAUUUGUGUUUGUUACACUUUUAUUUUCAUAUUUGUGUUUUCCUUAUAUAUAAUAUAGAUUCAUAAUAAUUUCUUAGUUUUAAGAUUUUACCCUUAUAAUUAUUUAAUGCAUACUAAGAUAUGUUCCUUUUAAAUCACAUCUCACUAUUAUGAUAAAAUAUAUUAAACACACACUAGUCUAUAACAAAAGUAAUACUAAGCUUUCUGCAUAGAGUCAUACACCAAUCUCAUGGAGACAACAAAAUAUAAACUAAUUAACUUUUUUUUUAACUGUUAUUAGUGCCUUAUUGUUAUUUUAUAGUGACAAUAUUCUAGUUUUUUAUAUCCACUAAAAUCCUACAAAUAUAAAUUAAAGUGUUUGCAAAUUGAAUUGUUUUUCAUAUCUUUUAAAGCUCAACAAGACAUCUAAUGUAUUUAUUUUGGCAUGCAUAAAUUAAAAAGGCUUUGAAGUAAGGUAAAAUUUAUUGAUAUACCUAACUGUUCUAUUAAAGUUAUUUUUAAAAGGUGUGAUAUGCCAUGGUGAUACCUCCAAAAUUACGAGAGAAGAAGACAAUGAAAAAAAAAAACUUUACUACCUUAAAACUAUCUUAGAGUAACACACCAUAACUACAAGGUUCAUGAGAUUAGAGAAAUUAAAUUAAAUUAUAUUAUAGAGUGCCAACAUAAUAACCAAACGACAACUCAUGAAAUAUUCUAUCAUAUUUUAAGUUGUUUUCUUUGACAUUAUAACCCAUUCUCCUUUGUAUUAUGUUUUUGCACUCUCCAUGGUUUGAAACUCAUAGAAUCAUGCAUGUGCUUCUACCAAUUCACAUCUUUUAUCAAUGCACUUAAAAACAUAUAACAAGUCCCUAUACUUUGGACAAUAAUCAUCGGUUUCACAUUCUUCAUAAACUAUAAUGAAAAAACGAUAAUAAAAUAAUGUUACUAAAUAUGUUAAAAGAUUGUGCACAAACUAUAAAGUAAAGAAGGAAAUUUUGAAAAGAAUGAAAAAAAUGACUUACUGUCACUCAGUUGUGUUCUGAUGAGAAAUACUAUGGAAAUGAAUAGAAUCAUAGCAUAAACAAACUUUAGAAUUUGAACCAUAUUUUUUCUUGUUUGCAUGUAAAAAAUUUGAAUAUGAUUUGUUCUAUUUAUAAUGUCCAUGCUCUCUUAAAAAUGAUUUUUAUAGUUUUAGCACUUAUGAAGUUGUAAAAACCCUUCAUAAAAUUAUAAUCAUCAUUAAUUAUCUCUUAAAUAUAUCAAAGUGUUGUAAACAUAAAGAGGUCAAAUGAAAAACUUACUAAUAAUAAAGAUUUAUUCCUUUUGACUAUAAUAUUCAUAUGUAAUUGAGCUUAAGUGGUUAAUGAACUUCACCAAAGAACGAAUCAUUUCGGAGAACCCGAGUUUAAUUCUUAGGUGGUACCAUUCUUGUCGGACUAUAAUUACUUCACAGCCAAAAUGCAGAUUACUGCACACACACAAAAAAAAUUCAAUGAUAAUAAAAGUAAAAUUAUCUUUUUAGACCAAUGUAAUUUUUUUUGUUUUGAAUAAUGUAUGAUUGGAUUAAGAACAUAAAAAAUCGUUGAAUUUCCAAAAAUAAAAAACUAAAAUACACAUUUUUCUUUGGUUAAAAAAACUGGAUGUGUAUUUCAUAACACUUUUUUUAUUAAAAUAUAUUUGAAGGUUCAAAAAGUACUCAACCGAAAAUCAGAUAUGCAUAUGUCAUUUAUUCAUAAGAAUCAUUUCGUCUUUUUAAUUUGACAGAAUUCUCAAGUUAAUCAUUUAAAUUUCGAAAGUUUCAAUUACGUCUUUUUAGUUUGACAUAAUUCUCAAAUUAGUCUUUUAAGUUUCAAAAGUUUUAAAUAAGUCAUUUAAGUUGAUAAACUGUUUUACCGUUACCCCUACUAUCAGUUAGUAAUUAACUUAUGCUGAUGUAGUCGUUAAGUUGUUGACUUGGAUCAAAAUACUGUUUUUUAAAAGCCCCAAGGUGUCAAAAUGUUACGUUUAAUCGUCACAAAUGAUCAUUCUAACACUAUAAAUGUUGUUUAAUAGUGCCAAAAAGACUUUGUUGUUGUAAAUAGUUGUCUUUCUAGCACUAUAAAUGAUAAUUUGUGACUAUUAAACAUAGUGGUUUGACACCCUUAAACUUUUAAAAGACAUUAUUUUGAUCUAAGUCAACAACUUAACGGCUAAAUCAACAUCAGUUAAUUAUUAUCUGACAGCAAGGGUAACGGUGAAAUAGUUUAUCACAACUAAAAUGACAUAUUUGAAACUUUUGAAACAUAAAGGACAAACUUGAGAAUUCUGUCAAAUUAAAAUGACCUAAUUAAAAUUUCGAAACUUAAAAUACUAACUUCGAAAUUCUGUCAAACUAAAAGGAAUUCUGUCAAACUAAAAGGAACAAUAGUGAUAUUUAACCUAAAAAAAAAUACACCAAAUUUCGACACACUUGAAAACAUCCAUAUAUAAGAUAUAUAUUAUAAUAUAUUUUUAUUCACAUUUCAUAAUUUUGAUUAAUUUAUAGAAAAAAAAAACUACUUGGCCGCCUAAAUGUUAGUAAAGUUUUGUAAUUAAUCCUUAAAUUUUAAUUGAUAUUCCUUAAAGCCAUCUGGUUAUGUGUAAAUUAACAAAUGACAAGGGCAUGUGACCCCUAUGCUAUAUAUAAAAUGUCUAUAGCUACAAUACCUAGUGGCUCUCAAAUUCAUCAAUAUUACAUGAAAAUGAAUUGAAAAUCAUAUGUGGUGGGUGGUAUUUUUUAAUAAAUUUGAAAACACUCUACAUUUUAAAUAGAUUAUUACUGGGAAACUCAUGCCAAACGUAUAUGUUAUACGUCUCUGUUUUAUUAGCUGACUUAAAGACGUUUUUAGUCUGUUUUUAAGAAGAACCGACUUAAAAGAUCAUAUACGUUUUAAAAACUCGUGAAGCUUUUUUUUUUUCUCGCUAUUUCUCCUCUUUAUUUUAAACAAAACCCUAGUAGUCACUUUUAUCCCGUUGUCCAUCUAGAAAUCACGCGAUUUAACCCCAACUAUAGUGCAUCACACUACAUGUCAUUGUACAUGGACACUUCGGAAUCCAUCCCAUACUCUAAAUGAUAUAGCAAAAACUAUAAAUUGGAGCAAUCCGUCAAGUUUACAGGAAUCGCUCCUAUAAAUUAGGUAUUACUGAAGCCGAGUUGUUGUAGAUGCAACAACCGAUCUAGUUGUUGUGGAAUUAUUGUAAAGAAUUUUUCUUGGAACAAAUAGAGAAUGCUUAUUUUGAGGGGAAAUAGAAAAUCCUUGGUGAUUAAGAAAAGUUAAAACUAAGAGAAUAUGAGUGGAGAGAGAUAGUGUUCUAUUUUGUGAAUCUUAAUGAUUAUGAAUAAGGGAAUGAAUAUACAAAAGUCUUUGAUGUAAGCAUUUAUACACACUCAUAAAAUGUAACUAACUAUUUCAUGCAUCUCAAUCCAUGUUGUGCCAUGCCAGUUGCUAAGUGCAUAGAACUAUUUCAAGAGUUGAGGAUUUUAUUUCGGUUCAGUGGAUAUUGACUCCUUGAAUUCGAUAAACUAGUGUGUUAACCCGUGCAAUGCACGGCGACAAGCUUCAAUUUUUUUUAUUUUCAAAAAUAUAUUAUUUUUUGUUUUUAUUUAUUUUAAUUUACCCGUGUUUUCUUACAUCGCAAUGACAAAUAUGUAUUAUGUAAUUUUAUGUUUAUUAACGAUAAAUAUAUGUCUUAUGCAUCUGUGAAAAAUAUAUUUCCAUUAUUUUCUAUAUUUGUCAACAAAAAUUGGUUGGGAGGAGGGGGUGAAGCGUGGAGGUGGAGGAGGAGGCUGUGGGCAUGGAAGAAAGAGUUGGUAGCAGAGUGUGUGACUUUACUUCACAAUGUUACUUUGCAGUCUAAUGUUUCAGAUCAGUGGCAAUGCACCCCGACUUUGAGGGGGGCUAUUCAGUGUGUACAGGUUAUCAACUGCUCACUUCACAUGAAUUUCCUAUUUCGGAUGCUUCAGAGAACUUAAUUUGGCAUACUCAGGUGCCCUUUAAGGUUUCUAUUUUAGCUUGCGUUUGCUCUGUGACAGGUCCGACUAAACUUAAUUUACUGAAUCGCGACAUAAUAUCUAUUGAGGCUACCCUUUGGUAGCAGGUCUGGUCUUGGAUUGGCGUUUCAAGGGUUGAUCAUCAAAGUCUCCGUGCUCAUUUUCCCCAUUUCACUCACUACUUAGGUGGCUUGAGGGCUCGUCGAUCUUUCCUCCAGCUACUUUGACUUCUUUGUGUUUGGUUAGUGUGGAAUGAACGAAAUAAUAGACUAUUUAAUAAUUCUCACACUUCCAUUUCAAAGCUUAUGGAUAAAGUUAAAAAAAAAAAAAAAAAAAAAUCUUACUAGUGGUUGAAGGCUAAUAAAACCACCUUUGUAUGGUUGUCAGUAAUGAUGGUCGGACCGCUUGUCUUGUUUGGGUAUCAGCUAACCGGUGUUCUUGUAAUUAUUUGACUGACAGAUUGUAUUUUGAGUUGUUUUUUAGUACGCCUUGUGCUCAAGAGGCGACUCUAUAUGUGUUAAUAUAUACCAUUUUUGCUUCUUAAAAAAAAAAAACAAGACUAAUUGCUAGCAAAAAUCUGAGAUUAAAAACCAACUAUGUUUUUAACCUUUGAGUCAUCAAAUUUUGUGUAAUUUGAGUAAAUUAAAAAUCAAUCUUUUGAUUAUUUUUUCCACUUGUAAGACAGAAAAACUUACAUGAUAUAGUGUUUAAAAACCAACUAUGUUUUUAACCUUUAUUAAUGUUGCACAUAAAGUAUUUAAAUAAAAAUUAUACAAUCAAACCCCUUUAGGAGGGAACUACAACCUAAUCUUCAAAUUGUUGAUUGUUUCUUCACUUCUUCAAAUCUUCAACCUUGUCACUUUCAAGGAUGGAAACAACCAAAGGUUUUUUUUUACUAGGUUCAUUAAAUUAGGUAAAGAUAAAUAGUUAUUGGAUGCCACUAUAAAUGACUAAAAGCUACCUUAUGAAAUAUUUUAUCAGAAAGUAUUUUGCUAGCACAAUAAUUCAUUCUCCUCCGUUUGAUGGUUUUGAACUCUGCUAGAUCCGGUACUCUUAGCGUCUUCGAAUAAUCUUAAUCCAUUCACAUCUGUUAUUAAUGCACUUAUGAACAUAAUUCUUAUCCCAAUUUAUGAUAUAGGAUUUUGGACAGUCCACGUUAGAUUCACAUUCAUCAAUUUCUGUAUAAAAUUAACAAAUGUUAAAAUAAUGUUACUAAUUAAACAUGACAAAGAUUGUGUAAAAACUAACAAGUAAAGAAGUAAAUUUGAAAAAGAUGAAAAAUAGCUUACUAUCAACAAUAUCCAUUGCAACAAGAAAUAUGGGAAGAAAUAUAAUUAUACCGAAGACAAAUUUGAGAAUUUCGGCCAUAUUUUUUUUCUUUCUUCUUUGCAUGUAAAAAGGUAAUAUGAUUUGAUCUCUUUAUAUGAUUUAAUCUUCAUAGCACUUAUGAAGUUGAGAAAAUCCUUCAUAAAAUUAAAAUCAUUAUUAAAUAUCUCUUAGUUAUAUGUGUGUUUUGUGUUUGUCCCUUUAUCACACCAAGUAAAGCAAGCAUUCACAUCGCAUAAUAGAAAAGAGAAUUCCUUUUAACCUUUCUUGUCACUUCUAAUUUUUCAUUUCUUUUUAAACCUUUCAUGAUAGUAAAGAGAAGAUAAUAGUUUCUUUUUAGACCUUAGCAAAGUUAUUUGUUGGAAUAACGAAUACACACACAUUAUGGAACCAUGUUUUAAGCAAAGUUUAUGUUCAAUACCAAAAAUUUUGUAAAGCAUUGUGAAUUAUAUAUUUGAUGUGAAUGGUAGUGUAGAAUAAAUCGUGCAAUUACAACAUUAUAUACACAUUCUUUCUUAUUCAACGAAUUUUUUUUUAAAAAAAAAAGAUCUUACAAUAAUUUCUAUGUUAGCAUAAACUAUGUUAUCAUCUCAAUGUUGUAUUAUUCAAAUAAAUAACUUUACCUAGGUAAAAAAAAAAAAAAAAUAUCUCUUUAAUACCAUGAAAGGUUAAAAAAGCAAUGAAAAAGUUAGGAGUAAUGAAAGGUUAAAAGAGAAAGUUGUCCCUUUUAUAACAUGAAAGGUUAAAAAAUAACUGAAGGUUAAAAAAUUCUAACUUAAAGUAGAUAUUUAAAUGACAUUUAUGAAGGUGAGAAAAACACAAGAAGGGGGUUGAAUUGUGUUGACUUUUUCUUCUUUUUCUUUAAAGCUGAAAACACUGAUCAGAAGCAGAUAUAGUUCUACUUCUGAAGUGAUGUUCAGAACUAGUUGCAGCAGAUAAAACAGAGAGAGAGAGAGAGAGAGAGAGAGAGAGAGAGAGAGAGAGAGAGAGAGAGAGAGAGAAGAAAGACACAAGCAAUUUAUACAGGUUCCUUCCACAACCAGGAAGUCAGUCCUGUCCCCCUUGCACUUCCAAGGAGGGUUCACUAUGUAAUAUCUGAUUACAAAUGCUCACUAUUAAACUUAGUAAGAGACUUCAAAUUGUUCAAGCACAACUGCAAGAGAUUUCCUAUGCUCCUGAACACAAUCAAGAGACUUCUAUUGCUCAAGCACAAAUGCAAGAGACAUUUGAAUUCAAACAGAAUUACAAAGAAUAUGUUUGAGUUUGAACACUUGAUAUACAAUCAGUGAUGUUCACAAUACAAAUCAGAUACAGACUCUAAAGACUCUAGAAUUUAUAAGAUAUGAGCUUUGAUAAGAAAUUCUAAGAGAACUUUGAAUGCAGAACAAUUUCAGCAGAGUUUUGGCUCAGUUAAUUCUUGGUAUUGUUCUUGUGAAACUCUGAGUCUUCACUCCUUUAUAUAGAGGUGUGAAAGAGAUGUUGAAUUGCCAGCACAUUCAAAAUAGAGUCGUUUGAAGCUUUUGAUCAAUCACCAAUGAUCCUUUGCCUGAUAUGGUUAUUGUCCUAAGAAGUAUCAAUUUCAAAUGCAUUCCCAUUGUAAAGGAACAUCGUUGCAGGUAGAGCUGUUUUUCUUGUCUUGUAGCAGAGACAAAACAGAGUAGUGGAGGUAGUGGUUGUACACUUCGUACAAACGUACUUUGUCAACGCUCUUUGAAGAAUAAACAUCCAAUGCCUUCAAAUCCUUUCAAAAUAAUCGUUGCUUUGCCUUUCCAGUCUUCUGCAAUCUUUAGACGAGUUUGAAUCCAUUAAACAACUUUUGAAGCUUUAAGUUGCAUCUCCUGAUGAACUGCAACUUCUCGUAAUUCUCAGCUUAUGAUAAAUUUGCUUCUGAUGAACUUGCUUCUGAUGACCUUACUUUUGAUGACGUCAUCACUUCAGGAGCACUUUGUUUUCAGGAGCGCUUUAUCUUCAGGAGUAGUUUUCUUCAGACGCUUUAAGCUUUCCUUUUUGCUGAGUUCUUUGCUCUUUAUUGUUCUUCCAAGACCUUUUUAAGAUGACAAUUUUUUGUCUAUAGUCAUGUACACUUGAACAAAUAUUAGCAUAUCCAAUUGACAAUUUAUAAUACAUUGUUAUCAUCAAAACUCUUAAGGGUUAAUGUUAGACACAUUUUGUUACAACAAUCUCCCCCUUUUUGAUGAUGACAAACAAUAGUAUUUAAAAUGUUCAAUUGUUGUUAAUCUAAUUAACACGUUGACUAUAAGGGUAUGAGGUUUGUAAGCUCCCCUGAGUCCAAUAGUACUUUAAGGUGAGGUUUGUAAGCUCCCCCGAGUUCUAUCCAUGUUAAUUAAAUUCAUCAUUUAAAAAUGAAAUAACUCUCAGAAUAAUCUCACAUAAAAAGACUAAGAGAUUAGAAGAAGGUCCUAUUAAUUUAACUUGAUUAGAAUUAAAUUAAUGAGGCUCAGAGCCUAUAAAUAGUAUACAUCUACUCCCCCUUUUGUCAUCAACAAAAAGUAUAAAAUAAAGACAAAAAGAAAGAUAUGAGAAAAAAUACAUUCAGGAGCAAUAUAACACAUGUAUAUAUAUAGUGAGAAAAAAUAGUGAGAAAUUAUGUAGAUAAAUACAUUCAGAAGCAAUAUAACACAUUGAAAAAAAAUCAGGUCAAACAGUAUCUUAAUCUCCCACAACGACAGUGUAGAAACAACUGAAUUUGGGAGAAAAAAAAUUAGAAAAUAGUUAAAAAUAAAAAAAAAUUGGAAAAUAGUUAAAAAAAAAUCGGUGAGGUAGCACUCAAUCAAACAAUACUAAAAAAAAUUAUAUGCAUCAGCGUAACAAAAAAAUAAACAGACGGACAUAAAAUAUUACUUUAAAUAAUAUUAAUGUGUAUAUGUAUUCGCGAGGUUGAGGAAAGGAAAUAAAAAUUCCCUUUAACUCAAAGUAGUUGAGCUACCCCACCCCAUUCAAUCGAAACUUUUAAGUGGGUAUCUGUGCAAGAAGAUUAAAGCUUCAUGUACCAAUAACACUUACUAGCUCACGACCCGUGCGAUGGCGGGGCUAUAUGUUAGAACUAACAAAUAAAUUUGCAAAAUUUAAAAUGAAUAUAGUUUGUUGAAAGAUUUCAAAGUUAUAUGUUAGAACUAACAUAAAUAAAUUUGCAAAAUUUAAAAUGAAUAUAGUUUGAUGAAAGAUUUCAAAGUAAUAAGAAAUUAAGUUAAAUGCGAAUUGAAAAACCAUUUAGAUAUUUUUUUUAAUCAUCAAACCAUAAAAUGAUAUUGUUAUUAGUGGACCAACUUGGUUUCAACAACAUCAAUAAGUGAGAGUCAAGAUAUAAGAAAAUAGCGAAAACAACGUGAGAAAAGUGACUUGUAGAACUUUCAAAAAGAGAAAAUAUCAAGAAAAGAAAAAUUCACGAGUUGUUAAAACAUAUGUAAUCUUUUAAUUUGAUUAUUCUUAAAAAUGUGCUAAAACAUAUUUAAGUCAGUUAAUAAAACAUGUGACAUAAAACAUGUUUGAGAUGAGUUUUAAAGAAGUAAUCUCUAUUUAAAAUGUAGUGUUUUGUACAUAAGUCACAGUUGUAAAAUAAUUGUUGUGUUGGAUAUGGUGGCCGAGAUUUGAACCAGACUCCUAUAUUUAUGUGAGUUUUCAAUAGUUCUUGUUAUUUUGUUUAUCAAUAAAAAAAAAAAUAUAGUGUUUUCACCAAAAUUGGAAAAAAAAUACCACCGUUGUCCACGAAAAAAAAUUUCAAUUCGUUUAUAGAGAGAGUAACUUAUACCAUAGGGUAGUAAAAUCUAGUAGAGAAUCUUUAGAUUUUACUACUUGCAUUUUCAUCAAUCCAAACAUACAUAUUUACCAAUCAUGAACUUUUUUUUUCUUUCUUUUUUUUAUCGAAUCCUAGUUCUUAUCAUGAAAUAUUAUAAACAAACUCCCCAGACACAGGGAUAUUUAUAACAAGUUCACUUACUGAACAGAUAAGAAACAAGAAUUUGAAAUAAAACAAGGAUGAGUUCUUAAAUAUAUUCAGUGGAAGCUAAUUUGUGAAGGUAAUCAAUAUUAUAUAUCCUCAAGCUGAAGUCCCUUCUAAGGAUCAUUCAUGUGUACUGAUGAUAAUGAACUCAAGUUUGUUGAGACUUCAUCUGUUGCUUUUUUUCGCACGACUGUUGCACCGGACUAUUCAUUAACUCCUCAAGUCCUUUGUGGUUGUGUGUAUUGCUUAGUGGAUGGUUACAUCAAUGGUAUAUACUUCUCUACCCCCUUCCAUUUAGUAGAUAUUGUAAAAUCAAGGACAACCUCCUGAGGCUUAGGAGAAGCUAUAUAUAACUCUUUUCAACCUCAUGUGUUGGAUGGAUCACCAUUGUUCACUGCCUUCUUUGGAGAUUGAUUUUUCAGGCCAAAAUACAUUCAGUCCCUUGCCUGUAUGUAUGACCAAAAUACACUCAAUUCCUUUAUAAAAUCUUACCAUACAUCUACAAUAUACUAUUUUUUUUCUUUGCUAUAAGGAUGGAAUUUUAAAUAUGUUUGGUGAAAAAAUGAUAUGUGAAGGUAAUUAGCAUUAUAAAGUCCUGAAAAUCAAUUCCAACCACAAGGAGGUGGAAAGAGUAUUACUUUGUUGAAGCAUGCAAUAAAAAGAAAGCCGACUAAAGUUUCGAUAUGUAUGUUAAAAUAAAUUAGUUUGACGAGGCAGAAAAUUCAUGUUAAAGUAUUCACUAAGAUAUGAACUAUGCCUUACCUUGAAAUUAACCAUAACCAGCAAAGAGCUAUCAGUUAAAGGAAAUUGAUAUCUUCAGCAGCAAACUUCAUUCCUAAUAUUGGUGUUUCCCCUGAUCAAACAUGAAACUCCGACUCUUUCAUAAAUAUAUUAUACAUGAAAGGGCUAUUUCAUAAAUGAAGGACCAUCACCUGCAUAUUUUCAUGGAUACAUGUAUUUAAAUUGAAAUCAAGUAAUAAUAUAUGUUAAAAUUAAUACUAUAGGAAUGAAGAUCUAU